rnacentral:lncRNA from 1 species
UUUUUUUUUUUUUUUUUUUUAAAAAUUUGGAUUCACUGGUAUUAGUACUAAUUGCUAGGACACAAAAUGCUAGGACACAGUGCCAUGCUAUUUAGAUGAACAAAUGACUUGUUUUCAUUUUGGCUUAUGGUUUUGGGCCUGGGGAAAUAUUUCAAACGUUAGUCUUGUGAAUUUACAACAAUUAUGUGUUGCAAUGUGCCUUUUUGGAUUAAAAAAAUAUUUCUUGAUGACAGAAUGUCUUCCAGAAUGUGUUAAAAUCUACAUGUUCACUUUAUCUUCAUCUUCCUUGAAUAGGAAAGAAAAAUAAAAAGAGGAAACAUAAUUUGUAAUGAGAACAAUGAAGUACACUGUUUGGAAUAGCUUUUACGAGUCAUUGCUGAAGCAAAUCGUGCUCACUUGGUUUUGAAGGGAAGCAAAGAUGUUGAUUAGUCCAGCUUUUGGUUCCUUAGGAUGGUGAUAACAUACAUCACUAGGAUGGGGGUAAUUAAGAUGACCGAUAUAUUUGUAUAUUGAUAUAUGCAUUAGUGGUAGGUAACACCAAUGUCGGCUGAAUGCAAGACCAUGGUUUAUCUUAUCAUACUUGGCACUUUGAAACUGAUGAAGAUCGUGCAAAUAUGCAUGUUGUUAAACUUAUUCCCUGUCUGAAUUUCCAGGAAUCUUUCUACUGCUGCCAUUAUGGAAAGGAUUCCAAGCAAGUGGCCGCGUCCUAUUUGGCAUUCCCCAUGGAAGAAUUACAGGGUAAGUUAGUUAUACUCUUCUGUUUGGUGCACUGUGUGGAUAGCUGUAUUGGUUUUGCUGUUGAUUCCUUUAUGGAAUAGCUAGUCUCUUUGACUCCAGCCACCAUCUGUUUUCCUUGUCCUGGUUAUCCUUGAAUGGGCAGUAUAAGUCUUGUUGACUGGCAUCUGUUUAGGUGUUGUUGAUAAUUAAUCAUGUUAUGAGCUUCACUUUUAAGUGGGAGAUCAACAUUCAAGCAUCAUGUCUCUCUAAGGGCCCUCUCUUGCCUUUUUCUGUCAUUUUGCCUGGUUUAUUUGUAUUUCAGUUGUGGAGAAAGAUUGUGCAUAGAGUAAUUUUGUUUAGUUUAUGGUAUGUAGCAUUUCAGUUACUGGUAUAUGGUGCCUUGUGGUACCAGUAAAGAUGGUUAUAGAAGAAUUUUGUUGUGACGUAAUGGAGAUUUGUCUACCCUUUGAGCCUUUUGUCUUUUAAUCUUUCACAGACGAAAAUCAACCUCGUGUUCCCAAUUUAAGUUUUAUUCUAUCAGUUGACUGAAGGCCAGAUUAGCAACAAUUUUUUAAAUGAAUGAGAUAUCAACCAAGUUUCAUUACCAGAGAAAACAGGAUCUGCAAUUUAGCUACCCAUGAUAUAUUCAUAUGACUUUGAACUUAGUUAUCUCCUUUAACAGAACAAAGACCAUUAGUGUACUUGUCUAGAUGAUUUGCUAAUUCUACUCUGGUGCGGGCAUAUGAUGUUUUUGUGUCUGGAGAAUAGGAAGCAAUCCAUUUACAAAAAUAAAGCAUGUGGAUACCUUCCCUUGCUUGGUCUGAUAGUAAAGAAAACAAGGAUACAUAUUGAGGUCUGGGGACUUGAUUUUUCAUUUUGUUUCUGAGAUAUGUCUUACAGCUUGAAUUAUUACUGAUGCUGCAGCAAAGUGAUUGUAUCAACUAUUGCUCUGACAUGCUGAGUUUGCAGGUCAUCAGUGGUCAUUUGGGAUGGGUACGAUCCAUUGCAGUUGAUCCAAGUAAUACUUGGUUUUGUACGGGAUCUGCAGAUCGGACAAUCAAGGUUAUGAAUUCAUCUUGAGAAGUUUGUCUUUUGAAGGAAAUUUGUUAGUCAGUGUAAGGAAGAGAGAUAAGAUUUCUAUAGCAAAAAUUCAAGGUUGUUAUCACAGGUCGCCGUUUAUUUAAAUAAUGUUUCACAGUUCCUGGGUAUCUGGGCUCUGGUAACUUAAACAACUGAUGUUUGUUUAACAUAUGUCUUUGAAGUUUGUAGCUUUUGUACCAAACAUUUCGCUGUUUCAAUUUCAAGAAUGUAUUGAACUGCUGAAUUCUUUGUGAUGAACUUAAUUUGUAAAAUUUCCAAGCCACUCUAAUUGAGGAAACAAAAGUUGUCUUAACUUUUGACAAUGUUGCUUCAAGAUGUUUAAUAUUUUAACAUAACACCAUUGUUCUUAAAGAAAAUAAUAGCAAUUGAAGAUAUCAACUUUUUCUUUGAUAUUAAAUAUGCUUGUGCAUCUAUUGCUGAGGCUUGCUUCCUUUUCUUUGUUAUUUUUAUUUUGUAAGAUAUGGGAUUUAGCGAGUGGAAGGCUGAAGCUCACACUAACAGGUCACAUUGAACAAAUAAGAGGUUUGUUUCUUAGCAGAUAUGUUGCUUUCUGGCAGUUACGUUCCUGCUGAAAAUUAUUGUUUACUAACUUGUAACAUACUGUACAAAGACAGGAAUUUUCGGACCACAAAAUUGGAAAUAAAGUUGAUGGUUAGUUGCAGAGUGCAGAAAUAUGAUAUUUAAUUUUUCCUUGCAGGCCUUGCUAUUAGUAACAGGCACACGUACAUGUUCUCUGCUGGGGAUGACAAACAAGUAAAAUGCUGGGACCUUGAACAAAACAAGGUUCGUAAGGGAGUAAAUAACACUAUGUAGCGUGGAGAACUUGUUAAGCAUGCUCUAAUAAUUCUUUUUGGGCUUUCCAGGUUAUUCGAUCUUAUCAUGGUCAUCUAAGUGGAGUUUAUUGCUUGGCUCUUCAUCCAACACUUGACAUCUUUAUGACAGGAGGUCGUGACUCUGUGUGUCGGGUAUGAAGUCCAUUUAGAGAUUCCUAGUUUAACAAGUUAUAUGCAGAUUGCUUAGCGGUCCUGAUAAUGACAUUGGUCAAUUAUUAAUCUGGAAAUUGUACUUUAUGGUAUAUUCUUUUAAAGUUUUUUUAAUCAUAUUCGUUUUUAGAUUGUCAAUGUGAAUGAAGCCCGCACCUGACUUAACCCCCCUAGGCCUCUAGACAUGACAUUUUAAAUUUUUUGCAGCUGUUAAGAGUUAAGACUGCUUCGUAAAAGUGCAUGUGGAUUUUCUUUUGGCUGGAUGUUAUGCAAAUUUAAUCAUUUUGUAUUGUUGAUUCAACAAUAUUUUCAGGUUUGGGAUGUUCGCACUAAGGCGCACAUUUAUGCACUUUCCGGACAUGAUAAUACUGUGUGCUCGGUUUUUACUCGAUCCACAGUAAGCAAUUCUAAUUUAUUCUGAAACUUAAUUCUGGAUGCAUGCUUUUCAGAAAAGAUCUUUUUAUGGUAUCUAAAUGGUUGGUUAAAGUGAUUGUGAUAUAUCUCCAAAAGAAAUUCUACAUAGGCACUUUUGAGGAUUUGGCUCUCUGCAAUAAGAACUAUGUUGAUAGACAUUAGUCAGGAGGUUGAGAAUGGAGAAUACAAAAUAUAUGGGAGAAUCUAAAAAUUUUGUUGGAAUCUUUAUGUUGACGAAAACCAGGACAUUUGAUAUCUUGCUAGGAUUUAUAUCUGUUAAUAUAUAUAUAUAUAUAUGUGGUAUAAGUAUUCUUUGUGGCACCUUUUUGUUAUUCUCAUACCAUAUCAGCAGUACGUGUUGGCUGCUCUAUUGAGCCAAGCCACAGAAUCAACAGCAUUGGUAGUGGUGGGUUUUCCUCCAGAUAACUUAUAACUUUCUUCGAGUAGAUUUUUAUUUGCCUGAGUGGCGCCUAGUCUGACUGUAAUCUUGUAGUAUGGGUACUUAUUAGUAAUCAAAAGGAAGUUUUUUGGUUCAGUUCAUAAGAUAUAUUGCUUAAUGCAUCCAUAGACCUCUGCAACUACAAUGGAUUCACAUGUGCAUAAUAAGAAUAACAUGCAUUUUGGUAUGUACUGAGAAUUUGAGAAGCAGUUGCAUUCUCUUGCUGGUUGAUGUGAAAGGAUGACACACUUCAUUGGUACAACAUUACAAACUUUCCUAGUUAAAGAAAUUAGAGGUGAAUGUAAGAGAUUGACAUGAAUGUUAGUUUUUGCUAGGAAAUGGAGGAAUUGAUGCCAUAUAGUUAAUAUGGGGUAACAACUUUGUUGCUUAAGAGAUUGGAAAAACUUAGAAUUGACAAAUUCACUCACAAAGAACUUGUAUUGUACAAUCCAAGUGAUCAACUGGACUCAAUACUGUGCCUUAUUGCCUAUUAAAAUUGUUAACUCCAACAUUUUUUUUUUGCUUAAACUUGAUGCAGAUUAUGUUGCUUUACCUUAACUGUGGUGAUAAUCUUAUGCUGUCUAAUCUCACCAUCAGACACCUAUUUUCAGGAUCCACAGGUUGUAACUGGUUCUCAUGACUCUACCAUAAAAUUUUGGGACCUUAGGAAUGGUAAUCUUUUUUGGAAUUAUAUGUUCCAUCAUUUUGUAAAUAUUCAGUACUUUCCUCCGGUUGCUAAUCACUCGUGUUUGGUAGGCAAGACAAUGGCAACUCUCACACACCAUAAGAAAUCUGUUCGUGCAAUGGCUCUUCAUCCAAAGGAGUAAGUAUCCAUUCCUUUUACCUGUACUGGGUAUGAUGGAAUGAUUGUCCGCAUUGCAUGUGCUUCAUUUCUUACAUAAAUUAAUCUUUCAUGUUACAGGGAAUCUUUUGCAUCUGCAUCUGCUGACAAUAUAAAGAAAUUCAACCUUCCUAGAGGAGAAUUUGUUCAUAAUAUGCUGUAAGUUUUGUUGGAAGCUAGUGUACCUUGCAUUUACUCUGUUCUUGUGAAUUUUUCCCUGCAGUAACAUUUAGGAGUAAUCACCUUGAUUUAAUAUGGUUUCUAUAGUGGUCCGUUACCCUUUUGAGCUAUAGCAAUAAAAUUCAAGUUGCUUUUGAGGUGUUUAUUUCCUUUACAUAGACUGCAAAUAUUCAUAAUAUUCAUAAUUACUCUAUCAGCAUCAGCUUGAAAAUAUUGUGGAUUCUUUCAAAAUAAAUAAAUAAAUAAAUAAAGUUCCUGAUGCAAAAUUAGACAUAAUGAAAGUGCAAAAAUGCCAUUCUGCUGUUUGAGUUGAUUGGACUGGAAAUGGAACCAGCAUACAGAUCUUAAUGAAAUUCAGAUUUAAUGAAGGUAGUUUUGCAGGUUUUGCCUAGUUGACUAAGCAUCAAAGGUUGGCCAGCAUUCCUACCUGUAUGAAGUGUUAGGACUCUAGUUGUUAUUUUAUGGACCAGCACAGAAGUUGUUGAUAACUCUUGCAUAGUUUAAUGCUUAAAAGAUUGAGAUAUUGGGUUCUUGUUGUGCAGCUCUCAGCAGAAAACCAUCAUCAAUGCUAUGGCAGUAAAUGAAGAGGGUAUAUUGGCUACAGCAGGUGAAGAUUAUCUGUAAUUAAACAAUUUUUCUAUCCAAUCCAUUCACCCAUGAUCAGAGUUUUUGAUGAUCUUACUAGUGAUUUUUCAAAUAUAUUUUUUGUAUAUUGGCUGCAGAAGUGGUAUAAUGUUGUUGGAAUAAAGCUAAUUUCAUGUGCACCACUUAUAAUUAACAAUUCCUUGUUGAGUUAGAGAAAGAAAAAAAACAAAGGAGGAAUAUGAUUUGAUGUUCUUCUGGAGUUGGAAAUAGAACAUGAAUCUGUGCUCAAGCUUCAUGUGCAAUCCCUUACAUAUUACGUGGAAUUAAAGAGCAAAUGAUAUUGUGGAAGUUUGUGGUUUCUUUCAUGGAAGGAUGUUCAUCAUGCUCAUGAUUUCUUUCAUUUACUACAGGUGAUAAUGGAAGUUUGUGGUUCUGGGACUGGAGAAGUGGUCACAAUUUCCAGCAAGCUCAAACUAUUGUUCAGCCUGGUACUUAUCUAGCAAAUUUUUGUUUGCUUACUGCUCUAUUUUGAUUUCUUGAGAAGAUGAAUGGUGAAGUUUUGGCAUCUAUUUGUCUCAGGAUCACUGGAGAGUGAGGCUGGCAUUUAUGCUCUGACCUAUGACAUGACUGGUUCGAGGCUUAUUACUUGCGAAGCAGAUAAGACCAUUAAGAUGUGGAAAGAGGAUGAAACUGCCACCCCUGAAACCUUUCCCCUUCAUUUCAAGCCACCUAAAGAUAUUCGCCGCUUUUAGUGGAACCUUGUAUCUUGUUUCAGUUGUAUAUGCCAUGAAAAUAUUUGGUAACAAAAUCGUCCCUUGUGCAUGCAGCUGUUGGUUGCCCUUUUAGUUAAAGAUGCUUUACAUUUGGACACGCAAUGGAGUGGCCAGAGAUGUAGCUUAGCAUGGGAAACAUCUGCCUUGAGGCGGCUAAAAAUGCCUCCCCGAGUUGGCUGCCGAAGCAUGUACCUAGAUUUUGAUAUCUAUGUGCUGUACAUUAUUUUAUUUUAUUUUGACGAGCAGAAUAGGUUAGUCCUUGGCUCAUUUGAAAGAUAAAGUUGGGUAGAUGGUGUAAAUCAACAAACAGAAUUUGCAAAUUUUAGCUAAACAGUUAUUGCAAAUUAUUAGAUUUCUCUACCUUUUUAGUUGCCCUAAUCUGGCCCCUAUUUGUGAUUGUAUCAUUUUUCAUUCUAACAUUUGAUACCUAGAAAUGCUCAACAGUUAUGGCGGGUGCUGUCAUUUGGAACCUGAGGUUUCCAUUGUUCGGGGAGGGAUGCCUAACCCUCUCGCCCGUGGGUCUUAUUGUUUUUUUUAUUUUUGGCCUGAUGGAGGAGUAUCCGGAUUAUUGGGUAAAUCGGGCCUGACUAAUCUCCCACUGGCUGGGGAGGAGAGGUCCCAUUCCUUCGAACACGAUAACCAUGAGACUCGAACCCUGAUGGGAUUGGACAACAGCUCCUAAGAAGGCGCGUUGUGACCAAUCGAGUUGUUCAUGAGGAGCGUCUAAGAAGGCGUGUUGUGACCAAUCGAGUUGUCCAUAAGGAGCGCCUGUGGGUCUUCUUGUAUAAGGAGGUGAAUUCUGUACUAAACUGUUCAACGCUACCUCUUACAAGUUGGGGAAUGCCCAUAAUAAACAUCUGCUGUCAUCCUUCCCUUCCCAAAUGCGACUGUAGACUUAAGUCCUUGAUUGGAUACGUUGCGAAAAUGGCAAGUGAAACCUGCAUGGGUAUCUUAGACGGAACCAACGUGGUACUUCCGCUUGAAGACUGGACUUCUAAGAUUAUAAUUGAACUUUGGAACCAACUUAGGAAUUUUGAUCAGGCAAAACCCCAAGAAAGUAAACUAUAAUCUGACGCUGCUUCACUGGAAUUGCGAGUCUAUGGCAUCUUCAUAUUACUUUAGAGAAGGUGUGAGAGAGAGAUAUGAGAAAUCUAUUUCCGUACUCAAAGAAACCAACCACUAUUCAGACAGGAGAGGAAAAUAUGUCGCAGAGGAAGGCUGCAAGGCAUAUCCGUAAAGGCGUGAACGAUCUCAGCACCUUGGACAUAAUAUCAGAAAAAAUUACCUUUACGACUAUAUCUUUUUUUUCGGAUAAUCCAGCUGAGGUCUGGGGAUCAAGUGAGGGGACAAGGAACUCAAGAGGGACAUCCCACUUUGGAAUUUAAACAAUUACCUAUAUGACUAUAUCUGUUUCUUGAUAGCCUGGCCGAGGUCUGGGCAUCAAGGAGCAAGGAGCUCAGGAGAGACAUCAUUCCACUUGCGACUACACUUUAGCAGAUCGAAAUGAUUCCUUGGUCCGGCCAUAAUAGACGGAUUUAGUUCCAGGAUAUGUAACAAAAUUCCAACCAAAUGCCGAACCUCCAACAAUAUACGUCCCUUCUGGUCGGCCAGCAGCUUCAGGUUGCUGCUUUUGGGAGGUGCCCCCAGAGGAAACAGUUUUAUUUUCAGCUUGCCUAGUAGAUGCCCUGUCACCAGGAGGCCUCUCUGGUAGUUUCACAUCACGCUGAUGGUCUUGUCCAUGUUGGACAUCAGCUGUUGGAGGCUGGCUCGCUGGAGGAUCUCUGAUCAUCUCUCUGUAAAGAUCUACCACAAUCUUCAUCUCUGUAAAUUAUUACACGUUACACAUCAGUCCAUUCAGGAAGCAUAUGUACCAGUACAAGGACGGACAACAGAGAUAUAAAAUUCUCUUUGCUAAGAUAGUAAAUAAUACAUGUCAAAACUUGGAUUCCUACUAGGCCAGAAGUUCCUUAAGUGUCACUAACUUUAAACCACGUUCAGAAUAAGUACCAUAUAGUUAACGAUACCAGAACAUUGCCUAUUCUCAUUUGCUCAAACUUCUUAUUUCUUAAAGCUGUAAAAGGUUUAUCAACGAAAAUGUUUAAAAUUGAAAGGUACUCAAGACCUAAACUAUUUGAUUAGCAACCAAAUGCUACCAUACAGAAGCAUCCCAGAUAAACUUCUUAAAACAGUUUUCCAGAGGAGAAACAAAAAACAAGUUUCAUCCUAAAUGAACAGACCAAACUGAAAAAAAUGACAAGUGCCCUAAAUAAAGAUAUUGGUUUUUAUCUUUUAAAGCUCAAGGUUAGGUUAAAUAUUACUCCUGCACAAUGAAUUUAGUUAAGGUAAUGAAAUCAUCGUCAGAUAGUCCAUGAACACAAUUGUAAGAAGAAAGAUAAGUGGAAACUUCAAACAACUGCAAUUUCAAGUGUUGCUCCUGCACAAGCAAGCAAGCAACAAAGUAGUCAUAAGUUUCACAAGGAGAUGGUCAAACCCACAUACAGAAGCAACCCAAAAGCCUGAGUUUUCAACAUUACAAAUGCCUAUAAAAUAAUUAAAAACUCUUGCAGUGAAUAUAAACAAAAUCGAGUCAGGACCUUAAAAAAAACAACAUUUGCAUGGUCAUAAUCAUUAUAGAACAGAAACUGGAGCAUAGGAACAAAAUUAUACCCAAUUUAGUCCAGAAAACACAUAGAUAAGCAACUAACUGUAUCCUCAACUACAAAAUAGACCAAACACUUUCCACAAAACUUACUUUCACGAAUUUCUUCAGCUGCCUUGCAGUUCUGGAAGUCAGGAGUUUUGAGAACCUUCAAGAGGUUAAAACAACCAUUCAGAAUAAAUUUAUUACCAUAUAUUCUUUUAUAUGAAUGUCCAAUGGAAAAAAUGUAAAUCCGAGUCCUUCAAAGGUUCGACGCAUUGACAUUCAAGUCCAAACAUGAUGCGUGAGUCCUCACGUAAUAGACGGGUUACUCAAAUUCAUGAAACCCCAGCUAUUUCUCUCCAAUAUCAUCACUUUAACAAACAUCAGAAGUAUUGAAUGACUAGAUGUCUAACCACAAGAAUAAGAAAAUAUUAGAUUAUGCAUGAAGGUAGAUGUUGUGCAUACUGUAUAAAAGCCAAGAAAUUUCCAUCUGUGUCUUUACUUAGACAACAGUUAUAAAAACAUAUCUAGCAAUCCAGGAGAAGAAAUGAUGCACCCUCGUCUUUUCCCAAGAUAAGGAGAAACUGGUCAAACUAGAAUAGGUCAUGGGCCAAUUCAAUCAUCUAAAUUAUUCACAAUAUACCAAGUUAGAAGACAUUUGUUUAUCUCGCCUCCUCAUGUCAUAUGCAAUUCCAAGGCUCAAAAAAUUACCGAGCAAGUGAAUUUUGAGAUGUUAUUAUUAUGGUCAAUGUCAAAGUAACAUGUGUGCCGGUCUAUUCUUGUCAUAACUCAUAACCAGUUUUGCCAAAAUUGUUCUACAAAAGAUUUGGUUCAAACCUAAAGAAAAUGACUUCUUACUCCCACAUCAGAUGUUAAAUUUUGGAGAACAGAUCAAGGGGAUAAGCAUCUGUAGUGAUUCAGAUUUUGUGUAAUCUCCAGUCAAAUUCUUCCUCAAUUGAAAUUGGAAGAAAAUGACAGCUUCAAGAUUGUUCAGACCUGACAUCGAAAUGAGCAACUUGCACUUCUCAACAAAAAGAAAAGAAGAAUUCCAUUGCCUGACAGAGUAGACUACCUAUGUCUUAACAUAGAUCGGUCAUACUUGUUGAAGUGAGUGUCACAUAUUGCCAGUUGAACGGGAAAUAAUGAGAAAAUACAAUUCUUAAUGUAUGGUGCUGUUGAAGUAUUUAGUUCAAAGGACUUCAUCACAAUUUAUGAAAGUGCACUAUGAUGUAUGACUCUCAGAUGCCACCCCUUCGCUCCCUUCCCUACCACCCACCCUACUCCCUGUACCCACAAAAAAAAAAUAAAAAUAAAUAUCAAGAACCAGAAAAGGAAAACCAAAAUAGCCCACCAUCAGUUCAAGAUUCCUCGGCCAUGCUGAACGAAAGUAAAGAUGAAAUUCAAUUUUACAUAUACACAUAGACAACCUCCUAGUCCAUAUGCCAACCAUUUCAAGCACGUGUUGAAAACUUAGGAGUGUUGACACAUUCAUAUCAUAACAAGUAGUAAAUGGUAUUGCGUCUAAAAGAAGACCCAACAAUAUUAAUAAAAAAAUUACUUAAAAUGCCAAGUUUACUAACACAAUUAGAUCCAAUAAUUGCAUAAGCUAUGCAUUCACUUAAUCAACUAAGUUGUGAUCAAUAAAAGAUCAACUGGAUGCAUAAUUACUUCACAAAAGAUACUGCAGUAAACGAAUAAACUUGCAUUUAUGCCAAUGUGAUAUAAUAAACUUUAAAGUAUGUAUACAAAAUUAACAUACUGAAAGCCAAACUAUCCAAUGCACCCUGUCAAGAACAUUGUCACAUCCUACUUUUCCUAAGCAUAAUAUCUUUGCAUCAUUGUCUUUGCCAUUUCUAUGUCCUCUGCCCAUUAAGAUUUUUGCAAACUAGUAUGCCCAAAAAAAGGGGGAAAAAUACAAAUUUCAGGACGAAAAGUAAUAAAUGGAGAGACAGAAAUAAACCCCCCAAACAGCAAGGCUUCCUAGGAAAUUCUCAUAAAGCUCAUUGAACAAUAACAUUCUCUACUUAAAACAAAAAGGCAUCGCUGUUAACAUCAUCAAGAACUACUCAUAUCAGAUUAGCUAAGCAAUCAAAGUAAACCAACCAUGAUGAAACAAAAAAAGAAACCCCAGACUCAGAGGUAUAACCAAAUUUAAAAGUAAAAAAUUGUGAAGGAUUAAUCAAGUCACGAGAAAAUAAAAUCUCCGUAAAGAGCAUAAAUCAAUCGAACCCAGAGAAACUUAUUACAAGAAAAGUUCAUAAUUGGAUUGAACUUUGCAUAAAGUACAAAUCUUUGUUGAAGAAAUUUGCUGGGUCAAGUUAGUACCUCAAUAAAAUGAGGACGAAGGUCUCUGACAAUGACCCGCAUUUUGUAGUAAGGGGAGUCCACCAAGCGGGCGAGAAUGUCGUCAUCAAGAGGCCUCUUUCUGGUACUAAUAUCUGAGGGAGGAGAAGCAGUUGGAGGAGCCACUGGUGGCUGCUGUGGAGGGAGGUUCUGAUGAUUUGGUGCAGUUUGGGCAGUUUCCAUGACUACUACUGUUGCCUCUUGAAGUUUUGCUGAUUUCUGAAUUUCACCGGUUAAAAUUGGUUCUUUUCUUCGCCGGCUAAUUUCUCCUUGUUUACUCCUGCUAGCUCUAUCAUGCAUAAGAGCCUCCGAUCUUAUCUUUGGCUCAUACUUCGUUUUUGCCCCUAAAUUUCUAGUUUCUUUUGUUACCGUCACUUCACAUUAAGUAGUCCCUCCAGCCCAUCUUAUAUGUCAUAACCAACUUUACACACAAUUUAUAAAAAUUGUAAAAUACAUGAAACACAUAUAGAAAACAUUGCCAUGAAGGGUUAAGAGAGAUUCUUCCUCCUUUGCUUAUAUAGGAUAUGCUUUGUACUAUUAGAUGUAACAUUUUAACACAAACUUUGUUAAUAUAUUAAUUAGUUUUGAAUUUUUAUAAUUCUCUUUCUAUUUUAUUGACUGUUUUCAUGAUUAAUCAUCACCCUUUUUUUUUUUUUUGUAUGUAAGCGCAGUUGUUAAAAACUAGAUAUAACAACCCAAAUGAGAUGAUCAUGCAUUAGUUUUCUAGUACCAAAAAGAAAAUAAAUGAUCUUUGCACAUCCAAAACCUUCAUUUCCAUUAGCUUUUGCUUAUAUAACUUAUGAUUGGUAAGUUUAAAAUGUAUUAUUAUUAUAUUCAAUUCAAAUCCAAAGAGUCUAAAUCCAGUUUUUAAAAAAAUAAUUAAUAAUAUUAAAACGAUCUAAGCUCUUAUAAACUUGCAUGUUUACAUCAACAAAUAGUUUUAAUAACUUAAUUUCAUCGAAACUUUUUUUUUGUUUAAUAAUAAGAAAAAAGCACAAAAAAGCAAAAAAAAAAAAAAAAGAAGUCAAUUGAAGUUUGCCUCAUAAAAAAAAAAGAAAUUUAUGUAGGUGAAAAAUAAUCCUUUUCAAGACUCUAGAUUUUGUGCAGGUACGAGAAUUCCUCUGUUGAUGUGAAAUGCUAACUGAGCAAUACUCCUGCUUUGAAAGUUCAGGUGGCAAAUUUGUAAACUACAAAACGAUUAAAGGAGUAGACUGCAAUUAAGUUUAAAGUAGAAGGUCCGGAUAAUUCCCCAUCAUUUCGUCGAAUGACUUCUUAGUACUAAUAUCACAGCAAAAGCAAGAAAAAUCCCAAGAAGAAACUCUUGUGUAGGAAUAGGAUUGCUUCCUACUAGAAGAUGAACCCGAACAGUGACAAGCUUGUCAGAAGGACAGCCAUGGUGGCCUCUGUAACUGCAUCUUAUUUCCUUCUCACUGCUGAUUAUGGCCCUGAACCUAAUGUUCUCGACCCAGUACGUCCUUUCCCAGAACUUAUUACUAUUAGGAUUCUUUAAAAAUUUUUCAUUUUGGCAUGCUAGAUGUCUUCUUUAUUUAUUUAUUUGUAAAGUUUUGGUCUUUUGGGUUUUGGGGUUUAUGCAUUAGGUUUUGCCUAGGUCUAUAUUACAUGAAUAGGCAUAUGAAAAUCUGAGUCAGUGUUAUUACCAUGUAAGUGGUGAUUGAGGGGCGUUAAUGGGCAUUCGUUUGUUUUUCAAUUAUACAGGAUUGUUGGACUAUGAGUUGAAGUUUUGAAUGGGGAUCAUGAAAAACUUGGAUUGAUGACUUUUUAACAAUUAGGACGAAUUUUCAGGGGAUUGGAUUGGAUUGCCUUUGAUUUUCAUGACUUAGUCGUGCUUAAUGCACGUGUUUUUGUUGCUAUAUAUGCUGGUUUUCUUAUUGCUUGAAGUUGGCUUUUAUUUUUAAUCUUUCGAAUCAAAAUAUAUUUCAUGCUAUCCCAUGCUCUGUUUGACAAAAAUUCUGUGGAUUGUGGUCUUGUGGCUUCUGCCAAUGUUAAUUAGGUGUAUGUAGCAGUUCCAAUGGAUUCAAGUGAGCUAGGAAGCAGUUCUUGCACAUUUUGAGCUGCCCAGAAUUUUUUUUUUUUUUUUUGGUGGGGGUGAAAUUCAGUACUUUGGCCAUUGUGAUAGCCCAUAAAUAGGUGGUUGGUAUUGCUUCCUGCCAAAGAUAUUGGAUGGGUGAACUGAUUAAUGUAUUUGCUCUUGACCAUUCUCAAUUUUUUCAUUGAAGUUAUGUGGAGUUCAUAAUGGUGAAAAUUUUUUUAUUUUUUGCCGUGAUCCAUACCUGUUGUUGCCAUAUGGUCAUCCAAUUUGUGUUUACAAGUGAUAAUAGUUAUCUCUACCCUGUGUCUCUGUGCGUGAUUGUCUGUGUCUUGGUCUUUGUGCAUGGAGCUUCUUGAAAUCACAAAUACGCUUCCAGUCUCCUACGGUAUUAUGAGUGCAUUAUGGAACUGUAGUUGCCGGAUAUUCACAAUUUGCAUAAGAUCUUGCUUUUCAAGAAUUUGCUAACAUACAUGAAAUCAUGCUUCCCUCUCCUUUUUGUGGUUGGAAUCUUCUCAUAUGCUGUGGAUUAUGUAAGCAGAUUCUUGGACUGCAUUUUUUUAAAAAAAUUAUUUUUGUUCAAAUAUGAGUUGUUAUUAUAUGAGAACCAUUUGAUUACUUAUGACGAAUUGAAUCUUUAUCACAAAAGUAAAAGGAAACUGGUAGAAAGUACGAAAGAAAUCUUGAUUUCGCAGUCGAUUGUACAUUGUUUACAUUAGUUAAAUCGUAUCAUUCCAAUACUAAUUCUGCCACUGGAUGACAGAUCAAGAAUGCAAUAUUGUCAGCAGAGCGUUCUGUGAAGGAGUUCAUCUUUGGACCAAGCAAGGGAAUUCAAGAAAAUGAAACCAAGAAAUUGGCCUCCAAUGCUGGAGAGAAACAUCCCUAGUUUGUUAUGUAUCAAAUCAAAAUCCAGCCUAUGUUUUUGAAGAUUUCUAUGGCAGAUAGCACUAAAAAAACAUGAAAGUUGAGCAGAGAUAAGCAAGCCUUCUUCACUUUGCUGGCUUAUCAAGCUGUAGACGUGACUAUUUUCAAUCAUGUACAUGUAGUAGAGAUAGUGUGUGUAGCAUAAGUGCUGAAACGCAAUUGGAAGCACAGAGACAUAAAAAGAGUAAAUGCGUUUGAGUUUGAAAUAUUUGCCAAUAUGAUCUCUCUUGCUGCAUAAAGCAUUGGAAAAUAAAGCUGUACGCCCCUUCUCAGAGCAGGAAUUAUCAGGCUGAACCAUUCUGAUUCCUUUGAUACUUUGAUGUAGAGAAUAGAGACGAAAAUUGCUGAAUUCCCAAUCAAACCUUUCUUUGUUCCCACCGGCGCAUUCUUUUAGCGACUUAGUUAUACAGUAGUUGUCGGAGGUUGGACUGAUACCUGACCUGAGCUUUUCACUUGGGCAAGUGAACUGAGAGAACCCUCCUGUUGCCUGUCAAUCUUCUUCUUGCUAAAGUGACCGAGUCAAUAUCUGAAUAUGCUGAAGUGUGCGGUGCUAUUUUGUUUCAACAACACUCUAAUCCAAAAAUGAUUUUAUUUAGUAUAAGAAGUUUGGAUGCGGAGCGAUGGAUGAUUAGACAUUGUUUGAAACUUUUGAGUUUUCUUAAAAUUAGUGUCUGCUUUAAUGUCAUUGUUAAAGCUAUUUAUAAGAAAGAAACUGCACUUUCUGCUGUGAUUUGUUUUUGUUGUUCUUUUUAAUAGCUUGAUGUUUUCUUGGGGUUUGGGUCACUGCUGGUUUUGAGGGCUGAUAUACAGAUACGAAAUGUGCGUAUUUGAGACUUCAGGGCGAAAUUCAUUUUCUGUAUGUCAUUGGUCCAGAAAUUUGGACCUUGGAGAAAAGGAUUUUCAUUUGUAUAUUUGUCAACAUGCUAUAGUUUGUAAUGCCAGUAAGUCAAAGAGUUACUUGAGAUAGGGAACAAGAUCUCAUAAGAUCUUGCAUGUUAAUGAAUGUCUAGGCUUGCGAAUUGUUUACACAAGCCACUAAUGUUUUUACAGUAUACCUUAGAAGAAAGAUCUGCUAAGUUGCCAGUUAUAGUAUAAGAUCUUGUCAUGAUAUAUAUAUAUUGGUGUAGAUAAGCUUUCAGCUUUCAGACAUCACUGCAACUGAUGUUAUGAAGUAUUUUUCAGUUGCAUAUUUUAAGCUUUAAGCUUUUGGACUUCUGUGCACCUGAUAUUACUAAUAAAGUCCUUUCCUGCUAUAGAUUGAUGGUUGUGUUGCACCAAGUACAACUUAUCAUUGAGUCGAGUAAAUCUGAUAAAAGGAAUCGUGGUUACAUGUUUACAUGCGCAAGAAUCUACUCAAUUCAAAGGAUCAAGAUAUAAUCAAAUGUUGAUACUCCAAAAUUUUGGUUUUUGGUUAUGUUUCACAUACCUUAGAGGCAAAUCACCAGAGAAAUUCACAAGUUCAUAUCAGUGCUUCUUGUAAGAAAUGGGGUCCAGAAGUGGACAUAUGAUGUUUGACAAUCUGAUAUAUUUGUGUAUUUCAUUCCAGAUGAAUUUCUGAUGUUAUAUUAUUUUUGCUGUUGUCAGGAGCAACAUUAUCUGUGAUAACAAACAUAUGCUUGUUGGACUUUCUGAUGGAUCAUUGUAUAAUAUAUCAUGGAAGGGAGAGGUAAUGUGAAUGUAGCAGUUCCUCCAAGUCUUUCAAAUGCACAUUGAAGAAGCAUCUUUGUAGCUUAGGUGCUGAAUUCAUUUUUUAGCACCAUUAUAAAAUGCUGUGUCUAUUCCCUUUCUACUUGCUUAACAUGAUUUUAAUGGAGAUUGGAAAGCAUCCAGAAACCCGCAUCUCCCUCUCAAAAAGGUUCAACCAGGUUAUCAUUUAACUUAUUCUGUGAUGCAGUUCUGUGGGGUUGUUGAUCUUGACAUUCCAUUCUCUGAUGGAAGUGGAGCUGAUAAAUUGUCUCAUUCUUUGGACAAUGGUCUUCCUUCUAAUGGAGCACGAGGUGUUUCUCUGCCCAUGAAUUAUAUGAGGAAGAAGUCUGCUAUUGUGCACAUGGAGUUUUCCUUCUCACUGAGGUUACUGUUUUUGCUCUUUUGUGAUGGACAACUUGUGUCAUGUUCUGUAAGUAAGAAAGGAUUAAAGCAAGCUGAUUUAAUUAAAGUCGAAAAGAAGCUGGCAUCUGGUGAUGCUGUAUGUGCCUCAGUUGCUUCAGAGCAACAAAUUCUUGCUGUGGGUACAAAAAGGGGAGUUGUUGAGUUGUAUGACCUCACAGAUUCUGCUUCCCUUAUUCGUGCUGUUUCUUUAUAUGACUGGGGGUAAGUGGCUUUACAUUUCCAUGGAUAUUUGGGCAUAUGACCUAGUUGUUUGAUGAUACUUCCUUGUUAUUAGGCCAGUGCUUCUUUACUAAAUGUCUCUGAAAGUGGCAUUAAUCUCUAGCCAGUCUGUACAGCUUCCUGCUUUAUUCAACUUUGUUUCUAUAAGCUAAGGAAAUUAUCACUUUUGACCCUUGUGUCAAAAAAUCAUUAGUAGCUUCUAGCCUGCUACUAUUUUACUGCAUUAUUUUUAUGGGUAACUUUGCUGCUCUUCACUUGCAAAUUGUUGGAUCUACAAAGUUUUCAUUAAGACAGUGGUACAAAUAGCUGACUGGAGAUUCAGAUAAUAUUAUUUCCAUAUUCCAAAGUGCAAUCUUUGAGAAGCAAAAUGAGAUAGACUGUUUUAAGUUUAUAUGAUCCGGUGAGAUAAAACUAGUUACUAUGAUUCUAAAGCUGCAGAUGUAUGUUAAGACUCAAAGUAGGCUCUCUGUGCUUUUGCAAUCUGUUUAUCAACCACUUGCAAGGAAAAAGAUAUUUCUACAGAUAACACAAGGUUUAACAACUGAAAUCUCACCAUGUUUUUUGAAACUCUGAAAAUAUUUGCCCAUAUAGUUGUUGAAUGAGAAAAGUUUGGGAGGUUCUUGUAUCGUUUCAAAUCUGAAUACAGAACUAUAGUUCUUAUAUUUUCUUAAACUGUGCUUGUCCCGCUGGUGUGGGAAUUAGGGAAAUUUACGCAUUAGUUCGUCAUUUGAAGUGCUCCAAUGAAUUAAAUUUUCCUGAUCGUGAAGCAUUAGGCACACUAGGUUCAUGUUUCCUUCUUUCUAUUUUUACCUUUUUUUUCCUUUGGGCAGAUAUUGCGCAGAUGAUACUGGACCUGUCAGCUGUAUUGCCUGGACUCCUGAUAAUUCUGGCUUUUGCAGUUGGGUGGAAAUUAAGAGGGCUUACAGUUUGGUCUGUUUCUGGAUGUCGGUUGAUGUCAACAAUUCGUCAAAUUGGUUUGAGCUCAGUGUCUUCUCCAGUUAUUAAGCCAAACCAGGAUUGUAAAUAUGAGCCUAUGAUUGGUGGCACCUCACAAAUGCACUGGGAUGAGUAUGGAUAUCGGCUUUAUGGCUAUUGAGGAAAGAUCUUCAGAAAGAAUUAUCGCAUUUCCUUUUGGCAAAUGUUGUCUGACAAACCUGUCCAAGUUAUUUAUGGGGAAGAUCGGCUGCUUAUUGUCCAGUCUGAAGAUACUGACGAACUUAAAAUCCUUCAUCUUAAACUUCCAGUUAUGUGCUAAAACUAGGUCAUGAAUAAGAAUUUAUUUUUAUGCUUAUUAAAGAAGGUUAUUACUGAUAUAUCUUUGUCCAUGUCAGGUUCUUAUAUGGCGCAAAAUUGGCCUCUUUUACAUGUGGCUGCUAGCAAGGAUGGGAUGUACUUAGCAGUUGCUGGACUUCAUGGGUUAAUUUUAUAUGACAUACAUAACGACUAAAGCGGUGGCGAGUGUUUGGAGAUAUUACUCAGGAACAGAAGAUCCAGUGCAGAGGCUUGUUAUGGCUAGGGAAAAUUGUUGUGGUCUGCAACUACACAGAUUCUCCAACACGUAAGUGAACAAUGCACAUAUUGCUGUGAUUUGAAACUAUGGGCAUGCUCAGAUAUUUUUGAAGAAGCAGUGUAUGAUAAUAGAAGUUGAUUGGAGUGGAGAGAAAAUAAGAUGUGCACAUGAUUUUUAUCAACUGGAUAAAGCAAAUGAAAGAGUUCUUUGGAACUUAAUUUUGUGGAUCUUAAAAUGGCUGAGCAAAGCCAAAAUGAUUACAAUAGGAACCAAUGAUAUUUGUCAUAUUGUAAAAGGUCUAACAAAACCCAGUUUUUUACAUUCAGGUUAUAGUAUUUCCAUAUUUUAUGGUCUCAUGUUGGGUAAAAAAAUCAUUGCUCGUAGAACCCCAACUUCAAAAUUUUUCUAUCUUCAAUGUUUUCUGGUUUCUUGCUUAUGCAUUUCUCACUGCUGAAUGGCAAGAUAUGAAUUGCUUUUCUACCCAAGAUAUCACCUUGAUCAAAGUUCGUUACUUUGUCGGAAGCCAUUGCUUGCAAAGCCAAUGGUCAUGGAUGUCUACCAAGAUUAUCUACUUGUUACCUAUCGCCCCUUUGAUGUCCAUAUAUACCAUGUUAACCUGUCUGGAGAGUUGACACCUUCUAGUACCCCAGAUUUACAGGUAAUACUUGUUUCAAGAUAAAUUCUGUAGAUAAUCUUGCUUCUAAGUUGAUAUGAAACAUUUAAAAUUUUAAUGCAUGUGAGUCAAUUACAAAUUGCUUGUUAAGUGAAGGUAUCACUGUAAACAAUUAUUCUUACUUGCGCGUUUUUAAGUGAUAAAAUGACAAACAGCUUUCUACAGUACGUGAACUCUCAAUUAUGACUGCAAAGAGGCCAUCCUGCUGGCAAUGCGUUUUUAUCCCAGAUCAACAUCCUAUAGAUUAUGUUUUGAGGAAGGAUUCCUCUUCAUCAGACCACUUGGCCAGAGAACCUGCUAGGUAUGUGCAUAGAUUUUGAAGUUACUUGCUGCAUUUGCAAGUUUUCAAGUGAUGGUGAUUUUAAUCUGUACGUUUAGAUGCUUGAUAUUGAGAACAAAUGGCGAGCUUUCCUUGCUCGAUUUGGAUGAAGGGCGGGAAAGAGAACUCACUGACUCUGUGGAGUUGUUUUGGGUUACCUGUGGUCAGUCAGAGGAGAAAACAAAUUUAAUUGAAGAAGUUUCAUGGUUAGAUUAUGGCCACCGUGGAAUGCAAGGUAAAAACUUUUUGUCGCACUUGAGUAUUUACUGUACUUGUGUUUUUUCAGUUUACAUGUCUCAUGGGUGCUAAAUGCUGCAGGUUUGGUAUCCUUCUCCUGGUGUGGACCCUUUUAAGCAGGAAGAUUUUUUGCAGGUAGUAUGACCCAUUUGAUUACUGUUGCCUAUGAGGCAUAUGUUUUUAUUCUGUCAUUUUUUUCCUGUGAAGGGCCUGUAUUUUGAUUGUCUAUAUAGUUGAAUAGCUUUUCAUUUGAUUUAAAGGCAACUGAUUGGGCUCCACGCCACAUAAGUCCAAAGAUUAGGUGUUCAACAAUAUAUGAUCUAGCAGUCUGUGAUGUAAAAUUCUCUAUAUUGAUAACUUGUAGAAACUUGUAACCAUGCAGCUAUUGAUGAUUUUAUCGUUUUUGGCUAAGGUGUCUAUCUUAAUAAUAUUGAGGUUGCUGGUUUAUAGAAGCUGGAGGCAGGCAAAGAAUGCUGGAACUUGGAUAUUUUCCUCAUAGAACUUAAGUGUUAAGAGAGGCGGUUUGGAAGGAGUCUUUGGCCAUAUCUUUUAAGAUUAAAGGCAGCAUAAUAUUGAGGAACGCCAAAGACUAUUGAACUUGUACAUUAUUGCACACCAAAACCUUGCAAUUGGCACUUUAAUUUUUUUUAUUAUGUAGGAAUUUUAAGAGACCACAUCGUUCAAGAGGUUCCAUCUAAAAAAGUUUUGAUCAAUCUGAACGAGAUCUGUAUAUCUUUAGUAUUUUCCAUCUACUAUCAUCUGGAACUUCCGCCUAAGUAUCUAAAAUUUCUUGGUCAAGUGUCAUAUAUACAGUAGUUUUCUAUUAGUUGACUUAUUUUAGCCUUAUGUUAUCCUCUGGCUCUGAUCUUUUUUCGUAUUAAGAUAAUGAUAUCCUAUGACUAUCCACAUGGCAUGGUUCUGGUUCAUGUGAAUCUUGUUUUACUGUUUCUUCAAUGAUAUUGGGAACUUUGGUUAUGGUCUAUUUGGUUUGCAGGUCAGCUAUUUUAAGUAUUCAAAACAUACUAGUAUUUGGGAACAUGAAUUGUUUCUAGACAUGUAGACCUACUACUAAAAGAUUUGUUUGUCAUGCCUCAGGGUUGUAGUGUCUUGUAUAUUUGCUCUUAUUGAUGUUAUUUAUCUGAAUAAUGUUUUGUGGAAUCCUCAGUUGGACCCAGAGUUGGAAUUUGACCGUGAGGUAUAUCCUCUUGGUCUACUUCCCAAUGCUGGAGUUGUAGUUGGUGUAUCCCAGAGAAUGUCUUUUUCAGCAUGCACGAGUUCCCAUGUUUUGAACCAUCUCCUCAAGCUCAAACCAUUUUGCAUUGCCUACUUCGGCAUCUUCUUCAGGUACAACUUGCAUUUUCUUACAUAUGACAUUCUGCAUUUCCACUGACAGCUGGUUCCAAUAUGGGAUAGAGAAAGAGGAUUGUGUGUUUGGUAGCUAGGAUGAUAAUCACAAAACUCUUGUUUAACACAAAUCUUUCUAGAGCAGGAUAUGUGAAGAGGAUUGGUGGAAUGUUAAAAUUGAAGUCAAUUUGCAGUAAUUAUGAAAUUGGUCUUGCAAUAAGUAUGUCACUCAUGAUUAUAUAGAAUAGAAAAAAAUAAAUAUCAUGUAUGGGUGACAAAUAACAGCUGGAGCUGGUUUAAAUUGCUACAGUCUUAGUCAGCAGAAUGUCUUUUGGAAUGCUGGCCAUUUUUGGAAUCUUAAACAAGGACAAAGAAACUCUAGAAUUUUAUCUUUGUCUACACAGAUUGCUGUACUUAUGAAUUGUUUUUUUGAAUUUAGUGAUCCAGACUGUAGCUGGAUGCAUAUAAUUGCAUUCCUUGAGGUUUUCGUGGUGUAUAUAUUUCUUUAUUGAGUUUUGCUUGUAAUUUGUUUGAUUUCUUCCUUUUCAUCAGAGGAACAAGAGUGAAGAAGCUUUACGUUUGGCGCAAUUGUCAGCAGAGAAGCCACAUUUUUCUCAUUGCCUUGAAUGGCUUCUUUUUACAGUAUUUGAUGCGGAAAUAUCCAGGUAAAUUGAGUAGAAACCUCAGUGGUUCAGUCUUUUUCAGUUCUCAAAAUUUUGACUGAGAAAAAUCUUGCCUUUUUGUUCCUUCUAUUCUGUGCCUAUCCCAAAAUGGUCUGUUUACCUUUUUGUUUAACUGGUCUUCUUUGGUAAGGCUACCUUAUGGUUAAUUAAAAAGUUUGAUGGUCUUCCUUUGGUAAGGCUAGCUGAUAGUUUUUUAACUUCGGUAUCUCAAUCUUAGAUAUAAUUCCAAUUGGUCAGACAGCUUCAUGAGAUUAAGUUAGGCAUCUUUUUUAAUGAGGAGCAAGUGAUAAAUUUGAUAUCGAGUCAAUAAUUUCACUUUUUGUAUUUUAAUCAGUUUGGAUUAUUCAGUCUAAAUGAGAAAGAUAAUAUUCUUCUCUAUGCCCUUGGAUGUCAUAUAUAUCUUGGUUGUAUUAUUUCUGGCUAGUCUCUGAAAACUUCUUGUUUUAAUGUUCUGUAGGCAAGCCAGCAAAAACCACACACCUGUUCCUAAUCAUGCUUCUACCUCCUCUCUUUUGGAGAAGACCUGCGAUCUCAUAAAGAACUUUCCAGAAUAUUUUGAUGUGGUUGUUAGUGUUGCUAGAAAAACUGAUGGCCGACAUUGGGCAGAUUUAUUCUCAGCUGCUGGGAGAUCACAGAGUAUGUAUCUGACUUUGUCUUUAUAACAUGCACUUUACAGCAAAGACUGCGUAAAAGGAUGGAGAAAAGAAUUUUUUUUUUUUCACUUUAAAUCAAAACUGGCCAAAUUACAAGGCUCCUGGUUAAUGACAAAGUGGCUUUUUAUCUGUUAGGUUAUUUGAGGAAUGCUUUCAGCGCAGAUGGUAUCGUACUGCAGCUUGCUAUAUUCUUGUGAGUGCCACUUGCAAUUACCCUGAAAAUUCCUGAGAUCCUCUCUGUAACAGUUUUCAGAUAUUAGCAAAUCCAAAGUUUCGGCUUCUGCUUCAUGUGUGCAAACAUUAUGCAAUGAAGAUUUUUUUUUUUUUUAAAUUUGGUGAACCCAACAUCAAAUAAUAUCGAUAGAUGUCUUGUCUAGUAAGUCAGCGACUAUCUAUGGUUGGUAAAAAGGUUCGUCUUCUGCUUGAAUAGGGCCAAUAAAUAGAUUUGACCUUCAUAGGUUUUAAAAAGACUUUCUUAUAUGGUGUUGACCGUGUGAUUGCUUGCACUUAUUCUGUAAAUCAACUAGACACACUGAGUUUUUCCUUAGGAGAUUAACUGUAUAUGCUGCAUGGAAAUGGUAACAAUGUCUAAUUUUAUUGCUGCCUAUUCUAUCAGGUUAUCGCUAAACUUGAAGGUCCUGCUGUCAGCCAGUACUGUGCGUUGCGUCUAUUGCAGGUUACCUUCUGAUGCUUUCAGUUUUGUUUCCCAUGAAGUAAAGGCUCACAUGGGCUAACUCUAUAUGUUCAUAUCUUGUCAAAUAUCAAAUGAAGAAAUUAUUCAAGAAACUACGAAACAUCUGCACUCAUUAGACUCUUCCCUGGUCAUCCAAAAGCAAAUGCGACUUAUACUUGUCAGAUAGAUUCUUUGUUGUGUCCUUCUAACCCAAAGGUUUCUUUGGUAUCUUGGUUAUGUUAGUUUUCUUUCAAGUUUUGUGAGUUUUAAUUACUAUAUAAAAUUCAUCUGAUUUUCUGCAGGCAACACUCGAUGAAUCUUUGUACGAACUUGCUGGGGAGCUGGUAAGAGUUUUAUCGAAUAGACAUCUCUUUGUAUGAACUUGAUGAAUCUUUUAUAUACAUUUUGCGACUAGCUUAACAGACAACUUGUUUUCUUAUCAGGUUAGGUUUCUCCUUAGAUCAGGGAGGGAAUAUGAACCUGCUAGCCGGGUACAGAGAAACUCUCGCCUAGAUUCUUGGGUUACUUCCUUUUCCCAUCUAGUCAACGGCGGCAGCAUUUGGAGUCAAAGAGGUAAAAGGCAGCCUUUAGUAUUUUGUUUAACAGCAAUUGUAUCUGUUUAUGUUUUCCCUGCAUUAACUAACUAUUCUAUUACUUCGUCCUCUCUAAACAUGAUGGAGCAGCUCAUUUAAAGAGCAGAGUGCUCAUGUUGCUUCUGUUAAGAACAUUUUAGAAAGCCAUGCUAGCUACCUAAUGUCUGGGAAAGAGCUUUCAAAGCUUGUUGCAUUCAUCAAAGGCACACAGUUUGACCUAGUGGUGAGAGGAUAUUAAUAUUUCAUUCACAAUGCAACAUGUGCCACUGUUGGUUGUAUUACAAUUCAUGUAACAAAAAAAUAUAUUUCAGGAAUUUCUUCAACGAGAAAGAUACGGGUGUGCUCGCUUAGAAAAUUUUGCUUCAGGGCUUGAAUUAAUUGGGCAGAAGGUACAAAUAGCCAUGGAUAUUCUUGUGCUUUAUUUAAUUAAUUUUUUUUUGUUUGUAUUUUGACUCUUUGUGGCGUAUUUGGUGGUCUAUUCAUCUUUUCUUCAUUACAUAAUUAAGAUAAUCAUAUAGCUCAUUGCCUUGUUCUACUUAAAUCCUCCAAUUUCGUUUGCACACACUUCCAGCUCUCAUAGUGAAAAACCUCCAGCUGGAAAAAAGUUUCUUAUUUUAUUGGUGUGGUCUUCUUCUGUUUGUGUAAGUUUCAUACUAAUUGCUGCUUCACUUUAGUGGCAUUUCAGUAGUGCCCUUUUUUCUGGUGUUCUUUCCCCUGAAAGUGUCGUGCUUAUGUUGCAAAAUUUUAUAUGCCUUGCUGUCUUAAGUAGUGCAUUGAAAGAAAAAGAUUAAAAUUUGGCAAUAUUUUGUUCCUUUCGUAAGAACAUAUUGGCAUCCGUUUUUCUGCUUUUGCUUGAACCAUAUUACUGCUCAGCAUAUUGCACUUUGACAUCUAUUUGCAAGUUUUGUCAAUUAGUCCUAAUUGAAUGCCUCAUUUGAAGUCUUGUUACACAUCAAUAAUAUUUAAGAAUUCUUUGAAGCAAAGAGCAAUAGUUCCUUUCCCGCUGCCCUGGGAAGAAAAGUUCGUUUUUUAUUUGCUUCAGGUUCAUUUUUUCUUUUUCCUUUUUGCUUCUUCUGAUUCAGUCGUCAUUUUUGCCAGCUUCAAAUGGGAACAUUACAGAGCCGGUUGGAUGCAGAAUUCCUUUUGGCACAUAUGUGCUCCGUAAAGUUCAAAGAGUGGAUUGUAGUCUUGGCUACACUUUUGAGGCGAUCCGAGGUUUACUAAACAUAAUCAAUGCAUGUGUUUGAGAAUUUAUCCUGUUCUGCAUGUCUGCUAAUGUGACAAUUAAUUGGUUGCUUUAGUCAGUGCAUUUUCAGUUAACAAGUACGAGACAGUUCAAGAUGUUAAUUUUCUUUAGAUUUAAUUUUCCUUAUUAAAUUUCACAAAGAUUGUAUCAUGCAGUACAUUUCUAACCGUUAUUUUCUGUAAUUUCUCUCUAAUUCAAACAAAACAAUCACUUUAGAGUGAAUAAUUGUUUAUAGAUACUCCAGUGCAAUAGUUGGGUAAAUUGUUACUGUUUUUUUUUUUUUUGGUGAUUCACGUUUGGCACUUAGAAGAUCACUUCAAGUUCUCUUAAAUAGGGAUAAUCUAGUGAUUUUAAUCACUUGAGGAAGAUAAGAAAAGAAAUUAUCUAGUUAGUAUCAAAGGCUGCAGCAGCCAGAUUGUUAAUUGUUUUGAAUUAAUUACCUUUGACAUUUACUCAGGUUCUCUUUGAUUUGUUCCGCCAUGAUCUGCGGUUGUGGAAAGCUUAUAGCAUAACCCUACAGGUAUCUGAGUCAUUCCUUUACAGAUGUAAACGUUUGUUACACUCUUAGUUUCUUUUGGCUAUAUCUCACGUGCCUCAGCAUCGGUUUUUCAUUUUCAUUUCAGUCGCAUCCUGUAUUUUCUGAAUACCAUGAUUUGGUUGAAGCCUUGGAAGAAAGGCUUUCAUCUGGUUCAUAUUCUUCUAGUACAACUUCAGAUGAGAAAUGAGCUCUUUGGAUGCUUCGAAACCUUUUGCAACUGGUCAACCAUGUUGCUUCAAAUGAUGCAAGUGCAUGUGGCACUGCCUUCGAGUAAAACCUUGUUGGCCAGAAAGUGACUGCCACCACCUACAAAUGAAAUGCCUUGUAUCGUGCUAUUGAGCUGUGUAAUGAGCAUCGUCAUGGUGAUGGAAUGAGACUGCGUCUCUCGAAAGUCAUUGUAAGUUUUACUUGUAAAUAAGCGAUACCAGGGUAGUAAAUUAGCUCUUAGCAUUUUCCUUUCUUCAGAGCUUGUAUCAUUCUUCCCUGUGCUGGCUUUUGUGGCUUUCUAUUUUUUGAGGUUUUGAAGGGGGGUGGAAGGGGGGGGGCGGUGCGGGGGUUCUGCGGCAACCAUUUUGGGUAAAGAGAGACAGAGAGUGGUUGUUUUGUAGGGGGAAACUGAUUGCUGAAUAAUUAUGAUAUGAUGAUUUUUCAAUACAUUUUGAUUUCGUGCCAUACCACGCUUUAUGAACUUGUUUAUCACAUGAAAGAAGUUCAUGACUUUCUUUCCGGCAGCCUAUGUUACCCAACCUAAAUGAAUUCUAUGUAUCAAUCUGGAAGUCAAAGAGUACCAAGUAGUAUCAGGAGUUUCUGGUAGUUAAACGAUUGUCCCUGAAUCCUAACCCAAUCUUAUGGUUCUGUGGCACAUUUUUUGUUGAUUUCUGAGCCUAUGUUAACGAGUGAACUAUCUACUCAAAAACUGUGGUACUCGCACAAAUUACGUAGUAUUGAUGCUUUGUCGUGUACUGUCGCGCUUAUCAUUUGGUCUUCGCAAUUUUUGUUUCCCUUUCGAAAGACACAAGGCUUUUUGCAUAAUUUCCUUCUCUUUUGUAGGAAGAAUGUAUAACCUUUUAAUUCAUACGGUUCUGGGUUUUAUCUAUAAAUUUUACUUAGCCAGCUUCUGAAGACGAACUUUGAAUGCCAGUCAUGAAUUCUCCAUUAGAUAUUGUGCUUGACGGUGGAAGAAUUAAACCUGGAGUAAAAUAUUUGAUCUUUUUAUAAGAUGAUAAACAAGGAGACUGCAUCUCUGAAAUCCAGGCCGCUCUGAGUCGGCGGGCAUCCAUACUUCUUCAACAUCGAACUUAGUAACGUCUAUAUGGUACUUAGCUUUCGACCAGAAAAUUGGGGUUGGGGGAAUACAACGAUCAACACUAAUAACGAUGACAUAGAAUUACUAGCUAUACACCCAAACACGUAUUUGAUAGGUCCUGGCUCAUCUUAGAUUACUAUUCAGCUUUUACAUACAUGCAUCUGGUACCAAUCCGAGGAUCAGGUAAUCACCAACUGAAGCUGAUUGAUUCAAAGUGAAGGUUUUCUGCUAAACCGGAUGAGCAAAUGGCGGCUACAUCAUGCCUCAUCUGCUUAGGGCCGCACACGAGAGCUCCAACGCUUGAUCCCUUACUCUGCAGCAAAAUUCCUGCAAGAACGCUUCCGUCAUACAAUGAUAAAUCAAACCCAAAACGAGUGUUCGCCAAUCAUGGGAGUUAAAAGAUUUGCUUACGCUUGAGGUCGGGUCUUGCUCCAUAGUGCACCUUCAUAGAUUUGACGAGAGAUUGAUGGGGAAGACUCUCUAAUUCUCUAUCAGCAGCAUCAUGCAUGGAGCCGGAUGAUCCUCCUGUUGUUGAAUCUUCCAAAUCCUGGAUCUGUUUGGUUUCCUUGACAUUUUGGUUCUUGUUCCACAGAAAAGCAGCAGUGGCCGUGAUCGCGAUUGAGAAGCAUAUGAUGAGUGUAGUUAGCACGGUCCUUCGAGUCAUCAGGUUGACCUUGUUAGUGUUGUGAUCGAUGGGGUAAAUGUAGUAGCGAGUAAUGAUACCCAAAAUGAGAAGGAAAAUGACGAAAAGGAUGAGAUGAUUGCGGCGAGCCAAAGCCAACUAUUUUUGCCCAAGUUGGGAGAUAUGGGAGAAUCUGAUGGCAGUGGCCUGAAGCGAAUGAUCCGGGAAGGUUCCGCUUUCUCCAGCGGUUGCACCUUUUCUCUGGUUACAUAAGCCUCUAUUUGUAGGUCCAAAUUGCAGGAUCCUGCGGAAGCACCAGAAACUGGAAGGAGAAGGUCCAGCAUGGAGAGAUGCGAGGAGUUCCUGAAUGUGCUGAUCAGCAGUAGCUUGGGAGUCUUGCAUUUUCGUGCUGAGCUCAUAAACAUCAAAUCUCUGAUGAUAGAGAUGAAAGGUGUGAUUCCACUUCCUCCGCUGGCCAUCACAAGCAUGUCAUGCCUGCAUUAAAAGGGUUUUACCAGUUCACAAAAACGCUCGCGGUGCAACUCUAUAGUUAUUCUGAUUACUACUAAAACACCGAUUGGACUGGACAGAAAAACCUGAGAAAGUGAGUUGUUGGAGGUCCAUAGGGUCCUUCAAUAGAAGCUUGAAGACGAUCAACAGAAGAGGGCGAUGAAAUCAGGUCGUAAAGCUUCUUAGUCCAACUCCCUUCACAUUUAAUCACCACACUGAGCGUGUCUGGUUCCAAAUGACUGUUGGAAGUAACGGUGAACGGAUGCCACUGCAGCUUAGAAAUGAUGGGGAUAUUCACGAACAUAGUGCUUGUUGGAGUGUAGUUCAAAGCUGUAUCGACAAUUUGAUGAUAGUAUCGGGAGUACACAUUUAAUCAGAGUAUUUGACAAACAUAUAAUGGUAAGAGAAAUGGUGAAAAACUUUAUUUACCUCGGCUUUUGGAGAAGUUGAGCUCGACAGUUUCACAGGGUAGAACACGAGCAGAAACCAGACGGACCUUUUGUCUUGAUUGUAAGAACCUCAGGAAUCGAUCGAUCACGAAGAGGUACAUCCCAGGAAGCAUAAUGCAGAUGAAAAAAAGGCCCUUGUGAAGAAUGUAGAAAAUGAUGAAGAGGAUGUAGAGGUUGUGAGUGUAGUAGAAGACUUCAAACAUGCGUCGUCUGAUGCUUGGGAAAGUUGUGCUCCACAUCACUAAUCCAGACAGCAGGCAUAGCUCUCCUGCUAUGUUGUUUACAUAGGUUUGAUCCCACAUCUCAUCCCAUUUCAGCGCCUGCAAAUUAAGAACAACAAUGUUGCAAAAUUUAUGAAUACCUUGUCAAAACAAAUGGUAAUGUAAUCACCUAUCUGCUUCUUCUUCUUCUUCUUCUUUUUUCCUCAAAAAAUUUUUUGACAAUAUCAUUGGCUUCCUUCAUUGGCCAUUGGAAUUCGACAAAUGAUCUUGAAUUUAACUUUAACCAUGCAACUGGGAAGGGAUGACGGUGGCAUGACAUGUUUCUCACGUAAAAAAAAAAAUGACGUUCAAUUUGUCUUUGUUUUCAAUAUAAGGAUAUUGCUGGAUGCUGCCUGUCGCUGUCCAUGGAGCAAUUGUCGAUGACGGCAGGAAUUUCUGUCUCUAAUAAUAAAAUGUCUCUAAUAUUAAAUUUGAUUUGAUUCAGGCAUAAGUAGCUAGAUUGAUUGACUUAUGAUCACCACUUCAGCAUUAAAAAUGGUCCCGGGUUCCAGAAGCCAAUGAUCGAUCAACAAGAAUAUGACCUCGCACUUCUUCAAAGCACCUCUGUCCUUUUGUGAUGGUGCCAACCACCAGAAAGUGGAAAAAGCCUCUUCCUUUUUUAUUUUUUCUGUUUUUCUUGAGGCCAAUGUGCACCCUUUUCUUCUAUUGCACAAUAGCCACUCAGCGGACUAAGCAAGAUUAUGAUCCUGCAGGUGGGCUCAAUUACGAGUAGAAAUUUUGCAUGCACUGCAGGUGGGUAGCCAUGAAAAACCAUAGAUACUGCUCUCUGAAUGUUGUUGGAAAUCGAAAGAGAAUGACAACUAAAACACUGUUUCAUUUCUUUCCUUCACAAAUUAAUUGACACUCCGUGGGCAGCGUACUACAUGUAAGAGUACUCUUGUAAUUAGAGGUUUCCAUAGAAAUCAAUCUUAAUCGUAACGUGUUUGGAUUGCUAUUUUUAGGAGUUUUUGUAGAAAAAUAAUAUAUUAUAGGAAUUUAAUGUAUGUAAAAUAAAAAAAAUGAUUAGAGCAUACGUUAGAAAAAAAUAACGUAAAAAAUUUUUCUACGAGAAAUCAAUCACAAUCCUACGUAUCAGUUUUGAGGGUUAAUGAAACUUCACAUAAUGGUCUCAACCCAAAGUUAGUUUUAGUAAAGAUAUAGCCAACACGACACGUCUUACUCCAAUUUCGUAUUUUCAUUGCAAAUCCAAAAGAGCAUCAUGAUGUACUGCUUCCCAACAGGAAUCGCAUUCUUGAUCUUGACACAAAGUGUAAAAAUCACCUAACCUUUGCUUUGAUUCACAUUUGUGCUAACAUAUUUCUUAAUCUUUUCAAUUAAGUGACGUUAGGUGCCACCAAAAGUUGAAUAUGAGGUCCAAGGAACAAUGAUCACUAGGGUCUGCACUCACUAUUGAUCCCAAUAAUUGCUGACAAAGUUUAAGGUCUUAAGGGUAGGUAGUAGCUAGGAGUCUUCUGGUCACCUUAUUUUGAUUUAGUCCAUGCUGAGUUUCCACCUUCCGAAUAUUGAGAUCAUACAUUUCAAUGUCAUUUCUUUUGCAUUUAUUUCCACCAAACGUUGCCCUAUGGGUUUUUUUUUCAAUCCCAACUAAGAGCAAUCAAUUAUCAUAUGCUUAUUUGUGAAGUGAAAACCAAUUUUAUCAACCUAACAUGCCAUAAUAAGUGGUCCAAAACGUAAUGUUUAUUCUUCACGACCAAAAUUCAUCAUCUGCAAUGUUAUUAUUCAGCCCUAUGCUGACUGACUACAAGGAAUUACCUUCUUCUUGAAGUUGAUCUGAAUCAAAUCUUCAAUCUCUAUCGCUUUUUUGCCAUAGGGAAAAACAAAUUUAGAAACCAAUGCCAUGAGGGAAACGAACAACAGUUAGGAUCUCAGUUAUGCUUAUUUCCCUUUUGUGUUUACAUGGAAAUUCGACGAUCUCUUUUGAGUACGAUUCAAUAAACUCUUACCAUAUUAUUCGAUAAUUUAAUUUUUAAAAUCAUAUAGGGUUGACAUCCGUUUUUACACAUCUAAUGAUGAAUUAAUUCUUAUCGGUAUAAUAUUCAAAAGGUACCAUAGAACUCCCAUAUUUUCGUUUCUUUCUAUACGUAAACCUAGAACUUUGCCCAUAUAUUGAUUUCAUUCUUCACGUUAAAACAAUUUUCUAAAAUAAGUAAGUUAAAAGAACGGGUGGGGCAAUUACGUUGGGAAGACAAAUUAUUUUCUUAUUUAGCAAAGUAGUCAUCAAGAAGAUUUGACUCUGAACACCCCCCCCCCCUCCCCCAACACAAAAAAAAAAAAAGGAACAAAGAAGUUUCAUUUCCCUUUCGCGAUGCAAGGAAAUGGAUAUUUUAUGCAUUAGAGUCGCAUAUUCUCCGGUUAAAAUAUCUCAUUUAUUCUUUGUCAUAUAAAUCUUUAGUCAAUGGACUAGACUUUAAAAAUAUAUAUAUUUCAAUUCUUCUAAAUUUAGAAAAAAAAAAAAUGAUGUAAAGAAGGGAAAAUAUUACCUCUGAUAACCGAUGAGUGAGAGCCCAAUAAAUGAGAUAAGAAAAGCCAUGAGCGGUAAACAUGGUCAUGGAAAGGUGUCCAAGCCAAAUGUGGUAUUUGAUGCUGGCCUCUGAAGUUAAACCCAAGAAAGCCAAUAUUGAUGAUCCUCUUGUCACCGGAAAGAAGAGAAAUGUCAAGCAUACAUUCCCCGCCAGACCAAUCACCAAAGCAAAUCUUUCCAACUUCGCUUGCCACCUGAAAAUUUUAAUUUAGAGGCCACCAAUCACAUCACUCUAUAAUUAUAUUCUAGCGACGCGGAUCAUUAAAUACAGUAGAUUUUUCUUACAGCUUAUCUCCUCGAGACAUGGCUUCCAUGUUGAUCUUCUCGUACCAGAAAUGCAUGAAAGAAGAGAAGUACCACAGGCAGAGGAGGAUGAACAUGGCAAAAAAGAAAAGCUCUAUCCAGCUAACAAUUCCGAGGCCUUUGAUGAUCAUGGGCCGCCUCAACUUCUUGAAGGGAUCCUUUUUCUUGUCACUGCUCUCCAUUCCCUUUCCCAAAUGAGUAUAUAUGCAUCCCAUAACAGCAAUGAACAAGAUAGGAAAUGUAAAAUCCAGCAGUAUUGGACCUGCAGCAGAAACAAAAAAAAAAUCUUUAAUUUUUGAAUAUAUAUAUAAUAUAUAUGUAUGUAUGAACAAUGAUGAAUCUGCAUUUAACCUUGUAAUCCGAAGUAAGUUGAAUUGGUGCUGGCCAUGAUGUGAGGAACCCAUUUGUUGUAAUACGUAUCAGUUGGCAUGAUGCACCACAUCAUGAUAUAACCAAGAAAUACAAUUAUACAUAGUCCCACUAUUGCUCCGCGGAUGAUGUUGGUUGCUUUCGCUCCUCCUCCAUGAGAAGCUGAUAACAUCUUAUCCUCUUCCAUCGCUUCCCUCAGGGAGUGUGUGAAAUCUGGGGUUUUUGGUGGAAUGUGUGUGUGUGUGUGUGAAUAUCUGCUCUAUAGGAGAAGUUCUUGUGGUGUGGGUUCGCGUCACAAUGAUAUGUAUAUAUAUAUAUGCUGAAUUGUAGUAUGUGUAUAUGUGACCUGCUUAAAUCAGAAGUAGUGUGUGAGUGUGAGUGUGUGUGUGGGGUUGGUGGGGUUCCGGGGUAAUUGGUGAAUGGUGACUUGAUGAUAUGGUCAUAACAACGGUCACCAAUAGACAUACAACCAGAUUUGUUUUACCACAUUUCAGAGGUAAAAGUAAGGAAGUAAGUAACAUAAAACUUUUGUUGUUUCUAGACUACUACUUGAAAGAGAUAUUUUACUGUACCUAGAUUUCAUAGCACGUAAUCGAUUUUUUUUUUUUUUUGUUUUUCCAAAACAAUGUGUAUUAGAGGAAAUAUAUACUUACAUGGUUAAUUUCUUUAAAAAAAAAAAAAAAAAAGAAGAGGAAGAAGAAGAAGAAUUUGUUAACAUGGUAUGGUAAGAAGUUUGAUGAGGGAAAAUGUCAUUGAUUCCAUUCAAUGUAAUGAAAUACUUAUAGUGUGUUUGGAUUGCAUUUUUCAUGAAAAAAUUACUGUAGGCGAUUUGAUGUAUGUGAGGGAAAAAGGUAAUAGGGAAAUGUGAUUACGGAAAACGAUGUAAUUUUCAACGGAAAACAGCAAUCCAAACAAAUCGAGAAGUGGCUGCAUCGUUAAUUAGUUUUGACGCUUGGUGUAACAUUGUGCUUUUCAGAGUUUAGUACAAUUGGAUUAAAGCUCAAGCCAUUUUAGUUGAAUCGAGCUGCGUUUAGCAUUGGAUAAUUCUGUGUUUUUUACUGUAGAUUGAGACCAAUUUCUUGACCAUUUAAUUGACAAGCUGUUUGCAGUUCAAUGAAAUGAAAACUAGAAAUCAACUGUAGCUAUCAAACUAGUUCAAACUCUAGAAAAUUUUGCUUCGAUUAAGGAUAAAUUACAAGUGAAGCUUUAUUUAUUAUGAUCUGCAGAAUAUGCAAUUAGGUGAUGACAUUGACGACUCUGUCUCUCUUUCCAUUUUGCAGCCAUCAGCCAAUGCCAUGUAUGAAGUUGCUGCCAUUUCCCGUUUUGUUGCUUGAAUUUUUCUUAUUCAAAUCAGUCAAAUAUAACGAUUUCCUACUUAAAUCUUGAUUACGACUAAUCUGAACAACAAUUCUCCAGUAAUAAUCAUUACCUAUUACAGCAUGCGUUUGUCCGAAAAAAAGAAACAGAAAAACUUUUGUUAAGAUGGUUUUUUGCCUACCAACCUGGUAGCGUCUUAAUUUUUUUUUUUUUUUAUUUAAUGAAAGCCCUGGUCCUUAUAAGGAGAAUAAGCAAAAAAAGAAAAAUUUGAGAAUCAAAGAAUAGAAUUAGGGAUGUAAAUUAAUCAAGUUAUUUGCCUUGAGCUCGCAAGUAAUUCGAUCAAGGUCCAAUCGAGUUCGAGCUACUUAAUAACAUAAUUGAGUCGAGUUCGAAUAGCAAAAAUCAAAACUCGAAUACUCGUAGGGUUUUAUCGAAUAAUGGAGGUCCCGUUUGGAAAGUGAAUUUGUUCUGUAUUUAUCUAUAACUUAUUGUAGAAGUUGUAGAAAAAAUUUUUGAAGUGUAUAGUUUUAAAAUUUUGAGAAGUUUGUUGAUAUUACUGUAGCUAAACCUAUUAAAAAACUUGCAGCAAAUAAACUUGGUCAAAAACUUGUUUGACAAACAAGGCAAGGCCAUAAUUUUUAAUUAUUUAUUAUAAAAUCAUUAAAUUUACUAUAAAAAAAAAUCAAGUUUGACAAUUUAAGGCUCAAUUAUAGAACUCAACAACGUCAUCAACAACAAAGGGAGAUAAAUGUUGCUAUCAACUGAACUAGGGUUCUCCAAACAAUUUCUCACAAUAUUCAUGAUUGACCCUCGCAUCUUUUCGUUCAAGAUUUCCCACCCCACAUUUUCGUUCUGAAGGCCUCAGGGAAAGCCAGGAAGAAUGAAAAUAAGCCCAUUGUUACCAAAUCCAGAAGGCAAAAGGCCCAAAAAGGUUUUUAAACUAAGCAACCAUUUUACGAACGGGUCCAACUAGCAACCCAACCCAUCUUGAUCAACGCUAUUUUGUUUUCUUUUAACUGUGGAAACACAACCGUAAUAUGAAGGAAAAAACAAGAAAAAACAGUGAUCCACUCAUCUUCUUGGGUGGUUUAUCUAAUUGUCCUUUCUAUCAUUUAUUCUUUUACUCAUUGGUGGUUGCCUAUCCUCUCCAUUGUAUCUAUUUACUUUUACUGAUUAAUUUUACAUUUUAAAAAAUACGAUUCCUAAAAUAUAUCUUAUAUCUUAACAAGUGGCACCCGUUAAACAAACACUCGUUAAAAUUAUAAAUCUCGAAAAUGAUAUUUAGAUAAAGAUAUUUUACAAAUAGAGCAAUUGCCAUAUCCAUUAGAGGGGCCCUUUGGGAGCAAUGCUGAUUUCUUUUUUCCUUGAUUAUUGCCAUCAUGUUACAUGAGGAGGAAUUCUAUUUAUUUUUCAAACAAGCAAGCAAUUUUUUCACAUUCAACAUUCGCAUUUACAUUUUGAAGCACUCAACUCUGCCCAAGUGCUAACAAAAGGAAGCAAGAAAAAAUGGCAGCACAAUAUUUUACAUCGAAAUAAACCGUCACUUUAGCUCCCAAAGUAGCAGAAGAUUGUCAUAUGAUCGAUCACCAGCUGAAACUGAUGGACUCGAAAUGCAAAUUAGCUCCCAAACCAGAAGAGCAUAUGUUUGCAGCCUCAUGUCUCAUCUUCUUCGGUCCACAAACUAGAACUCCAACGCUGGAUUCUUUGCGCUCAAAAAGAAUUUCUGCGUCAGAACCAACCUUAAUAUAUCAAAACAUGCACGUAGAUUAUGUUGAACAAAAUCAAUGGGAACCUACAGUAAGUUUUGCUGAACGAUAAAUGGGCAGAAUAAUUAUUAACCUGCACUCGUCUAAUCACAUUUAUACUUGUAAAAAAAAAAUACAUGUAACACAAGAGUUGUGAGAUUUAAAAGCGAAAAAAGAGGAAAGGAGCGAUUUGAAUUUACGGCCUCUAAUUCCUACGGUUUCAGGCAUGCGAUUUUUGUUCGCCAUAUAUAAGCUGUUAAUCAAACCCGUGUGUCAUGCUUUAGGAAUUUACCUGCACUAGUGUAAUAUAGUCAGUCAUAUUGCAAUUAGCUGACUUACUCUUUAGGUCUGGCCUUUCACCAUAGUGCAGAUUGGUAGAGAGGACCAGUGACUGCUGGGUAAGCUUUCUAAUUCUCUGUCUGCAUUAUAGAACCAUGAGUUGGGUGACGCUACGGGAGUUGCCCCUUCCAGGUUCUGAAUCUGUUUGUUCUCCAUGGCAUUUUGUUUCUUGUUCACACAGAAAAGCCGCGGUAGCUGCGAUGAUUAUAGAAAUGCACAUGAAAAGGAUAUUCAGCACAGCUCUAGAAGACCAAGAAUAGACACCGUUGGUAUUGUGAUCAAUGGGAUAAAUGUAGUAUCUCGUAAGAAUCCCUAUGAAGAUAAGAUAGAUGAUAAAAGAUGCUGAUAUUAUUGCACCAAGCCAGAGCAGCUGUUUUUGCCCAAGAUUGGAGCAACUGGUGAAUCUGAUGGCUUUGGUUUGAACCAGACGGUCCUGAGACUCUUCUUGCCUUCUGGUGCAGGUUGUUUUUCUCUCGUUACGUAAGCCUCAAUUUGUAAAGCGAAGUUGGAAAAUUCUGCCGGGGAACCAACAAUUAGGGAGGAGCAGAUCUAGCAUGGUCAAGUCUGAAGAAUUCUUGAAUGAGGGGAUGAGGAGAAUUGAAGGAGUCUUGCAUUUCAGAAUCUCACUUGCGUACAUAAGCUUCACGAAUGAUGGAGAUGAAAGGAGUGAUCCCGCUGCCUCACUCACUCACCAUCACCAGCAAUUCAUGCUGCAACAACAGAAUAAGAAAUUAUAGGUAAAAAAUCAAGUAGCGACAAGUGUCUUCAUUGGUCCGGAUGCACUUACAUUUUUCUUGGACAUGGAACAGGAGUAAAGGACGCUGUUUGUACCUUAGGAAAUCAGUUGAAGUUGGUCCAUAAGGUCCUUCAAUGGACACAUCAAGAUGAUCCACAGAAGAAGGGAAGAAAGCAUCUCAUGGAGCUUCUUUGUCCAACUCCCGUCACCUUUAAUGAUGACACUCAGCUUUUCAGGCUCCAAAUUACUGCUUGAAGUAAUUGUAAAAGGGUGCCACUGUAACUUCGAGAUGCUCGGUACAUUCAAGAACAAUAUGCUUGUUGGAGUAUAGCUAAGACCUGAUAAUAAGGGGGAAAAAAGUUAAAAAUCAUACUAAUUUCGCUUUCAUCAAUUUUGGAGAAUGCAAAGAAUCAAAAGAAAAAGAAAGAGCGCGUAAUUACGAAUGGUUGCGGAUAAUGUCACGGCACCAAUUUUAGUUCCAUAACAUAUUUUCUAUGAAUGAACAAAUUCCUCUUAAAAAUAAACACAUCAUUUGGAUAGUGAAGGCCAUCGUUGUCAUUCAGAAGAAACCUGAUGUAGAGCUGAAGUUCGUGAUCAUUUGCUAUCACCUAUUAUUUGUUUUUUUCCUUUUUUUGUGAUUAAAAGUUAAACAGAUUCAAUUCUAUUCACCAUCAUGGAUCAGGACAUACCUUUAAAAUCAUACGUCGCUUAGAACGAUUCUUAUAGAUAGUCCAUUAACAUAGUUCUCGCAUUCAACAGCAAAAUUCAAAUAUACAACCGUGAGGAGGUUAUCCGCGCUUGUCAAUUAAGCCAACCUGUGUUGGCAUAUUAUUUGGUAGAUUAAUUUUAUUUUUCUUUUCCCCCUGUACAAUUGGAACAUGCACUUAUGUACCUUUGGUCUUGGAGAAGCUGAGCUCCACGGUUUCACAGGGCAGAAUUCGAGCGGAGACUGAACGAACGUUUUGGCGAGAUUGCAAGAACCUCAGGUAACGAUCAAUCAUGAAGAGAUAGAAGCCAGGAAGCAUGAGGCAGGCAAAAGCGAUGCCAACAUGGAGGACGAAGAAGAGCACGAAGAUGAUGUACAAGUGAUGAGUACAGAAGAAGAGCUCAAACAUCUUUCUCUUAUGCGGGAAAUGUCGUUGCCCACAUGGCUAGUCCGCUACCAAAGCUAUUUCUCCGGCCACAUUGGAAAUGUCUGCUUUAGCCAUUUUGUCAUCUGAAAUUAUUUGAGCAAAAAUAACAAAACAAAGAAGGAAGAAAAAUAAGAUAUUAGUUAUACUAAUUAUAAGCAAAAGAAAAGCAUACGUGAAGAAGGUAACUCUUGACAUAUCUCACACACGAAUACAAAAAUUGGCAAUUUUAACUUUUUGAUCUCAUAAGAUUGACGAACCCCACGAUAACACCCUAUAAGCAGCCCACCACCCUUGAAUAUGAUGCAUCAAAGUCGAUUUGUCAAGCAACUCCCAGAUGGACGCUUACUUAUCUUUUUGCUUUUUCCAGCAAACAACAAUAUAUGCCAUGACGUAAUGCGAAAACUGCGAUUUUGCAUGGAAAACGCACCAAGCCUAAAAUGUAAAGAAAAAAGCAACCAAGAGCACAAACAAGAAAACAAGAACUAAAUGAACAAAUUUAGAGCACAGACCAGUUUCUUCUGGUUUGGUCACUGGGGGGAUGCAUGCUAGCUAUUAGUCUCCCCAGGUCCAGGGCAACCAGAAAAGGGGCAAGCAAACGGUUGCAGAUGCAAUCGUUUCUGCCGGUUAUGUGCAUUUUUUACUGUGCGUAACUUUGAUUGCACAUGUAAUUUUCUUUGCACACGACGUAAUUUUAGAACAAAUUUUUGUGGAUCCCACACACAGCGUGAAAAUCGAGUUACGAGAUAUGAUCUGAACCGCACAAAAUUUUUUAGCCAAAUCAUGACCGUCAACUGCGAGCAGAGACAACCGUUCCUGCCCCAUUUCCAGGGGCGACCCAUCCCUGCAACUUGUUUCUUGUGGGCACAAUCACCCAAGUUGCUCCUUCACUCAUAGUGUCAGUGCUCAGUACAUCGACUGUUGCACUAUUUCGUUUAGUUAUUGAUUUAAACAAUUGGAAACUUCUAUUCUAUUCAAUUAUAUAUAUAGUUGUUCAAUCGCCUGUGUUUCCGGAAAAGAUAUAUAAGAGUAAUCAUUUAUUUUACUCAUUGAAUUAGAUAGAGUAACCGUUCAAUUAACCAAAAAAAAAUCACAAAUAAAAAGAGGACUAUAUGUAUAUCUGCAUAUCAAUUCUUACGAAAGAAACUAAAUUGGACGAGAUAGUCAAACAAUUUUUUCGAAUAUAAACCAUUGCAUCACCUGUUUAAGGCUGUCACCUCAAAUUGUUGGCACUGGCAGUGAAGCGAGUUUGUUAAGGGUGUUUUACGGUUGGAUGCAAAGGGCACUUUGAACAGGACUAGUAGAAUGCUUCAGUCAUUACAUAUGACUUUGUUCAUUAAUUCAGUUGUCUUAAUUGUAUUUAACGUAUGUAUCAAGUGCAAAUAGCUGGUGGAGUACUACUGCUUAAUAAUUACCUCGGAUAUUUGAUGUGUGGCAGCCCAGAAGAUGAUGUAGCAAACGCCAUGAGCGGUGAAAAGGGUCAUUACAGUGUGGCCAAGCCAUAUAUGAUACUUGAUGCUUGCUUCGGAUGUCAGGCCAAAAGUUGCAGCACCGAUGAGCCGCGGGUCACCGGAAAGAAGAGCAAUGUUAGACAUAGAUUCCCUAGCAGGCCUAGCCUUAGAGAUGCACUGCCCAGCUUAGCUUGCCACCUGCCACACAUAUCAAAUAUGAUGAAUAUGAUUAGUGUAUGGAUUUAUAUGAUCCGCCACCUUUGUCCGAACAAUCUCAGCUUUUAUUUCUGCAACUAAUUUAUGCUUUUUGGAAAGAAUAAUAAUAAUAAUAAGAAACUGAGAUGGAUGGAUUUCUUAAUUUCUAAUUAAGUUAAAGGCAUCUUACACUUUCAUCCCACUCUUUGCAGCUGACUUCGGAGUGAUGCUAUCGAAGCCAUUGCGCACGUAAACUGUGUAGAACCAAACGAGAAGGGCAAUGAACAUCACAAGAAAAGCCAACUCAAUUCGAGAAACAAUUCCUAGUCCUUUGAUGAUAACUGGCCUCUUCCAUGCCACUGUACGAUUUUUACCAUCACGUCUGUCGAUCAGAAAACACGAAGAAGAGUUGCAAGUCAAGCUUCUUCUUCUUCUUUUGUUUUUUUUCCCCCACGAAGCCAAAAAAAAAAAAAAGAAAAAAAUCUGCUGCAAAAAUUACUUAAAUCCUUCUUGAUGUAUCUAGAGUUACCUCUUUGAAUCAUGUUCAUUGCUUCGUUUCUUUCCUAAAUGGAGAAAGACACAGCCCAAGGCAGCAACGAAAAGAACAGGAAAUGUGAAGACCAAGAAAUUUGCACCUGUAAAGGCGGUUAUGAAGAAGAUGAAACUGCUUAUAUAUAAUUGAGAAAGAACAUCGAGGUACUAUCGAGGAGUAGAGAGGAUCGGAGAUCAAUAAAUCAGCAAUAAAUAGACCUUGUGAUCCAAAGUAAGUUGUAUUAGACUCAGCUCGAAUCUUUAGAAGCCAGUGCUGUUUGAAAGUAUUGGUUGGCACCAUGAUCCAGAUGAAAAUAUAUCCAGCCGAGACCACAACAAGUAGUGCCAUUAUCAUUCCUUGGACGACACUGUUUCCUCCAGCCUGAGGAGAUCUUGUUGCCACCCUUGUGUCCAUGGCUUCGUUGAUGACUAUCACUACAGGCCAAUAUUCGUAGCAGGGAAUAUCUAUGGAAUUACAAAUCGAUAGAAAUAGCCUUGUACAAUGGAUACAAGAAGUUAAUGGCCUUAUAUAAUGGAUAGACGUCGUGUAGAAUAUUAUUUCCUAGUGUGUGAACCUACAAGAGAAACAGUAGCAUACCACUAAUAUUCCUAAACCAUGAAAAGCAUGAUUCACGUCCCUGCAAGGGUGAUGGAAUGUAUACACGUAAUCUUCAUUCUUCCCCUAAAAACAAGACCUGCGAGAGACAGAGAGUGUGUAAAAUAAUUAAUUAAUUUUGGACACAAAUUUUUUUUGGCAAUAGUUGUGUAUAAGCAUGGCAAACAAGCAAGCAUAGGCUUUUACCAUAUGCUAAGUAGAUACCAAAGAAAAUCAUUCAACUGUAGUAAAAAUUUGACAAUAUAUAUUGUAACAUCAAGGUUAGGCAUUUAACUAUAAUACUAUACAAGCCCGUUUGGAUUGCAUUUUUCAUGAUUUUUCAUGAAAAAAUUACUGUAACGAUUUGAUGUAUGUGAAGAAAAAAGAUUAUAAGGAAAUAUAAUCACGAAAAAAGACACAAUUUUUCGCUAAAAAAUGAUAAUCCAAUCAGGCCUAAUUUCACUUAUACGUUUAUUUUUCAACUGAUUACAUGACAUUAUUCGGGGUCAACGAAAGGGCAAAGAAAGGCACGUGGUUUGCUUUACUACGCUUCAUUGCAUGCUUCAUGCAUUAUUUUCGCGUCAGCGUAGCAGCACACUUGUAUCUAAAUCAAACAGUUUAAAAAAUGGAUACGUACGUGUGCACCUAAUGCAAAAGAGAAUAACUUGAUUGUGUGUGGUUGACGCCAUAAUUAGACUAGUAUGGUACUUGUAUAAUUGGCAUAUACAUAGAGGUAGAGGUCUGAAAAUGCCAAUGCCAAUCUAUAUAUAUAUAUAUAUAUUUUUUUUUCAUAAAACCUAUUAUAUGAGAAUCGACUCUAAGGAGUGGUUCAAUUGAGAGGGGAAUCUGACGGAGAUUGAACUAUCAUCAGAUUAAACGGAUGCACAAUUCACUCGUAUGAAUUUAGAACAAUACUCAUAUAGAGGCACAUUAAUAAGAUGCAAGAUUUGAACUCUUGACCUUCCACUCCACUAUUAAUGUGGUUGCCAUCUCUAUAUUCACUGAACAAGAUCUUUACUACCAUUGAAAUGCAUCAAAAUAUAUAUGUAUAUAUAUAAAUAUAUAUAUAUAUACUCAAAUCAAAUACGUCACGUGUUUGCACUUGAAAAGAGGAAGAUAAGGUGCGAAGUCCUGUCCGUCAAAACUUACCAAAAAAUCAAGAAAAGCUAAUGUGUAACGAUCCAGUCAAUCAAUUAGAACCAUUAAUUCAAUACUGCUUUUCUUCCAAGUUUCACAGAUGAAGGGCAUUCAUCCAGCUUUUCUUCUGACAAAAAGACCAUAGAUUUCUGACAUUGUUUAACAGGCAUAUAUGUAAUGCUGACGCAAAAAAGAAACAAACCACUAAAUGGAAGCUAGUGAUCGUUAGGCAAUGAAAGAUCUAAUCUUGGUGAAAUAAAAUUAGGACCAUCAAAGUGGAGGCACCGCCCCAAACCUCAAUUUCACGGCCUAUGGCUAGCUACAUUCAUCUCUGUUUCCACAGAUUGGGCGGAAGGAUAAAGAUUUGGCUCUUUUAGGGGAAACAACACUUUAAAAAAUUGCCACUGAGCAAAUUGGAGGGCAAUUGCCUAUUUGACCAAUAUAGUGCGAUGGCUAAUCUGGGAUGUGCGUGUUGCAUUGUGUUCGUCCAGGAGUAAAUACGGCCGUCCUCGUGUUGGAUGUGUGCCUGCGCGUGCCCAAAAGCUGAUGUGUGGAGCAGACGUUGGGUUGACACAAUUAGACAUGCAAUUUUUCUGUAGCUCAAUCUUUUUAUCUCUUAAUUGUUUGCCCAAUCCUCUUUUACUCAAAUCCUACAGUUUUCUUGAUGAUUAAUUAAAUGCCCUGAAAUAAUUGCUACAUCUGCCUAUGCCAGCAUUGCAUAAGGACACUGUGAUGAUUGUAUGUUGUCAGUCGUCACUUUGAAAGUGGAAGUGAUGCCUCAGGAUUUCCACAGCAAAAAGGCAUCUACGCUCCAUCCUCCGGGAAUUCAGUGACGUUUCUAAUCAUAGUUGCUAAAUCUUGGGAACCUAGCCAGGUUUCGUGCGGAAAUCAACGGACCCUCGUGGCAGCAGCAGCCGCCAACGAUCAACAUGGUCGCACUAGGACUAGGAUUGCAAACUGAGUUUGGCCUCCUCGCGAUUCGACUGGAUCGAAACUAGAUGCUGGUUCAUCCAAUAGAAAAAAUGAUCAAUUUAGUUUUUAUACUAUUUUUUACUGUUAAUUUAGUCCUUAUAUAAUUUUUUGACCAAUUUAAACCUUAUACUUAUUUAUCGGUUUCAAUUGAGGAGCUCCGCGCGGCACCACUUUGUAAUUGCGAUUCAACGUCUAAUUGAGCACUUAUGCGGAGCAUUUCAGGUACUUCACUGUUGGGGCUGCUUUUCAGAAGUAAAAAUCAAAACCAAAAAGUUGCCGGUGCAAUUUCCCCUCCUCCACUCCCCCUCCACCCAUUGGACUCCGAAGACAGGAAGAUGUCCGGCAUAUUCCGGUACAAAACCAAGCUCCGUUCCCUCGCCCCAAAGAUUACCACACUCUCCCUUUCAUCCUCCAAAUCCCUUUCAGUUGGAAAUUCUGAUGGAACUGAUAUGCCGAGUUAAAUUGCUAGACUUGGAGGUCUAAAUUGUUUGUGGGUUUUCAAGAAGUUUGGUAGAUCUGUUCUGCGGGUGUGGGGAAGUUACUGUGGAUAUGCAUUUGAAGAAUUUGUUUACUAGAUAUCAAGAACAAUUUGGGUGUGGCCCAGGACUUGGUCUUGGAUCAGGAGCAUGUUUGUUGAAGGUGGAUGGCAUUACUCCACCUUUUAUUAAGUCUCUGUACAGAACUGCCGCCGCUUUGUACAGGACUGAUCCAUGGAAGUGGUUGCGCCCAGAGCAUUUGUUUGGUAUAAAGGUGGGGAAGGAUUCAAACUGGUCUAGCAGAAAACAGCCAUUUCCUUGUGUUCAGUUUAUUGGUGGGAAUGGUGGGGAUAUAGGGAUUUACAUGUUCAGGGCUCAUGAUGAUGCAAAAAAAUGACUGCUUGUAGGGAGACUAUUCGAGUUCCAAACACUGAGCUUUUGAGGGUGACUUAUGAGCUGGAGUCAAUCAUGUUCCCUUUAAAUAAGAGAAUGAUAAAGUCAUUAGCUUUGGAGGUCUCGGGUACUGAUCGAUUUCCGGUUAUUGAUGUUGUUCGCUGCACGUCAUCUGUUGAACUUCAGUUCAGAAAUCCUACUCUUGAAGAGCUUAAGUUUGCAUAUGCUGUUUUAAGAGCCAUUCCUUUAGUGCAUCCUCUCCUUAGGCAAGAUUAUGAUGCAGGACCAAAGUGGUCUCGAAUGAUGUACUUUGAACAUUUAUUGAAACAGUUGAUGUCCAUUGGCCCUGGAAAUGGCAAGAGCGAAUGAUCUUGUUGCGGUUACGGUUUCACACCCUCCUAGCCACAGGUUUUGUACCGGAAUAUGCCGGACAUCUUCCCGUCUUCGGAGUCCAAUGGGUGGAGGUGGGAGUGGAGGAGGGGAAAUUGCACCGGUAACUUUUUGGUUUUGAUUUUUACUUCUGAAAAGGAGUCCCAAUAGUGAAGUACCAGAAAUGCCCCCGCAUAAGUGCUCAAUUAGACGUUGAAUCACAAUUAUAAGGUGGCGCCGCCGCGGAGCUCCUCAAUUGGAACCGAUAAAUAAGUAUAGAGUUUAAAUUGGCCAAAAAAAUUAUAUAAGGACUAAAUUGACAGUAAAAAAAGUAUAGGGACUAAAUUGGCCAUUUUCCCUCGUCCAAUAUUAUUGAGUUCUAAUCGAAUUCGAGCUAGUUUGACAAGUUAGUCGAAUCAAAUCAAAUACAUUAGUACUCGGUUCAUCAGCUUGUCAAGUCAAUUCGAAUAUAUACGUUUUUAAUGGUAAAAUUAUAUAUAUGUCUUCUGUAUUUUUGUUAUUUAUUAGGGUGAAAUGUCAAUUUAUCUAUUUGCUUUUCUAAUUAGAAAAAGUAAAGAAUGAUAUUGGUGGUUUUUGAAUGUUUAGUAGGCUAUUGAAUGGUAUAGGCUUAGACUUGGGAAGAAUAUAGUGGUACAAUUAUAGGAAGAGUAUAGUGGCAGCGGUGAAUUAGCAGUGUGAAAUUUGACAGAUGAGGUAUGGAUGUAUCAUGCUAAAUCUUGGAAUGGUACAUUUGGAAAUUGGAAUAACAAAUAAUGACACUCUAUUUUUUAACAUUGACUCUUGCAUUAUAUUUAGAGAGAUAUGUAUUCACUUUUUUUAGAGGUGGCAAUUGGGUCGGAAGUGGAUUGACGGAUCGGAUUGAGACUUGAAUAUAAUAGAUAACUUGCUGGCCCGAAUACAACUUGCCAAUUCAAAAUGGGUCAAGAUACCUGAUCCGAACCCGAAAUUUUGGAUUAACAGGUCAACCCGAAUGAUCUAAAAUAUAAUUUUAAUUUACUAAUUUACCAGUGUAAUUUGUAACAUAAACCAAUUUCUCACAAGACUAAUUACAUUAUCAAAUAAUAAAAAUCUCGAUAAAACAAUGUCCUAACCAGAUCUGAAAUAAAUUAAAACACUGUAAAGUAUUUUAAUCCCAAACCAGAUCUAAAAUAAAUUAAGAUACUAUAAAAAUAGAAAAUAAUGUUAUAUAUCAUUUAUCCAAAUAUAAUAAUUUCAACUUCACACAAGUUAAACAAUUCAUUUAGAAUUAAGUGUUAAUGUCUUUGGAAAAAAAAAAGAAUAACUUAGUUUAGUUAGAUAAUAUAUUUUUAUAUUUAUUAAAUUAUUUUUAAUUCAUAAAUGGAUUAUCAGGUCAACGCCGUGAAUGACCGGAAUUCAACCUUUUUCGGAUUCAUCGAGUUCGACUCAAUUCUGACCCAAACCAUGAAUCUCAACCCAAACGCCAUUAAUUUCGUAUUAGUAGUUUUGAAAUAAGCGUAUCUUGCAAGCACGAUCGAAGGAGAAAGAAAUCAAUAGCUCAUGAUCAAUGGUUUGGCAUCGCGCUCACCUAAUAUCCCUAGUUAAGAAGUCAACAAAUUAAGUACUAGAAUUUUAAGUUCAUUUCAUUGAAAAUAGACUGAUCACUCUUUGAUUAUUUCUUUAUUGCUAAAAUUAUCCCUAAAAUCAUAGUCCAAAUAUGAUGAUCUAAUAUUCUAAUGUGUUCCCGCAUCUAAAAGGCGCGAGCCCAAUAAUUGUUCGGCCAGCGUUCCAAUAGCCAGGUGAGUACAUAUCAUUUUCCCCACAGUUCCGCUUUUUGAGUCCCCAUCCGCAUUUAAGUUUGCAGGCUGGGCCUGGGUCUAACCAUAGAGGCAAACAAGAAGGAAAAUGAAGGACCCACUCAGGGGCCUCCAGGAAAGUUUCAAUUUUGCCAGCCACAUUCUACAAGAUUGUCGAUUCACCCACUGAAACUGAUGGACUCGAAAAUGCAGACCGGCUCUUAAACCUGAAACAACAUCUGUUUACAACCUCAUAUCUGAUUCUUUGUGCUGAAAAUGAGCUUCUGAAUCAGCAUCAACGUUGUUAGGAGUUGGGGAAAUUAGGACAAUCUAUUCAAUUAUCCUCGAAGUAAGAUGAAGACUAAAAUGAAUGAAAAAGAGUUCAACAAAGAUUUUUUUGAAAAAGAUAUCCAAACUAACACAAGAAGGAAAGAAAAUUUGUGGCAGACUACCCUGUCGCGUGGAUCUUGAAACACGGGAGAAAAUUGAAAACGACGAAACAUGUGCUAGUUUAGCAUAUCAGAUGGCAAAUUGGCGCAAUCCCACCAUGCAAGCUGAAUAUUUUUACAUGGCAAGCAAGAAUAACUAGAACCAUGUGUCGAGGGAUUGAUUACAUGCAAAGUAGUCCAUAACUAGAAGCAAAUGACUAGAGCAGAGCUACAUAAAGAUGAAAAAGAACCUCCUGCCAUCUGUCACUCACUAAACAAACAAAAACACUGAGGAGAUCUUGCAGUUCCAAUUCCAGAACAGGAUAUCUGUGAUGUAGGUAUAACUUGCAAGCAUGGCUCUGUCUCUAGUCUUUAGUUACUUCAAAGUAUAUCUAGCAUUGAACUAGUCUGUAGCAAGUCCACAGCAGCAGCCCUUCUUCUUCCAGAACCACAACAUAUGACGCAAAUAAUGCAUGCUACCAAUGUUUAUCUUUUGGUCUAAAAUGUUCCAUUAUGCUAAGGUGUGAUCCUCUUUCAUAAAUCAUGAUGACAUAGAUCUAAAAACUUUUGCAACUACUACUGGUGAUGCUGACGUAAAGACGGAGAAGGAGAUCUACUGUAGUCUAUAUACCAUGCCAAAUCUCGACCAUAUUCGAAGCAAUUGAACCAUAAAGAUUGUCAAACCAUCAGCAGAGAACAAAGCCAAAAGCCUAUCGGACCAAGAUCAAUAAGGAACCAUAAUUCACAUCACACUUCAUUAAGGUUCUACACAGCAAUUAGUGCAAACUGAUUUCCGCUAGAAAACCAAACAUAAAGAAAACACAGCAACCACUCCAAAAGAAGAGGCAUCAAAAAAUGCAUCAUCGAUUGCACCACACUAGAAAAAAAAUAUACUGAUUCACAGGAUUAAUAAAAGCAAUGAAGUUUCCUUUUCCAAAACUGCUUGAACACUCAUAGGUAAAGGUAAUUUCCAACAAAUAAGCUAUUGAGUACAAAGCAUAGACAUCAUUCCCGGAAAGUAUACAAAUAUGUUAAAUAUCUCAACACUGAGUGGAGUACAGUUUGAAUUUUAGACAAAUCUACAGCUCCUCUGUAUAAAUAAAAGUUCUCACAAGAACAAGAGAAACAAAAAGCCAUGAAGACGUUUCAUAUACCAGUCCUUAAGAUCUUCAGGGUUAUAUAAGGUACUUGAUUUAGGACUCACUAGGCCCACAAGGGCAUCAGAGUUUACCAGAUGACUGUUGGCUGCCAUACUUCAGAUUAAUUUCAGAGACAUCCCACAGGUAACCUUAAGCCAUCCCACUGUGUCCCUGCCUCCAGACCUCCUCCUUUGCACUACCACGGAUGCAGUUAGCAACAAAAACACUGCCGCUAGUAAAGGCACUAUGACAACGGCAUUUCCUCUUCUCCAGCUCUUCAUAACUGACUCAACACAGAGCUCGCCAUCAAAACUACCCAGUGAAUUGCUUAUCUUGAAGACCUCAACCCCAUUGAGGAUAGCAUCAACAGCAUUGGUCAAGCUCAUAUUGGACGGGCCAACACUAACGUUCAAUGAUUCGGAAUUCAACCCUUCCACUACAAAAUCAGCAUAGAAAGGCGAAGCAAGCAACAUGUUUGUCAUUGCUGAUAAAUCCAAGUCCUCAUAUGCCAAAUUCCCAUUUACAUAAACAUUAAAGUAAAGCAUAUAAGGCCCAAUGCUUGCUAUAUCGCAGAAAUGCAUCCGAACCAAGUACUUGUAACCCUCAAUCCCUGGAAACACCCAGGCUAUGUUCGACUUGGGAAUGACAUUAUUCGAGCUCUUAAUCACCCGGGCUGAGUUAUAAACAUUGUCCGGCCCAACUUCACGCGUUGCCCCGCCAUCUGAUACUGAAUCCGGCCACUGAAGUGGAUUUCCAAGGAGCCCUCAUGACCGGAUUUUUCCAAAAAUUCACCAUCAGGGACCCAAGUCCUCCACAGAGAAUCGUUGAAAGGUGUCACCUUUGGACCUCCUACAUUCACUCUAUAAACAGUUUCGAACCCUUUGUUCAACAAUCCAUUAAUCCUCUCAUUUUUCUCAGAAUUUACAAACUGGGCUACGUCAGCGACCAAGUCAUGGGGUGCAGAAAUCACUUCAAUUGCGUUGACAAAGGCAAAAUUCGAUCUUUUCUUUGGCACAAACGUAAUAUCAAGCUUAUCGGAAUCAACCCUUAUGAUAUACUCCUUGAUUACUAUACCGUCUUUCGGGGAAUUCUGGAUGCUAAAAUCGCGUAACAACAAGAACCCAUUUGCCAAAACGUGGAAUUGAACAGCGGAGAAGUCGAAAGAAGUGGAAUUAAAGAAAGGAGAGAAAUGAAGGCGUACCAAGUGGUGGGUCCCCCCGCGGUGGUCCUGAAUUGGGAAGCUGUACUUGCAGGGACUGCUGAAGGCUCUGGCAGUGCGGUAGAGAGGAGAAGAAUUGGAAGAAGCGGGUCGGAGUUGGUGAGUGGAAUAGUCCGGUUGAAGGGGUGGUAAAGAAUCGGGAGGCUGAGGUGGAGGAGUCGCCCGUGAAGCGGCGGUGGUCGAGGUCGAUGAUGGAGGGCUCGUGGGAGCCGCAGCUGAUGAGGUAAUGAUCGAUUGGGUGGAAGGAGGAGGAGGAGGAGGAGGAGACGAGGGUGGUGAAGAAUAAUAAGAAGAAGGCGGAGCUAAGAGCUAUGGCGGAGCAGUGAAACUCUUCAUAGUUCAGGUCAAUUUGAUGAUGGAAUUGGAAACUGGGAAAGUGGAAAAGAAAGGCGUCUGGAUCAUUCAACUCUCACGAAGAAAGAUGAAAAUACAAAUUAGAAGGCAAAAGCGUGUUUUGGCAUGUUAACAACAUCUGAUUUCUGAGCUGGAGGCGUUGCAGUGAAGAAUGUGGACCACACGCGCUUGAAGCAUUCGGUCAUCUUACAAGAUGAAAUCUUUCAUCUGAUUUUUUUUUUUUUUUUUAAAACUCGGUUCGAAUUAGCUAUUUUUAUAUUUUAAAAUUUUUGAAUUUUUGAAGCAUUUUUAAAAAGUUUACAUCACUCACAAUCGCUACCACCGUCUCCACCUCCCCCUUCCUCCUCUCUUCUCCCCUCUUCCCCUGCCGUCACCAUCACGUGCUUGAAGCAUUCAAUCAUUUCACUAGAUGAAUCCUUCGUCUAAUCCUUCCAAAAAAAAUUCAUUCAUCUAAGGUACUAUCUGUAAAAAUAAACAAAUAAAAUGUAAUGUAUAAAAACAAUUCUAAAUUUAAAUUUAAUAUAUAUGUUAUGCAUCCAAUGAUUAUAAAAUAUACAUCGUCAUUAUGUACAAGAUUAACUAAAAAAAUAAGAGAGAAGAAAUUGUGUAUGUUUGCGUGUGAUAGUGGCAAUAGAAGGCAACGGAAAUUUCUUCGAUUACUCAUGAGUAGAGGUGGCAAAUCAACUCACUUAACUAAAUUUACUCACACCUGUCCAUAAAUAGAUGGGUAUGAAUAUCUUAAAUUUUUGUAUAUGGGUUACCCAAUAAUACCCAUUUCACCCAUUUAUUGGGUAACCCAUCAAAUUCAAUUAACCCAUUUAGAAUUCUCUUCCCCCCAAUUCUCUUCUUUUCCCCCACCUUUUUUUUUUCAAAAUUUUCAUUUUGUCAUAAUGUUAAUUACUUUUGUUUUAUUAUUAUUAUUAUUAUUUGUUGGUUUUAUCUUAUUAUUUUAUUUUCUCUUAGUUUGUUAACUUGUUCAUUUUUUAGCAUUACCAAUUUAUGAUAAAUUUUAGCCUAUUUUCUUAUCUUUAUAAAAUGAAAUUUUAAAUUUAUAUAUGAAAAAAAUGUUAGGGUUCAAAAUUUUUGGAUUAAGUUUUUAUAUUAAUUUUUAUAGUACUUAGUUCAAAUUUUUAUAUUAUUAUUAUUCAAUUAUUAAAUAAUAGGUAAUUUUGUGACAUAGAGUAUAAAUGAAAAAAAAUUGGUAAUUAAGUUUAUUGAACAUUAUAAGUAAAUAUUUAAAACUAAUGAUGGGUACAAAGAGUGGUAUAAAUUGAUAACUUAGUUUGUAAAAAUGAAUUUAAAUGUGUUUGUAAAAAGUUAAAAUAAAUAGGUUAUAAAUGGGUAAUUGGGUUACCAAUUCAUUUUUUGACUUACCUAUUUAUACCCGUCUAAUUAAAUGGAUAUAAAUGAGUUGAUUCACUUAUACUCAUUACUCAUUUUACCCAACCCAAACCCACUCAAACUACCUAUUUUGACCCCUCUACUCAUGAUUCAUGACAAGGCUUCGAGGUCAAUACAUAACAAACGAGCAGAGCGGCUACUAAUUCUUAAGCCUUACGCGGCUCCACUGUACAUUCCACAAUCCAGACGGACGGACUUUAGUACUAGGGAUAAUUUCAGAAACCUCCCUAAGGUUUCUAAUAAUUUCACUGAAUUCCUCUAAAGUUUAAAAAAUUAUACUUACUUUCCUUAAUUUGAUAAUUUUAGUAAUAAAAUCUUAAAAUAGUAUUUGAUUUGGUCAGCUUUUUAAAUGAAUACCCAAAAAUACUCUUGUAUAAUGAGUUUUAAUUUAUUUUCCUGUAUAAUUAUAUGAUUUUUAGUAUAAUUAUAAGGCAAAGUUGCUAAGUUUUUUAUGUCAAUUUCUACUAUUUGAUAAACAACUAUAAUAAUAAUUUUAUUAUUAUGGUAUGAUACUUUUUAUGAUAUUUUAUUAUCGAUUUAGAUUUAUAAAAUAGAAAAGGAAAAUGCUGAAAUAAUUCAUUUAGAUUUUAUAAAAUUUUCGAAUUGUUGGAUUAUCAUAAUUUAAUAGUGGUUUUGGGACAUUUUUUUUAUUGUUAAUUUUAAUACCCAAAAAUAGAAAACAAAGAUUAGCAAAAACAUUGGAUUACAUAUAAAAUUAAUUGGUCAAAAAAAUCACUAGUUCGACAUUUUGUUAUAAUAAAAAUUAAAGGUAAUAGUUGUAGUUCUAUAGUUUUAUUGCCUAAAAACUAAAAAAAAAAAAGAAUGAGAAGGAAAAAGAAUGGAAAAAUAAUUUUAAAACUUAUUUUAAGUAUAAGCAUGCCAAAUAAGGGAAUUUCAUUAAAAUAUUUAAGGGUAAAAUUGUAGUUUUAAAUGAUGAGAGAUGUAUGUAUAAUUUUUCAAACCUCAGGAGAGCUCAGUGAAAUUGUCAGAAACCUCAGGGGAGAUUUUUAAAAUUAUCCCUUAAUAUUAAUACCCUGUGGACUUCACUAGUAUUAGAAUUAGCAUAGGAUUUUUUUUGGAAUUUUUUAAAUAUUUUUAAAAAGUUUACACCAGUCAUCACCACCUCCUCCCUCAUUUUUCUCCCUCUCUCUUUUCUCCUCCUUCUCCACUGUCACCAUGACGCGCUUGAAGCAUUCAAUCAUUUUCACCGGAUGAAAUAUUUCAUCUAAUCCUUCAAAAAAAACUUUCAUCUAAGGUAUUGUUUGUGAAAAUAAAUAAAUAAAAUAUUAAUGUAUAAAAAUUAAUUUAAAUUUGACAUAUAUAUCAUGCAUUCAAUGAUGAUAAUGUAUACACCAUCACAAUAUACAAAAUUAACUAAAAAAUAAAAGGGAAGAAAUUGUGUAUGUUUUAUGUGUGUUAGUGGUAACAGGAGGCAAAGGAAAUUUCUUCUAUUACUUGACUCUGUUUGGAUUAGAUGUUUUUUGGUGUGUUUUUUAAAAAAUUUACUGUAACUGUGUAUAUAAAAAAAUUUUACUGUUGAUAUUUUUUAGAUUGUUUUUAGAGGUAUUUUUAAAAUAUAUUUUAGGGCAUCUUUAUAAUUUAUAACUUUUUUGGGAUUUUUUUUAAUUUACACCGCCCCCUCCCUCUUUCCUCUCCUUUCUUUCUUCUCCCUUCUUUCUUCUCCCCUCCUUUACCCCAACCCCAAAACCCUCUCCCACUCGCGAGUGGUGGUUGCGAUUCUAACCACCACUCUAGUCGCGACCUUCUUGGUCGCUACCGGAAAGAUAGCGACCAAAAGCCAUGAGUCGCGGCUUUUGACCGUGACCUUCUAGUCACGACUAGAUAGGUUGCAAUCAAUAGAGGGAAGAGGGAAUUAGGGCGAGGAAAAAGAAGAGAGAAAGGAGAAAGACAAAAAGGAGGAGAAAGAAAGGAGGAUGAGAGAAAAACAAAAUAUGGGAGGAAGGGAGGAGGGAGAGAGAAAGAGAGAGAUAAGCAAGAGAAGGGAGGGUCAUACGUGUGGGGGGUGGUGGUGAGGAAUGAUGGGGUGGUAGUGGUGGUGGUGGUGUUCUUUUUUUGUGUAUAUUUAAAGUUAUUUUUUAUAUAUUAGAUGGAUAUGAUGUUUUUUGAAUUGUUAAUAUGAUGUUUUUGGAAUAAUUUUUAUUUGUAUAUAUAUUAUAUAUGAAAAUUUUAUUUUUCAAAAAUUGAGAUAUCUAAACAGAGGCAAGGCUUUGGGGUCAACAGACUCAACACACAAGAAACAAACAAAGAGGCCGACUCCACUGUACAUUCCACAAUCCAACGGACAAAAAGCUUUCUACUAAUACCCUGUUGACUUGACUUUUUUUUUUUUUUUUUUUCAAGACAGAGGUGUUAUCCGGGUCAUCGGGUAGAUCGGGCCCGACUAAUCUCCCCGACCCGAAAGAAGAUGCCCAUCCCCUUGGCACGUUAAUCUUGGGACUCGAUCCCUGAUGGAAAAAAUGGACAACGGUCACUGAAGAACUUUCGUGACCAAAUGAGAUGUCCAGGUGGGGCACCCUGCUAACUUGACUAGUAGUACAAUUAGCAUGGGAAAUAAUCCCUAUACUUCACUCCCCGAAACAUAAUAAUGACUAAACGGACAAAAAAUUCUAAUGGCCAUUAAACUAUUAUCUCAUCGAACAAUUUUUUGUCAUAAAUUAAUCACUAAACUAAUUAAUAAACACAUUCGUGACCAUUGAGUCGAUUAUUGUUCUUAAUCUACAAAAUAAUGAAAAUCAUAUUUUGACAAAAAAUACUCAUGGUAGACAUAUAUAUCCUGGCAUAUUGACACAUGUUCUAAUUAUUUUGUAGAUUAAAAGCAAUAAUCAACAAAAUGGCCACAUGUGUGCUGAUUAGUUAAUUUAAUGGCUAAUUUGUGACAAAAAAAAUUGUUUGAUGAUUAAAAGUCGAUGUGAACAAUAGUGUAACGGGGGUUGAGUUUUUUUAAACCUAACUAAACAAACCAACCAAAUAACAACAAAUCGCAUCAACUAACUAUAUGAAAUGAAUAAAACACUCAAGCUUGGUUUUGCUUUCCUACACAAAUCAUCUCUCAAAUAAUUUUGGACUGCAAAACCAUGGGGUUUGUUUCUUAUCAUUCAAGAUAUCAGGCUACCUUUUUGCUGAAUUAGCAACAAAUGAUGGGAACAAAUUAAUAACGUAUCCCUCAGCAACCUGUAGAAACACACACACACACUCUACCUAAGGAGAACCCACGACCUAACCCAAAAGGCAUGCUGAUUUUCAGGCUACAUCGAAGACCUUAAGUAGAACACACGCACACCACUAAGAAUCGAUGUGGGAUUGAAACUAGGGGAGGGAAAUACCAAGACUCUUGCCAAAGGCUCACCAACGGCUUUUACCACUCCGCAAUUGUUUUUCCCUCGGCAAUCUGCAGAAACACACACACACAUUCUCUACCUAAGAAAAUUUUGCAACGUAUCACUAUUGACAAUUUUGCAUCAGUGCUCAUAAGAGAAGGACAUCGUUGCAUAAAUCUAAGAUCAAAAUGACGUGAAGGAAAAAUUCGCUAUUUACCCGGGACAAUUCCAGAAAUAGUUUUUUUUUUUUGUUUUAAAAAAAGAAGAAGCUCGUAAAGUGAAUAGGUGUACAAACAACACAUAGACCUUAGGGUGUCAUUAAUAUUUUAUGAACUUCGACAGUAGAAUUUAAUUGUAAUUAUGCUAGCAUUUGAUCUUGAUGUCUCCAAGCGGAGGAAGAUUUGGAAAUUGAUCGAGAUAAUUACUCCCAUCAAAAGUGAGAAUCUUUUGUUUUGUUACUAUUGGUUUAAAGGGCACUAGAAUUAGAGAAAGGACAAACUAAAAAUUAGAUUUCGUUGUUUGACAAUUAAAAUCUUGAUAUUUACUUUGUAAAAUGUAAACUAAUUUUUUUUUAUGUAUACAACAAAUUUUUUUUAUGGUAGCUGCUCAUAUGCAACUGCAUAACUCAUAAUCACCUGAUAAAAUGACAAAAGUAUUUUAACCAUGCCUUUGAAAGUAAUUUCCAAAUUAUAAAAUUUACAUAUACAUAUUAACUCCUCUAAAGCUCUUUUCAAAACUCAAUUGCUUAUUUGCAUUCGUUAUAUGAAAAAAUGUAUGGGAACGUUAAAUUGAAUGGUAAGAUAAAAGAGAUUGUAAAUAGAGAGUAUACUGAUUUUUUUUUUUUUUAAAAAAACCCUUUUUCCUUAUUAUUUUCUCCUCCUUUUUUUUUUUUUCCGUUGAGGAUUUAUACAUUCUCAUGGGUGUCUAAUAGUUAGUUUGGAAGGAUGGAAAUGAAAAGAAAAGAAAGGUUUUGAAGGGAUAUCCAUUGUUUGGGAGUUAAAAUGAGAAGGAAAAGAAAAGAAUAAGAAAGAUCCCACCGCCCUUCAUCUUUUGGAAAACUUUCCGCCCAAUGUUGGGCGGAAAGGGAAGGAACGGAUAGAAGUUUAAGUAAAUUUUUCAAUAUGACCAAAUUACCCUUAGAAUCCUGAUACAAAACAUUUUAAUACCUGAUGAAUCCCUCUCACAUUUGUUUAUAAAAAGGGCAUAUUUGUAAAAUAAUUUGUUUAAGUAUCUUUUUCUUUCCUUUGCAUUCAACUCCCAAACAAAAGAAAACUACUCACUUUCUUUUCUCCUUUAAAACUCCCAAACAACUUAGAUAGAAACUUUGAUCCUUUCUUUUCUUUUCUAACUUAUCAUUUCUCUUCUUUUCUUUUCAUUUCCAUCCUCCCAAACUAGCUAUAAAAGAUAUUUUAUUUGGACAGAUAGAAACCGAAGAGAGAGAGGGGCCUCAUCAACAAAGAAUACACUUUUGCAACAAUUACACGACUGUUGUUUCAUACACGUUAUAAACUCCUCUUCAACGAAAUCCAGGCCCAACAAAAACCUCUCGUCCUCCUCCUCUUUCUUCUUCACCCCUAAAGCCUAAAAAACAGGGAAGCUUCAAUCCCUUGCUACGUUCCAGACAAGACUGCCCAGAGCCACUGAGCCAUGGCGUUCCCUUUUAUGGAAGCUGUCGUUUGUACGUUUUCUCUUUCCAUAUGUCUUAUCGACUUUCUCCUCUUCCCUAGCCUGUAUUUUAGCACAUUUUGUUUGUAUUGCUUCCGAAAAUUAGAACAAGAAAUUGAUGGUCGAUGUUUAUUUUGUCAAGAAAUCGCUUUAUUCAUCUCAUGCCCUUUAUAGAGUUAAUAAGUUGACGUUUGCUUUGAAGUUUGGAUUUUAUCUCUGGGUUUCCGCGGUUGUGGGAUUUCUUGAAUCUUUACUGUAGUUGUUGCGUUUCUGCGGGUUGGAAGAUAGGUUUAGGGUUUCACUUUAAUGUCUUUUUCCCCCCCCAUAUUUCCUUUCCUUCAAUAUUUUCUCUUUUAUGUGAUAUAGUAGCCCUAUUUAAUUGCUGUCUUGGAGUGAACUUUAUGGUAUUGUCUUCGGGUCGAUUGAAAGGAACACCUAUAUAUGCAUGUGUGAGAACACGCUUAGAUCACUUGUACAAAGAGAGAAAGAAUCUUGCACAUAACUUUACAAAAGUGGUAGUGCAAACAGUAGAAGUGGCUGAAGACUUCCGCUUUCCGUGGAGUUCUUUAGUAGAAUGCGUUGACUUUAUGGUUUGAUUACUUAGGACUGUUGGCUUUGUUGUUUCAUUGUGCAAUAGUUCAUUAUCCUUUACCUUGUUCAUCUUCUUGUAGAAUGAGUUCCGUAAUCUAUGUCUUUGUCUUUAUGAAGUUCUGCCUGUUUGUGCCAUCACAUGGUGACUGACUGAUUGGACGGUCUUGUUUCACAAAUUUAAUUCCAAUCUUGGAUCUAUGUUUCAAACAAAAAAUGUCUUCUGUGUACUAGUUCGUUUAAAUUGCAUUUUUAUCCCUUCUAAAUAGGUGUGAAAGAAUAGUUCGUCUAAAUUGCAUUUUUAUCCCUUCUCAGUUCUCAUUAUGUCCCUUUCACCCCUAAUUUUGUUUCAAAAUAUUCAGGUUUUAUGAUAUUGAUGUACUUAUUCGAGAGUUAUCUUGAUUUGCGGCAACAUGCUGCCCUUAAGUUGCCUACGCUACCAAAAACUCUGGAGGGUGUAAUCAGCCAAGAAAAAUUUGAGAAGUCUCGAGCAUAUAGCCUUGACAAAAGGUAUCAAUUACUUCCUUUCAUUUCUAAAAUGCUUCUGUCUCAAAUUUUAUAGAGAUUAUACUUGCUUCAAACAGUGUUUUUGUUAUUGAUUUUGUUUACCUUUCUUGCAGCAACUUCCACUUUGUUCACGAGUUUUUUACCAUUCUGAUGGACUCUGCAAUUCUGUUCUUUGGUAUUUUGCCUUGGUUUUGGAAGGUGAGUAGACUUGUAUUCUUUGGAGAUCUUCUUUGCAGCUGAAAUAUUUCUGUUGACAUUACUAUGACUGGCUGCAGAAAUCAGGAGAAUUUUUGGUUCUUGCUGGGCUUGAUGCGGAGAAUGAAAUUUUUCACAACGCUUGCAUUUUUAGCUGGUGUUACGUUUUGGUCACAGGUAAAUGUGAAAUUUUUAUUUCAGUCGCAGUUUUCUUGAACUAGUACUGCUUAAUGUAAGAUUGAAUGUAGAUUAGCCUUUCUACCUGCCAACUAAUUACUAACAAGUCCAACAUAAAUAUUUUUGGGCCUUAUCUUUUUGGGAACUUGACUUUUGGAAAAUUAAAUACUGGUGAAAUCCUGUAUCAAAGAAAGCUGUGCAGACUUGCUCUUGAAAUGUUGAUUCAAAUAGAAUAUUUGAUUAAGCUGCUCAAAUUGGCUCAAUAAUUAUGAACAUUUAUCUACCUUAUUUUUUUUUAAUGUCAAGAAACGUUAAUAUUUGGGGAGAAAAGAUUAAUUAUGACGACUAGAAAUCUAGUGUGAUAGAAAUUCUUUUUCACCCCUCUGCACAUUUAUUAGCUAGAUAUCUGAAAAGGACCAACUUUGGAAGCCCAAAUCUGAGAAACUCAAAGGAAGUUAUAUGGUGGAAAAGAAACUUUAUUUCCUAUCAAUUAGGAAGACUAGAAAGCCUCAAUACGGAUAAGACAGAAACUUCUUUCCUAUCCCUCUGCACAUUUAUCAGCUAGAUGUCUGAAAAGGGCCAAUUUUGGAUGCCCAAAGCAGAAAAACUUAGUACUACAAUUAUCAUGAAGAGUACCUGGCCCUUGUGGAUUAUUUAUGGAAGUUAUUUUUAAUUAUUGUUAGCUUUUUGAUCGUUUUGAAUUCCUAUGCGAACUGCUAAAAUUGUUGUAUAAUGCAGAUUACAGAUUUGCCAUUUUCGUUGUACUCCACAUUUGUCAUUGAGGCAAGCCAUGGUUUUAACAAAGUAUGUACUCAGACCUGUCAUCUUUUAUGAGUUAUUAUAUUUGUGUCUGUCACUUGCAAGUUCUUUAUAGUUUCCUGGGUUCAUUCUUUGAUGGCUGUUGAAUCUCUUUUUUUAAUGUGCCUGGUGUAGCAAACAAUUUUUAGAGACAUGAUAAAAGGAAUUGCUCUAGCUGUGGUGAUUGGUCCACCUAUUGUUGCUGCCAUCAUUGUAAUAGUACAGGUACAAUGGUCCUAGGGUUUACAUUAUUUGGUUGUUGCACUAUAUAAUGCAUGGCUCUCUUUCUAGUGCCUUAAAUAAAUCUCUAAUGAUACUAACUUUUUGUCGCAGAAAGGAGGUCCUUACCUGGCAAUAUACUUGUGGGGAUUCAUGUUUGUUCUUUCCCUCGUGAUGAUGACGCUGUAUCCCAUCUUAAUAGCCCCACUGUUUAACAAAUUUACACCAGUAAGUGAUGCAAUGGAUUGUACCUAAUAUAGAGUUGUAAUGGUGCUGUUAAAAAAAGAAGAAUGGGAACAUUUUUCAUGAGACCUUUAUUUUGCAAAGUCUUAUGAAUUUGGUUGUGUAUUUCUUUGAACAAGCAGCUUCCGGAUGGAGAGCUUAGAGCAAAAAUUGAGAGUCUUGCUUCCCUUAAGUUUCCUUUGAAGAAACUGUUUGUUGUUGAUGGAUCUACAAGGUCAAGCCACAGCAAUGUAAGCAUUUUACUUGUUGAUGCAUAGUUUCUUACAUUUUGCCUAAGUUAUAUCAUUUUGGAGGUUCUGCAGUAUAAAAAACUAUGGAGUUUGAGAUAGUCCUCUAUUGUGCUUAGCUUUUAUUUGUAUUUUCUGUUAAAAUUAUCUUGUCCUCCUUUGAAUUUUGUACGUGUGUGCAUUUUUGUAGGCAUACAUGUAUGGGUUUUUCAACAACAAACGCAUUGUUCUUUACGACACACUGCUUCAACAGGUGCGGAGGUUACGUUUUUGGAACUUGUAGUUAAUGACCUUAUUUACAUCUACUACUUAGCAUUUUUUGUUUAGUUUGGUGACAGUUUGUAUAACAAAAUCUCUGGAUAUUUAAAUUGUUUCAAUGUGCAAAUGCAACCUACUUUUUGCGUCUCGACAAGGACUUACUAAUUUGAGGAAUAAUAACUAAUAAAGUUGUUAUACUGGUUUAACCUGAACUUUGAAAAGCAAGAUUUUCUAAUUUUUCUUUAUUGAGUGAGUGGGUAUGCAAUAAUAGGGUUUGGAGGUAAAUUUUUGUCUAAAAUAUUCAAUCAGAACAAAAGUGAGAUUGAAUCUGUAUCCCCCCCCCGUUUCUUGGAACCUGAUUCUUGUUUCCAUAAUCCUUUUGAUUACAUUUACUUACUGGACUGUGUGAUUUAGUGCAAGAAAGACGAGGAAGUAGUUGCGGUUAUUGCACAUGAACUGGGGCAUUGGAAGCUAAACCAUACAAUGUACUCUUUCAUUGCUGUUCAGGUAUGGGAUACACUGUCAAGCUAACAAUCUUGUUUGUCAUCUGGGUUCAUUGUUUUCUCCUUUGUUACUUGGGCAGUUACAAUUUUUUGAGUGAUUUGCCAUUCUAUGGAAUGCAUGAAGAGAAUUGGAUGUUUGCAUAUCUCUUUGGUUCCUGAAUGUAAUUAGAGCCAAAAUUCCUGAAGUUGCUUGAAUUUUUUUAUCUUUUUCUGUUUUUUAAUGCUGGAAAUUGUUUACUAGAGGCUGCUAUGUAAUUCUUGUAAUAGGUCUAUGCACUGCCUAAUACUAUAUGCUGUUUGGGUAGUGGGAUGAUGAGUAAGAGAUAAAGGUACUCUUUAGCUGAUUUUGCUCAUGGGCAAAGUAGUUGCCUGCAUCUAUUGGUUUUUUAUCUGAUGUUAUCUUUACUUAUAUUAUUUUUCUUGAGGUAAUAGCUAAGGCAUUACUCGUCUGUUUUACAUGUCUGUGUCAUGAGAGGCCAAUUUUUUAACCUUUAGUUGCAAUGUCUCGUCUCUGUUGUAUAUUUGUUACUGUUUGGUUCACAAAGUUUCUUAUAUGUGUCCUAAAUGUUUGAAAAACUGAUGAUAUAGAUUCUGCAUACUGUCUUUCUAUGUAUUGCAGAUCUUAACGUUCUUGCAAUUCGGAGGGUACAUCCUUGUGAGGAACUCCAAGGAUUUGUUUCAAAGUUUUGGGUUUGACACACAACCAGUUCUAAUAGGGCUCAUCAUAUUUCAGGUAAUAAAAUGCCUUGCAAUGGUUUCUUGAUAGGUGAUUUAUGCUCAAGCUGAUUUCUUGGUUAACCAUUUGCAAAAGCUACCUUGAUGGUAGUCUUAAUCUGAAAUGUGUUGAAGGUCAAAAGUCCCAUCUGCUUAGGCAAUGCGAUGAAACGAUAAUAAACAUUCCUAGUCAGUGCAGAUCCAUUAAGGUUAAAAUAGUGACUGAGAACUUCUAGAACAGAAAAACGGUGUCUUAAAAAUUGUUACCCAAACGAAUUCUUCUUUUUUUUUUUAAUGCGUGGAUGAAGAGUACAAGUCUUGGAUUAUCAUAGACCAUCGAUAUGUACACACAUAUGCAGCUUGACUUAUCUUAGUGUUAGAUAAAUACAAUAGCUUUCUAAUAAAUUGUUUCUUCGAACAAGAAAACUGAUAGUUGUUUACUUGAUCUUUUGGUCGUAGCACACUGUGAUACCUCUGCAGCACCUUGUUAGCUUUGGUCUUAAUCUUGUUAGCCGAUCCUUUGAGUUCCAGGUAACUUUCAAUCUGCAAAUUGAAUUUUGGGUCAUUGCUGUAUGACGGCUCUUUGCUGUACUUUCUUUUGAGCAUUGGGAUCAUAUCUUACUCACUUUUUGCUGUGAUUCCAAAGGCUGACGCUUUUGCUAAGAAGCUUGGUUAUUCAUUAGCCCUUCGAGCUGGUCUUGUUAAAUUGCAGGUAACUGCCCUUCAAAUUCUCUUUAAUUACCUUUUCCUUGCAAAACGAUGAUGAGGGGGGUUUUUUUUUUGCAUGUCAUGUGCUGAAGUGCAUUGGUACAAAUAAGUGUGAUAUGAUUAUCACAUGGCAUGACUUUUUAUGUUUUCAUUCAUGCAAAUGUCUAAUGUCUGGUGAGGAUUGGUUUCGUGAAUUCCUGACUUGGUAUGAUGGCUUUGUAGGAGGAGAACUUGUCUGCUAUGAAUACGGAUCCUUGGUACUCGGCUUAUCACUACUCAUCCUCCCCUUGUUGAAAGACUGGCUGCCCUUGACGAGCCAGAUAAGAAGGCAGACUGAAGAAAUAAACAUUUGUAACUUUUUGAGUGUAGAGCUUAUGUUUACUUAGUGCCAAACUGUAGUCAAUCACGGGAAUCUUAUUCUGUAGUUUUGCUUUUUCCUGGUAACAUCUGUUGUUGACAUCUACUUUUGGUUUCAAAAAGUGCCCCAGUGGUCAAGAUGGUGGCUGAGUUUGGGAGGAAUAGCAACAUGAUAUGGAAAUACUAGCAUAGCAGCAGUAGGACGAAAUGACUCUUACAAAUGUCUCUGCUAUCAAAAGAAAAACAACUUUCGAGUCCUCAGCUGGUACAAAAUCACGAGUCGUCACUCCUACCCAUGAAGUUUCUAGGUAUUCAUGAAAGGGGUUUUUUUUGCCAAAUGGUAACAUUGAAAAAGGAAAGCGGAUCAACUAUGAAUGCUUUAAAGUUAUCACUCAGUCCUUAGGUUGCAGUAAUAUCUUUGCACAAGAAAUUUAUCAUUUAGCCAAAAACAUACAUUGCUUUCAGUUCUUAUUUGGUGCCCUAAGGUCACCAAAUACACAAACCCUUCACGAAGAGGAGGGAGAUGAACAAUAUGGCAGCCACAUUUGGAGGGUCCAGUAGGUAGAAGCAGAGAUUAUCCGGCCUAGAAAUCUGACCAAUGAUUUAACAGUUGCUGUAAAAAUGUUCGUCAUGCUUCUUGCUGGAAGAAUAGCGGCGGAUGGACUAGUGUUAUCCUUGUGCUAAAUACUGGGAUUUCUACUUUCCAGGUUCGGCAAUUUGGUAAUCUUAGCAAAUCGAUUGGAUUAACCUAAAAUCCUUCCCCUCCUCAGCUUCCAACUUGAUGCGUCCAUUGUUUACUCUUUUUCAACUUUUUCUCCAUGGAUUAGCAUACUCUGCUCUACCAUCCCAUUUCCCAUUACCCUCUUGGAAAGUUGUGUUUUUUCGUAAGUGGAGUCUUCUUUUUUGCAUGCCUUGGAUUGUGUACUUCUUAAUAUGCGUGUUACCGCCCUGUAAUUGGAAUCAUAAUUCUACACAAGCUUCUCCUCACAGUUGAAAUUUGCACGGGAUGGCCUUUUCUAACAAGAAAUUCAAGGAAUCACAGAAAAAUCGCUCUCAGUUCAAGGGGAGGAAAAAAAACAAGAAAAAGGUUGGUUGAAGAAAAUGAAAGCCAGAGCCAGCAAAUGCCAAUGGAUGAAUGCUUCCUUCCCAGAGAAAGAAACGACCCGUUGCAAAUGACAGCCAACAAACUACUGGUAUUAUUAUUAUCAGCUAAAGAUAAGCAAUACUACUGGUAUUUAAUAAAUUCCAAGCAAUUAUUAUUGUCUCAUUAGUGAACCUUUAAGUAAGCAACGUAUAUAAAGUGACAGCUAACUUACUUACCCUAAAAUAAUAAUAAAAAAUUAAAAGGGUGACAGCUAACUUAGUACAGGGUUACUUAUUUAAUUCCAUUCAAUAGUCAAAGAGCAUUUUAUCUUGAGCAAACUUAAAACAAAUAUUAUGCGACCUACCUAUUAUGAUGGCCCAAGUACGUAUAAUGAUUAGGGAUAGUAUUCGUACUAGUACUAAACUACUAAUCCAUCAUUAGAUGGAGGUGAAACCCUUUAAACAAAUUUUAGAAUGUGUAUCUGCUACUAAAUCAUGAGCCAUGACCAACUGAUACAAGAAUUACGAGGGUACUGUACUUGUCACUUAGUUCGUAUGUAUUGCAGCCCUCAUCAUUAUUAACUUCUAUCUUGUCCUUUAUUUUAUUAACCUAAGAACUACAAAGGAAAAAAAAAAUUCCUUUAGUGGCCCAUCUCUCUUAGCUAUCAAAAUGAAUGCUGAUCUAUUUGGCUUCCAAAAGAAAAAAAAAUGCAGAUCGACUCCCAUUGAGUGAUUUGAGUGAUGGGGAUUACACUAUUCCUCCUAUUUAAUAAACUAUUAACACGAGUAAUUCUUCUUGUUAUUCACGAAGCCCAUUAAUCAAACCUGCACUAGCCUAGUGUAGUCUCGCUUCAUAUCAUCUAUUCGGGAUUUUGUUUCUGUCCCGUCUUUAUUUAACUGUCACAUGUAUUAUGCUGCUGGACUUAUUUUCUAAUAAAAUUCUAAAAGUUAUUGAUCGUUGGAUUUAUCCGUAAUAAAUUCCUAAGAGUUAUUAAUUGAUACACAUGAUAAUUAAACUCGGACGUAUUUUGGGACAAACGGUUUCAAGCAAUGUAGUCUUGUCUAAAUGCCGUAGUGUAGGACGUGCAGGGGAGUAGCAUUAGGGCAUGGAUCUUAUUUAAAGUGACUCCAUUACUAAUUCUUGGGUUAUUAUCACUUUACCCUUUAAAUCAUAUCACUACUAUCCGUGUAUCCUGUAAUAUUAUCUUUUAGUUACUUUACCCCCAUAAGUAAUUUAACUCAACAUGUUAAGAAAUUUUAGACAAAUAUACCCUUUUAUUUUAUAGCAUUACUACAAUUGUUAUUAUCACUUUAUUUGUUUACAUUAUAGUGAUAUAGUCACUUUAGUUCCUAACAUUAUUUUUUAGACAUUUUACCUCAUCGUUAAUUUAACUAGUAUGGUCAAAAAAUUUGAAAUAUAUUUACCCUUUUUUAUAUGUAAUUAAAAAUAAAAAAGUUGGAAUGAUUAUUCUUCCUUUUUUGACUUUAAAAGAUCGAAAAAAUAAAAAUAAAAGAGUUUUCUCAAUUUUCUUUCUUUCACAUUUAUUAAUAGUAGGAGAAGAAAAAGAGAUAAGAAAGAAGAAGACAAAAAAUUAGAUUUUGCAAAAAAAAGAAAAUAAAGAAAAGUCUAACAUUAUCGUAUUAGUUUAAGGUUGUCGAGACUAGGAUUGGAAUUUGGUGGUAAACACAAAAGUGAAAUAAUUUUAAUAUAAUAAAAGUAUUAAUUCUUUUUUAUUUGUAAUUUUUAAAAAAGAAUUGAGCUCUCUCUCUCCCUCUCCCCCUUCCCUUCCCCCCUCUCCAUCUUUCUUUUUUUUUUCAAUAUUAAUAAGAUUGUCAAGAAGAAAGAAAUUAAUACGUUGACUUUUUUUCUUACUACUAAAAAGGAGAAGAGCCACUUUAAAUUUUUUUUAUUAUAAUUAUAUAAAGAGGAGGGUAUUUUCUUCUAAAAUUUUUUAACUUGCUAAGUUGGUUUAAUAGUAGGAUAAAUUGCCUAAAAAAUAACUAUAGGAGGUAAAUUGAUAAUAGGACUAUAUUUUAUGGAGUAAAGUGAUAAAGUGAUAAUAAUUUUAAGGGUUAAGCAUGUCUUUUCAUUUUAAUUAACAAACUCCAUUAAGUUUGACUGUUAGUCUUGGGAGUAAAGUGACUAAAAGAUAAUGUCAAGGGAGAAAUUGAUAGUAGCACCAAAUGUUAAGGGGUAAAGUGAUAAUAACCCUUAAUUCUUACUAUUAAAAGGCUUUUUUUUUUUUUUUUUGGAGAAGCAUACUAUUGAAAUUUGAAGGGCUUGAUUAGUGGAUUACCUGCAUCUACGGCAGUUAAUGCUAUUUAAUUAAUUCAUUCAGUCAUCCAUUCAUUUAAGUGAUACUAAUUACUAAACCAAUACACACUGCUAUUAGUUAAUGCUACUAGUCGUUGAUUGCGACACUAAUUUGGGGGUUUCCACGAACCAGGUGUUAAAUUUUUGAAAAAAUAAAGUUAAUUAAGAACAACAUAUAAAUACAAGAAAAGGUACUAGUUAGUAUUAAUGUGUUUAUUCAAAUAGUAGUAAAUUAGGCGUAAUUUAAGUGUGUUAACAAAAGUUUACUAGGGAAUCGUUAGAAAAAUCUUAUUACUUAACGUGAGUUUUUUUUCUUCUAGUAUCAAAUUUGGAAGAACAUACAUAGGUUAUUCAAAUAAGUCAUGUCGCAAAGAAAUAGCUAAGACAACUUACAACUCCUCUUAUUUUACUUUUUAUCCAUUCUCUUGAAAAAGUCUUUUGGUAUUUUAUUAAGAGUAAAUGUUAUAUACAUUGAUAGUGUAUAUACUAUCAUGAUUGGAUAGACGACGUAUAUAUAAAAUUUGGUUUUCAAGUUCGAAUUCAGAUUAUAUGUCAUGUAUUUAAUAGUAAAAGUGUAUGAACUGUCAAUGUAUAGAAAAUUAAUUCUUUUACUAAAAUGAGUGAGUGAAAAAAAAAAAGUCUAUUCUUGUCAUCAUUAACUAAUCAAUGCAACAAUCUAGAUCUCAUCAUUGAGGAAAAAGAGAAAGAAAUCGUUCUUUAUAUGUGUUCUGAUAAUUCGAUACUAACUACUGCACAGCUUACUUUCAUUGGGAAUCUUAAAAAACAAAAAAAGUUCCAAGACUUCUCCUAGAUUAUUUUCCUAAACAAAGUAAGUUCCUAUACUUAAAUUAGCCAAUCACAAGGUAUCUCCUACUGAAUAAAGGUGCAAGUACUCAUAAUCAGGAUUAGGUUCCAACAGCAACCACUUAAAGAUUCUAAUGUGUAUUCUGAUCAAUGGCCUGUGACAUCUCAUCCCCGUGAUUCCUCCAUUUCGACCAACGAAUUUUCUGUCCCACUUCUUGACAUUCUCUGUUCUAUUUUUUAUUAUAUUAUUAUUUUUUUCAUAAACAUCAUAUUUCAAUUUUUUUUGUUUCCUUAAAAUCUAAUAAUUGUUAACUGAGUAAAAAUAAAUACAAAAGUCUCAAAAAUAUAUAUAUAAUAAAAAAUUUAAAAAUACAACAAAAACUUCAUAAAAAAUCUCUUUUUUUUAUGCAUUUUGAUUUUUGGCAUAAUAGAAGAUUCAUUGCAACUCCUGGAUCUCAUCUAACAGUAACACUUGCUUUCCUUUCUUCUUCUUUUUUUUUUUUUGGGAAAAGAUUGCCUUAUUUUAUUUUUUUCCAUAGACAGAAGAAAAUACACACACACAGUUAGAUUAGAAACACUCGGGAGUCAUCGCCAAGAAGGACCCGAAAGUCAAUGUAAGGGGGACCCACAAACCAAAUAUUGCCUUACUUUAGCCUCAUUGUUUGUUUCUAAAUUCUAAUCCCUACCGUUAAAGUGGGCCGUGAAUCACCCAACUCCAACGGACCUCGUGAUUAAGAGCUUCCUAGCACAAUUAUGCCGUUCUCCACUCCCAAAAGCCCUCAAAAUAGCUCCCGAAGAAACGCAUCCUGGAGUGCCAACAUUUUAUCUUUAUUUUUAUCAUUUUUUAGAUUUAUUGUAAUUAAUGAUUUCAAAUAUAUAUAUAUAUGUAUAUAUUAUAUUUGAUGUAUGUUCUACCAAUAAUACAGAUUUAUAGAAUAAAAAUUAUCUUUUUUAAAUAAAAAAUCCUCAAAAUAGCUCCUCAGUUCUCAGUAUUCUUCUCAUACAUCUUUUUUUUUUUUUAAGCCGAUUUGAAAACUCCAUAAUCAAAGAAUUGUGAUGUCUUUUCUACCCUAAAAAAGUUUUGUUUUGCCAAAAGGUUAAAAUUAAAAAGUUUAUGCGUUUGGCAGAAAGUAAGAAACUUGACAAGUAAACAUGGACACGGCUUUGGUACAGGAGACACUCCCCCCCGACUCCCAUUUUACAAAAGUUCCUCCGGCCCCAUCCCACUAUUAUUAUUAUUUUUAUUUUAUUUAACUUUUUCUAUUUAUAUAUAUCUAAUACAAAUAGUUUUUUUUAUUAAUCAUUAUUUUGAAAUUUCAGCAAAAUAUUACAUCAUUUUAUUAUAACAACGUAACAUGGUACUUCUCUUUAAUGCGUUGCUUAAUUCAUACAAAUAUAUUUAUGUAAUAACAAUAACAUAGCAUUAAUUUCAUAUUAUACAUAUAAAAUCAUACAUAGAUGUUAUAUUAUAUUAAAAUUUAGGCGAGGGGAAGGAUGGGGGUAUGUUCCUCUGUCCUCCAUCCUAUUUGGGGGGGGAAGGGCGGAAAUCCCUUUGCCCCGCCCCAUUCUUCCGCUCAAGGAUUGGAAUUCAUUCCGUUAUCAUUCCUAAAUAUGUUUUAUAUAGCAUUUUAGAGUAGUUAUAAUAUGAUUCGGGGUUUGGAAAACCUACAAUCCUUUGGUUGAAAUUUAUCUUUGGAAAAUCUUCAUUCUUUUGACAACUUAAAUGGAAAUGAACCUCUGAAAAUUUAAUGUCUACAUCCCAUUUGAUAGCCAAUUACUAGCAUUUCAACUUUCUGCUAAACACUUUCAUUUCAUUGUAGGGUAUGGUAGAGUGUAAAUCUUUUUGAACAUUGAAAUGGUAAAGUUUGGUACUUUUUUUUUAAAAAAAAAAAAUGUAUUCCAACAACGGAGAUUUGGGAUUUAAGUUUCAGAAGGGAAAGGAGAAUUUGGACUUAGAUUCUACAAGUCUUGGUAAAAUUUAGAACCUAUGCUUUUUUUUUGUAUACCCAAACCGUAAAGGAUUUUAAAUAUACUUUCCUAUAACUUUGAUAUUUUCUGCUGCAAUAAAUUUUUUUUAUAAAGAGUUUUGGGUGUAUUUUACGUGUAGUGUUUUACGGGAUUCUCAUUUGAUCCAUUGAUUUUUUUUUUUUUUUGCUUGGAGAAAUUUUUUAAUACCUGGCAUGAUUUUCUUCAGCGAAUAUAAAGUUCUAUAGGAAUUUAUGUAGUGUUAAAAGUUGCCUUAAUUUUUUUUUUUUAAAACAAGUGUAAUAUACGAUGGACCGAUUUCAAGGUAUCUUUUAUAAUUUCAAGCAAAAAAAAAAUUUUUUUUCAAAAAGGAAAAGUCGAGCUUGGGCAGUUUGUUGCACUAGUAGCUUAUUAUAUUUUUUAAAAAAAAUAGCUUAUUAUAAUUCAAAGUGGAUUUGGGCAUCAAAUUGAGUUUAAAUUAAUUGGUCUAUCAAUUGAUUUAAGGUUAAUUGUUCAAUCAACAUAGUGCAAAACCCUACUAAGUAGACUACUUAACCAUCAUAUUAUUACCACAAUAAUUAGGCAAAGCCACCUCCUAACGCCAAAUACAGAGAGAGUAGUGUCUCUGUGAAUUACUACAAAACACAGCAAAUCUUUAUUAAGACCAGACAGUGAGAAGCGAGAACACACACACACACACUCUCUCUCUCUCUCUCUCUCUCACACAGACAGUGAGAGAAAGAAAGAAAAGAUUCUCUCCCACACACAACUCUCUUUCCCAUUUCAUCUUCUCCAAGAUUUCUCAUUGUUCAGUGCAAAGCUCGCCUCUUUAAUUUGCCUGACCUCGCCGGAAAACAAGACCCCCCCUGCAUUUUCGGGCAAACAACAUCCACGUUUACUUCAGCAUCCGGGCAGGCAAUAUAUAUCCCAUUGAUUCGAUGACACCUCAUAGCUUCCUUUGAUUAUUUCAAGCUUGAUAAUCCCAUUGUUUCUCCUAGUAUUCGGCCGGAUCCCGCUCCCAAGUUUACAUGCAUAAUUACAUAAUUCAGAUGAAUAUUGAUAGCUUAUCAGUACAAUAAGAGACGACAGUGACAGCUGCAGCGGCUAGUAUAUAGUGAAGAGAUGUCGGUGUACGAUGCGGCGUUUGUGAACAGCGAGCUAUCUAAGCCAACCUCCAUAUUCGGCCUGCGGUUAUGGGUGGUAAUUGGGAUUUUUGUGGAGCCGUGAUUGUCUAAUCCUUUUCUUGUUGUCUCUUUGCAUCACCGCCUAUCGCCGCCGCGCCAGCAGCACCGCUAAACUUCACCAUCCCGGAAAGUUUUCUGGUGCAGCCGAGCUGACCCCAGUUGUUUCCAAGGAAAUCCAAGAGAUCGUUCAUGAUUCCCACCCCGCACCGCCCCAUUGUCCCUCAGGCAUGUCUUCUUUUAUGUCUACUUCUUGCUGUCGUGAUACUAAUAUAUGCUAAUUUACUGCUAUUAGUUCUUAAUUUUGAAGUAUGAAGAAAAAAGAGUACAUUUUUAAUGACAAAAUGUUGACCAAAUUGAGUUGGGAUUGUGGAGUUUCUUUUCGAUCUUUACUUCAUCUACAAAUUUGUUUAAUUUGUUUUGGCAUAAGGAUAUGCAUUAUCGCUGAGAUUUGUUUUAUUUUGUUUUUCUUUAUGAUGAUGUAUAGGCGUUGCCUGAGAUUCAGAUAGACAUGGGGAAGGUUGAGCACAGGGUGGUAUUUUCGGACAGGGGGGCAUCGAGUGGGGAGAGUAAGGCAACAAGUGGGGCGGAGACAGGGUCGUUCGGUGGUGGUGGGGCAUUGCCAGAGGUGUCCCAUUUGGGGUGGGGAAGGUGGUACACUUUGAGAGAGCUCGAGGCAGCUACCGAUAGGUUGUCUGAUGCGAAUGUGAUUGGAGAAGGUGGAUACGGGAUUGUGUAUCAAGGUAUUCUGGCUGAUAAUACCAGAGUUGCCGUGAAGAAUCUGUUGAAUAACAGGUAUGGGAACUUACAACUAAAUUAGCUUUAAUGAACUGUUGGUUUGACUUUGGCAAGAGUAUGAUAGAUAAUCAGAUGGUAUCAUAAUGGUAUUCCAGGCAUUGCAUACAGUGUAUUGUCACUAUAACUGCAUGUCUUCAAUAAUAGCAAUGAAUACGUGUUGCUAUUUAGGAAUUUUUUUACUCCGGAGGAACCGUUUGUUUUUUCUUUUGUCCUUGUUACACCAUUUGGCAAGUUAAAUUUAGUAUUUGUAAUUGUCAGUUUUCGCUUUCUUAUGCUUGUCUUGAACAAGUUUGAUUUGGACUUUAAAGCAAUCUGCUUUCAGGUGAAUAUGCUUCAAUCUCUAUAUACCGUGAAAAGUGCCAAUUUUACAACACCAAGAUGUAGUAUGCUAUUGUAUUUAGGACAUAAGAUCUAAGUACUGUUUGGAAUGGUUCUAUUGUCGUGGGGUGCAUGAAAAUGAUAGCUUUGGCGGUUUCAUGUACUGGAUGUUGGCUUUUGGAACCUUCAUCCUCACUUCAAACAGUAAAAAGAAUGUCCUUUUUUUCUUUUGCUCAAAAUAAGGGAAUUAUAGUUUUGUGUUGUAGUAGCAGUGCAUUAUUCUCCCUUCCUCUCAUGCUUAAACUCAUUGGAGUAAUGACUAUCAGGGGGCAAGCAGAGAGGGAGUUUAAGGUUGAGGUGGAAGCUAUUGGGCGAGUGAGGCACAAGAAUCUUGUCAGGCUGCUGGGAUACUGUGUCGAAGGAGCUUAUCGGUAAUGAUAUGCAUCUCAGUUGAAGAAUGCACUUCGAGUUAUUAUUAUCCCAAAAGAAGCUGAUUGACAUGUUGUGCUUGUUCUUUUUGUGCAGAAUGCUUGUAUAUGAGUACGUGGACAAUGGGAAUUUGGAGCAGUGGCUCCAUGGAGAAGUAGGGGAAGUCAGUCCUUUGACUUGGGAUAUACGGAUGAAUAUAAUAUUGGGAACUGCAAAAGGGUAUAGACUUUAGAUUUGUACUUCAUCAAAUGUCCAUUGUUUUAUUUGAGUGAGUUUCUUGCGUGAAUGUUGUCUGCUUGUUUAAAACUUUAUUUCCUGAUCCUUGCAGUCUGGCAUAUUUGCAUGAUGGUCUUGAGCCAAAGGUUGUUCAUCGUGACAUUAAAUCAAGUAAUAUACUACUUGAUCGUCAGUGGAAUGCCAAGGUGUCAGAUUUUGGACUUGCAAAGCUGUUAAAUUCUGAAAGGACUUAUGUGACAACUCGUGUCAUGGGCACAUUUGGGUUCGUUAAUUUCGUUUCUGAAGUAGUUUACUUGUUUUGUCAUAUGAAGUAGAAGUUUUGCUAAAUAUCAUUGUUUUCUAGUUAUGUGGCACCAGAAUAUGCGUGCACUGGCAUGUUAAAUGAGAAAAGUGACGUUUAUAGCUUUGGAAUACUUAUCAUGGAGAUAAUUACUGGUAGAUCUCCAGUUGAUUAUAGCAGGCCACAGGGACAGGUUAGUACUCAAAUUUAUGCAUAUCUCAUAGAUUCCCUUGUUUUUUUUUUUUUUUUUGCAUUGAACUUCUCAAUCACCUCUAAAAUGGACAAUGGUAAACUACUGACAGGUUAAUUUGGUGGACUGGUUGAAGUCCAUGGUUGGAAAUCGAAAAUCUGAGGAAGUGGUGGAUCCAAAGUUGCCAGAAAUGCCUAGUUCAAAAGCACUUAAACGUGCUCUUCUGGUUGCCCUGAAAUGUGUUGAUCCUGAUGCCCAUAAGAGACCAAAAAUGGUGCACGUAAUCCACAUGCUGGAGGCAGAUGACCUGCUGUUUCGUGAUGUAUGCAUCUUAUUCUCUCUUUUUCUUCAUCCAAGAACCACUACAUCUGAAUACAAGAAUACACUUCUAGUAAUGUUUAGAAGUAGGGGGUCCUCCUUAUUCACUCUCUAGAUUUCUCACUACUUGCAUACUUACCUCCCUCUUUUUGUUCUCCCUUGAUCUUCAGGAACGACGAAUUGGCAGAGAAUCUGCUGCUGUUCAAAUCGUGAGUACAAAGAAAAUAAUCUUGCUGGUUCCAAUCGUGAGUACAAAGAAAAUAAUCUUGCUGGAGCAAAAUUAGUCAACCAACCAUACGGCAACGGUGCAUCUAAUAAUAGUGAAGGUGACAAUGGUACGAGCCAUGACUUGCCAUCUAGGUGGAGAUAAUAUUAUGGAUGGCAGAUGUCAGUAAUAAUGUAGGUUUAUGCAAAUUUUGUUGCUUGCUAAUAAGCUUAUUACUCUCAUUCCAUUAGUUUUGUAGGAUUUGUACUAGCUUUUUUUUUUUGUGAUAUAAAAAUAUGAAAUCACCAUUGGAUUAUGCCUCAUAAGUUAUUGAAUCAGGUUUUAUUGUAUACUAGAUUGGUUGACUGUUUUGUACUACUUAGAAACUAUAAGUCGCAUUGUAUGUUUCCAUGCUUGGACAGAGUAUACCACAAGAAGGCAUACUUGUAACCUUCUCAUUUUUCCACUGCAAGUUCAGUUGUGUACUUGUCUCUGUUUCUCCGUUAUGUUAGCUAGGUUGUCUCAAUCUGUAUGCCGUACUUUAUUCUUUUUUCGCCGCAAUCCAUGUCGAUCUCAUGACAGGUUAAUUAGUAUGAAUUUAAGUGCAAAAGUAUCCAUCAAACAUGAUCAGAGCAAGCGCCGUGAUCAUAGGUAUGCAUCAGUGCCCCACUGAGACAGAGCAACUAUAUGGGAGGGUACGAAAUGUGCAGAAAUAAGACUCCCAAACUCCAAAUAUCGGAUUAUUAUGGGGUGGUGGAGCCUUUGGCCAGCGAAUUUGGUUCAAGCCAAUUCACUGCAACUCCCCCGUGUCUUUCUCAAUUUAUGGAUUGUAUGCCCUGGUUGGUGUAGGAUGAGUCAGGCAAGCAAAGCAUAUUCCAGAGUGGAAAUGGGGUCAUGGGAUUUUUCUUUCUUUUUCUUCUUUCAAUCUCACUUUCAAUGUUUUGGCUGGACAAUUGGACAAUAUGCACUGCCUUUGGAGCAUGACAAGGACACCUACAGUUUAGAUGGUGUACAAGUGAGCUGUCUGUGGCUGUAUGGGGCUACUUUCUUUCCUUCAAUUGGUCCACAUUCUUUACCGGUAACUGAUUCUUUUUUCUUUCUUCAGAACAGUAAGGUAUUAGUCAUUUCGUACCAGGAUGAGGAAAUAAGACACCACCUAAUUAGUGGGCUGUAGUCGGUUCAAUUGGAUGCUGCUACUAUGGUGGCAUUUCUUUUUUGGUUCAAGGGCCAAUUGCAAACCUUACGAGGAGAAACAGGUAAAGGAGAUGAGAUUGAGAGUCGAACCAAAUCUCAAGGUCAUCCUUUUUCUUCUGUUUUUUUGUGUGGUUGCAUUUCAUCUCUCUGUCACGGUUCUGUUACUUGAAACAAUAGGCAGCUCUCUACAUUGAGCAGGGUGAGAAAUUUCCUAAUCCUUUCUCAUGCCGUUCUUAAUUGGUCUAUGGAUAAACAGCACAUUUACCUGCUAAGAAAAUGGAUGAUCUUUUGGGAUUUGAUGGCUUGCGCUUCUAUUUGUUAAUGGAUUUGAACAGCACAAAGUUUCUGCAGUGAAGCUUGUACAUUCAGCAGCAGAUAGAUGUAUUAUAUGUACAGGUGAUUAUUUAAAACCUGCAACCAGUAAAGAGGAGAAAAGUCAAGUGUAUCAUCCAAUAAUUAGAGAAGUGUAGGGUGUGUUUGGAUCCCUUGUUUUUGGGACUAUUUUUGAAAAAUUGUUUUUCACAUUCCAAAUGCUACAGUAAAUGUGUAUUUCUAAAACAACUCCAAAAACACCAUAUCCAAACAUUAUAUCAAAAACAACUACAUAUGUAUAUUUCAAUUUGUAUAUUUCAAUUAUGUAUAUUAUAUAUAUAUUAUAUUAUAUUAAUAUAAAUUGAAAUAUACAAAUUGAAAAUUAUAUAUAUAUAUAUUAUAUAUUAUAUAAAUUAAUAUUAUACAUAAUAUAAUAUAAUAUACAUAAUAUGUAAUAUUGUAUACAUAAAUGUGUAAAUAUUUAUACAUAAUAUAUUAUGUACAUUAUAUUAUAAUAUAUACAUUAUUAAUGUAUAAUAUUAUUCUGUACAUUAUUGUGUAUAAUAAUGUUAUGUAUGUAUAUAUAUAUACAUAAUAUGUAAUAAUGUAAAAUGUAUAUUAUGUAAUAUAUAUAUUAUAUUAUGUAUAUAUAUUAUAUAUAUACAAUAUUAUGUAUAUUAUACAAAUUGAAAAUUAUAUAUUAUAUAUUUAUAUUAUAUAUAUAUAUGAAUAUUUAUAUAAUGAAAUAUACAAUAAAUAUUACAAAUUGAAAUAUUAUAUACACACCAUAUUUAUAAUAUUAUAAUAUUUAUAAUUAAUAUUAAUGUAUAUUAUUUAUAUUAACUAUUUAUAUAUUUAUUUAUACAUAUUAUAAAUAUUUUUAUAUAUUUAUAUGAAUAUUAUAUAUUAUAUAAAUUAUAUAUAAUAUAACAUAUAUAUUAUAUAUUAUAUAUAUUAUACAUUUAUAUAAAUGUACAUUUAUACAUAAUAUAUAUAUUAAUGUAUAUUUAUAAUAUACAUUUAUAUUAUGUAUUAUAUAUAAUAUAAUACAUUUAUAAUAUAUUUAUACAUUUAUAUUAAUAUACAUAAUAUUAAUUUUAUAUUUAUACAUAAUAUUAAUACAUUUGUACAUUUAUAUUAAUUAUAUUAAUACAUUUAUACUUAAUAUUAAUAUAUAUUAAUAAAAUUAUAAUUUAUACAUUCAUAUAAUAUUCAUUUGUAAUUUAUACAUUUAUAAUAAUAUAGACUUAUACGUUUAUAAAUAUAUUUAUAUUAUGUAUUAUAUAUAAUAUAAUGCAUUUAUAAUACAUUUAUAUAUUUUUAUAUAAAUACAAAAAUAUAUUUAUUUAUAAAUAUUUAUAAAUGUAUAUUUAUAUAAAAAUUAUAAAUUAUAAAUUGUAAUUUAUACAUUUAUAUAAUAUUCAUUUAUAAUUUAUACAUUUAUAAUAAUAUACACUUAUAUAUUUAUAAAUAUAUUUAUAUUAUGUAUUAUAUAUAAUAUAAUACAUUUAUAAUACAUUUAUAUAUUUUUUAGCGAAUAUAUAAAUAUAUUUAUUUAUAAACUUUUAUAAAUGUAUUAUAAAUGCAUAAAUGUAUAUAAAAAUAAAAAUUAUAAAUUAUAAAAAUACCCAAAAAUAUGUUUUAAAAAUACCUCUAAAAAUAAUCCAAAAAAAUCUCCAGUAAAAGUUUUUCAUAUAGUUUUGAAAAACAACUCCAAAAACAAACUAAUCCAAACAGACUUGUAUUUCAAAAACAAAAUGCUACAGUGCUGUUUUUGAAAAACAACCCCAAAAACAGCUAAUCCAAACGGAGCCGUAGGUUUUAACAGCGGGAGCAAAAGUAUUAAAUAGCUCUGGGAAUGCAAGUACAAUAAUUGAGCUGCUUGCGCGGAAGUGGGACAAGUUGCGGAUUCACGUGAUGCCUUAAUUGAAAGAAGUAUUUUACAUGGAAUCCAGCAAGAAACAACUCCAACUCAGCCUAAAAGGCAACUGAUAUUGACAUUAGAAUUCUCAAAAUACUACUACCAAAUUUGCUCCUCAAACAAUAGAUUAGAGUAUAAGUAAGGGUAGUGUAAAUGUUGUCAAUUAACUAUGUGAGAAACAAAUGCUUACACAUUCAGAUGCUUGAAAGAAUGGAAAUCAGAUCAAACAGACCAAUAAAGCGUUUACAUCAGGACAUCGCUAUGACACUCUUCUAAGAUCCAGUGACCAAAAUUUGUGGAUAAUCUUGGUUAAUUCUAGAUUACGCCUUUAGUUGCUGUCCCUUCUUCAGACAAACUAUUUCACUAGGCGCGGAUGCUGAAUUUAGAAGAAGCUAUAUAUUAAGUGGCAAGUGGUAGAAGGUAAGGUUCGAACGCUUGAUUUUUCACCCCUACAAGGGCACUUAAGGAUUUUAUAGCAACCAAACGUCUAAUAAACUGUUAUUUUCCGCUUCUUCCUUUCUCCUCGUCCCUUUUGUAGGAACAGGAAAAAAGGAUAGUUUUUUUUCCCCAAGCCCAUUAAUUCAGGGGGCAAAGGUCCAAUAUGUAUGUAGGCCCAAAUGUAGAUGCAGACCCACAUGUACAUAGGCCACAAAGGUGAAACUACAAUUCGACCUCUCUCAAGAGUCGAGUCCAUAAAGAGUAUAGAGAUAUUUCUAGAAUUUUCUUCACCAUUGGAUGGGAAUCUGGAAAUACCAGAUUCCCUUGACCAUGAUGAAAGAAGUGGAAGGCCUAGAUGGACGGUUCCACACUUUCCAUGGUUGGACAGAGUCGAGCACAAUUGUACCAUGAAGCCCCGAUUUUAUGCGAAGACUAGGGGGAAGUGCCCGCGCAUCGCGCGGGUAUUUAGUGCCUGUGAUUAAAGAGAAUUUUUUAGUGGUUGAAGUGAAUAUUAUUUUCAUAUUAAUCAAGAAGUUAUUUUUGAUCAAGAACUUAUCGGUACAUAUCAUCCAUAUUGUUGCAAGGUGAGCAAGUGAAUAAAGAUAAGAGUAGGAUAACAACGCAUAUUAAGUAAUAUUAAUUAAAUUAUUGUAGAUAAUAAUGCAUAUUAACCGAAUUCUUACUUAAUAUGAGCAGAAGGAAAUGCAUGGAUAAUGGAGUAGUUUAGAGGGCACUAAACCUAAUCCUGGAAGUCGAAAAGGGAACAAACGGAAGAAUGUGAAAGAGGAGACAUCGGAACAACCAUAAUCGAUACUUAGACGUUAAAUCAUCAACAUACCUAUGUUUUUGGUUGUUUAAUUGAGAUGUAAAUAGUGGUAUAUUGCUGAUGUGGAAGCUGUUUCAAAGACAGGGGUUUCAGACAUGGGAACUCAUGCAUUGGUAUUAUUAUGAGUUGCUUCACAUAAUUGAAUGAAUAGCUGCAAGUCUCUUUAUUUUAAUUGCACUAUGACACCAUUUCAGUAAAUUACACCAAUACAUAUGCUUAUAUAAGUUGUAUCCAAUGCAUUAACGAUUGCAAAAUAAUCCCUCAGUCCAAAAAUAUCCAGAUGUUCUUAUGCUAUAUAAGAAUGAGUUUUGGUCAAAUUUGUCAAAUGCUACUGUAUGAUAACAUCUAACAAUCAUUUCAUUUGGUGCAAUAUCUAAUAAAUUAAGUAGGUAGAGAUUUUACAAAUUAUUAGAAAUUGAAGUUAUUAACUUGUAUAAAUUAAGAUCCAUUUUUAACUACUUUGGGAGCUUUGUUUUUGUUAAAAUUGUAAUAAAGUAUUUACAAAGAUCCACAAAAGAUAAGAAUAUGUUAGUCCGUAUAAUUUUUCGGCAGUACUCAAUUUGCUAUAGUUUCAGUCAAUUAGUGAUAAAACAACUCCAACUUCAAUUGAAUUUUGGAACUAUUUAUCUGGCAUAAUUUGUGGUGUAAUACUAAUAAAGUAUGUAUCUAAAUUUAGGUUGAAUUCUAAUGCUUUGUGAAGGAAGUCAGGAAUGGAAGUUUUAAUGAAUUCUAUUCAACCAUUAUGGACUAUUCAAUUACCAUAAGUUUAGCAAAAUAUAAGAGAAAAUAAACAUAUUAUCAAACAUAAGUUUAAGACAAGUCAUAGGUUUCAUAGCAGAAGAUCAAACUACCAAAAUCAAUUAUCAUAUGAUCACAUAGAUGAAUCAACUUUAUCACCAUAGCAAAUCAACGGUACAAAGGUCAAACUACCACCAAAUGAAUCAAGUAUUCCCAGAAAUCAAACAAUCAUAUAUAUAACCAAAUACAUAAAUGAACGAGCUCUGUCACUAAACUAAAUCAGUAUCACUAAGUACACUCUAACACCAAAAUCAAUUCCAGAACUAACUACAUGUAUAUUAAAAGAAUUUAAAAGAUUCAGCGGAAAGGAUAAAAUUUUGGUUACCUUAUUUCAAAUAUUCCCUACAAAAAUUUUUGUCACACACAUGAGGCUGACAUUGUUAAUGCAUUAGUAUGACCUAAUUAAAUAUAUUAACAUGUGCAUAGAAAGCAGUUAUACAUAUAUCACAAGUUAUUUGCAAAUUAUGACAAAUUUCAAUGUAAAAAAAAUACAGCUUCAACAUACCUUGGCUUGGAGAUUCUGAUUAGGAGAUGUAAGUAUGUAACACUCUUCACAUGAAUCCUGUUCCUACCACAAAUACAAGCAACGCAAAAAAAUACAAUUCAAAAAACUAAAAGUCAAUUGAUUGUUAUGAUUUGUCUUCAAAUGGAUGAAAGAUGGUUCCAAACAACAAUACCUUUGUUGAGCAAACCCAAAAACUAAGAAAAGGAGAUGAACAGAUGUCCAACACUUGAUACUUUAAAUUUUCCAAUAAUUAGCAUUAAUUUUGUCUUAACCAUCUUGGUCCUAGAAUGGUUGGAAACGGUAAAGACCGUAAGCCAAAAUACAUGAAGUUGAAGCAGAAGAAUUUGAAUAGUAACACCUAUCUAGCCAACUUCUGCCAAUUACCCCUAAUGAUUGUGUCUAAUAAAUCAUUUGCAAUAAAGCUAUGCAAUGAAUGGAAUUUAGCCAGCCGAGAAGUCUAAUCAGUUACAUCAAACCAUGUUCUCCAACUUUUAAUUUGCAACUCACCACCUUUAUGUAAUUACACCAAGAUAAAAGUUAUUAUGAGUUAUACCAACUGUUAAAAAGAGCAGUACAACAAACUCGCAUUCCUAAAAUACCCUUCACUCAUUAAUUCCUUUCACUAAUUACCUACUAAACCACAUUCUCCCCAAUUUAAUUAAAGACUAAGGACGUUUAACUAAUUACAGCCACGCAAAGGCUAUAAUCACUUGUACUCACAGAUAAAAGAUAACCAAAAUAAUCAUACAUUUCCAAAAUAUCCAUAAAAAGACACAACCCCAUUUUUGGAAAUAUAUGACAAAAGAAUUCACCAUAAAUUGUACUCUAGCUACAAUACAAACUUUAAAUGUACAACAUGAGGGCAUCUCUGUAAACAUACCCAAACACAUGCUGCCAUGAGUUGUGCAAAAACUUUAAAAAAAUAACAUAUUAUUUCACAUUUCCAAAAUACUCCUAUCCAUGCGGUUGAAAUUCAAAACCCCCUUUGACCAAAACUCAUUUUUAUAUAGUAUAAGGAAACGUGGACGAAAAAUAUUGGAGAAAUAAAUUCAAACAAAAAGGUGUAAAAUGCAGUUAUGAUACUUAAACUUUUUAAUCCUUCGACUACUCUAAUACUUAAACUUUGAGUGAAUAUAAAUUUAGUACUUAAUGUUAUAAUAUUUAAAUACAUUUGGUAUUUUUGACAGAAAAAAACCAUUUGCUGUCAUGUCCACAGCAACGAAAUUGUAAAAAGGAUCCUUCAAUUAGGUAUUAAUGUGAAAUCUUUUUUGACACUUUCAUUGUCAAGCAUGUGACAACAUAUCAAUUUUUUAGUAGGAAUUAGAAAAUAUAUAUAUAUAUAUAUAUAUAUGUUUAGGGUACCAAUUUUGCUUAAAUAUUGUAAUAUUGGAUAUCAAUUUUAUUUUCAUCUGUUCAAGGGUCAAAAUUUGGAUACCAAAGUUGCAUUUUACUCCAUGAAUUUUGUUUUUUUUCAUUUUUCUAAUAAAAUCUCUCCUAUUUUUUUUUUAGUGAGAGUUUUUUGUUUCUUCAAAACCUUUUUUGCUAGAAUAUUCUAUUCUUUUAGGUAUUCUUAUGGAGAUUUUUUAUUAUUUUAUUAUUAGAUCUAAAUUUAUCUCAUAUUUGUUUGUCAGAUCUUUAAUUUUUUUUGGAUUUUUGAUCUAUUUCGACAUAUUUCAUCAUUGUUAUUGGAAUUUAAAACUGUUGAUUAGAAGAUGUGACAAUUGCAACAUGCAUAGAAGGAAACCAUGGCGAUUUAUCUAUUGGAAGAUGAUUUUGAAAUUUCUUAUGUAUUUCAAAUUUGUUCAUAAUUUUUCAUAUCUAUUGUAUGUGUUAAAUUGUAGAUUUAUGAUUUCUAAUGCAUGUUUAACUUAUCAUUAGGACAGAAAAGUAAAUCAAAUUAUCAAAUUGUACUUGAUGAUUUUCAGCAAUCUAUUAGUACAAUUUACUUUUUAUAAAAAGUAGGAUUUGUACACAAUGUCCAUCAAAUACCAUGCUAAACAAAAUGAGGAAAUUGUUAGUGCAAUUAAACCAAAUUGAUCCUUGAAUGGAUUUUUGUUUAAGCCAUUUCAUGAUAAAUAUUUCAGUGUACGUUUCCACUUGCACAUGUAAGCAUCUUGCCCAUCUGGUCAACCACUAAGUAAUGUUGUUAAAUUCGGACCAGAUAGCGAUUCGACUAAACUAUUAGAUCAUGGGCCAACUGGUCGGAACAGUCAAAUCGUUCUCAAAAAUCCGUUGACGUUAGUAUGAUGUCAUAAUUAUUUUAUAUUUUUAUAAGUUUUUAAAAUAUUAACAUUAAGUUCUUGGUUAUAUUCUACCAAUCAUAUAAAAUGUUCCAAAAAUAUUAAACUUACAAUCAAAUAUAUACCUAAUAAUUAUAUAUAAAAUUGUAAAUUCAUGGAUAAAAUAUGUCCGUUCUCCAAAACUAAAUUAAAAUAAAUUAAUGCAAGUUGAAAUUACUUAUGCUAAAUUAAUAAGAUCAUAAGGAUAAAAACAUAUUGAUUUAGAGAUUAUUCAGAAAAGCGAAUGGCUUUGAUAGUUAUACUAAAUAAGUGGCAUUUUCUUAUUCCUAUUAAUAAAUGAAACUGUUGCAAUAAAAAAAAAUAAGAGAAAAGUUUGAAAAUUGGUUUAACUAGUCGUACCAGUUUACUAGUUUAGCCGGUUUCGACUAACUUUUUUUUAUCAAAACGAUUUUGUGCUACAAACUAAUUCGGAAAGAAGGUUGAUUCACGAUUGAACCGGUCAAAUCGAUCGGUCCAGAUCAGGUCCAACAGCACUACCGCUAAACAAGAGUUGUUUACUAUUUCCAAAAGAACACAAUCAAUUUUCGGAUUUUUGUAAAUCAUAAAUCAAACAUUUUUUUGGUUUAAUCACUUAGCAAUAUCAAAAUUAAGUACAGUGUUAUUCUCGACAUGCACAUUUAAACUAGUUUAAGGGUCUAUUUGAUAACAUAACAAAGUGUUGAAAUUGAACUUUUUUAUACAUUCAGAUGUUUUUUGUGUUUGAUAAAUAAAUAUUGAUCUAUUGAACUUGUGUAUAUUUUUUUUUAGCACAAGAAUCGUAACUGAAUACUUAAUUCUGAUAAAAAUCAACAAAUUUACUUCAACUACUUUAUAUUUUCUACCAAAUCUACCCUUAUUUGUUAAUUACGUUCAAAAUUAUUAUCUAAUUAAAAAUCUAAUUUUUUUUUUCAAAAUCCUUAUCUAAUUCUGUAUCGAGGGAGAGGAAAAGGUAAGUGUAUGCAAAAAUUAACUUACUAUUUGUGAUUUCAACAUAAUUUCCAUAUUCAUUUUUUGUGUUGAGAAGGCGUAGCACAUGACUUUAGAGUUUUGUCAGGAGACCCAACAUGCAACUUUCCUAUUCCUCCAAUAAGUUAAAUUUUUUUACAAAUAGUGUUUUUUUUUGGCAAUAGUUUUCAUCCGCAAACAUUUAUACUUUGAUAUAUAUAUAUAUAUAUAUAUACACACACAUUGUGCAGAUGGAUAUUAUUUAUGUGAUGCAGCUUAUCCAUACACACGACUUUAUGGCACCAUAUCAAAAUAUUAGAUAGUGAUUGUCUAAUUUUCAAAAUGCUUCUCGUCCAAGAUCAAGAGAAGAAUGUUUUAAUCAAGUACAUGCAAAAUUGAGAAAUGCAAUUGAACGUUUUGGAGCAUUAGAAGCUCGUUUUCUCAUUUCAAAAUGAUAAAACCAUACCAUUUUCCAAUGCAAAGAAACAUUGUGAUUGUAUGCAUUGCUCUUCACAAUUACUUGAGAAGAAUUUCUACAAGUGAUUAUUUGUUUCAACAAUAUAAUGAUAAUGAUGCUAUAAUACAAAAUGAUGAGACAAGUGAAGAAGUAGGAGAAAAAUCCAUACAAGCCGAUUAAUUAGUCAUGCCUAGCAUACAUGAAGAAAUUACAAACAAUUAUUUCUAAUUUUUUUAGGUCGAAAUUAGAUGUUAUAUGAAUUAUUGGAUUGUAAUAUUUCUUUUAAUGUUUUCUAUGAUAUAUUUCAUUUUUUUAUAUUAAUUUGAUUUAAAAAUAAAUAUUGUCAUUUUCAUACCUUACAAUUUUAAGCUAAUUAAAUCAUAGGUUCAAUUUUUUUUUGGAUGAAAAGAUAGAAGAGCAAAAUUGUACAAUUUAGCUUAUUAAGCAUUUAGUUAUAAAUGUUUAGCAAACAAUAUAAAUAGGUUUAGCAUUAAAAUUUAGCCUUUAUAUAUUUCUUUUCAGUGCUUAAAAUUCAGCAAAUUAAUUGGCUCCGUGUUCAGAUUUCAAAAUUCAAAUUCAGUUUUAUCAAACGAAACCUAAGACACAUUCAAAGUUUAAAACUCAAACUGAUUCAUGUCAAUUAGAGGUUAAAUUACAGUCUUGAAAAAAGAUUGACGUCAAAUUGAAAUUUAUUAUACAAAAUUAAGGACUAAUUCAAUAGUUGCUUUAGAAUUUUCUAGUAAAAGGUCCGUACAGAAAGAGGCGUAUAAAACGUGUAUUACCAAGAUUUCAGCAAACACGCCACAGCCCAUAACAUGUGAGCUCGGCCCAACGAAUUCAACGGUCCGAUUCUGCCGACAGCAAUCUUGUAAUUUAAAAUUGAUACACCACUCAUACAUCAGCACGUAUGCAUUCCACGCAAAUAUCACAAACCCCGUGGUUUAGACCCCACCAAGUCCUCAUCUACUACCUCAACCCUAAAAAUUGCGAAGACUCUUUGGACAAAUUCUCAUCUGUUACGCGUCCCCUUCUCUACCACUUUCCUCGACGCUUCCGCUCUCUCUAUAUCUCUCGUAUCAUAUCCGGUACGGCCGCCUUUCAUUGUAUCUACAUAUAUAUGUUGUGUGAGAAUUUCAUAUAGGGCUGCUGACUUUAGAUGUGUGUACAGUGAGGGUUUCAUUUGAAAUUUUCGUAUUAGAGAUAAUUUAAGAGCGUUGACUGAUUGAAUCGGUCGUUUAAGUCGCAGAUCUACAUAAUCGGUGGGUAUUUUUCUUGUUUAUCGCUGAAAUUUGGUUAAUUUUGAUUAAGAAAUGGUGAAUAUUGUUGUAUGAAUGAUUUUCUCGUGGAUCAGGGUUAGAUCUGUUUGAUUUGUGUUUAUACUCAGCUUCAUGGCAUGGAUCUUAGCUGAUUUUAGUAGAUACUAAUAUGAAGAGUUGAGUUAUUCUAUUUUAGAUGGUGGUGGUGGUGGUUUUUUUUUUUUGAAAAUUUAAUGCUUUGUUGUUUGGUUGUGCCUUUUUGGUUGAGAAAUGAAAUCCUGGUUAGAUCUAGUCUAGGGUAUGUUAUUAUAUUCUAUCGCCUUUUCGGUUCUUUUGAAUAUAUCUAAUUUAUUGGUUUUUUUUUAAAUCUAUAUUUUCUUAGCCAUUUUCUUACAAGAAUAAAGAUGGCUUUUGCAAGUCUUUUGGAUUUUUUCAAUCUUAUUUCCAUAAGAUUGUUUAUAACUGUUUGGCUCGAAGGAUGAUCUUAAUUUAAUGGCAAGGUGCUCGUUUUAUUUGGUUCUAGAUUUUAUUUUGUUCCUUGGUGUUUGUUGUCUUGAUGUCGUGUGUCUCGUUGAAGUGUGCUUGUUAAAUAAUCUAGGUAUUGCUGGAAAUAGAUCGAGGGAGUUAAAGAUUUUCCAAAUACUCAUUUUGUUCUUUUUAAAUUUCUGUCCGUCAUAAAGAGGUGUAUUUUCAAAAUUUUGUCUCUAAAUUGUUUUUGCAUAAUCAAGGAUAUCUGAGUUUUAUACAUAUUUCAACUGUUUUAAACUUAGGUAAUUUCCCUGUUCGAUUAUGUUCUGAUUUUUUUGGGGGAUAACUAUUGUGCUUUCGUUGAUGUGUUGGCUUGUUAUUGGUUCUUUGGUGGUAAUUUGUACUGAAAUGGGCCUGUUUUGUCCGUGUAACAUGCAUCUUACUUGUCUUAAUGCUUGUGCAGUUAAUAGUCCGUUGAAAUGAGCCGCCCACAGGAUCCACACAGGCCUUCUUUUCCAUUUGGAAAUCCUUUUCGGAUGAUAAUGCCCAAGGGCUCGUAUCUUUCUCCAAAGCUUACUGAACUGUUGAACUCUUUCGAGGAGUCACUAGCUCAGCGGCUUAGAAUGCUUAUGCCUGCAGACAGGGAAGAAAUAUUAAGCCUAUUGUGGAUGAAACGUGCUGUGGAGUCUCUUUCUGCUAUUCAUACAGACAUAAAGACCCUUAUCACUGGACUUGAACUCCCUGUCAGCGAUUGGGAUGAGAAAUGGAUUGAUGUAUAUUUGGAUAAUAGCGUGAAGUUGCUGGAUAUCUGCAUCGCUUUCAGCUCUGAACUUUCAAGGCUCAGCCAAGGCCACCUAUUUCUGCAAUGUGCCUUGCACAACUUGGAUUGUGCUUCCUCAAAGCAAUUUGUGCGUGCUUGUUCAUCGCUGGAUGGUUGGAGGCAGCACAUUGGUUCAAAGAACCCCAGGAUGGAGAACUGUUUUUCCAUUUUGGACAAUCUUAUCAAGACACUUAACCUUCCUAAGAUUAAGAAUUCUUCCAAAGGGAAGGUACUGAUGCGAGCUAUGUAUGGAGUAAAGGUUGUCACUGUCUUUGUUUGCAAUGUGUUUGCUGCUGCCUUCUCGGGUUCUGCAGAGAAGUUGUUAGAUUUACAGGUUGAGGAGAUUCGUUUGUGGGCAGAAGCUUUUGCAGGCCUGCAGGGCUUUGUCAACGGGGAGAUAAGAAGUAUAUACUCCAGUGGGAAGGCCACAGUUUUGAAAGAACUUGAAGCAGUCGAUGCAAAUGUGAAGAAGUUAUACCCCAUUGUACAGGAGGGGGUGGGUGAAGAGGCCGAAGCAUACAAGAAUUCAGUCUCUGAUCUAGGGAAAAGGGCUGAAAAACUUUCACAAGGACUAGAUCUACUUGCAAAGGAAGUGGAUGGUUUUUUCCAAAUUGUUCUUAGCGGGCGUGACGCUUUGCUUUGUAACCUUAGAGUUGGUACUAACGUUACUGACCAAUUACAAGAGAAAAAAAAUGUAGAGGUGAGGUGAACCUGAUGAUGGUCACUUCUCUUGUGUAAGCACCGUUGUAGUGAUGGGGUUGGCUGAAGAUGUUUGCAGUAUUAUUACGUUAUACAAGUGCGUAUAUAAUGUUGAAAGGUGUGCGUUGUGUGCUACUGUGGUUAUGCGUGAAGCAUGUUUGAACUUCUGUGUAAUAGCAGCACUGUAUGUUUGCACAUACGUGUUUUCAGAGCUCGCUCCUCCUGCUGUUUCUACGUCUUUUUUUUUUAUUCCCCAUUUUAUCUUUACUGUUUUUUUUUUUUAAGAGGAAUAGUCUCAAGUUCAAUGGGAAGCACAUUUUCCAUUCAUUAGCUAAGCUUUACUCUUUCGUCUCCUGAUCGCCUGGUCAAGCACAAUUUAUGAAUUCGAUUAAGGAUAAUAUCUUGUACAAUUGGAGAUGUCACGUAACAAUUUGUCAUCAUGUUUUCAAUAGGUGAAGACGCUCUCCUGGGUAAACUCUUCUGGUAGCAAGCAUCUCUUCAUGUCACCGAAUACUCUCUCUGUUUGAAAAAAAAAAAAAAAAAAGGCGAAGACAUUAAGUGUGGUGUUCUAUGUUUAUCCAAACAGGGCGAAAGUCACAAUGCAAAUUGUAAUAUUCAUACAUGUAUGCGCAUGCGUGUAAAUUGUACUGAUAAAUCCAAAAAAUUGAUAAAAUUAUAAAAAUUGUUGAACAAGCAAAAUAUUAACAUAAUUUUAAUUCAUACAGUAGCUGUCUAGAAUCAUGUUAGCAGAAAAUAAUUAUAUUUUGGGAUUAAAGAAAAGAUAAAAAAUGUAUAAAAUAAAGGAAUGGAUAUUUUCUUUUUAUAUAUAUAUAUAUAUAUUUCAAACUAUUUCCAAAGAGAAAAUAAAUGAUAAACAAUAAUAAAGAUAGGAAACAAAAAUAAAGAAAAUAAAAUAGUAAAUUUAAAAUAAAAAAGGAGGAAAAAAAAAAAGAAAAAAGCUCCGUAACAUGAUGCCAACGCCCGUGUCCCAUUCAAACGCAUCAAGGCGUUGAAACACCUUUUAAAACAAAGAUGUCACGAGAAACUGUCCUCAACAAAACAAUCGACAUCAACGGUUGGGUAGGGGUCAUCUUCCUCUUGCUCCCGUCUCUAACUGUGCCUCCCCGGCCCCUAAUUCAGCUGACCUGAUAUCUUUCCAUUGACCACUGUACAGCAUACUCGGAUAUUUGCUUUAGGCAGUUCAUCCAUGUUUGAUGGUUAGACCUCCAAUAAACAAAUUUAUCAAUACUUCACCGUAAAUAUGUGUUGCAGCUACAAAAUAGUUCUUGAAUUUGCAAACAAGGAGUAUGACAAUUUAGAUGGCCCAAGGGACAAUAAAUAUUUGGAUAGAGUAUAUGAAAAAUUAUUUGAAAUAAUUAUUGUAAUAUUUUUUAUAAUACGAUAAAUGUGAGACAAAAAGAUAUUAGUUAGAAAUAUAAAAAAGUAGUUAUAAAAGCGUCUUUAUAAUAUAUUAACUCAAUUAUCUUUCACUAGUAAAUUGGACCAAUAUACCAUGUAGAGGUGUUCAUACACUAAGUAAUCAGUCGAAAUUUAUAAUUUGCCAAUCCUAAUCGCAUGUAUAUUCCAUACCUUAACUCUGUCCAAUUACUAAAAUUUGGUGUUUAUCAUUAUGGAUUAAAUCGCAUAUAGCAUUAAAAAAUGGUAUGUCAUUUUAUAUUUUUCAUUUAAUACAAGAUCCAAAUUACUCUUUUCAGUUACGUAUUCUUUAUCAAACAUGAUCAACAAUAAAUAACAAAAAAAAUUUGCAACGAAACAUUACAAAAGCAAACUAUAACAUCAUAAAUACCUUGUCAAUAUAUUAGGUUAGUUGCUAAGAUUUUAUGGUAUUAAAAUUAGUUCUUUGAAUGUUUUGGUUGCAGACUUUUUUGAUUAUUUGUCGUUGAUUAUUUUGACAUUGAGUUUGUAACUGAAAAGGGUAAUUUAAAUCUUACAUAAAAUGAAAUAUAUAAAAUAAUAUACUUUUUUUAAAUGCUACAUAUGAUUUGUAACUGGAGUGGUAUUAGAUUAUGUUGCCUAGAACCACCAUUAUAAUAUUCCCAUGUGUUUAGAAGUAUUAACAUUUUAGAAACACAGAAUAAAUUCUACUUCAUAGCAAAAUCAUAACUAACAGUUGCUAAUCCAAUGAAAGAAAUCCUUAUACCGCUAUUUGACAUUUUACACAAGUUUUUCUUGAUAACAUACAAAAUGCACAAAUUUCACACUUUUGAUUCCUUUUUCUAUUUCAAUAAUCAAUUUCAUUAUUUAUUUCUCUAUCACCAUGACCUCUUCAUUUCCUUCUAGUUUGACACAAACCUACUUACUCUAUUGAUUUUGCAAUUUAAAUUUGCUAAUAUUCGUAAGAUUGGAGAUACAAAGAAAAGGCAUAGCAAUACAAUAGCUAGGAAAGAGAGGGGAGCGGAAAUAGACAGGAAAUAGAGAAAUAUGAUUUUUUUCUUUGGAUUUUGUAAAUCUAUUGCUUAUACCGUGAAUUGUCUAUCAAGUAGAAGGCAUUAUAGGUACUUUAUUAUGUCAAGGGAGAUAAACGUAAUUAUGUAAACUUGACGAGAGCCGGGUGAAAUUAUCCCUUUGCAAUAAGACUACUUAACAUGAUAUAGACCAUAGAGAAAAUAAUGCAAAAUAUAGAGAAAAAAAUAAUUUUGAUAAAAAAAAAAGUAUUUAAUCACGUGUGAAACUGUCCUACGGCUGUCUUGUGGCGAGAAUCGACCCACGAUCUCGCAGUAUUUCGCGAUCACGGCCAUGUUUAAUUUUCUUUCUUCUUGUGCUUCCUAUUCUAUUCUUGCUGGAGACCGAAGCUGGAAUUCAAAUCAGAGCUCCCCACUCCUCUUGGAAUCGUGCAAAAGUAGAGAGGAGAGAGAUAGACAUCCAAUUCCAAUCCAACAGAAGUAAAAGGAAAAAAAAAAAUACAAAAGAGACGAGGAAAGGAAAAGGGGAUCAAUGGGAAAGGGAAGCUUCCGUUGAAGUCUUAUUAGUCUUUCAUGAUGGCGGGCAGCUUUGACCACAUGUUUUCUUGGUCAGACUGUAAAUCCUUUCCUCCUAGUCUGUGGGUCGGAUUAUCAAAAUACUCACAAACUUGUCAACGAAGUGAUGAAAUUCAACAAUCAGAUAAAACCAAAUACAACGAGAGGAUAUUGAUCAUUAUUUUGACAAUAAGGUACCUAGUACUUAUUUUCUUUGGCGGUAUGGCACUUAAAUUUGAAGUCAACUUUCUUGCAUGGAUAAGUAGUUUAUAAACAUGAUGAGGAUAGUAAUUGUAUUAUGUAGCACUAUAAACAAGGCAAACUAAAAAUCAUUUAGGAAGGAUUAAAGGAUCACUCAGGCAGAGCCAAAGAGGAUUUCUCAUUUCUCGUCUACAGAAAACACAAAAGCUGUUGUUGGAUUGAAAUUAGCAGAAAACAAAAUCGCAGGUCCUUCUGUUCUGGGGAAUAGUAGGGCCAGGUGUGUGGUGGAAUAUCCAUGUCUACAUUUAUGAAGGUUACAACGGCCAAAUCAUCAUAUCGAUGUCAUCACUCUCACAGAAAUUGUAAAGCUGAUAGGCCAUAUGACUACUCCUACUAGUAAAAGAAAAGAAAAAGCAAACCCACAAUUAAAAAGUCCAAUUUACUUCACGGGUUACCACCAGCCAUUCCAGUUCAAAAGUUCACACUUCCCAUUAGUAAUUACUUAACCCACCCCCGCCCGCCCCUUUUCUCUUUCUAGAAAAUACUACGUAGUAGAAAAGAGAAAAGAAAAACAGUAAAAAGAAAUGUCAAAAAGGUUUCUCCUUCUUCCACGGCUACCGACAAGUCUUUCAAGAACUCCAAAACCUGAGCAAAGACUCGACUUUUGAGUUGGGUUUUUGCUGUUUUGAGUUGGGUUUUGUUUUUUUUGUUUUUUCCAUUCUUUAGUUUGAUUUUAUAUAAGCGAAAAGAAAGAAAAACAGAAGGUAGAGGAGAAUUUGAUUGAUUAUGUCUGUAGAGUCGAGCUCAGGUUCAGGAGAUCACCACCAUGGUCAUAAUAUAAGAGGAGUGCCAACUCAUGGUGGGCGUUAUGUGCAGUACAAUAUCUAUGGUAAUCUGUUCGAAGUGUCAAGAAAGUACGUUCCUCCUAUUAGGCCUGUGGGUCGAGGGCUUAUGGCAUCGUUUGGUAAGCGUAAAGCAGCUUUCUUUACGUGUGGGUUUUACCUAUUUGCUUAUGCUUUCGUGAUUGAAUCUGUUGACGCGUGGUGUAAGUGCUGAUUUUGGUAAUUACAUCAUAAGGAUCUCAAAUUGAUCUUCUUUCCACAGAAAAUUCUAAAAUUAACUUUUGUUAGAUUUUGGUAGUUCACAUAUUAAAAUUCAUUUUUGGGAAUUCAAUAGAGGUGUGAUACCUGCUGAUAAAUCAUUCAGAGAUGUGGUUUUAGUAGGAAAAGGAAUUUACAGUAUUUGGGUGAUCAUUUAGAGUUGGGAGCUAGAAUACAUAAUGCAUAUGGCUGAGAUCAUACUUGUUGAUGCCAAAAAGGUGGGAGGGGUAAAUAGGUGAUGUAGAUCUACUUGAAGUCUUGAAAAUCUUCCACCUAAAUUGCAAAAGAAAAUGCAAAAUGCUAAUCAGUCGGAAUUGGGGGCAAAACCAUCUGAUCAUUAAGUUCAUGAUUUAGAAAUCUGGAGAUUAUAUCUUGUGUGCAAGUCUGUAGCCUCAAUAGUUAAACCUGUUAAUCAUAUCUGCUAGUGCAGUAUUCAUGGAUGAAAUCAGCGAGACUGGUAGGGUGCACUAUUAUGGUUGUGUAGUCGAUUAAUGUGUGAAAUGGCAAAAUGCCCUCAUUACCAUGCUAGACUUGCUAUUGUAAAUGAUUUUAACUUAAAUUCAACUAUUACGACAAAUAUUAUCAACUUUUUUGAUGUUGGUGAUUUAGCAAAUCAUGUCAAUGCAAUCUCUAAAGUUGCUCGGCUACCAGGCUUAAGUUCUACCUUUUACUGCUGCUGCAAAAUACUCUCAGGGUCUUUUCUUGAAUGCCUUCCCCAUUUCUAUUCCACAUUUUAUGGGACUUCCAAAUUUCUGAUGUGCAGAACUCUAUGCUGCAUUUGCAUGGAUAGGAAUAUAGUUUACCAUUUCUUUUGUCCUGUUAAUUGUAGAAAAUUUCACCUUAAUUAUGUCCCUGAAUUUGUUUGUAGUUUCCUUUGGUUCUUGUCAUUUACUUCCUCCGGAAACCUUUUUGACAUUCACUAUUUUGGUGAUUAUCUUUCCCUACUUAUUGGAGAUGAUAUGACCACAAUACAAUAGGUAUUCAGAGUAAGAACACAUUUUUUUUUGUUUCGUCGUGAACCCUUGCAUGUAGGUAUUUAACUCAAUAUUGAGCAUUGCUGAUGCGAUGCAACCAAUUGGAUUGUUAUUUGAUUUCCUUUAUAAAUUCUUAAGGGAUUUGGAACUUCAACAGGUUUUCUUGCACCUUUUGAGUUUGAGUCGGAUUUUAGUUGGAGACUGCCAAUUUCAUUUAGAUGUGCUAUUCUAAGGUUGCAUGUAUUUAUAUACAAAAAAUUUUGUUUGAUUUAUGUCAUUGUAAAAAAAUUUGUGAUUAUUUUUUCGUAUUUGAUUUAGUGCCGCUAUGAACUCAGAGACACGGGAGGAAGUAGCAAUUAAAAAGAUUGGCAAUGCUUUUGACAACAGAAUUGAUGCCAAGAGGACACUGCGGGAAAUAAAGCUUCUUCGUCACAUGGAUCACGAUAAUGUAAGUAUCAUUACUGUAUCAGUUCUCUGAAAGAUUGAAGAUUUGAUUCAGAUGCAUGUUGUGCUAAUUGGUUUACUACCUUUGUGUUAGCUGCUGCUAUAGUACUUCAAUUGUUUUAUUGUUAUAGAAAGUUUGUUUAGCUGUUGUACUAGCUGGGUAAACAUGUUGCUACUUGGUCUUCAUAAGCUUUGCAUUUUCUUUUCUCAUUGCUUCUGUUGUUUACAUAUAUUUUUUUUCCAAGUCUACAUGCUAGAAAUAAAGUCUUCAUUAGUUAUAUUUUAUCCAAAUCAAGAGUGCCACAGGACAACUAUGUGAUUGACUUGGGAUGAGAUGGAAUAGGCAAUCUUUAGGCCUGGCUCCUUUAUUUAAGUUUGUUUACUUGGGGGAGGGAGUUAAGUGUGAAGUGUCGGGUUCAAGCCUUCCCACUUACGCUAAAAAAAAAGUUUAUUUAUGGAAAAAUGUGGAUAUGCUUGUUUUAUCAACUAGCGAGUCCAUGAAGAAUUAAGAUUGAGCUCAAGGUGACUGUUGACUACCUUUGUAGGUCCUCACAAGAAAUUUCUCCUGACAAAGUUACAUCAGUAAAGAUAGCUUUUUUCCUGAACUCAAGUGCACAUAGCAAGUAGAGUCCUGGAUUGCUCAACAGUAGUAUAGAAACCCACUAUCAUUUAUGAUUAUAUAUAGUUACCGAAUAGCCUUAAAUUGCACUGAUUUCAAGACAUCCUGCAUCUCUCCUUCAACUUUUAUGAUCUUCCUUUCGCCUUCAACUGGUAUGUUCUUCCCUACCUUCCGUUUCUAGUCUAAGAAGGCAACCAACAUGACACCCACCACCAGCUAAUGAAAAGUAAAUGUAGAUGAAAGGUAAGAUGCCCACAGCUAUUCCUGUAUAAAAUGUCAAUCCCUUUAUAAGCAUUUAGCAUUGUCUAGAUACAUAGCAAAAGGAAGCAUAUAAAGAGCAUUUAAAAACAGGUGCUUAAAUCUCUCGCAGCCCCUUCACCAUUAAAACACACAUGUAGUGUGAAGUUGGCAUGUUUUCCAUGCCUAUGAUUAUUCUGUUGCUGGCUUUGACAGGAAAUUACAUUACAAAAGGGGGCGUGAGUGUCUUUUCUUCAAACGUAUCGGGUUAUAACAUAUAAUUGUGAAUCUCCAUCCUCUAGGGGACCUCUACAACUUUCCCAAGUAAUUUCAGAGUAUUGAGUGUCACUAUGAUAGUGCCAUUUGAUUUGGAAAUUUUGUCAAAGCCUUCAUCGAAAACUAUGUACCAUUCACUCUGUUGGCCACAGAUUCCAUUUGUUGUGUUCUUCCCUUGGUAGAACUACAUAUUUUAUAGAUAUUUGAAGGAAAAUGAUUUCUGAUUAAGCUUUUUGAUCUGUUUAUGGGUUGUCUCUUCUUACAGGGAAAGGAAACUUACACGUGAGCAGCAGUAGCGCUCUCUGUAGGCUAAUAUAACACAAAAGUUUUUUUUUUCUCCCCCUAAAAUCAAGGGCUAAAAUUAACAAAGCCUUGUGUAAAAUACUAGAGGAUCUCUUGAUUGUUUGCAUUUUAUGUCUCUCUUCUUUUGAAUUGUGUUCAAACCAUUGUGUCUUCUUUUGGGUCUAAAGUUCUUAAAUUUGGUUCGGUAAUUGUAGCUUACUGGGAUGCUUCAUUUUUAGAUAUAUUCUCACUUCGUGCUGUUUCUGUUGGCACAGAUAAUUGCACUGAAAGACAUUAUACGGCCUCCGCAAAAGGAAAACUUCAAUGAUGUCUACAUUGUCUAUGAACUAAUGGACACUGAUCUUCACCAGAUUAUUCGGUCCAACCAACACUUGACUGAUGAUCAUUGUCGGGUUUGGAUCCAUUCUCUAGCCGCACAUACAAGAAUUGCUUACUAUAUAUAGCUAGCACCAAAGAAUUUCAAAUGCUCAUAGCUUAUCAAAAUAAUAUUUUUAUUUUACUUUUACGAAGAAAAAGAGGUCCUUUUUUUCCCCUGAAACUGCAAAGGGCACCAGUAUUUAUUUUUAAUCAAUAAACUGUUUAUUUGUGGGACUCCAUUGAUUAAAAAAAAGGUUAAGAAAACUGUUUAAAAAAUAAAAUAGAAGAAAUAUACUCCUUGAAUCCUUAAUGGAUGUUAUUUUUUCCAUCUUUGAGAUAUCACGCAGCAACAGCAGGCUAGCUAAAGUUCAAUUAUUUUUCCCUUUUAGUUGUAUUUACUUCCUUCCUUCAAGUUAAAGGUGGCUAUGCCUUUAGAUGUAGCACAGGAGAUUCAUGUGGUGGAAUGUUGGUAUUCUUGAAAUGGUCCAACACAAGUUAUUUCAGUGGAGUUUUUUUAUGUAUAGGUGUAAUUUCAUAAAGUGAUGAUGAUAGUCAUGGGUCUGAUAGUUUGCAUUUGCAAUUUACUCUGUUGUUUUUGAGUUUGACCUUCUGGAAUGAGCUUUUCUUUUGUCUAUGUUCACGUGCUUGGGUCUGUGUGAGUAAGAGGGGAAGGGGAUGGGGUGUCCAAUGUACAGGACUGUUACAUUUUUUUUUUAAUCUUCUUCAAUGUUGAUUUAAAAUUGCAGUACAUGACUUUUUGACUGUUAGCCUUGAACUUCCAUUCAUGGCAGUAUCCAAGAAUUUCAUGAUGAAGUUUUGGCCUUGCAUGGAGAACUGUUGGUGUCUAUGUUGGGCAUUCAACAUUAAUUUUCAUCUAUUAAACAUAACAGUCCAAUUGGAUAUUUGUUCUCUGUUCCUAUUUGUGUUCUAUUGUAGUGAUUGUGGUGUUUAUGAUUUAAGGAUCUUUGAAACUUACAAACAAAAUAAACAGGAAAGAGAAUUUUUUUUUUUUUGGGGAAAUGAAAGUGGAGAGGUGUCAAAGUUAUUCAUUAUGUUUCAGUUUUUCUUUUUAAUAUUAACCUAACACUUGUGAUAGACUAAUGUGUUUAUGAACCUAUGCACUAGUACAUGGUCUUAUCACCACUCCUUGGACAUGAUAUUUCUGUUACAUGCUUUGUGCAGUUUUUGAACAUUCUCCAGGCUCUGUUGUUUUGAUCUCUAUGUAUUGGAUAAGUCUAAUGAUUUGCAUUACUAUUUAUGCAGUACUUUCUUUACCAAAUUCUACGAGGACUUAAAUAUGUUCACUCUGCUAAUGUGUUACACCGUGAUUUAAAACCUAGCAAUUUGCUUCUCAAUGAAAUUGUGAUCUUAAAAUUGGAGAUUUUGGGCUUGCAAGGACAACAUCUGAGACAGACUUCAUGACUGAAUACGUUGUCACUCGCUGGUACCGUGCACCAGAAUUGCUACUAAAUUGCUCAGAAUACACUGCAGCAAUUGAUAUUUGGUCUGUAGGGUGCAUACUUGGUGAAAUUAUGACAAGCAAUCCCUCUUUCCUGGCAAAGAUUAUGUUCAUCAAUUGAGACUUAUAACAGAGGUAUGUUCGUUAUAUCAUUAAGAUGAUUUGUGUGACAAGUUCUGUUGCAAGUUUGCAGGAUAUCAUUUGUUUUUUUGUGAAAAAAGGAUGAGGAACAUCUUCUUUUGUGGUUAAGAUUGAAUUUCUGCUUUCUUUUCAUGUAUAUUGCGCUCUUAGCCUUCUAGUCCAGACUUUUUGUGCUUUUAACAGUAUGAGUAGUAUAGAUACCAUAAUUCCUUUGUGUAAUCAAUUUCUGCUUAAACAUUUAUUCUUUAGCUACUACAUGAGUAAGUUCUCUUGUUACAGAUUGACUGGUUUGCAAAAAUCCAAUUUUGAGUUUUGCAGAAUAAACAUCAGAAAUGGAGAAAUUUUUACAGUGGGAGUAGCACAUUAUACUGAAAUGUAUGCGUUUUCUAUGGGGGAAAUACCAUCUUGUGUAGAAAAUGUAAUUGUUUAAUUAAAAAAAAACAAGAGAAUCAUCAUAGCUUAAUAGCAUUUUGAAAAAAUAGAUGAUUGAAAAUAAGAGGUAUGCUUGAUAGAAUUAGAAAUGAUUGGAUUGGAAGUAAGAGGUAAUACUUGAUAGAAUUAGAAAUGAGUGGAUUGGUACCUUCAUGAAAACCAUACUGGUGAAAUCCUUCUACUUAUUUAAUGUCUUCAAAAUUUCUGCCUGCUCUUGUUCAAUGGUUGUCCAAUAGUUUGGAUUUGAUUACUUCUGAUUCUGAAUUAUACUUGUUUUUCACUUUGCAAAGCUCAUCGGUUCACCAGAUGAUGCCAGUUUAGGGUUUCUUCGGAGUGACAAUGCCCGAAGGUAUGUUAGGCAGCUUCCCCAAUACCCAAGACAACAGUUCUCAGCUAGAUUUCCUAAUACAUCUGCUGGAGCUCUGGAUUUGCUCGAAAAAAUGCUUGUCUUUGAUCCAAGCAAACGGAUUACAGGUAAGUAUGAUUAAACUAUUUCCGGAGCUCUCUUUGUCCAUUUAUUCUAAAUCAAACUUUUGAGUUGAAGUUGAACGGUAAUAUUAUGCGACUUCUUGUCUUGUUGUCAUGCUUCAAAACAUAAGUUGGGAAAUUAGUGCCAAAAAUUAAGAUUUCUCUGGAAGCCAAGUUUUUUGCCAAGUUUGUUGCUACAAGUUUUUUAAAAACUUUAGCUACAGUAACCUCAAAAAAUUUUUCAAAGUUUUUAAACUAUACACUUCAAAAUAGUAAAAAAAAAACACACUUCAAAAUUUUUUUAAAAAAUUUCUACAAUAAGCUACAGUAAAGUUUUAGACAAACACCAAAAAAACUCACCUUCCAAAUGGAGCCAGUGUUUGGCAAGGUUGUCUACAUAGUUUUAAGUAUUUCAGUUUUGGUUUGGGUAAAAAAUCACUUUUUUUUUAAUGCUUUUGGGAGCACUGACACUUAACAUUGGGCAAAGGAAAAAGGCAACAAGCAGCAUUUUGGUCAUCAAGAAAAUAGAUGAAUUUAGCUUUCUGAGCACGACAUUUUAAUUCAAGCAGUGUAUGGUGAUUUAGUUGUAAGUUGAAUGUCUGGACAACUUGAAGGUGGUCAUCAUUUUUUUGAUGAACAGCCUAAAUAUUUUGUCAAUCAUGCGGUUUUCCCUGGUGGCCCUGAUGAAUGGCUCUUUUUGUUGUUUCUUGACAGUGGACGAGGCACUUUGCCACCCGUAUUUGGGACCUCUUCAUGAUAUCAAUGAGGAGCCUGUUUGUCCUAGGCUUUUGUUUUCGAUUUUGAGCAGCCAUCCUUCACUGAAGAGAACAUCAAGGAGCUCAUUUGGCGGGAAUCCGUAAAAUUUAAUCCGGAUCCUACUCAUUGAGAAUGGAACUAAUGAUGUAUAAACAAGUUCUUUGACCGGACUUCCACUGAAUACUUUGUGUUGUAUCCAGAGUGAACCCCUGAUUAGGAUCAUGAAAUAAAACAAUGGAAAUGUUGAGGUUGACAAAAUUUCUACAUGGUAGAUCUCAUUAGAUUUUUCUUCUGUCAUCUUCUUUGUAUUUUAAAUGUUCUAAUAUUGUACAAAGAAAUUGAAGCAGCGUUCACAUAGGCUCAAGCAUUCACUUAUCACUUAUUUUUUGGAAUAAGUUUUGCCUACGCAAUUCAGACGUGUUUAAUCAAUGUACAUAAUUAAUUAAGAUGUUCUAUUUUUUAUUAUUAUCAGAUACGUUCGAACAUGUUAAGAUCUGAAUUUCAUUAAGUGUUAAAUUGGGUUGGUUAUCAACCAGUAUCUAACAAAUGUGAUGAACAAUUUAUAAAGGUCUAACAAAUUCGACGAAUAAAUGAUUAGUAAAAGUUAGAAGUCUUGACGUGAAAAAAAAAAAGGUUAGAAGUCUUGUUGGUUUAGUUACUGCUCUGCACUUCGAUGUAGCACAAAUGUGAAAGUAUAGUUGGCUUUUGUAUACAUUAAUCUACAAUAAGUUUGCAGAUUAGUCCAAGUAUUUUGAUGUUUCUCGAGUACAUGAUAACAGCAGAAUAUGUGGUUUCCACUUAUAUAUAACACAGUUCAGUGAGAAUAGUUACAUUUUAAACAUUCUCUUGAAAUGUUUAACAGUAGAAGCACAAGGCAUAGGAGUCUAGCCAGUGGGCCUAAUCACGGUCGAUAAAAACUUUAAAAGAUGCACAGUACUGCUCCACAACUCCUUGUUGAUUGUUCCUUAAUCAUUACCUAAUUAUGGGCGGCCAACCGCAAAGGAUCCCUGACAGGCCGCCUUUAUGUAUUAUGCCCGUCAAAAUUUGGAUUAUCAUAAUCCACAUUCUUCUAUCUAAGGUGAUAAAAUAAUGUGAUAUUCUCUAUUUUAAGUCUAUUUCAAUCUACCAUAUAACUAUAUCCCAACAUCCCUUGAUUAGUGAUGUAGUCCUGAGCUCUUGGUUCAGGUCCUAAUCCUGAUGAGUACUACAUUUUUAAACUCCGGAUGAGUCCUUAUCGAGUCAUCUAUGUUAUAACUAGAGGUAACUCUAUAGAAACAGCAAUCUUCUGGGCUGUUUGAGACAGCUUUGAUUUAUUCCUCAACUUCACAUAUCUUCAUCAAUGACCCAGAUAUAUGUAUAUAUAUCUGGUUUUUCUCAUGAAUGAAGUUGAUGAAAUUGGCCUUUUUGCUUGAGGUAAAUGAGAUGUUUCUUUUCUUUUUCUUUUUUUGUUUGUGGGGUGGGGGGGAAGAAAUAAAGGUUGGGACUUUGGACUUGGGAGGGAACUGUUUCAAAACGGCAUUCACUCAGCAAAGCCAACAGCUAUAGCCAUCGUUUUCAAAGCAGCAUCAAUUCUUCAAAUUCAAAUCAUCAGCCAAACCAUUAAAGGUAGCAUAAAAGAAUGGUUUUACCGUUGCUUUUUUCUCUUCCAGCCGUUAUCUUCAAAAUUUUUAAACCACCAGUAUGUUGGCUUCUGUUUCUCCCAAGUCAUGCUUGGUCUCCUUGGAUGACUUGCUACUUUGUCAAGAAAGUUGCUGCAUGUUCAGUGUGAUCAGUGAAUAAUUUCAAAGUUAAGCUAAGAAAAAGACACAGCAGAUUCUUUUUUUUUUUCCUUUUUCUUUUUCUGGAAAGCAAUAAAUGAAAUGCUUUUGUCUUGGAACUCAAGAAUUCUAACAUUUUGAAGUCAGUUCCCGGUAGAUUUAGUUUCAUAAAAAAUGCAUCCUCUCUUCAAGUACUUUUGCCUGAAAUUGAGUUUACAACCUUGACAUCUGCAGCAGCAGUCUAGAUAAAGGGGGAAGACAAGGGAUCAAAUGGAUAGCGCGGGUAAUUCGGAUGAAACUUGUGAUCUGGGAUAUCAACCUUCACAAUCUUCUUUAGAUCAGAAUGAUCAAUCAUCGUCAACCGAAGCCACCAGCUUUUCGUUGCAGAGUGGCUAUUCUUUCUGCAGAACUAACUCAGACGUCUCAGCCUUCUCUGAACCUACAGAUGACAACAGCAGCACCUUUUCGGAGACCCCCUCUCCCUUAUGUUGGCCAGGAAUGAAAUCUCCCAAAACUCCUGUGCUUUCAAAACUAGUAAUGCAGCAACAAAACCCUGCUGCAGAUGAUGAGACAGAGACUGAAGAUUUAGGUGGGUUCUGCAAGAUUGAUUCUUUUCCGUCCCUUUUCUUUUUGGUUUCCCUAGUUUCCUAACGGUGUUCGAAAUACUUGUAGAGCUUGACAUGAUGAAGGAAAGAUUUUCGAAGCUGCUAUUAGGCCAAGACAUGUCCGGAAGUGGGAAAGGUGUCAGCACUGCUGUGGCAGUAUCAAAUUCCAUAACAAAUCUUUAUGGUACUGCUAUGUUAAACGCUCCUGUAGUUGGGCCAGAUUGUACUUCUAUUACUUCAAUUCUGAUGCAUGUUUUAUUUUUCUGAUUUAGUAUCUCAAUUUUGUUUACACCGUGCAGCUUCUAUAUUUGGUCACCAUCUACGAUUAGAACCAUUACAUCCUGAUAAGAAAUUGAUGUGGAAGAGAGAAAUGAAUUGCUUUUUAUCCAUCUGUGACCACAUAGUAGAAUUUGUUCCAGCAUUACAUGAUUUACAAGAUGGGACUGCUGUUGAGGUGACGUCUCUGUUCUUUUAGUUUUUAUUUUUUGUUUCAUUUAUUUAUUUAUUUAUUUUUGGUAUUGGUUACUGGGCAAAGGUUAGGCAGAACAGGGGCUGAUGAUCUUUGUUCCUCCAGGCUAGUAUAGGCAUUGAAGGUUGGCACUACCAUUACCAUUAGGCCAAGACCUUUGGCCUCAAUAAUGUCAUCUAUGGAUUCCCCUCUUUUACGCUAACCAAUCUGGUUCUUUGCAUGUUUAAUUAAUUAACAUGAUGGGUAUAUGAUCAACUUUCAGGUGAUGACUAGUAGACCGAGGUCAGACAUCAGCGUCAACCUUCCUGCACUGAGAAAACUUGAUGCAUUGCUCCUGGUAAAGACUGCUACUGUCUGUCUGCUGUUAUAAUCAACAUUGAUCUUUGAAAAAUGACCCAAAUUUUCUGUUUUGUGUCAAAUCUGAUAGCUGAAUUGAUGUUGCGUGACAGGAAGUAUUGGACAGCUUUGAGGAAACUGAAUUUUGGUAUGCUGAACAGGGAAGCAUGUCAGGAAAGUCGCGGUCUGGGUCAUUUAGGAGGAUUCCUGCUCCUCAGCGCAAAGAAGAAAAAUGGUGGCUACCAGUCCCAUGUGUUCCUUCUGGAGGCCUCUCUGAGAAGUCAAGGAAGCACCUGCGCCACAAGCGUGAUUGUGCCAACCAAAUACACAAAGCUGCCAAGGCUCUUAAUAAUAGCAUUCUUGCUGAAAUGGAGAUCCCUGAUUCCUACAUGGCAUCACUUCCUAAGGUAGUCAUAUUAUAAAUCAGAUGAAGCUACUGCAAUUCUUUAACGGUAAUAUGACAAUAAUAGUCAGCUGUCUAACUGUAUUUUCUGUGUAUCAAUGCUCUACUCAGAGUGGAAAAGCAAUUGUUGGAGAUGCAGUUUACCGCUAUAUGUGCAAUGGGGAGAAAUUUACACCUGACUUGCUUCUGAACUGCCUUAAUCUGGGCUCUGAACAUGAAGCACUCGAGUUCGCAGAUAAGAUUGAAGCUUCAAUGUACACAUGGAGGCGUAAAGCAUGCAGCAUGACACACUCGAAAUCAUCAUGGGACCUGGUUAAAGACUUCAUGUCUGAUAUCGAUCGGACGGACAAGAAUCAUAUCCUAGCAGAACGAGCUGAGAGUCUGUUGUUCUGCUUAAAGCAAAGAUAUCCUGAGCUUUCCCAAACAUCAUUGGACGCAAGCAAGAUUCAGCACAACAGAGUAUGUAUCUCCAAAAUCCACAUUUGUCCUUCCCAAAACAUUAUACCAGUUUCUUGUUUUUUAUAAUGAUCUUGUUUACAUUCAGGAUGUAGGGAAAGCUAUCCUGGAGAGUUACUCUAGAGUAUUGGAAGGUUUGGCCUUCAACGUUGUUGCUUGGAUUGAGGAUGUCCUAUUUGUGGACAAAACCACACGAAACCAAGAUCAGUAGGAUCAUAUUGACGGGGUGUUAUCAAAAGCCGAACUCAGUUUCUGUCAAGCUGCACAUUUGCGAACAGCAAGAAAGGAUCUUUUUGACUGACAGCUACAAUAGGAGAAAAUCAGUUCAUUAUAUCAAUAACUAGCUAGUAAUGCUAAGAUGUCAAUCACUCUUAAAUGCAGUCUCGAUUCUGAUUUAUGACCCAAGAUUUAUUACCAAUCCCAGCAGUCUAUGAUUUGUGCUCUUCAGAAUUUACUUUCAUUUUGUGAUUAUACUGCUACGACUUUAGGGAAUGGAACUCGCUAGCUAAUUAGAUAUCCUCUAAAAUGAGGAUGGCAGAAAGAAGCAAAAUCCAUUUGGUUAAGACCAUGAAAAUGUUCAUUGCCAUUUUUUAGAUACUUGGACCAAUUGGAACAAUGCUUAUUUCUGUAGAGGCCAUAAGGCAGUUCCUCUCUUUGAUUCGACAUUCGAGGAGAAAAAUUUACAGCAAAAGCAUUCAAGUUGCUCUUACGUAUCACCCUCCAACCCAGCAGAUUGAGCAGUUGAGCUGCUUCUUCCCUUGUCCUCUUUACCCAGAAGAAAAAAUGAUUUUGUUCCAUAAUCCACAGUAAAACGGUGGAUCAACUAUGUUACUGACACCAAUCUACAGCCCUCACAACUGGCCCUAUAAGAAAAAUAAAGAAUGGAGAGUAUUUGCCUCUCAAUUAAGUAUCAUUUGAAGUCCUGUCUUAGCCUAAACCUGUAUUACCAGACCAAAAACAUACCUCAAGUCUCCUGAGUACAGUGCUGGACUGCCGGGAGGACGAAACAAUUCUCUAUUAAUUUCCUUAAGUGAAAAUCAGUACAUACUAAAGGUCAACGGCAAUGUCUAUGCAUAUCACCAAAUCCAGCACAAACUGACCAGUCCUAGACAAAAGAUAAUGAGACAUUUCUCCUCUGGUACAUGCAUCAGACAAUUAGGCACUUUAGAAAAUAAUAACUGGCCAACAAGGCACAGGACAAGCGUGUGUAAGAAAUACAUGAUGCGUUCAUUUGAGGUGCCCAAAAGGGGCUUUGGAUGGUAGCAAAGGAUGGAUAUUUGCUCUUGGUGGUGACAGCCCGUCACUGCAUUUUGCUCCACUGCUGCAUACAUUAUUUUUGCAGGCAUUGUUCACAUAGAAGCUUCUACUAAGAUUAGAUUAUAAGCAUCUUGACAGACUUUUGUGUCUUUCUUUGGAAUUCGAACAAAACAAGUAGUCACACUCUUCAUAAAUAUAAUGACCAAGACCAUACACAUCUUUGCAUUUCAUUAAAAAUAUGAAAGUCUCUGGUGUUAUUUUUGAAGAAUUUUAUGCCUUUUUGUGCUUGGUGAAGUAUGGACAAGCCAUGACAAGCACAAUAGCGGAAGUCUGGCAGAGUUGAAAGUACCACAGUUUAUACUAUAGGCCACUGCUGUACAAGUCCGAUAAUGCUCUAGGCAGUUAAUUGGAAGUUAUUAAUGACAAAUGUGGACAAAUAAUAACUGAGUAUCAUCUCAGAUAUGAAAGCUUCAAGCACGAGAGUAAGAUACCAGUAAAGUUCUUAAUAUAAAUUGAAGAUCUCAAACUCAAGACCUAUUACCUAAUAUUCUCUCUUCCGUACCACCUAACCCAUCCCUUUCCCCAUUGAGCUUUUCAGUUGUUAUACUUCCUCUUUAACUCAAAUCAGAUGCAUUUGCUUUUGUCCCUUUGGGGUCAUCAAAAAAAUUGGAAUGAUAUUAGAGAAGAUUAGCGUGGCCCCUGCACAAGGAUGACUCGCACAGAAGCAUUCGUUUGCUCUAAUAUUAAGUUUUUCGACAGCUGGGGGGUGUUGCCACGCCUGAGGGAAUACAUAAGCCCUUUUAUAAUCUGUACGUUGUUGCAUGGAUUUCUCAAAUCUUAGGCUUAUCUAUGUAACUAAUUACAUUGUAAGAGCUGAGACAACUUCACAACUGAAACGUGAAAUUGCCAAAUUAUAGCAAAUCCAUGCUACUUAAGGGUACAUAUCCGCAUACAGCAGAUCUUGCAACAAGACAGAGUAGCACAACCAUAUGCAUAAAGAGAAGACCAAAACUAAAGCAGCCAUAAUGUUGAGGCCUGUUUAAGGGUAUCUAAGAAUCAAAGGAGCAAAGACAAAAGGAAAGAAAACAAGAGAUCCCAAAACAACUAGGUUUUGAUUCACCAUGUACGAAUGAAAAUUUUCAAAAAUAUGUUUGUAUUAGCCUGUUUGGACAGAAGAACAUACUGAAAAUUUCAAAUCCCCCCUUUUCUCCUCCUUGUAAGAUCAGUCUCUCUUGAACCACAAAAAAAUUAUAAUCCAAGAGAAAAAGUUAGAGCUGGAGAGCUGGUCAAAGAUGUACCGUUCAUUUAGGAUGGAGAAGCCUAAAACCACAACUUAAAAAGUAAUACAGAUGAUGGCGAAUAAAGUCGUUCCACCAAUCAGAGUCCCUUCUGCUCCAAAGUAAACAGGACAUAAACGCAAGUAAACAGCAAUAGAGAGGAACCAGCACAUUUGACCUGGCUUGAGCAGCCAGUCGGAGAAUAGACCUUAAGAAAAACUAGCCAAAAUUGUUAAGACAAUUGUAUCAAUACGUCUAGUUUGUGAUGCCAGGCUGUUACAAAUCCUAAACUAAAGAAGUCUUUGUUACAAAUAUGCGCUAAUACUGUUCGCACGUAAAAACUAGGAAAUCGGAAAGUAAACCCGAAACUUUUGUUACUUGGCCAGGCUUCAUGCAAAAUCUGCAAAAUCAGAAACAAGUAACAUUUUUACCAAAAAUGACAGGCAAAGCAUGAGAGAGAGAGAGAGAAAAUAGAAAAGCUACAACAUUCUUAAGAUACUUUACUCAAUUUGCAAGAUGUAACAACAAGCGCUGAGCAUGAAAGAGCAGAAAAUCAUUUCUGAGACAUUCUACUCAUCCCAAAAGGGGGAAGUAGUUAUCCCUAUAUGUACAACAAGUUCUGAACUGCGCCAAGAAUUGUGCUGUCCAGAAGGGAGUGAUCAAAGGGUUAGUUGUCAAUCAGGGCUGCGAGGUAAAAUGAACAGGCCGCCAAAGAAUGUCGUCCAUGACUCCACGUGACCCAGUCAGAACCCCGUGCACCCAAAAAGAAUGUGCCUUUAAGCAGAUGCCUUUGCUGCCAAAGGCAAUUAGAGCAACCCCGAUGGCCACUUUCCCGUCACGGAUGAGCGAGGACGCUUUCCUGCUGGGUGCUCCCUUUGUAUAUAAAUUCAAAAUUGAAGUACUACUCAUAUCAGCUGUCCUCGUCUAUUGCACCAAUGUAGGUGAGGUCAGUCCUCCUCACCCUAAUGGCCCCCUUGAGCCAGUUUGAUGCUCUCAAAUUAGCAUGGUCACUACCACCAAUAGCAGCAGAGUUACUCGAAGAUUGCACACCCGUUCCAUCCUCCAAUAGGGUCCAAGGGUCAAUUUCCAAGUCCAGAUCUUGCAGUGGCAGUUGCUUAGCCUUCCCUGCCAUAUUAGCGACAGUUCGAACCAAAGAAACUGGAUUUCUCUGGGAUAGGAUUGAAUUGUGAGGCUGUAAAACUGAUAUCUGAUUGCUGGACUGGAGAGCAGCAAUCGAAGCCGGUGAUAUAGAUGGAGGUUGACAAGAGAUUGAGCACCGAACAGAUGGAAGAAGAAUUGGCAUUGCAGUUUGAAUGCGCCACCGGAUAUGGUCCGGCAUAUGCAUGCGGUUCAGAUCAUUCUGCAUUGAUUAAAAUUGUCAGAAAGAAAAAAUAUAAGUAUCCUUGAUAAUUCUCCACUUACUAUCACAUUUUUCGAAGUCCAUACCCUAGAGUCAAUUUAGCCUUCAAAAAUAAAAGAAAUUGACGUGUCAACCAUGGAGCAGAAGUCCACGAGAAUAUGAUGUUCAAACCAAAAAAUUUGAAACUUCAACACAUUAAUCGCAAGGACUUUUAUUCUUUAUAUGAAGGAGAACUUUCCAUUUUUUGGAAGAAAAGCAUAAGCAUUCGUGGUGUAAAUGUAGUCCUCAUAAACUGCGUGCAUCGAUGAUGCAGCUUAUAAAAAUGGAAUAGUACUGAAUGAACUAAAGAACUCCUCAAUAAAAAGCUAAUCACAACUCAUAUAGCAUGCCAAAGCAAUUUGAAAAGGAGGUCCUUUGACAUGCAUUCCCUCAGGUCAUGUUAUAACAUUUUGAACAUGAAGCAAAACGCAAAUCUGAUAAUGGAUUGCUUAUCUUGUACAAGUACUCCAUCAGAUAAAUCUUCUGGUUUUCUGUGUUUAUCUAAUAUAUGUGUUUUUGGGACUAAUACUUUUGCAAUAAAAGGUAAAUACAAAAGAAAAUCAAAUAAUAAGCUGCGUCCAGUAAAUGAAUUUCAGAUUGUAUGCAGUCAACCAAACCUGCAGAUUCUCCGCCACCUCACGACCAAAAACACUAAAGUCCUUGCCGCACUCGGAGGCGGACUUGGAGUUAGAUUUCAACUUCAGCCAGCUAGGUCGAUAGCUGCUCAGCAGUCCAUGUAGCAGCAAUAACAAACAAUCGAAAAGACUUUCCCCAGAUAAAAGUACAGAUGUAGCAGAAGCCUCUGUAAGCGACUCGACAUCUCUCUUGGAUAAAUUCAAAGUUGAACUUGUGGUAUGGCCUGCAGCUUCAUGGACAACUCUACAUCCUAGAAGGCGUAAUAUAACAGCAGCAAGCAUCUGUCUCAUACUCUUUCCUGGCUCCCUGACAAGUCCAAAAUGAAGCUUAUAUUAACAAUAAGCAAUAUAGCUAGAGAUGAUUAGUUUCAUCACAGACAUGGAUGCAUUCAGCAUAACCAAGAUAUAUGGUAAAUCAACGCGCUCAACAUUAAAGAAUGGGGGACAUAGUACAUGCACAAGUUAUUGGCAGAAAAAAUCCUUCCUAGAGUUAGAAAACUUGCACAAUACCUUCUACCAUUGACCAGUAAUUGAAAUUUCCCUUCCGUAAACUGUCCUUUAUCCAUGUGACAUAUUAACUUCAUCAUCAAUCAAAACUAUUUUUAACCUUAAAGUUUCAAAUAAAUAACGCCCUGGCAUUUGCUUCAUAUUAGUAAAAUCUGGAUAGGAGAACAUGCAUGGAAAGAUUCCGUCUUAAACAAAAUUCAGCUGGAGCAUGCAAAAGCAAUUCAGGACUUUUAUAUUGAGAAUGGUCUCCAAGAAGGGGUAAUAUGCCCUCAUGAACAAAUUGUGUAAUCAGUUUACAGAAUUACCCAUCAGUGCACAUAGUAGGAAGUAGUCUUAGGAGAAACUGCAAGCGCAAUGACAUGGAAGCUCGCAACCCCGCAGGGGAAGAUGGUACUCCAUCAGCUGGUCCCGCAGGUCGUCUGGAAUUGGAUAAUCCAGGACUCCCACCUCUCAUACCUUUUCGGCUAUUGCCCUUGCUUGCUGGGCUUUCUGCUCCAGAUGCAACUGAUCCAACAGAUUUAGCUGCUCCAUGAGAAAGUACAUUUAUCUGCUGCUCAAUGUUAUUCAUCUGUUUGAUCAUGUCGUUUGCAAAGGUGUUUCUUGAGGCAUCAGAGCCUUGAUCCACACAAGGGAGAACUAAUUCAAUAAAUGCUCUCUCUGUCACAUGCUGCUGACUCACCAAGAAACCUUCAACAUCCACAACUUGAGUGGAUCCUCUUCCAGGAAAUCUCACAUCUGAACCUUCAUCAACCACCUCACCUUCUUCAAGAGAGGCGACUUCAAACUUCCUCUUGCUUCCCCUUGUUUUCCGCGAAUCAGAGUUUGAAUCACACCACCCCCAUGGCUUCCAGAACUGCAGUUUAGUUGAUAGAUGUUCUUUUUCAGCAUUAAUGAUAAGCCGUUGCCGAAUUGAUUUCCUUCCAUAAAGAACAUCAGUGCCCCCAAGAAGCCAUUUAGUUUGCAUUAGCAUUUGGUCCUCAAGUGACCUUCCAAAAAGGUGCACAACCUCAGAAAAGAGUGAAGCAGCAUCUGGUCUGGCAAGUAACCUCAUUACAACGAGUUCAACAAAGCUGCUCUCUUUCUCAGAAACUGCAACCUUGUCAGCAUUCGGUGAAACUGAUUUAAUAGCCUCGCCAAAGGGGCUUCAUUUUUCAGUUUAUCAAUGACUGUUUGUUCAUUCAAAAGAAGCCUAAGCUCAACCCACUGCCAGUGAAAUUUUGCAGGUUGUAAUGUAUCCAAAACAUGCACAAGCUUAUCUCUGAAAUUUGCAUCCUUCUCCUGAUAAUAGUUCUUUAGGCCACCUUGCCCUUGCAUCCUAUUAACGUCCUCUGGUUUAAGCAAUGACUGUGGCAUUCUACAGUCAAUAAGGGCAUUUAAGAAAAGCCGUGCCCUGAGAGGAACAAAGGCCAUGGAUUUGUAAAGAACGUCUGCACUAUGUGAUUCCAGUAAGGCUGCAAACUCAGAAUCAAUGGCAUCUGCAGCUAUGAGAUCAUAAAGGCCAUGAGUGUCUCGCAGACACACAUCACGGAACGGAAGGUGCUUUAAUGCAUCACCUAUCGCCAAUGCUAAGGACUGAUACAAUUGUUGGAGGUCAUCACGCAAGCCAACACCAGUAUUAAAAAUUAAUCCUUUCCAUAUGACAAAUGCAAAUAUAGAAUAGGCAGGCGGAAAGACCAAGUUCAGAGGAAGUGUUCUCUGCAUUCUAGAGAGACCUACAACUGACGCUUCACCCAAGAGCUCCACAAUAAAUCCAUCAGAAACAGUUCUGCAAUUACCUACAAGCACUCGAAACCAGUGGGUGGAAACUUCAACCAAAUUAUCCAGCUUCAGAGCCCCAAUGGAACGAGCACUCCCGUUUGAGUUGGAUUUCAAACUCCUGAAAAAGUGAAUUGGAUCAAGCCCUUCCCUUAAUCUGAAGAGAGUAACCAUUCUCUCAAGGCUAGUAACUCCCUGAAGAAGUGCCCCAACAAGAAGUGCAGAAAUUGCUCCAGCAAUUUUUGCCCCUCGUCCAAGUACACUUUUAACAGAACUAUUCAAGGCUUCAUAGGAGUUUGAACUAGAAUCAUGGGAUUCAGGAGAUGGAUGAAAUUGAGUGCGAGGAGCCUUUCCUGGCACAAACACUUGAGCAAGGGCAGUAGAAGCUUCAACUGCAAGAGCAACCUCAAAGACACGACUCUGACGCUCACCAAGUGCAUCCUUCAGCAGGCACAAGCAAGUUGUAUGGAUGCGUAAAAUGCGUCGAGCAAAAUGCAUUGAACUGGAUGUGGACUGGAAAUUUAGGUGAUUGCCAGCAGUUAAGUCAGGAAUUUUAGCAAUAACCAGUCCAACAUUACUGACAAUUGCAGAAAUAGCAGAGGAUACCAAAGUAGGAUCACCUUCCUGAGCAGCACCACCAGUUUGCCUCAUGCACUCCAUUAAUCCCAUUACUAUUUGUUGAGCUAUUUGAUAACCAUCAUCCAAGUUUUCCAAGACAGGGCUUUUUACUGUACCAGGCCCAAAAAGCUUUCUUUCUUUGCCACAAAAGUAUUGAAAAACUUCAACAACUUGCCUUUGUACUAUAUCUCUCAUUGUCAAAGCAACUCUGGACACCCGUACACCACUUAUCUUGUGACGGAAAAAAUCAUCAAGAUCUUCAACUCCUGCAGGAACUCCAAGUGGGAAGCCAAACUCCGCAUCAGGCAAUCUUCCAGAUUCAAGCUCAGAAAUGAGUCUUUUAUCAUAAGAUGAUUUAAGGUUUUUCUCCCAAUCAACAACACUAGCCACGUUUCCGUACUUCUUCACCAAAUUUCUUGCAUAAACCAAAGCUGAAGAACCUGAAACCCUUCCGGUAGAGGCCAUUGUGGCUGCAACUCGAUGCAUUGCAGCUUUCAAGGUUUCAGGAACAAGAUCUGCGGCUACGAUUAUAUUUUCAUACCUAAAACAGAACAGUAUAAAUAGUUCACUUCAUCACCCUCACGCAUUAUAUAUCUUCAUUGAAAGAUGUAUACCAACCAGAAACUCAAGUUUUAUCAUAGUUUUGAGAAAGGAUGGACUUUAUUAUCUAUAAAUCAGAACUAUGAAAUUUGGUAUUGGAAGCAGACAAUGCAACAGGGAGUACAAUGCUUGAGCUUAUAUUCAAUGGCUUCAAAUGUCAAAUGCUUCCACAAAAUAAAAAGAAUAAAAAUCACCAAAGUUUUAAGAAAAAAUACUACUACCCAGGUCUUAAGAAUUAUUUAUCACAUGAAGAUGUCCUGAUAUAUUUUAACACCAAAUGAAGCCACAGUUAAAACUUUUCGCAAGAGCAAACUUAGACAUCACAAUCUCCAACAACUUUCUCAUUCCCUAAAAUCAACUUCAAAGUUUUCAUAUGCUUUCUAAACCACUAAAUCCAAAAAUCAAGAUGAAAAUGGAAAAAUGUAGGGCCCAAUAACACAAACUGUCUCAGGGAAUCUAAUAUAUAUGUUCAAUAUGAAAACAAAAGUUUUUCAAAUUUUGUCACAAAUAGAGAGAUCCUGCCAAAACAUGAUUCAAAAGAGAGGCGUGUUGGAAAAUGCAUGGAUAGUUGUUUGUACAUAAGUAGAAGCUGCAGUAGUCCAGAAGGAGAAGCAGAAAAGCACAAAGCAUAGACAACAACUCGUCAAAGAAAUGCAAUUCAAAAUCAAUAUCAACUAACAAUCUACAGUAACAAAACCUUCAUAACCCAAAUUCUGUUUGAAAAUACUUGAAUGGCUAGUUUGAGAGUUUAUGAUAUAAAAAAGGAGUUUGGGGGGGACCUAAUGUAUCAGAGAAAAGAAAAGAAGAGAAGAGAUCAUAAUGUUGUUUGGGGAUUUAAGAAAGAAAUGGAAUGAUUUUGGAUACACAUGUCAUUAAAAUUUUGUUUAGUAGUCAUCCAAGGACAGAACUGAUCCUUUAAAAGAUUUACAAGGCUUUCCCCAACUUUCCAUCCAAAUCAGCCCAUAAAUGGGUGGAAAAAUUUUUAAACUGUACCAAAAAAAUUCAUCCGUCUCAAUCCAGCUAAAUCCGUUCUUUUCUGUCUUUGAAGAAACUGGCAAGUGAAUGAAAAGUUUCCAUUUCUCUCACUUUCUUUUCUUCUCUCAUCCAAUCCUACCUCACAAAACAAACUGUAAACGAGAGGCCCAUUUGGAUUGGGUGUUCUUUGGGGUGUUACUAUAAACCUUUACUGUUAAUAACGUUACUUAAAAACAUACUGGAAUAGGUGUUGUUAGGGAGUUUUUUAAGGUGUUUUAUGCACCGCCAGAUCCCAUCUCCACAACCCUGCCACCUCCCCCUUCUCCGCUUCCUCCUCCCUCCUCCCUACCUGCAAAACUCGUCCUCCCCCUGGCCCUCCCCUCCCCCUUCCCCCACCCCAACAAAACAAAAACUGCCUCCUGCCCCUCCCCGUUCUCACCUCCCCUCCCCAGCAACCACUACCAGACCAGAUCUGGUCAUUAAAGAAGCAGGCCUGAAGGAAGGGGAUACCCCCCCCCGGGGUGGGGUGGGGGUGGAAGAAAAAGGGGCAAGGGUAGCAGUGGGUGGCAGGGGUGUCUUUUGGGGGUAUUACUGUUGGUUCUUUUUUUUCUUUUAAUCUUGUUUGGGGGUAUUCUGAAAUAUGCUAAUGUAAAAGGUUAGUUAAUCACAUUAUCCAAAUCCCUUCAGAAAUGGUAACUCAUAAGUAGUUUAUCUAUCUAGGACCAGAAAGAAAAUUUUGUGAAAAAGUCAAAUUAUUAGAUGGUGCAAAGUGGUCAAUGUCACAACGUUGUCCAAGACCUUCACUACUAUAGGUCAAUAAAGAAGAAUCAAGCUAACAAUAAAGCCUACUAGGAAACAGCCCUAACAACUUGAGAGACCUUGAUAAAUUUUAAUAGAAACAAAGACCGAUGUCUAAUUUUAACUUUAUUUGGGAAAAUGAAAAGUUCAAGUGGUGCCUCUGUAGUUGGAUUUUCAACCUUUGAACCAUCCUUGAGUAAUAGAUUGAAGAUAAUUUUAUCAGAAGUGAGUAUACCCAAGGAUACUGGAUAGUUAAGAACCAGGGGCUUCACAAAUUAGGUAGGAACCUGUUAGGUUAUUUACACAAUCACAAAAACCACACAGGGUCACUUGACUAGUAUAAACACUGCAAACCAUUUUCUAGAAGGUAAGGAUAGGGAAAUCUAAUGAUAUUCAAACAUAAAACACUAAUGCAGGAGGCAAUAUAGCAAGCAAUGCACACAAAAAAUCACAACAGUCAGCAAAAUAAUUCAAAGCCAAGCUGACAAAAUGACUUGAGAAAACCAAGAGCACACCUCCUAAUAGAUGAUACAAGAAAUGCCUCCCCGACUUCACAAACAACAUUCUCCGUAUUUCUUGGAAGCAUUAAGAUGUUCCGACCAGCGUGGAUGGAAGCAGCAGGGCUGCUAAGAGCUUUUGGCAGCAACCAGAGAAGAAACCUGGCAGCAGAUACUAAUUCAUUAGAAACAUCCAUCAGAUACAAAAUCAUAGAUAAUUCAUCUUCACCAAGCUUCCAUCGCACAGAGUUUGCAUCAUCAACAGCAGAAUAUGGUCUGCCAUAUUGACCAACUUUUGCUGCAGUCUUUUCAGCUUCUUCAACAAGAUGCUUUACAACACUUAUCAACCAUAACAUCACAGUUCUCUUCUCCACAAGUCGCAUCUUUUUCAGAACUUUUCCAAUUGAAACAAUGUCACUACCAUAUGCCAUUCUGAUCCCAUCCCCAGAUUUUGGAGCAUCACCUUCAACACCAGUUCUAUGGUGUGGGCAGUUCACCCUAUUAUCACAAACAUGACUUGUGGAAGCCCCUUGGCUACCUUCAAUUCUAGCAGCUGCUAACUGUGCAAGGCUUUGUGUUUUACGAACACCCUUUUGCCUCCCCCUUCCAGAUUGCUUGGCUUGCUUAGGAGGUGGAUCCAUUUUGUCGAGAGACUUCGGGCCCCUCCUCAGCCACCAUAUAUCUUCAUCAUCCAAUGCAUUGGAUAAAAAUCCCUGUGGGUAUGAGCUCCUAUCUUCACUCAACUUUUGUCUCUUCACCCUUCUACACUCUUCACAUCCAGGUGUUCCUUCACCAAUAUCGAUCUUGGUAAUAGAAGAUCCCGUAGAUCUCUUAAAACCCCCAACAAAAUUUUCUAGUCCACUGUCACUUGACAGUGAUGAACUAGGAAGCUGCAGCAACAUUACUAUUGAAGCCUUUAGAUCUUCAAGCUCAACAACUUGAUCAACAUUUUUGGUAGUUAAACUGGAUAUCCCCUGAAGAGAUCUCCACUGAUCAACAGAAGAAGGAUCACUGCCACCUCCUGAGUUAUAAUAAUGCUUUUGUUUCUGCCAAGAGCUGCCAGAACUCUUAUGGCAAUCAAGCAGACCACGAAGUACCAAGCGACGCUCAUUUGCAUAUGUAUUAAUCACCUCCAAAAGCAUUGCUCCUUCAAGAACCUGUGCUUCUUCGAGAGCAUCAUGUACAUAGGAACUAGGAAGCUGCUUCAAAAUUCUAUGAUGUCUCUUCCGUCUCUCCAGGUCAACUGAAAUCCCAUUCCCAUCCAUGAUUCCACUAACAAUUAAUUGCCUCACAUAUGCCUGGGGAUAGAAGAUACCAGCCCUCACAAGUUCCAUUAUGAGUAGUUGAAGCCGCUUGACGCCUUCUCCACUGUGUACUUCAUGUUGAUCAAUCCAGCAGACAAUAAUGUCAUGUAAAGGGCUCGGGCUUUCAAAAAUAUUUGACAAAUUUCUAGUUUUCCCACUCUUUAAACUGUAUUUAUUUUGUUCACAAGCAUUGCCAACAGGAAACCUGCCUGGAUAAUUAUUCUGCAAAUCAGGAUCUUUGGCUAGAGUAUCAGGAGCAAGGCUACUCUCGUUCUUGCCCUGAGACAAGCUUUGCAUCUCUCUCCUCUUGAGCUGCAAAAUCCGUAUAGCAAUAUAUAUCUGAGAGAGGUCUUUUCUCCCACUGAACUUCUGGCCUGAUGGUGGGCCAGUGCGAAAAUCCCUAAAAUCACAAGUUGCCCACUCACAAAUGAAAAAGAUAGAGGAAAUAAAUGACAAGGUCACUACUCCAAUAUACUUGAGCGAUGACCGUAGACACAAACUCACUUCAGCAAUCCAACGUUCAUCAACAGCUCCAUCACAAAGAUUUUCAAAAAGAAGUUUAUAUGCCACUGACACAUCUCCGUGAAUAAGAGAUUUAUCUAAUGCCAGUAAAGCUUUAGCUACAUUUUGACUUGGAUGUCCCGGUCUGGCAGCCUUUGCAAGGUUUUCUGCACGUUUCUGAAUAGAUGAAACAAUACAGUUUAUGGUCAAAGAGUCAGGGUGAACCUCAACACCCUUGUCUCUCUGCAAGCAGGCUACUUCAAGGGGACCAGUUUUCAUGUUGCUUUCAUCUUCAGCUAUCUUCAACAAAAAACUCCCAUCAUUGACCACAUUAGUUACCAAACACAAUGGUAAGGGAAAGCAAUCCAAAGCAACAAAAGUAUCAGGAACAGCAAUUAUCAAAUAAUGAAGCAUCUCAACAAGAGCAGACAUGGUAUAAGCCCUUCGGGAAUUAUCUACAAGAUCAGACCCACCAGGAGAAGGUUCUUGAAUAAAACGCAUAGCUAUGCCAACCAGAGUUCGCACGUAGGUCUGACAUAAUACGACGGCUUCGAUUACACCAUAUAUUACAGGCAGUAACAACUGCAAAAUCCCAAGACGCUCUUUUUCCUGGGAAGGCAAAAAAAUGAAAUUACCAACAAAAGUAUUACCAGUUGAUGAAAUUUAAUCAAAGUACAAUAUAUUCAAAAUCAUAUGUAGAAUACCUGCAGUUGAUUAAAAACCCAAUCAAUAAUGAGAGAUGGAACAAUCAGUCCUUCUGCAUGGUGCCAUUGUAAGAGCCUAACCACAUACCACCACUUAAAAUGCAAAGAAGGCUCAUCAGCAUCAGUAGAAGUAGAAGCAGCAUCAUUUCGAUGUUGUAGGGUCCCAGGAUAAACCAUUUGUGGUGAUCGAUCCCUAAUAUGCAGAGUGGAAUGAAAAUUAUUUUUUGAAACAAACUCAUCCAAGAACGCCUGGAGGUAAUCUAUGAUAUCUUUUGUCCACUGCUCUGAUCGCGAAAACUGCGUUUUGUCAGGCACACCACCAGACAAAUUGGAAGAGCCAGGCCGUACCUGCAAGGUGAAACCAUAAUCUGCUAAGUUCAACAGUAUAUAAUAAAAAAAUAAUAAUUCCAUAACAAUAUUGCAUGGAGGGAUACUCAAUACCUGAUUAAGAUAAGUCACUUUCACAAACCAAGUAGCUCUGAGUAGUGGAACAUUAUUCCUAAUGAGAACUUCAAGAAGAGAUUUCCUCCGGUAACCAUGAGGAACAUGAUCAGCCAAAGAACACAAUCUUUUAUGCGGUUGAGAUAAUCCCUGGGAAAAUGUUCAAAUAAUGAGCUAGCAGACACUAGGGUUACAAAAGAAAAGAGCUUUAACACAAGAGACUCAUGCAUCUGCAUAGGAUAUACAGUUGCUCAAGUUAGAGUUUUAACCUCAAAAACAUGCCAAUGAAUAGCGUAUUUUGUUUACUAGUCAAGUAAAUCCCCUCCCCUGCUGUAUAACCCUACAGGUCACCCCAAAGCUUCAUUAUGCAUUUCAUCUUCUCCAUAGGGAAUGAAAUAUGGAGGAAGCAUUUAACAGUGGCAACAGAUGUAUCAAAGCAGGUCCCCAGGACCGUUCAAUUAUGGACCUAAGUACACUAGAAAGGCCCAAACAUGGCUUUUGGACACAAGACUCUACAUAUCCUUUACAGUCAGUUUCAAUGUUGCCCUUGCAAAUGCAUAUCCAAUUUUUCAAUGUAAAAAAUACUACAAUCAUAUAUUUUCCAAAUGUAUAUCAUAUUUUACUCAUGUAACACUACGUUUUCUUAGUGUGCAUCUGUGUGUUUUAUAGUUUAUAAACAACAUGUCCACCAUCUACUUUUACAACAGACACAGGAGGAUAAUUAAAGACAACAAUGGGAAUGAAUCUUUUGUCACUGUGGUAUCAUCCACACAAGGAACUAACAUUCAACCAAAAUGUUAGUAGCUAAGCUCUUUUCCAAAGUUUUAAAAUUGUCUGUGCCUCCUUCAGUCCUUGAUUGAUUUAUUAAGCUCAUUUUCAAUAAAUUCCCAGUGAUUCUGCUUAUAACAAUGGGAUAGCCAUCAUGAAUUAAAACUUUAAACUUGGAGGGUUUACACCCAAUAUUCUUUUCAUUCAAUAUACAAAAAUUCAGGUUAUUCAAUCCCCUAAAAUAGCAAGCCAAUGAGCAACACUGAUUUUGUGGUACGAGCAUAUACCCUAUAGGAUCUGAGUGACAGGCUUAAAUAGAAGAACUUCCAACAUGUUUCAGGUUUGCAUAGAAUAAAAACACAAGUGUCAGUCCUGUUUACAUCCAUAUAAACAUCUAACAUGCAUAGGUAAUGACUGACAGAAUAAAUUGUUAGAGUAUAAACAAUAUUAAUUCCAGCUAACUAGGACACUGCACAUCAAAUUUAAUUCCAGCUAACUAGCACACUGCACAUCAAAUUUAACAUGCAUAGGGCAUAAAUGUUUGUUCAUAAUCUAUGACAAUUCAGACUCAAAUGAUUGAAAUAUAUCAACAUCAACUAGAAUUACACUUUUAUUAGUUCUAUAGGAGCCAUAUGCACAAUAGUCAUCUUCAACAAUAUUUUCUGUUACUUAUUCUUAAGAAUAAACUCCUACUAACUGUCAUAAACCACAAUGUAAAACUACGAAUGUCUAGAACAUGAUAACACCAAUCCAACACCCAGCUCAUCCUGUAGACUUCAGUACUAAAAGGAAAUAAACACAUUCUCGCACUAGCAUAUGCAAGAAAGCCAUAUCCAUGAACACACAAACCCAGAUGCAGAAAAAUAUUUAGUGGAGACUAACCUCAAUCCAUUUCUUUCGAAACUCUUCACCACAUGGUUUUUGCUCAGGAAAGGCGCCAGGUUUACUUAAAAGUGAACCUGAAAGAGGCACACCAUAAACUUGGCCCGCCUGCAAAAAUAGGAGCAUUUAUCCAUUUUAUGCUUUCAAAAUACUUCAUUACAACAAUCACAACAAUUUCCAUAAUUGUCCAGAUAAGUAACAAGUAGACAGGCUAAACCACCAACAAGUAAACAUUAAUUCAAAAAAGAUAGAGAUGGACAAUUUUCCCACAUUUCAGGAGACAUGCAGGACAGGUUUUUAAUUUAGCCAAGAUCAAUAUAAUCAGCUCAUCCAUCAAAAAGUCGGGAGGAAAAACAGCAUCACCUUUCGUUUUUGUGCACGGGACUCGUUAAUAGCCCUGUGACAUUUUCUUAUUGACUGCAAAAGAGCACAGAAACAAAGAGAGACGGUAUCAGGCAAGCAUUACUUCCAAGUCUAAUGAAUACCAAGCCUACAAAUGUGUAGCUCGUUGAAAAUAAAAGGGGAGACCGGUGACACCAUUAAACACAGAACAAUUACCUCCUUGCACUUGAGGAUGACUGGCUUUGUAAAAGCCUGAAUUUGUGAUAAUGAAGUCUCUCUAUUUUCCUGGAAACAUUAGUGAAGACAUAUCCCUACUGAGGUACCAACUCCAAUAAAAGAAAAAAUAAAGAUUGCAAUAAUCAUAUCCAUACAACCAUAAAAUUCUAAAUAGAAGACACCCAAAAAGUUACCUCAAUCCCUUCAACCGUCUCCCUGUAACCAGACUGCACAUAGUCCCUGGUCAACGUCUCCUCAGGACAAGUAGGAGUCUGGAGGUGAAAGUCAGGCGGCCCAAGCCUGUCAAAUGGUACCCAAUUAAUAAAUUAACACUGGUUGUCAUUGAUGAUGAUGGUACAUAUAGAAACAAUCUCAGAUGAAAGGACAAAAGAUCUACAAUGGGCAAUCAUAAUUUCAACAGAAAUUACCUGGAAUUCAAUGGUUCUUUAUCACACCUCAGUUUAUAUGGAGUUAAAGGUAACGGUCGCCUGAAGGAGCAAUAUUAAAAUCACUAAGCAUGUCAGCGGUAUUUUAAUUGGAAAAACUAACCCAUUUAUCUCUUAGGAGCAAAAUAAAUAGGGGAAACUAAAAACCCUAAUUCAGUUACAGUAUAAUUGAAAUAGCAGAAUGAAGCUAAACAAUUAGAGAAUAAAAUAUAUUAUCUUGAAAUCUGUUUUAACAUUGAGAGAGAUGGGUUCUCUAGAUAUGUGCCAAAUGCAACCACUUGAAAAAAGUUAAUCAGACACAUUACCCCAAGUCAAUGACUACAGAAGAGUAAGUCAGCAAGACUAAUCUGGAAAUUAUACAGGAUUUUGCACACUAACAUCCAACUAAAGGCAUUUCCCAUACAAGAAAGCGAGCUGCUAACUUAUAUAGAAAAUUAUUAAUAUGCUAUGACUAUGAAGCCAAUUUCUGCAGAUAUGAAAGAACCAUAGGACAAGAUGCCUCGAGUUAAGAAGACAAAAGAGCAAGGGAGCAAGAUUUUUAAAGAAAUAGUCGUGGACCAAAAUAAUUCCAACUAGAGGCUACUUGCCAUACCCGCAACCAUCAUCAAAAUUUUAUACACUUCUUUUAAAGGAAUCAAAAAGAAAGAAAACAUCACCACGAUAACAGUAACAUGAUUAAGAUAUUUGAACAGCUCAAUCACAAGCAAUAAUGAGUUCCAAAGCACUACAAACUGAAACAUCUUAUCAUCACGUUACCAGCAGACAACAAUGUUGAUUCAUCAGGACUCCGAGAUAACAACGUUGAUUCAUCAGUUCUUUACAAAUCAUACUAGCAAUCUAUUCAAAUCGGUGCAAUUUUAAUUUUAAACCAAGCCUAAAAUUUUUUUAAUUACCCCAUUUAAAAAAAAAGGCUAAGUACAGUAAAUAUCCUUAAACCAGGUGUCUGUGAUAUAAUUAGUUUUCACUGAUGUGACUGCUUCUACCUCUCCUUUACUUAAAUCACCAUACAAUUAAAUAAAGAAAUUUCAAGCACCCUCACAAGAUACAUUUUUCUAAGCGAAACCCUUUCCUUUUGUUUCUCAUCCCUCUUGAAACAGAACACUAGACUUUCAUUUCCAUUCUAAGUCAAAACACAACGAGUGAGUAUUACAAUCUUCUCUUUUCCAUUGCUUUCUUUCCAGUAAGUGGAAUUUUGUCCUCUCCUUUCUUUUUUCUUAAACCUAGACAUACCCCAAAGGAAAUCCCAUAAAAUAUGACUACAUUAAAAUUCCAAUUACAGAUUUAACAUGAAUAACCACUGCAACAGCUGGAUACUCAUAAUCGUUUUCACUUUAAUUAAUCCUCCGAAAGUACAUUUUGAUCAGAUCUGAACUAGUGAAUUGAAUACCCAAAGUCAUGCCUCAAAUAGGAUAAAUUAUAGCAUUUCUUAACCAUCCAAGUUAACAUGAACUAUUGAUUCAGAAAUCUUUGGUCGUAAAUAUGUUUCCAGUUCCAGCUUCUCAUUGUUUCCAUCUAAAAAUCACUAAUGCUCAAAAUCAUCCUAACCAGAAGAUGAUAGGAAACCAUUAUUGAUCAAACAGCAACAAAUUCUUUACUGAGAAUGAAAUGAUAAACUGGAUAUCAGAACAUUUGGGCAUAGUAGCAUGCACUACUGCAUGUUGGACAUAACUACAUGAUAAUAUAAUAUGUAAUGAUCCCAAAAGUUUUAAAAGAAAAGAAAAAUUAUCAUUGGUUAAGCUUCUAUAUGCUUUGUGUGUAUCAAGCAUUUGCAAUGAAGCAAGUAUAAACAAGCAUGAAUUGCAUUUAACAUGCUUGAGCAAAAAAUUAAGAGCCCGUUUGGAUUGCUAUUUGUUGGAAUUUUUGUUAAAAAAAUACAUCGUACCUAUUUGAUGCAUGUGAGGUAAAAAGGUGAUUGAAAACUGUGUUCACAAAAAAUGUAAAAAUCUUUCAGGAAAAAAUGGCAAUCCAAACAAGACAUAAGAUUCUUGUACCUAGAAUUCAAAGAAAAGUUUGACGGAAUGGAAGAUGACUCAGCUCGGGAAACAUCCCUAGCAGAUCCUCCAAUGGCAGUGUUAUUGACUGCACUAGUGCAGCUGGCAGCAUGAUACCUUUGCAUGUCUCCCAGCUAUCAUCUGCAUGCUGCCUUCAGCAUUGAACCUCAGCAAGGUUUAUGCUGGUCAAACUGCAAUAAAGAGCAUGAAGGAUAAAAAAAAAUUAUAAACAAUCAUAAUUAUAUUAGCCAUAGAAUUUAGCAUUAAAGAGCAGUUAUAAAUGACACAAAAUGUAUUUUAGGGCACAGAAGUCAGAAGAACAGCCAGACCGAAAAGACGAUUCAACAGAAGUUCCAUCUCAACAAUUUAAACAACAUAGGGUCAAACUUGUCGGUUGUGAUAAGCAUUAGCACUUUAGACAUUAAAAAGUGCAAUACAGAAUUGAUUUUUCUAAGACUGAAGAAUUUGAUUUCCCAUGGUAAGAGGUCAUCAAAGAAAGGAAAAAAGGAAUUGCAAAUAACUGAUUAAGAGAAAAUUAGAGGCUAAGAAAUUGUCAUUAAUUGCUAAGACGGACAUGACAACAAUUUGUAACUACACGACAAUUUAAAAUUAAUGCAAAUUUCUCCAGAACCUUAAAGCCACUAUUCUUCGUUGCAAAAAGCAUGGUAAAGCUUGAACACAAUAUAGGAGGAUAAAUACAACAGUGUUCAAGAUUAAAAGCCGGAUUUGAAACCCUAGAGAACCUCGCACAAGUGACAGAAUAACUUUGGACACUGAGAAUGAUAGGUCAAUCACGCAAUGAAGCUACUCCAAUUAAUCUUUGGGCGUCAUUGACACAUGACACCCAAAGAAAUGUACGAAUUGAUUCUUUACCCACACUCAGAAGUUGAGCGCUUUAACAUUUAAUGACAUUACUACUAUUGUGUCUCAGAGUGAUUUAUUGAUCCUAGCAACUGAGCCACUAUAAAAUUGCAUUGUACCAUCACAAAACGUUCAAGUUUUAAUCACGUAAUGAAUCCAACAAGACCUUUGCAAGAAGUGAGCCCACAACAUUUCAUAACCAUCUAAAACAAAAAAGAACAGCCCCACCCUCGACCCCACCCACGAGGAAGUAGAAAAACUCACGAACCUGACCUUCCUUUAGCAUAAAAAUCAAGGCUUCCUUUCACUUUUAAAGAGAAGACCACAUGGAGUUCCAGCUAACUAGGGCAUACAAAAGUCCUCUACUUAAAAAUCACACAGAUUCAUCAGAUGAGUGAGUGCCAUAGUCCAGCUUUCCACCCUAUAAUAAACUCUUAAACGCACCCAAAACUAGUUAGAAAAACAAAUUCACCCUUCUUCACAGUCAACGUAUCGAAAACUCCAAUGCAGGUCCAAUCGCUUCCACUGGCAAAGCAAAACACACAUUUUUCUAUAAAGACUCUCCAUCUGUUUAGUUGGCACAAAGUUCCAAAACUAAAUCCCAUCUACGGCUAAACAGCUACACUACCACAUAUACUACUGAAAAGCAUUCUGAUCCAAGAAAAUUCAAGAAAAGAAAAAAGACCCAAAAAAAAGAAUUCCGGGCAACCACAGCUGAAAUGUGUAAGAACCAAUCUAAAAACCCCCCCGCCAUCAAAUCAACCACAUUCAAUCUUGCAAAUUUCCAAAUCCCACUGAAUCCAAUUAUACACAACUGCAUAAACUGAAAGGAACAGACGGAAGAGCAGAAAACGUAAGAACAACUUAACCUAAAUUUCUUAGAUUACCUUAGAAAGUACAUUAAGAAAAAAAUAGAAACUACCGAAUAUCUCAAGCGGAAUGGUUGUUUCGAUUGUAAAGUUGAAACGAGCUGAACAAAUUCCAAUCACUAGGGUUCAAGAGGAGGUUUUUCAAGAUUAGGGUUUUCACUAAUUGAAGAAAGAAAGAGAAAGAAACUGGUAGAAUGGGAGAGGAGAGAGAAAAUAAGUAGAAAUUCAAUGGAAAUCAGAAGGCGAUUGGGAGAUUUACUGAAUUAGGAUUGAAAUAUCGAGCGAUGGGCAUGUACAUACAAGUGCCUGUAUCUAUGUAUGAAAAUGUAUAUUUAGCCUAUUUUUUUGACUGUUUGUAUAGGUCGAUGUAUAGAUAGAGAGAGAGAGAGAGAGAGAGAAGGCUCUGGGGGCUGGGGAGUGGGGGUUGAUGGUUUGACUCUUCUUUCCUUGCUGCUUUUGCAGAUGAUGACGAUGAGCGCUAGGGGGAAAAAAAAUUAAAAUACGAAAACAUAAUAGAAAUGGAGAAAACUUCUUUUUCUUUUUGAAUAUAUAUAUAUACUCUUAAUAUUUCUUGAGUUUUUAGCGGGGAACAAGAAGUGGGAAAUUUUUAAUAUUUGGGAUUACCUCAAAAAUUUAAUUAUCUUUGCUAAAUUUGUUAUCAGAAAAAGGCAAAAUGAAGGCAAUAUGAAUACUCAAAAAAAUGAUAUGUAAAUCAAACAAACCAUUUGCUCCUGCUUUAUAUAUAUAUCUACUUUUUUCAAGAAUAAUUUUCCUCGAUUUUUUUUUUUGUUACUAUCUUACUACAACAUAAUUUAAUAAAUUAUUGAGGUAGGUAACUUUUUGAAGUAACUUAUCACUCAAAGGUAUGAAUCUAGAUGAGAAAUUUACCGUUGCAUAUGCAUGAUUUGUUCAGUAAAAUCUCAUUUACCAUUUAAUAGUACUGAGUGUGUUUGGACAGUCAAUUAUUUGGCCAAAUAUAUUUGCUGAUAUCACCAUUACAAUUUCCAAUACACCUUUUUAUCUUCCCAAUUACCUUUUUAUCUCACAUACAUCACAUCACAAAAAGUGCUACAGUAAAAAUAUUUCAAAUAACUUACAAUCCAAACACACAUAGUAUAUGUACGAAUGUAGUGGCGACUUAGUACUUACCAAUAUUGCUACAAAGAGGUUUUCCAUUUACUUACCAGGAAAAGGGAAAGAAACAAUUUUUGUAGUCUGUUGGAUAAGAAUACGUUACCACAAGAUUCACAGCCUGUGAGAGUUCUUUAAAUCCGUGAGAUUUUUCAGUAGUUAGCAUAUUUACACCAGUAAAUUAAAUGGAAAUAGCAUUAGGCAAUCGAAUGGUCAAAUUGGAGAGGUCAUCGUGCUGCCAUCAUUCAAAUUGUACACAGUCUAUUCUGAUUUGUCCUGUAAAUCAAUUUUGUAUUCUUCGACUUCAUGGAGUUAGAGGGCUAAUUUGAUUGUUUAUCGACUUAAUUCUAUAUUAAAUGUUGGAUUAUCUUUUCUAUACGCCUCUAUAAAUUUCAUUAACAUUGUGUUGCUGCAAUGGAUAAAAUGGUAAAAUGUAAAGUUUGUUGUGAAACUAAUAAAAUUAACCACGAUAAUAUCAAGUGAAAUAUUAGAGAUAUUAGAGAAAGAAGUAGAGAAAUAGAGAGUGAUUAUCUCAUUAUUCCAACUAAUACAAAAGUCCUCACAAAAGGUAUUAAUGUACCUCUAUGUAUAGGUACUACAACUAUAAGAUUAAAGGUACAUUAAUCCUAUUAAACACUCACUACUACACAAAGAAUAUGAAGAAACCUAUGAAGCGAUUUCUCCACUACAUGAAUAGAUUUAUGGAUUGUAACUUCUAUACAUAAUGUAGCCAUAAAUCAUGAAUUAAUCCUCUUGAUAAUACAAAGGGACACCCACACUUUAAAUUGUUUCAUAACAAAGUUUUUUUUUUUUUUUGGCAUAAAUUGCCAAUACUAACGCAUGCAGUCCAAGAUUAUUGUAAUUUACUAUAGUAAUUCUAGAAAAACUUUUGUGUAUUUGAGGAUUUGGAGAACAAAUUUGUUCUUUCCUUUUUACGUAAAUUGCCAAUACUAAUGCAUGCAGCCCAUGCUAAUAAAAUUUAUGUCGUCUCGUCUUCUAAUGCCCAAACCAAGCCAAGGCCCAUUUUGAAGUGUGUCUUUUGGGGAGUUUGUAUAAAAUUUUAUAAGAAAAUUAUUUGAAACAUUCGUCAUCAAAUGAAUUUUUUAAGUCCUUUUGCUUUUCAAAUAGUAAAUUUAUGUUCUUUACAAAAAUAAGCUGUUAAAAUUUGAUUCUAAUAUAAAUUUUUUACUACUUUUUUAUUUUGAAUUUAUCACAUGACUCAUACAUAAUCCAUUUUUUAAGGACAAAAAAAAUUGGAUCCCAUUUAUAAUUAAACAAAUUACAUGAUCCAUGUUCAUUUUAUUCCUCAAAAAAGUAGAAUUUGAACUGAAUCAUAUUUAUUUUUCUUCUAAAAAAGUAGGAUCUGAGCCAUUUUUGACACUUAAAAAGUGAGAUAUGACAUUUUUGUACAUAAAAAAUGAUUGAAUGUUGGUCACCUGAUAAAAUGAUUGAAUAGUUGUCACGUGAUAAAAAAUGAUUGAAUGUUGGGUAUAUAUAUGACUAUGAAAAAUGCAAAUGAAGUUUUAUUUGAAGAUUUUGAGAUACAGUAAAAAUCUAUAAACUAGUAUUUGAUAAAUUAAUAACUUCUAUCAAAUAAUAAAAUUUUUUGAUCCUGACUUGGGCUAACGAGCUAAAUUGAUAAUUUUGAUAAAAUAAUAAGAUAAUUUUUUUUAAAAACCUUACAUAACCAUUUAGUAUCAUUCAUAUCAUAAAUUAAUAAAAUUACAUAUCAUAUUUUCCUAAACUACGAGUUAAAAUAUGAGUCUAUUGUUGUUUUUUUCCCCUUAAAAUUCUAUUGUUGUUUUUUUUCCCUUAAAAUUUAAAUCUAAAUUUUUCUAAACUUGAGACCUUUGAACUUUAGCCUACUUUUAUUAAUAGAAUAAUUCAUAUUUUUAUAAAAAUAAAAUAAAAAUUUAGAUCAUAUUUUAGAUAGUGAUGGUUAAAUUUUAAUAUCUAAACAACAUUUUUUUCCCUUGACUUCCCGUCCCACUAUAUACAGUGGUGGCCAACUCCUCUAUCGGGGGUUGGUUAAUUAAUAUCUCUUUAAAUUAAUAAAAUUUGUAUCGUUCUAAAAUUAUUAACCUAUAGAGGUUUUAAAUUUGACUCUCCUUUGGAAUAUUAGUGCCUCAAUUUUAUUUUAUUUUCUAAAAUUUGGCCCAUAGUUAUUCCAAUCACAGUUGGGAAUUAAUAAUAAUGUUUGGUGUUCUCUGAGGGCAUUGCAUUUAUGAAUAUGUUAGCAAUGGCAGAUUGCGAUGGUAUAGAUUAGAGUUGUUCGUGAGCCGAGCUACUCGCGAGUAGCUCGGUCAACAACUCGACUCGAACUUGGGUUGAUCGAGUUCGAGUCGAGUUUCGAGUAACUCGACUCCAAAUCGAGUCGAGUAUCGAGUCGCAUAUUCCGAGCUCGUGGCUCGUCGAGUAGUUCGACGAGCCAGAGUUAAUUAAAUAAAAUAUUUAUAAUUUAAAUAAUAUAUAUUUAUUAUAAUUAUAAAAUGACCAUUAUGGAUAUAGGUUAUAUGAAAUUUACAAUAUUAACUUCUUUAUAAUAAAAUCCUAUAAUGGUAAAAAAGUAAUAACAUAAUUGUAAAAAACACUAAAAAGAAAAAAUGUCUAAAAAAAAAAGGAAGAAAAGACUUUCUUCCUUUUCUGUGCCGACUGUGCGACUUUCUUCUCUGUUCGAAGAAAGCCUAGCAAAAAAAUUCACUUUACCAGCCGGCAGCCGACUCUGACUGAUUUAGAUCUACACCCUCACUCCGUUCGUCGCCGACGCCGUUGCUCGCCGCAUCUGUGAGACUCCAUCGCCAUCGCCAUCGCCAUCGCCUUAACAAGUCCCAAGUCCCAAGUCCCAAAUCGAAGCUGCUCUCUGCCUCUCCGGCCUCCGCCAGUCCGCCGCGCUGUACGUCUCCUGUCGGCUGUGUCCUGCCGUGCUGGUUCAUCGCUGCCGAGUGUCGAAGACGAAGCACCAAGAUCUCACUAGUUCAUUGCUGGUUCAUCACUGCUCAUCUCUGGAGCACUUAGGUAAGUGCUCCUCUGUUUUUGGCUCUGUGUCUCUGGCAUUAAAAUGGGCCAAGAUCGACUAGGAAACUUGUUAUCCUGAAUUGAUAUGGGGACGAAAUCUGAGCUUCCAAUUGCAAACUCUAACUGUUGUAGUAGUUUAGAUUAGGUGUGAUAUAACAUAAGCUUUGUAUUUUAUACACAAGAAGCUCUCUCCAGUUGUGCAGCCUUUAAAAGUUAAGGCCUUGGGGUUGAGGCUAUGUAUAGACAUUUGUAAUCUUGUAGAAAGUGGGGUUGAGGCUAUGUGUUGGUGUUCCACUUCGGGUGUUUUGUUUACGGAGUCUUGAAGGUCUUAACUUGCUUGUUUGAUGCUAGAGUUUGCACCCUUGCUACUUCUGAAAGAUUUACAUUUUUGGGACCACACAUGUAUUAGCUUUAAGUACAAUGUGAUUUCUGUGCUAUUUAGUCAAUUUUUAUAAUUUCAUGGCUGAAAGGAAUACAUUUGCUUAUUUUAUGUGUUCCUGGGUAGUUAAAACCUUUAUUUGAAGUUUUUGUAGUAGAAGCUACAUUCCAUCAGAUAGUUGUUAGUGUUGUUUGAGGAUUUUGCUCUAGUAUCUGCUGCAUUUUCCUUUUUUGCCUGCCGUUUGUAUAAACUUAAUGACUAUUGUCUAGUUUUGUUGCAUUAGUUCGUGCCUGCAUUAAUUUUUUUGCUCAGAAAUAUUAAUUGUUAGAUCUGUGUCGUUUUCUUGUGAUUCUAGUUUGGAACUUGUUCUUUUCAUUUUCUUGUUAUUCAAGUUAUAUUCCAUCAGAGAGAGAGGUGUAGCUGUAUUUGAGCAUUCAUUUUUGCAUGUUGAAAAUAAGAUCUUGAGUGCUGUUGAUUGCUAUUUUUAAUUUUACUUUUAUUACAAAUGGAUUUAGAUCUGCUUUGUACGUAGAUGAUUAUACUUGUGUUUAUGCAUGUAGCUGUGCCAAAGUUUAUCGGUCUUCAUACAUGCCCUUAUGACCUCCUCAGUUGAGCACAUGCGCAUGCCUUUCUCUCUCUUUAGAUUCAACUCCUGGAUACUGAGUUGACUGGUUGCAUCUCUACACUAUUGCUGUCAUCUCCUAUUAUGAUUCUUUUAAGGAAAUAUGGUUUUACCGACAUUAAUCCCAGGGUUCCAUUGUUGGGCAGGACUUAACAACUUAUUAUGGUCCUAUGCUAUGAGGCAUUUGUCGUGGUAGAAGAGUUCCUUUUCUUCCCUUGUUUACCCGCGUAUAGAAGUAUAAAGCUGUUUACAGUCACCUUUGAUCUGGUUUUUUGGUCAAAUCGAGUCAAAAAGCUUGAUAAGACUCGACUUGAUAAGGCUCGAUUAAAGAUCGAGCCUUAUCGAGUCGAGUCUUGGGCCUAAGGAAAUUCUUCGAGUCGAUCUUCGAGUAUCGAUUUUCGGGCUCGAUCGAGCUCGAGUCUCGAGCCUCUGUGUGUAUGAGUCGAGUCGAGCUCGAGUAUAGCGAUACUCGAGCUCGACUCGACUCGAUUACAUCCCUAGUACAGAUUGGGGUGUGGUCUCAGUUAUUUAUCUAUAUUUUGUCGUUGAAUUUGUUAAUUUUCAAGGGUAAAAUAAAUAAAUAAAAAAAAGAAGAGUUGAAAAGUACAUUUUUUAGGAUUUUCAUGAAAAUUUCUACUGUUCAGUACUUAAUAGACAACACUGCCAAACUUAUUGUCAUAGAAUUGUUUGGCAAAACUCAGGGGAGGUAAAUACAAUUAAUCCAUAAAACACCCCGACCUCUGGCGCUUCCCAGCAAUCUGAAGUUGAGUAGAAGGGGCUUCCUUUCUUUCCCCAGAUUCGUCAUCUGAGCAACCUGCAGUUCAGCAGAACCCUGACCUCUGGUGUUCCGGUGCCCUUUUUGGAGGAGCACUGAGAACUAAGGUAAGAGUUUUAAUAGUAUUUUUUCUUGUACAUGCUGUUACGGACUAGUGAAUUCAAGAAACGAAAUAAAACCAUUUACCUUUUGAUUGUUUGAUUUUAUGUCUUUUUGGGUAGUUUGCAAAGGUUGCUAUUGAAUAUCAAAACCAUUGAAUAUGUUUUCCAGCCGUGCUCGUUUGCUUGUUAUGAUCAGCUUAUUUGUUUGCUUGUGAUUAUAGCUUAUUUGUAAACUAAAAGCUGUUUUGGGGUGUUGUAAUUUUGCUUUUGAUUUCUCCUUUUCGUUUAUUAAGUUGAAAACAUAAAAGCUUAAAUUUUUUUUUUUAAAUAGCUUGUCUUUUCGUGUAUUAGGCAUUUUAAUGGAUUAAGCAAACAAUAGCCUGCUCGGUGUUCUGAUAACUCCGUUUUGUUUUAUAAUCCUGUAAGCAGCAGAUACGUGCAUUGACAUCACGAGUUUCUCACCACAAAUAGACUUUUACGGUAAAAAUUUUCAAGAGAAUAUGUAUCUCUAAAGUUUCAGUACCGUUUAAUCUGCAAUCCGUUAUUUGAUAUCAUCGUUGUGAAGAAUGCACAAAUCACUGACUUAGAGCCUGUUCUUGAAAAAUUUUGAAAAGCUAAAACUAUUUACAUCAUCACCUUGGUGACUGGUUUCUGGAGUCAGCCUCAAGUACAGUAAAAGCAGAUAUUCUGUAGAGUGUGUAAUGUGCAUGUGGUGGUUGGAGUGCAAAAGUUGUGUUUGUUGUCCAAAAAUUUGGUAAAUACUGAUACUUUCUGUUUGGUGGUUAAUAGUGGUGACAAAUAUUUACAAGGUGGUGGCGUUGUAUAUUCUAUUUAGUGGUUAUUUUGUGUGGUAAAGCAUCCAGCUCCCGGUCUUGUGGAAGGUAGUGUCAUGCUCAAGUAUGUGGUGCUUUAUGGCAGAGCCUCCAAUUCUUCCUCAUAUUGUGUUGCUGUGAAGUUUGAACAUGGAAAUUCUGUAUUUAUUUGAUGGCUACUUAGGACCAUGUAUGGUCAUAAACCAGUUUUGUGGUUAGCUGCUAGCAUUGAACAUUGGAAUAUUUUAUGAGUUAGUAUUGUAUUUGAGAGUUUCUUUUGAAGUAUGAAAGUUGUAGCUUUCAAUAAUCCUUUAAGUAGCCUAUACAUUUCGUGUUUACUUAUUGAGAUAAUGUACUAAAUCACCAAAUUUGAUAGUUAAGUUGAUAGAAUGUUGUAGAUAGGUUUAAUGAAUAGAUGACUGCAUAGUCAAGGUGGUAUCCAUUAUAGUUAUGAGCUCCUUUAUUGAAUCCAUGAGUUUUUCCUGUCAUCGAAAUUUGUCCAUUAUUUUGAUCCAUUCCCAAACCAUUCAUAUUUUUGUAGCCUAUGCCUUUUUAAUCCUUUCUUCCUAUUGAGCUCUAGAAGUAAUAUUUUUAUGUUAGACAUGAAACAUAGCUGUUUGUAGUCAUAAACUCCCUUAUAUUUAAAGGUUUUAUACUCUUGAUGUGUUUGAUCACUUAUUUCCUUGUUAUUUUUAAUUAGAUUGGUGGAGAGGAUAGUAUGAAGUCAGAUGAAGCUUCAAAAAAAGCAUCACUCCCUCCGCUGGUGAAGUUUAAUAAGGCAUUCAAAUUGGUAACUUUUUCUCAAACUCUUUAACAUUGUUAUAUGUUAAUCGAAAUUCGUUGGCACAUGUCCUCCAUUUGUGACGAGACCUAAGGUAAGGCAAUAUGGUUGUUCUCACUCCAUUUUCAUGGGCAUUUGAAAUUUAUGUUGUUUAAUUAUGCAUCAAGGGAAAACAUUAAAAUGAUUGCAUCCUGAUAUUUCUAUUGAGCCAUGACAUUCACAAACGUAAUUUUACCAGUUCUGCUCCAAGUUCCUUGCUUGCACUAAAAAUCUGUAAUUUAUCGAUUUAACGGAGUUAGGUCGCUUAUUAGUUAUUAACUAUGUACAGGAAUUUUAAUACCAUGUAGUGAUUAAGCUAUUGCUUACAUGCAGGCUGAACAAUGGGUUAAUAGUAUGAGUAAAUUGGAGGAUGAAAAAUUUGCUAAAGUAGAGGUUCGGCCUUCCAGGUGAGUAUAUCAAACGCCACCAUUUCUAUAUCACUUGAUCUGAGAAUUUACCAUGUUAGGAUCCUGUAGGCUUGGGGUUGGUGCAGCAGUUGCCCGUGAAUCCAAAGUCAUUCAGUCAAAUGACCCGAUUGAAAGAAGAUUACGUGCUAAAUUGGAAUCUGAUAAGAAGAAAGUUGUCAAGAAUGCUGAGGAACCUGGAGGGCCUACACUGAAUGGAAGUUCUCAAGAAGAUAGUGACGACGAGGAACUAGGAAGCAGAACAAAAGCAUUUGUGAAAAAGAGGCCUGCUGAUUGGACUUUAUCUCUACAACAAGGAAAGAAAAAACUUAAGUAACUCUGUGGAUACAGUAGGACUGUCUGAAUCAGACCUUUAGUUUCCUCACACAUAUAUAGCUAAAAGGGGGUUCUAGGUUUAUUCCUGACUUUGGUUAUUUUAGUGCACAAGAUCCUUUUUCAUAGGUUGUGCAAAACUUCAAAUCAGUACGCCUGGGGAACUGCCUUUCAAGCCAGCUGCAAGCGAAGAAUGCGAGCUGGCUAUUGUAGCAGAGGAGGGAAGCUAUAAACUGGUCAUCUUUUUAAGUUGAUCCUAAUCAUACUAUGAACUUGAACCAGAACCUGAGGCAGCGUUUCUCCAAUUACUGCUCAGAGUUCUAUUCUAUUUACUGUAGGUCCUUUAAUGGCUAUUCUACUUGCCUUGUUAUGUUGCAGCUUCUCUUAAGGAGUCACUUUUGGUCCUGUUGUUAAAAUUAAGAGAGAAAUGUUGAUACUUUUUUCAAGGUUUGACCAUCUUUGUUAAUCUUCGAAAGAACUUAUUAAAGAUUUUAGUGUCAAAAAAUUUCAAGUGUGAUCAUGUGUUUGGGUGAUUUAGAGACGUUCAUCUCAGUUGUAAGGCAGGUGAUUAGAAUCUAGAAUACGUUUGGAAACCAUUGUCAGCAGGGUGAAACUUGUUUCCUGAAUCCUGUGUAAUGAGACAAAGGAAAAGGAAAAGUUGAAUGUAAUACAUCGGUUGAUUUAUUAUUUCACAAGAGAUUAUGAGCAUUGUUGUGCGUUCUUCAUUUAGUUGAGGAGACUCUCCUUUAUGGAAUCCUCAUUUGACCAUUAUGAUUUCAACUUUUGCUUCUGUUGGAGGGACAGAGUGCAGUAGGUGGUUGAUGCUCGAGGGAAACUGCUUCGGAGUCUUACAUGGUGUCUGAGCUGAAUACUUGCCUAGUGGCUAUGUAAUUGAGAAGGUUAAGUGGGGAAAUUAUUGGAACAACUUUCCCUACCUUCUCCUGUUUUGAUAAAUAGAAAUGCAUAGAUGCAUAAAUCAAAAGGAGUUAACACUUAACGAGUCAUCCUAGGAAAGAAACACCACCAUGAUCUCUGCUAAGAGGAGUAGGGGCAGAGCAUGAUGAAUAAAUAACAAAAGGUUCCAUUUCCACUGCACUCAGCAAACCGAAGAUCAAUUUCCAGCUGAGUAAAGUAAACUGCUUAGGUCCAUGAAGAGUUUGAAUUAAAUGGUGACUGAUGGAUUUCUGUGCAGUACUUCAUUCGCUAAAGCAAGCAAACAAACAUUAUUGUCAUAUACAUGUACACUCAGCUAAACCCUGUAUUUCCAACUUGCACUUGGAAGCGCAAUGGGUAGAGAAGUGUUCUCAUUAUCUUAUGCAAGCCGGUAACCUGAAAUGCAGCAUCAUGCAAGUAAAUCUAGACAUUUCUAGAUUGAAUUGGAAUCAAAGAGGCUUUCCAAAACUGGCAUGCAGCCAAUAAUAUGUUGAGAACAACGGUGCCAAGAAGUAAUAAUAGCAUCAAGUUGUACGAGUCCUCAAAGGAAGUUUGUCCAGAGCGCAAGGAUGUAUUCAGAAUCUGUCGUACUUUUUUUUUUUUUUUGUUUAAAUCAUUGUUUAUUUCUUAGUAUGAGUUAUUACAUCCUCAAGUCAAAAGUUUGUGACAGCAAGAAUGGCAAUUCAACAAGAGUAAGCUAUUUGCAGAGACAGAGAGAGUUAAAGACAGAAAUUUUCACACAGCUAGAUACAGCACGCCUAUCAAAAGCACACCAACCUCUACAACUCUACACUUUCUAGAGAAUGUCGUAUUAAUAAAGUCAGAUCCAAUGAUCACCAUAUCAAAUCACCAACCCAUUUCUGCCAUAAUCCACUAGCACUUUUGCCUUCUCAUGAGCUUGCAUCAAAAGAUGUUUCACAUAAGAGAUCCUCUAUUUCUGUACAUCUUCUGCCACAGAAGGCUUCCAUGCUAGUCUCUUAGCAGAAUAUAGGCUGAGCAUAGUCCUUUAGGCCUCACAAAUUUAGCAUGAGGUAAAAAGAUCACCAAAUGUGAACCUUCAUUAGACCACCAAUCAGAGCUAGAGGCAGCAUAACUGGAAAUGUGGGUUAACCAGAAAAAAAGGACCUUUUACUGCCUCAGCAGACUGAAGAUCAGCUUCUUUUGCAUUAGCUCAGUAAUAACGUCAAUUAUACUUUACAGGUCAACUUUACGAACUUCAAUCAAAUCAGCUGAAGAUGAUAGAGAACCAUUUUUCAAAUCAUCAUAGAUGAAGCUUGAAACCGUGUCCUCUACCAAUUUGUCAAGAAUGGCCUCUUCCAUUUCCGUACCAAUGUGUUGGAUAUCUAAUCGAACAUCUAUCCAUUUUCUGGACUUAGCCAUGUCCUUGUUGAGAAGCUGAUCCAAAGAUUGAGGUGACGGGUCUUGCUGGAGGUGCCACUCAACUCCUUCCCAUAUCUCCUGAAUAAGUGCCAUCCUAGUUGGGACAGGCCGAAUGCUCUGUUUAUUACUCGACAUCGACAGGAAACACCCAAAAUAGCGGUCGCAUACCUCCUCCAGUACUUCGUUAAUACAAUCAAAAAGUAGCUUUUGCUCAUGAUGAGACCGGCUGGAAAACAGCUCCACUUCAUCAUACAAUGUCGAAUCGAGAAUUGGAGAUGAAGAAAGCCACUUUAAUAGAUAUUCAUCCCAGAUCAAUCCUGAACCUAGUAACACUGCUUCUACAUAUUCAAAUGCAGAUUCUUCAUCAUUCAAAGAAGUCUGCAUACACAUCCCUUGGUCACUGGAAGACCUCCACUCCUCAAAAUGAAUUUGCCGUGGUUGAAUUUCUUGUUCAACUAAGAAAUCAAAACAUCCUUAUAUCAAAUAUGAUAUGGAAGUACAACUGACCAUAAAUCAAAUAAAUCUGUAGUUCAUAAAAUCUAAUUAAGUGACCUAACCUGGCCUACGUAUGGUCCUUGCUGGACUGAUAUCAUCUUCAAUAAACAGUGGUUCAAGAACAGAUACAGGACUGGGUCUGUCUGUUCUAUCAAUUGCACCAUCAAAAUCUUCAACUUUUAUAGUGACUGAAGAGUGUGAAGGUGAUGCUGAAGGAGAAGGCAACAUUUGACACUGCUCAAACGAUUCCUGCAAAACAAAACAAGAAUUUAGGCCUGUAUAACACGCACAGCAGGGACACUACAAGAGUAAUAAGAUAUUACUCCCAAUUGUCAUCAGAUGUAAAUUACGAUUCUCAUUUCAAGCAGACAUCAUCAAGAACCAGGAGAUUACCAUCUCCAUUGACUGUGUCAACCCUUCUUGAUGAUAUUGUGCAGCAAUAUCACAGUUUCGAUCAUCUUCUGUACUGUAAGAGCUACUUGAUUCAUGAGCAGCAUUUGAAUUCUCAUAGCAUUCAUGGUCGCCUUUAGUUGUUUCUUCAAAUCCUGUAGCUCCUGCAUAGGAUUUAUCUACCACAUGAUGAAAUGAAGACUAUGAAUUGCUCAUAUCCAAUCUCAGAAAAAAAAAUUAGAGGCAAAAUACCUUCAGCUACCAUUACAUCUCCACCUGAAGACAGCGCUUCGCCAUCCAAAUCAGUAUGAUGGUGCACACAAGACAAACUCCUACUUGCUUCUGGAGUUUCUACUUUCUCAUCAAGACUGGCAUUAGUGGUGCUAGGUUCAAUCUCUGAGCAGUACUUUAAUGAACUUGAGGGUUUCCUAAGAUUUUCUUCAUCAACCUGAUCUGUGGUCUCAUUAGCAAUCUCAAUACCACCAUGAGAAAACAGUGUGCUUUCAGUUGUUACAGAGCUGUCCUCAGUGCCCUUCCUAGGGCUGCUGUUGGCAGAAGAAUUGUAUUCUGAAAAAGAAAGAAUCCUACCCAAGGAUUUUGGUAGCUGCUGACUGAUUAGCUCUGUAUCAUUAUGCCCACUGCUAAGCAUCUCCAAGAGGUGCUUCUUGGCCUCGAGGUAGAUGUUAGCAACUCCCGACUUGGUAUGCACAGAGGUCUCUUUCACUGUAUAUGGGUCAGCGUCGUUUGGUUUGCCGAUUUCAUCAUCCCAAUUUAGAUUGAUGGAAGGUUUGGCAAACCUUUCAGUAUAGAAGUGGUUUCUGUUUGGAGACCGCCACCCUAAAUUUUCUCCUCCAAUUCCCUUCUCAAAAUCAUGUCUCUUUUGAUGCUCUGAUAGAGUUCUAUGAGUGAUUCCAUCAGGAGAGGUACCCUGCCUUUCUUUUCUGAUAGCAUGCUUUAGUUUCCGUUUGAUUUCAGUGAAAGAGAACUGGCUUCUUUCUCCCUGGAUCUUAACUCCCUCAGGAUUGUGAGAUUGCAUGGAAGUGCUAAUAUGUAUCUCUGUGUUUUGUUGUUGCAAGGUCGCUGGUCCAGGUUUUAAAAUAACAAUCUUACUAGAGGACUGACAUUUGUCACUUCCCAUUGAGGGGAAACUUUCCUGUGAUUUGCUCCUCCUCCGGAAAAAGUUUCUGUGUUGUUUGUGGUUGAUGAGGUCGUCUGUUUUUGAAUGACUUAGUUUGUCUUCUACGAAGCCAGAUCUUGGCAAUGAAUUGGAAUGCAGCAGGCCUUUCUCUAAAUGGGCGCUCUCCAAACCUUCAAUUUGCUUUACCAAAAGAGAGUUCGGGUCUUGUAGGAGCUUUAACAGCAAGUCCUUUUCUAAACUCAAUCUAUUCAAAGCAUCCAUGGAUUCUGUGGACUGCUGGACCUGCCCAUUAUCUCUAGAAUGCUUAAUAUUGGAUGAGUUCUGAUCAAUGAAGAUCUUAAUGGCUGCACUUAACUUUCCUUCAUCAACUGCACUUGCCUGAUCUGCUGGCACAUCGAAAUGAUCAUGCAACAAAUGCAUAAUAAUUUCAAAAUCAAUUUUAUCUGAAGUUUUUUGACUGUCAACCUGAUCACCAGACUUAUCAGUCCCUAAAUCUUUCAUGGCAUCCAAAUCACAAAUGUUGAUAUCACUAGACCCCUUGCUGGCUUUCUUUCUAUGUUGGCGGUCUUUUCUUGUAUGACAUCCAUGUUCUGGAUGGCCCAUCUCGGAAUCACUGCUCUGCUUGUUUGGAUCUUGCUCAUUGACCAUCUCUUCUUCCAUGAGUUUCUUCACACUUGUUUUAACAGUAUCAACGGAGGCUAUUCCACUCUCCCUGCCAUCCUUUUUUGACAUAAAACUGAAUUCAGUAUUUCAAUUUAUAUAUGCAAUUACACCAGUAAUUGAGCAUCACUUUGAUCAAUAUGGCAAAAGACUUCCAUUUUCACUCCACAUCCCACAAUAAAAUGACUUUUUGCAACUUUUGAUACCAGAUACUCUUCAAGAUUAGUAAAUGGCUGCAAUAACUUACCUCACUAUCCUGACAGUUUCCAUCGGAAUCAGGUGACAUUAGUCCAGUUUGCGAGGAUCCAGCACCUGUAGCAAAUUUAAAGUAGCUAUAGUCUGUAGAAAUAGUGCUACAUAGAAUUCAAGUAAUUGAAGCAAUACAAAUCAUGAAAAUAUGACAUGAACUGCAUUUAUAUUGCUUAUCAAAGAGGUUCCUUACCGUCAGCUUUCCUGCUCCCCUUUCUUCUAUCUGGAAGGAGCUUUUUAGUGGAACGGCCAUGGCGAAAAUCAAAGAUGCUGAUCAAUCCCGAUAUACAACCUGUUUGAUCCUUUUCAUACCGCAGACGCCGUCUUUGUGACCUCUUUGCCAUUAUCUCUGGCAACUCUCAGCUGUCAAGUUGUUGCUUUCAUGUAUAUUUUCUUGCAAACGGGAACGCAAAAAGCCUGAUUAAGAAGUGAAAAAAGAGUGAGAUGAGAAAACAGUAUAGGUACUUCAAUCCAAAAGAUGACAUUGAUGCAACAAAGUUUUCAGAUGAUGAAUGCACUGAGAAAAGGAGAGAAAUGUACAAUGACAGGAGAAGUAGAAUUAUUAAAACUCUGAACCGUCUUAUGUAAGCCUGGAAUUUCAGUCAAUUCAUCGCAUCAAUCAACAAAAGAAUACGAGGUUUGUCAUAUGCCAUGAUCGUAGUUCACUCUGCAUUGAUAUAAACGAACCUUUGAAAGAAAGUUUCGCAAUUUAUUUUUUUAAAUUUAGAAAAGAGAAAAGAUUCUAAACUUGCUCUCAAGCAAAAUCUAGAUUCUUUUCUUUCUGUAAUCUUUACAAUUUUGGCAGGGGGAAGCUUCUUUUAAGUAAUCUAGUGAGCAUGUGAUCAUGUAUUUUCUUGCAGAUCACUAUGAUCCCUCAUAUAAGCAUCAGAAACGUUGCAAAAGUCUUGUAUUGACAAAAGGGGGUGGGGAAUAGCAGUCCGAUCCUUCAUAAACCCACAAGUACGAGAUUGUUUUGCACCAAAAAAUAAAAAGGUACAAGUAACAUACAAAUACAAACGCAAGGCAGAUGAUUUACCUGCAAUUUCAGGCUCUCAGAAACACUAGGACUAACAAAAACAAGCAUGCAUCCAGAUAAAACUUUGCCGAGAUCCAAAACAGAGUAAUUUCAGCUGCUCAAGGAAAGUAGUGCUCUCUAGCAGGAAAGCAAGUCUUAACCUUCUUUGUCGGUGAUAAACCUACACAGUAUUUCCGAUGGUACCAGUAGAACCUUCCUUUCAAACCAGCUUUUUCAGACAAGGACAACUACUCCUAAACUUCGAAAUACAGGCAGAAGAUCCACUUACUGGAUUGUAGUCACAAUUUCCACUGGCAUUAAUCAAUCUCACACACUCUGAUGCAUUGUCACUUCUUAAUGAACUCCAAAAUUAAAACUUUCUGCUUCGUUUUUUGCUUUUGAUCAGGAAGAGAGGGAUCAAACUCCUCAGAAACCCAAAAUUCACACUAGUUCAAAUUCAACAGAAAUCUAUAUAAUACUUUCUCAAGAAAAAAAAAAAGAUUCCAAAUUUACACCUGUCCUGAUUGCUAUAUAUGCAAAAGGGCAUCCGAAAGUAAUAUAAAAUUUCAAUCUUGACAAAGCUGGCCGAAAGCAAUCCAAAGUAGUACAGAUAUGAAGGAAGCAAAAAAUCCAGAAAAAAAAAAAAAAGAGAACCCCCCACGAAAACCCAAAAAUUGGUCUUCUUUUCUUCUUCUAUCCGUGAUGAAGCGUUGCUUGAGGGAAUUUUCUAUGCACAGAGGACAAAAAGAGGGGGAGAAAAAACACCGCCCCACGUAAUAAAAUGGAGAAAAUGUGCGUGGGGUGCAGCCAUUAAAGACUAAGGAGGAAGAGGGAAAGUGGGAAAAGAUAGGAGAGAUGCAGAGAAGAAGGGGAGAAAAAAGGGGGAAAGGUUGGAAAGUAAAAGUAUGGGGAAACCUUUAAUAAUUAAAUUUCCCUUGGAGAUGCAAUUGAGGAAAAGGGAUUAAAUUGGAGAGAUUAAAUUGGAGAGGAAACUGAAGAAGGAGAAAUUGGAAUUGGGAAUGAAAAGGUGGGACCAAUAAACCAGAACGAGGAGACCAAAGUUGAUGGGGAGCUUUCCAGUGAAGAAAAGUGAUGGUAUGGUUGGUGUAUUUGAGUUGGGAAUGAUUUUGCCAUUUUCUCAUGCUCUUUUCCUCUCUUCUUCUUGCCCAAUUCCAUUUCUUCCACGUCCAGCUAUCAUCAUCAGUCUCACCACCCAAUUCCACACCUGUGUCUCUUUCUUUUAAGACUUUUAUCUGUCUCUCCUUUUUCUCUGUCUACUGCAUGUACAUUACUUCAUGUCCAUUUCAAUCUGUUUCGGUAGGCAUCGUUGGGAUAGUCAGACAAAAGUUCAUGGGAGCCUUGGCCGCAUACGCAUUGAAAGGGAGAGAGAGUUAACCAAAUUGAUCAUAUAUGCACGUUGGCGUUAUCUGUUACGACAGUGCUUCUACAACGCGUAUAUGUGUGUGUGGUUCGGACUUUCAAAACACAGCAAUUCAGUGGGUCGGUAAAUUACAUGUCACCACCCAUCUGUAGUUUUAUUAUAUAAUGUCACGUAAUUCUUCGAAAGUUUCAAAAUAGCCACGCAACUUUUUUAUAAUUUUAUAUAAAAUAAAAAAAUAAAUGAAAUGCAUAAUCGGUCGCAGUGAUUAAAUUACACGCAUUUUACAAGAACAUGUAAGAACACUACUGGUGUUUUAAGUAACAAUAAUAUUACAUAAGCUAUUUUUCAUUAAAUUUCUAGUUUACAUGAAACCAUAAAAGGGGUGAUUUCUAGUGGACAUUUUAAAACAUUUAAGAGGUUAUGUGGCAAUAAAUGAAACAAUAAGGGGAUGAUUAAUAAUUUACCCUAACUCGGUAAAAACUGAAUGAAUUUGGCUCGACAAAUUUCUUUAUAAUAAAAUCACAAUGAACCCAGGAUGGUAUGGAAAUAAUACGAAUAAUUUACGAUCCAAACUAACCCAUAAAUAGUGAAAAUCACAAUCCAAUGCCACACAAUUCACGUUCAAUGAGAGCUAAACCUAAAACCUCUAAAUCCCUAGACUUUUGAUUCAGCUCGAUAAUUGAUCGCAUUGAUUUGCUCUCCGAUCAAUUAAAUUUCUAGUCGAUAUAGAUUGAUUGAUACUUGAACAAAAUGGGAAUGACUUGAUUGGGUUUGUGUAGGGAUAAAAGGGUAUGAGUGGAUAAAUUUUAACUCUAAGUCUUUGUACUCGUUUCGAGCUUAUUGUUAUUUUCUUUAAGGCAAAAAACUUCAGCGAUCACUAAACUAUUGAGUGGGUUAAGUUUUGGUCAUUAAAUAAUUUUUUUGUUACAAGUUGACCACUAAACUAACCAAUCAGUACGCUCGUAACCAUUGCAUCGAUUAAUACUCUUAACCUAUGAAAUAAGCUGAGCACAUGACAUAGUUUUGUUCUUAAUCGAGUAAGUGGUGGACAAAAUUACCUCUGCACUUUUCCACGCAUUUUUAGACAAAAAAUAUGAAAUUAGUGGCAGCAAUUUGGAUAAUGAUACAAACAUCACAUUGUGCCAACAGUACGUGACCUAUGGCCAACAAGAAGAAACUUCCUUCUUAUACUUUAUUAUUCUUUAAUCAGCUCGAUAAAAGAUAGCAAUUUGUCAUGAUGCACGUCUCAUAAUUAACAAAUUGUUGGACAGUUGACAAAGAUUUAUGUUCCUAUAAUCCUAUUUCAGUUUUAUAAUCGCCCAUGCACAUCUCUUUCUAGAUUCACAAUCAAACAUAUUUCCACGCCAAAUUUACAAGCUAUAAUUUUGAGGGAGGAUCAAAAUUUUUCUCGUCCUUUUCUUUUUCUUUGUUGAUUUUUGUUAAGCUUAAUUGGAAAUUUACUUUACUUUUCUGAUUUAUCUUUAUUUUGUGCACUCUUAACUUGUCGAUGGCUUAGAUGCUAAUUGCUAAUAGCUUAAUGACAUAUGAUACUACACAAAAAGAGCAGAUAUACUUGUUGAUACGCAUCGUAAUGCAGAUAUCUCUUACGGAGGUUUUAAAUUAGUUUCAAACCCUUGCAUAAUUCUACCAAACUCCAAAUGCCCAUACAAGAGAAGGGGUGUGCCCAAAGAAUCUACAGUUUUAGUUUUGUUUUGUUUUGUUUUGUGAAGACAAUAAUCUGCCGCUUGUUGAACUCACGUUUACGUAGAGCAGAUUAAGUAUGGUUAUUACAACUUAAGACAUGAAAGAUUAAACAAAUGGAGAAGAGCACAAUUUUUACAAUUUUUUGUUUAGUUCGAUCUGGUUAAUAUAAUUCGUACAAAUUUUUGAGUGAAUCUGUGCAAUUUUUAUUACAAUUUACUUGUAUGAAUUGAUAAAUUCACACUUACAGUAAAACUAUAGUACUAAUUUAUAUCAAAUAUAUUAAUAUCAAAUGUUUUGAGAAAUUUUAUAAUUGGACCAAAUUGAAUAAAAACUCAACUGGAGAGGACCUGAUCCGAAUUUUUGAUGGAGUUGAGUGCUAAAACUAAAAGUCCCCCCAUUAAAAAGUCCAAGUAAGCAGUCGUGUCAUCUUUCAACAUCAAUGACACUGAUGCCUUGUUUCACUUGUGGACAAGUCUACCGCAAAGUUGUCCUCCGUAUAUACAUAUACAUACAUGCAUACAUACGUGGGAAUAUAUAUACAUUGAAAAAUACCGCAAAGUUGUCCUCUCUCAAAAAAAAAAAAAACAUAUAUAUAUUGAAAAAUACGAAAAAUAUUGUUAAUUAACAACAAUUUUAGGAAAUUUAUGACAUACAUUGAGUGUGUGUCUACGUGCGCGCGCGCACACAUAUAUAUAUUUUCUAUAAAAGAGCCAACUAAAGUAUUAAAUAAUUGAUCUCUUAAUACAAGAUUGAUUUCAACUCCUUUCCAAUCAUUCACCCCCUUCUAUUUCCAAAGCUAUCUAGUCUAGAUAACAUAACUAUUUGUGUCUAAUUUUCUACAGCCGGAAACAAAUUCCUGUCAUUAAAUAUGCAAAACGAUAAUGGAAUAUGCAAAUUGAAUUGCCGAUUCAAGUCAGCAUUGACAGCAAUAUCAUUUCAUAUUAUUAGAUAUGCAAUUUCUGUAGAAGCAUAUCUACAAUGAUGAUAUGUCUAUAACAAAAAUUUGCCUAAAAAGAUGCAUUGAUUUAAACGCAUACGUAGUACUAUUUCAAAUUGCCAUACUUCUGCUCAUAUUUCUCAAAUCUUGAUCCCAUCAUGCACACUGUUGAGUGCUUGUUCUCUUAAUUUCUUUCCCCUUCAAGUAACAAUAAUGACAACCAUGUAGUAAUUAACGGUAUCAAAAGAGUCUUUAAAAGCAAAGGUUGGUGAAGCAAGUUUACUCACGGUGAGGACCAUCUCUAAUAUUACCAUUUAAAUCCAGGACCAACUGACCUUUGCAUGCAACACAUGGUGGUGGACACAACUAUACUAAAGCAUGCAUUUUCAGCUUGUGAAGAACGCAAAACAUCAUUGAUGAAGAUGCAUGGAAUCCCCUGAGUUUUAACUACUUUGGCGAAUUAUCAUGCAGGUAUUGUUUGGUUAAACUUAAACACCUCCCCUGCUCUAGCUACCAAGUUUGUUGAGAGUAAUGAUUAGAUAAUACUUGCAUGUCAGUCUGAAACACAUUUGAUCAGUUUGAUACUGGACGGUUGGAUUCAAACUUUCACUCGUAAAUGAUCCUUAAUCGUUUAAAUUAUUUGAGAUUAUAUCAUGCGCAAUUCCACCUCAUCCAGUGCAUAUAUAUACAAUUGAUUGCCUUUGAUCCCUAACUUUAUUCUCGCUUUUGGUGAUGGAGGACAUGACCUAAUAAAUUGUCUUCGUGUUAGCUUGCUAUGAUUAGAUAAUCAGAUUAGGUUAAACUUAAUUAAGAAGCAUUUAUCUGACGAUGAUAAUUCAUUCUCAGUGGUGAGCAGUUGUUGGCUUCUGCCAUAAGAGAAUAACUUAAGGCACACAGCAAAGUAGAUAACACUAAAGAAACUCGUAAAGAGAAAAGUGCCAGUUUCAGAUCUCAUUAAGAGGUUUGAACUACUUAUAAUCCUGUUGCAAACUAAAUAUUCUAAUGACUCCUAAGACAGAGAAUAAGAAUACUUUUAUUUCCUUACUUAUUCAAACAAAAGAAUAAACAAAGAUAGAUGUUUACUCUUUACGAAGCCAUGUAAAUUAUAGCAGCAUUAUAUGCAUCAAUGGGCAGAUCAAAGAUCAAAGAACUCUGAGUGGAAGACGGACAAUGUGUACAUAAUCAGCAAGGCAUUCAUACCAUAAUACUAGAAAUGUGGGCUGUUAGUUCUAAUUCCUUUUCAGGGAAAAAGUUUAUCUGCAAGCAUCUGUGAAAGUUACGUCUGACAAAAUCAAGCCUAACAAGGAACGUAUAUUUUUAUACGUAGCUGAAAUUUUCUUGACUUUUGACAGUGGAUGUUAGUGGGCUAGUUUCUCAGCAGAAGUGUUUUGCAUAUGCUUUUCUAGGGCAUCGGAUGCUUCUGCUUUUGGACACAGUUUUGUCCUCGAAGUAUUCUUUUAAGGCAUCCCCAUUUUAAGAAAAGACAAUUUAGCUCUAUCAUCAUUUGCAUACUAAACUAAUGGGAGAUUUGUGAUGCAAUCUUCUUCACAAGAUCUGUGAAAUUUAGCACAAUGAGUUGGAAAUUAAGGUAGCAAUGGAAUGAUGGAUCAUACCAAAGUCGCGCUUGCUUGGGCGGGAAUAUGAUAGAUCAACCAUCAUUGCCCGACAACUGAAACCUCGCAAAGUUGUGCAUCCCUCCCUUGGUCCUAGUUGCAGUCACAAUCCUCAAUUGUCGGUACAAUCGCAUGAUGUCCUCAAUUUGGCUGAUAGGGGAAUAGAAAACAAUUUUUGAACUAAAACAUUUGGUCAUUGUAUGUUAGUCUAUUACGUACUGCAAACAAUUGGGCGACACCACAGAUUACACCGAUCGAGAUGUAUAAAGUUUUGAGGCCAGAAUGAUACUCUACUAAAUUAUGGGUUGGUUAAUCAUUGAACUUGGAGGCCUUAAUAGUCUUUUUCUUGCUAGAUAGGACAAGAUUGCAGUAUGAUUCUAGAGGAUUAUGCUAAACAAGCACUCUAUUUUUAUCAGAUUCAACGAAGGUGAUCAUUACUCAUCCAAAUCAUGAAGAAUAAUGAGUGCAUUAUCUUAGUGGACUCGGAAUGAUAAAGCCUUUAUCCAAGAAAUGGUUAGAUUAAUCCAGAAAAGAAAAAGGAAAGCAAGACGAAGGCUGUAAAAGUUUGUCGUAGAGAGGGCCCAAAGUCUUUUAAAUCAUAUUCUCUUGCGUACUUUCCAGCUAAAGAUCAAUGCGCAAAUUCGCUUUUUACUAACUCUUCACGUUCGUUGCAACAACUAAUUUACUCAUAAGUUGUUCUUUCCUUUUAACUAAGCAACAAAGCCAAAAUCAACGACCUGCUAAGAUGAUGAUGAUUUCUACAGCAAUUAAAAGGAGCAGCUCAGCCUUCUUUGGUACUUCAUCACAUACAAAAUCUAUCUCAACUUACCAGUUACGUCAACUAAAAGAUCAAGUAGGGAUGUUGAAUCAGUAGUUCACUAGGCAGGCUCAGAGCUAACUUUUGUUGGAUCACAUAGCUAUAGAUGAUCCUAUCUAAAUGCCACUGCAGCUAACUUUUGUUGUCUCGCGUUCUUCUUGUUCACACACAUGAAAAUUAAAUUGUUCAAUUCCGAAAAGUAGGUUAGACUUUGAAGUCUAAGUAUCACUUCUCGGGACUCUGCAAAUAAAUAUAGGAUGUACAAAUCAAUGUUUGCCUGGUUAUGAGAUAUUCGUCUACAAGUGUUUGACACAAGGAAUGGUGCUACUUAGUUCACUUAUGUGGUCAAUUACGUAAUUUUGAAGUCUGGACACUUCGCAAGAUUUUGCAUUCAGUCCACUGAUUCUUGAUCACUCAAAGGAGGACAAAGGAAAACUAUGAAUUUGAAGAAUUAGAGCUGCACGCUAUAAAAUGUCAAAAAGAUUGUUUUGUUAAUGUAUUGUCUUUGGUUGAUCAAUGUAAGGCAUGAUGUUUUACAGCUAAUUGAUCCCAAAAAGACUGGGUAUUGUAAAAUUAUCACUGUUCUCUUGAAAAGAGUUACCGAGUAAGAACUUAAAGCAGAAUCACACUUUGCAUGGUGGCAAGGGUUAAUAUCUAUAGUUUUAUGGUUAUCCAUAGGGUUUUAUAGCUUUGGUUGUGACUGUUAGUCUUCCGAGAUUCUCAACUUGAUACACCAACAAUAACGACUAACCAAACCGCACGGUUUAUCAUCUUAUGAUCUUAGUCCUGUCUGAUUAAAAAAUGCCGUACACGAAGUAAGGUUUCCUAUAUUAUGUUUUCUAACCAGUAAAUUUCUACGGGGACAGACAGUAUAUCUAGCAAAAGUAAAUAUCAAACAAAGCAAUUGUAGAAAAAUAACAUAUCUGAGUGAUGUGAAGCAGAUCUGAAUAUAUAUUACAUUUUUUUUUUUACCUCUUUUACGUGAUGUAACUGUGUACAAUGACAACAAAUUCUAAUUAAACAACUACUUUUCUUCGUUACAGGAAGAGGGUAUUGCAGAGAUUUAUUUGCAGCUCCAUGUGAAGAUUUUGGCACAAAGCUUGAAACAAGAAGGUUUUCAAGGGUCAUUUCACCUUUAGUCUAUAACAAUGGGGUUACAGCGUUUUCUCUUUUGCCUUCUCGCUUUUCUCAGUAUGCGUUCAGUCUCUUCAUUUGCUUCCUGAGUGGAGUUGUUCCCUACAUGUUCCCACAAAGAAGACAUCUUUACAGCAGCGAGGGUAAACAACUAAACAUUAUAAAUAUCUAUUGGCAAACUGCCGCAACAAGAAAAUUAUGAAGGUCCCAAAUAGUUGAAGUACACAAUCUGCCUUUUAGAGAGAAAUGGAUUGAGAAAAUAUUUUACGACACAUGUUAUUAAAUUUCCAUAAAUGAAGUCCUUUUCAAUAAUGGGAAAAUACGCACUUUAUGUUCAAGUAUCACUAUUGGGAUUGCACCGUAGUCAAAUUGCUCUCAGUUGCGGAAAUUUAAGAAGAAAAAGAGUUGCGAAACAUUUUGAUUUUUCAAAUCAUUUCUUUCUAAAAUGCAGAUUGUGUAUUUUCCCAAAAGAAUGUAUAAGAACGUGUAUCUGUUCACUCUCUGAAAAGUGAUUAAAAGUUUUAUGAAUUUUUUGCAAUAAAAAAAAAAACGCCACCUCCUCAGCUACAAGAAAAAAGGUAACUUUGGUCCUCUGUAAUAUGAAGAAAAAUCAACUGUAAGUCCAGCGUACUUAAUUGCAGAAGAAAAUCAUACAGAUACAAGAAGUACUUCAGAAGAUAAGCCUAGAAGUUCAUGCAGAUGAUGGACAAUGAUUUUGCACAUCUCAUUCAGGAAUUAGGAAAAAGUGAUUUGAGGCAAUCAUAUAAUGUGAAUAUUUAAUUAUCCUGCAAGACUGUUACCUGUUUGCAUUUCUUUGAACAAGCAGAAAAUUCCGCCAUCAGUAUCCUCAUCUGAUUCGACCACAACUUUGCACUUCCUUUCCUGCACCGGUAUCAAAAACUUAGUAUAAAAAGACACUUUUUAUGUUUUCGAUAUCUUAUUCUUCAGCUUCAAAAAAUAAAACAACACAAUACAUAAUGAUUUGCACCAUUUCCUGAAAUUGUGAGAACCAGUCCCAUUAUAUGACCCUGCACCAUUUACUAAUCAGAAUCUGUGCCCCCCAUCGACAUUCAUGGAGUGCACAAGAUUUAGACGUGCAGAGUGAGAGGAAGAGAACACUAACACGAAGAAGCAACAGAAACUACAAUUAACAGCUACCUGCUUGAUCGAGGGGAUUCCUCCCUGGUGGGAACUCUUAUUAGGAUUUCUGUCUUUAAAAGGAGCUUCUUGGUGCUUUACUGAUUUCCACCCUCCACAUUCAGUCUUUGGAACCAAAUUUUCUUGAGAAACCUUGGGAUGCAGUUGCGCACUUGAACGAAAAGAAAAAGAGAAUCUUACUGGGCUAGAGAAUACAAUGAUUAACACAUGUACCCAGAAACAGAAAUUUGUCCUCAUUCUAUGCAUAUAUAUGCGAGUAAUACCACUCCAUAUAGAGAUAAUGGAAUACUUAAGGCCUGAUUAUUUAAAGAAAAUACUCAUACAUACAAAGUUUGCCUAAGCAAACCUGAGUGCUACGAUAAUAAACAGAGAAGGAUCUAGAUUAGGCAAUAGAGGUCAUAGAUUCUAAUCAGUCACACUAGCUUAGAAAAAUCUUAGGCAUGUCCAGGAUUAUGUUCAAUGUUUUCCUUCUUGCGAGACUUUCUUUAUUACCCUCCCCACCCAGUAAACAGGAUGAUGUAGAGAUAUUCCUUCUUGAACUCAAUUCACUUCUAAGGAAAUGAAUUUGAUAUGUCCAUGAUUCAUCCUCCUAAAGUUCAAUUAUCAGAAAUAUCAAUUUUUACAAAAAAAGCCGAUUCAAUCAGAUGAUUGGCUCAUGCCAGUGGAGUCAGCAAGUGAGAAGAGAAAAGGAAGACUAGAAAAGAAGUACUAAAUUGAUACCUUUUACGAGACUGCAUUUCCUGUAAAGUAGCACGAUGAUUAACACCCUGCAGAUAAUGUAGAUACAUGAGGCUUCAGGAAACUAUCUACAAACACUUAGCAUCUAAAAAAUGAAACUGUCAGCUUUUUUGGGGAUAGAACAAGUACCUUUGGAGGAGGGAUGACAGGAGUUCCACAUUUUUGGUUAGCAACUGGUACUCUGCUUGCAAUUGUCUGUAAAUGUCAAACCAUGAAUUCGGAAAAAACCUUCCAGGCCACAUAUAGCAGUAUAAAAGAUAGAGCUGCGCACUUAUUGACUUCAUUAGUUGAACACAAAAUGUUUUCAUGCCUGUAUUUCUUUCGUGAAAGUCUUCAUGAGAUCUUUUUGAAAUUUCAGCAUAGAAGCCUGAAUCUUUUCUGGCAAAGCUGAAACUGUUGAAGAUAUUUCCCUUGAACUCUCUCGAAAAACGUUCUGUGAAAACUGCCCAGACAAAGCUUUGAAGCCCCCAUUCAAACUUGAUUUGAUAUCUUCCUGUCCCUUGUUCUGGUUGUCCAAUGGAUUAGAAGACGAAGUUCACCGACAUAUGAGACACACAUUUUAUUCAAAUAAAAAUGCUUGAAGAACUGGAUGUAUUAUCUGAUACCAUUAACUGAAGCAGAUCAUCAUGAACUACCAUCUUCUGCCGAAUGCUUUCCACUGCAAAAGAGAUCAGAGAAAAUAAUGACAAACUAGCUUUUGCACAAGUUUCAAUUUCUGAAUGCCUUUUCACUUCCCAAUACUUAGAAGUAUAUAUGCCCAAAUUGCUUAAUGUUCAUAAAAUACUGAAGCUUGAUUGUGCAGGUUGAUAACAUAUUUCUUGAAAUAUGUGCAAUAGAUAUUAGCAAGAAGCUGCCUGGUCUGGACCACAAGCAAAUUGCAAAAUACUUUUAAGUGAUUCGGUUCAUCAAAACUGCCGAAGCUGGCAGGUGUUGCAUGCAUGAGCCUUAGAAAUUUCACAAAUAUUUAUAUCAAAUGCAUAAUGUUUUAGCUAAAUUUUUACUGCUCUUUGUUCUAGUACUUUGUCAACAAAAAUUGAAUACGUACCCUCAAGCACUAAUUCUUUUGUUCCUUUGUUGACUUGCAUGAUGUCACUCUGAACAGAAUCCAAGAUCAUUCCAAACCUGCUUAACGAAGUUUCCAUCAUUCCUAUCCUAUGUUCAAGUUCUUCAUUGAUCUGGCCUGCUCAAGCAAGUAAACUACUGGAAACUUAGAAGAAAACCUUGUAUAUCCUAGAAAACAAGCUUGUUUAAACAACUUGCAAUACAAAGUUACAUUCUUGUAUCCAAUUGAAAGUCCAAGGGGGAAGUCAGAAUCUUCAAAACAAAGUUGUUCAUUCAAACUACAAAGUUGAUGACACUAUUUAGCUGAUAAUUGUAAACUUACACUUGUGUUCAGGAAGGGACCAUUUGCGCAUUUGAUUGGCAGAAGAUCUAGAAAUUUGCAUUUGACUCUCUUCCCUUGGGCAAUUGAUAGGAGCCAAGAAAGAAUUCCUCUUUGCAGAAGUCUCCCUUUCUUGUGAACUCAAUCUCUAAGGUAUUUUGGUAACAUGCAAAUGAAAAUUCUGGUUCAAUGUAAAGUGAUACUAACACCAAAUAGAUUAUUUAUAUGGCAAUUGCAGUUCCCUUUCUAUUACUUCCUUCUUUAUUUCCGCUUAUUUCAAAAUUUUUAACUAAUGAAAGUGGACAACAUUCAUUGAGUUCAAAAAGAGUAGCUGUAUCCAUGCAUGACAACAACAUCCAUAAAAGUUGCAUGCUUUUACAAGUAUACCAAACAAGAACUCUGAUGAUUGCAAUUCUUUUGACAACAAACUUUUCGCAUUAUCUUCUUCUGUAAGUCGUUAAAUGCACCAUACUUUUGCAAAGGAAAAAAAAAAUUAACGACACUUAAGGGCUACUUCGGCGUGCUUCUAAUAGUUUGCCUAUUCUAAAGCUACCACUGUCAUCCACUUGCGAUAUUAUACCUAGUUGAUUCAGACAAACACCUCAAGUUUCUACUUUCAUAUAGUUCAAAGGCAAUCCUUUCAAAAAUAGAAUUAAUACAGAAUUUAUUCCAGUUUAUCUUUUCCGAACCAGUUCCACUAUACUAAUAAUCCAAACUAGUAAAAUAAAUUAGAAUAUAGAAAUAAUUAUCAGUUACUUGCCACAGAAAGCAGCUGCAUUACUGAAAUCUACUACAUACUAGUUCAAACUCUGUUGAAAAUUAAUAAAAUAUUCUGAAUGAAAUAAAACAGGACUGUACUUGAUCUCCUACGCUUAUUUUGCCACUGCUUAAUCUUUACUUUCUUUUGAACAAACUUUUGAUUAUAUAUCUGCUGAGCUCCAUUUAUGUUUAGAGAGAGAGAGAGAGAGAGAUUUUACUUGCUCGUGAGUGAUGACGUCUUCGAGAGAGUUCUGAGAUAUCUGAGAGAAGAGGCCAUGCUGAGAUGAAACUCCUUGAGAAAAUGCCGACUGCUGGGAGAUCGGUGCUUGUGAUCGGAACUGCGACACCGUUGCCGACGCUUGGCUUUUUCCAAAAAUCGAAGUCUCUGCUCCAGUCGCAACCGCACUCGGUCUCCUUCUCACAUCAUCACAAAUAUAAAAAAAAAAAUCAAUAAGAAAAAACACACACACAGAGACAAUAAAUUAACUGAGCUAAAAAUUGAAAAACAAAAAUACAAGUGCGUAUGGAACAAAAUGAUGGUAGGAUUGAACCUGGAAUGAGGAGGAAGAACGGAGAUGGAGCUGAGAUCGGAGGCUUUGUUGAUUUUUAGCUUCAUUUGUCGGAAAAACCUUAAGGUUCAGACUUCAACUUCGAUAUUCUGCUAGAAAUUUUUCAACGAGUGAGUGAAACCCUAAGGAAUUAAAAAUGAAUCAAUCGAAGAAACAUGGAGGAAGUAGCAAGGUUUCAGACUGCGGAUGGAAAUCUGUGCUGAAGCAACGGCACUGACUACUUAUAUACUGGAACCUUGGGCGCGAUUCCGAAUCUGACGGCAGUUUGAACGAGAAAGCGUUGUGUGACUCCCACGUCUUCUUAAGCACUCUGGGCUUCAUCGCACGACUGUGGCUUUCUCUUCUAUUAGUAAUUUAAGCACGACUGGAGUCCUCUUGCCCUUCCCAACCCAUCCUUUCUUUCUUUUCUUUUUCCCCUUAAAAGUAUAUUAUUCCCGUGCAAAUUGCUCAUGCCUCGUGGGAUUGAAGUUGUACUUUCGAUCAAAGGAUAAAUUGGUUUCGACGGGGCUUUUCAUCUUUUUCUUUUUUGGGUCAAUUUUCAAUGGAUUAGAUGAGUCAGAGGUAAGUCUUCUGGGCUCUUUAAGAGUUGCCGGCUUUUGAAGACGUUCUUGGAGUUUAGGUUUGUUUGUCCGCAUUUAAAAGUCCUUGUGAUCGAAAAAAGAUGAGUCAAAGGUACAAACGAUUGUCAGGUCAAUCAUUUUUAUCGAUUUUGCAUAAUUUCACAAGAUAUACAUUCAUUCAUCAAGAUGUAACUCGCUUUGAAUACAAAAUAAACAUAAAUCAAAAUUUCAUAAGCCUUGUACACAAUAUUAAAAAUUAUGUAUACGAAGCGAUUUAAACCUUAUAAUUUUUUUUGACCAAUCAUGGCUAUGCCCCCAAGUUCUUGGAUUGGAAUGGAAGCAUUUAGGACGUCUGGACCUCUUUCUUCCAUGUCUACACAUUUUGGGCUCCAAAAUCUUUAUGUUGGGCUGCAGUCUACAGGGCAUUCGAACCUUGGGAAAAAGAUAAAUAGAAAGAAGUUGGGCGGUUGUUAACUGUCGGAGUUGAGGUCAAGGUACAGGCUAGGUUUUUUCUUUUUAAUUCAUGAGGAAUGUUCCGUUUUAUUAUUUGUAUCUGUCGUUUCACAGUUCUAUAAUUCACAGUUCUGGCAUUUUCUUCUAUCAGACAGGUAAAGUAUUUUUAUAAUGGGGAAGUGUUCAUAAAGUGGUACUUUUACACCAUGGAACUAGUUAAGUUGGUCACUAAAAAUAUUGAAAAUUCUGGGAAGCAUAAUUGAUUUGUUAAAGAGUAGCUUAAUGUGAGCUGAUGGUGUGGUUGGUGGUUCUGUAUGGUUUGUUCUGAUUGUCGUAUUUUUUAUAUUAUUUGAUGUAUAAUCACAUUAAUUUUUUAUAUUUAUAUGAAAAAAGUAGUGUACAUGUAUAAAAUAUUUUACAUAUAUUUAAUACAAUACUAUAAUAUGGUUAUACGUAAAAAAAAGUUUAAAAUGUAUAAUAACUAAACCAAAUCGCACGUGUGAGCUUGUUUGGAUAGAGUAUUAUUUGGAAUAAUUACUGUAGCACUUUUUAUGAUGUGAUGUAUGUGAAUUAAAAAUGUGGUUAAAAAUAUAAAAAUAUGAAUUGAGAAAUAUAUUUAUGAUGCAAGCAAAAUAUUGGGAGUGUCUGGAUACAAAACUUAUCCCAAAUAAUAUUUCGCUUGCAUCAUAAACACAUUUUCCAACCCACCUUUUUAUCUCACAUACAUCACAUCACAAAAAGUACUACAGUAAUUAUUCCAAAUAAUACCCUAUCCAAACAAACCCCCAGUUAUUUGGGAUAAUUUCACUAUUCAAACAAACCCAAUUGCCCAGUCCCACUCAAUGCAUGCGAGUAGAUCCAAUCCCCAGGAUGGCCACACGAGUCAAGUGAUAAAAUUAAAUAGAUGUGCGUGUAAAGCAGGAAGAAAGGUCACCUAGAAGGUCACAUGGACUGAUGGAACAGGAAACGGCAAUUGGCUUUUAGUACUACUUCCAGCAAUUUCAGUUGCUUUCUUUGCCAGCUCAAGGGACAAUCCCUUUCCAAGUUUGCUCAUCAUAUCGUGUCCCCUGUUCAAGCAUGAACCAAUUGAAAGAUCAUGCCCUUUUUCUUAUGUAACAAAUUAGAGGAAAAAAAAAGGCACACCAAAACAAAGAAUUUAACGUCAGUCAUAUGUAGCAAAUAGUCACGAUGGGAUACCUCUACAAGGAUUAAUAUUCUUGAUUGCUUCCUUACUGGGCUAAACGUUUCAAGCCAAGGGUGUUGCUUCCCUAUUGAUUGAAAGGAGGGGAUAAUAUUAGACAAUUGAUGAUUAUCUUUUAAACAACGUCUAAAUACCCCAAUUAAAUGUUUUAUCCAAGACCUUGGGCUCUAACUAAAAAGGUAGAUACUUGAGCUUGAGAAGCUAAUGACCCCAGUGAGUUGGUAAAACUCAGUAGGAUAGGCAGUAUUUUUGAACCAAAUAAAAUAACAAGCAAUGAAACCAGGGACGAAGACGAAUAAAGCCCCUAAAUUAUGAGGCUGCAUUUGAUAAACUUGAAGUUUGAAAAUUGGAAUUUGAAAUUCAAAGUUUGAAUAUGUUGAGCUACUAAAUUGCUAAGUACUAAUCUGAUACAUUUAAGUGUACCUUACAUUAAGUGAUAAGUACAUUACUUAUCGCUUAUUUUUUUGGAGUAAGUUUUGCUUAGAAAAUUUAGUGUCACUUAAUUAAUUCAGAUGUUCUAUAUUUGAUUAUCAAAUGCGUGUCUACACAUAUUAAAAUCAGAAUCAGUUAAAUUUAAAUGCUAAAUUGAAUUAUCAAACAGGGCUUGAAAUAAGGAAUCCUAUCUAGACCAUACAAGUAGAGCUGUUAAACUUCAUGAGUAGCUCGAAAGCUCGUUAGAGUUCGGCUUGAUAAGGUUCGAACUCGGCUCGUUAGUUGCGGUAAACGAGUCGAGCUCGAGCUAGAAAUGUGCUUGUUUAGUACUCGGCUCGUUUGAUAUCCGAGUAGUUCGUUAGAACUCGUUAAUAAAGGGCAUAUUUAUCAUUUUAGAAGUCAAAGUAUAAAAAUUGAAAAUUAUAGAUUUUUAUUGAGAUUAAUUUGCACAAACUCGAACUCGAGUUCGAGCCACAUGUACAUUUGAUCGAGUCGAGUUCGAACACAUUUUAAAACUCGUUUGUCUAACGAGCUCGAGUCAAAGCUCGACAGCCAAAUACUCGGCUCGAUUAACAGCUCUUUGAUACAAGUGCGUCCAUGCAAAGAGUUUGAUUAAGACAUAGCAAAUUCCAUCAAACACACAAAUCAAAGCAAACCAUCCAUGUCGGUGGAUUAUAUCUUCUAAAUCCCCACACCAACGAUCCAACCCUCCUCCUCGAAAAGGGGUUUUGGUAGACAGCUACGUUAAAUACCUCUUCAUGAGAAUAUAAGUUUGGGAUCUACACGCAUAUUCUUCUGGCCCGAUUUAUAUAAUAUAAAAGCAGUCUUCAAUUUAAUGAUGAAACUUUUUAAUUCUUACUUAUUGCCCGUUGCCGGAGUCCCAAGUAAAAACCUACCAGCGGCCAAGAACCUCAUGGUCAUGGUCGCCCAAGGGAUUAAAAGGUCUCUUUUCCGCAUGCAGACUUCUUGCAUAUAUGAAGAGAAGUCAUUGAUCCCAAAAAUUCUAACAAAACGUUGUACAGAAACGGGAAAUAUAUUGGAGAGGCACUUGUAAUUUAUCCUCUUCUUUCUUCGUAAAUACAAUACAUUAUUAUCUAAAUGACUACUGUUUAGGCCUACCAAAUUAGAAUUCAAUCCUGUAACUGUUUUGCGCUCAUAAUCUUCAUCUUAUUUUUGCUUUUUAACCACCUAACCCACCCUCACAAGUAAGAUUCGGAAGAAAGAUUUGGGUCAUUCUUUGAUCAAUAAUUCGCUUAUUGAUAAUCAGUUACCAAAGUUGACGCGAGGUGUUUGUUUGUACGGUUAAAAGGGGGAAAGAGGAAAGGAAUAAAGGCAGUCGAAUUAAAGUUUUAUGAGUUGAAUCUUGAAAACAAUUUUGUAUCUCUUUUCUCAUCAAUCCCAUCGAAUAAACAAUGAAAAUUUCUGGAUCAGAAUAAAUAGAAAAACAAGAAGAGUCAUAGAAUAUCAGGUAUUGCCCCACACGGUUUACAGUAGUCUUUUAAAAGGGAAAACUAAUUAACAAAGACUUUAGCAACCCCUCCACGACCAGAAAUCAACCUCACCGUUUUCAAAUAUGAGAGUCACAUUGAUUUGGACCCUAACUGGUCCAGAACAGUGUAUUGAAUUGGAAAUUCAGGGUGUGACUGGAUGGGAAAUUUAAAAUGGGUUGGCAGCAAGAGGCAAUGGCGACGUGGACAUAAGCCAAAGAAUUCGUGAUGGACGUAUAAUAUCGCGGUCAGUCUACUACUGAGCAUUAAAUACUGAGAGAGAAUUCAGAUUUUUAAAACAGGUAAGUUCGGAGUUCGACAGGACUCCAGAUCCUUAUGUGGACGAUUGAUUCAAGAAAGGAUCAACUUAGGAAUCUGGAUAUUCCCCCAUCUCCGAUUGAGCCCCCGGCUAAAUUAUCCGUACGUCUUGGCCGGCCUUAAUUCCCAAUAAUAAACUUGCACUAAUGUGACCUUUUUUUUAAUCCUUAAUGUGACAUUUAUUUUUGGCCUUGUCUUCUACUACCUUUCUUUUUCUCUUUUUUUUCCCUUUUUUUUUAAAAAAAAUUUGAUUGGCUUAGGACUGCUAUCGAAUCAAGUCGAGCUCGAUAAUGUACUACUUAAACUCUGCUUGAGCAAAAAUAUUCGAAUUCGAACUCGUUGAGUUCUUCAAAAUUAAACUCGAGUUUGAGCUCGAACUUUUUUUUUUUUUACUUGAACUCGAGUUCGAAUUUGAAUUUGACCAAAUCAAGUUCAAUUGAGUUUUCAAGCUUUUUUUUUUAGUAAAUUUCAUAAUUUUGUGAUAAAUAAUUAAAAAUUAUAUUAUAAAUACAUUGCUCGAUUAAUACUCAAGUUUUAAUUUUCUAUUCGAAAUCGACUCAAUUAACUUAUCAAGUAACUCAAACUUGAUUAACAUUGAAUUUAAGUCAAAUUUUUUACCGAGUUACUAACAAGUUCGAAGUUGAAUAGCUCAAUUAAUUACCAUUGGCUGAGAUAGUUCAAGACUUUUUUUUUUUUUUUUUAAAUAGGUACCAGUCAGCUCAAAACUCAAGCAGGUUCCCCCCUAUUAGCCUGCAUAAAUGAUUCCAACCAAAUGGUGAUAAUGUGGUUAGGCGUAGUUGCCGUAUUCAUGUCUUCUUGUCAGUAAUGUUUGAAUCCUAAUAUUUCGGAGUCUUAAAUUUUUUCAAUUGGUCAUGUCGCAACCUUGUCAUGAAAGCCUUUUGAGACAGGAAUGAGGGUUAGAUUGGAUGGUAAGACGGAGGAGAUUAUAAAUAUAAAGUAUUACUGGUUUUAAAACCUUUCACAUAUAAAAAAAAAAGUCUCUUGAAAUAAUUUAAUACAUCUUUUUUUUGAUAAACAUAUAAUUUCACUAAUAAAAUUAUACUAAAGGUAGUAAAUACAUCAUAGAUAUGUUGCAAAUACAGCAGAUAGAAAAAAAAUUUCUUUCAACAUAAAAAAUCAACAAAAGAUAAAACUUUUAACACCAAAUUUUAUAAAUGAUCGAGUAGCACUUCUAAGAAACUGGGUUUAUUUGGAUAGAGUAUUAUUUGAAAUAUUAUUUGGAAUAAUUACUGUAGUACUUUUUGUGAUGUGAUGUAUGUGAGAUAAAAAGGUGAUUGAGAAUAUAAAAAGGUGAGUUGGGAAACGUGUUUAUGAUGCAAGCGAAAUAAUAUUCCCUCCCUUUUUUUAUAACUGACGUUUAAGAAAUUUGCUCCAGUGUACUUUUAUCUGUCGUUUUAUAAUCCCCAUACAGUACUUUUAUCUCUCUUUUCCAAUACAGGGUUCUUAAUUACUACUCCUAGUAAUUAUUGCUUCUCUCUUUAUAACAAUCCUAGUAAUUAUCUGCCCCUCCGUAUUAUCUGCCCCUCAUUGGACAAUUAAUGAGGGUACAAAAGGAAAGUAGUGAACAGAUUUAAGCAAUGAAAAAUUUUUCUUAAUUGGUGUGCAAAAUUUUAAACGUCAGUUAUAAAAAAAAAAAAAAGGAGGGAGUAUUUGGGAUAUAAGCACUCCAUUCUCCAAAAUUGAUCUUGUGCACUCCAAUGAAAAAGUACUUGAGUGGAGUACAAUGGUAAACUACAAAAAUUGUACUCAUUGAAGACCAUGUUUUAUUUGUCAUUUAUAGAUUACUACUUCUCACAGACUUGGUAGAUCGAAUAUUUAGAGACUCCACUAAAAGCCCUUCAUGCCUCGAAAAUCAAAUGACAGAACAAAACCCUGAAAAUUAUGAAAUACAUAUGAGCAAACAUGAUCUAUUAAAUCAAACCAACACAAUUAUCUGAUCCUCUCAAAUUCAUCUUCACCAAUAGGAUUAUUACCAAUAUCAAACAAUUUGGUCUGAAUAUUUCAUAUGCCCCAUUAUGUGCUGUACUCAUUUUGUUAGUAUUAAAUUCUUGAAUUUUCUCUACUGGAUUGGACCAUGGUUACUCAGUUUAAGGAUGUGAAGCCAUAUUACCCCACAUAGAAUUCUAGAAAAGAACAUUAUCUUAUCUUCAUUUAAGUCUUUCUUUUUUUUUUUUUUUUGAAAAAAAAAAUGCUACCAGACAACAUUAGAAACGUGUAAAAAAUUUCCCUUCAAUUCAGAAAGGAUGGAAAUAUGGCCGAAACCAUGAAGGAAAAGCAAGCCAAACGCAAGACGUCUAACGUUUUCAGCCAUGCGAAAGCAACGGUUGAAAAUCCUAGCCAAGGGGCGUACUAGUCAAAUUUCAUUAUCGUCUUGUUCGCAAUUUGCCAGACAUGAAAAUGACGAAUUUUAAUGGUCCGUUGAUCCCUUUUGCAGCCCCUCUGCGUGUGCGUGUUUUUCGCUGUACGAUCUCUUAAAUGCCGACGAAAAUACAGAAGGAAGCCAGAGAAAGGAUGGGUUACUUCAGUACUAUUGUAACCUUGCCAGUCAAUUCUUUGAAAAAUGAUUGUUGGAACACGCUGAACUUUUUUGUUUUUGCUAAAAAAGAAAUCAUACGGCAAAUCUUAUAUAAAAUUUGAACUCUGUUUUCUUCUGGAUUGUUGCUUAUUAGUAUAUAAAUUACCCUAGAUUUGAUUAUUUUCAUAACUUCACUGUGAAAUGAGGAAAAGGAUGAGAAGAAACCGUUGUCCAUUUUGACAUAAUGAAGAGUCCUUUCAUGUUGAAAUUCCUGGCUCCUAAUUUGCUUAGCUUCUUGUGGUCGAGUCUUAGCUCUCUCUCUCUCUCUCUCUCUCUCUGCAGCCAGGUUCAGGGUUCGAAUCUUGGUCUAACAGUUGGAGGUUGGUCUCAUGAAAACGCGUUGGGGAGCAAUGGGAGAUAAAAAAAAAUGAGUUUAAAAAAUGUCUUACCUUUUUUUUUUGGGGGGGUAAAAAUCAUUAUUACCCAUACAAAUGUUCAAAGUUCAAACAAAGAGAAAUAUUGUUGACAGCAGCAAUUUUUUUCAGUGUCACAGCCCAUUUUGACAUAAAUUGGCGAAUGUACCCUCUGUACUCAAUUAGAAGAGCCAAAUGAGUGGUGGUAAAUUUGUCAUUUAAUUAGAAUGUGCUGUGGCAGUAACAUUUCCGCUGUGGCAAUAAUGUUACGCUGUAGGAAUUUAGCUUCACUGAUAUUGAUAUUAAAAUUCAAUUGCAUGGUACUACUUCUUAUAAGAAUUUCAGUUUUAUUAUAAGAAUUAUAGUUAUUCUAUCCAAAAAAGGAAAAAAAAAUUACAUGACUAAUAUUUGUUGCGGAUAUAGAGGAUAAAGGCACAGCAUAAUUUGUAAAAGCAAAAACUUUUUAUUCUUUUGAAAAGGGAAAAUGAUAGGUUGUAUUUUUUUUUUUCCACAAACGUUAACAGUUAUAUUUAUGAUAAUCACUUGAUAAUACAAGAUUUAAUUACCAAAAGGGUUACUACCCUCAUUUCCUUCCUCACUAAUUCCAUCAGCCAAACUGGGAAGUCUUGUUCCCAUUCAAUAUCAUGCACUAGCUUGACAGCAAAUUGAGUUAAAGCAUGGCUGAUUUCAUUUCCAGUUCUAGGUAUGAACACAACACAAACCUACAGCUUUCAAAAUGUGUUCUAAGAUCCUGCACAUCCUCCAAGAAUAGUUGCAAUUCUGACAUCAUAGUCAUUGCAGAAUGAUAGAUUGUAUUUGAAUUGAUAUUUUUCAGAGUUUCUAUAAAAAUAUAUACAAUAAUAAUUUAAUAUUUUUAAGGUAAAAUAGUGAUCGUAAAAUGCGAUCACAAGAAACGUAAAAUUUUUUUCUUCCAAAAACAUCAAUCCAAAAACUUUUUGAUUCAUUUCCUUUCUAAGAGAAGAGAACUACAAACCUUGGGUGCUUGCCGUACAUGCUACUGUACUGGCAGUGGUACUCGCAAGGUGAAACGGUGAUCCAGGACUCUCAAAGCUUUGCCAACAUACGCUUCAUUAUUUCUACAUCAAACUCUCCCGGUAAAGAAUCAGUUACCAUAUUAAUUGACUAUAAAAACAGGUUUUCGCCAAUCCGGCUUUGUACUUUCGCUUUAGGUGAUUGGCUAGCUACAUGCAACUUCCUGAAGUUCUGACUUUCAUAAAAUAUACUACCAAAGUACCUUGGCUUAACGACCAAUUUUAUUCAUUAAACCAUUUCUUUGUGGUUUACUUGUUCAACCUCAGCUCUGGUUUCGGUGGGCCUACUCCUGCAAUUCCUUGGAACCUUCGUACCUAAGUAAGACUGUGCAAGCAUACCCCAAUUGCCAAGUACGAGAAGUUACAAGAGUUAGUAGACCUAAGAAUGGUAGUAGAACACAGAUGCCGCCCUCCUCAAGAAAACACUCCUAAUUAAUGCAAUUUUCACACAAUUUCACUAUUACAUCGAAUCCAUUGACCAAGAAGUAACUUUAAUAAGUAUUAUACUAACAAUUGUAUCAAUAAAAAAGACCUGAUAAAUAGCUUCAGACAAGUAAACCCUUUUAGGAGCAUCAUUACGUUGUGCAAUCUUCCCAAACUUUCCUCAAUUUCAUCACCUCGAAAAAAUCCCAACUUUUCUGUCAAUUUUCAUACCCUUUUGUUCAAAAAAUCAAGGGCUUUUCUUCAUUUUUGUCAAGAAUACUGAAUGCUGGUAGUAAUAAUCCACAUGGGUUCAGAGUUGCGAUAAGGUUGCUUGCUUUGCUACAGUAAAGAAGGAACCUAGAAGACAAAGGACGGGGAAUAUAUUGUUCAUGUAAAUGGCUUUGCUGACUUCUGUAAGAGAAAUUCCACAAAGGACAGAGAGAAUAAGGUAUCCAGCGGUUGAUUUAAGAGCGCUGAGUAUGAGUUCAUCCAGCAGCGAGAUUGUUGAAGAGAGGAGCAGUUCAACUUCUUCUUCAACCACAAGCCCAAAUUUUGCUCCACCAUCUCGAGCUUUGACAGAUAGUGAUGAUGCAGUGUAUGUUGCUUUGGGGAAAGAAGUCAAAGAGGCAGAGUUGACAUUAUCGUGGGCAUUGCAUAAUUGUGGAGGGAGGAAAACUAUCAUUCUUCAUGUUCAUCAGCCUGCCCAGAAAAUUUCCAUGAGUAAUGAAUUAUGAUAUUAUUAUAUUCUUUGAAUUGAUUACAAAAAUUGCCUUUGCCGGUAUUUGUUUUUCUGGGAUUUGCUUGAUUAUGGUUUGAAUUUUGGUGGGGUUUUGAGUUAAGUUUUAUUUGGUCAAAUAUAAACUGGAAAUUAACAAGUUUUUUGGUUUGCUUGCUUAAUUGUAUUAGGAGGAACUUGAUCAUCAUUGGUUCAUGUUGUUUGUUUGUUUUCUGUUUGAAAACUUGACGAGAGAUUGUACUUUAGUCCUUUUUGGAUUAGGGAAUUGGGACAGCAGUGGAAAUCAAUUCCUUUUUUUUUUCUUGCUUAUGUAUGUGUGGAAGAUGUUCUGAAGCCAUUGAUCUUGCUUCCCCUGCUGCUGAUAAAGAACAGAAAUUAACUGAAUGUGGUCUAAACCUCUGAAUCCUCCUUAAAAAUGGGUUUCUAAUCCGCUUGACAUAAAAUUUCUGUGUUCUUCAUGAGGAACUGAAGACAUGUUUUAGCAGAUAGAAAUGUGCUUUAAUUUUUCUUUUGAUGUGUAUUCUUUAUGAUCAAAUGCAACUCAUUUUGGUAUUUCAUAUUUUGCCAGAGUUUACAGUACGUAAUGUUUUGGAAAAAAAAAAUAUAUUUACAGAGAGUCUUUGUAUUCCUAUUUUGUUAGCUGUUCUCUACAUUAAGCCUUGUCUGGUUGGCUGCCUUGUCUCUCAUCCUUCACCUGAUUUAUAAUGUAAUAAGGGAACUAUUCCAUAUCAAGAUGACAGUUAUUUAACACCCAGAGAGAGAGGGAGGGAGAGAGAGUAACUUGGAUAGCUUCUUGAUUAGCUUAUUAACUAACCAUUCCUAAUUCAAACUUGAAAGAAGAAUGUCUUUGCAGUAAGUGAUGGUUCAGAAAGAAUCGCCUAUGCAUUGCUCGCAUUGCUCAUGUGGUGCAUAAUUUAGCACAACUUGGUUAAAUGUGUCAGCUGUCAAUCGUGAAAUCAAGGUUCUUGUUGAGUGAUGAACGACAUUAUCAUGUGUCGGAUAUGUCAAUCUAAGUGUAUCUAAAAUGUCAUUCUUGGUUUGUAGUGGGUGCAAAUGUUCCCAUUAGUAGGCUGGAGGAAUAUCGAGUUAGAGCACAUCAUGAAGCCGAGAGGCAAGAUAUGCAAAAGCUCCUUGACAAGUACAUGUUGAUUUGCAAGAAAGCAGGGGUAUUGUCCUUCAUUCUCUUUCUGUAGGUUUUGUUCAUUGAACUCUUUUUGUUCUUUGACUGACUAUAUGUAAUUAUUAAAAACCUAAUUCUGUUUUUCCACUGAGUAGAUGGAAAACUAAAAUUGUUGUGUUACUAUAGCACCAACAGCCAAUUAGGACGCUCAGUACUCUGUUUUUUUUUUAUUUAUUUAUUAUUAUUAAAGGUGCAAGUGGAUAAACUAUACAUUGAGAAGGACUCCAUUGAAAAGGGCAUUGUAGAGCUAAUUUUACUGCAUUGUAUCAAGAAGCUUGUAAUGGGAGGUGCAGCUAAAGGACAUUAUUCAAGGUAAAAACCUUAUAUUUAUCUUAUAUUCUUUUGGUGACAUUUUAAACUCAUCUUAGCCACCGGGCCUCCACUUGUUCCUUAGAAGUUUUGUGAAACAGUAAAGUAAAUCCUAGUUGGCAUAGAAUUACCAAGAACACUUUUAGUCUCAGGAGAGUUGAAGAAGAAUACCCCUAUAAGCUCAGCUGGCUGGGACCUUAUUUGGGUACCAUAAGGCUUCUGGUUCGACCAUCAAGCCCCCCCCUUCCCCUUUCCUCUUGUAAGGAUAAGGUUUACAGUCUCUGUUGAACCAAAGGAAAAGAAGGGCAACUUGAACACUAGAAAAUUUAUUAAUGACAGGUUCACAGAAAAAUUCCUUUGCUUCCUGAAAGUCAAACCUCUUUGCCUUUUCCAUCAAUUAACUGAUCAGCUGCAGUCUUUUCACUUUUCUUUAUAUUUCUCCUCUUUUGGGGUGCUGGGUGGAAGGAAGCUGUUAGGAAAAUAAAUUAUGAAACAGAAAUGCUACAUAAAGAAAUUACAUGGUGUGCAAAGGAAUAUUUGUGAUGCCCUUGUGGAGCUUCUCCACCAUUUUGGAGCACCCAUUGCUUAUUCUCGACUGGGUGAGUUGACUCAAUUCUUUAGUGCGGUAUAUCUUUUUUAGUGUGCAUGUUGAAAAAUUCAACAAAUAUGCUUUCAAAUGAUUCAUUGGUGUGAUUACAAUCUCAUUUCUGCUUGCAGUUAUCAUAGAAAUAAAUGAAUACACUAGCUACAUCUUUUUUUGUUAACAAGAUUACAGUUGAUAUGUGCUAUCAUAUUAUAUAAGCAUUAUGUUACUUGUAAUGAUGAUGUGAAUACAUCUGUUUCUAAUGUUAAGCAAUUGAUUCAGGAAGAUGAUGGAGCCUAGGUCUAAGAAAGCCAUCUAUGUGCGGCAACAAGCACCUAGUUUCUGUCAAAUUCGGUUUAUAUGCAAAGGGCACCUGAUUCAUACAAGGUAUUUCUUCUGAUAGUCUUCCUCAUGUCUUCUAGUGAGCUUUCAUCCAGAGAAGUAAAUAAGGGUGUAUAACAUGACUAAUAGAUGGACCAUCUGCUUGUGAUCAUUUCCUAAAAAACAGAUAUAGCCUGGAAGUUUUGAGAAUUCUUAACUUACUUUGCUGAAAUUUUACCUGGCAGCAAGUUUUGGAAUAACUAUCUCUUUGGUUUUGCUUGAUGAUUAGUAGUUCAAGUUCUGAUCUAUGCAGGGAAGGUACACCAAGUGGGGUCAACAUGGAGGGUAUGUCUCCAUUACUUCAGCCUUGUCCAAGUGGAGACAACUUGGAGGUUAUGUCUCGAUCAUUUCAGGCUAGUCCGAGUGAUGAAACUGGACAAUCUCAUUCCUUAAGAUCCAGAUCUGUUCCCCAGGGGGAGAAUGGCCAAUUACUCUCAUCAUUGUCAGUUCCUGACCAUCGUAGGGUAGUGUCUGACAAUCAUGCCGUGAAAUUCACAGGAGUUUCUACCCGUGACGGCCUUGGAGGUGUAUCACCUCAUAGUAGGUCAAGUGUCCAACAGAGCUCUGAUGGUUGGGACAGGAGACCACAGAGAAGUCAUUCAAUGGCUUCACGUUUUUCUUCUUCUUCAUCAAGUGAAAUAAUUGAAGAUUUAGCCUCACUCUCCAUUCCUCGGAUGGUGGGGAGUGAGAUAAUUGAAGAUUUAGCCUCACUCUCCAGCUCUGUUCCCCUGGGGGAGAAUGGCCAAUUACUCUCAUCAUUGUCAGUUCCUGACCAUCGUAGGGUAGUGUCUGACAACCAUGCCCUGAAAUUCACAGGAGUUUCUCCCUGUGACGGCCUUGGAGGUGUAUCACCUCACAGUAGGUCAAGUGUCCAACAGAGCUCUGAUGGUUGGGAUGGGAGACCACAGAGAAGUCAUUCAAUGGCUUCACGUUUUUCUUCUUCUUCAUCAAGUGAAAUAAUUGAAGAUUUAGCCUCACUCUCCAUUCCUCGGAUGGUGGGGAGUGGAAAUGAGUUGGAUGCCCCACUUCAUUCUGAUGAGGAUUACUGCAGUUUGUCUCCUUCUCCCCUAGUCACAGUAAGUAAAAAUAAGAUCAUUCUGUCAUGGUCGUUGAUAACAUGUAUGGAGUUAUCACUAUCUAAUAUUUGCAUGUGAUGAGAAAGUGCUAAAAGUUAUACAAGUGUAUAUCUAAUUGUUGGGACAUCCAUAUUGUUUUAUUCCUUGUGACAUGAGUUUUUCUUUCUGAUAUUCGUGAACUUAAGUUAUCCAUUUGAGUCGUUCUGUCCUUUUCCAGGAAGGGAAUAUGCAUGAUGAACUCUACAACAGACUCCAACAAUCUGUGGAGGAUGCGGAAAUUUCUAGGCGAGAAGCAUAUGAAGAAUCAAUGAAGCAUAGGAAAGCUGUAAAAGAGGCUAUUGAGGCUGCCAGAUGGGUAAGCUUCUAUUUGCAAUCAUCUUUUGCAACGGUAACAGUUAAUUUUGUAUGUUGUCAUUCAAAUGACGUUAAGUCCUCUUACUUGGACACUUAUAAUUUUGGUGAACAAUGCUAGCUGGUGAAAUUGUUUCUCUCAUUCUAACCUGUAUGCAAAUUUUAUAAGGUAUCUCAUUGUUACUUGGACGGAUUUUAAUUCAGCAGAGAUUAGAUAAGUGAUUACAAACUGUUCCUUUUUUUUUUUUUCCUAUUUUGGGGGCAAAAUUUUGGUAUUUGAAUUUCUAUUUGAAGUAAAAAAAUAUAUUAAAGAGAACAUUAUACUCUGAGAAUCAGUUUUGUAUAGAGCUCAGAUUAAAAAAUUCUAUUAACAAUCAUGACUCCUAAAGUGAAGCAGUCUUCAAUUUUAAUUCUUUUAACAGGCUAGAGCAUCAGAAGCUAGGUACUCAGAGGAAUUCAGACUGAGAAAAGAAGUUGAGGAAGCGCUAGUAAAGCACAAGGAAGAAAUUGAAAACAUGCAAUAUCAACUAGAUGAAAUCAAGAAUAAGCUCCAAGUUGCUAUGGAACAGAAAUCCUCUCUGGAGUCCCAAAUUGCAACUUCUGAUAAGACAGUAGAGGAUUUGAAACAGAAAAUGUUCGCUGCCAUCGACCUAUUGCAAAAAUUCAAGAUUGAAAAAGAUAAUUUACAGGUUGAGCGUGACAACGCAGUCAGGGAAGCUGAGGAGCUGAAAAUAAAGCAAGCUGAGGAGGCCUCAAGCGCAUCCAUGUCUUGUUUCUUUUCUGAAUAUUCCAUCUGCGAAAUUAACGAAGCAACUCACAAUUUUGAUCAGGAAUUGAAGAUAGGUGAAGGGGGUUAUGGAAGUGUCUAUAAGGGUCAUCUUCAUCACACUCAAGUAGCUAUAAAAGUUCUGCACCAGCAUAGCUCACAGGGUCCCUUGGAGUUUCAACAGGAGGUUUGUAACUUAAACUCCAUUCUUUUUUGAAAUCAGAGAUAAAUCACAUUCUUUUCUGGUAAUGAAGAUUGGUUUUACUCUCGUAGGUAGAGUUGUAAGACAACCAUCUCUAGUUAUACUCGUAAUAUUUUAAAUUGAACUUCAUCCUUUGGUUUCUAUGAAAGGAUUGGCUUAGUCUUGAGAACAUUUAUUAGGACCGCGGAAACUGUCUGUCUUUCUUUGACUUUUAAAAGAGGAAGCAUGUUGCCUACUGGCCAGUAGUCCUAAACAUUUCUUAGUCUUGAUUGCCCUCAACCUGGGACUGUCUGGUUUUCUGAAAGAUUGAACAUUCAAUUGUAUUUUCUUUGUGCAAGUGGUGUUUUUAGGAAGCAGAGCAUUGAAACAGGCCUAGGCUAUAAAGGCUGUUUUUAUUAUCUAUACAACAAAUAAAGUGGGAGCCUUGGGUUCAGUGCAAACAAUUUUUUGUCACCUUUUUAACUUCAUUUUUACCCUCACAAAAACUAAUUGUUACCCUAACCACAACCAAUUUUCAUUCUAACUACCAAAGCACAUGUUCCCAUAUAACCACCCAUAAGCACUUUAUUAUGGCUAAUUAUUGUUGAAUUCCAGCCCUGCUUCUUUUCCUUUUCAUUGUUCUAUGUGAUACCAUUUUAUGUGGUUCCUUAACUUGAUUGGCAGCCCAGAAACAUCAUAAGCAACCCCAUUCCAUUAGCUUUGAUGUGUGCUGGAUCCAAUCAUAGUACUUUCUACUACAUGAACCCUUUGUUUAUGGUCUUGUAGAGGUGAAGUCUGUGCCGCUCAAGUAAGUGAGCUCUUUGUUUAUUUUCAUGUAAUGGCUAAAUGCAUUGUGUAGACACUUCUGUGAGUUGAUCUCAUUUUAGGCAAUCAAGUGCAUAGGGAGUCUACUGUAGUGUUAUUGCAGGGAUGAUGGUGAACCUUUAAUGCACAUAAACUGGAUGUUGUAUUGAACAUGGAGCUGCAGAUGAUCUUUAUACUCUUCUUUGUGUCAUCCUUCUUAAUCAAAUGUAUUGGACAACAUGAUUGGUUGAAGUAUUCUGUUCAGUGGAAUCUAGAAAGAGCUAAUUCCCCCUUUUUUUUUUUUCUCUAAAUCUUGUUAGGUAGGCAUUUUGAGUACAUUGAGGCAUCCGAACAUUGUCACGCUUAUAGGAGCUUGCCGGGAAACUUGUUCCCUCAUCUAUGAGUAUCUUCCCAAUGGAAGCCUUGAAGAUAGACUCAGCUGCAAGGAUAAUACACCCCCACUAUCAUGGCAAACUCGAAUUCGUAUUGCUUCAGAGCUCUGUUCUGCUCUCAUCUUCUUGCAUUCUUGUAGCCCUAGAGGCAUUAUCCAUGGUGAUCUAAAACCGGCAAAUAUUUUGCUUGACAACAAUUUUGUUAGCAAGCUCUGUGACUUUGGAAUGUGUCGUGUUCUUGGGGAAGAUAAAUUUUCAGACAACAACACUUCACUGUGCUGCAGAACGGACCACCCAAAAGGCACUCUUGCAUACAUAGACCCUGAAUAUCUUGCGACUGGAGAGCUAACUACAAAGUCAGAUGUCUAUUCAUUUGGAAUCAUUUUAUUGAGGCUGUUAACUGGGAAGCCUGCACUGGGGAUAUAUAAGGAAGUUGAGAAUGCGUUAAAUAAAGGAAACUUGAAAGAUAUCUUGGACUCAACUGCCGGUGACUGGCCAUUUGUGCAAGCGCAACAGUUGGUUCACUUAGCAAUGAGGAGUUGUGAGAUGAGUCGAAAGACUCGUCCUGAACUUGCUUCAGAGAUCUGGAGGGUGCUCGAACCAAUGAGAGCAUCUUGUGGGACAUGUUGUUCUAGGUUGAUAUUCGAGGAGGAGUCUCAGAUGCCAUCUUACUUCAUUUGUCCCAUCUUUCAGGUAUGUAUAGCUUGUUUUGAUCUUUGAAAUUCCCUAACCAUGCGCUCCAAUUUUGUCUUUUCCUUCUUGAUAUAACAACAGAAGAUUAUAGAACCCAUGUACUGCAUCUUCUUGUCUAGCCAUCACUAAUCUGUACAUGUCAGAUUGAGAGAGUUAGCUUGCUAAACUAUCCUAUUUUCUAUCCAUCUGUUUAUGGUUUCUAGGAACUUUUCAUUAGUAGUUGGUCGUUUUAAUGGGUGAGAUAUUAUUUUCUUGGCUCACACUUGUAGGAGGUUAUGCAAGAUCCUGUAGUUGCAGCUGAUGGGUAUACAUAUGAAGCAGAGGCUUUAAAAGGAUGGUUGGACAGCGAUCAUGACACUUCACCCAUGACAAACCUCAAACUGGCGCAUCGCAAUCUUGUGCAGAACCAUGCUCUUCGAUCUGCCAUUCAGGAGUGGUUACAGAAACGGUAAACCUUCGAAUGGUUCGUAAACAAAUUGUUCUUGCAUUUUGUCAUACUUCAUUUUUUCUAAAUUAUUAAUAUACGUUGCUUUUGAAUUUUCUGUAACCAUGUAUAGAGAAAUAUGUAGGCAGCAUAUGUACUAGCUAGCUAGUAGCUACAUUCUAAAAUAUUCGGCGGAAGCAGUGCCGAGGAGCUGGAGUUGUUUAUUUUGUGAAUAAAAAUCGUUGUAAUUGCAUCUUAAUUUCUCUUUUAGAAACUAAUUUUUUUUAUCUUAGUUUAGAUUAAAAUUUAUGCACCCCAAAAUUUUCAAACCUUUUCUUUUUGUCUCACAAUUAUCCUAUUUGAAGUAUGAAAAUUACAAGCGAUUAAAAACAUUCAGAAAUUAGUGAAUGAGUUUCAAAAAGUCUGUAUCUGAAGAUGACAGGGUUAAUCCAACAUUGUAGCACAAGUUUUCUUUUAUGUGCCAAUAAUUAGAACUUCCUGCAUUAUUGGCCCAAGCAAUUAUUGGUCUUGGCUUUGCCAAUGUACGUUAAGCAAAUACAGAUCACAACGCCAAGUUUUCCUUCUAUAACAUGGCAUGAAACAUCGAAUAACUCUUUUUUUUUUUUUAAUUAUUUUGUAACAAAUUCAGAUGAAUAUGGUAAGAGUGUGGUUCAUCCUAACAAUAAAUCUUAUAGGAACUCAACGAUAUGGAUUGUCCCUCUUCUACUCGAUACAGAUUCCGCCUUCUUGUCUUUCUAGAGGAAAAUGAGAGAAACGAAUGGGAUAAUACUCUGUAAUACUUGCCCGACAUCAUGGAUGUAAGGAUUAUAUUAAUGGGCGGCAGUAACAACUCCACUUAUUGAUGCGAUGACUGUAUUAAGCGACUUAUGAUCCCGAUAAUAAAAAGCGAUCUGUAGUAAGCGGCCUAUAUUAAUAUGAGGGCCGUGUUGGUGGGUUCUGUAAGCGACCUAUAGUCUCAAAAAAUAUGUUUUAAGUGGUGGUGAUUUGGAGUCGAACCUAUCCAAACUUUUAUUUACCAAAAAAAAAAAAAAACUCUAUGAUACUUCCCACCAGGAGUGGAGGACUAUUCUAUAUCCUUGCUCCUUGGAAUCUGGGGAAAGGUGAGUUCCUAUGGAAAAGGAACGUUCAUGAUCUAGGAAAAAAAAUGUUUUCAUGAUCUAGAAAUAAUUGUUGAGAUCAUUAAACACCGAGACCGAGGAAGGAUUUGAUUAUCGAACAUAGCAUUAGUCCUUUACGCACUUCCAAAAAUAGGGAUGUUACUAAUACGAUGUUUUGGGAUGUUUUAGGCCCACAAUCCCGUCUUUGACAGGGCUCAGUCUGCUCUUGAUAUCAAAUUCAUGACUCUUGAAGUUUACUUCCAUGGUUAAGCAUAAAGAUUAGUAGUGUAGUAUAUAUAGAUUACGUGCCAGCCUGAGACACGCUUGGCUCAAUAAUUUCCGCCCAUCAAACAUUUGUCUAUUGAAACUUCCCAUACUGUAAUUUGACUAGCAUGCAAUUUACGGUUCCUGUAAACGGAAUGUUGAAGUGGACCGUCGUCUCCGAUUUAGCUAGAACAGGCAUAUACGAGAAUCCAGCAGACAACAAAAAACGCGGGUUUGUUCCAGUCAUUUGUGGACGUUUUCUCUUUGUUUGGCUAACGCUGAGGAGGGUUUGUGCGUGGAAAAAUGGAGCUUUUGAUGAUCACUCAGUUCACCAGUCAAUUUCUUGAAACCUCAUUAUGCAUGACCAGUUUCAGUCUCCUUGAUCUCAAGAAUUUUGUGACGCGUAAAAUUUAAAAUGGGACUUUACGAGUUGAGUUCUGUCCAAUUUAUACAGGUUGACGUAAUUCUUAUACCUUUUGGUAUAAAUGCAUGCAAUUUGAGUGUAAACUUAAAUUUAAGUUUCCAUGAAACUGAGUUUGUACAAUACCAUCAAAUAUAUACUGGAUGGAAAAAAUGGCGAUCCAGAGCUGCCAGGUGGAAAUCUGAAAUCAUCAAAUACUGCUUAAAAGUUAGAGCUGUACACAGAACAAUGUUACUUUGACAGUUCUUCCAGAGAUGCAGUGCCAUCAGUUGAGGUGAGGCCUAAAUUCUGAUUACGUGAUAACACUAGUGCUUUUAAAUGUUUCAUCCUGCAAAAUGAUUCAAUAGAUAAAUCCAAUUUAGAUUUCUGGGCUUAGAACUGCAAUUUUUCAGUAACAUGAGUUAGCCCAAGUGGUUAAAUUAGAACAGUUAUUUUCGUUAUUUCGUAUUAUAUAUAAAAAAAUAUAAAAGGUGUUUUGACUUUUCUAAUAUGACAAUUAUUUUGGGAUAUUUCAAAAUGAAAAGUAUGACACUUUCAAUGGGACGGAGGGAAUAAUAAUUUACUGUUUUUCCAGAUUGAUGUAAGCUUUUUGGGAUGUGAUGGAAAUUAAAGAGAGUUUAAAGUCGUAUAAAAAGAUUUUCGCUCAUGAUGUGCUUGUUAAUCAUUCUUCAAUUAGAAAUGGUCAAAGCUGCUGGCGCUUAGCUAGUUAAGAUGAAACUUCACUUGUGGGGUUUAUGUUGUCAGAAAUUGACAUGAAGUUUUCCUUCCAUUAAGAUGUAUGGUUGAUGUAAAUGGUUGUUUUCACUCCCUAUACGAAGAAACUAUAGCUUAUGUAAUCCCAACUAGGAAGGUUUAUAACUCCUGGACUAGCUAGUUGGGAGCUAAGCAAGACAAAAAAUGAAUGUCGGUGACCAAGAAAAUGAGGAUGAUACACAACUUGUAACGGGAGAAAGUGCCAGGGAUGUAAUUAAGCCUAAUUCGCGAUUCGCGAUACUAGAGUUCGACUCGACAUGCAAGAAGGAUGCUCGAGCUCGAGUUUAAUGAUUGCUCAUAGAACUUGAGUUUGACUUGCAUUAGCUCGAGUCAAUGCAAGUCUUAUCGAUCUCGAAUUAUAAAAUUUUGUUUUCUUGGCAAUUUUUGAACGAAAAGUCAUUAUUGCCCUUUAAAAAGUUUAUACGAUUUGAAAUAUUUCGUAAAUUCAACCACUUUUUUAAGCAUAAGGGUAAUUUCACAAUAAUAAUAUAUUAAAGAAUUAAAAUUAAAAAGCUCGAUAAUGCUCGACAAACUUUCAAACAUUGCAUCUGGAUACUCGAACUCGACUUGCUCAAUUUAUCAAGCUAUUGGAACUCGGUCAAUCCGAGUCCGAGUCAAGUUUUUGAUUGAUCUGCUCACAAACAGGUCGGUUCGAUUACCGUCCUUGAAAAAACAAUCUCAGAAUUAUAUUACAAAUGCACAAGAGAAUGCUACUUCAAACCUAUAUAAAAAAAACUCGUCAUCCCAAUUUUUAUCUCUAAUUUUAUUAGCAAAACACUUAUAAUCUAGUAACAUAAUCAUUCACGACACGUUCACACUUAAUUACUUUCAAAGACCUGCAUUUUGAUCAAAUCAGAUCUUUAGAAUUUAAUAACCCAUGAAAAUUAAAAAAAAAAAACUAAUACGAGAUUUCUCUUUCAGCAUAAGUUAAAUACCCAGUCAACUUUCGUUUCAAGCUUGUUUUCACAACUUUACUCUUAAACAUCGUAAUAAACAUUUUAGAUAUCCUUAUUACCUGACCAUUUUAGAUACUCCUUUCUGAUCUCCUAUAAAUAGACCUCCAAGGUUGCUUUUCUUUCAUGCACAUCGACUUCUAACGUUAAUUGCUUCUCAAAUUCAUCACAAGCUAUGGCCUACCCAAGAUUUCCUUUAUUGCUUUCAUGCUUUCUACUAACAUUUAUUUCUUUCAUCUUACAAACUCAUUCCCAAAGUAACAGAAUGAACGCCAUAGAUUCUUGCUGGCGUUCAGACCCUAACUGGGACGCCAAUCGCCAGGCUCUAGCUGAUUGUGCAAGAGGCUUUGGCGCCGAUGCAACGGGUGGAAAAAAUGGUCGAGUUUAUACUGUUACCGACUCAUCCGACAACCCCUCCAAUCCCAAGCCAGGGACAUUACGCUAUGGUGCAAUCCAGAGGGAACAUCUUUGGAUUAUAUUCGCCGAGGACAUGAUAAUUUCUUUGAAAACAGUUCUAUCUGUGAGUAGUUACAAGACCAUAGAUGCAGGGACGGAGCCAGAAAUUUAUUUUUGGGGGGGCUGAAGUGUAUUAAAAAUUUUUUUUUGUGACGAAAUAAAUAUAUUUAAUAAGUAAAAUUUAGAAUCAAUAAUUAUAAAAAUAAUAAAAACAUAUAAUUAUACAUACCCAAAAAUUUGUUAUUGAUUAACACUUGAAGUAUUGGUAGUUGUUGCACUCGAAUAACGAAGAGGAGGCAAUUGCAUUCUGCGAGUCUUCAUCCGUUGAAAACGUUGCAAUAUUUGCUCAUUUUCAAUUGUUGCAAAAAUAUCCUUCUCGAUGUAUACAACCAGACAGUCAUUCAUCCACUCGUCUCCCAUUUUGUUGCGCAAAUCAGUCUUGACAAUAUUCAUUGCAGAAAAUACUCUUUCAACAGAAGCAGUCGCAACUGGUAGAACUAAUGCCAACUGGAUCAGACGAUAAACAAAUGAAAAAACUGUAUUUUUACCAGUUUUAACCAUUUGUUGAGUAAGACUUCCCAAAUCUCCAACUUCUGAAAAUUGAGGAUCGCGUUGCACAUUAUAAAUAUAAUUUCGAAGUUGAGACUCAAGAUAUAAAUAAUCGUUACUUGAGAAGUCUUCAGGAUAUAAAUCAGCAAGACGGAGUAGUUUCUGCACAUUGAAUUGAGAGAAAGAACUUUUUGGAUCAAGACAUGCUAUGCAACUAAGCAAUUCCGUGCUAACUUCCGAGAAACGAUUAUUCAUCUCUUGUAUAAUUAAAUCAACAACCUGACAUCACAACAAUAAUAAAAUUAAUAACUAAGAAAAUCUGCUAACAAGUAACAAAUGUAAUGAAAUAAUAAUUUCAAAAAUAAUACCUCACAAAAAAUUUCCACGCGAUAAUGAUGAAAAUUAGUGAUGGUUUGACCUCUGCGACUGCGCCUGGCAUUGCCACGGAUUGCUAUACUGUCUUCCAUAUCAAUCACGGGAAUCAUAUUCAACUCACAAAAAUUGUUGACUUCAUCUAAAAUUAUUUGCCAUCCCUCUUCCCUAAAGUCUUGCAAUUGAGAUUUCAUAGUAUCAAUCAAACUCAUGGCUUGGACAAUAUUUUGAUCCCUUUGUUGCAAAACAAGUGACAAGUCAUUUGUGAUUCCCAAUAAAUACUUCAUCAGGUGCAAUGCAAAAACAAACUCAUAAUCAUUCAUUCUAUCAAUCAAACCCCUGGCCAUACCUCUAUUGUCAGAAGUGGAGGCAUCAUCUUGUAUAUUUCCCAAUAUUCCAAUCACCGAAGCCCACAUAGAGGAUAGACGAAGUAAUGUUAGAUAGUGUGAUCCCCAACGAGUAUCCCCUGGUCUUGCUAAACUAGUUUCUUGAUUUUUGCCUUUUCCACUAAUAAUAUCUCCACUGUCUAAAAGUGUAACAAUCUUAUCAUGUUCUAUUUGUCUUAAUUGAUCUCUCCUUUUACAUGAUACUCCAGUUAAAUUGACAAUCAUAGAGACAUAGACAAAGAAUUCACUGACAAUGAUAUUUCCCUUAGCAACAGCAACAAUAACUAACUGGAGUUGGUGAGCAAAACAGUGAAUAUACAUCGCAUAGGGAUUUUCUUGUAAUAUAAGGGCCUUCAAACCAUUGAACUCACCUCGCAUAUUUGAAGCUCCAUCAUAUCCUUGACCUCUCAAUUUGGAUAAUGAUAAUCCGUGUUGCGCGAAUAAAGAAUCAAUUGCAUCUUUCAAACAAAGAGAUGUGGUGUCAGACACAUGUACAAUUGCAAGGAAACGUUCAAUCACACGCCCUUCUUUGUUCACAUAUCUCAAAACAACUCCCAUUUGCUCUUUCACUGAACUGUCUCGAGACUCAUCAACUAUUAGGGAAAAAUAAUUGUCUCCAAUAUCAUUGAUUAUAACACUUGUGAUCUCUGAGGCACAAGCAUGUGCCAGAUCUUUUUGAAUCAUUGGAGAAGUUAGUUGAUUAUUUACAGGAGCAUUUUGAUUUACAACCUCAAAAAUCUCAGUAUUUCGCUGGCUAUACCACUCAAACAAUUCAAGAAAAUUGCCUCUAUUUGAAGAACUAGUUGACUCAUCAUUUCCACGAAAAGCCAAUCCUUGCUUCAAAAGAAAGCGGGUCACAUCCAGAGCAGCAGUUAAACGGGUGCGAUAUGCAAUAUCUAUUUCGCGCCCACAAGAUCGUAGCACAUUUGACAUACUAUGCCUUUGAUCUUGAAAACUUUCAAACUGCAUUCUAGCAUCAUUAUGGCAACUAUUCACAGCUCCAAUAUGUUCAUUAAAUCUUUCCAUUGCCUUUUUCCAAUUAUUGAAUCCCGUUUUUGUAAAGGCAUCCUCUGCAUAUCGACCUCCCUUAUUUUGUGUUUUGAAAAGAAAGCACCAAAAGCAAAACGCCGCAUCUUUCGAUAUGCUAUACUCUAACCAUACAAACUUUUGAUACCAACUAUCUUGGAAACUUCUAUGUUGUUUACCAAAUGAUGUUUUUGGAUACAUAUGGCCAAUCGGUUGGCAAGGUCCCCUAGUCAAAUACUCUCUUCGGACAUGGUCUCGAAGAGAAAUAUCAAAUUUCUCAACUGAUUUUCGUAAUCCCGGAUCACUAACAAUAUCAUUUAAAUUCAAUUCCACACAAGAUUGAUUUUGAACUGGUUCACUAAUAUUAGGCUCAUUUGAAGAUUCACCACUACGGACUCGUUUAGGUUUAAAGAAUCUCUCCAUUUUCUGUCACAAUUAAAUAAUUGUGGUUAAAUUCAAUAAAAUUAUGCAAUUCAAUAAUCAAUUAAUUUAAAAUUCAUAUAAAUAAUUCUUUAAUUUAAUAAUAAAUUCAUAUUACUUAUAUUUCUCAAUUUAUAAAAUUCAUUAUAUAAAAUUAUCAAAAAGUUAAAAUAAGGUACAACUAAAUACCCAUAUAAUUUCUAAUUCAAUCUCAUAAAAUUUUGAAUUUAUAUUUACAUUCAAAAUUUCUAAUUCACAUAAUUAAUUCUUAAAAUUUCAAAUAUAAAACUAACAAAAUUUUAAAAACUAAAUACAACCUAAAAUCUAUACAAUUUCUAAACUAAUUUCUAAUUUAAAUUUAAUAUCAUUAAAUUUUUUAAUGUAAUCUUUCAAAUUCUUAAAUUACAUUAACAUAAACUAAAUAAAAAUUAAUCUUAAUCAAAUUAAUAUCAAGAUACUCAAAAUUCAAAAAUAAUUUAAACAUAUAAUUAACAAAAAUAUAAAGAUGAAUAUUGUAAUUUAAACCAAAAAACUAACCUAAAAGAUUUAUGUGAAUGGAAUGGUGGAGAGUUGGAGUCUUGGAGCCUUGAAUUGAAGGCUUGAAGCAGGAUGAUAGAAUCUCAACUGAAGCUUCUUGGAGUUCUUGGAGCCUGGCGUGAGUGGCGUAUUCUUCUUGGAGUUGGAGACUUGGAGUCUUGUUUCAGUUGUUUGCCCUUUGGCCUUUGGCAUUGGCGGCGUGUAUUUUUUUUUUCCCUCAUUAUACAAAACGACGUCGUUCCACUAAAAGUGAAACGACGUCGUUUUGUAUUUAGAGGGCAAAAAAAAAAUUCAACAUAAAUUGGGUCAUCUUCUUCCUCGGACCUCAGCAGUCAGCAGACUCAGCACGGCAGGCUGGCAGCGGCUUUCCAGGCCCAGCUCUUCUUCACUUCCUCUGCAGCAUUCAUGGAGGCAUCAGGCAUGGAGCCAUGGAGGAUGGUAGAUCUGGAUCACCGUGGGGGGACUGGGCUGGGCUGGGCUAGCCGCCGGAAUCCCCUAUAUAUAGGGGAUUUUCCGGCGGCUUGGGGGGGGCUUAAGCCCCCACCAGCCCCCCCUUAAAUCCGUGCCUGCAUAGAUGGGAGAGGAGUCAAGGUAGAAAUUGCCAAUGGACCAUGCAUGGAGGUCAGAAGUGCUAGCCAUGUUAUAACACAUGGAAUCAGCAUUCAUGAUUGUGAAGCCCAGAGGCCGGGCUUGGGUGAUGCCAUAACCAUAACUGGAUCUUCUGAUGUAUGGAUUGAUCAUUGCUUUUUCUCUAGCUGUGUAGAUGGCCUCGUAGACAUCAUUCGUGGUUCAACUGCAUGCGAUCACCAUCUCCAACAAUUUCUUCACGAAACAAGAUAAAGUAAGCAUGUACAAAGCCAUCAAUAAUCCAGUACUGGCUAAAAGUUACAUGCAUGUGUCUACAUAUAUAAUUUAGGAAUUUAUUUUAACUUAGUUCUAUCAUCCCUAGAAAUUAAUCAUAAAUUAAGCUCUUGCACCAUCAUUUUUAUUUUUUGGAUAUUAAUAUGAGUAAUAACUUUGUGCCCUCAUGCACUAGGUCAUGUUGCUUGGACACGAUGAUGAUCAUGACGAGGACAAGAGCAUGAGGAUUACUGUUGCAUUCAAUUACUUUGGCCCGGGUCUAGUCCAAAGGAUGCCAAGGUGAGAGUUAUUUUGUGGCAUUGUAUUGGUCAAUCAGUACACUUGAAAGGUUUUUGAAACUUUACUGAUACGAGCAAGAACUACAGAGUUAGGCACGGCUAUGCCCAUGUUGCAAACAACAGGUAUGAAAGAUGGACAAUUUAUGCCAUUGGUGGGAGUGCGAACCCCACCAUACUAAGUGAAGGCAACCAAUACACUGCUUCAGACAAUCCUCGAGCCAAGGAGGUAUAAUUUCUCAUCAAAAUUGUAUUGAAAUUGAUCUAGACUGUAAUUUUCAUAUAACCUACAUGCAAGCGAGAUAGACUUUCUAUAGUGACAGAGGGAAAAGUGGCUGCGAUUGUGGUCAGAUAUAACUGUUCCAAACGAUUUAUUGUCAUGAUUUAGCCAACAAUACAAUUUUUUUUUUUUUGAAAAUGUACGACUUAAAUCAUCACACUUAACUUUGACAUAACUGAUAUCUACGAUCUCAUAUAAAUAUAGAAGGGAUCAUUUCAAAUACCUCCCUCAAGGUUUCUAACAAUUAUACUUGAAUAGCCUCUAAAAUUAAAAUUACACUUACCUCCCCUCUAUGAUGGAUGUGACAACAUGUCUGCACCAAAACCUCCUAAUGACCAACUUGCCCUCAAAAUGUUGUGCCUAAUAUUAUUACAAAAAUGUGAGAAAAAAAUUGCCUACAACAAUAAUAUUUUUUUAUUUGCUCCUUGCCACGAUCAUCUACAAAAGAAAAAUUGAUUUUGUCAUUUCUCAACUGUUAUCUUCAAAAUUGAUUUUAUUAUUCCUCAAAUGCCAUAGAGAGGAAGAAUGCUAAGAGUUGAAAAUAGUAUUCAUCUCUUACAUUUUAUCCAACUUAUAUGCUGCCAAGAUAUAACUGUUAGAUAUAGCUGUUGCAACCUAUCCAACUCUUCUUGCUUCUAAUGAUCAAAAGUGCAAAAUUGUACAUGUACUUUGUGUUGUACUGGGAGGAUCUCUACUGCUUUCAUAUCUUUUUUCUCUUUUUAAUUAAUUUUUAUAAACAAAGUGGCAAAUGUUUCGUUCAGAAUAUAAAGAAGAUAAAGUUGGCAAAAAAUUGUGUGUAAGUACCUUUUCCCACUUUUUAACUUUCUUUUAGUGACAGCGGCUGCAAUAUUUAUUAAAUGUGUCCAUCAAAGGGAGGUGAGUGUACUUUUUAAUUUUAGAGGGUAUUUAAGUGCAAUUGUCAGAAACAUCGUGGGAGGUAUCUGAAAUUAUCCCAAUAUAGAAUAUAGAAGAAAAUAUAACAUGACUGUUGAAAAAAAUUUUAUAUGGUCUCGACAGUAAAAGGUAUAGAAUCCAAGUUUCACUUAUACCUUUUAACAGGUUACAAUGAGGAUUCAAGAUGAAGAUUGGAAGACCUGGACGCGGAAAUCUUCCCGGGAUGUAUUUAACAGUGGAGCUUUUUUCGUUCAGUCGGGAUCAGGAAGCUAUCUUCCUAAUUACUCACUAUCUCAAUCCUUCACCGUCGCACAUGGGGCUGCAGUUCUGACUUUAACCUCUGAUGCUGGUCCUCUGGAAUGUAACACAAACAAAACAUGUUAGAUUAUGUCGUUCUACAAACAGUAAUACGUUCAGGCACGGAUUUAAGGGAGCUGGAAAAUCCCCUAUAUAUAGGGGAUUCCGGCGGCCAGCCCAACCCAGCCCAGUCCCCCCACGGUGAUCCAGAUCUACCAUCCUCCAUGGCUCCAUGCCUGAUGCCUCCAUGAAUGCUGCAGAGGAAGUGAAGAAGAGCUGGGCCUGGAAAGCCGCUGCCAGCCUGCCGUGCUGAGUCUGCUGACUGCUGAGGUCCGAGGAAGAAGAUGACCCAAUUUAUGUUGAAUUUUUUUUUUGCCCUCUAAAUACAAAACGACGUCGUUUCACUUUUAGUGGAACGACGUCGUUUUGUAUAAUGAGGGAAAAAAAAAAUACAUCAGAUGAAGCCCUAAGGCUUCAUCUGAUGCAAAAGCACGCCGCCAAUGCCAAAGGCCAAAGGGCAAACAACUGAAACAAGACUCCAAGUCUCCAACUCCAAGAAGAAGACGCCACUCACGCCAGGCUCCAAGAACUCCAAGAAGCUUCAGUUGAGAUUCUAUCAUCCUGCUUCAAACCUUCAAUUCAAGGCUCCAAGACUCCAACUCUCCACCAUUCCAUUCACAUAAAUCUUUUAGGUUAGUUUUUUGGUUUAAAUUACAAUAUUCAUCUUUAUAUUUUUGUUAAUUAUAUGUUUAAAUUAUUUUUGAAUUUUGAGUAUCUUGAUAUUAAUUUGAUUAAGAUUAAUUUUAUUUAGUUUAUGUUAAUGUAAUUUAAGAAUUUGAAAGAUUACAUUAAAAAAUUUAAUGAUAUUAAAUUUAAAUUAGAAAUUAGUUUAGAAAUUGUAUAGAUUUUAGGUUGUAUUUAGUUUUUAAAAUUUUGUUAGUUUUAUAUUUGAAAUUUUAAGAAUUAAUUAUGUGAAUUAGAAAUUUUGAAUGUAAAUAUAAAUUCAAAAUUUUAUGAGAUUGAAUUAGAGAUUAUAUGGGUAUUUAGUUGUACCUUAUUUUAACUUUUUGAUAAUUUUAUAUAAUGAAUUUUAUAAAUUGAGAAAUAUAAGUAAUAUGAAUUUAUUAUUAAAUUAAAGAAUUAUUUAUAUGAAUUUUAAAUUAAUUGAUUAUUGAAUUGCAUAAUUUUAUUGAAUUUAACCACAAUUAUUUAAUUGUGACAGAAAAUGGAGAGAUUCUUUAAACCUAAACGAGUCCGUAGUGGUGAAUCUUCAAAUGAGCCUAAUAUUAGUGAACCAGUUCAAAAUCAAUCUUGUGUGGAAUUGAAUUUAAAUAAUAUUGUUAGUGAUCCGGGAUUACGAAAAUCAGUUGAGAAAUUUGAUAUUUCUCUUCGAGACCAUGUCCGAAGAGAGUAUUUGACUAGGGGACCUUACCAACCGAUUGGCCAUAUGUAUCCAAAAACAUCAUUUGGUAAACAACAUAGAAGUUUCCAAGAUAGUUGGUAUCAAAAGUUUGUAUGGUUAGAGUAUAGCAUAUCGAAAGAUGCGGCGUUUUGCUUUUGGUGCUUUCUUUUCAAAACACAAAAUAAGGGAGGUCGAUAUGCAGAGGAUGCCUUUACAAAAACAGGAUUCAAUAAUUGGAAAAAGGCAAUGGAAAGAUUUAAUGAACAUAUUGGAGCUGUGAAUAGUUGCCAUAAUGAUGCUAGAAUACAGUUUGAAAGUUUUCAAGAUCAAAGGCAUAGUGUGUCAAAUGUGCUACGAUCUUGUGGGCGCAAAAUAGAUAUUGCAUAUCGCACCCGUUUAACUGCUGCUCUGGAUGUGACCCGCUUUCUUUUGAAGCAAGGAUUGGCUUUUCGUGGAAAUGAUGAGUCAACUAGUUCUUCAAAUAGAGGCAAUUUUCUUGAAUUGUUUGAGUGGUAUAGCCAGCGAAAUACUGAGAUUUUUGAGGUUGUAAAUCAAAAUGCUCCUGCAAAUAAUCAACUAACUUCUCCAAUGAUUCAAAAAGAUCUGGCACAUGCUUGUGCCUCAGAGAUCACAAGUGUUAUAAUCAAUGAUAUUGGAGACAAUUAUUUUUCCCUAAUAGUUGAUGAGUCUCGAGACAGUUCAGUGAAAGAGCAAAUGGGAGUUGUUUUGAGAUAUGUGAACAAAUAAGGGCGUGUGAUUGAACGUUUCCUUGCAAUUGUACAUGUGUCUGACACCACAUCUCUUUGUUUGAAAGAUGCAAUUGAUUCUUUAUUCGCGCAACACGGAUUAUCAUUAUCCAAAUUGAGAGGUCAAGGAUAUGAUGGAGCUUCAAAUAUGCGAGGUGAGUUCAAUGGUUUGAAGGCCCUUAUAUUACAAGAAAAUCCCUAUGCGAUGUAUAUUCACUGUUUUGCUCACCAACUCCAGUUAGUUAUUGUUGCUGUUGCUAAGGGAAAUAUCAUUGUCAGUGAAUUCUUUGUCUAUGUCUCUAUGAUUGUCAAUUUAACUGGAGUAUCAUGUAAAAGGAGAGAUCAAUUAAGACAAAUAGAACAUGAUAAGAUUGUUACACUUUUAGACAGUGGAGAUAUUAUUAGUGGAAAAGGCAAAAAUCAAGAAACUAGUUUAGCAAGACCAGGGGAUACUCGUUGGGGAUCACACUAUCUAACAUUACUUCGUCUAUCCUCUAUGUGGGCUUCGGUGAUUGGAAUAUUGGGAAAUAUACAAGAUGAUGCCUCCACUUCUGACAAUAGAGGUAUGGCCAGGGGUUUGAUUGAUAGAAUGAAUGAUUAUGAGUUUGUUUUUGCAUUGCACCUGAUGAAGUAUUUAUUGGGAAUCACAAAUGACUUGUCACUUGUUUUGCAACAAAGGGAUCAAAAUAUUGUCCAAGCCAUGAGUUUGAUUGAUACUAUGAAAUCUCAAUUGCAAGACUUUAGGGAAGAGGGAUGACAAAUAAUUUUAGAUGAAGUCAACAAUUUUUGUGAGUUGAAUAUGAUUCCCGUGAUUGAUAUGGAAGACAGUAUAGCAAUCCGUGGCAAUGCCAGGCGCAGUCGCAGAGGUCAAACCAUCACUAAUUUUCAUCAUUAUCGCGUGGAAAUUUUUUGUGAGGUAUUAUUUUUGAAAUUAUUAUUUCAUUACAUUUGUUACUUGUUAGCAGAUUUUCUUAGUUAUUAAUUUUAUUAUUGUUGUGAUGUCAGGUUGUUGAUUUAAUUAUACAAGAGAUGAAUAAUCGUUUCUCGGAAGUUAGCACGGAAUUGCUUAGUUGCAUAGCAUGUCUUGAUCCAAAAAGUUCUUUCUCUCAAUUCAAUGUGCAGAAACUAUUCCGUCUUGCUGAUUUAUAUCCUGAAGACUUCUCAAGUAACGAUUAUUUAUAUCUUGAGUCUCAACUUCGAAAUUAUAUUUAUAAUGUGCAACGCGAUCCUCAAUUUUCAGAAGUUGGAGAUUUGGGAAGUCUUGCUCAACAAAUGGUUAAAACUGGUAAAAAUACAGUUUUUCCAUUUGUUUAUCGUCUGAUCCAGUUGGCAUUAGUUCUACCAGUUGCGACUGCUUCUGUUGAAAGAGUAUUUUCUGCAAUGAAUAUUGUCAAGACUGAUUUGCGCAACAAAAUGGGAGACGAGUGGAUGAAUGUCUGUCUGGUUGUAUACAUCGAGAAGGAUAUUUUUGCAACAAUUGAAAAUGAGCAAAUAUUACAACGUUUUCAACGGAUGAAGACUCGCAGAAUGCAAUUGCCUCCUCUUCGUUAUUCGAGUGCAACAACUACCAAUACUUCAAGUGUUAAUCAAUAACAAAUUUUUGGGUAUGUAUAAUUAUAUGUUUUUAUUAUUUUUAUAAUUAUUGAUUCUAAAUUUUACUUAUUAAAUAUAUUUAUUUCGUCACAAAAAAAAAUUUUUAAUACACUUCAGCCCCCCCAAAAAUAAAUUUCUGGCUCCGUCCCUGAAUACGUUUGGACAUGAUUAAGAAUUUUAGAUUGAUUAAAUAUGGGAUUAUGCAUGUGAUUAGUGCUGCAACCUAGCUGGUAACUAGCCAGCUAGCCCUUUAGAAACUACUAGAUUUUACGGUUUCUUUUUUUUUUUUUUUUGGUUUUUUUUUGUUUGCUGGUUGGUUUGGAACCACCUCAUUGUAAACCAUAUGUCUCUUGAGAAGUACUUUCAAUGCUAUAUGGCCAUUAGAGGUUUGAUGUUUUGUUUCUUUCUUCCCUUUUCUUUUUUUUUUUUAAAAAGUUUUUUGGAUACUUGUUCUGGUUUUAAAACUUCAAAUUCCUAAGUUUUGUGCACGCACCAUUGUUUGCUAGAAAGACGACCAACAAAGAGAGUUUAAGGCAAAAUGCCGGUUUUCAUCCCCAAACUUUGGGGUAAAGACACAUUUCAUCCCUCAACUUUUGGGCACGACACAUUUGAUGUCUGAAUUAAUAAUUUUUUACCAAUGUCAUCCUCAAACGGCAACUUAGUCAAUUUUUAAUGGAACUGGUCACGUGAAAAUCACAUGACCGUUAAGUGAACUUAAAUUACAUUUUUAACAAAACCUGUCAGUUUCCUGCAUGCAAUCAAUCAACUUUUGACAAUUUUGACUAAGCAUCCAUCAAUAAACACUUGCAUCCCGUACAUAAGGGGGGAAAAAAACUAAAAAUAAGGAUAAAAUGAAAAAUAGGCAAGAAAAGAAAUAAUCAGCAUGAAAAAUGAAAAGGGAUAAUUUCACAAACAUCCCUUGAGAUUUUUAAUAGUUACAAAAAGCUCCCCUCAAAAUUUAAAAAUUACAUAUACUUUGCAUACUUUUACUAUUUAUAUAAGAGCAAAUUAUUUGAGCAGCCAUUGAACUAUUUGAAUAGUAAAAAUUUGGCCCUUCAAUUAUUCAUAACAUAUUUUUACCCAUUGAACUAUUAAAAGUAUAAACUUUGAGUUAUUCAUAACACCCAUUGAACUAGUAUGUUUUGUAUUUAACAUAAAUUAAAUAUGUGGAAGUUAAAAAAAUAAUAAAUUGCCCAUAACAUACCAGUUAUUUAUGGGAAACUGGCAGGUUUUGUAGUAUAUUUUGUACCAACUCUUUAUGGGAAACAUACCAGCUCUUCAUAGGAAAAAUUGGUUAAAUAGCGCCCAAAGGAAAACUAGUAUGUUUUGUAUUUAACAUAAAUUAAAUAUGUGAAAGUUAAAAAAUAAUAAUAAAUUGCGCAUAACAUACCAGCUCUUUAUGAAAAAUUGGCAGGUUUUGUAGUAUGUUUUGUACCAACUCUUUAUGGGAAACAUACCAACUCUUUAUUGGAAAAAUUGGUUAAAUAGCGCUCAAAGGAAAACUAGUAUGUUUUGUAUUUAACAUAAAUUAAAUAUAUGAAAGUUAAAAAAAUAAUAAAUUGCCCAUAACAUACCAGUUCUUUAUGGGAAACUGGCAGACUUUGUUAAAAAUAUGAUUUAAGUAACGGUCAUGUGAUUUUCACGUGAUCAGUUCCGUUAAAAAUUGAGGAUGACAUUGGUAAAAAAUUAUUAAUUCAGACAUCAAAUGUGUUGUGCCCAAAAGUUGAGGGAUGAAAUGUGUCCUUACCCCAAAGUUUGGGGAUGAAAACCGGCAUUUUCCUAGAGUUUAAUCAUAACCAAAUUUAAUUCAUUUUCAAUGUGAUAGGCCAAAAGCAAAAUCCUCAAAAUUGUGAGGGUUUGUCUAUAAAUUUUGUCUUUUGAAAUUGCUUCUCUUUGUAUAAACAUAAUAGAGUUUCAAGUCAAUCCAGUUAACAUUCAUGACUUCAACUGACUCACCCAAAAAAAAAAAAUGAAUAAAUUAGUUAAAAAGGUAGAGAAUUAAGCUAUAGAAAAUACCAUGCCCACGUAAUAUGUACGAGAGUAAGAAGAAGCAAAGUUAAAGGGAAUUAAAACAGGGAAAGAUAAUAAAAACUAAAGAUGUUUUCCAAAAAACGAAGAAAGAGACAUGAUUCAAUCUAAUGGGGAUUCAAAAUAUAAAAUAGAUUAUGGGAUAAAAUAAAACUAAACCACCAAUACAAGGAGCUAGACGUAAUUUAGCCAACAUUUAUAAGUGGGCUUGUUAGGGAUUUAAAUCAGCUUCGAGUACAUAGUCAAUUGGUGAAAGUACAAAAAGGUGGCUAAUUACUCAGAUUAUGGUCGAGAAAAAAAAAAUUCGGACAUGUACCGCUCUGACAAGCUUGUGGUACAAAUCUAUGGGUACCGGGCCAUGUCAGCCCGGCACCCAAAGUCAGUCAAAUUUUUUUAUUUUAGGUGUGACACCGCUAACGGGCUGACACAGCCCGGUAGCGGGAAAUUUUUUUUUUUGUUAAAAAGCUGUCGGCUACCGGGACAAUGUCUGAAAAAUUUGAGAGAGCCAUUUGAAUAUGGCCAAAUAUUCCUUCCAGCACAAGAUUCUCCACGGCUUGACAGCGCUGCUGCCUUCUCAUAUUAUAGCUUGUGGUCUGUUUGUGCCAAAAUGAUUGUCGAAUUAUCUCUCAAUUAAUUUAAUUUGUUGAUUCUUUUUGGUUGUUUUGUUUCUAGUUUUUUUUUACCGCGUAAAUUCUUCGAACUUUAUGGGUACGUUUGUAUUCCUUGUUUUUUUCUUCUGUUUUUGAAAAACUGUUUUUCACAUUCCAAAUGUUACAGUAAAUAUAUAUUUCAAAAACAAUUCCAAAAACACCAUAUCCAAACAUUAUACCAAAAACAACUCCAAAUAUGCAUAUUUAAUAUGUAUAUUAUAUAUAUUAUAUUAAUAUAAAUUGAAAUAUACAAACUGAAAAUUAUAUAUUUAUACAUUAUAUUAUAUAAAUAUUUAUAUACAUUAAUAUUAUACAUAAUAUUGUAUAUUAUACAUAAUAUAAUAUAAUAUACAUGAUAUAAUAUACAUAAUAUGUAAUAUUGUAUACAUAAAUGUAUAAAUAUUUAUACAUACUAUAUUAUGUACAUUAUAUUAUAAUAUAUACAUUGUUAAUUUACUUUCACUAUUAUGUACAUUAUUGUGUAUAAUAAUGUAUAAUAAUGUUAUGUAUAAUAUAUAAUAUACAUAAUAUGUAAUAAUGUAUAAAUGUAUAUUAUAUUAUAUAUAUACAAUAUUAUGUAUAUUAUACAAAUUGUAAAUUUUAUGUUAUAUAUUUACAUAUUAUAUAUUAUAUAAAUAUUUAUAUAAUGAUAUAUACAAUAAAUAUUACAAAUUAAAAUAUUAUAUAAACACCAUAUUUAUAAUAUUAAUAAUUAACAUUAAUAUAUUAUAUAUUUAUUAAAUAUUUAUAUAUUAAAUAUUUAGCUAUUUAUUUAUUCAUAUUAUAAAUAUUUUAUUUUAUUUAAAAUAUAUUUUUAUAUAUUUAUAUAAAUAUUAUAUAUUAUAUAAAUUAUAUAUAUUAUAAUAUAUAUUAUAUAUUAUAUAUAUUAUACAUUUAUAUAAAUGUACAUUUAUACAUAAUAUAUAUAUUUAUGUAUAUUUAUAAUAUACAUUUAUAUUAUGUAUUAUAUAUAAUAUAAUACAUUUAUACAUUUAUAUUAAUAUACAUAAUAUUAAUUUUACAUUUAUACAUAAUAUUAAUACAUUUAUACAUUUAUAUUAAUUAUAUUAAUACAUUUAUACAUAACAUUAAUAUAUAUUUAUAAUAUAUUAAUUUAUACAUUUAUAUAAUAUUCAUUUAUAAUUUAUACAUUUAUAAUUAUAUACACUUAUACAUUUAUAAAUAUAUUUAUAUUAUCUAUUAUAUAUAAUAUAAUACAUUUAUAAUACAUUUAUAUAUUUUUAUAUAAAUAUAUAAAUAUAUGUAUUUAUAAAUAUUUAUAAAUGUAUUAUAAAUGCAUAAAUGUAUAUUUAUAUAAAAAUAUAUAAUUUAUAAUUUAUACAUUUAUAUAAUAUUCAUUUAUAAUUUAUACAUUUAUAAUAAUAUACAUUUGUACAUUUAUAAAUAUAUUUAUAUUAUGUAUUAUAAAAAUUUUUUCCCUCCUUGUUUUUCACCUUUUAAACGGAGCUGGACUUUAUGGACCCCAACUUUUAUUAGAAAAUUCACUUUUAAUAAGAAGUUGCAGUUGAUUUCAUUUUGUAAAAUAUUUUGCAAGAAUCUCAUUUAUUAUUUUUACUUAUAUUAUAUCACAAAAAUGUUACAGUAAAUAAUUUUUAAAAAUAAUAGUCAAUCCAGUUGGACUCAACAAACAUGUAUAAAAAUCGUCAAAAAAAACAAUUUCAGGGAAACAUGUAAGAAAGCUCCAUUUGACAAGAAACUCAACCGUGGAUAUUUCCGUCCAAUAGGGGUGGGUGAGUUGUUUUCUACCAGAAAAUAAAAAAUCUAUAUAUUCAUUUUUCGGUUUUUACAUGGAAUUUUUGUUUUUUCUGAUCAAUGCAAAGGAUACUCCAAUGGCUUAGUAGCAUGAACCUGAGUUGCCUAGAUUGACUAAGAAGUAUUCUCUCUUCGAGUCUCACAACAACCAGCCCUUCUUUUUGUUGGACAUUUACCUACUAGCCCGUUCAUCGACUAGACUACGUACACAACUGUGAGCUCAUCUCAUUAAGGAAAGGUAUAAAAAUUUAGACUGGCUGCCGGGCAGAGAGAGCCCGGCAGCCAGUUUUUUUUCAGACAUUGUCAGCUACCGAGCAUUGUCAGCUCGGUAGCCGACAGCUUUUUAAAAUAAAAAAAAAAAUUUCCCGCUGUCGGGCUGUGUGUCAGACCUUAAAAAAAAAAUUUGACUGACUUUGGGUGCCGGGCUGAUACGGCCCGGCAUCCAUAGAUUUGUACCACAAGCUUGUCAGAGCGAUACAUGUCCGAAUUUUUCUUUUUUCGACCAUAAUCUGAGUAAUUAGCCCAAAAAGGUGGGUCAUGUAGGCAAAGGGAGACCAUGGAGCUUAGUAGCUUGCUGCCGGUUAAUUUGCCCUGCAUUCUUAUUGACAUCAUUAUAUUGUUGCUUUCUUCUAAUUUCCUUCACGCGUAUUUUGGUAGAUGUAUUUGACUUUGUAUCUUCAAAUAGUGAUAUAAUUAGGGUUUGUUAAGCCCUUUCUCUUCUCCUUCCUUUCCUUUCUCUUAAAAGAGAAACGAUCGAUUAUUUUUCGAUGCUCAUCAUUUUUUUUUUCACUUUUCUUCUUAACAGUACAAUUUGUACUUGUGACCUUCUUAAUGGUGAAUUUUCUUUUACUUUCUUAAUAAUUCGAAAUCUGGACUUUUUCAGCGGUAAAUAAAACGGGUUAUCAAUUAAAAUAUAUUUUGUUAGUUUUGUACAUAUAAGCUACCUUGAUGAUCAAUAACAGUUAUGCUUACCAAAAAAGUUAGUCCAUCAAUUAAUGCAUCUUCCAAGGUGACAGCCCGUACUAUAAAUUGUAAACCUGAUCAUCCGCAUAUUAAUAUGGAAAGGACUCGGUCGAAUUGGCCAUGGUCAGUUCACAUGAAUUGUUCAGGGACUGUUGCCACGCGAAUAGUCAAGCGUUAAGCAGAAGUGAGACAAGUCAAUGCGUCGUACAAUUUCAUUGCGUAUAGCUUAGAAUAUGAUGUGAUGGACCCGGGGCAGGAACGGUUGAAGGUUAGAAUAUGCAACCGUUCCUGAAAGGUUAUGUGCAUCUACGCAGUCGUUUCUAAAGGCUGCGUGCAUCUUACACGACGUAAUUUUGUUUAUAUUUAAUAUAAUUUAAUUUUAAUAAUGUAUAAUUUUAAAAUAAAAUUUUAUAAGUUUCAUACAUAUUAUUAAAAAUAAAAUAUAAGAUAAAAUUUGAAUCUUAUAAUUUUUUUUAGUCAAAUUUUGACUGUAAAUUACUCAGGAACGAUCCGUCCGAUGAUGACCGUUCUUGCUCCAAAUCCACGAUGAGAUCAAGUCCAUAUCCAUUUUGCUCGUGACCAAUAAGACUGAAGGUGCAGAGAAAUUGAAUGACGUCGAGGGCAGAAGAUCACAACUGGGUUUCUGAAUCCGAUUACAAAAGCCAAGAUCAUUAGUAAUUUAUGGCGCCGUCUUAUCGGUACGGCCUAUACGGCCCCGUAAUAAAUCGCCUUGCUCCGACAGUCGACGGUACCACGACUUUUCUGUCACGCGCCAUUUCACUUUCUCUUUAUCAUCUCCAAUGUGGUGGCACCUUUUUAUUCCCUGAGUAUUCUUUUUUUCAUAUUAAUUUAUUUUCUGCUCUCUCUCUCGGCAAUAUUGAGCUUUUGAGUAUAGAAGUAUCCAACUUGAAGACAUAUUAUACAAAAUACUACUAUUUAUUUAAUCAAAACUUGGGUAAAAGAUUUAUUUAAUCAUCUGUACAUAUUAUGUGAAAAUAUAUGCAAAAUACUAUUUAUUCACUUUUUUUGCAUGUUAUUUUUUCAUCGUAUGGCCAACAUGUAUCUCAUAUAUCUACAUACAAGGCUUUAUUGUAUGUCCUAAAUGACAUGAUAGCAAUCCCAAUAUAAUAUACUCAUAUUAUCACGCACCCAUGAAUUAUAUAUAAUUUUAUGUUAAAAAAUUAAACUUUUGGAGAAGAUAAAACUAGGGAUGACCACCUUUGUACAUGCCCCUUAGUCACAGGAUAUGAAAACUUUUUAUAUCAUACUAGCAAAACCCAAAGAAAUCUUCCAUUUAAUCAUAAUUAAUUCCAUACAAUUUGGUUAACGAUGCUCAAUAAACACUCGUUAAGAGAAGUCUCAAGUAUUAGGCCUUGUUUGGAAAGGGAUUUUCUACCAAAAAAAUUUCUAUGUUUUCCGUGAAUACAUUUUUCAAUCACUUUUUUACCUCACAUAUAUCAAAUCGUUAUAAUACACUUUUUAUAAAAAAAAUUUUAGAAAAUUGCAAUUUAAACGCAACCUUAGUUUUUAAAAAAAACGACUAAUUUCAAAAUAUGCUUAAAUAUAAGGAGUGCGAUGAUUGUGAUUGCAUAUAUUCAUAUGAUAAGUUAAAUAUAAUUUAGGUGUGCUAAUGAGUGUCUAUUAAGACUCGUUAACAAAAUCGGAAAACUUUAUAGCGUAAAAUAUUAUCAUGUCUCAUUUAGCACAUUUCAAAGACGUCAUAGUGUACUUCAUUCUCAAAUAGGAUACAAGAUAAGUUGAGAUUUUGGGUAAUAUAUAAAUGAAAUAUUAGUUAGCAAACAAAUUGGUUUAACCCAAAUCAUCAAAAAAUCUAUCGAUGCAAACAUCAAAUCCAAAUUUAAGGAUAGUAUGUACUUUAUACACGUGUCAGAAAAAGCCAAAAACGAGUUUGCCAUUAAUCACUUUGGUAGAUUUAUUCAUUAAAUGAAGUAAAAAUUUUGCAACUAUUUAUACAUCAAACUUGAUUUGGAGUAGCUUUUGAAGUUCAAAUAUCUACUUGAAUCUGUUUGAUAAUUCAUAAAAAAAAAAAAAACAACUGUCGUACCUCCAAUGUAACGACAAAAGCUAUUUACGCUUAACUUUUAUUAGACACGAGUAUCACCAAGUUACAAAAUUUUCAUUUAACAAAUAAUGUAUCAAACUAAUAUUGGUUUACUUAUUAAAAUGUACUUGGAACAGUUCUAUAUUUGCUAGCGUAAAAAUGUGAUGAGAAUAAUAAGAAACUUGUGAGAAAGAAAGGGGAAUUUCACUAUAAUAUCUCAUUUAAUGAUCUUGGACAGGAACACCACUAAAUUAAACAGUGAAACAUGGAUAGUGUUCAUUGGUGUAACUAAUUAUCUUCUGAUUUUAGACUCUAGCACGUCAAAAAACAAAAAAGACUUUAGCACGUCACCACCAGGGUCGAGCGUGUGUUAUUCACGCUCCAUUCCAAGCGUCAUUCUGCGAACGUCCAGGAACUUUGAUCAACGGUUAUAGGAGGGCUUUCUUGACGUGACCAACGCUAAAUCAACAACUUAUCACUUGUCGUAAAGCGAAAUUAAAAUAAAACUAAAGCCAAACAGCCCCUUAACAGCCCCACUUCUUCUUUCAUCCAUACCAUUCUCCUCUGUUUUCCACUUUACCUCCUACAGUUCACAGUUCACAUAACCCCACAACAAUAAAAUCAGCAUUAGUUUUGAGCAAAACCCAAUUGAUCUUCCUCUGGAAAACUUUCUGGUCUUUUUUUUUUUUGAGCUGAUGAAGUUAAAGAUGAGAGCUUUGAGCUGUACUGUUAGUACAGUUGUUCUUGCAGUUGUGUUUUUGAGUAGUUCUUCAGUGUUUGCAGGCGAUAUAGUUCACCAAGAUGAUGAGGCACCUAGAAGACCUGGUUGUGACAAUAAUUUUGUUCUGGUAAUAACCCUUUCAGCUGUCCUUUUCUGGUUAAUUGGUAAAAAGAAAUCUGUUUUUCAUUGUUUUAUCUUAAUUAUCUAACUUUUAGUAUGCAUAUUUUGAGUCGUUUCUAAAGGUUUUGCAUUGUUUUUCUUAUAUCAAGUAUUAGUAUACUCUAAUAUACUAUUUACCGUGUUCUGAUUUCCGUGCGUUUGAAAGUAUAGCUUUUGUUUUUUUCUUGAAUAUUUCGGUGUAUCAAUUUGUUUUACCUUUUGUUCAUCAAUUAAUUUUUAGUUUAAAAUGACCAUCAGCAUAAUAGUCCUUGUCCAAAGUAUAAUUGCUGAAUCUUGAAGCUGUCCUUUUGUUGUUUUUGUAGUUAUUAGUUGCUGUUGUUGAUUCUCUUGCUACUCUGGCUAAGAUGUUUGUUUUUCCUUUUGUACUUCAUUGAAUUAUACGAGAUCUUUCACGAAGGGGAGUUGUAUAACGAAUGUUCACCUUUUGCAGUGUGCUUCACUCUAGGAAUUUAGUGAUUGAUUUCCAAAAUUCUUGUCGAGCAAACCGGAAAAGAUAGAUAGUUGGAAUUUUUGUUGAAAGUCGUGUAUCUAUAUUAAUCAAUCAGCAGUCAGGGUCCCCAAAUUUAAAUCUUAAGGUAUCCUUAAGGAGAACAAUUUCAAUUACUUGUUUAUAUACUUUAUCCGGACUUUCUUGGCUAACAACAAUUUGUGAUAGCUCUGACAUAUAGCUUUUAGCACAUGUUGUGUAAAUGUACAUAUCAAUGUAGUAAGAAGCAGUAUAGCUCUAAUAUUCUGUUGUUUUCUUGGUGACACCUAUUGGUGCCAAAAUUCCUACUAAGACAUUUGAAUGACCGCAAAUUUAUCAAGAAUGCACAAAGACAAAGGGCUCAAUGGUGAUUAUGCUAGAAAAAAGAAGAUAAUGUUACAACAAAAAGAACAUGAGAUAAUUUCAUCUAUGUCUUUUUUCUUUUCUUUUUUUUCCAGUGGAUAUCACUGGUAUGAUGUCUGCUAUGAAUUUAAGUUGCUGGUUGCAGUAUUAAUUGGGACUUUCUGUCAUUAAACAAAGCUGUCAUAAAACCCAACUAAUUUUCUUAGAGUGCUCUAGUUUUGGUUUUUUAUCCCCCUUUUUCACUGAGCAGAAUCCUUGUAUGUCUGGGUUGAUUCUGCAUUUUAUUCCAGAUUUUAGAUGGUAGGGUGCUUCAGAAGACUACCCCACUUAAUUCUCUUCAACUUCUGAUUGCAGUUUUUUGUCUGAUGCCUAAGUCACUUCUAUUUAAUAGGUGAAAGUUGCAACUUGGAUUGAUGGCAAUGAGGAAAUGGAAUUUGUUGGUGUUGGUGCUCGAUUUGGCCAAACCUUGGAAUCGAAAGAGAAGCGUGCCGACCAAACAAGACUUGCCCUUGCUGACCCCCCUGAUUGUUGUAGUAAACCAAAAAAUAAGGUAUGCUUUGCUUUUCCCCCAACUGGUGCUCGAUCUUUAAGAGUUCCUGUUCAUAUCACAAGCCCAACUCUAAGAGUACUUAAUGUUUGGUAGCUUACCGGUGAGGUCAUCUUGGUGUACCGAGGUAAUUGUAGUUUCACAACUAAAGCAAAUGUUGCAGAGGAUGCAGGUGCUUCUGCAGUCCUCAUCAUUAACAACCAGACAGGUUGGUGUUCUAAACAUCCCGUUUUUAAUGGUUUGAAUCACCCAUAUACAGUCCUUGAGGAUGUUGACAUAAUAUGCUUGUGCAUUUUUUGUGCAAUUCCCCGUCGUUUUAUAAGUGUAAGGAGAUGCUAGAUAGAGACACAUUCUGUACCUCUUCUUUUUACAAAAUCACGUGACAGUUGAAGAUUGUUUAUUUAUGUGUUGGCCUGGAAUGUAAAAUGCAGAAUAAGUAACUUGUAUCUUCCAUAUUAAUUAUGUGAAAGAUUGUCUAUGAAAUUGCUGUAGAUUGAUUGCGCUGAAUCCUUUUAUUCAAUUUUGUUCAACAUUAAGCAAUAUGAAUCUUCAUUCUUUCUCUAGAGUUUAUUUCAAGUUCGUCAGUGGAGUAUUUUUUUUUCUAAGCGUUUGCUUUCUGACAACUGUUUUAUUAUUUUGCUUUUGGGUGCCUUGCCUCCUCAGAACUCUUCAAGAUGGUUUGUGAACCCAACGAGACUGAUAUAGAUAUUCAGAUACCUGCUGUGAUGCUUCCUAUUGAUGCUGGUCAGCAGUUGGAGGCCGUUAUGAAAAACAAGUCUGCUGGUAAGUUUAUUCUGUGUGAUUAUCUUUCUCCCUCUGUGUUUUUCCAAAUAAUGUUGUGUUUGAAGAAGGGUAACAACAUGGAGUAGUUUUUACUCAGUUUCUGUCCAUAAAUUUUAAUUGCUGUAUAUGGUUCAGUCAUAUACAGUGCUUGGUGUUAUUUUCAGUGUGGUUAACAAAUUCACUUCCUGCCUCAGUUAUGGCGCAACUAUAUUCUCCGCACCGUCCACUUGUUGAUGUAGCUGAAGUGUUUUUAUGGCUUAUGGCUGUUGGCACAAUCUUAUGUGCAUCGUACUGGUCUGCAUGGACUGCUAGAGAAGCAGCAAUUGAGAUGGACAAGCUUUUAAAGGUAAUGCUAUACCUUUUAAUGUUGUCCACAAAUUAGCGAGGAACUUUGUUACUUAGAGACAGCUCUUCUCCUAUGGGCUUGAUGUGCUUUCUCACUCUUGCAGGAUGGCUCAGAUGACUAUCUUAAUUUGGAGAGUAGUAAUUUAAGAGGAGUGGUGGACAUCAACACAAGUUCUGCAGUUCUCUUUGUUGUAGUUGCUUCUGGUUUCUUGGUUAUGCUUUACAAAUUGAUGUCAUUCUGGUUCAUUGAGGUGCUGGUGGUUCUAUUUUGCAUUGGCGGCAUAGAGGUUAGUCACUUCUGGAUUACUUAAAUCUCAUAGCUGAAGAUUGGAGAUUUUGCACGGGAAUCAACUUAUGUUGUCCUUUGUGACUCCAUACCAGCUUACUGAAGGAUAUUUUAUGUUUAUGGAAAAGAAAUAAGAGAUUUUUUAUACCACUCUUAAUUGACCAUUUAUCCAUAUAGAGAAGUCAUGUAAUAACAAGUAAUCCUUGCCUAUGCCUGCUUGUAAAAAUUGUUCAUAAAAGAUAACUGUGGCAUGAUUUUUUUUUUGUCUUCCUUUUCGGAUUACAAGAUUGUAUCUGAUUCUCUGGACUGAGCCCGAUCUUCUUUGUGUAUUUGCUCAAAGCUACUGUUAACGUUUUAAUGAUUGUGUUAAUGUUGCAAACUUUGUUGGGUGUCGAAAUUAAGGUUCCCUUUUGAAUUGAAAUCUGAACCUUUUGUCUUUUCUUUCUAUAGGGACUGCAAACCUGUUUGGUGGCAUUGUUAUCAUGGUAUGUACUGCAUAUAUUUCUUUAAUGUUUAAUUGUAGUGCUAAUGUUAUCUAUGUUAUAUGCCAUCUUUGGAAAGCUGGAAAAAGGGUGAGUGAUGUGGAAACAUGGAUUUUUCUGAUUAGCUGAUGUAUGGAAAGUAGCUGUGGAGAAAUCAUUUUUUCUGAUUUAGUAGGCGGACAAGGAGGAGGAUUUUCCACAAAACUGAUGCCAAAGAAAGGAAGGAAUUUUUUGUAGCUUGAGUUUUGACUCCAUUGAAACAAAAUUUGUUUUGCCUCUCGCCUACUCAUAUACAUUCACCAAUUUAGGAAUACAGCUGGAGAGGAGGAAAUAUCUUUUCUAGUUAUCAAAAACUUUAAUUUUUUGAAGCUGUGGUAGUAAUUGUAGAGUAUGAUCUAAAUUUCUUUCUUCCUGUCCUUUACAUUUCACUGUGAACAAGGAAAAAUAUGUCUCUUCCAUACCUCCAUGCUACUUGAACAGAAAUUGCAAGUCUUUUUUCAUAAUGAUUGACUUUAUGACUGCUAUUGCUUUUCUGCUUCUCUUACCAGUAUGAGUUUAAGAAAUGCAUCUCCUCCGUAAAUGGAAAUUGUAGUGACCAGUUUACCUGUAAGCCAUUAAGGGAGCAUUUUUUCUAAGCAAGAAUGGAAAUGCUUAUGUAAUUUACCCAUACAAGUGAGAAUGUAACUAUAUCACUGUGUCAUUACCGCAAUAUUUCUAUAUUCUUAUGUACUAUUUAUGUUAAACAAUUAACAAUCAGGUUUGGCAUCACUGUGUUUGUUACUCCUAAUGGCCGGUUAAUUUUUUUCUUUUUUGAAUCUGAUACUUUUCUUUGCAAUUGAACAUUGACGUAACCUGCUCCAAAAUGUAAUUUGUUUGCAUGUCAUUAUUGCCGACUAAUUCUACAUCGUCCUGUUGGGUAUCAGCAUGUCCAUCUUAUGCAUGUUUUCUUCUUCUUGAAAACAACUAGCCUGUUUUACCAUUGCUGAUGGGGAGCAAACUAGGUCUGUCUCUUCUCUUUCACUUUUAUGCUGCUUGAAAAUUAGGAAGAUUAAAUGAAAUCCACCAUCCACAUAUCGUCUACUAAAUGUUUUCUCUUGAAUAAGGAUAACAAUAGAAAAUAAGAUCUUAGGCUAAGUGCUUAAGGGCCCAAUAGUGUCUAUCACAUCACCAAGCUAAAAAGCAUUCCUCUUUCUAGAGCUUUUGGGACCAAUAUAAAUAACUUCUUCUGUUUUCAAGAAAUCUUCCUUGUUUCCCCUUCUGAUUGAUUGGGCCAGAUUUCUGCUGACAUGAUUAUCAAGAUUACCUGGUUUCUUUUUGUGCUAUAUGAUUUUAUGUUAUUUUAAGUUUCAUUAGGGCAUCUUUAAGUCAAGAAAAUGGAAGUUUUGAAUCUUUAUGCUUUCUCUUCGCUGAUUCCUUGCAAGUACAAUCUAACAAUGUAGAAAUACAGUUUCAGAUGUUUUGAACAUGCUGGAGAGUCUUUCAUAAAGGUCCCCUUUAUUGGAGCUGUAUCAUACGUGACACUGGCUGUUUCUCCAUUCUGCAUAGCAUUUGCUGUUGUAUGGGCAGUUUACCGCCGUGUCUCAUUUGCUUGGAUCGGUCAAGAUAUCCUUGUAAGCAAACUUUAGCUAUUUUCAUUAGUAAGUUACUAUUUUCUUAGAUUAUCGUGUGGUUGUUCAAUUUUAGAUAAUUAAUUGCUUAUAAACAGUGGACCUUCUUGGCAGUCUAAAUAACUGCUCUCUGGAAUACCCAAGUGAGUAACUCUCUUUAUUUCUCUUCACAUUAGGUAUAAUAUGGGAGAUAUGAAGACAAACAAUUAAAGAUAUGUAUCUAGUUUGCGUUAUUCUAGUUCAUUGUGCCAUCAAUAACGCAUGUUUUAGAUCUUGGGAUUGUCAUGCUAGGCCUGUCACAGUUGCAGACAUUUUGAUUUCUAAUUACCUUUCUGAUUGUUUUCAUUGGAUAAAGUCAUGCCUGAUAAAGGCUUUGAUGCUUUGUUUAUUGUGGAAAUGCUGGACUGUUUUUAUUUGGUCCAGUAUGAAAUUUUUAUUUUUUGUGCUCCAUAAUUAAACUUCAAAUAAUAUAUGCCAGUAAACUAAGCUUGACCUCAGAGUCAUCUUCUGGCUCUAUUAAAAUGCUUGAGAUAUGACAACUGAGUUAGACGUUUUCAGGUUCCAUCUAAAGACAAAAUCCUUCUUGUGUACACUUCUCUUUUAAUUGGAAAUGGAAAUGCAAAUAGUACAGGCACCUUAAGUUAGCUGGCUUUUCGUUGAAUCUAUUGCAGCUUCAUGUUGCCAUGGUGUGUAUCUUACCAUUCUGUCAGAUUUAGCUCAGAAUUAGAAUUUUCCUCUUUCAGAAACCAAAUGUGUAUGAAAUUUGGUUGUUAAUUUAUAGUCUGCUUUUCUGAGGCAGGAUUUAUGUGGCAUGGUUGUGUCUGCUGAUCUUGUUAUACGCUAACAUUGUUUAUUUGCUUUACUUGACUUAUCUUUUUUGAGGACAGGCCUUCCGCAAAGAAUGGAUAAUAAUAUUAAUGUCGAAGAAAUUAAUGUUUUUUUUUCUUUACCUAGGGUAUUGCUUUGAUAGUCACAGUUCUCCAGAUCAUACGAGUUCCAAAUUUGAAGGUAUUUAAGUUUCUUCUUCUCCUAUCAAGAGUCAUGUUUUUCAUUACUUCAUGUAUUUGAACUCUAUAUUUGGUCCCUUUAUGCUCCAAGUAGUUCUAUUCAAACAGAGAAUGACAUCAUGAUGGUGUCACCCUACAAUAUUUCACAUUUUUCCUCUCUUUUUCCUUGAUAUGGUCAGGUUGGAACAGUUCUACUAAGUUGUGCAUUCCUAUAUGACAUUUUCUGGGUGUUUGUUUCAAAGUGGUGGUUUAAGGAGAGCGUGAUGAUAGUGGUACGCAUUCUUCUUGAUCUUCUUUCAGGCAUAUGAGUGUUGAUUCUUCAUGAAUACAUGCAAAAAGUUCUUUGGCUGAUGAAUGCCAAAAGUUGUUUCCUGACACAGGUUGCUCGUGGUGAUAGAAGUGGAGAAGAUGGUAUACCAAUGCUACUCAAGAUCCCUCGGAUGUUUGAUCCAUGGGGUGGCUACAGUAUAAUUGGAUUUGGCGACAUCAUCUUGCCUGGAUUGCUGGUGGCCUUUUCACUAAGGUAGUGGAGAUGAGCGCUCAAGGAUAUCAAGAAAUAUUGUCCUCUUUGAAUUGAAUUCUAGCUUUGCUAGAAUGUCUUAAUGUACUCAAUCUCUGGCAAUUCCCCUUGGAAGAGGGUGUAAACUAUGGGCCAUGUAGCAGCUAAGUUUGCUUAUCUCAAUUAGAUGCCCUUAGAGAGCCAUGUUUGGAAAUUUCAUAAUGUAGUAGUGCUGGAUAUAGCAUACUCUUUAUUCUGGUUGGCAAUUCAGUUUGAAAAUUUCACCAAUCUUUCAAUUGUCCUUGCAGGUAUGAUUGGCUGUCCAAGAAGAAUCUUCGAGAAGGAUACUUUCUGUGGGCAAUGAUUGCGUAUGGAUUAGGUAUAACCAAAACUGAUGUGGAAUUUCUUCCUUCUCAUGUUUUUUCAUGAUAUACAUGCAUCUAAAUGUAUGUGCAUGUGAUGUUUAUUUGUCCUUUUUAUCCUUCUGCCCUUUGUUUAAUUCGAAAGAAAAGUAGUUCAACAUAAAUUGGAAAUUCUUGCUUUUCCCUUUCUGUUGGGAUUUGGGAAUUCAUUAUGCGAGAUUCAAUUGGGUGACUGGAGAGGCACCACCAUAAUGCAAGUUGCUGUAUAGUGAUGAAGCAGGUUAUCAAAAGAGCGGCUUUGGAAAUGGAGAAAUUUAGGGAUGAUAUGCUCACCCACCAUUGAGCAGACUUAUUUGUCUCAUGUACAGCUGAAGACUUGUCUAGAAGCCUUAAUAAGAUUUUCUUGAAAUAAGGAUCAAUCUAUGAUCCUAUUGGUUUUGCUCAGAUGCUUGUACUCAUUUACCCGAUGGCAUACGUGCCACAAGGAGCCAGCUUUUGUGUAACAACACAUUUACUCCAUGCAGGUCUCCUCAUUACUUACGUGGCCCUGAACAUGAUGGAUGGACAUGGCCAACCAGCAUUACUUUAUAUUGUUCCUUUCACACUAGGUAAAGAACAAGUUUGUCUCCUUGCUGAUAAUUGGGGAUAGAAUUAACAUUUUGCAUUUCAAUUCUAAAGACAUAUAUGCAUGCUAUUAUCUGUGAUGUAAUUCAAUUGACUGAGAAUGAGCGAUCAACCCGCCCUUUAGUUCUAAAAUUAGAGCACAAUCUCACUUGGAUCUCUAUUUGGGAUAACUUUCUUGUUGCAAUUUACUUUGUACUGAGCUGGAAGGAGAAUAGGUUGUAAAGGCAUAACAAAGUGUGGGUAAUUGAAAUCCCAUAUAUGCAUGCUAUUAUCCCAUAUAUCCAUUUCAAUUCUAAAGACAUAUAUGCAUGCUAUUAUCCGUGACGUAAUUCAAUUGACUGAGAAUGAGCGGUCAAUCUGCCCUUUAGUUCUAAAAUUAGAGCACAAUCUCACUUGGAUCUCUAUUUGGGACAACCUUCUUGUUGCAAUUUACUUUGUACUGAGCUGGAAGGAGAAUUGGUUGUAAAGGCAUAACAAAGUGUGGGUAAUUGAAAUUCCACAGAGACACACAAAUUACCGUUUAAACCUCUACUACCUUUUGGUUUGAUAUGUUACUUUCUAAUGUUAUUAGUGAGUCCUUGAACUGCAUUGUUGAUGGACUAGGGUAAUUGAGACUUGACUUUUCAGAUCUGUAAACUGUGACUAAUUUGGCCUUUAAGAUCCUAGCAACCAUGGUUCUGGUAGCGUGUGGACUAAAUCAAUUAUUAAAUUCAUUCUCUGAAGUCAGGCAACAAACAACUUGCUGAGACAAUAGCCAGAUCAGUUGUAGUGGAAGUCAUUGGUAAAAAAGUUCCUCUUUCAAAUAUAUAUAGCAGGAUUAUCAAAUGCUUUCUUUGGGCUUAAAGUAAUCGUAGCAAGAAUAGAGGCUUUUAGCUUAAGACAUAGUGGACCCUAGGGGAGCAGGGCGGCUGCUAAGCCUAUUCUGAGUCAAAAUCAGUAUAAAGUUAUUUUGAUUGUAGUGUGUAAGCAAUUCGUUUGCUUGGUAAUGACCUUGCUGUUAGAACGAGCUAUUGCUUACAUCUUUGUUCCAUCGCAUCUGACAUGCAAUGGCUGAUGUUGGUUAUAUGUCGAUGACUUAGUUUUGACCAGUUCUAUUGACCGAAAGAUUAAGGUGUAGAGAAAUUCCAUUGCCUUCAGAUCCUCUCAGCACACAGAUCAUAGUUGCUGUAACUGUGCAACUUACAAUGCAAUGCAAAAAUUAAGAUAUUCAAGAAGUAAGGAAAAUUAAUUUUAAAAAAAAUAGCAUGUGUUAUGUUUGCGCUUGAUAUGGUGUUACUCGUGAUCAUGGAAUUUUGAUUCCCCGUGAUGGAUUCUGUAAUAUGCAUUUUGCAGUUGGGUUUUGCAAUUUAGAAGGGGUUUGUUAAACCAACCACAUAUCAACCUCUUUUAUAAUGCUUGAAGUGUAACAUUACAUUAGAAUUAGGUAAAAGCAUACUUGUGGAAAAAAUACCAAGUCAGUGAGAGGUGAGAGUUUCAUAAUUGAAUGAAGAUUAAGUAAAACUAAAAUAGAUUUUAAUGGGAAACAUGGAUGGGUACCUGUUGUUUCUACUCUCGUGCAUCUUUAACAGAUAAAUCUGUCUCCGACAUCUUUAAAAAGGAAAGCGUGCCUUCCAAUGCAUGUUCUUGAACAUAUGCUUUCAUAUCCUAGUUAGUCUGUUAACUUAUUAUCUUCCAGUGCAUGUAUUUUCCCAUGUCUGGGAAUUAUGGAACAAUUGAUACAUAAAGGUAAGGUCAUGGUGAUAGCCAUGCCUGGUCAUCACCAACUGGAAGUUUGAUUGAGGCCAGAGCUGUGUGUCUCCAUUUUUAUGGGAAUGACUGUCAUUGCAGGUACAUUCUUGACAUUAGGGAAGAAGAGAGGUGAUCUUAAGAAUCUAUGGACAAGAGGAGAGCCAGAGAGACCUUGCACCCAUGUCGAACUCCAACAGACUGAAUGAUUGGGAUCUCAUUGUUCAGGCCGGUUAACUGCAUAUAGGUAUUACACUGGAGAUGCCUAAUUGGAUAGCAAGCAGAGAGCUAGAAUGUGGGUAAUGUGGAAAAUUGCAGGUUAUGCUGUGCAUUGCGUUUGUUUCUGUUCCUGCUCGAGGACAGAUUCACAGUGGAUUAAUAACAAGCAGAGGGCAGUGACCAUACUAAUUGUGUGCUAGUAGUUUGCAGGACUAUGUUGUAUCAUAUUGGCAAGUAUUUGCAUAUAGAUACUAGGCUACAUGCACUCUAGCAGCUAACAACCUUGUUUGUACUUGAGGGAAAAGCUGUUGGCAAGGCGUUAUGCUUUUGCCAAAGGAUAAGUGAUAAAUCUCUGGAGGUAUUUUGAGUAAGAGAGUUCGUUUUUGUAGUUUUUGCUACUUUAAUGAAUCCACGCAUUUGUGUUGUUCCAUACGUGAAACUAUAUGGAUCUUGGAUCCCCCAAAAUAAGGUUGGGCAUUCCAAAUCUCGUUUGAUUGGAUGUUUAAAGCCAGGAAUCCGUCGCAGUAAGGGUAUGUUUGGUUUCCCAUGGAAUUGUGGUUUAGAAAUGGAAUUGGGGCCCCAAUUUCAUUUCUAUUGUUUGGAUUCUGUUUCACUCAAAGAAUUAGAAUUGAAUCUGAAUUCUACAGGUACAAUUCCAUAAAUUGAAUUCUUUACCGGAUCAAAAGAAUUCUAAUUCCAAUCUCACAACUAAAUCCUAAGAAAUGGGUCUGCACGCAGAUCUAAUAUGGGUGAAAAAUUAAAAUUGGUCAAGCAUAAAAAUAUGAAAUACAGCCAUCCUUUGCUCCUCCUCUACCAUCGUUUCCUCCUCCAACCCUAAUAUUUUACCUCUCUCACCACCGUCUCCCCUCCUGCCUUCCGUUUCUUUGACCACUCCCUUCAUCCUUUGUCACUUCAGUCAUUGUCGCACCUAUCACCUUGCCAAUUGCAAGAUCUAUUCCAUCCAAUUUUUGUCACUUCGUCUCCACACUUGUCUUUGCCGCUCCUCCAUUGCUGCUAUAAUCACCUUUAUUCCUCUUAUCAUUGCUUUUUGGACUCUUUUUCAGCUCUUCUGCUUUUCCAAAAUUUCAGGCACAUUUCAAAAAGAGCUAAAAUGAUGGUGGUUAGAGAGGUUUUUGAAAUUGGAAAUCUCUCUUUCAAUUCUCUCUCAAUUUGGGGGCUAAAAUGCAAAAUUUAAAAAAAAUUGAAGGCUGAUGUUCGGCGCUGGUCAUUGGACCGGACAUCACUAGAAGUUGGAAUUUGAAGAUUGCAAGGUAAUGAUCGGCGUUGGACGUCAGGCCGGUCAUGGCACCAAUCAUCAUCGAAUUGCUCGCACCUUUCUUCGGUUCUAAGAAACCUAUUCCAACUGAAAUUCAAUUGUAAUGUUUAGUAGCUAUAAAUAGAAGAUCUUUAGGACAAUUUUAGGAUUGGAAAACAUUAAUAUAACUUGGUUUAAACAUCAUUCUUAACUUUUCUUUAGAGAUCAAGAUCGAGCUUAUGCGAAUCAAGAAGCAUGCAAGGAGAAGAUUGGAAUGAGCAACUAAGAAGUUUCUCUCUUAUUCUUAUCUUUGUAUUCGCUCGUUGAAUUUGUGGUUUUAAAAUUUUCAUUAUGUUGAACUAAAUUGACUUCUAGAGUUAGGGCGUUUAUGAAGGAAUUUGAUUAGUUUUUCUAAUUUAAUUUCUUGCAUUUUAUUAUGAUUUAUUUAUCUUGAUUUUAAUUUUGUAUUUAUGCCUGAUUAACAUGAACAUGAUCUUUGGAUUGAAUUAAACUGAGAAGUGACAUGCAACUGUACACUAGAUAGAUGAACAUGCUUAGCCUAAUCAUGAAAGUAGGUUAGAGUUUGUAUGACACCAUUAGGUUAUCUAAGUUUUUAAAGGGUUUAAUUAAAUUCUUGUAAUCUCGAAAGAGAUGUGAGAUUUAAUUAAGCAUACUUUAGAUAUAUCGAGAGAUAAUUUAAAAUACUAAAAUAUGAGAUGUUCAUAGCCAAUCAAGAAAAUAGUUAAUAAAUUAAUUCAAAUUCUGGAUUAAAACCUAAGACCCUAGGUUCUCAUCUAUUAUUCUUUCAAUCACUAUUUUAUUUGAUUUAUUUCCUUGUUUUGCCACUUAUUCAAUAGUUUAAUCGUUCAAAUUCAAGUCUUAUUAUUUGUUAGAAUUUGUCAAAUAAUUAAAGUAAAGAGUUAAUUCGUGCCCGUGGAUUCGACCCCUGGAUGACUCCAAGUGACUUCUAUUACUACGAUCAAUUCUAUAUACUUGCAGGAAAUUGUCGAUCACCAAGUUAGAGUUGUUUCCAAGACUAAUUCAUUCUUUAUUCUCGGAUGGUAACAUCGAUGUUGAUAUAAUGAGUCUUACUCAUUUCUUGAUUUUUCCUGGGCACCUGUGUUUUGACUUGAUGGAGGAAUGGAUUAGAAAACAUCCAUUAGCAUCCAUUUGCACCAGUGAAGGAGUACAAAUGUUCAGGGACAUAGCCAUCUUCCAAGAUUAUCAUGGCUUGAUAGAAUUCAGAAAUGUAUGUCAUAUAUUCAAGGCCAUCUCCGAGCUAACUUGCUAUUGGUUCCCAAAUCCUCACAAGAGAGAGAAUAUGUGCUCUUUUCUUAGCAUGAUUUCCUUCAAUUACCAAUGCAGGCUGUAGCAAGGUUUAUGGGGAAAGUAAGAGGAGAUAGAAUCACCUUUGAGGCUAAUUCUUUAGUUUAUAGCUGAAAAAAAAAAGUCAGUGAACUGUUGCUCUGACAGAGUUGUGUUCCCAUACUAUACUUGCCAUACUGACGAAACACGGCAAGGAAACCAAAAUUUUUUUUUAAUGGCAAAGGCUGCCGUGCUGACUAAUAAUUAGUCACCAAGGGCUGCCAUGCUUUUUUUUUUUCUUCACCACCAUCUGAACUUUAUUUUCCCUCCUCCCCUCUUUCUCCUCUUCCUCCCACUUUUCGUUUUCUACCUCCCUCUCUACCACCUAUUCCCCCUAAUGGACCUAGCUUCGGUGGAAGAAACCAAGAUGAAAAACCCAUCAUCUCAAACCACUUCCUUAUAGGGCACUUGAACCUCUGUUCAAAUGCCCGAAAGUUGGCUGUGGGUUGAGGUUUAAAACCCCAAAACAGUUGAAAUUGCAUUAUCAAUCUGAACCAUGGUUCGAAGACUCGGCCGAGACCGAGACGACUCGUCUCCGUCUCGGCCUAGUCCGAGACGAGACCGUGACGAAACGAUAUCGAGAUACGUGACUCGCCGAGACGUCAUCGUGAAGGGUUGAAACGGUCGAGUCUUAUCGAAUCACUCCGAGUCAUCUCGAGUCAACUCGAAUUUUUAUUACUUUUACUAAUUUUUUAAUUAUUUUUGUUUAUCAUAUUUUUUAUAAUUUUUAGAAUAUUAAAUAUUUCAAAAUUUCGCAUCUCGUUAAGACCACGAUCGAUAUGCCGAAACCAAUGUGGAACGGUCCAGGCCUCGAUCGCAAUUGCGACCGCGACUUUGAACCAUGAUCUGAACACAAAACCAAAUUGAAUGACGCCAAGUGUAUAUAUGACACCUAUUCUUCUCCAACAAUCUAAUGUCGAAGCACAAGGAAAAGCAUUGUCCUCUAAAAGGAUUCCGGAGCUUAAGGGAAUAUAAAAAAAUUAAGAUGGAAACGAGGGAAACAGAUAAAUACGCUUAUUUAAAGAAGGAAAAAGAAGGAAUGGUAAUGAUAAUUUUGUUAAAUUUACAGAUGGUAGAGAUUUAUUCAUUCAAAGUGAGCUAUGAGCUCUAUUUUGCAGAUAAAUGUGCCGGUGCCGGCAGCAAUGCACAAGCAGAGUGAGUGUCCUUUAAAAAGAUUCCGCAGCUGUAACGAAUAUAUCGCAUUUUUGAAGGAAAACAAGGAUUAUGACAAAUACGCUUACCUUCAAAAGAGAGAAUAAGGAAUGGUAAUGGAUAAUUUUCUAGGUACAAAUUUAUCCAUCAAGUCAAAAAGUGACUUAUGCUUGAGCUUUGAUUCUAAGGGUAAUUUUAGAAAGGGAAAAAAGUCCCAAUGGCCCCCCAACUCUUUCCCAAGUAAAGUUUAGCCCUCCAAUAAUUAAUGGUAAAGUUUUGACCCUCGAUCUAAUAAAAUAGCAUAUUCAUGGCCCUUCUGUCAAACCCGUCAAUUAGCAUUAUCUUGUGAGACACAACGCCAAAUAUCAAGGGAAUUAUGGUCUCUAAAGGAGGGUUUACCGAGCAAAGAGAGAGUAAAAAGGUGGCUUCUUCCUCUCUACCGGUGUGCAGAUGUGACAAAGAGGACUAGAGUGAUUACUUCGGGACCUCAAAAAAUCCUGGGCAAAGAUUUGCUGUGUGCGUGGAAGUUUGCUGCGGAUAUUGGGCAUAGAUCGAUAAGGAGAUGUGCUAACGAUUGACGGAAAUUAUAUCUGGCCUUCUUCGAAAGAUUAAUGCAACUAAAAAGGAUAGAGAUGAAUAUGAAGAAAUAGCAAGAAGAAAUGAAAGAAAUGUAACAAAAUUGAAGGAAAAAGUUAAAGAAUUGGAGAAAGAAAUUCGCUGCAAGAAAUGGGUUAACAAGUUGUUGGUGAGAUUGCUUUUUUAACAUGGAUAUUGAUUUUUUAAAUUUUGAUGAGUUGAGGCCAAAAAAAUGGAAACCUUGUCACUUUUCUACCCUUAUAAAUUGAAAUGACUCAACUUUAUGCUCGAGCUCGACCUUAAAAUUAAGUAGAUUAAGAACCUUAAACCUGCAAAUCUAGAAAAGGAGAAUCUUCUAGCUUUUGGCUGGCCCGUCAAGAUCACAGACUUGAAUUAUAAAUUUGAGGCUUGAAGUAGCAGAAGGCAGAACGAGGUUAGAAACGUAAAACGCUUCCACUUCUGCAACAUCAAGAUACUUUGCCAUUUCCGCAAGUACUUUGUCAGUUAGCUUGCAAUCUGUCAGUUUUUGGACAUAAAUAUUAAACUUGUGGAAUGUAGAGGCUUUUCCAUCUUUCAAUUGCCAUAUUAGCUUGACACUAAGUUUCUUGGACCCUUCAGAACCUGAACUCCAUUUUAUGUAUUUACCUCCAACAAUCCAAGAUGCAGAUGGUGGGAAAUCUGAGUUCUGUGAAGGCGUAUAGACAUUUAGAUGCCCAGCACUGCAGAAUACUCGGAUUGACUAAGAGCAAGCGAUGAAUUGAGACCAUCUGGUUCUAGUUGAUGCACGGCAAUUAGCACUUUCGCUGCAGCAUUCGGAUCGAAUAGCCUGAUUUUUUCACACUAGGGUUUUGGGGCAAAAGGGGUGGAAAUUGUUGAAGGGAAAAUCAGUGGUGAAAGUGUUUUUACUCUUUCUUUACUUAGAGACUAUAAUGUCCUUGAUAUUUGGUUGUGCGUCUCACGAGAUGAUGCUUCCCGUCAAUUUUAACUGCUGAGUUUAACAGAAGGGCCACGAAUAUGCUAUUUAAUUAGAUUGAGGAUCAAAACUUUACCGUUAAUUAUUGCAAACUUUACUUGGAAAAGAGUUGGAGGGCCAUUGGAACUUUUUUCCCUUUUAGAAACCUCCGCUGAGGUUUCUAAUAAUUUUACUUAGUAUUUUUAAAGUUUUUAAAAAUAUCACUUGCCUCCAGUAUUUUCAAAUUUUUGUACCAUUUUUAACCCAAUUCAAAUUAUAUGAUUAAAAUACUCAUUUUAAGAAAGAACAAGAAUUUCUUUCCAACAAUGCCCUUUCAUUGUCUUAAUUUUUUAAUUGUAAGUAUAAUGUUCAUAUGUUAAAAAUAAGGACAAAAAGCAUAAAGAGGUUCUUUUUUUUUUUUUAAGGAACAACAUAUAAUAAUUGCAACCAUAAACAAUAUGUUUUUUUGAAAGUACAAACAAAUAAUAAAAUUUUAUUUAACAUGUUUUCAAAUUACAAAGUAAUUUUUUUCGUUCAAGGUUUGUCUAUUUAGUACUCUAAGGUCACAUAGUAAGGAAAUAAACCUGAUAUUAUUGUUAUUAUUAUUUUGACAAAAAUGUAGAUUUCUUCUACAAAAGUUUUGCAAUUUAGAAGGCUAGUUAUAAUUUAAAAACUUUAGUAUUUGUCCAACCUUUAUUUAUCCAUAUGUUUAUUACAUGCCCUUAGAUUAUUAAAUGAGAAAAAUCUUUCUUUUUAUGUAAAAUAGUUUGAUUGAAUUUAAUAAAUUUUAUGAACUAUUUAGAAUCUUUAAUUUUUAUUUAUUUGAAUCAAUGGCUUGAAAAUUUAGAAAAAGGAAAAAAAAUUAAAUUAUGUUUAGAAUUUAUUUGAGAUGUUUAGCAGAUGAAAAAAUUAUUUUCCAUACCUUUACAAUAUUUCAAAUAGUUUUUACAUACUUUGUUAACUAUUUAUGAUUUGUCAAUUUAAAAUUUUGUCUCCAAAUUAUAGAUAAGAUUUGUUCAAGCAUUUCUCAACUCUAAACUUAUAAUUUUUUUACUAAAAAAUACAUCCAUAAAUUUUUCAAAUAUGAAAAGAUUUUAAAUUGAUUUGUCAUUACAACUAAGAGAUCACAAUAAAAAGGCAACUUUGGAAUGAAAUAACUUUCUCUUUCCUAAACAUAGUAGUAAUAAUAAUAUAAUUUAAACUAUGCUGAGAAUGUUAUAAAAAUUUGAAAAUAAGGGGGUAAGUGAUAUUUUUAAAAUUAUAAGAGUGCUAAGUGAAAUUAUCAAAAACCUCAGGAAAGAUUUUUGAAAUUAUCCCUUAUUCUAUUUUAGAAAUGUAUCCUCCAGUGCCGCCUGAGGAUAAUUUGGAAUUGAAGGACAGAAAAUAGGGAAAAUGGCCAUCAUCGUCCCUAAACUUUUUUUUAGAGUCGAUUUAGUGCCUAACUUUUAUUUCUGGCCAAUUUAAUGCAUGAACUUAAUUUUCGGAUCCAAUUAAGGCCUUCUACGGCGGCGCCACCUAAAAGCAAUUUGACUUCUAAUUUAACAUUAAACAAGAGCAUUUUGGGAACUUUCAAUUAUCUCCUCUUCACUACCAACCUCCAUCACCAGCCACCCACCACCACCUCCUCCUAUCCUUCUCUUUCUAUCCACCUUUGAGUUUACAAAUUUUUUUUUAAAACAAGGCUAUAGCUUUUUUUUUUUGGAAUGGACUAACGGAUCGUGUCAAUUCCAAAAAAAAGUUGUCUCCUACCGUGCUUAGUUUGAGAAAAGAAUAGUGCCAGAUCAACAAUUGUUAGAUUUUUUUUUUAUCAAGUCUUUUUAAACUUAUUCAUGAUCCAAAUACUAUUUUUCUCUCUACCUGCGUUUUAAUAAUAUCCCAUAGAAUAUUCACCUUUUAAAUACUUGUAACCAAAUAUCUUUGGGAAAUUCGCUAUUUUUGUCCUUGAACCUUUUCACUAAAUCCAAUUUCGCCCUUUAAUAAUUUUUUUAACCAAUAUAAGUUUUAUUUGCCAUCCAAUCAUAUCCUUUUGCAGUGGCACCACCCAUUUCAAUUUUCAAACACAAAAAUGAGGGGCAAUAUAGGAACUACAAGUCAACUCUCCCGUAAACAAAAAAUAAAUAAAAAUGUUCAAUUAAGUUGGGGAGAAAAAACUAAAACUUCAUUAAAUUGGGGAGCAAAAUAGAAAUUAGCAAUUUUUCCCAAAAUCAGUUGUCGCUACAUCUCUGAUGUGUCUGACACGUGUGCUCUUUCUUCUUCCGACAAUGGACUGACCGGAAUUUCCCCACUCUCUCACAUCCAAGCUUGUUUUUGUGCGCUGAUGGAGCAUGCUUGACAAAGGAGGAGGGCUUGAUGUGCGGGAUUUGGGCAAAUUUUUAUUUUGUGCCACACUUUAAUGAAAAAUGGGUUUUUCUCCCCCGACUUUAUUAUUUGAACGUUUUUAUUUUUCUUUAUUUUUUAUAUAGAAUAUUUCGUAUUGCAACAUCUAACCUGUUCUUGGCCAAAAGAGAAAAUAUGGUGGCUCGCUCUGCCAUAAAAGUCCUACAUACAUUUUUGUAAUUCAAGGACUGUAUUGGCGCAAAAAAAUUAUUAUUAAGGAUGAAAUCGGUUCUAAGUAAAAAAGUUUAGGGAUCAAAUGGACGAAUUUUCCAAUAUCUUUUCCUCCAAUUUAAAGUUUGUCAGAAUUAUUAUCUACUUUGCAUAUGGAAAAUUCGGAUCACAAUUUCAUGUGAUGGAUGGCAUGGCAUGUAAGUGACAGAUUUAUUUCUGUAUGUAGUCGCGAUUAAUAAUUAAUUGAAAACUACAAGCAACAAAUCAUUGUCGAUAUAACUAAUAAUUAAAAACAAUGAGGGGCGUUUGAUAAAAUAGAGAUUUAAGUAUUAAAAUCUGAAUUUGUUGAUUUCAUUAAUCCCAAGCUUAAACUUUUAGUGAAGAGACUUGCAAUUAGCACAUCCAACUCUGCUGUCAUUCACAACAUACUUGGAGGGAAGCACAUAUCAAGAGAGACAUAAAGGGAAGGAAUAUGCCAGCAGAGUUUCAAAGAAGUGACACUCAAAUUGAAACAUCAACAACAAUUGAUAACACAAUGGAAUCACACAACAGCAGAAGUAAACGGCAAUGAAAGGUUACAUCAUCUAUUCUGUGAAAGCAACUAAAAAAAUAACAAAUGACAAGAAGCUUGUCCUGCCAGCAUCUUGCUCAAGUCAUGACUAACCUAACCUUUUCACAGGAACAAAUAUAAAAAUCCCAGAAACUGAAAAUUCAAAACCUACAAGAUAUUGUUAAUGGAAACUUUACAGCCCACAGUAUGUUUGCUAAACUAAGAUAAAGUAUCAAUAUGAUCUUUUUAAGAAAAAAAAAAAAAAGAGUAUAAAAAGAGAGAGUUGCCUAUCCUAUCUACAAAAAUUUAUGACUACCCGCAAACUUCUCGGGGAAUAUAAGAAGGGAAGGAAGAAAGAAAGAAAGAACGAAAAUCUUCUACAAAAUUGAUCAACAUUGGCAUAUAAAGAGACAUCUUUUCUUCAUAUUGUGCUCCUGUUGAGUACACUGAAGUCACAAAGAUCAAAAUUGAUUCAUAUGAGACUAUCAAAAAAUUGCUAAUCAGCUAGCUCACUUGUGAGUUCACGCUGAUGCAUGCUACCCACUUCUCGGUGACAUCACCAAUCCAGCUGCGCAAGCCAAUAAAUAAAAUUGUUACUGCUGGUCAAAUCUUAAAGAGCUACAUGGUUAUCCAUCACUUCUGCUGCUGGUCCAGUCCUAACAACAAAGAAAAAUGCACUAUCAACUUCUGAAGGACCCCAUUUUGGCAGCAAUAGUGCAAAUAUCUAGAUACUGCAGCAAUAUGCAUGGAAGUUCUCUUUUGCCAACUUUUUCAGGCGAUCCCAUGAAUUGUAUAUCAUAUCAACAAGAUAUUGGAACCACAUAACAGUACAAACAUCAAAAAUAAGAUCAGAUACAGCAGGAUGGUAAACACAGCAACAUUUGGGCCCGAGGUACUCCAAAUAAAGAUUAUCAAAAAGGUUGAAGAUGGGAUACAUGGGACUGAAAAUCUGUAACAUCUUGUCCAUCUCCUUGAUCUAUGGAGCCAGGCUUGCUGAACCUAAUACAGUAUGCAAAAUUUUUCAAAGCAUCAGAGGCUAAGGAGGCACCAAAAUUGAUCUCUCAUAUCAUCAUGCACACACAAAUUAUUUACUUGCUUUAGACUAGCCAAGAACAGAAUUAUACUCGUCCAAACUACUUAAUAGAGGGAAAAGAAACUGGGCCAAACUCAGUUCCACAAAAGAUAAGAAGCAAGCACUAGUCAACUCACAAACAGUCUAAAGAUAUACAUGCAAAAGACAAGAAGUGUGAUCUAAAAUCAAAUCAAGGCAAGACAAAGAAAAAGAAUGAAGAAGAUAAUAUACUUGCAUAUCUCUUCAAGGAACCAUUGCAGUUAAUGGCUGUUGGUAUCCUCCUCCUCUCUUGACCGAGAGAGAGUAUCUCUGGCCAGCCUGAAUUUAAUCUUCGAGCAAAAUCCGCAACUUCCCUGAUAAAGAAAGGAAAAUCUAUUGAACAUGUAUAUUUACAGGCAUGGAAGAUCUCUGUAUUGUGAAGUAGAAAGAGCAAAAGCUCAAAGCAUAUGGUCCACAAACCACACAAUAACAGAGUAAUUAACAGUUUGGGGGUGGCCAUAGGCAAAAGUAAAGAUUUAACUCUUCGUCACUUUUCAGAAAGAAAAGGAAACAUUUGAAAUGAGAUUGUGUAACAGAGAAGCAACAAAGUUUCUAAAGUAUACAUCACUAAUCUGAGCCAAUGUUUAAUUUCUGUGGUCCUUCAAAAUUUAACUGGAGAAAUCAACACAGUUUAACAGUGAAUCUACUCAUGGUGCACCUAGAUGUUGAAGCAUUGCGUAUGUCUGGGAAUCAAGAUUGUCAAAUUGACUUUGAAGUAAAAGUAGAAGCUUGUAGAGUUACAACUAACAAGUGAAAGCAAAUUUCUCAAACUCGAAAUAGGUCUUGAAUUUAACAUAGGCUCAAUGAGACUGCAAUACUCUGAGGAGAUAUUGCUACAAAAAGAAACCAGCUGCAGGGUCUGAGCACUGAGAACAGCGAAAGUUACAAGUCUAAAGAAAACACACAGAGCCAUUGAUCAGUUAAAAAGUUUCAAUCCUCAGACUGAUCAAGCCAUAACAUCAAAAGCAGUCUCACAUUUUCACGUCAUCCAAAAUUUUGAAAGAAUUGGUCCCAAGACUGCUUGAGCCCCAUGAAAAGGUAGACCCAUAAACAAACUAUGGAAAAUCCAACUACUUCCAGAGAGCCCACAUUAGAACUGCUGCAGCUAUAAUUAGAAAUAUCAGACUCCUACAGAAUCAUAAAAAUUAAGGAGAUCCACGUUUUAUCACAAAAUUAAAUAAAUUUUCUCAAAGGAAGAACUGUAUAGAAAAAGAUCUUUUGUUUUCUAGUUCUGCCUUAAGGAAAUUCAGAAAUGAUGUAAACUAAGCCAACCAACAUUGCCAAUCAGGAUCUUGCCACCCACCCCAAACAGCGGAAAAAAAGGAAAAAAAUGAAAAGGGGGAGAACCCCGAAGAAAAUAAAGCAGCAGCAUAAGAGAACGAAAGUUUGUCUGCAUAGGCAGUUCUUGUAUAUGUUAGACAACUGCAGAUGAAGACUACAACUUCCAAACAAAUUUGAGGAGAUUGCCAAUAAAGCAUAAUUAGAUACCUAAAGCAAUCACCCUUACUUAUCAAUCUUCUCUUUCAUAGCUGGGUCAAUAUCAUCAAACUCAUCAUCAGGUGAAAAGCCUUCUUCUAUAUACGGCAGCUUCGAUGGAUUACCAGGAUCGCUUAGAAGGUGAUCACAGGCUGCAGCAUCAUGACAUAUAAAGUCAAGCCCAUUCGAUUCCUGCUACAUGUCAAAGUGUCAGUUCUUUUCUCUCUCAUGUCUGCACAUGUAACCGUGGAAGGACCUACGUAUUCUCUCUUUUUGUAGGGAUCCCUUAAAUAGAUGUUGGAUUGGUACAACUACGACAAGCAAAUGGGAAAUAUAGGGAACAAUUAGGUAUUAUACCAACCUUAUCAAUGUGUACAGCAUUGCUGGAUAAAGAUGUGCUAUUUGAAGUACUAGCAUCGUUUCCUGGGGUGUUCUUCUGUGGUUCCUUCCUUCGUCGAUUCUUCUUUUUGGUCUUAGAAGUUUUGACCACUUUGGACUCUGUAAGCAAAAGAAGCAAUCCCAGUAUUCCAGAGAACAUUAAAAUAACUUGAAAGAUUACAGCAAGAGAACGAAUGGCGGGAUGUACAGAUGGCAUAUUAAAAGUAGCUGGUAAGACAACCUGAUAAUUCCGAAAGCAAAAGCAUCACAUGAAAACUAGUUGAAUACUCCUUGGGGAUCUUAUUACAUGACACAGUAUGAAAAAAUAGGAAAUCAUCUAAGUGCAAAAAAACACAUUCACUAAAGGAAUGUAUAACAUCACCAGCUGUACCUUGACCAUUAUCUUUCAAUACUUACAUUUGUUAAAAUUUUCUAGUAAUUUUGUAACCCCGCACAAACUGAUAUUUCAGACUUCUUAUCUGGCUUUCAAUUCAGGCAAUAAACUAACUAGACACUAACGUGACACUGGAAACCUACAGGAAGAAAGGAAGAAGCCAGUAGAAAUAGAAAUUACAAUCUCUCUUUCAUACUCUCAAAGAGGCACGCACACACUCUCAAACACGAAAACAUCCACAAAAUUGUGCCUCUCUUGUCAAAACGAGCACACAAAGCGACGAGAUUGUUUUCCCAAAGAUUGUUUUCUUUCUUAUUCAAGAAAUAAUACUUAAUCAAUGGCCCAGUUUCCCAAUUUGAUAGAUUCUGAAAACAGGAUUCAUGCCUGAAUUCUUCAUCUCAUGCCCCAGAUGAACAAUGCUCAGGCAACACAAGAAACUAAUCACUAUAAUAUGUGUGGUGAUGCUAUUUUCUAUCACAGGUUCAUCAAUUUUGUGGUUUCCAGGAUUUUAAAAUUGACUCUAGGGCCCUAAAACAUUACUAACAGGUUUAUCGGACAUGUCCUGAGAUAAACAUUCUGCAAAGUGUCCGUUGUCCGCAAGUUGGUAAUUGAGUUUCCAUUUAUUUUUUUAAAAAAAAGAAGUCUUUGAUCAGGAAAGUUAAAGGGGUUCCUUUCUACCCUUAGAUCAUCAAGGUCUUUCCCUUGUUAAACUAAUGGCAAGUCUAAGGCAAAGAUGAUUCCCUUUUGGGGGGCUCUAGCUUCGAAAACCUAAGACACAAACACGCUUUCCAAAGAAAGAAGAACAUGCACACAAAAGGGACUACAUGCCUCUACAUACUUAAAACAGAUUUCUGCUCCUAAAAAAGUAAUGGCUUCAUAAACUUUACCCAUGCCAAAGCCAACUAUGGAGCAAAUGAAAAUGACUGGGAACGUUGAUCAAUCAAGAGAUCAUGAAGAAUCAUUCCAAAGAAAAAUGUCAGAUAAUAUACCAGUAUCUUGUAAGCAAAGAGAACACAAUCACACAACUCUCAGAAUAAGAACACAAAUUACCUGCAUCUCCACCAUUAAUAAAAGAUAAGAGGUCCUCAACUGAUCGCUCAUCCACACGCUCUUCUUCAAUUUCAACAUUCUAGAGGAAACGGCAUUCAAAUUGACUCAGUUUCACACCAAACAAGUUAACUUACAUCAAUUGUGAUAAGUAUUAAAGCAAGGUAACCAGAGGGUUUGAACAGUGUACUGUUAGUGAUAAAAUUAAAAGCAAUAAUAACAACAGCAAGGCUAGCACAGAGUUCCGAUUUAGUAAGAGAAGUCACAAUCACCUUUAAUCUCUCCCUUUCCUUCAAUUCUUUCCUUUUUCUAGCAUAUAACCUAUUUAACAGCCGAAUUCGCGGGUCAUCAAUUGUAUUCUUUAUAGGUUCCAGCUUCUCUUCCUGGAUCAAUUAAAUAUAUCAAAAACAAAAAAAGGACUAACAUGGUAAAGCAGUUCAUCUCCAUGACAUAAAGAAAGGACAUCAAGCAUGUACACUGCUUGCAAGCAGAAGACACCUCAGUAAGGUCAUCAGGAAGAUGAAAGAUAUCACGUAUCUCUUCAGGAGUCUUCCCCUCAAUCAUUCGUGCAAGUGCACGACUAGUAAGAUCAACCAGAGGCUUCAGUUGCAAACUGUCAGCAGCAGAAGUCAACUCACAGAGCCUUUUUGUAUCCAUCCUAAUAAAUUUCUCAUCAAAAGACUUCCGCUCCUGCAUAAAUGAACAGCUAGAAAUUAACCUACUUUUCUUGUUUUCAUGCAUGCAACUCAAAAAUCACAUUAAGGUUUAAAAAUAAAUGUUUUUCUCAAUCAUUCAAAUAUGACAAAGUUCAGACUCUAUUUAGCAGAAGAACAAUGAAAGAAAUAUCUCCACCAAAAAAUGUUCGACAUGAAAAACUUAUCGUCACAAACAAUUCUCAGCAGCUGGGUAUGUAAGUUGCAGAAUAAACCUAGUCAGCGUAUAACAUGAGAUAAUAAUAAGGUAAUGGCCCAAUGACUUCAUGUGAGUAAGAUGGCUUGAUAGUGAUAUCAAGGUAUACUCAUAAAAAGUUGCCAAAUCUUACUCUAGCUGGGUUUUCGCUUAUAUAUCAUUCAUUCUAAAGAAAAUGCUAAAAUUCUUGGAAUAACUUUACACCACUCCAAAUUAAGUCUUGCUCAUAGUUUUCAACGGGCAAGAAAACCCAAAUGAUAUCAGGAUGAAUGGCAAUCAACACUCUGCGCACAUUACUUUUCUGCUCUUGUCCAUCAAAUUUACAAACCUUGUUACUGCGCCCUGGUACUUGAUGAAAUCGGCAGUAAUCAAGAAUCAGACUCAACAUGGCUGGACUGACCCGUGAAGGAAGAGAGAUGGGGUAAGUCUUUGAUGAUCCCAUGCCUGAAUGUAUCUCAUGACAUAUCCAAGGACAAAAAACAGCAACCUCUUGCUCAACUUGUUGCAAUGAACCGUCUGAGGUCUGAAGCCAUAUAUAUGACUUCAUCAUCUGACAAUACAGGCAGAAGUAUUAUAAUCCACAAUGUAGAUUGUCUAAAUGAAACAAAGGUAUAAAAUAAGGGUUAAUUUUUCUUGCACCAUGAGUGUCCUUUUUUUUCACACUAGCUAUUUGGUUACAUGACACAUAACCGCAUUCAGAAAACUUCAAAAUUUCUUUUUGCACCUAUGUCAUCCAUCCAAGCACAGUGCUAAAAAAAAACUAUUUACACUGACACUAUAAAAAAUUAAUCCACAUAAUAAAGAAAAUAAGCAAUUAAAGUUGAAGAAGCAACUGAACUAAUUCAAAUAGACAAAUGUGGUUGAGAUAAGAAUAAGCUUUAUUGAGCCAGACAUGAUGGUUUUAGGAAAAGCGGUGUCCGAUAAGGGAGGGGAAAAACAGGCACCAAUGACCGCAAAGCAUAUAAUAAGAUCAAUGACCACAGUUUUUUUUUUUUUUUUUUUGAGCAAGAUCAAUGACCAAAGUUGUCAUCUUAUAAUCUUACCUUUUCAUCUAUUACACUCUUGAUUUUGUGGAAAGAUAUUUAAAAAUCGGAUACAAAUUAUAUCACCAACUUCUUAUGAUAUCUCAAAAAAGAUACAAGAAGGAUAAUGGGAAGUCUUAGGGAUUACUUGCAAUAAAAAAAAACCCAGUAGUACAUCAACUACAAAGCCCUAUUGAAGCACCUAAAACAAUAAGUCAAACAACGUUGCCUAAGUCCAUGAUACUGAUUUCUUGCUCCUGCUAUCUGAUCGCCAAAUCCUUUUUUCCCAUUACCAGUCAUUGUUUUGUUUCCAUAGGAACAUUGCAAUCAACUUCUGAAGAAGAUGGCAGUGGACAUGACUGCUUUAAAAUUAGGGGUAAUUAAUAAGGUUCUUUAUACAAAGAAAAAAAGGAAACAAUUUACUAAAUUAAUAAGAAUGCAGAGGAAAAAAUCAUAGGAUAAAGAUGUAAUAAUGCUUAAAAUGCAAAGCAAAGCAAUUUGCCGAUGCAUAACAUACUCAUUACAUACCUCAGGUUUAAUAAUUUCCCUAUCAGCUUCUGCCAUUAUUAUCUUCUAAAGUUACAAAAGAGGGAUUUCAGUUGAACCACUAUCAAGUCAAUCCUGCCAGUAAAAGUUGAAGGGUGUUAAGGCAAUAUGGUAAGUUUUUUUGAACAUCAAAACCAAUGGUCCUCAAACAAGGUGAGGUCCAAAGGAGCAUGACAUAUGCACUUUGAAGUUCCCUUAACACAGACAAAGAGAUAUAUCUUCGAACUUGUUCUCCCAAUCCUUGUUCCAAUAAAUAAAAGCAUAAACGCCAAAAUUGCGAGCCAUCAAAAGAACAACAAUCAAAGAUGCACACAUCAUUAUGGAAUACAACAAGAUCAAGAACAAUGCCAAAAAGAGUAAAGCAAAAAUUUGACAAAUGAUUUAGAGAAACUGUAUACCAAAUAAACUCAAUGAGACAAGAGCCCUAUGGUAUCAACAGCUCUAUCUACAGAUGUAAACUCGUCAAACGCAGAUAACAAGAUUAUAUCUUGUGUAGUGCAAGUUUUUUUUGGGUACAUCACGGAGAAGGGCGACAUCCACAAUUUGGCAAAUUGGAUGCCUGCUGGUAAACGUUGAAAACCUAACAAGUAAAGUCGUUAUUACUUUAUGCACGAAUGGAUUAAAGAUUGUGCCCAGAAGAAUAGGGCCAGGUGCCAUUUUUCUUCUGAAGUUCAAGUUGGUCAAGUGAAGCUAAUGGAAAUUUGAAGACAUGAAUCAUGACUAAUUUGAAAAUUUUUCAAAAAAUAAACAUGUGCAUUAAAAAAAAAAAGAACAGAACAUCUACAAGCAUAAAAUUUGAAGCACGUCGAUAGCUUAAUCCAAAAUGACUGGCAAAACACAUGGACCCAUGCGUAUAAGUUCACCCUCAUGCCAUGUAACUAAGAUAAUUUUGAUUGUCUUAUUAAGUAAAGUGGCCCCAACUUGAAGUUCCCGAAUCAUCAAAGUGCCUACGUCAAGAGAAAUUAAUGAUAGAUACCAGGAUGUGAGCAAUGUCAUAUUAAUUAAACAUAUAAACUAAAGCAAUACUUCCAAACAAAACUCAAGGCUUCAAUGUGACUUGAAGUUUGAAAUGCAUGUCCGCUUGGUCUAGAAGGCACUACAUAGAUUUAGUGUAGUAUCCUAUGAAAAGGAGACAAAGCAAACCCUAAACAGAGAAAAGGCCAGAAAUGGAAUAUCCAUUUGGACAGUCAAGAAUCUUCCUAGCUUAGGGCCGUGGCAGCACUUAGGAGACAGUAACAACUAAGGUGAACUCUGAUUUUUGCCCACAAAGAAGUAAGAAGCUCAUGUGGCAAUGGAGGAUCCUUUCCAAAGGAUCUCUCUUGAUGGAGUAGUUCAGCACAUGCCCAAUUUAAAGGCUUGCAAUUUAGAAACCACCACACUCAAACAGUAAGCAUCAAAGCCCAAGUAUCCUAUGAAGGGGAGGGACUCCUUGAACCAGCUGCCCUGCAUGAACAUCAUGUCAACCAGUGAUGUUUCUAAGCCAGUGAACAUGAACAAAAACCAAUCUCAAUUUGGCAGGUUUUGGAGCCCUUCAGAGUGCCCUCGACUAGACUAGUCAAGCUGUUUCAACUCGAAUGCACAACUGUCAACUUUCCUUUGCAACUUGCCUCCAGUAGAAGAUAAAGUUAUAGAUCUUGAUCAGGUCAAAGCUUGCUUGAUCAGUGGUUUACUUAGUUUCCUCUUAUACACAUCCAUAAAUCCCAUUUCUUAAUCUUGAUCCAUAUCAUUUGAGUAGGAUAUGAGAAUCAUAUUUUUCUGUCCAAGCUUUUUUUGCAGUCUUCUUUUACACCUUUACAUUUUGUAUCUUCUCCAAUCCCCUUCUUCCAGUUAAUUUUGUUUUGCCAGUUUCUUUACCUUUUUCUUGAAUAGCUACCCUAACCUAAAACUUUAUUGCAUUUUUCUAGUUUUAUACUUGCAGAUGUCAGCCAUAACUAUCUAUUUUCACUUCAUCAAUAUGCCGCUUUGGAUACACCAGCUUUCCAAUAGAAGCCAAGGAAACUAAGGGUUGCCCAGAAUUUUCAAACAACUUUAGAAGAAGCAAAUAUUUAUUGAACUCUCACUGAUCCAAUCAACAAAAGAUUCUUCAGUCCUUUUGAAAAAAUAACAAUUGAAAAAAAAAAUUCCUUUGACAAGCAAACUAUUUUUUUUUUUUUGAAUAACAAACAGCCACGCAAUUAUCCCUUAGAAAGGGAUCUUUAGGCCCAAGGAAAACAGCAUCCUAAUGACUCUUUGGAUGUAUAAUCCAUUUCCAAAAAUUUUCACUUAUUCUCCAUUUUCCUAAAUGUAUUAAAACUUCAAACUUAUGUUUUUCUCUCCACAAAUCUGCAUCUAGGGUUUUGCAAACAUAAAACAAGUAUAUCUUUCCACAAAAUGCCCAUACAAAUUGUUCUUCUACUCAGAUCAACAAGUCUGACAAGAAAUAUUACAGCCAGUAAUACAGGUUAUUGAAUAAGAAAAUUGGAUGCGACUGCAGAAGUAUGAUCUUAAGCUACAAAAAAGAUCAACUUCAUCAAGGCCAAAAUGAUUGAAAACUAACUGAAACCUAUCCUAGAUAGCUAAGGGCUUAGUUAACAGCUAACGUGUCUAUACAAGGAAAACUAAAGCUUCAGAUUUGCUAUUCCCCUAAUUCCAGAUUAUUUCCCUUUCUCUUCAUUCAUGUCCCCAUGCAAUUAAAAGAAGAAUAAACAAGAAAGGAAAAUACAUACGCUGAUGAAAACAAAAACUACAAAUUACAAACUCCUUCCUCAAUUUAUAUCUGAGUCCCAAGAAAAACAUAUGGCCGCUUCACCAAAAAUGUAAAGUGCAUAAAUUUUACACUUCAUUCAAUCUUAUCUCCCUCAUUUCCAAGCUUAUUAUCCAAACCCCCAAACCGCGCCCCCCCCCCUUCCCAACGCAUCCAAAAUCAAAUCUACAUGGCACCAACAUCCCACAAGAGCACAAAUCAAAAUUCAAUCUUGAAUAGAUUCCAGACACGAAUGCUAAAACCCUAAUGAAAAACAGCCCAUAUAUCCCAAUAAACAAUCCAAGAGCAUCAAGCUGAAUGAAAAAAAAACAAGCAAAUGAGCAAACGAAACUCAACUAGAAAUCAUUAAACCAUCAUAACAUUUCCAGAACCAGAUUGAAACCACAAAAAUCAAAAACACACAAAAAAACAAGAAAGGAAAAACACGUACGCCACAAACACUUGAAUGCCCAUUGAAAGAAUGGUUUAAUACCUCUAAAAAAUUUAAUCAAAUAAAAUCAAAGACAAUGGGACUUUGAAUUAGUGAAUUGGUGGUAGUUGGGCGAAUUAGAAAAAUAGAUAAAAAUGAGGGGGGGAAAUUUGGUAAAAACUGGGGAAAUGGUGGUUUUGGUGGCGGUGGUGGUGGUGGUGGCGGUGAAGGAGGAGCCAAGGGGGAGGAAGAUUUAGCAUGUCAGGAAAAGCGUUACCAUCAGUGUAUACUUGGAAACAAGUAUGUCAUUUUCAGGGUGCGCCGCGUCAGCAUUUGGAACAUAAUCUUUAACCCAACCCGGGAACUUGGCUCAGUUUUUUUUUUUUUUUUUUUCCUGCUCGGGUUACAACUACUGCAAUUCUUCUUCUUAUUAUUUAUUUAUAUUUUUACGAGUGAUAGAUGAGAUUUAAGAAGCAGGAAUAAAAAGAAAAUUAAAACUCAUGACAGUUAAUUCAUGAGACUUCAACAAUCAAGACUUUCUUGAUUAUUAAUUACACAUAAUUUGAUAAGUCAUUGAUUUUUUUUCCAUAUUUUUAACGAACAUGUUAAUUAAUCAAUUCCUAUAAAUUAGAUCAGAUUUGGCAGUUUUUCUUAUGCAGCAACGCCCCGACAUGGCACAAGCGCGAAGGGGUUCAAGACUCAGUUUUCUUUUUAUGAGGGCUAAAAUUACUUAUUUUAGCUUGUUUAAAGUACUAAUACUAUAUUUUCCUACAUUUCCAUCCUAAAUUACUGCUUAAUCCGAGUAAUUAUUAUCAUUUUAAAUAGAAACUGAAUUCUAUCUUUUGCAAGUUAUUGUUACCUUUUUUGCCCAAGUUUUGAGUCGUGUAGUUUUUUAACUCUCAAUUGCAUUUAAUAGUAUCGACCAACUUCGGGCCAUGUCAGCUAUGCAAUUUAUUUUCUUUUCGUAUUUAGGCGAAUUAUAUAGAUUUCACUUCGCAAUUUUUUGUUAGCGAGCAUUGAAAGGCUAUGAAGUGCGUUUUCCAUUUGGAAACACUAAAGACUAGUGAUAGCAUGACAAUGAAAAGAAAAUUGGAAAAAAAAAAGAUUAAGAUAAGAAAAUCAGUGGCUCAAAUUGGGGCAUAUUAGUGUUGAAUUUCAGUUUGAAUCUUUUUAUUGUUGAUAGUAUUUUGAUGAGCAUUAAUUUUUUCUACCAGUGGAAAUGUGGGAUUUAAGAAGCGGAAAAAGGGUAAUUAUUAGGGAAUUAGAAUUUAAAAUCUAUAUGUUUUAAGGCAUCAGUUUUAACGAUUAAAUCAAAAUUUUUUUGAUAGUUAAAUGAAAGCUCUUAACUUUAUUUCAACCACCUUUUUUUUUAAUCUUUGACAUUUAGGAGAUGUAAAAUUCUAAGAAAAACAGGGAUAAGCUCAAGCAUUUAAAGAUACGAAGCGUUGAUCAUCAAGCAGACGAGCUUCAAUACCUUCAAAUUCAAUGUUUGUAGUAAAAGACAAUGAAAAUUCUUUUUUUUUUCUUUUCCACUUUUAAGGGGGAGGGGGGGGGGGGAAGUCAAUCGGUCAAUACUCCAUACAUAGUCGCUUCCAAUUCAUGAGACAAAAACCCAAUUGAAACCAUUUGGGCCUCCAAGACCUUGUAUGGACGAGCUCACAUCUUUGACCACCCCACCGAAUAACUUAAAUUAAAAAGAUCUUUGGCAGCCCAAUCAUGCAGGCAAUUUACCCCCAGAGUCCAGGAGGAGAAUGGCACCGGUUUGCCGGCCCUAAACCGUACUUAACUGAAAUAUAUAUAUAUAUAUUUGUUUUUGGAAACUAAUUUUAUUGUUAUUAUUUUUUAAAUAUUUGUUAAAAUGUUUUUCUAGCAAAGGCGGGAUAGGAUUUAAGAAAUGAAAAGAGGGGAAGAGGAAUCUAAAUCUAGGACCUCUCACUUCUCAAAAGAGUUUAGAUUAUGGUACUAUAACUUAUGGUGCCAGUGUUUUCAGAUAUGUAAAUAAAAGCAUGCGUAAUAUAGAAUUUAAAAUGGGUAAUUGCAUUGCCAAAAGUCGAAUGACAAUGGGAAUUUAAAAAAAAAAAAAAAAAGUCCUAUCACACAAGGAAAAAAGAAGGGGAAAAGAAAAACAAAAAGAAGAGCACCAAUGCUAUACUUAUAAGGUGACCAAACACCUACAAAGGCAACCCAAAGAACAGGAGUGAGUUGUCAGAAAUUGCUUUGCAUAUAUACGUGAUGAUGAAUGAAAUGAACUUCAAAAUAUAAGCAAGUCCCUUCUCGUGCAUCAGUAGUAGUUAGCUCUGAAUUUAGAUACACUGUUCAGUUGACUUGACACAAAUAUUGAGGGUGUUUGGAUAUCUAUUAUUUGGAGUAUUAUUUGAUAAAAUAUUAUAGAUAAUGAAAAAAUCUGUCAGAUAACAAAAAAAUAUUUGGACAACUUUGGUGGCAAUUCUUCACUUUCCACGUCCUCAUUGCCAGGUUGGACCACGUGGAUACAUUACUUUAGUCGAUAUGAGGAGGGAUAAAAAAAUUGGCCAGCUUUCUCAUGCAGACGUACUUUAGCUUCAUGCAGCUCAGUGACCCGUAAUUUGCCUUGACGAAUGCCAGGGUUCUAAACACUGGGGCAAAGCGGAACUCGUCCAAGUUUCAUGCAGCUGAGAAGUUAGCCACACAGAGCAACUACUUCCUAAAGGGCCAUCAGGCAACUAAGCCAUUCGUGUAAACCUCCAUUCCCUUUUCCUGCGGACCAGUUUGAUGACUCAGACAAUGCAUACAACUAGAAGAGCAUCAGGCAACUAGGAAGUAUCCAUUGACGGAUGUGAUGUUGGAGCUCUUGACAUCUAAGGUUUAUUAUAGAUUUGCCGCAGACCAUAAGAUGAUGUAAACCUGGGAAUAUAAGAGCAGAUGUUGCAAAAAUGCAUGCAGUCGUUAAAUUCUUGGAGCAGGAGGCAAGCAGUUUGAGAGAAAUGAAACAUUCAACACACAAUACAAACUUAUAAUUACAUUACACAAGCUGGAGCUGCCGUCUCUAUCUUUUACUAGCCACCAUUUCCACCUCGAAACUAAUACGGCAGCUUGAACUAAGUACAACAAAACAUACACCUAAAAAAAGGCGGAGGAAUAUAUGUAUCCUCUUCCACAUUGAACCUAUUAAGUUGCACAACUUCCCAUAGAUUCAGGGUGGUGUUUAUUAGUUGGCCAUUGCGAAGUUCCAAUGUCUACUACCUUCGCCUGCGUGAACCGGCAUGCAUUUGAUUAGCCAUUUCUUCUCUCAUUGCAUUCCAAGCUGCUAUCUCAUGUGGGGGCACAGCCAAUGGUUGUAUAUUCGGGUAUGGAUUACCACCAGCUUCGGCUUGUACUUGUAUGUCCUCUUGUUCAUAUUGCAUGAAGUGAUCAUCGGAGGGUUGAGUUUCCCUUAAGAAAUUGUGCAAUGCACAACAUGCAAUAACUACAUUGAUUUGUGUUUGCAUAUAGGAAUAUGGGACAGGUCCCUUCAAAUACGCAAAUUGUUGUUUCAAGACACCAAAAGAGCGCUCAACUACAUUGCGAAGUUGGGAGUAACGGGUAUUAAAUAGCUCCUUUGGUCCUUGGCCUCGACCACGUCCUUGCCCAACACGUGAAACACGUCCUCCUUUAAAUGGUGCUAAGAAUCCCGGCAUCAUCUUGUAUGCCGCAUCCACCAGGUAGUACUUGCCUAAACAUAAAAAAAUUGUGUGGCUAAGCUUCUGAGUUGGCAUAUUGAAAAUGGUGAAAACUUUAAGGGAGGCCUAAGAAAUUCUCAUAAUUGGGAUGUCCACAAUAAUUCCGACUAUUGAGGCUUAAGAAAGAAAUGGAAGUGGAAUACUUUGGAUAUCUAUUUUUGUGGCUGACAAGGAUAGGACACGGGUACGACUCUUUGAAAAAAAAUUACUAUGCUUCACAUAUUUGAGAAUCUGUUUCGCUUGGUAGCAACCCUGUGCAGAAACUCAAAGGUCAACUCUUUCUACAUUGUAAACUUUAAAAAACCUGCCACUAGCCAUACGAAAACUGAGACAUGUUAUUCCAUUUUAGUUUGAUAUGAGAACAGGCACUACGGUCUGCAGUCUAAAAAGGAAGAUGUACUACUACAAGAAGACGGGUUUGUAUUCCUUAGUCUAUUUGCCAUUCAUUUUUCCUUUCCACCUAUUACUGGAAGCACGUCUAAGAAUUUAUUGAAUGCACAAUAAAAAAUUUGGGAGCAGUUAAGGCCAGACCAAGGGAUGCCACUUAUAAGUACUCUAUGGACAGCAAACACACGUAGGUCCAUGUUUGUUCGGCCUAACCAGAAAUAAACACAAGCUGUCGAACCUGGGGGUGGAACUGGGAAGUCAGUGUGCAUUCGCAGUCACUUUCAAAGACCCGAGCAUCGUGUGUGCUUCCCUCCCAUCCGGCAUAGACAUACACAAAGCGCAUGUCAUGGUCACAUACAGCUAAAACGUUCUGAGAUUGGGUCCCAUGUCUAUUAGUGUAGGCCAUUUGCUCAUUUGUGGGCACCGAAGCAGGGAUAUGAGUGCCAUCCAUAGCGCCAAUAGCAUCCUACAUUUUGUUCGAGUAAAUCAACUGGCCAUUGACAUGUACUAUUUGCAAAUCGUGAAACCUUCAAUUAAAAAAUCAUACAGUGGCUAUUACGAACUUCUAAAGCAGCAGUUUGGCAAAUAUAAGCACCAUAAGCAAGACUUGGUUCCGUCUAUUAGUGUGAAAGCAAUAUAUGUAAAUAUUUGCAUUGAAAUAGCCAUCUUUUUCGAAACAAUAAAUGUUUGAGGAGGUAUCCCAACAUUAACCUUAAACCAAUGAUAAUACUUGGUACUAUAUCAUAUUCUUGGAUGCACGUCAUUUGUUUCUCUUGGUCGAAUAAUCCUUUGCACAAAUCUACACAGUCCCAACAACACUUCUGCUACAUUUCUGUGGAUAGUUUCAGUAGAGUGUUGAAAUCUCUCUGCCACUACGCAGGUACGCGUGCUAUGGCUCAGCAUGACUAGAGUCAUAGCCAGUGAUUCCUCAAUAGACACAUGCUUGUGCGGAUUUUGCGGGACGUAGUUAUUUUGAACCAGAAUGUCACAAAGUCUCAUGAAAUUGUCAACCGUUAUUCGACAAUUCUCCAAUAUGCGAAGCGGGUGACCAAGGAUUAGCUCUCGCACCCACUUCCAACCAGGCAUAUCUCCAGUUCGGCAGGGUACUUUGAUAAGAGGCCCAUCAUAUUGUUCGGCUUCAGGUGCAAAAAGCAAAAUUACUGCAACAUUGAGAAUUGCCUCAUCAUCAUUCUCAGAACUGGUGCCAUACGAAGUUGAGAAGUUUGGGAUGAAGUUUGCCAUGUAGGAACUGGACAAAUGUUGCUUACGGUUUCACGAAUGGAAAAGUAGGGAAAAAAUCAAGGACUUACUAGUGGAAGAAAGAUAUACCAAGUUUUGGAAAGCUGGUGAAAGAAAGAUGGUUGGUGGAUGUCUGUUGCAUGGUAGGACUGUAUUCUCACCUGAUUUUAAAGGGCGAGAAUGGACAUGAAUUUGAUAAAAAGCUGAUGUUCUCGAAACUAAUUGGGAUGCACAUGGGAUCAGAGUUGUCUGUACCCUCACUCGUCAAGUUAUUCUCUUACAAGUCCCCUUUUUUAAAGAUGUAUAAGGCCCCGUGAAUUAACAGUAGCUAUCUAAAAAAGCUCACCUUUUUAUAAGAGUAAACUUCAUAAAGACCUACAAGAAUGGAACUAUUCUUGACAGUGUGCACUUUAAACACUCUGAGAAUAUCUCGUCUGUCCAUGUCAAAAGAUCACACAUAUUGGGUAUGUUGGAGUUAUUCUCUUUAUAUGCACAAGAUUCGGGUUUCACACAUUAUUGUCCUUAGAAGUCCCGUUGCUGUAAUCAUCCAGAUAUAUGUUUAUCUCACAUAAAGGCAAUUUUUUCCAAUUCUUUUUUUUAUUGAACCAGAGAGUAUGCUACUCUCGAGUGCUUUGAAAAAUAUGCUAUCUAAUAAAACAAAAACAACACCUAAGCUUUUUCAUAAGGUGGGAAGUGAGCAUAUGCUUCAUCUGCUCAGAAACGUGGGGAGGCAAUAAAAUCAAUUUUUCAGGAUUUGUGUUGUUCUUUCCAUGCCUAUUGGUUUGACGUAUGCAAAUGUCUCAGUUCCAUAAUGGCUGCACCGAAUGUCACCUAUGAGUUAUGUCAACUUGGCAUUGAAGAGCUACUGUAGUACUUUAGUUAGGCUUAAAUAGCAAAGAGUUAGCAUGUAAUACUUGAGUUAGGCGCUACAUUGUAGUACUUUAGUCCCAAAAAAUUGAAUUGAAGCAUGUAAUAUGAAAAGCAGUCGACUUUUCUAUUAAGAAAAUGCAGCAAAUCCUUUAUAAAGAAAUUCCUAUUCAAGCUUAAAAUCCAGGUAAUACACAAAUCCGAAGAGGCCUACUCCUCACAUUUCAACUCCUCCUUCAAUAAUGCGUAAGGAGUCUCUUAAUGGCCUGAGCCUAGUACCUCACAAUUUUUGCAAGCAGAAUGGAUACAAGAAUAAACAAGAGGAAGCUUAGGCAAAAUGAAAUUAAAGAAUUCAGACGUAUACAUACUUAUGGUUCUAACCAUCUCACAAGAAGAAAAAACAGCAUGCAAUUAUUUACCAAAUAAGAAAUUUCUAUGCAACUACUUACCAGUGCUCUUCGAAAAGGAGUCUCCUAGCAACUGACAAAUUGAAUACUCAUACAAAACAGCAUACAAAGAUAGCCCUAAUCUCCGCCAAAUUAACAGCCCUUAAAUUCAUGAAAUUAGCACAUGCAAAUCAAUCCAGGUUCAACAACAUAUAUACCAAGUUUAUGCCACUUUCAAACCAACAUAUUUAACAAACUUGCACAGUUAAACAUUCCAAAGUUUACACCAAAUGACUGCCCGUGGGAGCAUAAACAGCACUUAUCAAAAUACUAAACCAAGCAUUUUGGGUCAUAGCAAACCCAAGCAAAAUCUGAUUUUUGACAACCAUGAAUGGCCACAACAUUAAAAAAGAACUUACUAGCCGAUAACGAAAAUUUAUAAAAGUCAUUCAACAAAUAGUAAACAAGAACUACGGGCAGCCAAUAAACACCGAAACUUCACUUCCCCUCCAUCUUCGGGAUGAUAAACAUCUCAAUUCAGGUUAACUGCUCAUCCCUAUUGAAGCUAAGAAACAGAGCUCUAAACUCUUCAUCCAGCAACUCCUUCAACAAGAACAUAUGCAGCCGCUUCUCCAAACCCAAGCUUUUGACAGGUUUUUUGGCAGCAGCUAUGGAAUAUUUCUCUCUGGACUCUUUUUCAUUUGCCGCAAUACAAGAGAAUCUGUUGAAAUUGCUAAGCGCUUCUUGGUAGUUUUCAGAGCCCGAUCGUCGAGACUUCGCACCUCUAGAUCGAUCAUUCUCAUAGCUAUAAGCACCACUAGAAAUUGGACGCUUGCCAGGAUUUCUUGGAACAGGGCUGUCUUCAUCGUCUGAUAAAAGGAAGUGAUGUGGAGGGUCAAUAACAGAGCUUGAAGCCACCCCUUUCCCCUUGAUGUCACUACUGUCCCCCCUACGUCUCCUUACUCAAGGAGGCACAUAUUGUGGCGAGAGCUGUGCCAAGGAUUGAGCUCGACUGCCAGUGGCGUGUUUGCCACCCAUAACCGCAUCCCAUUGCAUCACCAAAUUAGCAUUAUUUGGGUGUUGGAACUCCAAAUAGUGCUUGUUUAUCUAUUUGUAUGAAGAAGCUAAGUUAGAUGCACAUUCUAUGUACAGCGGGUAGUGCAAAAUGUAUAAGACAGAGUAUGAAUUGAAGUACAAGAAACAAAAAUAAUUCAGGUAUUUCCAAUUCUUCCAACUUUGAAUUCUGUACACAAAAUCAAUAUGAUUACAUUAGAGCAUUUUGUUUUAGUCUCGGACGAAACAAUUAGACAGUAAGCUGUUUCACCCUAGUAGAGACGCACUGUUCUGUAAUACUAUCAGAACUAGAGCAGCAGUAAAAUUCCAAUAGAUAGUAGCCUUUUUCCUACUAUGGCUUUCAAAAGCCUACUUUAAAAAGAGCUAAUGACAGAUAACAUGUGUUCUUCCAUUCUCACUUUUUCAUAAGGAAUUGGCAUAUACGUGACCAAGGUAAUUGAGAAAACUAAUUAUGUAAACGAAAGUCUAUAACUACUGCAGAAUUUCAUGGUUAAGGAAAUACAAUGGAACAUGCAUACAAUGGUCAGAAAUAACCUGGUACAAAUAAACCCACUGAUCAGCUCUAGCUUGGAAGUAUUUAUGCUCGGCAUCCUACCCUAUCCCAGUCUCAGGUUUGGCAGAAUCUCCCCGGAGAUGAGUGAACAACCUCCAUUUCUCCACCAUGCGAUAGUAUUUGGACUGGCAUUGGCUUCCAGUGCAAUCGAGCCCACACUCUUGGGUCAAGUAGUUGGCCAACGCAGUAAAGUUAGCCAACGUGCUACGAGUUGCCUCCCAUUUUCCAUUCUGCUGCCACUCCACGUAGGUGCGGACAUAAAGAUCCUCCUCUCAGGGCAGCCAAUAUUUUUUGUCAGACAUCUAUGGAAAAACCAAUAAACACAUCAGUCUUUUAUAAAUAUGUUGUAUGCACAAUAGCAGAUGAAAUAAAAUGGCAUAGAAAAUGAUAUCUUACGUCAAAGUAGUUUUGUAGGGCCUCGUGAAAGUCGUUAGAGGCACAAGAGGAAUGGGCUAUGACAGAAGAACUGGGGCUGCGAUGGGAUUCUGUAACACAAUCCAACAAUAAGUAAGAAAGGUUCUACAUAUAUUGGAUUAGACUAUUGGUGCCAAAUAUAGUGGUACGGCAAGGGGAAAGACUAACCGACGCUUGAACUCUGAAUAUAUGAGUUGCUCACAGGCAUAAAAACUUCCUGUAGAUCACACAUACAUCAGCACAUCGUGGGUGGUUAUAGGGAAAAAAUUGACACAAAGCAUGGGUAGCAGGAUGCCCAUAAGUUCAUCAUCAGACGAAAACGAAGUUUAGAAUGCUAUCCAAAUGCAAAUAUGUUAAGAAUGAGGGAGGCCCAUAAAUUACUCACACUGUUGAACCAAUUGACGAACGUCUUCACCAAGUUUUCUAUUUCUAACUGUAAAGCAUAUUUUGUAUUCUAUGCCUAAGUCUAAAAAAUGACUGUUGUAGGCAAAUUGUUUUGACAUCUCAGCGUAACUUUAAAUAGCAAUUCGGAUCAACUAGACCGACGACUUGAAAAAUUGAAGCAUCAGGGUAGAUAAGAAAGUAAUUCCCUUCAAAAAAUUACACAACCGUGAACAUCAAUUAAUGAUUCUUCAACUGUAAUUAAACGCAUAUUUGGGAAGAAUGCUAGUCACGGAACCCUAAUUUAACAUUCAUGCGAUUCAUCAAGUACGCAGCAACUUGACAGAAAUGGGAGAAAUUUUAACAAGGAACUAUCGAAAUCAAACAUGACAAAAUUGACCAACCAAUUAGACAAGUCUUAAAAAAGAAAUUGCCGACCACUGUAUGGCAGCUUAACGGCGUAUUGCAAGGGCAAGGAAAGCAGGGAAUAUAAGAGCACUUAACUCCUUCCUUUCUAAUGCGUUGAACUUGCAAUCGAUCGAUGAAAGGUGAGCCGAAUCACAUACUACCGCGCUCCAAUUGUAGAGGCGCUUCUGUAAUUGCAGAUCGAAACCUUUGCUUCACAGAUUUAUAGAACGACGCGCUAUUCCAACCUCGCACGCGAAGUGAAAUUUGCUAUCACUUCAUGGCAGAGGAAUCAAUUCCGCCGGCGCUUGGUAGCAGUAGACUCAGUUUUCCUGAUAGUUUCCAAAGGCCUUCAUGAUGUAGUCGUUGAAUAGGUUGGAUGAUGAAGUAAUUGCUCAGCGAAAGAGCUGCUCAGCCGAAUAAGUUCUCUGACGAAGGCUUUGAUGGAGCAGCUUUCCCUUUGCUUUACUCAGACGGAAGGUGCAACGGUACAAAAUAUGUAACUGUAAGCAAGUGAAACACAGUAGAAGUGGAGGGCCCCUGUCGGUCAAGACUUGUUAACUCCGAAUCGGUACGCCAAGUAUAUGUCCACGUGGGCCUACACUUCAAGCAUCAACUAGAUUUGGUUUUGACCAUAAUGUCCAUGCUGGAACAUACGAGAUGGAAUGUACAUGUAUAUUAUUCUGGUCUACUCUUUGUUAUCCAAACACCAAUUUGACAUAUUUUUUGGAAUAAGCCAAAAAAUGCCUAUCCAAACAUACUCAUUAUCGUUUGGAUAGGGUAUUAUUUGAAAUAUUAUUUGGAAUAAUUACUAUAGCACUUUUUGUGAUAUGAUGUAUGUGAGAUAAAAAAGUGAUUGAAAAUAUAAAAAGGUGGAUUGGAAAAUAUGUUUAUGAUGCAAGCGAAAUAUUAUUUGAGAUAUUGGAACUAUCCAAACAACUUAAACACUAAACCCGAAUGAGAAAACAUAGAAUAUAAAUGCCAAAUUCAGCUUCGACAUAAACAGAAAACAGAAAAGGAAGUGCCAACCAAACCAACUUCAACUACUCUCAAUUCUAGAAACUAUUUCCCCCAUCCCGAAACCCGUGAAGUUACGUUUGGACUAAGCCUCCAUUGCGGCUUUGGCAAUCUGAACAGCUAUGUAAUUAGGAAAAGUUGCAGGUUGAAGGAAGAUUAAAAUACAAUCGGAUUGCAAAAGUGUGAUAGACUGCGUUACAAUAGAUUCCUGCAACGACUGCAUGCAUCUAUGUUGUGAUAUUGGAGAAUAUACAAAAGUCGAGGGAGUUUUUUGACCAAUGCAAUUUCUCCUUUAUAUAUAGAGAAGAAAAUGAGUUGUGUCAUAGGUUAGCAAAAUUCACUUUAAAACGAUGUAUAUUGGGAAACAAAUUUCUUGGGUUGAAUAAAAGAUCUAGCACGAAAGGAUUGUGAUAAAGCAUGCUUGCAUUAUUAAGUUUAAAUCGAUAUAAAUAUUAUCGUUUUGACAAAAAAAAAAAAGUAAGACUAAGCCUCCGUUGCGUGUUUAAAGAAACAAAAAACACAUAUAAGUACUAAAAGUACAUCUAAAUUGUUUGAUAGCUAAUUUUCUAUAACUUAAAAGGAGUCUAAUUUUUUAUAACUAAAAAGUAUUUUUGUUAAAAGUAUUUAUGUCAGAAAUAUGAUUCUUUGUAAGCAAUCGCAAGUCGCAACUCGAGACCUCUUAGUAGCUUUUCGUCAAAGACAGCGAGAAAAUCUAGAAACUAAACGCUUUCACGAAAAGCCUGGGAAGCACUGAUGAGUCUGGUGAGCCUUGUUCCGUAACGCCUCUAUAUAUUUGAUUCUUUUCAGGGAAGCCGUCCUUCGCCACUUUUGUAACGGUCCAAAGAAACCCAUCCUUCUUGCUCGUGUCCCUUUUUUUUUUUUUGGGCCCCCAUAUUCCUGUGGUGUUUGCUUGUUCCGAGGAAUGAUGGAUGCUUUUGGAAGAGCCAAAGCCUAAAAGCCUGUCAACACUAUAAUUAAUUCCAAUUCACUUGAUAAUCCUAUCUUAAGUAUACUCAAUUAGGUGAAAUCUGCAUUUGUGGACAAAAAAGCAAUCAUUUGGUGAGUUUUUAAAUAUAUCCUCGGUUACUUGGUUCUGAAAUUUGUCAAGUCAUCAGGCAGAAAAGAGGAGUUGCUGAUGAUGAUGCAUGAUUAUUCCUGUUCUCAAAGUGGUGUAGGAAAGAAUGCGGAUCAAAUUAUGGAUGGAUUCAAAGCUUUUAAAAUAGGAGAAAAGAAAGCUGGAUAAAGUUGCUCGUCCUAAAAUAAUUGGUACCACUUCAAAAGAAAGAGGAUAAUGUAGCACAGCCUUCUAUGCCUUUCUCAUGAGACUGGCUGUUACCUAUCCUUUAGUUUUGCCUUUCCACGAAGGAACAUCACCUCCAAAUACACGGCCUCUUUCGAACAGUAGUUGUUAGUGUUGUUUUUUAGAUCCGGAUUGGACCAACUGUUCUGACUCAAAACCGUCAAAAAUCAACCAAGCCAGUCACCUAAUUCGAUUGCUUGAGUUGGUUUUCAAACUUUUCUUUCUUUUUUUUUUUUUCAAGCAUAAUUUGACUUACCUAAAUUAUAAAAUUUUUAUUUAUUAAUAGGAAUAGAAACGCCAUCAAUUAUUAUAAACACCAAAAUUACUCGUAUCCGUAAACGAUCUCUAAACCAAUAAGUUUUAUCCCUAUCAUCUCAUCGAUUUAUCAUCAGCGAUUGUGACUUGUAUUAGAAAGCCAUAUUCCCAACAAAAAGAUCUGAAAUUGGGUAUGGUUUGUUUCAAUUUAGUCUUGCAAGUAGUUUUAGAGAAUGUACAUAUUUUACUAAGUAUAUAUUUAAUUGCAAGCCUAAUAUUUUUGGAACAUUUUGUACUGUUUGCGGAAAUAUAACCAAGAACUUAAUUUCAAUAUUUCUAAAAAAUUAUUAAAAUAUAAAAUAAUUAUGACAUCAUACUGAUGUCAGCGAAUUUUUUAGAAUGUUUCAACCAAUCCGAUCAGUUAACUUCUGAUCCAAUAGUUUAGUUGAGUUGACAUCCGGUCCGAGUUUAACACCAUUGCUUUUAAAUCAGGCACCUUCUUCCCUUUGAUGAUUUUUUGACUAUUUAACUUAAAUAGUUUCCCUAGCAAGACUAGAUUUCACUUCAGCAUUGAUUAAAAGACAUAACAAAAAACUUCCCCAGGCGUAACCAAAAACUAAUUUCCAAUCCUAAAAUUCUUAAAAAAGAAGAAAAAAAAAAAGGGGGGCUCUAUCUACACCACUGGCUUUUAAAUGAAUCUACAGCCCAUGCUGUCAUCGAAAGGCUUUCAUGAAAUUUUAGCUUCAAGAAAAGGGUGCAAUAGAUAUUUCAACCACUCCGUCUAAUAGAAUUUGUAUUAUAUAUAAAACUCUUUCAAUCGUUAUUUUGUAUUGUUUAGAAUUUUUAAAAUUCGUGAAAGUAUCUACAAAUUAAAGGUGAAAAUUUACUAAUAAAGAAAUAAAAUGAUAAUAAACUCAAGAAAGGUAAGAGUAACAUGUAACUUUCAAAAUCAUAGUCACGUCGACGAAAUCCCUAUCUUCCACUAAUGACAAGUGGAAAGCUAGCUGGAGAAUGGAACAUCAUCACCAACCACAUUCUUCUAUAUAAAGUCACUCCUCCUUCUAUCGGACUCCUUCACCAACCAAACUCAUAGCAUUUGUAUAUAAAUCACAUUCCCCAUUAAUCGAAGGCUUAACCAGAGAGAGUAAUGGAGGGGAAAGAGGAGGAUGUAAGGCUGGGAGCCAACAAGUUCUCAGAGAGGCAGCCACUGGGGACCUCAGCACAGACCAAGGACUACAAGGAAGCACCACCUGCUCCCUUGUUUGAGCCUGGUGAGCUGCAGUCAUGGUCUUUCUGGAGAGCAGGCAUUGCAGAGUUCAUGGCGACUUUCCUAUUCCUUUACAUCACUAUCUUGACUGUAAUGGGGGUGGCAAGGUCUAAUAACAAAUGUGCUUCUGUUGGUCUCCAAGGCAUUGCUUGGUCCUUUGGUGGCAUGAUCUUUGCCCUUGUCUACUGCACUGCUGGUGUCUCAGGUACAUACGUAGUCCUAAUUUCAUUGCAUGGUCUUACCCUUCUGGAAGCAACAAUCUUACUAUACAUGGUACAAGCAGUUGAAAGUACAAUAGUUAUCCAGAUCAUAUGGUCAUCUGAACUUUCGCUUCAAACAUACACAAGAUGGCAUUUUUCAUCUGCUGUGCUGUCUUCUUAUAGGUUAAAAACUUGGGUAGAACUGUACGUAGUUUAUCUUGAUUUUUACUGCUUGUACCAUGUGAAUCAAUACCUGUACCCUGUAAAAGACGCAAGGAUUUAAAGCUUUGAUCAACUUGUAGUCUAGAUCUACUUGCGUGUUAUCCAUUUUGAGGUUUUCUUUCUUUGUGUCUUUCUUCAAUAAUUUCAGUUGCCUAGUUGCAGUAGAAAUCAGAAUGAUCUUCUAUACACUAUUGGUCCUGGACUUGGUCGUUUAUUGUUUCAAGAAUUGUUUUUAGGGAGAGCUAAAUUAAUUUGCAAGUUGUAGCACUAGUUUUGAAACUUGUACAAAAUAUGAAUUUAGGAUGAACGGAUGUGGAUUUCGCAUUUUCCUCGUUUCUUUUCAAACUUCUAAUAAAUUUUAGGGAGUAAUUCAAAAGAGAUUAGUAUGUUAACAUUCUUCUGUUUUUGCAAGAUCCAUGGGCUGGUCAUUAAAUUGGCUUUACAUACUUUGACUGCUUUAAGUUCUUCAAGCUUCACUGGACUUUUGCUUGCAAUGAUAUGUUUCUUUUGUUUGAUCACGAUCAGGUGGACACAUAAAUCCAGCAGUGACGUUUGGACUGUUCCUAGCCAGGAAAUUGUCCCUAACCAGGGCAAUUUUCUACAUUGUGAUGCAAUGCCUUGGCGCAAUCUGCGGUGCCGGUGUGGUUAAAGGGUUUCAGCCAUCGCUAUAUGAGAGUAAAAAUGGAGGUGCAAACUUUGUGAGCCAUGGUUACACCAAGGGCGAUGGGCUUGGUGCUGAAAUUGUUGGUACAUUUAUUCUCGUCUACACUGUCUUCUCCGCCACUGAUGCCAAAAGAAACGCAAGAGACUCCCAUGUUCCCGUAAGAGCUGUGCUGCUACUAUUGUAUCUACAUAAUCUGCACUGUGAUUCACAAUCAUGUGCGACGUGUAACUGUUAAAUCUGUUGCAUUUUUACAUCUAAGUUCUCAUGACUUCGUGCAGGAUCUAUCAUUGAAAUGAUGGACAAUUAUUUCUAGUCUUAUAGGAUAUUCUAAAUUUAAUUGCUCAUCAAUAUAUGCGGGCGAUUAGAGCAGAUAAAUGGACAGUAGUGCUAAAUCAAGUUGAAUUUUUAUACACUUUAAAAGCACAUCAUGUGAGUAGUAUGUAACUUUGCUAAUAUUAAUUUUCUUUUGUUCUUGUUUUGUUGGAAUACUGCAGAUUUUGGCUCCUCUCCCCAUUGGGUUCGCUGUGUUUUUAGUUCACUUGGCAACCAUCCCCAUAACAGGAACUGGCAUCAACCCUGCCAGGAGCCUUGGAGCUGCCAUAAUUUACAACAGAGACCAUGCAUGGGAUGGCCAUGUGAGUUUCCAUACAACAAAUUAAUACUGCUACUUAAUCAUCCUGGUUCUUCCAUAUAUACUGAAACAUUAUUGUCUUUGCAGUGGAUCUUCUGGGUAGGACCCUUUGUAGGGGCAGCACUUGCAGCACUCUAUCAUCAAGUUGUAAUCAGAGCCAUCCCUUUCAAGAGCGGAAACUGAAACAUGCAUGUCACCUUUGUUAUUGUAUUUAACAGUUUCUUGACCGUCUAAGUUUAUUUUUACUGUAAUCUAUGGAGGGUCUUUAUUACUUGUAUUGGUGUGAAUGAGGUUGGAUUGAGUAAUUAACAUUAAAUUAAAAAGAAAAGAGAAGAAAGGGCAAAAAAAAAAAAAAGGUUGUCGGAUUGUAUCAACUUCUUAUUUGUUUUUUUUUUUUUAAAGUUUGAUUCCCCUAGUAUUUUUACUUCGGUCAUUUCCUAUUUUUUGGCCUCUUCCUUUGAAGAAGAGAAAAAAAAAAAAAGAAAACCUUGAUUUUAUUUUACUGGAAUAUAUAUUUUCUUUGAGAGAUAUUUCUUCGAUUCUAAUUGAUUUGAUUUUAUUGGAAUAUAUUUUUUUCCCGAGAAAUCACUUGCAUUCUAAUUCUGUGAGAUUUCCUAUCGCCAUAGGCCCAUUAGUUAGCACAACAUGUGCUAGGAGCACGAGUGUGCAAAAUCGAAAAAUUUUGAAAUUCUUACCUAGUAGGCGAAAUCUAGUCGAAUUCGGUAAUGAGAUUUUUCAAAUCAAAAAUUUUGAUUUUGAAUUCACAAUUUGAAAUCGAAAUCGAAAAUCGGAAUUCCUAUUUCGAUUUUAAAUUCAUUUUUCAUAUAUAAUAUAAUAUUUAUUUAAUAAUAAUUUUUGUAUUUAUAAAUUCGGUGAAAUCGAAAUUUACCGAAUUCAAAUUUAGAGUUAGUGAAUUCGAAAUCGAAUUCAACCGAAAAUUUUGAUACCUAAAUUUUGAAAAAUUAUAGUUUUAAAGUUCUAAAUUACUGAUUUUGAUUCUGAUUCAGACUCCUAGCUAGGAGCAUAUGACAGCAGGACAAAUUUCUCGAUCCAAGUCCGAAAAGUUAAAAGGAGCACUAAUCGUAACACGUCCAAAACCACAACCAGAUGCUAGGGAAUAUCACGGCCCAACAAGGCCCAGCAUCUUGUGUGGAUGUGAAGGAGUCAAAACAAAUUUAAGAAGCAACUGUAGAUGUACAACUAUGGUCCUGUUUGGCACACUAAUUUUUUUUGCCAAGUUUGUGGCCUAUAAGUUUCUUAAUAAUUUUACCUAGGUGAGGCGGCGGCCUUGCAAUCUUUGUGAGGAGGCGAGUGCGGGGCGCUGUCCAUAAAUUCCAGCAAUGUGGAUGCAGCUGUGUUGGAGGCAGCUACACCUCUCAUUUAGUGAGUGCGACAUUAAAGGUUUAUGUGUUUUUUCUGCACGAAAUUUAUAGAUUUAGCAAACUCCUCUCACUUACAACCCCCACAAAAACACAAAAAAAAAAAAAAAAUCCCAAUAUUCUGCCAAAGCGAGGAGGUAUGUUUUGCAGUACGCGUUCACCCUCAAGCAUAUAAAUUGGAAAAUUUUAACAAAAUUUUUUUGUAUCCAGUUAUCCAUGCACUUAGCUGAUAAGUUUCUUCUUCUUCUUCUACUUCUUCUUCUUCUUCUUUUUUUUUUUUGGUUAAGGCGUGUAAUAAUAAAGUUUUGGAUGGAUCUAACUUUAAUUAUUAUUACAGUCAGACAUGUAUAAACAUAACAUGUUGUCAGCAGGGGUCGAUCUGAAGAUCUCGAAUAACUACUUGAAAGCGGUUAUCAUACAAGCUGCCUGUUGAGGACUUACUAAUUACUUAUUAAUACAGUCAUAAUACAUGUAACAGAGCUUGAAUAAAUCGUCCAUCAACACAAUCAAUUAUUAUAUAAGUAGUGAGACUCUUUAACAUAUCACCUUUGUUGAGCUGAGUGACCUGAACUUAUCAACUCAUCCAACAUGCUCUGGCAAUAAAUGGAUAAGUUAGGCAUAGCUGAAGAAUUGGCACUUACCAGUACUUAAAGAAACACCAAACUCAGAUGCUAAAUUGCUGACUCUCACGAGUACUGUCUACUGACAAAUGACCCCAUUUGAACUGCCGUAGCUAGCUAAUACUAAAUUCAGAGGUGAAAUGUGGUUGGUUUCCUUGAUGUCAAAUUAUGCUGUGCUAAAUUUGUCUUAGACAAGUUAAGAUGUAUUGCGACAUGUUGCCUCUUAUGGCGGUCCAACCUCCAAACUCGUUGGCUAAUAAUUAAUGUUCCCAAAGAUGGAGGCAAGAUGAUUUAAACUCGCCAGCAAUGCAUGGCGGUGGAAAUAGUGGUCAUGCAUCAAUUUCCUUUCACACUGAUAAUCAUUUCAGACACCUGUUCAAGAAAAUUAUAAAAUUAUCCCUAAAUGAUUUUAUGAGAAUCACAAAAUUGUACGUGUAAAUGUGCUUUAAUGUUUAUCCCAUCCACAAACUCUCGCUGGACCACUAUGGUUCGACCGAGCGGACAAUGUGAUCCAUAGAAUACCACAAAAAAUAAUUUAAAAAUACUUUCUCCUGCCUUAUAUUUAAGUGAUUAAUAUCCACUUGUAAAAUGAAGUUCUAGGCCAACGACAAAUAGGAAAAUCCUAUGUUAAGCAAUGCAUGACUGACCAACGUUGGGAGAGCUUCUCUGCAAGUAGGGCUGUCAACGGGUUGGGUCCGGGCCGGAAUUCAUUAUUUCGGACCAGGACCCGAAUUACUAUAUCGAAACCGGAUCCGACCCGUUUAUCCGACGGGUCUUUUAUUCUAUGUUCUGGAUCCGGAUCCGGCGGGUCCCGGAUCCGGGUCGGGCGUACUCGCAAAAAAAUUCGCAAAAUUUAUAAUUUCUAAUAAAAAUGAGAAAAAAAUAUAUUUGUAAACUAAUUUCUAACUAAUGCAAGGAAAAAAUCAAAUAAGAAAAGAAAUCAAAUUGACUUUACUCAAAUACAUCACCCUAAUCAAAUUAUAUUGAUAAAUAUAUAUUUUUUAAAUUAUUAAUUCAUUUAUAUCCGGAUCCAGGUCUAAUACGGGUCGGAAUACUAUAUUUCCGUAUCCGACCCGUUUUUUGUUUGACAAAACGGAUCCAGAUCAGGAUCCGGAAAACGGAAUUAAAUCCCUACCCAUACCCGCAAUAGUUUCACGAAUCUGGUCCGAAUCCGGGUCUAGACCCGACCCGUUGACAGGCCUACCUGCAAGGGACUCACGCCACUCGAAUAGAAUUAGUCGCAGACCGUAAAACGGAUGUGGAUACAUGUGAAAUAUAUAUAAAAAAAAAGAUAUAUGACUGACUUAAGUGAUAGAAAUAAAUUUAAAAAUGAUCAAUCUCCUUAAUUUUAGGGAUUUCCAUGCUUGAUAUUAGGUUGCUUAUUGUCGAGAAAUUUGAUUGAAUUAAGUGAUAGAAAUAAAUUUAAAAAAUGACCAACCUCCUUGAUUUUAGAGAUUUCCAUAUUUGAUAGUAGGCUGCUUUUGUCCAGGAAUCUUGUAAUUAGUCUAGACCCGUUGAAAUUUUUAUCUCUUGCACCAAAGUCCCAAGUCACCUGUUUCCAUGAACAAAAUUGCAACAAAGGAAGGAUUGCAGGGACUUAACCCAAUUCAAGCAUGCAAUAUACAUAUACAGUUGGAAAUUGACGAAUAUUUUAUCUGAUUCGAGAUCAGGUUCAAAUCCUAAAGAGGAAAGAAGGUAGUAGAAGCAGUGUAAUUCUCACCUAUUGCACCAACAUCCUCUUGGCGCAGAAGAACAAUUCAAAUGGAACAAGAGGAUUGCAUUUUUCAUGAGGAGUACAAUUUCCGACCAAACUAUUACCAUAAUUAACAGGUCAUGUUGAUAGACCUAAACAGACUGCAAAUUUGAUUAUUAAGACACUCAGUUAAGUUUGGUACGAAAACGGAACACUUUCAAACUUUCUUAACAUACUUUUAAGGGUGGUUUUUGUUUUUAAUAAUCUCUGGCCCGACUAAGAUUUCUUCUUCCAAUUGACAAUGAAUAAAAAACACACAUUUUGCAUAGCUAAUUGCAACUCCAAGUAUUCUUGAUCAAGCCUUCAACUACUCCAACUACAGACAGACACCAGAACCAAAUAACAACAAUGACCAGCAUUCCAUUCCAAUUCGAGAAAUAAUCGGCACCAAUUAUGUUGUCUCCCCUGAUGAAUUUUGACACCCUUGUCCCCACACACACACAUGCAUGUAUGUAUAUAUAUAUAUAUAUAUAUAUAUAUAUAUAUAUAUAUAAGUAAAUCUUAUAUACACUGUCACACACUGACUGACAGUGUAUACAGUAUCACAAUUGGAUGCAUGACAUAUAUACAAAAUUUGGAUUUCAAAUUCAAAUUCGAAUUAUGUGUCAUGCAUUCAAUGGUGACAAUGUAUACACUGUCAGUGUAUAGAAGAUUAAUCCUAUAUAUAUAUAUUCUCUAUCCUCUUUGUUUAUUUUUCCCGAAAAAAAAUAUUGCUAGCGUUUUUCUUGAUCGAAAUUGCCUUUUACUAAUUCCUCCAGUAUUAUUUCACCAUACUACGUCAUCUAAAGAAUUUCUAUAUGGUCAGGAAUUUAAUUCAUAGUAUAUGUUUUCUAAUGGCCUUUUUUUUUUUUUACACAAUAUUUUAUAAUGAUGUAAAACAUUCUGUCAUUUCCUUUUAUAUAAACUAUAAAGUAUCAUUAUUGGUUUCAGAACUUAUUUUGCAAUAACUAUUUCGAAUUUCAAAAAUAUUCUUGAACAACAUCAAAAAGUUUACCUAGAAAUGGUUUGGAAAAGUGAUAAACUGAUUAAUUAAAAACUGAAGCUCUAAAACUAGUCUGACCAAAAGUGACCGUCUCUAUGGGAUGAAGCCACUAAUAAACUCCUCCUCCAAUUAUGAGAGUUUAUUCAUUUAUUUCUAUAUAUGUAUGUGUACCUCUGUGUGUGUCUAUAUAUAUAUAUAUAUAUAUAUAUAUAUAUAUAUAUAUAUAUAUAUAUAUAUAUAUAUAUACGGUUUGAAAGAGGUUAAUGGCAUGAAUCUCACUGAAGUUGACUGAUUAUUCAGGGAAAUUAAUUGCAAGCAUAUACGUCCUGAAAGAGAAGUUGCCAUUCAAAUCCAUCUGAUUAAGAUCCGAGGAAGACAAUAAACCACAUGCUUUUUGUUUAAUUUCUUUUCUUCUCUGGACGAAUAGAAAAUUCUACAAUAUGCUCAAUUAACAUAAGUGUCGUGCUUUGUGAAAUGUGGAACAAGCCAAGCCCAGGCAAGUAAUGUCAAAACGUAAUUUCUAUUGUUUUGGAAAAAAAAAAAAAAAAAGUAAUGUCAAAACGUGACCCCUGCAGCACUUGAGAUUCUCGGUGACAUGUUUUGUAUGCCAACCCAAUGCCACUCAUAAUAUUGUGCCAAGUGUCCUGUUAUUAUUUACACUUUAAUUUUUUAAUAAUUCAACUUGGAACCAAGUUGAAUUAUUAAAAAAUUAAAGUGUAAAUAAUAACAGGAUACUUGGCGCAAUAUUAUAAGUGGCAUUGAAUUUGCAUAAAAAAACAUGUCACCGAAGAUUCCAAGUGCUCCUACAGUUACGAAGACUUAAGGGACCGGCAGAUAAACAGCUUCGUGUAUUCAUUACCAACAAUGAAGAAUACGGUCCACCAAACUUAUCAACGCCAUUAAUGAAUACCGACAUAAAAGUAGACAAGGAAGCAAAAGUAAAAAUAUACUGCGAUAAAAGAAGGGUUUCGCUGACGAGUGUCCAAUAGACGGUCAUUAAAGUGUUAUUAUAAUUAGUAAAAUUAUUAUUAAUUUGAAAAAAUGUCUACAUUCAAAAGAAUUAAAAAUGCGAGUGUGUGUAUUUAUAUAAUAAAUUCAGUAGUAUAAGCGAGCCCAUUUGAAUUGUUGUUUUUUUUUUUUUAUAAAAAAAUGUACUGUAACGAUUUGAUGUAUAUAAGAUAAAAAAGUGAUUGAAAAAUGAGUUUACGGAAAAUAUAAAACUUUUUGGGUGAAAAAUGGGAGUCCAAAAGUGAGUGUUCACCAUACAUUAAUGAGUUCCAUACGAUUCUGUCACAUUACUAAGAUUUUGUACUUGUCUUUUUUUUUUUUUCUUCUGACGGAGUGGGUGUUCGGAUCAAUUCUUACGGGGCCCGACUAAUCUCACUCCGGUCCGGGAAGAGAGGCCCCAUCCCCCGAACACGAUAAUCACAGGACUCGAACCUUGCGAGCACUGGAUAUCAGCUUCUAAAGAGGCUUGUUGAGACCAACCGAGUUGUCCAUAAGGGACAGACAAUUUGAUAGGAGGCAACCAGGAGAGGUGGUGGCCACUGAGCUUGGUUAAGAUUUUGUUCUUGUCAUGGUUGUAGAUUUGAUGCUAGCUUGUCUCCUUGUGUUUACUCACUGAGUACAGAAAAUGUGAACAAGGGCUUGAAACUAAUGAAGCAAGUCCUUUGUUUUCACGGAAAACGCCUAACUAGAACAGGAACUUGAUAUAUCGCUGCCGCUGUCAGCUAUUCAAAAUAAUUGUAUGUAAAACAAAAUCAAGUUAAUAAAGAAAGAGAUUCUUGAUUUUGUCUCUUAAACCUUUCUCAUUCUCCUUAAACGUUUUAGAGUUUUUUUUUUUUUUUUUGAGUCCCCCGCCGGGUGUGGGGGCAGGGGGGGCGGUGGUGGGGAAAUAUCAAUCAGAGUGAGUCUCAUGCAAUUUGACAUUGCUGUGUUUGGUUUCGGUGAAGAGCACAGAUAUGUCCACUUACGCAUGCAUUCAACCAUUAUCAAUUUUGAAUGGUUUUUUUUUUUUGCCCUUUUUCCUUUACGUUUUGUUCUUGUAAAAAAAUUUAGAUGACAUAGGCUGUCAAGUAUAUGCAGAAAGCUCAGAACCCAUAUCAGAAUAACAAUUGGUUUGAGACAAAUAAAACAGAAGAAGAAGAAGGAAUCAAAGAAGCCUCAAUUUCCUUGAGAAUUUACUAACCAUAAACUUGAUCUUACAUAUGGAAGUGAAAUGAACUCAACAAAAAUGAAUCGUUAGAUUCUAAAAAACCACCUCAGCCAUCCAAUCUAACAACUCAUAAACCACCCGCCAGAAUAGAAGCGAUGGAAGCCAGCGCACCACCGUCCAGCAGCACUUGCAGAGAACAUGAAACCGGCGGCCUCUUUUUCUUUUCUUGCAAAAAAGACAAUUAUCAAAAUAAAAUAACAGUCGCAAGUUCUCUGCAGCAGAAAAAACAAUCAAAUCCCCAACCAUCAAACUGAGAGCCAUCCAUCAAGAAAGGACGAAAAAGGAAUAUGUGACCAUCUUCGUCAGCUGAGAUCGAGCAAUGACAAGAGAAUAUGAAACUGGCAGCCUCUCUUCUUUUCUGCAUGUUUUGUACAGCCAAACCAGACAAUGAAACGCCCUGCUCCUGACUGCACAGAACAGAAGCGGCGGGAAAAAACUCAAAAACGCACACACUCCUAGUCUUCUUUUCUUGCAAGAAGAACAAGUAUGAAAACAAAAUAGCAGCAGCAGCAUCAUCUUUUGGAUAGCAGAAAAAGACAGUCAAGUCCCCAACCAAAAAGCUGAGAGCCAUCCAUCAAGAAAGGGCAAAAAAGGAACGGAGUAACAUUUGUAGAGGGACAGCUAACACCUGAUGGCGUUUGGAUAGAGUACUGGGUUUGUUUGGAUAGAGUAUUAUUUGAAAUAAUUACUGUAAUACUUUUUGUGAUGUGAUGUAUGUGAGAUAAAAAGUUGAUUGGGAAUAUAAAAAGAUGGGUUAGGAAAUGUGUUUAUGAUACAAGCUUUAUAUUAUUCGAAAUAAUAUGUGUAUCCAAACAAACCCAAUAUUAUUUGGAAUAUUAUUUAGAAUAAUUACUGAAAUAUUAAGAUAAAAGAUAAUUAGGAAUAUAAAAAGAUGGAUUGAAAAAUAUGUUUAUAACGUAAGUGAAAUAUUAUUUGGAAUAAUUUAGUAAUCCAAACACACCCACACAGUCCUACUAACACUACAACUGAACUCACAUCAGCAAACAAACCCCGAAUUGAAUCAUUAAAUUCCUUUUUGGAUUGUAAGUCGAGGUUCGAAUCCACUUACAAUUAAAAAAAUUUAAAGAAGGUGUCAAAACAUCCCUACUAACAAAGCAAGUCCUUUGCAUUCACCAAAUAAAACAGAAGAAGAAGAAGAAAGAAGCCAUAAUUUCCUUGAGAAUCUAAUCUUGUAUUUUUCUAACCAUAAACUUGAUCUUACAUAUGGAAUUAAGUGGAACAAAAGAGAUGAGAAUUCAUGACCUUUCGAGCAAUUUUAUUGGAAUAUUACAGAGAAUUUGUGUAAACUUUAGACUCAAAACCUAUGAAUAUAUAUUCCAAAAAAGAACGUACUUAACCGUUUUCUCUUUAUGCUAAGGAGUAAAUCGUGCUAAAACACAAUUAAUCUCAAUAAAGUCCAGAAAUUUACAGCAUUUUUUUUUUAUCAAUUACAUAUUAUAUGCAGAAAGAAGGUCAUUGUGAUCAAUGUUUUAGGUUUGAAAAUAAAGCGAGUAGGUGGUCAAAUUGUUCAAGUUUAACAAGUCAAUUCCCUCUCAAAAUGUCAUAAACCAUCAUCAUUGAUUCGUAAUUAUCUCCUCGAUGGUCAACAGUGAGCGAAGACAACCUGGUAUUGGUAAUCAACAACCAUAAACCUCCGCAAUAAUCAACAACCAUAAACCCCCACAAUAAAAACCAAUAAACCUGCCACAGCGCCUUUAAUGCAAAUUGCAAAGGCAACACUACUGCAUGUUAGGGCGAAAUCUCCCGCCCACAAUCAAUAUUUCUUUUUGACUCAUGAACAAUCAUCAAUAGCAUCAAUCUUUGUUACCAUUUAGAAAUUGAACCGUAAAAAUUACUAUUUUUAAUUUAGAGUUUUUGUAGAAAAAAAAAUGUACCGUGAUGAUGUGAUGUAUAUGAAGUAAAAAGGACACGGUGAUUGAAAAAUCUGUUUUUGAAGAAAAACAGCAAUCCAAGCAAGGCGAUUUUGAAAAUCCUUGAAAAUUUUGUGCAUGAUGGCCUCAACAACCACCAACAUUGGAUGCAAUUAUAUAUUUGUGGUUUGAAUCGGAAAGUAAAUUUUUCAAUUCUUUUGGAGCUAUCUGAAAUCUGAAGUGGCUCAUCAUACACAUCCUUUCUUUCAUAAGAUACAGAAACAUAUUACUAGUAUCUAUCGAGUGGUGUAUAUCAAAUCUAAAGUCCAUAAAGUUCUUUGAGGUAAGUAAUUAAUAAUGGUAGAAAAUGCUCUCAUUUUGUAGAAUUGAGACUAAUAACUGCUAACAUCCUGUCUGUCCUCCUAAACAUCCUUGCACUGCAAUAACGUCAAACCAUCAAAAUCGACAUCCCAAAGGGGGUUGCUUUCUGUCAAAUUGUCAUUUAACAACCUACCGCAAGAAAUGAAGAAACCACGUCCGUCAUUUCAUCACGCUCACCCGCAUUUAAAACUAGACCUUCCCUCUCCCCCAACCCACGUCACAAAGAAAGACUAACACCAGCACUACUACUUUCUGUACAAGCAAUUCCAUCUAUAUAUACGAGCAAACGAGGUGGCUACUUAGAGCCAUCAGAACUAAAUUCAUUGAUUCCCACAAAUUUCCCAUAUUCAUUGCCUCUAUAUAUAUAUUGUUACCGUAUAUAGUUGUUGUUUGCCUUAGUUGAUGAUCUAGCUUAGCCAUGUCUUCAAAGCCGGCAACCACCCUCUUCCCAUCCAUAGAAAAAUGUGACACCACCGUGGACCGCGAGUCCAUUGCGGCGGACCUCGACGGCACCCUUCUAAUCUCAAGUUCUUCCUUCCCUUAUUUCAUGCUUGUAGCCAUGGAGGCUGGCAGCCUCUUGCGCGGGCUGGUCCUCCUCCUGUCUUUCCCCCUCAUAGCCAUUGCUUACAUAUUUUUCUCCGAAGCCUUAGCUAUCGAAAUGCUCAUUUUCAUCUCCUUUGCCGGGGUUAAAGUUCGAGACAUCGAGCUCGUCUCCCGGGCGGUGCUGCCGAGAUUCUAUGCAAAUGCUGUGAGGAGAGAGAGUUUUGAGGUGUUUGAUAAGUGCAAGAGAAAAGUGGUGGUGACCGCGAAUCCAACAAUCAUGGUGGAUCCCUUCGUGAAGGACUUCUUGGGGGCCGACAAAGUUGUUGGAACUGAGAUUGAGGUGAAUCCUAAGACCAAAAGGGCGACAGGGUUUGUGAAGAAACCUGGGGUUUUGGUGGGGAAAUGGAAAAGGCUGGCCUUGUUGGAGGAGUUUGGAGAUGAAAAGCCUCAUGUUGGGAUUGGAGAUCGCGAAUCCGACCACGAUUUCAUGGCCAUUUGCAAGGUAGAUACAGUAAUCAGAUUCACUUUCUUUCCAUUUCCUUCGUCUUUAAUUUCUUCCUGAUCAUCAGCUUUCUUAUUCUUUUCACUUGUGCAUGCUGGCCUUUUUGUUUUUGAGUUUGAUUUCAUUCAUGUCCAUAAUUUUUUUGGCCUUUGAUUACUCGGCCUUUGAAAACGGAAUUUUUACCGGGAUCAAUGGUGAAUUAUCUUUAAUUUAAUUUCCUUAAUCAAGGCCGAGUUAUCUUUAAGUUAAUCGCAUAAUUCAAGAACAUGCACGCUAGUACGUAACCAUAUUAUUGAUUAUAAGUCAAACUUAAAAUUCUACUGUUCCUGUAAAAUAUUAUUGAAUGGUUAAGGACUUGAAUUUGUGGUGAAGGACAUCAUUAAUCUUCUUUUCGUGUAAAACUCUUCCUGUUCUUCUUCUAUUCUGUCGGUUGAAAUGUUGGGUAAUCUACUUCUAACGCAUUAUUAUGGUUCACCUCCCACCAAUCUGAUUGUAAGACAUAAUAAGAUUUGAUGUUGCGUGAAACUUUUAGUACUCGAAUCUCGUUCAAUAACUUGAGAGAUUGGACAAACCCAAACUUUCAAUCUUUUUUCAACUAAAAGCCAACCGUAACUUCAUUGAAAAUCUUUACCAAAUCGUUGUUUUGCAGUUUCUCUAAUUACCAUUAAGCACAUAAUCCGAUCCUACCUCUUCAGUCUUUUUUGUUUUCACCUCUUUAUUAGGCAUAUAAUGAAUGUAGUGGUUGAAAGGCCAGGUGUGGUGUUGCAUCGCCAUGAAACUAAAUGGCCCACACCAUUUACUGUCAUGCAAAUACUAGUAGUGGUUGUGGUUAUUGAAUUAAAUAGCAACAAAAGUGUUUGGCAUGUCUUAAAUAUAUAGGUUGGAGCGUCAUUCAAAAACUAAUUUUUUAAAUAUAAUAAAAAAUUUUAAAAAAAUACUCUACAAAAUAAUUUAAAAAAUAGUUUAAUUUUUUUAAAAUUUUUAAAAAAUAUCUCAAAAUAUAUUUUAGAAACUCUUCUACUCUUAAAUAUCUCAAAAUAUUUUUUGACAAUAUUCCAAAAUAUAAUAUAAAAAUUCUGUUACAGUAAAUUUUUUUAAAAACACUUUCAAAAAUAGCUAAUUUAAACGGAGCCAAUUAUUAAACCAUAAAUUUUUUUAAAGGCCCCGUGAGCGGUAAAGAGUAAAGACCAUCCCUUUUGAAUUGGGUCAACGAAGCCAUUAAUAUAUUAUUAGCUGUCCAACUGCGGGAGUUGAGGGUUGUGCAACAACCUCUCUGCUUUUCCACACUACUACUUCACUUGUCUAUACCUUCUUUUCUUUUCUUUUCUUUUUUUGGUUACUUUUAUUUAUUAUAUUUCUACUAAAUUUUGUUCCACACUGCAUCUUUUUCUUGACAAGCAAUAUUCGCAUUACGAAAGAAAUAAAGAAAAAAAAAACUUGUGUGGUACUAAAAUUUAGUACAACAAUAAUUUAGUGCUGCACUAAAUUUUAGUUGAUUGGAUGAUUGAAGUCGUCACAAGUACACUUGCGGAGUUUAGCACAUGGUAUAAUUAAAUGAGAUAUGGGGCUGCCAAGGAAAAAGUAGAAUUUUCUAAUUUCUAAUGAAUACUUUUUGGACACUCAUUUAAAUAUCUAAAUUCUAUCUAACAUAUUAUGUGUGUAUAUAUAUACUAUCAAUUAUUAUUUUAAUUAAUUUUAUAUUUUUUAAAUCUAAUGUACCUUUUUUUUUGGGGGGGGGGGUUUCUUUACGGGCUAUUGUAACCUACAUAAAACAGGAGGGCUAUAUGGUGUACCCCAGCAAAUCAUCACGUCCUCUGCCGUUGGAUAGAUUAAAAAGUCGACUGAUCUUUCACGAUGGACGGCUAGUGCAGUGUCCGACCCCACUCAACGCCUUGAUCACCUACAUCUGGCUGCCAUUCGGAUUCGUCCUCUCGAUCUUCCGGGUCUACUUCAAUCUUCCCCUCCCAGAACGCAUCGUACGCUACACUUACCCCAUGCUGGGGAUCAAACUCGUGAUCAAGGGGACCCCACCACCGGCUCCAUCCGACGGCUCUCCUGGCAACCUCUACGUCUGCAAUCACCGCACAGCCCUCGAUCCCAUCGUGAUCGCCAUCGCCCUCGGACGCAAGGUCUCGUGCGUCACCUACAGCGUAAGCAAGCUCUCCAGAUUCCUCUCGCCAAUCCCAGCCGUCGCUUUGACGCGUGAUCGUGAAGCUGAUGCCGCCCGCAUCAAAUCCCUGCUCCAGAAGGGGGACCUCGUGGUCUGCCCAGAAGGCACCACGUGUCGGGAGCCUUAUUUGCUGAGGUUUAGUGCCUUGUUUGCGGAACUGAGCGACAGGAUUGUGCCCGUCGCAGUCAACCAGAAGACCAACAUGUUCCAUGGCACGACCGUGAGAGGAGUCAAAUUCUGGGACCCUUACUUUUAUUUCAUGAAUCCAACGCCGACGUAUGAGGUUACAUUUCUGGAUAGGUUGCCGGAGGAGAUGACGUGUAAGGCCGGCGGGAAAUCGCCGAUUGAAGUGGCGAAUCAUGUGCAGAAGGUUUUGGCUGGGGUGUUGGGAUUUGAGCGCACUCAAUUGACCAGGAAGGAUAAGUAUCUGUUACUAGGUGGGAAUGACGGAAAGGUGGAGUCCAUGUAUGGUAAGAAGCCAAACGGCAGUACCUAGAAUUGCCGGUUGGUUCAAGGUUUCUGCUCUGGUAAUUAAUACUUAGCAUUUAAGGUGUGGUAGACCCAAAAAAAAAGCUGCUUCGUAUUGGUUGGUUAUGUCUAGUACUGAUUUAUAAAGAGCGCAUGCCGUCAGUUCUUGAAAAGUAUGAUUUGUGGACAUACAUGAAACAUUUCUCUACUUUUGUGUAAUGAAGAAGUUGAGUUCCAACUAUUUGAUAACUAAUAGUGUAUUUAUAAUAUAAUUUAUAAUUACUCAUUAUAAAGCUGUGGAAUUUACUAAAAAUCAAGUUUGAAAAUUUAAUUAAGGUCGAUUAAACUUAAUUCAACUUGAAUUGGUCGAGCUCGAGUUGACGAAGGUAAAAUAAAUUCAAUCCUGAGGUCGAUAAUUGUGAAAAACGAGUUCAAACUUGAGUUCGAACUUAAGUGUUUUUUACGCGAGUAGAGUUUGAAUGAUAUACUAUUCGAGUUCGAUUCGACGCGACGGCAGCAGAUCUGCUUCAAACUACACAAAUCGACUAAAAGUCUACUCUUUAUCUGGUACAACAAAUAAUGAAUUGCAUGUUAGUGAUCUCAAAUCCAAACUCAUCAACGCUAUAAUUUGUUCAUUUCAUGUUCCAAUGGAUUGCUCUUCUUGACAAAUUUCACCUCCAAGGGCAAGUGACAACUGACUAUACGACCUCUAAUAAGAUUGGAGAAUAAAGAGACAUACUCCAGCCCCAUGCUAAAAAGUUUUCUUAGAACCUCUCCUAUAAAAAUUCUGUAUUGAGAAAUGUUCGCGAAAUCUAUCAUUUACUUGUAUCUGUUUAAUACAUAUCUAGCUCAUUAUUUCAAGAUUUCUGUUUAAAUAUAUAUCUGUUUAAUUAUGUAUCUGUUUAAUCUAUCAUUUGAAGAUUUUGAUUCACAAUUCACUUUAGAUGACUUUGAAUUAAAUGAAGAUCUUAUUCCUAUAAACUUAUGUUGAGAAAGUUUUUCCAACAAUCUAAACAACUUAACACUUACAUGAUUACAUGUCAAAAAAAUCCAUUAUGUGUACUUGCACUUUGAGGGCGGCGGGUCGUAGGGGAUUAAUCGGGCCCGUAAGGAUUGAUCCAUACACCUGUGUUAAUAAAAAAAAAAAAAGUGUACUUGCACUUUGGAGCAUUGGCUGGGCUAGGAACAAGGGCUUAAUAUUAAAAAGAAAACAUCUAUGUUUGUUGUUAAUUCUUUUAUAGUCGAAUUAAUAACUGUUUUGGAAUCUAAAAUUGUAAAUAACGAACAAAAUUUAUGAACAAUUUUUAUAAGUGCUAUUAAAAAUAUUGUGUUCGGAUAUCUCAUCAUCUGAAGAAAUUAUUUGGCUUACAUUGUAAAAGGGUUUUCUAAUUAUAUUUUUUUGUCAAUUUCAUAAUCUUUUUAUUUUACAUACAUCACAAAGAAAUAUCAUCGUAUUUUAAUAAAAACUUUUUCAAAAUAACGAGGAAUCCAAAUGCCAACUUGGAGGAAAAAAUUUACGAAUUUUGGUGGCAAAUCGGAAUUAUCUAAAAAGUACUUGGAUGGCAUAUUAUCAAAUAAGACGUGUAUAAUUUAGGAUAUUCCACGUAUGAUCCGAAACAAAUGGCUGGAAAUUCGUUAGACCAAAAAGUGCAAAAUCCCAUUUAUCUUUCUUAUUCAUUUUCGUAUUGUCCUUUCAUCACAGACCUUUCAUGCAAAAGGGUGGCCCACGAUUCUAUUAUCCAUUCUCCCAAAUACCCCUCGCUGUGAUGCACAAUAAAUCAAUCAAAGUAAGGGUAUUUUAGUAAAUUCAGGAUGUAUCGGGAUGAAAAUUCGACGUGUCAAUUUCUCAGCCCUCUACACAUAUUAAUCCCAGCAAGUAAGAUUUUUUUCCCGCUUUUUAAAAACCAGAAAAAUUAAUAAAAGAAAAAGCAUCGACGGUGGGCUUAAUUUGUACGAGUACUACUUCUGCUGCUAAAACCCCAAGUGCUCUUGCUAUCCAUUUUGCUGUUGAGCUUUUCCAAGAGGGAGAAAGCUCAAAAAUCACAAAAAUAAUGAAAAUCCGACCGGUGUAAGUUCAAUUUGUUAGUUUUUGAAAUAGAGAUAUUGUUGUCUAAGCUCUCUGGAGUUAAACUCACCAUCGCCGGAGACAAUGGCAAUCGGUGCCGUCGUUUCCAGCCGGAAUUUCGGUUCCUUCAUUGGUUCAGGUGAUAGUUAUUUGUCUAGCCUUCCAAUGCAAUUCAAAUAGCUUUUGGUAUUGUGUUUCUUCGUUGAUGUUAAAUAACGCAAGUGGAAAUUUGGUUUUGAUGAUAGUUUUAAAGUGCAAUUCAAAUAGCUUUAGGUAUUGUGUUUCUUUUUCUGCCGGUGGAAAGUGGAGAGGAGAUGAAUUGGUUAGCUAGAUGGAGUUAAACGUGUGGCGUUUGUGAAACUGAGGGUUCGUUAUCUUAUUUAGUAGAAUAUUGAAUGAUAAUGGAAACGCAUGCACGCGAGUGUAGACACGCUCCAUUUUUUUUUUUUUUCCAAUUGUUAUGUAUAUCAUUAUGCAAAUUUAUAAUUUUGCUGAGAAUUUUGAGUGGAAAUUGAGCACUAAUUUCCGUUGUUCGAGAAAAGGUUCUUUUUUUUUUUGGUUUAAUUUCAUUUUUGAAGUAUGGAUAUUAAAGCAUCUCUCUUUGAGCUAUCGGGUAUAGUGGCUCAAGAAAUGAAACACGAAAUUAGGUGAAUGAAAUAAGAGAUUAAAGUCACGAGCACAAUUUGAGCUAUCGGGUGUAGUAUUUAAAAGAGUUUCCCUUUGAUUUAGCCUUGUAGAGUAUUUGAGGAACUUGUUAGCAGUUACGGCAUUCUAAAAAAAAAGCUUGGCACAACCUUGGAUAAACAGAUAUAUGUUCUUUAUAAUGUGGAACGUUGCCAAAAAGAAAAUAGCUUUAUCUUCUGGUUAUGUUGCUUUUUACUACUGCCCUUUUGUGUUCAUAAAUUUGCAUGCCAAAUGCUGAGACCAUGAAAACUGAAUAGCAAUUCUGGUUCUUCCUCUGAAAGUUACAACAUUUUAGUGAUUCAAGUAAGGCAGAAUAGUAGUGGCUAGUAACAGGAAAAUUUUGUGUCAAAAGCAUUUCACUUUCUUUAUCUCUCCUGGAAUGCUGGAAAUAAUUGUUUCAAUGGUUUAAGCAGACCACGUACAUGCUUGCGAUUUGUUGGACUCUAUAAUGGAUGAUAAAUGUAAUCCUCCUUAAUUCUCAUACCAGGCAAAGUAUAUCAAGCUGAACAAUCUGCUGCGCGUCAUCGAGGACAGUGCUUAGCAAUUGAUGCUUCACAGUUGGCGCCUAAAAAUGUGUUUUACAAUAAGCUAUAUAUGCAAAGGCUAAGGUGCUCGUUCUUUGGAUGCCUAUAUAGCUCACCUCUCCAUCCUUUUGGUUGUUUGGGUACUAGAAACCCAGGAUCAACAUUUUAUGUUGAAGCUGAUCAUCAUCUUUUAGUGUGUUGUCAAAUUGGUGACAAAUAUAACAUAAGAAGAACCAAAGGAAUCUGCCAAUGCUGGCUAUCUUCAACUUUUUCUCAGAGCAACUUGACUCAACCGAGGAAACGAGAUAAACUUGGUUUUUUUGAUAGGCAGUACCAACAGUCAAAGCAUGCAACUGCCACUAGCAUCCGAGCUGACUACAAAUCUGAAGACUAUGAAAUAACAGAAGCAAAAUUAGAGUCUCUUGUGUCAUCAGAAGGAGCUGGCGAAGCUGUUCUCAUGGAAGAAGUAGUGCAAACCAAUUCUUGGUGGGAACGAUUCCCAAAGCGUUGGGUGAUCGUGCUGCUUUGUUUUGCUUCAUUUUUGUUAUGCAACAUGGACCGUGUGAGUAUUUUCCUGUUUUCUUGUAUUCUUGCUGCUAGUUUUACUGCUGAACUUUCCCUAGUUUAGUGCACAUGGCUUCCCCAGCUGACUUCAAAGUUUUGUUGUGAGGUUUGGAACUGCUCCAUGAAGUAGGUGGUUGUUUGUGUUGCACUGAUGUAUUGAGUGAAAUGUAAAACAGCUAUCGCUUGUCUAAUACUUUGGUGUUUUAAUUCCAGGUGAACAUGAGCAUUGCAAUACUUCCAAUGUCAAAAGAAUUCAACUGGAACAGUGCUACAGUUGGUCUUAUCCAGUCUUCUUUCUUUUGGGGCUACUUGCUGACUCAGGUUUUACUCAAAUUCUGCCAAUUUCUUGCACUUUAGAUAAUGUCACACGGUCAAUGUCCAAAUAGGUGCUUGACUGGACCUCUUUUGUCUGUUUUGGCAAGAAGUUAAACUUAACAUGCCAAAGAAACAGUUUCCUUGCUAGUGGUAGUUUCCAGUCUUUGCCCGUCCAAAUCAUGGUUGGCAGCAGUCUAUCACUCAAUGUGAUUAAAUUCUUCUAUUUAACUGCUGCUAACCAAUGGUUUGCUUUGAAUCCUGGUUAAUCAAUUUUCUUUCUUUCUUUUUUUUUUUCUUUUGAGCAAACUUGCAUUCUCUUUGCCUCUAAUACAACUAAGUCUAAAGAAUUACUUUACCUAUGUGCAUUCCCAGUUUACUUUUUUAUUUCCAUAGAAAUUCAAUUGGGCUACUUCUCGGUCAUUUAUUAUUCUUUUCUCUAAGAUUUUUUCCUUCCAUGUAGAUUGUUGGAGGCAUAUGGGCAGAUAAAAUUGGUGGGAAACUUGUGUUGGGUUUUGGAGUUGUAUGGUGGUCAGUUGCAACAGUUUUGACUCCAAUUGCAGCCCGCAUUGGACUUCCCUUCUUGCUUGCAAUGCGUGCUUUUAUGGGAAUUGGCGAGGUUAGGCUCCUUUGCUGAAAUAUCACUUCACUGGAAUACCAGCUCAAGAUAACAUCUACAGACUUGUAUCAACUACCAUGGUUCCAUAUCUUCAGUUAAAAAAGUAUCCAAACUGUUAGGAGAAUAUUAGUAUUCUUAUAGAUAAUAAAUUAGUAAGGGUAUUCUUGUAAAUAGUCUGUUAGGUUUGUACUCCUAUAAAUACUAGUUGGUCACUCAUAAUAGUGUGACUAGAUGUUUUCCUCCCAAGAUACCUGUUGACAUGGUAUCAGAGCAAAAGUCCUAGGGUUAGGGUAAAACAUCUAGCAAAUCACUGUUCACGCCGCACUGUUCAUAGCGGCACUGUUCACGUAUACUGUUCACGGCACUGUUCACGCCGAUACUGUUCACGUAGUUACUGUUCAUGCCGUUACUGUUCACGCGUUUGUCUCAAGUUUUGACCCGUUCUUUCGUUUGACGUGCUAUUCGCUAUGGUUGAAAGGUUUGUUAAUACGGUUAUCACUGACCAAGUUGAAUCAAGUUCUUCAACACAUGGGUCCCAGAAAACUGUUACUAUAUCUGAGGAAGAUUAUGUUAAAUUCCUACAGUACCAAGCUACAAAUCACGCAUCUCUUCCCUCUGCUUCUUUAGCACAAAAAGGUAAUGACCCAUGGAUUAUUGAUUCCGGGGCUACUGAUCAUAUGUCAGGUACCUCUAAAAUUUUUUCUAAUUUUCAAGAGUCAACUCCCUUUCCUCAUGUUACUUUAGCUGAUGGAUCUACUACUAAAGUUAAAGGACUAGGCACUGUAGAAAUUAAUCCAUCACUUCCGCUAUCUUCUGUUCUUUACGUACCCAAUUUGCCAUUUAAUCUAAUGUCUGUUAGUAAGCUCACUAAAUUUCUACAGUGUACAGUUACUUUUUCUCCUGAUUCUGUUGUCAUUCAGGAUUUGAAGACAAAGAGGAUGAUUGGUGGAGGGCAUGAGCAUAAUGGUCUUUAUUUUCUCAACUUCAAUGGUCCGAUAGCAUGUCCUGCUACUGUUUCUCCUCUUGAAAUUCACUGUCGUUUAGGUCAUCCGUCUUUACAAAAUUUGAAAAAGUUGGUUCCUACUUUGAAUCAAUUAUCUUCGUUAGAAUGUGAGUCUUGUCAGUUAGGAAAGCAUCAUCGUGUUUCUUUUGCUCCUAGAGUCAAUAAACGGGUUUCUGAACCUUUUUUGUUAGUUCAUUCUGAUGUUUGGGGUCCUAGUCGAGUCACUUCAAAGUUAGGUUUUAAAUAUUUUGUAGUCUUUGUUGAUGAUUUUUCCAGAGUUACAUGGCUUUAUUUAAUGAAAGAUCGUUCAGAAUUAUAUUCCAUUUUUUGUGCAUUUGUUACAGAAAUAAAGAAUCAAUUUGGUGUGCCUGUACGUAUACUUCGCAGUGAUAAUGCGAAAGAAUAUUUUUCCACUCCUUUUAAUACCUUUAUGACUAAGUCUGGUAUUAUUCAUCAGUCCUCUUGUCCUCACACUCCACAACAGAAUGGAGUUGCUGAAAGAAAAAUUGGGCAUUUAAUCGAAAUUGCUCGAACACUAUUGUUGCACAUGAAUGUGCCCAAACAAUUUUGGAGUGAUGCAAUUCUAACUGCAUGUUAUUUAAUUAAUCGCAUGCCAUCUAAUAUUCUUGGAGGUCAAUUACCUCACUCCAUUCUUUUUCCUCAUGAAUCUGUGUUUAAAUUGCCUCCUCGUAUUUUUGGAUGUGUGUGCUUUGUUCAUCAGCUUGCUCCCGGGGUGGAUAAAUUAGAUUCUCGUGCUAUUAAGUGUAUUUUCUUAGGAUAUACACGAGCGCAAAAAGGGUAUAGAUGUUACAGUCCAGUUUUAAAUCGAUUUUUUACUUGUGCUGAUGUUACUUUCUUUGAAUCCACUCCGUAUUUUAUCAAGCAAAGUAUGUCUUGUGAAUUAGACCAGUGUCCCUCUUUUUCCUCUCCUGUUUUACCAGUCCCUUCCCCUUUAUUACCUGAGUUGUCUAGUCCACCAGAUUCCAUAGCUCGAUUAUCUCGUCCUCAUCUUCAAGUUUACUCUCGUCGUUCCAUGGUUGAGAAAGUUCCUGAUAUGCCACGCACUUCACCAAUUAACUCUCAAUCUUCAAAUCCAGGUAUGACGCCCUCCUCUGAGUUAGAUCUUCCUAUUGCUUUACGCAAAGGUAAGAGACAUUGUACUUCCCAUCCUAUUUCUAAUUUUGUUUCUUAUUCUCGUCUCUCUAUGUCAUAUUCUUCUUUUGUUGCUUCUCUUGAUUCUAUCUCUAUUCCUAAGUCUAUUACCUAUGCUCUUAAUCAUCAUGGUUGGAGAUUAGCUAUGCAAGAAGAGAUGUCUGCUUUGGAACAAAAUGGUACUUGGGAUCUUGUCCCUCGUCCUUCAGGUAAGCCUGUUGUUGGUUGUAAAUGGGUGUACACUAUAAAAGUGCAGCCUAAUGGUUCUAUUGAUAGAUUGAAGGCUCGGUUGGUAGCUAGAGGAUUUACUCAGGUGUAUGGAGUAGACUAUUUAGAAACAUUUUCUCCUGUUGCAAAGAUUACCUCUGUCCGUCUUCUUAUCUCUUUGGCAGCAACUUAUAAUUGGCCAUUGCAUCAGUUGGAUGUGAAAAAUGCAUUUCUGCAUGGAGAUUUGGAAGAAGAGGUAUAUAUGGAACAACCUCCUGGAUUUGUUGUUCAGGGGGAGAAUCCGCGGUUGGUUUGUCGUUUGAAAAAAUCCUUAUAUGGAUUGAAACAGUCCCCGAGGGCUUGGUUUGGCCGGUUUAGUAGUGUUGUCAUGGAGUUCGGUCUGACAAGAUGUGGAGUAGAUCACUCUGUAUUUUAUCGGCAUUCUAAUGCUGGUAAAAUUUUAUUAGUUGUUUAUGUGGAUGACAUUGUGAUUACAGGUGAUGAUGUUGUGGGGAUUCAGAAACUUAAAUCCAAUCUGCAGGCAAACUUUCAGACAAAGGAUUUAGGUCAUCUACAGUAUUUUCUGGGUAUUGAGGUAGCUCGGUCUAAAUAUGGGAUUUAUUUAUGUCAAAGAAAAUAUGUACUCGAUAUGUUGAGUGAAGUUGGGAUGUUAGGUUGCCGACCUGUGGAUACUCCUAUGGAUCCCAAUGUGAAAUUAGCAGGAGAUCAAGGUGCAUUACUUGAUGAUCCUAAGCAAUAUCGAAGACUUGUGGGUAAAUUAAAUUAUCUCACUGUAACGAGACCUGACAUUUCGUUUGCAGUGAGUGUUGUGAGUCAAUUUCUUGAUACCCCUCGUACUAGUCAUUGGGAUGCUGUUAUACGGAUUCUCAGGUAUCUUAAAAAUGCUCCUGGAAAAGGGUUGCUGUAUCAAAAUCAUGGACACAAUGAUAUUGAAGGAUAUAGUGAUGCAGAUUGGGCUGGUUCUGCCUCAGAUCGAAGAUCGACUACAGGAUAUUGUGUGUUUGUUGGUGGUAAUUUAGUGUCGUGGAAGAGUAAGAAGCAAACAGUUGUAUCCAGAUCAAGUGCAGAAUCUGAAUACCGCGCUAUGGCUCACACUGUGUGUGAGUUGGUUUGGGUGAAGAGCAUGUUACUGGAACUUGGGUUUGAACAUAAACAGCCUAUGAAUUUAGUGUGUGAUAAUCAGGCGGCUGUUCAUAUUGCGUCUAAUCCAGUGUUUCAUGAAAGGACAAAACAUAUUGAAGUUGAUUGUCAUUUCAUUCGAGAGAAAUUGCUUGACGGGGUCAUCAAGACAUCUCAUGUACCGUCUGUAGAUCAAUUGGCUGAUGUAUUUACUAAGAGUUUAGGGGGCUCUAGGGUGAAAUAUAUUUGUAACAAGUUGGGUGCUUAUGAUAUAUAUGCUCCAACUUGAGGGGGAGUGUUAGGAGAAUAUUAGUAUUCUUAUAGAUAAUAAAUUAGUAAGGGUAUUCUUGUAAAUAGUCUGUUAGGUUUGUACUCCUAUAAAUACUAGUUGGUCACUCAUAAUAGUGUGACUAGAUGUUUUCCUCCCAAGAUACCUGUUGACACAAACAUUCAACUAUCUUGUCACUUUGCCAUUUGUUGCAAGCGAAGCAUAAUUAAGUGAACCUUACUACUGGAACUAGCUUGGUUUUGUUCAUUUGCUUAAUUUCCACUAUUAGCAAUUAUUGUGACCUGUAAAUCCUUGUACUAAUUGUUUUAGCUAGUUGGACAUUGUAUCAUAGUUUUUGAGAUGAUAAGAGUGAAAUAAGGUUGACUUCCUUAAGGAUAGCUACUUAAAAGUUCUGGCACUUCAUAUCAGAUUAUGAUGUGAUGUAGAUUGCUAGAUACAUUCCUUCACUCUUCAUAUUCUGGCUUAUGCAUAUAGUAUGUCAGAAGGUCUUCCUAUUCGUCAAUUGUAUAGAAAACUUCCUGUUUUGCUCUAAAUUAAAAAAAAGAAAUCUUAACUUCCACAUGUAUUCAGCAUGCUUUCUGGAUUGCCUAAUUGAAUGGUGGUUUGUUAUCAGGGUGUUGCUAUGCCUGCCAUGAAUAAUUUGCUUUCUAAGUGGAUUCCUGUCUCUGAGAGAAGCAGAUCCUUGGCACUCGUAUACAGUGGCAUGUAUCUUGGCUCUGUCACUGGUUUGGCCCUUUCCCCUGUUUUAAUUCACAGUUUUGGGUGGCCAUCUGUUUUCUACUCCUUUGGUUCUCUUGGAAUCAUCUGGAUUGCACUGUGGCUGAGCAAAGUAAGUUUGCUGCUUUGUAUUACAUUUCUUGUUUCACUAACUUAGCUGUCCUUUUACAUUUUACUUUCAUUCUCGCAAUCCAGUAAAUUAAUUAAAUUGAAGUUUCUCAAUGAAAUUAACCUUUGAGCCUCAUGUUGUUAGUACAUUGUCUUGACAUAAUAAAAUCUCUCGUAAAUUACUCCUCCAAAUUCUCAGAGUAGUUGAUGGAGCUCACAGUUGUAUCUCCUGGGGACUGUGCAAUAUGGUUUUACUCGACAGUCAUUUCAUUAUUCUCUCAUAUGUUUCCAACUUUUAUUCUUCCAGGGACAUAGCUCCCCCAGUGAGGAUCCAGAUAUUAGUGCAGAAGAAAGGAAACUGAUUUUGGGAGGCAGUGCACUGAAGGAACCCGUGUCUGUGAUUCCAUGGAAAUUGAUAUUAUCAAAACCACCUGUUUGGGCUCUCAUAAUCUCCCAUUUUUGCCAUAACUGGGGAACAUUUAUUCUCUUGACAUGGAUGCCGACUUAUUAUAAUCAGGUAAAUGGAAUAAUGAACUGAGAUGUUUUAAUACAACGGUCGUCUGUUAUUUUAAAAAGGUCAAUAAGGAGGUGAGAAAUGGCUGCUAAAUUAUGAUGCUUCAUUCACUCCUUGUCCUUGGAAGCGUAUUGAAAUUAAACAAGCUGAAAUGUAAUCAUGCAAUGAAUGUUACAGCAAACCAUCUCGUAUUUCUUCUUUUGCAUUGCCCUUGAGUCUUUCUUCACGUUACUUGUUUACAGAUACACAAAUCCUGUAGAGACAUUUUGUAGGUUAUCAGCUUUUGCGAUGGAUAUUUAGUACUUAUUAUGCAUCAUUUAUCAUUUUUGUUCUGUGCAUGUUUAGUUAUGCUGAAACACAGGUAACUGAACACACAAGUGUGUAGUUUUGUUGUUUGUUUAUGUGCAUUUAAUUGCUAAUAUGCUUAAACUUUCUUCUUAACUUGUGAAUUAAGUUUAGCCUGCAAGUUGAACUUGAAUUCGUCAGAUAAUUAUAGACAGCAGAAACUGGCUUAGUGAAAUCAUCUGACAUUCUCUCACCUUCCCAUUCUUUUGUUCAGGUUCUGAAGUUCAACCUUACAGAGUCCGGACUUUUCUGUGUAUUACCAUGGCUGACCAUGGCUUUCUUUGCCAAUAUAGGAGGUUGGAUUGCAGAUACUCUAGUGAGCAAAGGACUUUCAAUAACUUCUGUUCGCAAGGUAAGGAUCUUAAAUUUGCUCUCUCUGUUACAUGUACUUCGAGAACACCGUACAAGGAUAAUGUGAGAGGGCUCUCAAUAAUAUGUUCUGAAGUUAAUUUCUGAUAUGAAAUGGUCAGACAAGCUUGCGAAAUUCAUCUACAACAUGUAUAUCUUUCUCUAUUGAUUUUCUGGACUAAUUCUGCAGAUCAUGCAGUCAAUUGGCUUUUUAGGGCCCGCUUUCUUCCUUACACAACUUAGCCAUGUCAAAACACCAGCCAUGGCAGUCUUGUGCAUGGCAUGCAGUCAGGUCUGAAUGAUUGAAGGAAUAGUUAAAUUAUUAUUACCUUUAACUUUUGUCACCAACUACUUUAGUGUAACCAUUUCAUAUUUGGACAGGGAUCGGAUGCAUUCUCACAGUCUGGACUAUACUCCAAUCAUCAAGACAUUGGGCCACGUUAUGCUGUGAGUUAAUUCUUACCUUUGAAAUACGGUUGUGAGGUGUCUAACCGGUACAUAAAGUAAUCAGUUCUCAGUUUUUUUUUCCCCAUUUAAAUCUUAAGCAAUAACAUGUGCCAGCCACUGGCAUGUGUUUGAAGUGACACUUGGCCGAAACAUUAUUCUGAACCAACUAUAAAGCCUAAUAACCUCAACACCACGAGAGACGAAUCCAAGUCUUGAAGAACGAGUAAAUCCAUAUUAUUAUUCAUGGGCAGGGAGCUCUUUUUUAAUUUUAAACCUAAUUUAUCUUCUUUUUUUUUUUUUGUAAUAAUAGGGUAUGCGAUCUCAAUUUUAGCCCGUGUACAUUGGUUCUUUCACUAUCUUUCUCAAUCAUCAUAUGUACUUUUAACCUAAUUUUGUAUAGCACAGGAUACAACUUAGUAGCAUUCAAAAUUUGGCGAUAUAUGAGAAUUUUCUGACAGAUCAUUUCUGCGCAGGGAGUACUGCUAGGACUGUCAAAUACAGCAGGAGUAUUGGCCGGUGUGUUUGGGACUGCUGCUACCGGAUACAUACUCCAACGAGGUAUAGUGGACCCCCAGACCAAUUAUUUUAGGAAGUUUUCCUCGUAGGCAGUGGUUAAGUUAAGAACACUCCUUUCCGUCAAGCAAAGUUGAUAGUAAUAUUUAUCGUACUUUCACAGGUUCUUGGGACAGUGUGUUUAAAGUGGCUGUCGCAUUGUACAUCUUAGGCACAUUAGUCUGGAACUUCUUUUCAACUGGAGAAAAGGUUCUUGAAUAGAUGAUCAAGAAAGGGGCAGAGAUGCUUUGACAUGACUAGGACGUCAAAUGAGGAAAGUGAUGCAGAGGAUAUAAUAUAGCCGGAAGAGUGAAAACCAGGAGGCUGAACUUGGUUUUUAAUGCGCCGAUUGUCCAUGAUGUGUUGUAGGCUACAAAAGACUGCUCCAGAUUAUCAUGGGCAUAUGCUGCUUCCAAAUUUCAUCCCAUCUUUUGAUGCGUUUGAUCUGAAAGACCUCAGGAUAUCAUUGACAUGUUUUUCAGCCAUAGCCGUUUAAAGUAAAUGAAUGUGACAGAUAGAAACAUCAUCCGUACCUCAUUGUUAUGCGCUCUAAUCAUUUAGUUAGUUUAGUACUAUAAAAUAGCCGUCUCUGAAGUCGAAAUGAGUGUUACCAGGUUCCAGCCCUUGCGGUAUUUGUAAACCUUCCCAAUCCAUAGAACUGUCCUGUGGCAAUAUUGCCUCGUCUAUAUUCUGUGUUACUGCUUUCACUUGACUCAUUUUGAGAUGACGCGUUGUCGAUUUGAUGAGCUCAGGAGGAAAGGUUAUCAGGAGGAAAUCACGCGCAACAACGAAUACACGAGUAUUUAGAAGUAAAAGAUUAAUUGAUCUAUAAAGAAUUAUUAUUCAUGAUGAAUUCAAACAAAAAUUAUCUAACAAAUACAAAGAAUUGUAGAAUCAUCAGCAAAGAACAACACCAAAAAGUGGGGAAAUUACAAGAGUCUCUGGCUCCUUGUUCCAUGAAAAGCAAAAAAAAACCUUUUUUUUACCACCAAAAAUUUCUCUCUUUCAAAUUGACCGUUCUUUUUCGCUUCUGCAAUCAAUGAAAUGUACCUUUGGCAAGAAAGCCAAACCCGUGAGAACCUUCAUGAACCAUUCCUAAACCUGAAAAAAGCAAGAGGAGGGCAUUCACGACUUGGCAACUUAAACCGUCCAAAUAUUUAAGCAUCCCCGUGAAGACUGAAGAGAGAGGCGGAGCGGAGGCCAACUUACCCCAACAAGCCGCAACCUCCACACUUCCCCUGUCCUCUCAUCUGGCCCGCCACCUCCCGUUCCAAACCAGUGGCGGCGGCGGCGGUCAACAACCUGCAAUCGCCUUGGUGCCCCGGUUGAGGCAGCAAGCAUCACAUUUUCCGUUACACUGGACACUCGAAGACCCCACCCCUGCAUCCUGAGACAACUGAUCACCGAUCCGCUUCUGUUUCUUGACACUUUCUACAAUUGCUGUCAGGUCCCGGGGAUGCAGAUUGACUUUAAGCCCAUACUUCAUGAACAGUGUCAACGACAUCUUUUGCUCCACCUUGUGGCCAGGAGCCAGGGUUAUCCUGUGCCUGAGCAACAAAGCUGCCGCCACCGACUUCAUUUGCAAAUAUGCCAAGUCCUUCCCCAGACAAAUUCUUGGACCAGCAUUGAAGGCAACAAAUCUGAAGGAAUCAUGCGUCACAAACUUUUUGCCAUCAGGGGACAGCCAUCUUUCCGGCUUGAACUCCAGGCAAUCCUCGCCCCACGUAGACUUCAUUCUCCCCGCCGAAUAAAUGGAAUAUGUUACGGAUGAUCCAGCUGGCACGAACGUGCCAUCUGGCAACACGUCAUCCGCCACGACGUGCUUUGAAUCCUCCGGCACGGACGGGUAUAACCGGAGAGUUUCAGACAGUGCAGCUUUCAUGUACACCAAUCGAUCAAGCUCCUCGACAGCCAAGGGUUCGUCGAUCCAGGUCGACACGUCAUCGCCACGCGUCUCGAUCAAAACACGGCAUAAUUCGCCUAGGAUUAUUUCCUCGAUUGUGGGAUUUUGGAUCAAUGACCAGAAGAACCAGCUCAUCGCUACCGAUGACGUGUCACGUCCAGCUAGGAUGAAGCUGAGUGCCACUUCUUGCAGGUACUUGUCCGAGUAGGAUUCUUUCUUCUUCAUGAACCUGGAUAACAGGUCAUCAUCGUGGUGGGACCCGUCCUUCGGCUGACUCAUCAGCUCGAGCUUCCGUGCAUUGAUGAUGCUGGACAGGUAUUCGUCCACGAGUACGAGGCUUCGGCUCAAGCUGACUUCCAUACCGAGCCGAAGCCAUUUCUUCAGUUUCCAUAUAACUUCGGGAAAGAUGAAGCGCUGCAAUGACGCCUCGGUGGCUCGGUCGAAAGCCGAUGCGAAGCUGUUGUCAGGAAGCCCCGGCGCCAACGUUUGUGGGUCCCUCCCGAAAGCCAAGCCACAGAUGUUGUCAAAAGUGAGCCGGAGCAAGAGGUCUUGCAAAUCAACCGGGCUGGCUUCGAGCUGGGCCGUUUCCAAGAUGGGGCAAAACCUGAGCUUAAUGGCUCGGUUCACCCAGCGAGCCAUGGCCUGGCGCAGGGUCCGGGUGGUGAAUUCCAGUGCGGCCGUCUUACGCUGGAAGAGCCACGUGUCACCAUCGGAGUUGAAGAUCCCCUGGCCAAGUAGAUCGUGAAAAACAGCUUGCCAAGUAGGACCUUUUGGGUAAUUGUCGAAGCGGGUCUUCAAAAUAUGCUCCAAAUUCUUGGGGUCGCAGGUGACCGUCACCAGGCCUUGCUUUCGAGCCAAGAAGGGAAUGGCGCAAAUGGAGGUCUGGUACGUGCCACCGCACGCGCUGAGGUUAUCGGCGAUCCACUCGUGCAUGCGGUCGGCAUUCUCGAUCAGGCCCGGAAGGCUGCCCAGCAAGAGCCACACUCGAGGACCCUUAAAUGGUCUAGAAAUGAAAGUAAACCAGAGCAGAUACGAAAUGAUGCCAGUAAAUAACAGCAGAGCUAUAGCAAAAUCCAUCCCUAAAUUUUUUGGGUUUUGUGAAAGAAAAAGGGAAAAAAAAGGGGGGGGGGAUGUUUGUUCACCUAACUGAAAGCUACCAAGCACAGGCAGCCCUGAAGAGGAGCUAUUUAGAAUGUAUGUUUUCCGCUUGCAUCAAGAAUGGUGGAGUAAGCUGACCUGAGGAAAGUUACAAUGUUUCAGCUGAAAAAGGCAUAAAGGAAUGGUUGAAGCUGCUGCAAGGACAGGUAAGGGGAUGGAGGGAAAGGGAGGGUGGUAAUUUUGGCUAGGGAGUGCUGUGUGAAGGCAAGUUAUGAUUGACAUGUAACAAAAGAGAGAAUGAGUGAGUGAUGGGUGGUACUAGAUGGGAGAAGCAAAUGCACAUGAAGAGGAAAUGGGUACUGCUGAGUUGGGUGGGUGGUGAUGACUGAUGAGAAGAAGCAACUGGAGCAAAACAAAAAGGGGCGAUUUAUAGUUGAGAAAAUUAGAAGGGAGAUUCAAAGGCAAUUACUAAGGCCAGUCUGUUUCUUGAAUUUCACCAUUUCUUUGUGUCUGUCCGACCCUCCCAUCUCUCACCAUCAGAUGCCUCUUCCAUUAAUGCAGCCGUUGAAGAGUUAAAAACCGCUACUGGUAAAAACUCACUAGAAAGAAAAUAAAGAGGGAAGCAACUAUUCCCUAAAUUUACCGGUACCAGCACUAGUACUAGAAACUAGAAACUAGAAAGAAAGAGAGAAAAUACAAAGCAGUAGUAGUACUAAGUACUAGUAAUUAUCAAGAAGACUUUACGGUGGGUGGCUCAGGCGAAACUGCCCAAGGAAAAACGCCAGGACGGACCGACCCUCCUUUUUCUCUCUCUUCAACUAAUUCUUGGCAGGGGGAAAGGAGCCGAGUCUUUAAGUUGCUGCAUUCAAUGAGGGGGAAUAAAUGAGAUUAGUUGAGAAGCCAUGAAAGGAAAUUCCAGGGGCAGAAAAUUCCAAACUUCCCAAUGGAUGGAGGUGAUCAGGAAAAGAGAAAUGAACAGAUCAGUUUUUUUUUUUUUUUGAGAAGAUGGAUUUGCCAGCAAAUUUCCUUUCCUUCAAGAACCAUAAAUGAAACAUGGGUCUGAUCGUGUGGCUGGUUAGAGUUCGGUGAGCGACCCACCAACAUAGCAAUUUAUUUAUACUAGCAGCAAGCAAGUAGCAAUUGUUCUCUCACGUAACAUGGCUGAAAAUUAAAAUCUCUUUCUUUUCCAUCUUUAUCUUUAUCCUCUUGCCCUGCUGCAGAAUACCAAAAUUACCCAGAAUAACAGCAACUCCUCUUAUCUUUGACUCUCUUGAAUGCACAUGGCAGAUGUUGUUGGGGGGAUUCAAAGGUCAACUACACUGUGUCACGGUUCUCCGUGCAACCAAAGUCAACCACUGUGUCAACGAUUUUUGGGCAGAGCAGCACCACCUUAGCCUGAUUGGGAAUUCAAGCAUUUUAUCAUGCCAGAGGGUCAUGCUCAUACGUGAGCAUGAUUCUCAACAAGAACUGAUAAAAACAAUUAAACAUUAAUUUGACCAGUUAAAUUUGCUAUUUAUGAGAACCAAAUAAUUGUACACCAAUCUGAUCAAUAUCAAUUAGUAAAAAAGUUUGACCAGCUUAAUUCGCUAUUUAUUGUGGUCUGUCUAACUACCCAAGACAAGAGGCCAAGACCCAAGUUCCUGGUCUCCUCAUAUUUCUCUUCCCCUGAGGAUAAAAUAAAGAAAUCGGACUCCAGGCAAUGGCCUUGGUGCAAAACUGCUAAGAAAUCGGCCUUGCUGCUGUCCCCGGGACAAACGAAAGUGUUCCCCUUGCUCAAGAGUAUUGCAACGUUUGUGAAGUUACUGGAAGCAAAACCAAGUCAGUCCCCAUGAAAAACAAGCGAUUCCGUGGUAGAAUCGUCAGAAAAGAAAGGAAAACCAAACCAAACCAAGAAAGUGAUGCAGCCUUGAGUGAGAUUUGGGCGGCCAAAAGAAAAACGACAUUGAAAACAUGUUAGUAUAUUAUGUAUGUGGGAUUUGGGCUUAAGUUCUCUUAGAUUUACUUAACAAAUUUCUGUAACAAAGUUUACACAAUUGCAUUAUCAAAAAAAGUUCACACAAUUGGAGAAGGGGCACUAUUUGAACUGAAGACUGAGUGUAGUGGGGCAAAUCUGCACGUGACACGUGUCAGCUCGGCAGGUUGCACGCGCUGGGUCGGCGGUGGAGACUUCACAACUCAUGGGUACCAGCUCGGCAUGCGGAUGCCAGCUCGGCCUCACCUGUUGCUCCCUAAGAUGGGCCUGUGGGCCGCCGCCUCCGAACUUGUAGGAGCUCCCGCACGAAACCCUAAGAAGACUCCGAACCCUACGGGGAUUCUGACUUCUACAAGGAAACUACAACCCACUCUGCCCUAUAUAAGCCAUGCCUAGAGACAAUACAAGGUACGCAAGCACAAGUAUUCUAGACUGUUGCUUCGUGUACAAGCUCACUGACUUGAUCGUCGGAGAUAUUCCGGGGACACCAGUCCCGCACUUGAUCUUUCUUUGUAGGUACGCUAGCUCGGCUUCCUCUCUCAGGUCGAUCGCGCCUGUUCAGCUCGGCUCGCUACAGCUCAGCUCGGACCUGGUUUUUGGCCGUCGCAUCAAUUGGCGCCGUCUGUGGGAAACACGUUUUUCUUCUCUUGCGAAUCAUGCCAAGAACUAGAUCUCAGAGGAAUGCCGAUGGUUCCAAGGGGAACGAGGGGAGCAGUCCCCAACACCCCUCGCCAGGAGAUGGAGGUGCGCACCCUCGCGGAUUCCGCCUGAGCAGUUGAUCCAGGCGGUAGCAGGGAACCUGCCCACCUUUGAGGCCAUUGUGAAUUACCUCAAGGGGCAAGCGGGAGGACAUAUGGGCCAGAGGCCCAAGAACUCGGAGGAGGGUCCAACCGAGUCUAGGACUGGGAGCCCUGAUCCCCAGCUCAAACGUGCGCGCCGGGAGCCCUCAAGUGAGCACAUUGACGUGGGGGAGCCCACUCACAAGCACUCCCGAACUGAGCACCCGGAGCCUGUCCGGAGGUAUUCUAGGGAUGAACCCUCACCUCGGAAAGAGCAGCUCCAGGUGCAGGACGAGCUGGACCUGCUCUUGGAUGCCGAGGCGGACAGGUACAUCGCAUCCCCUUUCGUGCCUGAUAUAGAGAACUACCCGUUGCCCGCGAAAUUCAAGAUACCUAGCAUGAAGCCUUACGACGCGACCACAGAUCCGGAGGAUCAUUUGUUUGCAUUCCUGACCCAAAUGCGUUUGCAGACUGCCGCAGAUGCGGUCAGGUGCAAGACUUUUUCCAUGUUUCUGGAGGGGAAGGCACGUCAGUGGUUCCAGGGGCUUCCCCCCAGGUCCAUUAAGUCCUUUGCUCAGCUUGCUCGGCUGUUUGCAGCCCAAUUUGUCUCCUCACGAGCCUUCUCCAAGAGCAUGGCGCACCUAAUGACCAUUCAGCAGAGGUCUGAGGAAUCCUUACGCGAGUACAUGGUGCGUUUCAAUAACGAGUCCCUUCAGGUCAGGGAUCGCGAUGACAAGGUGGUCAUGGCAGCCUUCAUCAACGGGCUGCGCAAACAGAAGCUCUACACCGAGCUGGUGGAGAGGCCACCCAAGUCGGUGCGGGAGAUGCUAGACCGCGCACACGAAAAGGCCAAUGCGGAGGAGGCCAACCGCUUGAAGAGUGCGCAGGAAAGACUGAGAGACGACAAGCGCAGGAGGGGCACUGACCAGGUGGAUGCGCGAUCUGGGUUGGGCAGGAAGAGUGCCUACGACCGUCCACCCAGGAACCGCUCCAUGGGGGGAGACAAACCCUGGACUACGCUCACUGCGCCCCGCGCUCGGGUCCUCGCGGUGAUGGAGCAGGAGGGGCUGUCCCGACCUCCUCGACCCCUGGGCGGGGACAAAAACAGACGGGACCAAGGGUUGUUCUGCGUCUAUCACCGAGAUGUGGGGCAUGACACGGAGGAUUGCCGUCAUCUCAAGAAGGACAUUGAGAAACUAAUCAAACGAGGUCACCUCGGGCAGUUCAUACGAGGGGACCGAGCUGACCAGCAACGAGGGAGGCCCAGGUCAGAACGACCAAGCUACCUCCGGGACCGACCUCAGGGGCCUCAGGGACGAGCUCCUGAACAGGAAACCCAGAAUCUGGCCGGGGUAAUUAAUACCAUUGCAGGAGGACCGGCUGGCGGGGAUAGUCAUACAGCUCGGCGGCACAAUCGACCUCCCCCCACGGGGGAGAGCUCGGCCAAGCGUCUGAAGAUGUAUGAAGAAAUUAUCUAUGGACCUGAGGACGCAGUCCCCUUGGCCUCCAACAAUCAUGAAGCUAUUGUGAUUGAGGUCAUCACCUGCAAUUACAAGGUGAAGAAAGUAUACAUAGACAACGGGAGUGCUAUAGACGUGCUGUACUACAAGACUUUUAAAGAACUGCAGCUGGAGGAUAGGCAGCUGGUCCCGGUUCGGACUCCAUUAAUCGGGUUUGCAGGUCCUCCCGUGAGGCCGGAAGGAAUGAUCACCCUCAUGGUUACGGUGGGAGCAUCCCCGAAGUGCCGAACUGUUCCGGUAAACUUCGCGGUGGUGAAGGAGCCGUCGUCGUACAAUAUGAUUUUGGGACGGCCCACACUGAAUGCCCUCCGAGCUGUUUGCUCUACGUUGCACCUCAGCAUGAAGUUCCCUACUCCCGAGGGGGUGGCUGAGGUGCUCGGGGAUCCGAAAGUAGGCAGGGCAUGUUACAUUGCUACCCUCAAGGGCAAAGAGAAGUUAGUAGCUCAAACAGUUUGCUUAGAGCCCUGGGAGCUCAUGGAGAAGGGAGAGAGAUUGGAAACGGACGAGGGGUUAACCGAGCUGCCAGUCCAGCCCGGCCGACCUGAGCGCACCGUGAAGGUCGGCAUGGGCCUAGCCGAGCUGGUCAGGAGUUCUUGGAAGUUCUCUUGGAGGAAUAUGCUGAGAUUUUCGCUUGGAGUGCUGACGACAUGCCUGGAAUCCCCACCGAGCUGGCGGUGCAUAGGCUACAGGUGGAUCCCGGCGUCCGACCUGUGAAACAGAAGAAAAGGAACCUUGCUCCUGAGCGAAAGGAGGUCGUCAGAAGCGAGGUGGGAAAGCUGCUGGAGGCCAAGAUCGUUAAGGAGGUCUACUACCCGACCUGGUUGGCCAAUCCGGUGCUGGUCAAAAAGGAGGAGAAAGCCUGGAGGAUGUGUGUAGAUUUCACGGAUUUGAAUAAGGCUUGCCCUAAAGAUUGUUACCCACUUCCCCGGAUUGACCAGCUCGUGGACUCGACAGCAGGUUAUGAGAUUUUCUGCUUCUUGGAUGCUUUUAAGGGGUACCAUCAGAUAGCCUUGGACGAGGAAGACCAGGAGAAGACCUCGUUUAUCACCGAGGAUGGCACAUAUUGUUACGUCACCAUGCCGUUUGGUUUAAAAAAUGCAGGCGCAACCUAUCAAAGGCUGGUAAACAAGUUGUUCCGAAAUCAGAUCGGCCGAAACCUGGAGGUUUAUGUGGACGAUAUGUUGGUGAAAAGUCGAACUCAGGAGCAGUUCAUCUCCGACCUGAGGGAGAUUUUCGAGAUCCUUCGACACUCACGAAUGCGGCUAAACCCAAAGAAGUGCACUUUCGGGGUCAUGUCGGGAAAAUUUCUGGGGUACAUGAUUUCCAAAGAGGGGGUGAGAGCUAACCCAGACAAAAUUAAGGCCAUCAUGGAUAUGGCUCCACCCCGGAAUAUUAAGGAGGUACAAUGCCUGACAGGAAGGAUGGCUGCCUUGAACAGGUUCUUGUCCAAAUCGGCAGUUCGGGGGGCGCCUUUCUUCAAGGUCCUGAAAGGAGGUCGGCAGUUCGAGUGGAACCCGGAGUGCCAGAAGGCGUUUGAUGAGCUCAAGGAACACCUCGUUCGAUUGCCAGCUCUGACUUCCCCCGAGGUGGGGGAGACCCUGUUCAUCUACUUAACUGCGGGAGAGGGGGCGGUAAGCGCAGUGCUGGUGCGAGAAGAGGACAAGUUACAGAAACCAGUGUAUUAUGUCAGUCGCGCCCUACAGGGGGCCGAAUCCAGGUACUCGGCGAUAGAGCGAUAUGUCUUGGCGCUAGUCCACGCAGCUCGGAAGCUGAGGACCUAUUUCCAAGCUCAUCCCGUGGUAGUCAUAACGGACCAGCCCCUGAGGCAGAUCCUGUCUAAACCCGAGUCCUCAGGUCGAAUGGUAAAAUGGGCGGUGGAAUUAUCAGAGUAUGACCUAGGAUAUCAGCCCAGAACGGCCGUCAAAGCUCAAGCACUAGCAGAUUUCAUAGCAGAGGGCGUUUCUUUCGGGUCGACUGGAGGAGAGGCGGACCAGGCCAGACCGGAUAGGGAAGUUGAGGAUGCGCGCGCCACCAGAGCCACACGAAUCCCGGAAACUACCAAGGCCGUGCAGAUCAGAGAGGCAGUCGAGGUCCCACGGACCAAAGACACUGCUGAGGUCGCCCAGGCCAGUCAGGUAGCGGAGGGCGGAUUGACCAGAGAAGCUGGGGAGACCGGAUCUGCCCCAGAGGCUGCCGAGGCCGAGCAGGCCAUAGACGCAGCGGAGGUCCAACAGGCCGGAGACGCAGCUGAGGUCGCAUAUCCCGAAGAGACUGCCAAGGCCGAGCUGGCCAGGACAGCUGCCCGAGACGGGAAGGAUAGGGAAACAGCGGAGCAAACAGAGCCCACGUGGACGCUGUAUGUGGACGGGGCGUCAAGUAAAGAAGGAUGCGGAGCAGGGCUUCUUCUAAUCAGCCCCACGGGAGAGGAGCUGCCUUACGCGUUAAGGUUUGAUUUCAGAGCCUCUAAUAAUGAAUCUGAGUACGAAACUCUAAUUGCAGGAAUGGAGAUGGCUCGGAAGUUAGGGGCCAGAUCGUUGAAAGUCUAUAGCGACUCGCAGCUGAUAGUCAACCAGGUAUAGGGAAGCUACGAGGUCAAAGAGGGGACGGUGAGAAAAUACGUGGCCAAGACACAUGAGCUGAAGGGCCUGUUCGAGCAGUUCAUGCUAGAGCAGAUCCCGCGAAGUCUGAACAAGAGAGCUGAUGCCCUGUCCAAACUGGCCUCCACCUCGGUUGGCACCCUAGGUCGGGAGAUAGUUGUGGAGGUUGUCAGGAGUCGUGCAUAUGACCAGGUCAGUGCGGCGGUCAUCCAGGUGGUGAGCUCCUGGAUGGACCCCAUUGUUCGAUAUUUGGCGCAGGGGGAACUCCCCCCGAGCAGGAUAGAGGCCCGCAAAAUCCUCCUUAAGUCGCAGAGGUACACGCUCGUGCAGGGAGUCUUGUAUAGGAAAUCCUACUUGCAGCCCUGGCUGAGGUGUAUAACACCUGAGGAAGGGAGCUAUGUCUUGCGCGAGUUGCAUGAGGGCAUCUGUGGCAAUCACGUUGGCUCCAGGGUAUUGGCCAAGAAGGGAAUGCUGGCCGGGUACUAUUGGCCCACCAUCUUCAGAGACUCGACCGAGCUGGUAGCUCGGUGUAAGUCUUGCCAGCUACACGUUCCAGUUCAUCACACUCCCACUCAGGAGAUUAUCCCUCUCAGUAGCCCAUGGCCAUUCUUUCAAUGGGGAAUUGACCUGUUAGGACCAUUUCCACGGGCUCCGGGGGACUACAAACACUUGGUGGUAGCCAUUGACUAUUUCACCAAAUGGGUGGAGGCCGAGCCACUUGGCACAAUCAGCAGUAGGUCAAUUCAGAAGUUCCUAUGGAAAGGCAUAGUCUGCCGAUUUGGCAUCCCUAGGGCUCUCGUCUCGGACAACGACCGACAGUUCGCGGAUCGCUCGCUACAAGAGUGGUGCACUGAGCUCGGCAUUCGGCAACACUUCACCUCAGUAAGGCACCCCCAGGCCAAUGGACAGGUCGAGAAUAUUAACAGAACCAUCCUGCACGGUCUGAAGACAAGGAUAGAAUCCGCUCGGACGGGUUGGUUGGACGAGCUGCCCACUAUAUUAUGGGCUUACCGGACUACUCCUCGAACAGCUACCCAGGAGACUCCCUUUGCUCUGGUAUAUGGGGUGGAGGCGGUGAUCCCUGCGAAAAUUGGGAUGCCAUCAGCCAGGGUGCAACACUUCGUGGCCCAGGGCAACAACGAGGAAAUGCGACUCGACCUAGAUCUGCUCGAGCAUAAAAGGGAAGAGGCGGCUAUAAGAAUGACUAAAUAUAAGAGCCAGGUCGCACGCUACUACAACGCCCGGGUGAGACAACUCUCCUUCAAGACGGGGGACCUGGUGCUACGCAAAAAUUCUGUGAGCCGAGCUGGGGGCACAGGCAAGUUAGAUCCGAAUUGGGAAGGCCCUUACGUCGUAAAAGAAGCUGAUCGAGCAGGGUAUUGUAAGCUAGCUCGUCUGGAUGGAGGCGAAGUCCCACGCACGUGGCACAACUCAAACUUAAGGCUUUUUCUUUAGUACCCUGACCGAGCUGCGAGUGGCCAGCUGGACAGGUCUGUCUUUAUUUUUGUUAUUUCGGUAUUUGGGAUUAUCCAUGUACUCAAAACUUUGAAAUAAAAAAGAAAUUCGUUACAAGUGUUGGUUAAGAGAAAAGGUCAUGCAUUUUAUUCCAAAAAGGCAUAUACAAGAGGGGGGCCAUACAAAAGCGAGCUGGCCAGCUCGGUCCCUAGUCUAGCUUAAAACCUACAGACCUAAACCGCUUAGCUCUCUCCCUGCUGUUCCUGCUCUGGUUCGGGAGAGAGGGCGGGAAGGUUGGGGUCGGCGAUCAAGGCAGCUAGGUCGCGCCCAUUGAGAUAGCCUGUGACAAGCCUGUCAAUUUGGUUGGUGGCUUGAGGGUUGUAAUCAAGCCAUUUGUCCAGGUCAAAGCCCGGCAAGUUCUGGGACUGCACGUCAAGUAAGGCUUUUGUGUAGCCGAGCUGCAGGACAGGACCAUUCAGGAGGGCCAAGUCGUUCAUGAAGCGUUCAGAUUUCUUGAACUCCUGGACGCCCUGCUGACGCCCCUCUUCUCUUGCCGCCUCCACUAGCUCGGCAGAUUUUUUCUGCUCUGCCUCCAGAGUCGCGGCCAGGUCGGCCGCUUUCUUCUUUUCCAAUUCGCAGGAGGAGUUGGCGUCUGCGAGCUGCUUCUUCAAGGCCUCCAGCUCGGUCUCUGCAGCCUCGAGGUGGCUCGACAACUUCUCCUUGGCAGCAUCAACCUGGGACAGGUUGACCCCCAUGUUUUGAUACCGCUGAGCCAGCUCGGCCCCCACAACAUUGAGCUGCAUGUCAAUCAUGAGAUAAGUAGGCAGCAAAACUCGGAAGGAGGCCAAAGGAAGUGCUAGUUAAGGAGCUACCUGGGUGGUGCUGAGGUAGAAGUGCUCUAGCAGCUCGGCAUUGGAGGCAAGUUGGAUGAAGUGGUGAUCGCGGGGGAGCACCGCGCCCCUGACGAGCUCCUUCGCUACUUCAGGGAACUGAGCUCGGUCGUUCACCGACAACCCCCACUUUGGGCACAAAUGGAGGGGGUGGGGGUGUGAGCCCAGUUCGGUAGAGGGCUUCAUGGGAAUCACAUUCCUCAUGCGCCACAUAGCGGGGGGAGAUUGUGACGAGGCCUGCUGCUCGGCGGAGCUCACCCCGUAAUGAGAGGUAACGGCAGUAGAGGGCUCCUCCUGGGAUUGGGGGGAAGCCGCCUCUGUCCUGGCCUUCUUGGCCGUGAAUUUCUUUCUUUUCUUCUUGGGUCCCUCCCCCAGUGAAGAAUGGGCGGCAGUCUGAGGAGUGGACACAGGUGGAGGUAGAGGAACCGUGCUGCUCGGCGCAGUGGAAGGCGCAGGAGUUGGCGUGCUCGCGCUACCAGCUCCGCCAAUGUUCAGCAGCUGGGAAAAUCUCUUCACUGCAGGACAAAAACACUCAGUCAGUUAGGGUGAUGAGGACUCAUGGAAGGGAGCAGGUCGAGAAAAUUACAAACUGUCAGCUCCUCGGGGGUGAUAGGUCGGAGAUCGGGGGCAGGGUCGUUCACCUCUGCUCGGAUUAGCCCCGCCGACCAGAGUUGGGCAUUGUUAAAUUCCUUCACCUUCAGUUGAGCUUCCGAGCUGACCAAGCGGUCAAGCUCGGCCUCGGGCAGAGGAGAAGGGAUGGGAUCGGUUACCUGGGUAUCCUCUCUCCAAGUUAGGGGAGGAAACCCAGUAUUCUUCAAAAAAAAGAAGUGGGCUUUCCAGCCCUUGAUGGAAGAAGGCAUAUGAGUGAACAGUUCGCGGGUGGGAAGUUCCCCUCCGCUCCUGCGAGCAAAGUAGAACCAACCGUGAACUGGGCCGCUUACCUUCAUCUGAAAGAAGGACCUAAAUAAAUUCAGGAAAUAAGGGAUUUCAAGAGCUCGGCACAAAAUAAAGAAGUCGAGGAUGGACCGAAUGGCGUUGGGAACGACCUGGGUGAUUCGAAUGCCCCAGAAGGUCAGGAUGUCAUAAAGGAAUUGGGGAAUAGGAAGGCGAAAACCAGCCACGAGCUGAUCCCUGUAAAUAGCUACAAACCCGGAGGGGGGUAGGCAAGCGUACUCCCCUGGCCGGGCUGCCCUAGCCUCGAGCUGGGGAGGGAUGUCAUACCUCCCCACUAGCUCAUCUACGUCCCCCUGGUCGAGAAGGGGGGGAAUAAUUUCGACUUCUCCAAAGUCGAUGUCUGGCCCCCUAGGGGGUCCUGCCCUAGAGCGAGCUGGGGCUACCUCCAGAGGAAUCCCUGGGACAGCAGUUCCAGCCCCGGGCUGAGCAGAUGGGCCAGGUUGGUCCAUGGCUAUAGCAAGAGGUGGGGCUGGGGGAGGAAGGUAUUCAGAAUCAGACGAGCUGGAAGAAGAGGGGCUGGAGGAAGGUAUUUCUAUGAAUGCAGGUCGGGUAAUCCUACGCCUAGGUGCUGAGCUGGUAAGGCCUGAGUAUGUGGAGGAAGACGACAUAAAAAGAAGAAGAGGACUUACUGGUGGAUAAAGGAGAAGAGCUGAGGUGUGCUUAGAAGGUAAUCCUACUCUCGGACGACCUCACGGAAUGCGGAGCGAGCUGAAGAGGACUGGAGGAGAAGAGAAAAUGAGAAGGAAGACUUGAAAGUGACGUUCGGUGGGGCCUAUUUAUAGGCUCCCCGGGCGGGAAGCCGAAAAGUCCCGAGGAAGAAGUUCGAAUUUAUGGCAAGGAGGCGGUUACCUUGGAAGACGCAUGAGCUGACAAACCGCCAUCAUGAAGGACGUGACCCUUGAAGUGACGGUUACUACGACGGACGUGGCAGUUCCUCGGAGGAGAUACGUGAUCAGAGGAUCGUGGGUCCCGCACGACUCCGACGUGACGCUUCGAAAUUUGAUCCAGACCCACGUGACUCAUCAGUGACUCUAGACUCAAGGGGGCUAGUGUAGUGGGGCAAAUCUGCACGUGACACGUGUCAGCUCGGCAGGUUGCACCCGCUGGGUCGGCGGUGGAGACUUCACAACUCAUGGGUACCAGCUCGGCAUGCGGAUGCCAGCUCGGCCUCACCUGUUGCUCCCUAAGAUGGGCCUGUGGGCCGCCGCCUCCGAACUUGUAGGAGCCCCCGCACGAAACCCUAAAAAGACUCCGAACCCUACGGGGAUUCUGACUUCUACAAGGAAACUACAACCCACUCUGCCCUAUAUAAGCCAUGCCUAGAGACAAUACAAGGUACGCAAGCACAAGUAUUCUAGACUGUUGCUCCGUGUACAAGCUCACUGACUUGAUCGUCGGAGAUAUUCCGGGGACACCAGUCCCGCACUUGAUCUUUCUUUGUAGGUACGCUAGCUCGGCUUCCUCUCUCAGGUCGAUCGCGCCUGUUCAGCUCGGCUCGCUACAGCUCAGCUCGGACCUGGUUUUUGGCCGUCGCAUCACUGAGCAAAGACUACGACAGACUAACAGAGUAGCUCAAAGGUAACGAAAGACGAAUAAACAAUGGACUAGAAGAAGAAAACCCAAAAACAAAGGAACGUAAAAAACUCAAGACUGACGGGUACAGUAUAUACUUUUGCCGCCGCCAUAUUCUCAACUGCAUGUAAGACGCUCAUAUUAGACCUCUCAUAUGCUGCCAAAUAACAUUCUGCGCACAAUCAAAAUAGCGGAAAUUGCUACCUUGCUUUUUAUAUAAUUAUACGUUUUUCUUCUAAAGGAUCUAGGAAGUUCUAAUAUAGUGUCCAAAAGUGGAAUUCCAUUUCUCAACAUAAGUAGAUAACGUGCCAACAACUUUGUCGUCCUCUCGCGUGCCCGGCAUGUGGGUUAAGAACUUUAUACUCUUCGCGCAUCGCGCGACAAGUUCUCAUCUUCUAUCUACUCUGUCAGUAUCCCAUGUGCCUUCUGCUGCGUCUUUUGCCACGUCGAUAUACUUGUUGCUCUAUCUAGCAGUUCUGAACCCACUGUAUUCUCUCUCUCCUUCCUUUUUUGGAUAAUGUUGCUCUCUUGCUUAUCUGGCUGUUCUGAACUCUGGUACAAGAGCCUCUCUUCUUACCACGCAGGGAGCCUCGAGCCUCGUUCUCUAGGUUGCGGUGGUCCAGGAGUUUGAUUCUCCUCCUCUUCCUCCGUUGUCCUCUGUCCCUCGCGUUCCAGAUCAGCUGCCAUCCGUUCAGAGCUCCUCCUUCUUCUCCUUUUCAGGUGAGGUGCGGUCUUCGCUGUGAGUUUCCUCUGUAAGCUUUAACCUGGAAACUGAUUUUUUUUCCUUUUGUUUCUUCCUUUGUUUUCCUUUUUGAGUGGCUCCUAUUUUGCUCUUGAGAGAGGUCCGCUCUUGCCAACCGUUUGGUUCGUCUCCUCCUCGUUCGUAGUAAGUCUUCACCUUCCUUUCCUCUGAGGAGAACCUCUUUCGUUUUGCCUUUUCUCUGUAUGUUUUAGCACAUAAUUGCUAUUUUCGUCCUUUGCUGCUUCCCUCCGUCUUUUUUCCCUCCCCUUCCGGAGACCUUCUGGUUUUCUCUAGGGAGAGGUACGACUGUGCUCUUACGGAGUUUUUUUUCCCCCUCCACAUUGCGCUUUGUCUGGUUUGGUUGUCCGGUGUUAGAUCUACAUGGGUUUGGUGUUGGUAUGCGUUCCUUAAAGCUCCAGCGGUUCUUCCUCGAAAGCUCGAAAGCAUGUAGUCCAUGCGUAGUUGUUCAUUUUGCCAUUUGGUCUUUUUGGUCUCUGGCUUGUUGCGUUUUUUUUCCCUCUUGUUCUUGGCCUUCGCCCUUUGAUAUUUGUUUUGCCCAAGGAAAUAAGCUCUGUUCUACUUCGUUCUUUGUCUCUGGGUUUGUUAUGUUGUUGUUUAUUCCAGUCAUUACAACUAGGGAUCUGCUUCUUCAAAGGAGUGUUGACUCAUGGAUUAUUAUCUUUUUCUUUUUGCUUCCUAUCCCUGAAUAUUAUGUUUUGAGUGUGUUUUUUUCCGUUGCUUCUGUUUUGAUUGUUCUAUGGCAUUUUCCUUUUCUUUUGGUCCUGUUACGCAUUCGGCCUCUAAAUAUCUUUAACAAACUUGUCAAAUUGCCUCCUCCCGCGGUUCUUAUCCUGGAUUCCUUUUUUUAUUUUUUUAGCUGGCCAUGGAUCCUCUGCGUGUGUCUGAGAUCCAUGGUUUCCUGCCUCAGUGGACCUCUGUGAUCUAGGUCAUAGAGGUAUCUCAUACUAAAACUACCCAUGCAAAUCGUGCAUCAAGAGUUUAUCGGCGCUUCGUCUUUUCUGAUUCGCAUGUACGCAUUGCCUUCUUGUUCUUACUCUUCAGCUAUUUGUUUCUUGUUUUUCCUCCUGUGAUUUUUUUUUACUCUCCUUAGGUGGUUGAUAGGGUGUAAAGGUUUCUGCUAUUACCUUUGAUGAUAAUGUUGCUCGUACUAAAGGUUUACUUGCUCCUUUCAAGAAGUACUGCAUUAGUGGCGCUUCUGUUGAGGAAAUUCCCAAACCUGCUCCCGUGAAUUUGUAUCGGUUCUUUUGGAUUAUAAAUAGGGAUACUUUGAUCAAAGAAGUCUUUGGGCCUGAAACGCCGACGUUUCCCCCUUAUUUUGAUCUUACCCCUUUCACCUCCUUCCAAUAUUUGGCUGACAGUCAAGUCUCUAUAAGUAAGCUUUUUUUUUUGUUCUUUUUUUUGUGCUAUCCUUUUUUUUCUCCUUUUGCUUGUUAGUUUCUGCACAUUACCUAUCGUUGGAUUACUUUCCACCAGACAUGAUAGGAAUUGUUUUGCAUGCUUUGCCGAUGAGGGAGUGAUGUUCCCUCUGUUAUUGCCAGAGACUACGUUGUUAUUGAUCAGAGGUUGUUCUCGCUACUACUUUUCCUGACUACUAUUUAUUUUUUCUCUGUAUUCAUUGGCUUUUUAUAUUUGUUUUCUCUAGUAAUAUGCCUAUUCUUUUGACGCUUACUGGUGAGCUUGAAUCUGAAAUCGGGAAUGCUAUAGCAGAUACAAUUGGCUCCAUUGAAUCGAAGCCGGUUAUUGUUGAUUUUAGAGUCAGGGUUAAGACUGACAAUUAUGCGUUCCAGCUCUCUUAUGUCCAAGCUUACGUUCAGUUCCUUUUUGUGCUUUUUCCUGCUUCCUUUGAUAUGUUCUAUUCUCUUUCGUCCAGAUUUAUCCCUUUGUACUAAGGCUACUUCGGUUGUUUCGAUUUCUCCGAGAAUUCAGGAAGCUGCACGCCUUGAACAAUGGUUGUCUAUUCCUUAUUUCUACAUUUCUGAAGGAGAAUUUUUUUUUCUUCCUUUAGCCCAUGGCAGCCUUGGCUUAUCGUUACUAUCUUCUGUCUAUCUUCAUGUAGGUACUGCAGCAAUCGUUCUGAGCCAAUGGCUUCUGUUUUGGAUAAGAGAUACUGCAAUCCCCUUUUGCCUCUUCCUCUUGUUAAUGACAACAUGCUGUCUACUAUUUCGGGUGUUGUUGCAGCAAAUCAGUUUGUUAGUUGUCUUAUCCGUUCUGUGUUUUUUUUUUUUUGCAAUUUUUUCCACCUUAGUUUCCUGAACUAACUUCUUUGCUGUUCUUAUGAAAAAACACUUGCUCUUUUCUCAAAGCCUAUAGGUGCUUCGUGGAUUAAAGGCCGAGUUGCUGUUGAUCGAUUGCAUAGGCUCUGGCAUUUGGCUUGCCCGUAUUGCUUUGCACCUAACAACUUUAUUGAGAUUCUAGGAAUUUCUUGUGUUGCCUGUCUUAAGGAUCUUUAUGUCUUUCCUAGGUGCGGUAGUGUUACUUGUUGGCUACGUUUUUUUAUUGCUGUUUGUUUUUACUUGCUGAAUAUAUCUCCGUCUAGUUGCUCCUUUAAUUCUAAUUGCCUUAUUUUCUGCUCUCAGAGCACGUGUUAAGUUGGCUGUUACUGAUGGUUCUACUUCCAUUGAUGUCGUUGCUUUGGGUUAUGAAGUUAAAAAACUGAUAGGCUUUACUGCAUACCAACUUAGCCAAGCUGAACAUAAGGUUUCCUUCAGUUUACUUGUUGUUAAUACUUGUUCCUUACACAUUCUUUGUGGUGCGUUAGUUUUGCUGACAUCUGUUGUUCUUUGUAGGGUGUUAACCUAAAUCUGCGUGUUGCUGAUGCUCUGAUGGAAGGGUCUUGUGCUGCUACGUUAGCCGUUCUCCUAAAUCCAUUCAAAUGACCGGAGUCAGUUUCACUAUUGUUACAUCUUACUUGAUUGGAGAAGCUAGACCUGUAAUUGAUUAGCAUGUACCUUUCCUGAUAAUAGUUUCACACUUUUAGGCUACUUUGUCCGGUUAUCAGUGGAUUAUGAUUUUGUGAUGUGAUGCUUUCUAUCUUUUGUAAGAAUCGAUUGUGUUGCAAUUUAUUAGAAAACUGAACAUAUGCUUUUGCAAACAGAAUGCGGCCAAUUGUUCUGUCUCUUUGGAACAAGUUUGUUGAGUCUGAAGGAAAUAUUCUUGUGCAGCUGCUAAAAAAGAGGUCAGUUCUUAUUUGCCGCAGUCUCAAAGUUGUCUCUUAUAAUGGUAUCGUUGCUUCAUUUGCUUGUCAAUUUGUACACUUGGUAGCAUAUUUCAUUGUUUUUUCCUAUUUUUUAUGUACUUUGCAUUCCUCUUUCUGUCAGGAAUUGCACUCUCCACUAGAAAUGAUUCGGUGCUUCUCAUUGAUCCACCUGUUGGAGAUGCAAGCCAGUUGAAAAAUUGGUUAGUUUGAAGUGUUUCUUUUCACCUUCUCCCUAUUUCAAACUUAUCAACUGUAUAUUGUGUUUGCUACUUAUGUACUUGCUAUUAUCUUCUAUCAAAUGGCGAUGAGGAAUGAGAGCCAGUUGCUACAUUGGUUCAAGAAAAAAUGUAUAACAUGCAUAGUCCCAAUAUGUUUCAUCAGUCAAAACACAAGCUUUCUACUUACAGGCUGUUCUAACAACCUAUAAGGCUAUUAUAUUAGAAUACAUGCAAUUUUUAAUGGAACCAGAAAAAAUGGUACACAUUUUAGUUUUUAUUUGGAUGUUCACAGCUCGCCUGGGUUAAGGCUCGUUUCUGUUUCCAAAACAUAUUCCAAAAAUAUUGGUAUAUGUCUUGUGCUAAGUGUCAUCGUCAGACAUCAGCCAAUUAUGAGUACACUUUUACCUGCAAUCACUGUAAUGAAAGACAAACUGCGACCCCGAGGUAAGCUGCAUAUUCCUGUUUACUAGACAUUAAUCUUUACUGUUGAAGCAUUUCCUAAAUUUUUUCAUGCUGUUUAUCCUUCGAACCAGGUGCCGCUUUGAUUUUGAUCUCACUAAUGAUACAGGCGUUAUGACAGCCUCCUUAUUUGGUGAAUUAGCUGAGCAAUUGCUUGGAACUUCUGCAGUUGCUGCAAUGAAUUUUUAUAACAAGGUUUAUAUUACACUGGAUGAACUAACGCUCUACUAUGUAAAACAGAAAGUCCAUAUUAUGAAACCCUUUGUUGCUGCUUCUUGCAUAGCUAUUUUGCUGAAUUGCUCCUUAGAAUGAAGAACUCCCACUCGAACUAAUUCAUGACACAUUGAAGUCCAAGACAUUCAUUGCUCAAGUUAAGCCUGGAACACCAAAGAUGAUAGGACUUAUCAGCGUUAUACAAUUGUUUAUUACUUUGAAGACAACAAGGACCAUAAGCUCUUUGAGGAACAACCCCUAAAUAGUUCUCAUGUGGCCAGUCAACUUUCUGUGGCUGCUACUCCAAGUUGUUGCUAGAUGCUUAGACAUAUACUUUUUUAAAUACUCCUUCACAGUUCUUUUUUAUGAUUCCUUCACGGUUCUUUUUUAUGAUUCCUUUUUGAUUGGUUUAUUACACAGAAAGACCAUAUACUUUUUCCAACAACCAACUCUGCUUUGAUAAAAAGCAAAAUGUUUCUGAAGCAGUAAGUCAGUCUUCUGCUAUUAACAUUUCAUGUGGCUCCUACCCUUUCCAUUGAUCCCUAAUUUUCAUCUUUGUUGAUUUUUUGUCUAAAGAUAAAUUUGCUUCAUGUGCAGAUAAGCCGUGUGGUUCUUCAAAGACACGCGUUUGCCUUGCAAAAAGAAUAGAGCUCAGUGAGGAAACUGAAUGUGCUAUAUCAGAAUCUUGUGAUAUCGCUAGCAGCAAAAAACCAAGGAAUGCUUGAUCUGCUCGUCAUUAUCAACAAGUUUUUUGUGGUUAUUCUUGCUGCUAUGUAGGCCUGUCUAGGCAUACGCACUUAUUAUACACCAUAUCAAAAUCUUGUGCCUUCGCAAGUUGCAAAAGAACAGGUAGUGCUUGGUCUAUUCCUGCUCUUGGCCAAUGGUCUUUUGUUGUUGUAUUGUCCGCUGUGUAAACAUGUCUCACUUGACUAUGUUGUCGAAUGAUCUGUCACUUGGAGCAUAUUGAAGACAUUUAAGCUGCUUUAUGUAUGGCCUGUUUCCAGCCUAUCUAUCUUUCCCUGUUGUGCUUAUAUUCUUUAUUUGAUCACCGAGCUAAAGGCACAACUUUCUGUGCAUCAAUUGCUUUGAAUUUCAUAUAUCUACGUCCAAAGAUGUAAUGUUUCUUCAGUUGCUCUCAGCAAUAAAUCCUCUUUAACCCAAUGCACACCUACGGUUUGCUAGCCAAUAAAAUUGCACCUUUUCCACCCUGAUGAUCAUUCACGUCUAUAAAGUGCCUAAUCCUGCUUCUUGACCGCAUUCCAUGUAGUUUUUCACAUUCCGGAUUUCCGAGCUUGCUCUUAACUCUUCUAUGCACAUUACUCUUUCCAUUCAUCCUUCCUAAUGGCCAAACCUAAAAACCCUUUUAGGAAGUGGAAAGCAAUACAUCUCAAAGACAAAAUUCUAUACUACCUUUGCACCUUCGACGGCUCUCAGGUUCAUGCCGCAACUGUUAUCCAAUCAUAUCAAGGAAAAGCAUUAUAUUUUCCCAAAAAAAAUUUCUUUAAAGCCUAUCCAAUGGUUUUAAAAUACAUGGGUAAACCGUCGCUGUACUCUCCUGCCUCGACUGAACAAUGGUUGCAAAAUAUCAUUGAUAUUGGUUCUGAGGCUUUUGCGAUAAACGGUGCGUUCCUUGCUUUCUUAUGCCAUACCAGCACUUCGCUACUUGUAACGAUAACAUAUAGUUCUUCUGCUCUUUAUAUUUUUUUAGAUUGCCAUGCACCUUUGAUGAAGGAGGUUUCAAAAGGAAAUCCAUGGUGUUAUAUUAUGAUGUGUUCAAAUCUACAGAAGCAGGUUUCGUAUAUUAUCUUGUAAAAAUACCAAGAGAAAAGAAUGCUAUAGCUUGUACACUUUCCGUAACGUCUACAUUUUCAUCCCCCCCAGAAAAUUUCCAGUUCUAUUUUUAGAUCAACUGCCUUCGAAAACGGCCAAGUAAUGAAGUUAUACCACGGAAUUGCUGUUUGGCAUGUAACAAUCACUAAUGGGUGCUUUGAACAAGGCUGGGAAUCCUAUUGCAAAGACAACCUGAUUCAUGAAUAUGACUUGCUUUUCUUGCGACGUAGAGGGGAUUUAACCUACGAUGGCCUGGCUUUUGGGACAACACAAAUCCUCACAUUGAUGCCAUGGACACUGCCUUUACCAAUGGUGCAAAAUUGUCAAAAAAAAAAACAAGGAAAUUAUUCUUUUCUGCAUUAUUUCUCCUUAUUUUGCUUUAUUCAUGUUCGCUAAAGCCAAUUGCUUUUCAUGCAAAUCUUACGAUUGACGAAAACUCGAACCGUAUUACAUCGUCCAUACAUCCAUUCUUCGGCCAUAAUUUCACGGCAUCUACUACUUUCUACCAAUUUUAUACUAGGUGCCAUAGAUACGCGUUGGUGAGCAUACACCUUUCUUUUUUUGUUUUUUUCCCCUGUUUGUCAUAUCUUAUACUUAGUUAUUAACAGACCCUUCCACAAUAUAUAACCCCGAGAUUACAUGAAACCAAGACUCCAACAAUCAAUCUCGCUAGUGGACACCAAACAUAUAUAGUCUUGGAAUGACCGCGGCCAAAUUUGAUUAAAACUGGAGCACAUUCAUUACAAACCAUGAACUUCGAAAUGGAAAAGUUCUUCUCUUCAUGUCCCAAUCCAAAUCCUGUUUUUCCAUCGUCAUCUUCGACCGGAAAGGGAAUGAAAGAAUGUAUCCAUGGCACUACAGUUUUACUAUUUAACCCCGUGUUCUUUCCAUUUUAAGUUCGUUUUGUUUAUUUCUCGGGCAUUGAAUGUCUAUACUUUAAUCAGCUUUGUACUAUUGUUUUACAGCUUUACUGCUAACUCCGUUUUCCUUAUUUUUCUAUUUAUACCGCCUUUCUUACACUAUACGUUCAAUCUGGUCAUACAUCAUUCCAACUCAUGAUACUGAGUUGGGCAUUCACAAUUUUAUUCCUACCGUGCAACGCGCGGUUCUUGCCUCCUAGUCUCUGUGAAAAGAUUGCAAUCGGCAAAUAUUCGGCCAUCAAUAAAUUAUUCAAUGUUCAUUCUCUCAUUUUAGACUUGAAAUUAUUAGUAAAAUCCUUAUACUGUAUAAGAAUGAGUUGUGAUUUUGAAUUUCAACCGUAUGAAUAGGGACAUUUUGAGAAUAUGGAAUAAUGUGUAAUUUUUUUAAAGUUUUUGGUACAACUAAUGGCAAUAUAUUUUUGGGUAUGUUUACGGAAAUGCCCUUAUGUUUGUACAUUUAAAACUUUUAUUUAUGUAGAUAUUUGGGUAUUUCUGGAAUAUGAAAUUAUUUUACAAUCUUUUGGUAUCGGGUACAACUUAUAUAAGUUUAUAUGUUUGUGUAAUUACUGAUAUGGUAUUAUAGACACAUUUAAUUGAAAUGUGAUUUUUAUUGUACAAUUAAUUCCUUAUAAUAUAACCCCCGCUGCCUCGAACCUAAUCAAUAAACUUCAACUAAUCAAAAUUCUUUUAUUCCCAGUUAUUUAUACCACUCUAUAAAACUUUUUUUUAUUCCUACCACUCUAUAAAACUAAGAUCAGUUUCCUUUAUUUCCAAUUUUGUUCUAAAGUCAUAUAUUUCUUUGUGUUUAAGGGUGAAAAAGCCAAUUGGGAAGAAAGAUGUCAAGGUAAAAUUAAUGCAAAUUAUUAUAAAACUUAUGUUGGAUGAUCAUUAUCACAAUCACGACUAACUUGUUCCAAUUCUUCUUCUUUAUUUCCUAUUUAAUUGUAUCAAAGUUGUGAAGCUUAUAAAUUAGAAUUUUACUGAUUUAACUACUCCCUUUAGUUUAGUAUAACCUUCCAAAGAGGUAUUUUCUGUUCCACCAAAUUUUUAUUUGCUUGCUUUCACAGAACUCUACGUAUGAUUGUUUUCCACCAGCUUAAUUUCAUCAUUCAUAUGGAAUUUUUGAAACAUAUAGUGCAUGUUUGAUCAUCAUUGCAGGGUUAAUAGUGAAAAUACCACAUCUACAAGCAAACAUUGGGAAAUAUCAUUAACCACUUUCUACUUAUGGCUUCCAACUCCAAUUCAUGUGUGCAAUUUCUUCUCAUUUUGGCUUCAUGAUGGGUUUGUUCUACCAAACAAGCUCUGUUCACAUGAGAGUGUUUUUCUAUUGUAUUUCACCAUUACAAUUGAGAUGUGCUAUCAAAGAAAAAACAAAUUUUUACAUUGUCCUAUAGUGUGGAUCUUUCAAGAGAGUGUGAAGUGCAUUCUCUGUAGGGUUAAAUUGUGACAACGGGUCACUUAUUCCUUUCAAGAAUGCUUUAUGAAAUAGACACAUUGAACUCCCAAAACUCAUCUUUGUUUGUCCAAUGCAACAAAUUUGGUGCCCACAUUACUGAUUGCUUCAGGAGAGGCAAAAGUGCAAAAAUUAUCUUCUAUAAGUUCGCCGAGCCACCUCUUAAGUUCAAUUUAUUAGUUCUCAAUGGAUUUCCAUCAAUAUGAACCUAUAAAUUCAUUUCCUUCUAAAAAUCCUGUUUUUGGAUCGUGUUAUGUUUUGUUUUCCUAUUGAUUAGAACAAUUAUAAAGUCUAUGCUCCAAUCCACAUUAUGCUUAACGGAUUGCUUGAUGAGACCAAAAAUAUAUUAGGCAUCAACUUACUUGGAUUUUGGAUGCACAAAAACUUAGGGACUUUCUCGAUCAUAAUUAAGAUGGAUUGUGCGAUACUUCCAAAUUAUUUGUGUGAUGCUUUUGAACUUUUCAUAAUAUAUUUACAAGGUUGACCCUUUCUUUUCAAGUGUCAGAUUUGUCAAAAUUGAUAUGGAUGAGAUAAAACUAGCUAAGAACAAAGUUAAGUGUAAAACUUUUUUAAUCUUGUAAUGAGCUGUAGUAUAAGGAUGGGAAUUAUCUAUUUGACAUUAAAAAAAAAAGUUUUUGCUCUCAUUUGUUAUGUUGAUGUUGAAUAAUAAAAAGUAAUAUAUUAUAACUUCAACUUUGGAUGUUUUCUUAUUAUGUUAUCCAGUUAGUCUUUUUUGACAUUUCCUUCUAUGUUCUUGAUUAACAUACGUAGAAGAAAUACUGUGUGCACUUGAAAAUUAACUUUAUUUUUGUGUAGGGUGUGAAAGGAUUUGUUUAUGAAUAAUUGUACUUCAACUAUAUGAUACUUAUUUUAUAUACAUUUUUUUAAUAACUUAUAUUUGCAAUACUUUUUGCUUUCUCAAUCUUAUUGUGUUUUCUUAAAAAUUAUGUAAAAAAAUUUUAAAUAAAGACACCCAAUCCCCUAGUGCUUAGUAGAAGACUUUAGACAUCCCGGAUAAAAGACUGCGAAAUUUUUGCUCUAUUUUACGAUUGAUCCUCCUCCAUUUGUUCCAUUUCAUGGUGCCAGACGUAUAAAUUAGUCAUGUCCCUUGCCAGUUGCAACCAUUCGGUUAAGAGCUCUGCGUUUCUAAAUAAAACAUUCAUAAAAAAUAAGAAUCAGAGUAUUAGCCAUCAUUGAACUUUAGUUCACUGCGCUUCAUCUCUUUGAGUUUCAGGAGGGAUCGUAUCAGAGCUGAGCUUGAUUUAAGGUUGUAGGAUGAGCGCCCACCAACUCUAAUGAAAUCUCUCCGUCAAAUAUGGGCUUGCAGGCAGGAUUGAAAUUUCAGCUACAUCUCCAGAUCAACAGGUACAUGUGCCAGGCUGCCAGCCCACAUCAUUAAUAGAUUUAAAUUCUAGAAAUUGAUUCAUUAUAGGUAGAGGCAAUAUCCAAGCCAAGUUCCAAGACAUUCCUGUUCAUCUAAAAGUACUUCAAGUAUGUGACCUCUGACGAAAGCAACACUGCAUUUUAUCAACUUAGCCAUUCUCGAAUCUUCAGAAAACAGCUAACAAUCACGAGAGUUUCAGAAUCUUAGCAGGCAUUAUAUACCAAAAUUUAAAAUAUACUAUUAAUUUUCCAAUGCAAAAUUAGAAAUCCCAUACCUCUGAAGUUAGAUUUGCACACUCAGGUCAGAUUUACUUAGCAAAUGCUAUAGAUCAAGAAACUCAGGAAAGGCAUCUGUCCGUAAAUGCAUGAUGAAGUAUCAAAUACACGGAAGAUGUAUUUUGCUAUUUAUCUGCAUACUACAUGAAAAAGGCUUUGACAAAUCAGCAAUCCUUCUCGUGUCAUUGUCUCUAAUUGGCACAACUUUUCCACAUCAUUCUUAUUCAAUCUAGCAAAAGCUCCCCAUAGUCCAUGAAGAAUUACACUCUUUACACUUUUUUGCAUAUUCAGCCAUCCUUUCAAGAGAGUUUCUCCCAACAAACCUUAAUUCCACUCACCAUGUUUCUGCCAUUACCACAUGAAUAAUUCUACUAAGAUUGCAUAUGAUGUUUUGUAGAAUAUCUAUACCAAACAGCUAUCAAAAGUCUGUGCCAGCCAACCAUUCAAGUUCAGCAUAUCUCAGACUUUGGCAAGCGAGAAACUGAAUAGCAGCUGGAAUUGAUACUGUAAUCUUAAAAAGCUCAAAUGGACUCCAUCAAAAUGUUUGUAUUCCAUCUCUUUUUAUUGAGAGAUCUUGGAAAUUAAAUAAAAUAGGACUGUGCAACCCCCCCCCCCCAAAAACAACCAGUGAAUAAAAAGAAUAGGAAAAAAGGACAAAGGAAAAAACUCUCAGAUCAAUCGAAUGAUGAGAUGCCUGAAAUAGCUAAGUCAGCAGCUUUCUCAGCUGCUUUUGAAUUUUGAAAAUCCAUUUGGUGCAGCUGAUUUUUUUUACUUUAUGUCUACCAAGGAUCAGAUGAUCAUGCUUGACAAGCAUGAAUAAACCUAAUUGAAACGUCAAAAAGAUUGCCAGCCGAUCACUCUUCUCUUGUUUUCCCCUUGGAGAACAAGCCUGAGUUAAUGAAAACAUUAAUGGAUAUUAUCUUCUGUACAAGUACUUCGAGAGAGGAAAUUUUACGCUCCUUGCAACCUGUUAGUGAUUUUCAGUAAUCAAAUCAGAAUAUCCCUGGAAUGGAAGGGGAAAGGUGGAAAGCAUAUAUUCCAAAAUCUAAUGCAAUUUAGAUUAGGGGCUCAUUUGCAGUUACCUUUAAAACCAUAUCUUCAGACACAUUAGAUCGGUAUCUUGUUGAACCUUCCAAUGGGCAACUCCCUCCUUUGGUGAUAAAAUUAGCAUUGCAAAGACUCGAAAGUUGCAAGAGUACGUGAGACCCAAUAUAGCCACUAUCACCCAUGGUCGCCCUAUUUCCUUGACCUUCCACAUCUGGAGAGUACUCUGCAACAGAUGUUAGACACUGAAAAAUGGCUAGCAGUCUUUCCAGUGGGAAAGUUCCGGGACCCUUCAUGAGUAAUUCCUGUUCAGCAGUUUCCUUCUGUUCCAAUGAUUUUGCAGAGCUCCUGAUAAGAUAACAAGGAAAAAGAAUCAGCAAAAAAAAGGCUUCCUAAGAUGACUCAUACAAUGCUGAGAAAAUGAUGCAACAAGAAGCAAGACUGCAGCCUUUGGGAACAUAUUCGUAAAGGUUUAGCAAGUUUGGACAAUUCAAGUUGCAUCUGACAGUCAUGAACCCUACAGAACAGCGAAAUAUCUUUCAAAGUUCUUUUUUUUUUCUGAAACUACAAAUGACUAUUGUUAGGCAGAGUUAAAAACCAGAAUGUAAAAAGACUCCACAUAACAAGGCAAAAAGAAAACAAAGUACUUCUAUUUUUUUUCCUACUAUGAAACCUAUGGGUCUUUAGUAAAUCAAUUAGACACAUCAAACAAAUGAUGAUUUCAAUGUUAUUUAUUAAAGCUGCAUUUAGAAACAAAUAAAAUGGAAGAAAAUCUAGAUUGCACCAUACUGCCUUCGAGCAAAUUAUGGUAACCAUGUCCAUUGCUGAAUUUGGGUGGCAAGAAAUGACACACAAAUUAAAAUCAUAUGCUUCUUCGGCCAUGGACAGCAUUCCUGAUAUUUAUUCCAGCCAACAUUUUUUAAAAUAAAUGCUCCUCUAGUUUGUUGAAAGAAUCACAAGCAAAAGGCCCAAUGGAAUUAGACGUGAAAUUUAGCUAUUUUCUUGGACAGAAGUCCUAUGACACCAUAAUGACAGCAGAACACAGCAAAAAAACCAUGAGAGAGUAAAAGUUAAGCCAUGGAGCACAAGCAUGUACCGAUUUGACAUGUAACUUACUUUCUCUUUCGCUUUCGGUUAUCAGAACCACCAGUGGAAUCAAAGAAUGAGGCAUCAAGUGUAGCUGGGUUUCUUGAAGCAAGAAAUGCAGAAAUAAGAAGAAACUUUGCAGAAGUAGACAUAUGGAAGUCUAACUCAUUGGAUGAUGUACAGGCUUCCAACUUCUUUACGAUGCCCUUCCGCUCGUUGUCUUUGCUCCUUGAGGCACCAGAAGUAAGUCCUGCUGAAACUCGAAAUGUCUCAUUCAGGGAGGGUGCAAUGUGCCUUUGUAAAUGCCCAUAUAAUUUUCUCUUCAUAUCUUCAUUAGGCACAGCUCCCAAGUCACCAAGAGGCUCACAGUAUUUCUUAAAUAAUGGCAACAAUGCUGUAGAUAAUUCAUUAACUCGUCUUGUAAUUCGGCAAAAUGGUCUCAGUACCACACUGUUUCCCAAGAAACACAAUAACAUUAUAUAUCUAUUAUGUUAAGUAGGAGUUUAAGUACAACAGGCCACAGUACAAGCAGAGGAGGGUGAAGCUACCAUACUUACUCAAGGAAUGAAGAGUAGAGAUUUUUGUUUACUUGAUGCUUCAAUAAUAUUUGACGAAGAUCAUCUUCUGAAUAAUCAGGAAAAUGAAAAGGAAAUGGCUCUACAAAACCUGUGUCUGCGUAAUACGUAUCUAAUGAAUUGUUACUGAUAAAUAUCAAGCCAACCUCCGGCAUCCUCAAGAUAUCAUACAGGUUGAACAAAAAAGGCAAUAUAGUAGAACUCUUCUCCCAUUCUUUAACAAGAUUUAAGCUGUCAAAUAUCAAGUAAACCAUCUUCCCGUUAGGCCAUCUAGCUGCCUUCUUUGAGCCUGCCUUCUCCGCAUUCCCUUGGAGCGUACCAAUAACACCACUCAAAGCUUCCCUCAGCAAAUUUACAAAAUCAGAGGGCUUGUCACAUCGCUUGAUACUUGAAUAGCCAUUGCUGUCACUCUUCCUAUGAAGCAUUAGCUGGUUCAAAAUAGAUUCAAACAGUAUCCUCGGACUAUAACACGUAAUACAACUCGCAUAAACAAAGGGGCGGCGAAGAUGCCUAAAUAUGUUCAGAACUAUACUCGUUUUCCCGGUCGAAGAACCUCCAUAUACAAAUGUGGGAAACAUGGGAGAAUUCACAGGACCAAGAAGGCUCAUCAGCUCAAUAAUUUGACCUCGCCUUCCGGGAAAGCUACUGAUCAACUCUUCCAAGCUUAUUGGUGAAUUACCGUACAAAAGGUCAUUAACUGAGAGAGGCUUCAAAGCACAACUCUUGGAGGAAUCGACUGCAUUUUCAGAAUUAGCGGCGGAUAAUCUUGUGGUUCUUCUUGUAAUUUGUGGACUUUCUUCGCUACUCAUUUCCUUACGAAUUGCACGAAUUCUGGAAUUUCUUUUUUAAUUUGAGAAACCCUAAAAUCACAAAAGUAAAAGGACAAAAAUGAAUGAAGCUGAAUAAAAACUUAAGCAUAAGAUAACGUUAUUAGAAUUGAAAUGGGAAAAAAGACUAAAUAAGAAUUACGAAGCAAUGAGAAAAACUUGACACAGUUAUAAAAUGUACUAGUUAAACGUUUUUCUUGAAAUUCCACUCAAUCCGUGGACAUGAAAUUUGUGUAUAAAUAUGCAAAUCUGUCUUGUUAGUUCAUAUCUGAGGUUACCUGAUCGGAGAAUUUGGCUGCGAAAGUUGCCGGAAAAUUAAAGGGCGCGAGGGGUCAUGUUGAACAGCUGGCAGAAUUUAAAAACCCUACCAAUUGGUGGAGAAGAAGACAUUCAGAAGGGUUUGAUGCUUUCCCGCCAAAUUCUUGUACGUCGAUCGAGUGUGGUCGGGUGUAGCAUAUUGUCCAACUCCUUCAGAUCUCUUUUUUUUUUGGGGGCUUCUUGGGCUAUUUGGGAGACUACCGGCCCAUUGCAAGGGAGUACUGGCUUCUUGAUUCGAAAAAUAAUUGACUAUCUUCUUUUUUUUUUUUCAAGUCAAGAUUUUAAAUUAGAAUUUCUUAUUUACCAUAUCAUUCUCCCUAAUCACCCAACCCAACCAUUCUUCAAAAUUAUUAACCGUCAUAAUACGAUUUAUAAAUACCAUACUCAUGAUUCUAAUCCACUUAUCAGAUAAUGAAUCCUAAUUUCUUGUUGGGUUUUAAAAAAUCUUUUUUUAUACCCCGCAAUUCUAAACUAAAAUCAUUGAAGUCAGGUGUAUGUUAGCACCGCAUUUAAGGUAUGAGUUAGACACAACAUUAUGUUUUUUGUACUUUCCUGCAUUUUUUUUUUUUUUUUUGGGUUCAAGGGAGCCUGCAGUCAAAAGGAAUUUACUCCAUAUUCAGAUCGAACUCGACUUAAUAAGACUUCAUUAGAAUUUGGUUGGCUAAUUAGUUAAACCAAACUUGAAUAGUGUUCUUUUCUGGUAAAGGUAGGUGAUCAGAAUGAGGUUGGUCCUAUCUUUAGCUGGUUCUUUUCUGGUAAUCCAUGGCUGGAGGGUUCAGUUGGAAAGUGCUUUACUCAAAUGAGGUUAAAUUCUACGCUUGCCUUGUUAUUAAGACUGACUUUCUUUCCAGGGAAUUUUCUCGUUGUUAAUGUUUGCACGCCCAUAAAAACGUCCACAUUCACAUGCUAGCGUAAAAUAAGUACUUUUCUUGGAAAAGACGGAACAUAUGAACAUCUCCUCAAUCAAAUCAGACGAUGAUAUUGAACAACUAAUUAAUGAUAAUGAAUUAAUAGAAAUUAAUAAAUUUGCAAAAAUAGAAGAAAUCUCCUCAGAUGAAAGGAGUUAACUGAGUCUCGAGUGAAGAUUGGCCGAGAUCUUGGGCUCAAUAGCCUCCUCAUUGAAAACAAGUCACAUACAUGCAUACACCCAUAAGUUGACGGGACACUACUUUGCAGAAAAACAAACAAGACAAGGAACUCGAGGUGUAAACGAGAUUAAACAAGCCGAACAUCUCAACAUUCAAACUUAUUUGAUUAUUUUAAUAAAUUUUGUUCAAGUAUGGCUUAUUUACUACUCAAGCAGAACUUGAACGAGUUUUUAUCGAAUCAAACUCAAAUAGUUUGUUCUUUUUACACAUAAAUUUCACUUUAUAUGCUAAUUGAGCAGAACUUGAAGGUUCAUCAAACACAAAUUACUAGUCAACUUUGGUUUGAUUAACUUGAUGAACCAUAUUCAAAUGAGUUCUUACUGAAUCGAACUCAAUUCGAGUAUUAAAUAGUUUGGCUCAUCUAGAACAGUCCCAAUUUCCAAAGCUUUGGAUAGAGUAUUAUUUGAAAUAAUUACUGUAACAUUUUUCAUGAUGUGAUGUAUGUGAGAUAAAAAAGUAGUUGGAAAUAUACAAAGGGGAAUUGAGAUAUGUGUUCAUAAUACAAGCGAAAUAUUAUUUGAGAUAAAUUUGUAAUCCAAACACACUCAUACGACGCUUCAAGUUUCAGAAAUGCACGGCGAGGAGGUGCAAUGCUGGAUCUCACCUAGAGUAAUAUGUAAAGUACGAAGCAAUGUCUUUUCACAGAGCUCGCUAUGCCAUAAUGCAGCAGGGAUGCGCAUAUUGUUUUACAUCUUACAUCUACAAAAGCAGACGAAGUAAAAGACUAUAUAAUUGGCUUGAUUUCAUCCCCAUUGAUUAAUUGAUAGGUGAUAAGCUAUAUAUGUACAGGAGCCAACAUCUGUCAAAGCCAGAAACAAGCAAGCUUCAUAGCAGCAAAUGCUAAUCAGAUCACACAGCCAGGAAUUCUCUUCGGUAAAAUGUCAAGCCACCAACUAUUCAUUCAAAGCUUAUAUUUUUUUUAAGAAAGUAAAAAAUAGAAACAUCCAUUCCAUAGCAGCAUCACAUUAAGUAAAUACUGACAAACUCUACAGUUUUCAAGGAAACAGGAUCAGUAACACUUGAAGCCAAAGAGCACCUUGCACGGGAGACUCCAACUUCUGUCUCUCUCUCUCUACCUCAUCUUCUCAUCAUCGUGAUCACCAACACUGCAUUUCAGCACUAUGCCAUCCCCAUCUUAAUGCUCCGUGGAGGUGCUGGCCCUAAUAAGAGAACCCCGUCUUUGACCACCCACAAUCACAUCUUUAAACCGAGCCAAGGACCCCAUCACCCUGCUCAUCCUCUGCCACAUGGAAAAUGGAAAAAAAGGGUAAAUUAUCAAAACUAUGCAAGAAAGCAAGUUAAGUGGAAGUACUUAAAAGGUUUUUUAUUUAAAAAAAAAAAAGAAUUUAUGCAUAUAUGAAAUGCACCAAUGAAUUUACGCAUAUAUGAAAUGUACCAAUGAAUUUACGCAUAUAUGAAACUAUGCAAGAAACACAAGAGAGACAUCUUAUGCACCAAUGAAAUGUACAGUUGCAGGAUAAGUGCAACAAUGCUAGAGUGAACAAAUCCAAAGCCAAUACCAUUCACAGCCAAUAUACAACUAAAUAAAAAAAGACGUUACCAUUGCCAGAUUUAAACACACCCGUUAUUUAGCUCUGUAUGGCGCUACAGACCUAUUCCUCCAAGUCUGCUUAGUCAGAGUGCAUUGCGUACUCUAUGUUUCUUAAUAACUACCACUAUAGAUCUUUACAAGCAAGUUUAUAACAUAACUGCAUACUCACACGACAGAAGUAGGGGGGAAAAGUACAUUCUCUAUCCAUAAAUUCCAAUAAUGAGAUGGUAAACUAGCACCAUACCUCAUUGCUGAUGCUGAAUUGCCACUUAAGUUGCAAAACUUGCCAUCGCUCUUGCUGCCACUGCUGACCCAGUAUUACAAGACCCAUAACAGCUGCAGCAAUGAAUACUGACCAAAAUGUGUUAGCCUCUUUAGCAUGGGCGUAAAAAGAAGCAGCCCGCCUCUUCCACCAAGCUCCACAAGGAAGGUCUGAUUCAUCAUAUUCUUCAUCAGUUGGUUUGGAUAAGUCUGAAUCUAAUCCAUGGUCAUAAGGUUCCUCUAUUUCAGUAAUUUCCGUGUCCUCGUCCACAUUAGCAGCUCUGCCUAUCAUCCUUUCACUAUGGAAGGAACUAAAUGUCUCACUAUUAUAAAGACUCUGCUCCUUGUCUACCAAAUUUAACCCUUGGAAUGCAGUACCUUCCUCAUAUUCUGUACCACCAACAGGAAGUAUGUUACCCUUUUCGUCAAAAAAUUGAAUUCCUGGAAAUUCAUCUGGCACGGUCAAUCCUUUGGUAUUCAUCAUUGCUUGUUCCUUUGUAUUGGACUGAAUCUCUUCAUCUCCAACUGAUUGAAACCCAGCAUCCUCAUUCCCCUGUACACUGCAGAUUUCAUUACGUUCAGUUUCCAAUGGCAGAUUCUCAUGCUGACUUGGCGGAAAGACAAAGUGACCAGACAUAAACAAUGCUCGAGAAGUUUCUGCAGCUUCAUCUUCUGCAGCAGGAUUACCAUUCUCAUCUUCAGUUACAUUGACUUGGUCCGAAUUAGGAGCAGCAGCAUACGUUGAUGCUGUAAGUGACACAACUUCCCACUCAUUUCCACGAGCAGCAGGUUCCUCCUUCUCCUCGUUAUCUGCCAUCUAAUUCAACUUUUGAGCUCCACAAACUGCAUUUUCACCCUUUAAAUGAGUAAAGACAUGAAAGAUAAAUCUGUGCCUGUGGAAUCUUAAAAGUAUUAGCCGUUCAAACCAUAAAUCCUUAACUCCAUAAUGCUGAAAUAAGAUGCAGUGAUUUGCACUCUUACACAUUAGUAUUAGUGUUAAAUACGAAGCCCAAAGAGAUAUGAAUUUCCAUGGUGAUUCAGUUAAAGAUCUUUACCAGGAAAAGCAGAAUCAGGCAUCUGAAGAUAUUGAUUCAAAAUCGUAAACUUUGCCCUGAUUCAGAAACCCAAAGUAACAAAUAUUUCCCCUCAAUUUGAUAUUACAAUUGUUUUACCGAACAUAACCCAAAAAGGUUAAAAAAACGAGUAUAGAUUCUAACUUAACCACCAGGUUUCACCCUUUUGAAACAACAAUUUAUCACAAAAUACACCCCCCCCCCCCCAACCCCCAAAUAUUCACUUCCACAACAUCAAGCAUACAUAUCGAACUUAUCACUCUGCACAUAGCACGCUAAAACUGUCAAAUAACACUAAUACAUCAAAGAUUCACUUCCCACAGAGUUAAAAUAAAUAGAGAAUUAGUAAAAAUUACUCCAACCAUACCUCAACAAAUCCUUUAACCCUAGGCCACACAUAUAAUUACGUACGAAACAAGUUUCACUAAAAAAAAAGUGAAAAAGAACGCAGAGAUCCAAAUCAUAAUCCGAAUCAACCAAAAAAAAUCGCCAAACUAAUAAGAGAAAAAAAGAGCAAAAAUUGGAAUAGUAGAGUGAAUAUUAUACAAUUACGCGACAAAUGAUAAUAAUAAUAAUUGGAAAAAAAACUUACAGGAGAAGUGAAGGGAAAAAAGGAUAGAUAACGACGAUCGGUGACGAUAACGGAGGAAGCGUUGUCCUGUGACAGAAUAAUUGAAAACUGCCUCGGUGAAUGAACUUUGGAGAAUGAGAGAACUGUUUUAUAUAGUGAUUGGUAGUGAGUGCGUGGGUCUUUUGGUGAAAAGAUGAACAACACCGGAGUAGCCGGUAAUGGCGUAGUAGUGACCAAAAACAGCGGUUUUUUUUUUUUUUUUUUGCCCUUUUCUACUCCUUAUAAGAUUUACAAUUCUUAUGGUUAUUUAAUAAGGAAUUACAAUUCUUAUGGUUAUUUAAUAAGCAAUUAAUUUCUUAUGAACUGAUAGAUGUAUAGAGGCAAAUCUACAUUGCUUUAGAAGUCCGCCUACAAUUUUUUGGCAAAAGGACUCAGUACGGGAAUUUCAUGCAAUUGAAUUCGAUUGUUAUACAUUUUAUAUUAUUUAUGUACAAUUAUAUUCGAUUUGUGUACCUUUUAUAUUACUUAAUGUACAAUUACAUUUAAGAAUAAAAAUGAUACAUAAGAAUAAAAUAUUUGAUAUAUAUUUAAUGUGAUAUUAUAAUAUAUUCGUACACAAAAAAUUUUAAACACAUACAAUAUAACCGGACAAUAUUACACAAAAUACAAUCGCACGAGUUUGUUUGGAUAGAGAGAAUUUGGAAAAAAAAAAUUUUUUGCCUCACAAAUCUCAAUCACCUUUUUAUCUCACACACAUCACAUCACAAAAAGUGCUACAGUAAAUAUCUCAAAUGAAUCAUUUAAAUAAACUCUUAUCCAAACAAACUUACUUGAUUCCUUAUCCAAUUUUUUGCAUGAUUUUAUUUAUUUUUUUUUUUUUGUGAGCUGACCUAUAGAAAAGUGAAUCUACAGACAAGACAUUAUACCCGAUAUUAUGUACAUAUAGCUUGAUUGAUGUUAGUGAAUCUUCUUCUUCUUGUUGUUCUUCUUCUUUUGUCCUUUUAUAUGAAAAUUUGAGAAAUUUAUCUCACAAUUUUCAUUCAAUGUUGCUAGUGCAAAUUUUCACGCCUCGUCAAAGUGCCGAAUAUGGGAGUUUCUUCAUGGAUGAGUGGGUGAACAUGAUGAUUUUCUUGAAGGCGUGCUAUGCUACUACGAAUCCGAAGCAAUGAUUAAGACUCGGUACAUUCAAACUUUCUGCCUCUCCACAGCAUUUAAAAUUAUCACGACUUGUACCAAGUCAUAGCUGCCUGAUUAUACAUCAUUAAAUACUCAAAAUAAGAGUAAGUACGACCUUUUUUCUUCUUUUAAUAUUUUAUUACAUUAUAUGAGCGGUUUUGAUUGUACUUUGCAAGUUAGUUUAAUUCACAAGAAUUGAUCACUUUUGUAGUAAAGAUCAUGUAUUUAAAUUUUGCUAUUAAUUUUUCACAAAAAUCCAUGUGUUUAAAUUCUGUUAUCAAUAUGAAAGCACUGCAUUGGCGAUUUCGUUAAAACUUGAUUGAAGAAAAACUCAAAAAACAAGGAGCAAUUUCCCGCGUUAGCCGGGAUCAUAUGUGCAAUGGGGAAUGGGAAGUAGGAAUAGGGGUGCUGUCGAGUCGAAUCGAGCUCCAGUAGUGCACUACUCGAGCUCGACUUGAGGCAAAAUAACUAAGCUCGAGCUCAAACUCGAGCUCGUCAAGCUUUUAAAAUUCGAGCUCGACAUCAAUUUAUGGAACUCGAGCUCGAGUUUAAUUAAAUGUAAUUAAUUUAAAUCAAGCUCAAUCGAGUUUAUUCGAGUUCAAUCAAGCCUAAUCAAGCUCAAGUAAUAAAAAUUAAUAUUUUAUAUAUAAUUUUAAAUAAAAGAUAUUAUUGACAUUUUACAAUAAUAAAAAUUAAAAUAUAUAUUAUAAAAAACUCGAUAGAGUUCGUCGAACUCUCGAGUAUUAUAUUUCUAAACUCGAGCUCGAGCUCGAACUUGAUCAACCGAGCUCGAGUUACUUGGUUCAGCUCCAACCCUAGUGGGAACAAGUAGUGCCCUGCUGUUACGGUUACUCGUUCAGGGAGAGAAGUAUCUCGUGUUACGCAAUUACCUAUUGUUAUUGUAAGCUUAACUAUUAAUUAAAGGGUGCAUAGUUGAGCAUCGGUGCUAUGCAGAUUUCGAAAUAGCAAUCCAAACACCUUUUUGCCAGCCAUAAGUUAUCCGAUCUCCCAUAUUAAAAAAAAUAUCAUCUCUUUACCUCCUCCCUCCCUCCUCCCCAGAGAUCAUCAUUGGGUCGAAUGCAAAUUAGUCCCACUAAAAGGUGGGGGAUGAAUUAUCAUGACAAUUGUUCAAUUUUGUGUUCGUUCGGUGAAUUUCAUCCAAGGCCACAACAAUUUGAUAUGAUAAUCAAAUUCUAAGGUGUUACGGAAUUUCACGGAUGUUGCUGGAAAAAAAAUUGCCACUCGGAGCCCAACCCUUUUGAUGCAACUUUUAUUUUUUUGCAUAAUAGCACAUCUAAGACUAAUCUAACCUACUCAUAUUUCUACUUUAGCCUACUAGGGGUUGGUCCAACUGAGAUAAGAGAUCUGACAGGAACUGAACCAUCAUCAAAUCUCAAACGGAUGUAUCACGCACCCAUUUAAAUUUUUAAAAAUCACAUAUACAGUAAUAUAUUAAUAAAAGAUAAGAUUCGAAUUGUUUACCUUCCAUCCACAAUUGACGUGGCAGCCAUCUCCUCAAGAGUACUUGGAACCACGCAAAAUGUUCACUCCAAGCCCAUACUUGGGGAUUGGGACACGGUACUCUGAAUUCGGGUGUUCCAAGCGAACGAUGUCGUUUGUUGUUGAGAAAAGGAGGCCGUUGCCACUUGGCCUGAGUCGUAUGGCGGGCAAUACAACAGGAGAGAAAUGCUCCAAUCAUUAUCCGUCUGAAGUCUAAGCAAAACAAGCUUGGAAGGAAGCAGAGAGAGAGAGAGAGACAGAGAUGGGGGAUUUGUAUGCUUUGGACUUUGAUGGCGUCCUCUGUGAUAGCUGUGGAGAGAGCUCUCUUUCUGCUGUUAAGGUUACCCAACCCUCUUACCUUUUUUUUUUUUCUUUCUUUUGAGAAAAAACAUCCUAUUUUAGAUUAGGACUUUUGAUUAUCUCCAUUUCAUCACUGGUUCUUCCAGGCUGCUAAGGUGAGAUGGCCUAGUCUCUUCAACGGCGUUGAUUCGUCAACUGAGGAGUGGAUUGUUGAUCAGAUGCAUAUAGUAAUUCUUUUUCUUUAACCCUUUCAAAUUAGCUUUCCAUUUCUGGUCGGUUGAUUUACCUUGACUAUUUUAAGGAGGACGAAAAUUCAAAAUUAGCUGGUGACAAACCAAUGUGAUACUUCCUUUUGGCUUAUUUGUAUGUACCUUAGUUCACUAACAAUUGCUUUUCAUUGUUUUUGUAUCUGCUGAAUGUUUAUAUUGCUCGGAUAAUAUGUGAAAGUCUAGAAUAUUUGUACUGCUAAUUAUAGCUUCAACUUCUGUCCGAUUGAAGGUUCUUGAUUAAACUAAGCAGUUUCAAGCACCAUCUAUCCUAUAAACGCUUUCUAUUGUAAAGGAUCCUGUGAUUCUGAAUGCAAAUUUACCAGUGGUUGAGGCUGUAUCCUAGCAAGUCCUGACGUUUGUUGGACUGAUUCGCGCGGAUGAAAAUUUUGUUGGGGUUGAAGAUUCUGGGUGUAGUAGAGUCAUAGAUUAAGUACCUGCCAUUGGACUUCAGCAGGUUAUCCAUAGUUCUGGGUAUCCUCAACAACAUAUAGUGUAGUGUUGGAUUUUUGACAUGCUGGUUUUUAGAGAGUUAUUCUCGCCACGUACCCUUUUCAACCCUAGUUUAGUUCUCUGACUUUUGUUCAACACCAGCAUUCAAUCUUAGUUUGCUAAUAACUUCUAAAACCUUUUUGGUUACUUGUGCUCUUAAACUUGAAUUUCUGCAAUGUGCCACUGCACUUUGAUAAACUGUUAUCCUGUGGCGCAACAGCAUGCAGAAAUCAGCACCCUGUUCCACCAAUGGCAAUUUAGCGCUGCUGAAAUGGUUGGACCAUUUUUUUUCUUUUUUGGGCUAUAAAUCUCUUACAACUCCAAGCCUUCUCUUUUUUCCUUGUUUGAAGUGUGAAAUUAUUGUAUCAACAGGAUCGCCAAAAGUCAGAUACACCACCAAUUAUGAUGACAAUUAUAAUUGAUUUGCAUCCUUUUUUAUAGUUGCUUCAUGAUUUUAUUUGCAUUGGAUGCUUGUGUAAGCAUAUGUUUAUCAACAGGAUCGCCAAAAGUCAGAUGCACCACCAAUUAUGAUGACAAUUGUUAUUGAUAUGCAUCCUUUUUUAUAGUUGCUUCAUGAUUUUAUUUGCAUUCGAUGCUUGUGUAAGCAUAUGUUUAUACGUUUCUUAAAGUUAUUUUCUUUGUUUUGUUGUACUUUGACCCAGCAGGAUAACAACUAGUUCAUAUGUCAAAGCUGCACAAAUAGAAGCUAUAUUUACUUCAAAGUUAUCUGAUAUUAAAGCAUAAACUAAUAGAUGAAAAAAAUAUUUGGUGAAAGUCUGAGACAUGUUUAGUGUGGGGCCAUCUGUAACAGUAUACCUGUGAAUGCAUUGCAGGUUAGACCAGUGGUAGAAACUGGAUAUGAGAAUGUUUUACUUGUGAGGCUGCUGUUGGAGAUGGCAAAUCCUUCCAUUCGCAAGUCAUCAGUGAGUGCUUAGAAUGAAAGCUUUCAUGGUAUUUUAAAAGGAGAAACUUUAGUUUGUCAAUUUCAUUAUUGCAUCUGUCUGGACCUAAUAUUUAUGGCUAACUGUACAAGGUUGCAGAGGGACUUACAGUAAAGGGAAUUCUGGAUAACUGGUCAAAGAUAAAGCCUAUUAUCAUGGAAGAAUGGGAUGAAAAGAGGGAUCCUCUGAUAGAUCUUUUUGGUAAAAUCAGGGAUGAAUGGAUGGACAAUGAUUUGGCCACUUGGAUUGGUGCUAAUAGGUAAAUUUGCAUUUCAUGUUUUAGGACAAAUCUUGACUGAUAUAUGCUCUUAUUAGCGCUUAGAAUUCCUAGGACUUGAUAGUGUAACUUUCCAUAUAUGGUGUGUUUGCAUACACCAGGGCAGCUAUCUACUCCCAUACAUUACAACAUGUGACUAAGAAAGAACAUAUAUGUGUGUGUGUUUGUAAUUGGUGAGCACAAGAGAAAUCUCUGCAACAAUGAACUUAUGUCCAACUUACCUCCUCCUUAAACAUAAUCGGGAGUCAAAAAAAAAAAGGAAAGUGAAAGAAAAGUUGCUCUCAUGUGUGUCUAAGCAAAGCUUAUUCUAUUGCUGAAUUCAUUUUUACUCCCAAAUUUCAGAAAACUUCAGUUUCACUUCAAGGAAAAAUUUAAAAUAAUAGGUACAGGACAUGUGUGAAACCUGUCUUAAGAACUACUGUUACUUGUCACUUGCCAAACAUUGAAAAAGAUCUAAUUCUUCAUAUUCACAAAAUUGUCAGGAUAGUGUUCACAUAAUACUGUUAGAGUUCUAAACCACCUUAACAAGCAAGUUCUUGAAGAAGAAGCAAACUGGCCUCAGCAUGUUCAUUUGUUAAACAACUGUGAGCUUAAGCUGUUACAUAAGUUCCAUGGUCAAUUUCCCUGUGAGUGAAUUUAAUCCCAAUCGCUUGAAACCAAUGCAUGACUGGCUAGAACUGUUUCCAACUACUAUCGUAUAUUUUUGUAAGAUGGUUUAUCAAUGGUAAAUGCUUCUGCUGCAGGUUUUAUCCUGGUGUUCCUGAUGCAUUAAAGUUUGCAAGCUCAACGGUCUACAUUGUCACCACAAAACAGGUUUCUUCCCUAACCCUGAAUUGGAAAUAACCACUACAAAGCUCAGAUGUGGGAAAUUCAAGAAGUUUAUUGCUGAUUUUGUUGUUUUACGAGUCUUUCUUAUUCUUACUUUCACUUCUACGAUUCUCUUCUCACCACUCUGUUUUCAGAGCCGUUUUGCAGAUGCAUUACUUCAAGGGCUUGCAGGGGUAACUAUUCCACAGGAAAGAAUCUAUGGUCUAGGGACUGGGUAAGCAUUCUACAAAACUAAUAAUAUUGGUGAAAGCAAUAUGCCAAUUCUCUUAAUCCAAGACAUGACUAGCAUAAAGUUGCCUUGAUAUAAAAUUUGCUGAGUUUUCUUUUGCCCUCAGGCCAAAAGUAGAAGUACUGAAGCAGCUUCAAAAGAUGCCAGAGCACCAGGGUCUGUCAUUGCAGUAAGAUAUUUAGCUGAUUGUAAAUGUUAUUAACAAUCUUUUUGAGCUGUACAACCCUUUUUUUGUUUGGUGACUCAUUGUUCUUAAAUUGAUCAGCUUUGUAGAAGACCGGCUAGCCACACUGAAGAAUGUCAUCAAAGAGCCAGAAUUGGACAACUGGAACCUGUAUCUAGGUGAAAAUCUUUGUCGGUUUUUUCUUCAUGUUCCUUGCGUUUACCUCUUCAUUGGCUGGUUAUGUUGGCCUGGUUGUGAAUCAAAUUUAUGUGAAGCAGGAGACUGGGGAUACAACACCCAAAAAGAAAGGGAAGAAGCUGCAAGCAUACCCAGAAUUCACAUACUUCAGCUCUCUGACUUCAGCAAGAAGUUAAAAUGAUUAUAUAUUCCUCCAUAAUGCAUUGGUUAUGGGGAGAGAGCACUUUUCAAAUUAUGGUGAUAGAUAGUAAUAAUUAAAUUUUUGAGAAGCAAUUUCCAUCACUACUUCUCUUGUGGUGGCUGAGUUAUAUCAAUUGUAACCAUUUUUUUAGAUUAUUAAUCGACUAGGCCAUCGGAGCCUUGAUAGAUACAGAAACUUCUUAAUCAAAUCAUCUCUGAUAUAUUUGUCCACACAAUAUAUGAUAUCUCUGUGUUCAUAUACUUGUUAGAAAGAGCUUCACGUACUUCAGUCAUGGUUGCUAUCCGAUUGAUGCAGAAGAUUAUGAAUUCAUGGACACAGGAUUACUUGUUUGUAGAGUAAACAAAGCUACCUCUGAGGUGAUUGAGAUGUUGUAAACUUCUGAAAUGAAGAAAUCAGGCAAGCAUAUGUAAUUGCUGUAAAACUAUCUUUUUGAAGGUAAUGGUAAGAAGUUUACAAACUACCAGUACAACCUCUCAGGCAGGAGAGUCAUAAGCUUGUCAUGAGGGCUUCCUGAAAGGCUAUAAUCAGCUGCUAAGAGUCAAAACAAAGUGCAUAGCAGAUCCCUUUGUGAUCAUAGCUCGCUGUGCUUGUCAUGGUCUUCACCACUUUUCUCGCUCUCGUGCUUGCUGAAAACCUCGUCGAAAGAAGGAUCACCAGGUCGCCGGAAAAACUGAUCUCCUAUCUUAACUUCAUAUGCGUCUGGUUGACUUAAUAUAAAUUCUUGCAACUGCAAUCAUAGACAAAACAAGAAAUCAAUUUCUUGAACCUGAUCUUCUACUUUCUAUGUAGACAAGAAUAAAAUGCAACCUUUUAACCAGACAGUACCAGUAAUAAUCACCAACCUUUUAACAGGUGAGGUAUUAUCAUAUUAGAAAAGGAGAGCGGCAAGAAACUAACCUCAAUGGCGUCUUGACCUUUUUCCAUUGUGAACAUAAUCGUACUGACAUCAACUCCCAUGAAAUUUGCCUCAAUUCCUCCGGUCCUUGCCACCUUACUCCAUUUCAUUGCAAUUUCAGAUACCAUAUCCUUCAAGAUUAAAAAAAAAAAUUAAAUGAGCAAAAUUAAUUAAACCCCCCAUGAAAACCUCAAUCAUGAAUGAUUCCAAAAAGAAUAAAAAAAGAUUUGGCACGAUGAUGAAAUUGUUCAAACAAGUUGCGUACAGGGGUCCGACGAGGGCCGAUUCGGAGCUUGGCGAAGCCGAAAACGGGUCCGACUUGGCGCUUCAGCAUUUCAGACUGCAUUUCCGCGACGUCCAUAUUGGAGAAAUCGUCAGGGGGCGGAUCGAAUUGGGGCCUUGUGGUGGAUUUCUUUUUGCCCCAUUCUUUCCAGGCCUCGUCCUCCUCGUCAUCAACGACGUCGUCGAGGUUGUCCGCGACGUGGAUUCUCCGCUUUGCUCCCUCGGCUAAUCGGUAAAAUCCCCCGGUUCCGGUGGCAAUCAGGAGGACGAAAAUGAGAGCUAAAGUGCCGCUGAAUCCAAUCUGCGCCAUGUGAAUAACAAUCACUUUGUUUGGAUUGCUAAAUCCGAUUGAGAAAUAUAUUCACAAAAAACUUAAACGAAAAAUCACAAUCCAAACAAUCUUGAUGCUUUUCCGCUAAAAAUGCAGGGUAGAUUAUUAGAGUAGAGGAAAAUUAGCUGAACUGCAUUUGGAUUCUAAAUAGUACUCCCAACUGUUAACUGAACUCCAAUUCUACCUUCCGAACUUUUACUACUGAUUCAUUCAGACGAAAAGCUGAAAUCCCUGGUUUAUGCUAAAAACAAUUAGGCCCAUGUAAGUAGUUUUUAGGAAUAUAUUACUAGAAAACAUCCAGACGACGUCGCCGGGAUUUGGGCCUACCUUGUCAAAAGAUUUCACCCGAUAACACGACCAUAACAAUUCAGCUUUUUUUUUUGGCUGCACAUAACAGUUUUUAAUCACCGUUGUUUAAUGUUGAAUUUUUUUUAAUAAUUAUUUGUAGUAUAGUAGGUACAUUUAAAAAAGAAAAAAGAAAUAGUACAACUUUUGGGUUUGGGAGACGUCAUAAAACUUUUUUUGCAUUUACUUGGCUGUGACCUUUUUUUUUUUUUUUUUGGGGGGGGACUAUGGAAGGCCAGAGCACCAUUAGCUCUUUUAGAGGGUGUAACAAAGCGAGGAAUCGACAUUAUGCAGACAUCCAGGCCCAAAAGCUCUUUUAGAGUGCGUGGCCAAGGGGACUCCUGGAAUUAUUUAAGAUGUGUUUGAUAAAAUUUAAGUCUAAAUAUUGAAUCUAAAAUUUGAAAUCUAUUAAAUUGUUAAAUACUAAAUGUAAUACAAGUGAGUAUAUAUCAUAUUAAGUGAUAAGUGAAUAGUUUUAUCACUUAUUUUUUAGGAGCAGAUUUUGGCUAAAAAAUUCAAUACCACUUAAUUAAUUUAGAUGUUCAAUUUUUUGUUAUGAAACGCGUCUAAACGUGUUAAGAUUUGAAUAUAUUAAAUUUAAGUGUUGAAUUGAAUUAUGAAGCAGAUCCUAAGUCUGGAUUUGAAUUGUCAUUUUACUCAAAAAAAUUUAAACGUGAAUGUAUACUUCAAUUAUCUUUUCACCUUACACGCAUUAAAUUAUCACAUGAUAUUUUUCUAUAAAAACUUUUAAAAAAAUUAGCAAUUCAAAGGGCUCUAAGCUUCUUCCUAAUUUUGCCCAAUGAUCAGCACAAACAUUUUCCUCACGACAGACAUGAGUUUUGUUUUGUGUGAUGUGAUAACGCUGGUCAGGUUCGAUGGAUUGCGCUGCCGUCUUUACCUGUUCUGCAAAUCCGUCCCCGCUCUCUCUCUCUGGCUCCAACAUACGUGAGAUGUAUGAGUACUAGGUCGACUAGUGUGAAUAUUCGUGCUAUGCACGGUGCUGAUAUUAUUGAAAAAAUAAAAAUAAAAAGAUGAAUUAAAAAAGGUUAAAAAAUUGUACCAACACAAUUAAAAAUUUACAAGAGUUGUUGAUAAUCGCACUCUUUGAAGAGUUUGUGGAAAAAAUUAAUAUAUCACAUUUUUUUUAUUUAAUGUACGUGAGAUAACUAGAUAAUUGAAAAAAUUAACAAAUACACGGAACUUUUUGUCUACACAACCCGGGUUGAAAAGCAAUAUAGCAAUACAACUGGUAAUUAAGAUUCAAUCUUUCAGACUCUACUUAUAUGGAAUUGGCCCCUUUACGAAUUCAUCUACUUGCAAUAUUUAUUCAAAGAAAGCAAAGCUCCAAAUUAAGGGAUGGGGACAGAGCAUAUUCUCGCCAGGAAAAAACAAGUGAAAAAGAUGCUUAAUAUUGUCAGUGGAGGACAUGCUGAUAUUAUACAAAUGACCGGGUUGCAUUUUCCAAAUUAGACGAAACAAAGAAUUACAUUUAUCAAGAACAACGGGGCGGUUUUGAAGUGAGGGAAGCCGCCUCCUCGUUCUACAAAAUUUCCCUCCUCUCCUGCCCCGCUCCUUAUCGCGAGGCUGGCACUCGCCUCCAUUAUCAUCCCUAAGUACAUCGACUUAUCAUAAAAUAAGUGGCCGCUCUUUCUUGCCUUAGCCAAAUGGCAUCAAUCAUCUCCCCCGUUUCACUUGGUACAGGAAAAGGCAGAAAAUUGAACUUCAGAAAUAAGAGGACAUAAUUUGCAGGUCGAGACCAUGGCAGCCCGCCUUCAAUUGGCUUACAAAAGGGACAGGCUGUCCACAUACUACAGGGACAGGUCGCUUGGGUACAAGCAACGGUAGCCUGACAUAUACGCAUACAGAGGUUCUAACUCUUUUUUUAAGUCCGCCGAAGGAAACUUAACAACUCGAAAAGGGCAAGUAAUUACUCUAGUUUCGCUAAAUGAAUUUUUCCGUACUUUCUUUUUAAAAUAGUAACAUUACGUCCCAAGUUGAUAAAAUUGAGUCACAAUUUAAUUUUUUGACUACUUUUUACCCCGAAUUCAUCAUGUAACUCAUAUAUGAUGAUUUUUUUAAGAGUAAAAAGAUUAGAUUCCAGUUGUAAUUAAAUGAAUGACAUAUUCCAUAUUUAUUUUUGCCUCUAAAACAAGUAAGAUUUGAUCCAAACAUAUUCAUUUAUCCUCUAUAAAUGCGGAAUCUGAUCCAAUUCAUAUUCAUCUUUUACCAUUACAAGGGUGAAAUUUAACAUUUUGUACUUAAAAAAUUACUGCAUAUGGAUCCACAUAAUGAUUUCCAUGCUAAAAAGUGAUUUGAAAUUUGGGUUAAAGCUAAACUCCAUUAACUUAAAUUUGUAAGGAGAGUAAAGUUAAAAUUUUAGAAGUAAAAAAUAAAAAAUUUAUUUAACAAAAUAGAGAGACGUUUCAAACGAUUUUCGCUUUGAAAAACGCUAACCGCCGCUCCACUAGAAUCCAUUAACCGGCUCUGGACCAGUACAAGUUUGCACUGCAAGGGGACCUGGAACCACACAACACUAGGUAACCAAACCUUGCACGAUAUGCUAUCACCUGAAAAAAUUAACCUUGCAACCAAAUUUAACCAAUCAAAUAGCUUGGUUUAAAAUUUUGCUAACAGAAUCUAAUCUGGAGCAGAUUUCCUGGCUUGUCCUGGUUGAAAUUUACAGCCAUGCGACUACAAAGACAGAUUCCAAUUGAACGUCUUUCCAGUGGAGCAGAGUUGCCUAUCCAUUCAAAACUGCUGAAGAAAGAAAACCCGGAAGUGUUGUUGAUUGAAAAUGUGAACAAUCAAUCUGUCUCUUCAAGGAAGAAAAAAAAAAAGAAGUUUAUCAAAUCUUGAAGAUAAAUACAUAAUAAAAUAAAUCCAAUCCUCUCAAAUAUCUUAGAUACACACCUUGAAUUUUGUGCUUUUAUCGUCGUAGUAAAAUGUACAUUAUAGGUAAGCAUGUCAAUGGGUAAGAUUUAAAUUAGGUCUUUUAAUCCAGAUCCAUACACAUUAAAUUUAGUUGAACCCAAAUCCAUAUUCAGACCUAUACCCUCGUGAGUCUGAAAAAAUAAGUCCAAAGCUACACACCCUCCUGGAUCUGGGUACCCAAUGGAUACUGUUGUAUUUUCCUAAAAAAAUAAAUUAAAAAAAUAUAUUUACAUGUAUGGAUUUAAAAAAAAUAUAAACAUCAUUCAAUUUUUAUUUUCAAAUGAUAAAUUAAUAUUUAAGAAAUUGAAUGCAAUAUUAGGAACUCAAUUAUUUAUCGACUGCUUUGAUUAAUUUUAAAACUUCAACUAUAUCGAUAUCAAAUCUUUCAUUUAUUUGCCUUUACUUAUUCUCCUUUUUCUAAAAAAAUUUGUACUAAUUAUAGUGACAACUAGGAAUAACUUGAAAAUAGAAAACAAUCAUAAAGUCUCACUGUAUUCGAUCUAAUGACCAUAGAAUAUUAGUAUAUUAUUAAAUAAAUGAAUAAAUAUAUAUAUAAUUUUAUUAUAUAUGUGGGUCUAUGUAGGGUCUAUAUGGGUUUGAAUUUGGAUAUGGAUCAUAAAAAAUCAAACCCUACUUAGACCCAUAACUCUUUUACAGAGUCUGGAUUUAGAUAGAGUCCAGACGUUUGAUAUUAAAUCUAAACCUUAUCCAAAUAUAUUGGGUCUAAAUUGAAUUUUGGAUAAAAUCCAAUCAAUUGACAUGUCUAAUUAUAGGUAGGACUUGAAACGAAACACAGAUUUCAAUCUAGCGAUGGCAUUUGAACCACGUUGCUGCUGCUACCCUUCAGUUAAAAGUUACAUCCUCAAAAUCCCAGUUUAAUUGGUAGAAAUAUUAGUCAGGUGAUAUUAGUGAGGAGAUAUUAGUCAGCUUUGUUAGCAGCGAUAUUAGUUAAUUGAUAAUAAAAUCUAAUUUUCAAACUUUCUCUUUUUUGCUCCCUCUUGUAAAAUUUUGAGUCUCCUUUAAACCAAAAAAUAAAUAACUAAAUAAAAUUUAUUAUAAUGCAAAAUAACACACUGUUCGGCAAUCGGGAUGAAAUAGGAUAUGCCUUUCUUUUCAACUGGGCAAAGAACAAAAAUUUAAAUUGGCCUUUGGCAUCUCCCUGCCGGCGAAGGUGCACGCAUUUCUUUUUAACCAAAGACGAAACGUCAAUCAGGCAUCUUGGACCAGCGCCUCCGCUUCACAUUCCCCGGCCAAAGUAGCCAAAAGAUGAAAACAGCAGGCAUCCUCAGGUUCAAUGAAAUUAGACAGGGGGGAGAACUGAGAACCACCCCACAUAUAAGUCCUGGCUAGUUAGCCUAACAUUCUCUCACCUUCAAAAUUUGACAUAAAAAACCAUCAAUGAUGAGAGCUUGAAGAGAUUAAAAGCGUGUUGAUAAAAUAACAUCAGCUGGAUGAUUUAGAAUUACCUUUGGUCAAGCAUAACUUUUCCUUCUUUUCUUUCCUCUUUCUUUUUUUUUUUUUUUUUAAAUAUACAGCAAGUCGCGUGAAUAAGAAGGUGGUUUUAAUCAUGGAAAAUUAUCCAAAUUUUUACAAAUGACUUUUCUCGAGCGUUCACACUUGCACGCACUCACGCGCACACAGAUAUAUCUAGUGUACUUGAAAUCGACUUUGAAGAAUUCAACAAGUUUGAACUUGAACUCAAAUAUUUUUAAUAUCCAAACACGACUCGACUCGACUCGAUAGCAGUACUAAUCACGACAUUUAUAGUUAUGUUGCGUCAAUCUAUCCGAACGAUUUGACCCAACCUAUCGGGCAGGACUGCCAUGUAAUAAAUCCAGGAGGACUCAUUUACAAUUACACGUUGCGUCCAUCUACUUGUGAAAGUACACUACUCAUCCGGCGGCUGGAGUGCCAUAUGUAGGCUCCAACGACGGUUCAUGGUACUUUUUUACCUUAUAUAAAACGGAGCCCAAAUCCUUCUUUACAUUCUCCACCGCUCGGACAAAAAGUUCAGAACUAGUACUACUUAGAUAAUAGUUAACAGUAGCCAACCUUCACUUCAACAAUGGCAGCUCUAAGCAGCCUCUUCAAGAGAAAAUCCUCAAUUCCCUUUAAUGGCCUUAUCAGAAGUAGCAGGCUGUUCUCCACUGAAACUUUACUUGAUAAUUGUCCAUCUUUCGCCCAGAGAUUGAGAGAUCUGCCCAAAGAUUUUCCAGGGACCAACAUCAGAAAAGAGGCUUCUCAGGUAAAAUUCCUUUCUCCUGCCAUAAGUUUCUUGGUUCUUUUCUUCUGUUAGCAUCCGUUUAACUUUCAUUCAGGGGCUUUGCUUCAGCUUUAGCUAGUUGAACAGUUUCAGAACUUUAUCUCUUUAUUCCAUUUCCGGGCAAUCAGUAGUGGUGAUUAACUUGAAUAGAUCACAAACUAAAAGCUCAAACAACUCAUCAUUUACCAUGUUCAAAUUUUUUUUUCCUUCUUUCUUUAAUUACAUCAUUUUUUCUAAUCAUUUACGUACAUGGUUUUCAUUGUGCUCUUGGCUUUUUGGAUAGCUAAGGUGGUAGUUUAGUUCACUACUUCCAAAUAGUACUUACACAGCAUCACGCAUAUUCGAGUUCAUGUUUCUUAAUUUUCAUGUGUGCACCUUGGAAAAAUGUUUCAAACCUAUUUUUGGGUGGCAGAUUGAUCGAUGUAUUAUAUGCCAUCCUCUAUUAAUUCAUUAAUUCCCUCAUUGUGGAAAGGAAAAUCACAGAUUUCUUUUAACCAUUAGUUUUAAAAAUUAUAUAGGUAUUUUAAUGCUUAUUUUUACACAUUUUUACGAAUCUUUAAAACCGUUUGGAUUGCAUUUUUCGUCAUCAUUUUUCAUGAAAAAAUUACUGUAGCGAUUUGAUGUAUGUGAGGGAAAAAAGUAAUAAGGAAAUGUGAUCACAUAAAUGACGCAAUUUUCUGAUAGAAAAUGGCAAUCCAAAUAGGCCUUAUAACCCGUAUCAAGUAAUGCUUGUGAAAGUUUUGUACGUGUCCAUAUAUGACUUUCAAAAUUAUGGUAGUACAUGCAACAUUAAUGGGAUCUUUAUGGAAAUUUUUUUUUUUUUUGGUUUAGUUAAUAAAAUAUAAAAGGUCUGUACUAGAUGCCAUGUCAUUAGUCAAUAUGGGACAUAGUAAUUAAAAUAGUCUUUUGGUUGUUGGGAUUAACAUAAUUAGCACAUGCCAACUCGUGCUAAUUUAAAGGUUGUGUUAGUGGAUUAUAUAUAUAUUUUUUUAAUAGCUUAGGGGGUCUUUAGUAGGUUUAGUUUCUUACAUAAGGAUGGAUUUCACAAUUAAAUUAAGUCCAUACUAUUAUCUGUUUAUACCAAUGACAAUCCACUACUAAAAAUGACAGAGACAUUUAUGGUUCAUGAAUCUCAUGAUUAAAUACAAACCAGUGGACAUCAAAAAAAUCUACAGACUAGUGGUGUUUCACUUUUUAUUGCAUGCUUCCACAAUUUAUAUUGGAAUUUGGAAGGAAGGAAGGAAGGAAGGAAGGAAGGGGGAAAAGCUAAAACAGAUAGAUUAUUUCAAUUGCGAUCGCUUUUUCUUCAAUUAAAUCAGAUACAAGCUUUAAUUUUCAAUUAUGCAUAUGUUUUGCGUUAUAUGACUUAAUAUGGCCUUUUUUUUUCAUUACCCCACAAAAAAAAAAAAAAAAAAAAACUUUACUACAAAGAGUUUGUUCUUUGAUUUUGACUUUGAGGGCAGUUCAUUCCUUUGCAAGUUCCAUACAAAAUUUUGGAAUGGAUCUAACUGUUGUGUGUCAAAUUCUGUCUGUCUCAGCUGAUUGGGAGAACACCAAUUGUUUAUCUGAAUAGAGUUACAGAAGGCUGUGGUGCUUACAUAGCGGCUAAGCAAGAAAUGUUUCAGCCAACUGCAAGCAUUAAAGACAGGCAACCAGCUAGUUUCUCAAUCUCCAGGUUUUCGCCUUUUAUGAGUUCACCUUAUCAACUGCUGAAAUCUACUUUGCGUUUGUUUUUUCCCCAGACCAGCAUUUGCUAUGAUCACCGAUGCAGAAAAGAAAGGAUUGAUCUCACCUGGAGAGGUUAGAUAAAGAAAACUUGUUUACAUAUUAUUUUGGUUGUAAUUGAUAAAUGUGUCUCUUUGUGUCGUUCUUUAUGGCUUGUCUAUUGAUCUUGACAUUCAGACAACACUGAUCGAGCCCACAUCCGGAAAUAUGGGGAUUAGUAUGGCAUUUAUGGCAGCCUUGAAAGGUUACAAGAUGGUUUUGACAAUGCCCUCUUAUACCAGCUUAGAGAGAAGAGUGACUAUGAGAACAUUUGGAGCUGAGUUAAUCCUCACGGACCCAACCAAAGGCAUGGGAGGAACAGUUAAGAAAGCUGACCAGCUGUUGGAGAAGACUCCCAAUGCUUUUAUGCUUCAACAAUUUUCUAAUCCUGCAAAUACCCAGGUUUAUUGCAUAUUCAUCGCGUACCCUUUUUUUUUUUUUGGUUCAUUUUUCCUGAAUUGCUUGUUUGUUGGUAGAGAAUGCUAUUUCAAUUGCCAUGCUUUACCCAUCUCUCGACUGAAACAGGUGCAUUUUGAGACAACUGGUCCUGAGAUAUGGGAGGACACGAACGGUAAAGUUGACAUAUUUGUCAUGGGAAUUGGAAGUGGAGGUACCGUCUCUGGUGUUGGCCAGUAUCUCAAGUCCAAAAAUCCUGAUGUUAAGGUAAAAACAUUAUAUAGACCUUUCUAAGGACCCUCGGGUUCAAAUAAAUCCUUAAUUCCCAACUAUCUGCUUUCGUAGAUAUACGGAGUCGAGCCUACCGAAAGCAAUGUCUUGAAUGGCGGCAAACCAGGUAAUGGUCCUGUGUAUAUACUUUUAAUCAAAUUUACCAUUUAUUUCUUCUGUUGCCUCAGUCAUCCCAGAUAAAGUAGUAUUAUUUUGUGUCCUCUUGAUUGGUUUGCAAUGAUGCCAGCUGUAAAAUUCUAAUGCAAUCUUCAUCUGGCAUCUUAGCAACUGAAUAUGAUAUCCAUACACAAUCCAAAACCAGCUUGUUUGAAACUUUGUAUGUAGGUCCUCAUCAUAUCACUGGUAAUGGGGUUGGAUUCAAACCUGAUAUCCUUGACAUGGAUGUAAUGGAACAAGUUCUCAUGGUGAGCACAGUGCCCUUAAUAAGUCGGUUCAUACUAUUUCAUCCUUCCCUCAUUCAGGAUGAGUCUCAAAAUUGCUGUUCUAUUGUUGCAGGUGUCCAGUGAAGAAGCCGUAAACAUGGCUAGAGAGUUGGCAUUGAAGGAAGGGCUUAUGGUAAUAUUUCAUCUAAACUAUUUCUUUUCACCGCGCGAAUCUUAGUUGCCAGGAACUUUCUGGUGGCGAUACGCAUACGUAAUCUCAUCUCACUUGCGAUAAACUUCUGGUUGAUGUAGGUUGGGAUAUCAUCAGGGGCGAACACCGUUGCAGCACUACAGCUUGCACAGAAACCAGAAAACAAAGGCAAACUCAUUGUGGUAUGAAGAAGAUCAUUAAACUCUGGUCCUAAUUUGUGGCCAUCAUUGUUCUCUCUUUUUUUGACUUAAACCCGAGUUUUUUUUCCCUUGUCCAUGAAUCGUUUGCUUUGGCUGAAUUUCAGACCGUACAUCCAAGUUUUGGAGAGCGUUACCUGUCAUCUGUCCUGUUUGAGGAGCUCAGGAAAGAGGCUGAAAAUAUGCAACCUGUUCCAGUUGAUUAAUGUUCAACGUUACAGUCUUUUGUAGCAGAUAUCCUGCAAAUAUAUAGGUUCCAUUUUAAUGCCGGAUGUAAACCCGUUCGUUGUUUGGGACACUUCAUCUUUUAUUUUACUUGAUCCCUACAGAUUCAAGGCAAUAUUCUUUAGGCGAUGCAAGUCUUGAGACACAGAUUGUUUGGAAUUAAAAGAGUCAAGUAUUUGGACCCAUGCUAUAAACGGGUUUACAUUUCAAAGCGUAACAAUAACAAAAAUUUAUUUUUAUACUAAAUUAAAAUCUAAAAAAUUUUUAAGAAGUAUUUUUUGUAUCCAAAUUUAUGAAAAUGAAUUAUAUUAAAAAAAAGUAUAAAAAAUGGUUCAGUAGAAUGUGUUAAUUAUUUCCAACACCGGGUUAACUUUUAACUAUAAGUUACAUGUUUCGAUCCCUCAAAAUAAAAAUUAAAAAAAAAGGUACUAUGGGAUCACAAGAAAAAUUUAUGUAGAUUUACCUUUAUGAAUAAUUUGACCAUUACUGCGUGAUUAAAAGCAGUGCAUACAGAAGAUACAAUUUAAUUAAGAACGGUUCAUCAAAUAGAACAAGUUCCGACCUUAGCUCAGUUGGCAGAGCGGAGGACUGUAGUUUGAUAGCUGUCAUCCUUAGGUCGCUGGUUCGAAUCCGGCAGGUCGGAUGCUUUUGCCAUUUUUGCUCUCCCAAUGUUGAAUGAUAGAAAGUUAAUCUAAUGGCUUAAUUUUGCUACUUUAGCAUUGCACGUAGAAAGUUUAUUAAUCCAAUGGCUUAAUUUUGCUUGUUUUUCUCUCUUCGCUAUCUUUUUCCUUUUUCCUUUUUCUCUCCCUAUCUUGAAUGAUAGUAAGUUAAUCCAAUCGCAUAAUUUUGAUACUUUAGCAUUGCUGGUAGAAAGUUAAUUAAUCCAAUGGCUUAAUUUUGCUACUUCAGCACUGCAUGUAGAAAGUUAAUACUAUGGCUUGAUUUUAGUACUUUGGCAUUGCAUGUAAAACUAUCAAAUCUUGUUUUACCUUAGUAGCUAUUUUUUUUUUCCUCCCUCCUUCAAAUAAUAGAAAGUUAAUCCUACCCUAUUUCAAAUAAUAGAAAGUUAAUCCUAUGGCUUAAUUUAAGUGCUUUAGCUUUGCAUGCAACCCCAUAAUCUGGUUUUACCUUAGUAGCAGUCCCCACGUUACAAGUAAUUUGUAUUUGAUCACGUUUCCAAUUUCAUUCUUGAUAGAAUUUGAUUGGUUACCACUUACUUUUUUGCAAAGUUUUUUCUUUUUUUGGAAACUAAAGUUGGCCAUUGCCAUCAUCAUGGUCUGCACCUCAACUCUUAGUUGCUUGAGGACCAAUGGCAUUGCUGCAAAGGAAGUUCCAGUUGCUCCCUGUUGAAAUAAUUGUCGUUUUGCAAACUUAGAAGAUAUGGCACACUUAAUUAUGUUAUCACGUUGACAAUGUGAUGAUUGGAAUAAAAUCCUUUGCCAACUUAUAGUACCAUAAAUGCACACUAAUCUUACUUCAUUAAGCAAGUUAGUAAAUAAUGCUCAUAUGGUUAUGGUCUUGAUAGUGAUAUGAACUUAUUCAACACAAAAAAGGUAUCUUCAAAUCAUUUUUUUUAUGUAAUUUAAUUUUAAUAGAAGAUAAGAUAAUUAGAAAAACAAAGUGCAAUUUUUCGUAGUUGAUGAAAAUUGAAAGACGUGUUUCAUCCGGAGUUGUUUCGAAAAAAGGGCAAAUUAUACAAGUGCCUCAUGAGCCAAUGAGAUAAUUUGAGUUUCUCUUUACUACAUUCCAAAAGUUUCCUUCAUCUUUCUAUGGACCAAUUUCAUAGUAGUUAGUUUAAUUUGCACAUUGGACAUGAAUUCUACUUUUGCCAAAUCUUUAAAACAUUUUUCUACCCCUUUUUCUUUUUUACUUCUUAACCUCCACUUCUUGUUAAAGCGAGGCAAAAAAGAGAGAUUGAACACUUGAAUUUUUAAGAUGAAGAGUUGUAAUGGAGUUAGGAUGGUAGUUGAGUAGAUGGGGGAAGGAUCAACUAUGAUGAAACUUCAUUCCAAGGCAAUUUAUAAACAUAAUUUACCAUUCGUAAGGGAAUCAGAGCACAAUACAAUUCAAUUGCUAUAGCAUCGGAAAAGAAAGAGAAGACAACUUUUUCUUAUUCAAAAUAUAGGUUAUUUUUUCAAAGUCCUUUAAGGAAACUAUAAUCGAAAGUAUACAACGAUCUAAAGGCUGCAAAACGAACUGAGCCGCUCUCGAGUCAAGCUACACCGAGUUAGCUCGAGUCGAAAUCGAACUUGAAUUCGAGCUCAAAAUAUUAAGAUCGUUAGCUUGCGAGUCGGCUCAUGAGCUCGAGUAUAUAUAUAUAUAUAUAUAUAUAUAUUUAUUUAUUUAUUUUUUGUAUAUAUAUUUUUAAUUUUUUUAAGUAUAUAUAUAUUUUUUAAUUUUUUUAUUUUAAUAGUAAAAUUACAUAUAUAUUCUUAAUAUUUUAUUAUUUAUGAAGAAAACAAUUUUAUUUUAUUUAUUUGUUUAAAAAUAAAAUAAUUAUUUUUUAUUUUUUUCUAGCUCGAGCUUUAAAUUGUCAGCUCGUCGAGCUCGAGUUCAAUAAAAUUAAGUAAAGGCUCGACUCGAUUAGGCCAAAACUCGAUUCGACUCGGUUCGUUUGCUGCCCUACAAGAAUCAUGUACUUGGAUUUCAUAAAUCAAUAGAACAAACAAUUGAAACUACCAAAGUGACGAUGUAAUUCCAAUUUAUUGAUUUAAAUCCAUAUUCAUUUUAUACAACAAAGAAGCACUUAACCAAAUCGAAACAAAAUGGCAAUACCUUUAAUCCUCCCUCUCAUAAAAACCAAUAUUGGUUUGCCUUAUGUUGCAUAUUUAUCAAAGCAAAUUACUCGGAUAGCUACUAAAAUUUUCGAAUAGUCGAGUUUGGUUACUUAAUAUUAAUGGUACGUUUUACCCCAUUGAUUUAGCAAGAGUGUACAUUUAGGGCUAUUUUGUCUUAUUUCACUAUUAACUCUACCGAAUCUAGUUAUUAAUAGUAUGUCUCUUGAAUCGUGUAGACCUUUAGGUUUAGUAAAGUUAACAGUGGAAUUAGAUGAAAUGACCUAAAAUUUGCACUUUUGAUAACUCAGUGGAGAAAAACAUAUUAUUAACAGUUGAGUGAUCAAAUCUUAACUAUUCAAGAAGUUUAGUAACUAUCCAGAAAAUUUGCUAUAUUUAUUACCAUACCAUGGCAUACGGUAUUUGUUGGUUAAAAAGGUAAUGAUGAGGUUUGCAAAUUAUGUGGGCAUUUCCGCAAAUAUUUACUAUCUAUUUAAGUAUUCUAACCACGAUUAAAACUAAAGCCCACCCCAAAUUCCCAAUUGCUACCCCAGCAAAAACUUGUUGAUGAAAAGGCAAAGAAAAAAAAUAAAAAAGAAAACCAAGUAAAGAAUUUACGGUGAGAAUCUCUGUUGCCCAUAUGUAAAGUAACUAGGAUUUGCAUGGGAGGGGGUUUGUUACCCAUAUGUAAAGUAACUAAGGUUUGCUUAAGAGGGUUUUUUUUUUUAUUUUUUAUUUUAACAGCUUUAUCUAUAGAAACCCUCUACAAAUAUUUCAAAAUUUUAAAAUACACACAUCAAAAAUAUCCCAAAACACAAAAUUUUUUUUUGCUUUUUUUCUUCCUCCUCUUUCCCAGCAUGUUUGCUAGCAUCUCUUCUAGUGCCACCCUCUCUCCUAACCUUUUUUCCUUCAUCUCCCAUUCCCCAGCACACCCUUCCCCUCUUUCUUUUUUCCCUUACCCUCGUGACCUCUAGUUGAAUGGAAGAGGAGAGGAGGAAAAGGGGAAAGAAGAAAAAGAAGAGGGAGUGAGAGAGAGAAGGAAAAAAAGAGGCAAUAGCAACUAGUAUGGUGGCAGCGAGGGAGAAGGGAGAGUAAAAACCAGGCAUGAGAGGAGGAAGAAGAGAGAGGAAAGAAAGAAAAAAAAAAGAAAGUUUUUUAAGUUUUUCAAACCCUAAAUACACAAAAAAAUUUUAAUAAUUUCUACAGUAAGUUACGAUAAAAUUUUAUACAAACAUCCAAAUAACAUACUUUCUAAAAAUUGACCCUAAAGGCCACAUUUUGCAUUUAGGGUUCACUCUCACAAGCAAUGUCAUGUGAAAAAUAUUUUAGAAAGAGAGAGGGAGAAACAACUAAAUAAAUAAGUGUGUUAAUGGUCAAAUCAACAGAAGCUAUAGAAGAUUGGAACAACAAAUGAGAAAUUUGUGAAGUUGAUAAAAAUUGACAAAUUAGACUUGUUUAGAAAAGGGUAAAUUGCUCAAAUACCUAAAGAGAAUUCAAGUUUUUAGAUGUUUCCUAAAACUCUUUACUACAUUUGCCUCAAAUACUGAUAAGAGAAUUCAAAAUUUUAAAAAUCUGCUUUCAAUUGUGAAGUCGGCAAAUUAGACUUGUUUAGAAAAGGGUGCCUCAAACACUUAUAAGAGAAUUCAAAAAAUUUUAAGAAUUUUCCUUUGAACUUUUUAGUAUAGGUUGGGAGCUUGGAAUGCAGAGUAGAGAUACAUAAGCUUGUAGGAGAGAGUUAGGCUCUAAGAAUUUAAGGAGAAAAUAAAAAGGAAAAAAACAAAUGAAAGCACAAAGAAAUACAUACGAACAACAAGGAAAAUAUGACAAACACCAAUAUGAUAUAUCGAGACGAGAUAAUCAUGCAUGUUAUACCAAUUCAUAAAUUGUCAAAAAAGAAGUAAUUACAAAAAAUAAUCCUAUCUGUAUAUGAUGAAGAGUUCAACAGAUCAAGUGAGACGAAUUUUCGUUAAAAGUGGUAAUCAAAUCAUAACUCACCAUUUGGUGGCUCUAGCACAAAUUACCUUUAGAGAGAGAAACAGAAACUGAAUUUUUUUUUUCAUGUUAGUGAAGUAUCAUUAAUCAAUGAAAGAAAUAAUUGAAAUUACCAAACUCACAGACACAGUCUAAUUUUAGUUUAUCCCCUUAUCAAUUUAGAUCCACAUAAUUAUUCUAUUUCCGGUAUAAAAUAUCACAAAUCGAAGACAUGCGUAAGAAAGAAAAAUAGUAAAUUGAUCAAAGUAAUCAUAUUACGUGGAAACAAACAAAUGGGUAUCAUUAUUCACUCUAUCCACUGUACUUUCUCGAAUUAUGAAAAUUUACCAAUUACAUUGAAAUUAUACAAAAGGGGAAAAUAUAAAUAAGAAAUCUCGAUCUCGAAUUUAAAUCACCAACACUUGAACCAAAAAAAAAAAAAAAAGAGUAAAAUUCAAUUUAACCAAUUACUCUGACCACGGUUAGAAUUGAAACCACCCAAUUUCCAAAGUUGUCUGGUCGAGGAAAAGACAAAAGACAGAAAAAAUAUUAAGAAAAGGAAAAAGAUUUACAGAGAGAGAGAGAGAGAGGAAAAAAUUAUUUAUUACCCCUCCCCGCGGCCCCAUAUAUAAAUAAUCAAUAUAUCAGCUUGGCUUUUUAUUCGGGGCUUUCUCUCUACUAGAAAAAACAAUUGCGUGUGUAAAAAUUUUUAGAGGAGAGAGAGAGAGAGAGAGAGAGAAGAAAAAGGGGGGAAAAAUAAAGGAAAAACAGCUGAGUGGAGUGUGUGUAGUGUGUGCGAGUCAAAUCAGUAGAUUCCGGCAACGUCGGGGGUGACUUUUCGCCGGCUACAGGAUCGAUCUGUAACUGGCCCCACAAUUCCCGCCUUGAACCAGCCCCACGCCAGACCCUACUCCCAGCUUCACAUCUAUCUUCUUCAUUUCUCUGCAAUAUUUUGGCUCUAUUAAAAUUGUAAUUUUUUUUUUUUUGGUUUUCAAAUCUAGAGAGAGAAAAAAUUUAAACAGCAAAAAAUGGGGGUGGCGGGUGCUUUAUUAUAGAUACAGGGCAUUUGUAUCUAUAUCCCUUGUGGGACAGAGGUACGUCAAUUUUUACGUUGAGAUCGGACUCGAGAAAAAAGGGAAGGCUGCGCUUAAACGACAUCGGAUUUUUUUUUCCCUUCUUUUCCUUUUUUAUAUUUUGUUUGAAAACCUGCGCGCCUGAAAUUUUGUUGGAGGGUUUUGGUUGGGCCUUUUGGUUUUCUUGGGCUGAAUGAGAAAUAUUUUUGGGGGGUUUUUAAUUUUUAACGGUUGUAUGUUAAUUUUUUUUGGGGGAAAAAGUUGAGAUUUCUGCAUGCAAUCUGGGGGUGGUGGGGCCCAGCAGGGCAGUGGGCAUGGGCGGAGUGCGGCGGCGUCGCCUGCUUCCUCCUCUUCUGGGGUGUCGACGUCUCAGCUGGGACUUGACCAGCAGCAGCAGCAGCAGCAGCAAAGACAGGUUAGGGUUUUACAUGCUUAAUACUGGAUUUUUUUAUUUUCACAUUUUUCUGUUAGUGAUUUUGGGUUUUUGGUUUCUGUAAUUAGCACUUUUCAGCUGGUUGGUUUUAGGUGUGAGUUGCAAAAUUUGUACUGAUGUUGUAAUCAAAUUUCAUAUUAGUCAUUGAUUGGCUUCAGGGAUUUGAUAGAAUAGUGUUGAUGUGUUUGACGAUAUGCUUUCCUCCCCCCUUCCCUAUGGUUCCUGUUACAAAUAUGGUGGAUUAGAAACAUUGGAUCUGAAUUCAAGGGGGAUAAGCUGUUAUAGUCCUCGUUUAGCUAGCUUGGAAGUUAUUGGUUGCUGGUAGUUGAGUUUGAUCGUUUUUGACUUGGAAGUUUCAGACGCAGUGUUGAUAACAGCAAUGACCAAGGGUAUAAAUGAGGCACCUACACUUUUUUGUGUGCAUAUGUGUUUGCUUAUGUUGAAUAAUGUACAAGUUUGCCUGGUUUCUUUUUUUUUGUUUAGAAGACUGAUUGUAAUUUUCAAGGGGGUCCCAAAGGUAUGCUUUUGCAGUAUUAGUUCUGUGUCAAAGGUAAGGUUUGCAUGAAUGUGGGUUUUACUGGGAUUUGUUUUGCCUAGCUAGGUAGUGGUGGAGCUUUUACCAUCAUUGAGUUCCAAACUCUUGGGAUUUGACGAGAGGCGCUCUGAUAUUGUUAACUAACAGUGUUUUUGUUCAAUUUAGUGUUGGGUUCUGAUGUGCAUGUGAUGAUGUAGCAUUUCGUCCAUUUGUGUCUUUCCAGGGUGCCUCCUUUAACAUCAAUGAUUGUCUUAUUUCAGUGCUCAGUUUGGAGGAUUUCCACAUUUGAUCAUGUUUAAUGUGAAAUAGACCCAUUAGGGACAAAUUACAUGCAAGACAAAUUACACACUGGACGAAUUAAUAUUUAAGAUGAAAUCAUGUGGUAUCUAGUAAAAAAAUUCCAGGAACUAAUAGAUGUAUUGUCUUUAAAGUGAUAUAGAUUCAUUGAACGUGAAUUACAGACAAGAAAAAAUUCUUUUGGAUGAAAAAAUUACAGGAGAAGUAGUGAAGUCAGCACUUUUUGGAUGAUCUCUGCUUGGGACUUAUUAUACAGUUUUGACUGGUCAUUUCAUCAACUUUGUGGUUAUGGUAUUCUAUUGAACUUUCCUAAUUUUAUUGGUUUACUGCAGAUGGAUAUUCUUUUUUCUCUUGGCGUUCUUGUUUUCUCAACAUAGGUUUGUGUCUAUGAAGUGCAAUUUCAUUAACUUGGAAAGUGCAAAAAUUAAUGAAGUGACUAUUACAACCGAACUUCUGUUAUUGUUAUUUGUCUUGUAGCGUCUGAAUUUUAUUAAUUCCUUUUUGAAUUUUGAUCUCUAGAAUUUCUGUCUAUCAAAUAGCUUCUUCUUUGUAUUAUAAACUUUGAACUGUGCCUGUUUCUUCUUGAACCAUUGGUGGUUAAUUGGCUCUUUUGAGAGACAUUCAUGUAUGCAUGGUUUUUUGAGACAUUUUUUAUGCAGUCCUUACAACAGCAGUUCCUUAGAAGACCUGAAGGGAAUGACCCCAUUUUAGCCUAUCAGGCUGGAAGUAUCCAUGGAGUGAUGGGAGGAGGCAACUUUGCUGUGCCUUCAGGCUCCAUGCAGUUGCCUCAACAGCCUAGGAAGUUUAUGGAUCUUGGCCAACAGCAAAUCCCUUCCAGUGGCCGAGAGGAGGGUCAAGGUAGGAGUCAGGCCUUUGAGCAACACUUACUGAACCCAGUGCAUCAUGCUUACUAUGCUUUCCAGGCAGCCCAGCAGAAAUCACCUCUAGGAAUGCAGCCUCAACAGCAAAUGAAAAUGGGGAUGUUCAGCCCUCCUAGCAAGGAUCAAGAAAUGCGGAUGGCAAAUAUGAAGAUGCAGGAGCUCAUUUCUGCACAGGCGGCUAAUCAGCCUUCGGCAUCAUCUUCAAAAAAAUCAGUCGAGCAUGUAACUCGUGGUGGUGAGACUCAAGGGGACCAUGCUAAACAGCAUCUACCAGAUCAAAGGGCUGAUUCAGAGUCUCCUAACCAGCCAAAAUUACUUGGCCAAGCAGUGCCGGUGAAGCCCAUGCCUGCACCACAAUCUCAACAAAAUUUUCAGAACAUGGCAAACAAUCCUAAUGUUAUGGCUGCACAAAUGCAGGCCUUGGCCCUUGAGCGUAAUAUUGACCUUUCAAAUCCUGCAAAUGCAAAUCUGAUUGCACAAUUUCUCAUGCAGUCUCGUAUGAUUUCACAGCAAAAAGCAAAUGAAAGCAAUGCUGUCGUACAGGCUUCAUCUCUUCAUGUGCAAAAACAGCCAGUUAAUUCACCAACGGUGGCCAAUGAAAGUUCUCCUCGUGGUAACACAUCAAGUGAUGCAUCUGCGCAGUCUGGCUCGGUCAAAGCUAGAUACCCUUCUUCAUCUGCUUCUCCCAGUUCAGCUCCCAGUGCAGCUGUGGUAGGUAACUCCAGUAAUGUCCCAUUGCAGCAGUUUUCCCUUCAUGGAAGAGACAGCCAGUUACCUCCAAGACAGCCAAAUACAAUUGCCAAUGGAAUGCCUCCGAUGCCUCCCUCAAACUCACCUUUGAACUUAAAGCAGGGAUUGGAUAAUGCAUUACUGGCCAAAGGUGCACAGAUCGGGCCAGAAACUUUGCAGAUGCAAUACGGAAGGCAGCCAAAUCGAUCUUCUUCACAAUCUAUGGCUUCAUCGAAUGAUGGGAUCCUGGGAAAUACCUCUACUUCUCAGGAUGGAACAGGAGCCAAGAUGCAGCAACAGAACCUAGGGUUUACAAAGCAGCAACUGCAUGUUCUCAAAGCACAAAUACUUGCUUUCAGGCGCCUUAAGGUUUGUGUAUUUUGUAAGCAUGCUAUGCAUUUUAUACUUUUCUUGUUAGGCUGCAUUAACAUGCUUUUGAGGUAUCUUUUUCCUGCUUACAGAAAGGAGAUGGAUCUCUGCCACGAGAAUUACUCCAAGCUAUUGCACCACCACCACUGGAGAUGCAGAUGCAGCAGAUGCUUCUUCCUGCUGGAGCUCUUAAUCCAGAAAGAUCUGCUGUUAAAAAUGUAGAAGAGCAUGAGAGGCAGUUUCAGUUGGGUGACAAGGCUACUCAGCAGGCAACCAAUGGUGAUGGACGACACAGAUUAAAGGAUGAAGCUGCAGGAGAUGAGAGUGCAACUGCACCUGCAGUUAAUGUGCAAAGUCUGGCAGUGCCAGUGAAGGAACCUACACCUAUGGUCUCUGUUCGGAAAGAGGAGCAGCAAACUACUGGAUCUUCUGGUAAAUCUGAGCCAGAAGUUGAACGUGCAAAUCAGAAAUUUCCUAUCAGAAAUGAAUUUGCAGCAGAGAGGGGCAAAGCAGUUACCUCACAGGCAGCUAUUCCUGAUACAGCACCCGCAAAAAAACCUGUACAAGGAAAUGUCACUCAACCUAAAGAUGUUGGUUCAACUAGAAAGUAUCAUGGACCACUGUUUGAUUUUCCUGUCUUUACUCGGAAACAUGAUUCUUUUGGGUCAUCGUUGAUGAUGAACAACAAUAAUAACCUUACUCUUGCUUAUGACAUCAAGGAUCUUCUUGCUGAGGAAGGCAUGGAAAUUUUCAGAAAGAAGAGGGAAGAAAAUAUUAGGAAGAUUGGUGAUAUACUGGCUGUAAAUUUGGAGAGGAAAAGAAUCAGGCCAGAUCUUGUUUUACGUUUGCAAAUAGAAGAGAAAAAACUUCAACUGGCGGAUGUUCAGGCUCGCUUGAGAGAUGAGAUUGAGCAACAGCAGCAAGAUAUAAUGGCAAUGCCUGAGAGGCCGUAUAGGAAGUUUGUUCGGCUUUGUGAGCGCCAACGACAGGAACUUGCUAGGCAAGUUCAGGCCUCACAGAAGGCCUUGAGAGAAAAGCAACUGAAGUCCAUUUUUCAGUGGCGUAAGAAACUCCUUGAGGCGCACUGGGCCAUUCGUGAUGCUCGAACUGCACGUAACAGGGGAGUUGCUAAAUAUCAUGAGAGGAUGUUGAGGGAGUUCUCGAAGAGAAAGGAUGAUGAUCGCAAUAAAAGGAUGGAGGCUUUGAAGAAUAACGAUGUUGAGAGAUACAGGGAGAUGUUGCUUGAGCAACAGACUAGUAUCCCUGGCGAUGCUGCAGAGAGAUAUGCGGUUCUCUCAUCGUUUUUAUCUCAGACAGAAGAGUAUCUUCACAGACUGGGAGGUAAAAUUACUGCUGCAAAAAAUCAACAGGAGGUGGAAGAGGCUGCUAAUGCUGCUGCAGUUGCUGCUCGAGCUCAGGUAAACCAUCUUCUGACUCUUGCAACUUUACCAUCCUCUCAUCCCCCCAAUCCCCCCCCCCCCCCCCCAAAAAAAAAGAAAAAGAAAAGAGAAACAAAGGAAGGAAAGAAAAAAGUAGAAAGGGAAGAAAGACUGAAGAAACAGGUUAAGGGUGAGUUGCUUGUCUUUGGCUUUGUAUCUCUAUGAGUCCUUUGAAGUGGUACAUCAUUGGCUUUCGACACUAUACUUAUUGGCAGAACAGAAGGAGAAGUCCACUUUUGAAUAUAAGGAAAGUUGUUUGUCAAUGUGACUGGAAGAAGGGAAAAAAAGGGAAGUCAUUCCUUUAAACGGAGAGAAUUAAAGUCAAAGUUGGUAGUCAUUUGGAUGAGUGAGCAAUCACCUUUUCAUGCUAAUUCCUGCAAAUUAGCUGGACAUAAAAAGGAGGAAAUAUUUUCCUCCAAGAAAGUCUUUUGCCAACUUUCUCAUGAACCAGAUGUUUAAGAAGAAAAAGCAACUGAUUUUCUUGACUUUAUACCAUGUUCCCUUCAUUGAAACUGUAUCAGAAAUAAACUGUUGGGAGUGGAGGGACCUAUUUGUACAUUAACUACCCCUUUUCUGUGAUUAUCGCUCUAUUCAUGUCAUGUGAUAUGCUAAUUUGGUUGAUUUUAGUAAUUUUGUCUACCCACUUUUUUCUCACAUUGUAUGUACUUGGAUUGGUUUCUUAGUCGUCACUGACAUGUGCUUCUGGAUGAAAAGGGUCUCUCUGAAGAAGAAGUAAGAUCUGCAGCAGCCUGUGCCAGGGAGGAAGUAAUGAUCAGGAAUCGGUUCUCUGAGAUGAAUGCCCCGAGGGAUAGCUCAUCUGUCAACAAGUGAGUUUGUUUUUUAUCUGAUUAGGUUGUGCAUUGGCAUUUAUGUUGUAUGGACAAUUGUAGCAGUUUUUGCAGUUUCUGGAUAUGAUUUCAGUGUCGUUACAAUUGAAGCCUCUUUUGUACUUCCUGGAUAUGAAUUUAGCAGUACUAAUUUGUGUUUGGGCUGCAUUGUACUGAAUGCAUCUGUCAUUUGAUUCUGAUUUCAACUGUAGUUUAUCUGCAGAUUCUUACUUGCAAAUGGCAAGAGAUUCUAGUGUUUUUACUUGUUCAAUGGUUUUGGAGGGUACUGUGAAAUUUUCUUGUACUUCCCAAUAUAGGUGCAUAGUGUGUCAUUUUUCGUUCUUUUGCACCAGGUACUAUAAUCUUGCACAUGCUGUGAAUGAAAGGGUUAUUAGGCAGCCUUCAAUGUUGCGAGCUGGAACUCUACGAGACUAUCAGCUUGUAAGUUGCAAUAUCUUCAAUAUUCAUACAGUGCUGACAUUCUUCUCAAAAACUGGAUGCUCAAGUUGAUUAUCGUGUUCAAUUCUUUAAAUAAUGCAGGUUGGCUUGCAGUGGAUGCUUUCUUUGUACAACAAUAAACUUAAUGGAAUUUUGGCAGAUGAGAUGGGUCUUGGAAAGACAGUGCAGGUGACUGGCUAUUGUAUAAAUAUGUUGGUGGUUCAGAAUUUUUUGGUUAUAAUUUUUUUUUUGGGAGCAAGGAAAAAGAAGAAUUUUGCUGAUCAUUACUUUGUGGCCUUCUGUCAUAUUUGGUUUAUGCUAUGGUUCCCUUUAUUGUUGAAUUUGUAUACCAGAUAAUUGGAGUACUCCUUUUAUCUUUUUCUCUUUCGAUUUUUCGCCUGUAGGUUAUGUCAUUAAUUGCCUAUCUCAUGGAGUUCAAAGGAAAUUAUGGCCCACACCUUAUUGUAGUUCCGAAUGCUGUUCUCGUUAACUGGAAGGUUGGCUUUCUUUUAAUUACCCUUACAUCCUUGUUUGGAGUUGUAAAGUUUUUUAUUUAUCUAAUGUAGCUUGUAUUUUAGAGUGAACUUCACAAUUGGCUUCCAAAUGUGAGCUGUAUUUAUUAUGUUGGUGGAAAGGACCAACGAUCAAAAUUGUUUUCUCAAGUAAGUCAGGCUGUUGAGUUUGCAUCUUUUAUAUUCUUGCUUCCAUCAUUCACAUUUAUCAGUUCCCUGAACUUCGUGAUAUUUCAUUCAGGAGGUUUCUGCAAUGAAAUUUAAUGUGCUUGUGACUACCUAUGAGUUUAUUAUGUAUGAUCGCUCAAAACUUUCUAAAGUGGAUUGGAAGUAUAUCAUAAUUGACGAAGCACAACGAAUGAAGGACAGGGAGUCAGUUCUAGCUCGUGAUCUUGAUAGGUAUCGCUGCCAAAGACGCUUGCUUCUGACAGGGACACCUUUGCAGGUUGGUUAAGGCUAUUAAUUGUUUAUAUUGUCAUUUUUGUGGAACAAGAAUCUCAUUGUAGUUGUUCUUCUUUAAUUCUUAAAGGAGUAAGAUUUUUAACUUAUAAAUGAUUGUUUUCAGCUGUCUUAUGGUCCUCAAUAUUAUUAGUUUUCUUCCAGCGGGGCUGGCAGGUGGAAGGCUAAGUAUGAAUCCAAAGGAAUAAAAAAGUACCUGUGAUGAACUCAUUCAUUCUUCAGUGUGCCUGUUGCUCAAAUGAUUUAAAUACCUUUUUGCUUUUGAUUUUAGAAAAAGCUACUUUAUGUUCUCAAGUACUUAAAAUAUGCUUUUAGCAUUUUUGGAGGCAAAAUAGCUGAAGAUCAAAAGCAACAGAACAGACGCUUCUGAUUUUCUGAUCUGCUUCUAAUAAUCAGAAACAAUUGAGAACUUGCCCAAUAUGUUUGCUUUUCAUUUUAUUUUUUCCUGGUAAAUUUGUGAUAUUACUCAAAAACCCGUUUUUUAAAGAUUUUAUGAGUAAAAGCUUAGUUGAAUGUUUGUGCAAUAGCAUGGUAUAUAACAUGUUUUAGAGAUUACUAGCCAUGUUAGUGGUUUUCUUAUUUAAUAUAAGGAUCAUUUCUACAAAAAGAAAGGUUAAGAAGCAGGUUGUUAUGAACUAUUUUUAGAGUUACCUAUUGACUAAACCAUGAUGCACUUUUAUUUGUUUCUUUGUCUUGGGGUCCUUAUAAUCUAAUCAGGCUCCAUGAAGACUAAUUAUUUCUGGAACAGUACUCUGUAUGGUGACUGUCCAAUUACAUAAAAUUGCAAUCUUAGGGUGAAAACACAAUGGUAAAUGUUUUCUAAUGCCACUUUUAAUUUAAGUCAUUAAUUGCUCAGGCUGGCAUGCAUAUCUGGUUAAUAUAUCAACUGAUUUUGCCAUAUGGAUGCAUAAAUAACGAAACAUGCAGAUUUGUAUACUUCGCACAUCCUUUGCACAUUUCAUGUGUGGGAUGUCACUAUUUAGUGCAACUUUGGCUUCUCCUCCUAUAUCUGUAAGAUGCUAAGAAAGAAUCUCAGAAGGAAAUGAGGAAGGCAAAGCCAAAGAAAAACAAUGAGACGUAGCAUAGAACAAAGAAAAAGUCAUAACAGAUUUGGAUGAUGCUUCUUACUUUAUUUUUUACUCUCCUUUUACUCUUUUAGAGUUACAUGAAAUAUAAUUGAUUUUUAUCUUCUUUCUUGCAGAAUGAUCUUAAAGAGCUAUGGUCGCUUUUGAAUCUGCUACUUCCAGAAGUGUUUGAUAAUCGUAAAGCAUUUCAUGAUUGGUUCUCUCAACCUUUCCAGAAAGAAGGUCCUGCACAUAAUGCGGACGAUGACUGGCUCGAGACCGAAAAGAAAGUCAUCAUCAUCCAUAGACUUCAUCAAAUUCUGGAGCCUUUCAUGCUUAGACGGCGUGUUGAAGAUGUAGAAGGCUCACUUCCUCCCAAGGUACAUUUCUAAAUUUUCAUAAUUUAAACUUUACUGUAUGGAUUAUUUGUCAUUUCAAUGCCAUUGCAGGUUUCCAUUAUUUUGAGAUGUAGAAUGUCAGCUAUUCAAAGUGCCAUAUAUGACUGGAUCAAAUCCACUGGUACUCUUCGAGUUGAUCCUGAAGAUGAGAAGCGCAGGGCUCAGAAAAAUCCAAUUUACCAGCCCAAAACAUACAAGACUUUAAACAACAGAUGUAUGGAACUCCGCAAAGCUUGCAAUCAUCCAUUGCUUAAUUACCCCUAUUUUAAUGAUUUCUCUAGAGAUUUUCUUGUAAGAUCAUGUGGGAAAUUAUGGAUUCUCGAUAGGAUUUUAAUAAAGCUUCAGAGGAGUGGGCAUCGGGUAUUGCUGUUUAGUACUAUGACGAAACUCUUAGAUAUACUUGAGGAGUAUCUUCAGUGGCGAAGACUUGUCUACAGACGCAUAGAUGGAACAACCAGCUUAGAAGACAGAGAAUCUGCUAUUGUGGACUUUAAUAGCCCCAAUACUGAUUGUUUUAUCUUUUUGCUUAGCAUACGUGCUGCUGGGCGCGGUCUGAACCUUCAGUCUGCUGACACAGUCAUCAUUUAUGAUCCUGAUCCAAACCCAAAGAAUGAGGAACAGGCAGUUGCUAGAGCCCAUCGCAUUGGGCAGACAAGAGAAGUAAAAGUUCUUUACAUGGAAGCAGUGGUUGAUAAGAUAUCAAGCCAUCAGAAAGAGGAUGAACUUCGGAGUGGUGGCACAGUGGAUUCUGAUGAUGAUCUGGUUGGCAAGGACCGGUAUAUGGGGUCAAUUGAAAGCCUCAUACGGAAUAACAUUCAGCAGUACAAGAUCGACAUGGCAGAUGAAGUUAUAAAUGCUGGCCGGUUCGAUCAAAGGACUACACAUGAAGAGAGACGUAUGACAUUGGAGACGUUGUUACAUGAUGAAGAACGAUAUCAGGAGACAGUCCAUGAUGUUCCAUCACUUCAGGAGGUGAACAGGAUGAUUGCUAGGAGUGAAGAGGAGGUGGAGCUUUUUGAUCAGAUGGAUGAAGAUCUGGAAUGGACAGAGGAGAUGACAAGGUACGAUCAGGUUCCAAAGUGGCUUCGUGCAAAUACUAAGGAAGUGAAUGCUACGAUUGCUAAUUUGUCCAAAAAACCAUCAAAAAGCACCUUAUUUGGUGGAAGUAUUGGCGGGGAAGCUAGUGGCAUGGCUUCUGAAGGUGAGAAAAAACGUGGGCGACCUAAGGCAAAGAAGCUUCCUAUAUACACAGAACUGGAUGAUGACAAUGGAGAUUUUUCUGAAGCUAGCUCCGAGGAGAGGAAUGAAGAUUCUGUACGUGAAGAGGAGGGAGAAAUUGGGGAAUUUGAAGAUGAUGAAUUUAGUGGUGCUGUUGGGGCACCUCCAAGUAAUAAAGACCAAUCAGAAGAAGAUAUUAUUCCUUCGACUGGUGGAUAUGCAUACCCUCGAGCUUCAAAUAGCAAUAAGGAUAUGCAGAUGCUCGAAGAAGCGGGCUCAUCAGGUUCAUCCAUGGAUGGUCAAAGAUUGACGCAACUCGUGUCACCUUCUGUGUCUUCUCAGAAGUUUGGUUCACUUUCAGCUUUAGAUGCCAGACCGGGUUCUCACUCAAAGAAGCUUGUAUGUUGCCUUUUAUUUUAUUUUAUUUUAUUUUGGUCAGGGCUAUAUUAGUCACAUUAUGGAAGCAUCUGAGAUGAUUUAUCUUUUGUUUUCCAGCCUGAUGAUCUAGAAGAAGGAGAAAUUGCUGUGUCUGGAGACUCUCAUAUGGAUGUCCAGCAAUCUGGUAGUUGGAACCAGGAUCGUGAUGAGGGUGAAGAGGAACAGGUAUUGCAACCUAAAAUAAAAAGGAAACGCAGUAUACGCCUUAGGCCGCGCCUUGUUGCAGACAGGGUCGAUGAGAAGCCAUCUCUUCGUCGUGGAGAUUCUAUUCAAAUACAAUAUCAGGUGGAUCAAAAACUUGAGUCUCAAUUCAAGAAUGACCGUGGACGCAAAUUGCUUGGAGACUCUGCCAUGUUGAAGCAGGAGCAAACUGAUUCAUCUAUGAAGAAUAGACGGAACAUGAACCCCCGGAAAUUACCUAAUACACCUAAGAUGCCUGGUCUGCUGAAAUCUGGAAGGUUUGCUCAUUCAGAUGACACUGUUCAUCACUUGAGGGAAAACUUGGAUGGUAAGGGCUUAAAUGCUAGUGGGACAUCAACUGGUGGUUCAAAGAUGACUGAGAUCAUUCAAAAAAAGGUCUGUAAAAGAUCUACUCUUUUACUUAGUACAUACACUUUUGACUUUGAGAUGCUAUAUUUGCCUGCUCUUGAUUUUCUUCUUGUUGUAUGUGUUUAGCUAACUAAUGGUUGGUAGAAUUCUAAUGAGGUUUAAGAUGCUACUUCUGUGAUAUUAGUUUUCACAUUGAAAUUUAAAGCGCCACCUUUUUAUUAUUAGUUUCGAUAUCCUCAAUAAUCACUUAGCAUUGUGCUAAUGAUAAGUUUUAGAUCAGUAAUUCCAAGUGCUGUAUGUCAUUAUUGGUAGAAUCCUCUCUAUGGUAAGUUGAAUGCGAGGACUGUAAAUUUGUAGCCUCGAUGAAUCAUAUUAAUGUACACAUUGGUGACUUGCACCUAUAAUAUCUGAGAACUUCACAAUAGAGUUUAUGGCAGACAAUAUUUGAGUUAUCUAAUGCAAUGAGAAGUUGUGUCCCUUCAGUUGAUAGCGAUUUUGUCUCUGUGAUUGAUUCAGACACAGAAUAUCUGUGAAGAGGUCUAGGUUGGGGCUCAAAAUACUGGUUUCAUUUUGCAUAUUUUAAUGCUUUUGAGGGUUAGAGAUGCUUUGAUAUGAUCUUAUCAUUCUUGCCUUUUUAAGUUUAGUUUUAACUGAUUAGGUACCAUGGGGUCUAUUUCAGAUUUAGCCAUCCUUCUUGUGUAUAUAUGUAAUUUUUAGGGUCCGUUUGUUUCGGGUGAAAAUGUUUUCUAGGAAAAUAUUUUCCUAAUUUCCCGUGUUUGGUUGCACAAAAGUUACUGAAAACAUUUUCCUAUGUAAAAUAUUUUCACUCAUCUUAUGGAAAACAACUUCCCUUCCAAACUUACUGAAGUUGUUUUCCGAAAUGCAUGCAUCUCGCCUGUAGUAUGUUCCAAACUUACUAAAAACAUCUUGUAGUAUGUUCUGUUUUUUUUUAGUGUAAACAGGAGGACUCGAACCCAAGACCUCUUCCUUACACUCCCUCCCCCGUACCACCCAACCCAACUCAACCCUUCCCCUAGUAUAUUCAAAAAAAAAAAAAAUCUCAUCCUGCUCAUCCUAUGCUAGUAAUUAAUUAUGUAUAAUAGGGACAUUCUUUUCUAGAGAAACUUUCAGCAGUGAGAGUGCAAGAUAUAUGUCACAAUAAGCAUUGCAUGUGAUUGAUAUUUGACACUAAAUGACCAGGAAUUUGUUUAUUGCUUAAGGAGAUAUUUUUUAUUCAUAUAUACAUUUCUCCAAGAUUUUUUAAAGUUAAACAAUGAGAUAAAAUUUCUUAUUUUGCAUGGGAAGAAGUAUGUAGUUAUAAUGUGUAGAAAGUAAAGAUAGAGAUAAAAGUGAAAAUAUUUCAAAAGUUAAACAAACACCAGAAAAAUGAAGUAAGAAAAUAUUUUCAAUAAGCUAACCAAACACCUGAAAAUGAUGAAAGGGAAAUGAUUUUCAUGGAAAAUUACUUCCAUGGAAAAUAUUUUCCCAAGGAAAAUAUUUUACUUCCAACCAAACAGACCCUUAGGGUUGCACUUAUUCUUGGAACAUAAGGUGUAGGUUUGGACACAUUAAAUUUGAGGUAUACCAGUGAUGAUGUUUAGUAGUAUGGUUUAUAAUUGCUGCUGAACUUUAUCCUUAGUUGCACUUUACCUCCCUCAACUCAAUAAGAGGCAUUUUGCCCCCCUUAUUUUAUAUUUUAGAACAAAAGUGCCCAUUCCAUAUUCAUUAUUAUUUUAUUUCUCUUUCUCCUCUUUUGACCUUUUUCUUUAUAUUUUUUUAUUUUUUUCCCUUUUCUCAUGUGAUGAACUAUUUCUUUAUCUUGCUAUUAUUAUACAUAUAUUAAUUUUAAUCUUCUUAAACUUAUUUUUAUUUAUUUCUAUCUUUUUUGUACUUUUUGUUAUUCGAAGUAAUAAUUAUUAUAAAGUCUAUACUAUAAUAAAGUAUAUAUUAUCUAUGCUCUUAAAUUAUUUCAUAUAUUACUUAAAGCAAUACGUCUAGAGUUUAGAAUAAAUUAAUUUUUAAUAACAACAGUAGCAAAUUCAAAUCUUAAUAACAUAGCGGUUAAUCAACUAUAAAUAAAAAAAGUAAACAAAAAUGUUAGUUACUUAAUUUUUUAGGAUAUACUUCUUAAACAUUAAGUAAUUUAAAAUUUUAAUUUGCUAAUAUCUUUUUAAAUUGUUAAAUUACUAGUAAUAUACACUUUUUCAUUUUGAUAGACAUAUAUUAAUUUUUAUGCUAUACACUUUGUCUUGAAUUUUCUGAUAGUGUAAAUAAAUGAAAAACAAUGAAAUUAUGAGUAAAAGAUAAUUACAAUAUUAUAAUAAAUGUACAAAUUAGUAAUACUAAUGGGAGAGUGAAACAAAAUAGUGACAUAAGAGAAGGUGAAAAAAAAAAGAAAAUAGUAAAAGAAGAAAAAAUGUGAAAACAAAACGAAGUAGUGGGAAAGGAAAAGUAAGGGAAUAAAUGAACAAAAAACAAACAAAAUAAAUAAGGGUACUUUUGUCUUGAAAUAUCAAAUAGAGGGGCAAAGUGCAACUAAGGGUAAAGUUCUGGGGGGUUUAGUGCAUUUAGCCCUUUCUUUAACUGGCAUUGUCUUUGGGUCUACAUGGAUUUUGAUCCUUGCUGUUUUACUUUUUAGCUUUGAUCCUGUACGUGUUAUGCUAUGUUCAAAUAGUAUUCCUAGUGGCAGUCCUAAGUAGUUUCACGAGGAAGAUAGAAUGUAUUAACCACUUUUCAUUUGAAAAUAACUUUCUGGAUUUUUAUUUCUAGUUUUUACCUCACCACAUUUUUAUUCUUUAUUUAUGUGUCUGGAGUUUUCCUUGUUUGCAGUGCAAGAAUGUGAUUAGCAGGCUCCGAAAGAGAAUAGACCGGGAAGGUGCACAGAUCAUUCCAUUGCUAACUGAUCUGUGGAAAAGAAUUGAAAGCUCUGGUUGCACGAGUGGAGCUGAGGAUAAUCUCUUUGAUUUACCGGAGAUUGAUAUGCGUCUUGACAACCAAGAGUACAGGGGAGUGAUGGAAUUUGUUUCAGACGUGCAGCUUAUGUUAAGAAGUGCCGUGCAAUAUUAUGGUUAUUCAUAUGAGGUAUGUCUACAUAUUUCUUCCUACAAUUUGUGGUUAUGGUAUGCGUGUUAGUAACUUCUUUCUUGCUAGGUUUUGCUUAUACUGCAUAAUCUUGAAAAUUAUUUUCAGUUUAUUGCCACCUGGUACAAUUUGAAGUCAUUCUCAAGAUAUUAUUUCUGAUGAUAUCAUGAUAUACUUUUUUUUUUCUGGAAGGAAAAACAGGAGGAUUAUAAACAAUUUGGUCUUUAAUUUGAUGCAUUCCUACAAUUUAGACACCUAGAUAUAUAAAGCAUUGUUUUUGUCCUCAGCCUCCCACACCCUACCCUUCCUUGCCUGGCCUUGCAUGUGUGUGCAUUUGUUCCAGCUACCUGUAUUGUAUGCUACUGUUAAUCACGUAACUAAGUGAUUGGUGAAAACAUCAUGGAACAGGUGAGAUCUGAAGCGAGGAAAGUCCAUGAUCUUUUCUUCGACAUCUUGAAGAUAGUGUUUCCAGAGAAUGAUUUCCGAGAAGCCAAAAACUCUCUCUCUUUCACGAGUGCAGCCUCAGGCUCUGCACAUGGUUCAUCUUCAAAACAAGUGCUUACUGGUCAAAACAGGCGGCAAAAAGCAACGAGUAGUGCAGAACCUGAGCCUAGUCGUCCUCAGAAGCCUCAGCCUCGUGGACCAAUACAUGAAGACACAAAAACGAGGGGCCAUGUGUCACAGAAGGAGGCAAGGCUUGGAAGUAGCAGCAGCCGGGAUCUUGGCCAACAAGAUGAUUCACGCCCAUUCGCUCAUCCAGGGGAGCUUGUUAUUUGCAAAAAGAAGAGAAAGGACAGGGAAAAGUUGGGAUUCAAGGCGGGAAACGGUUCAGCUGGUCCUGUGUCACCUACUGGCGUCAGUCGUGGCAUUAGAAGCCCUGCACAAGCUUCGAUAGCCAAAGAUGUGAAGCAGGUUACCCAACAGCAAGGGUGGAAUAGCCAGUCUCCUCAGCAGGUGCACAGCAGUGGUGGGAAUGUUGGCUGGGCCAAUCCUGUCAAAAGGAUGCGAACAGAUGCUGGAAAGAGACGCCCAAGCCUUAAUUGAGUGCGUGUAUAUUUUAACAAAAGAAUUUGUUUUGCUAAUUAGUCGAGGUGCUGGGUACAAUCCGGCCCUUGUGAGUUGUAAUACCUGUUAAUAUAGGAAUUCGUGGGGAUUUUCCCAGUGUAUGAUAUUUGCUCUUCCGCAAGUCUCCUGCGUCUCUGUGUAGUAGUGUAUUUUGAAAGGUAUAUUAACACUGCUUCAGCUGGGUAGGAGCUUUAAGGGGGAAAAUGAGAAGAUAUUCUAAGGUGUCUGGAAACCUUAACCAGUGUAGUGGAAGAAAAUGGUUUUUUUCGGAAAACUAUUUAUCAUUCCAACAUGGAAGCGUGAUCAAGAUGGCAAAAUCAAACCAGUAAGAUUCUACUUUCGAGAUAAUUCUUUUGGGAUGAGCAUGUAAAUUCUUAUUGACUCGACUUAAUCAAAAAAAGUAUUUUAAUUAGCCGAUUUCUAAGCAAGCAUACGUAAGGCAAGCCCAUAGUGUCAAAAAUGGCCCUUCUUGCUAUCCGUGAUCUGUAUUUUGUUUCCUCUUUUCUUAUGCCUGCCGAGUAUAAUCCCAGAACCAUCACAUUUUGAGUAUUCUUCUCAUUCAUCUGACUGGUUCAAGACUCAAAAAGUCAGAUCAGCCUCACUUUUUCCUCAAUGUUAGACUUUGAGAUUUUCUGAAAAAAUCUCCUCAACAGAAGAGAAUAAUCCUGUCUCAUGAAAUAUUUUGGCAAAAUAGCGUCUGCACUUUUUUCUUUUCUUCUGAUCCAUGAGCGCGCAAAUUGGUCAAAAAGAUUUUGGUCACUUCACCCUCCACUGUUUUAAGCCUUGAGAGUCCCCCGUCCGCUCUUCACCACGUGAAAACAGAGAGAGCAAGAGAAAAACCAAGUCUCAUGUCGUAAUUUCAGUUCCUUUUGCAGAGACAGACGGCUACAACAACUGAUUUUAAAAGAUGGUUGCUUUUAUGCAGCAAUACACAAUUCACAAGGCACUAUAUUUAGCUUCUUUGAAUCAAGUUUGAAGCAGCCAAACAGAUUCUCAGUCACUUUAGAUGCAGUUUAGCUCACACCCUAGAGUUAGUAGUUAUAAACAAUGUCUGGGCCAUGAAAUCAAUUUGGCAUUGAAAAUGUAGUAGUGUAGUGUGACGGGAAAAUUGGGGCAGGACUUACCUGCUUAGCCUAAAUGGGAUUUCACCGAAAAUGCAGAAAUUACUUGCUUAGCCUAAAUUUCAACCACAUUGCCAAAUUUAAUGCACCACCAAGAGUAAACAUAUAAACAGAAAUAGAAAAGCAAUGUAUUAGCACCGGAUAUAUUUACACGAGAGAAUUAAUGUUAAGGGCUGGGAUUUCUUCUUUUGCAUCCCUUCCCAAUGAAUAGGUUCAGGUUCAAUUAUGCAGGAACCAGAGAAUCAUGUAGAGGUACAAGUAACCACUAGGACUAGGAGGGGCUAAGGAUCCACUGGGCCUGCCACCGCGUCAUCACUAGAGUCGUAUUCAUCUUCGCUUAGCUCCUCAUCACUUGAUUUCUCCUCGGGAACUGCUCCCACAUCUUCUGGCUUGGCAUAUUUCUGACAAUAUUCUGCAUGAUCAAUGCAUGGGUGAAUCGAACUAUUUUUGCAUGACCAUGCAGGCAACAAGAGAGAAAGUAUGUUCAACUCAUAAAAAGAUAAACUGUUCAAUCGGGUAAAAAACUUUUUAAGUGCUGCCAGACUACUACAGAGUGGAACCAGUAAAGCUGGCAAAGGGGGUUGAGGCAAAUUAAUCAUCCGAACCUGUGAUAGCUAGACGAAACAGAUACAAAGUCUGAAAUUUUAAGAGCCCUUUGAAUCAAUAUCCCGUGUGAGCUUAAGGCCCAGUAUUGUCUUGCUCUAUUGGCUGACAAGGCUAAAGGUACUUCAUGGGAAAACAUAAAACAGCAGUAUAUCCAUGGAUUGUUAACAGACAAUUAACUGUUGGGUUAAAAUGUAGUCAUGACCGCCUUUUCAUUUGUUUCCUCUCUUUCUGACCUCAAGCCAGGAACUGGUCGACAGACUGAUUAACUCAAUUCUAACAGCUAUCAAAGAGAAAUGAAACAUAGCCGACAGUGGCAGAGAUUCCACGAUAGACAAAUCUGCAGCUGCGUGUUUUUAACCUACCAUUAAAGGUCACAGCAUAAUUAACAUACUAUACCUUUACUCGCAUUUAUCUUUUCCUUCUACCCACUCAGCCCUAAACCUACAUGUGUUUUCUAGUGAGCAUACUCAUGCCAGGUCAGAACAGAUAACAUCAUUCUUCAAUCUUGUAUGUUUUCCCGAGGACAGUGUGAAACAAUCCUGCCUGAACAGAAAAAGUUAAAGAUCUUUCAUAGGAUUCCCUUGCCAUACAAUGACUACAAAAGAGUCAGAACCAUCUUAGUGACUACAAGAAACUUCCAUAUGUAAUCAUGAGGACUGAAAGGUGAAGUAGACUGAAUUAGAAUCCACUUAGUAUCUCCAUAAAUCUGAAAUAUGAUAUUGUUGACAAGUUAUCCCCUUAAGCUAAAGGGGCUGCUAAUUGUAGCGCGCAGCAUACUAGUGAAUAGGAAAAGCACUCAAUUAGUCCAUGAAAAUGAGCAUAAUCAUGCAGCAGGAAAACUUAUAUCAAUUUAAUCAAUAGGAGUGCAUUUGCUUAUCUGCUCAGAUCAAAUAUUAAACAGCAUCUAAAAAAAAUCCAAAAUAAGGUUAUUGAUUUUUCUGAGAAACAUAAACCACAAUAAAAGAUUCCCAUUUUCAGGCAGGCUUAGGUGGCACAUGCUCAUGGUUCAUGUGGAAGUUUCAUGUAUUUUCUUUCAACUCUCAGAUUUUGGGUGUGUGCUGUCUCCUAGAUCCUUGAUGCUUCCUUCAAAAUAGUAUAACAGACUAAAGAUAAAGGCAAGCCCACUUUCAGAUUUCAAGAGAACUGAACCAACAUUGCAAAAGCAGAAUGUUACAUGGGAAUACUGUUGAAAGCCGAAUCCUACUUGGAUCUCAUUACCUAUCUGCACUGCUUGAAAACCUAGCACAAGCUAAUGCAAUGUAAUCAUGAUUCAAGCUUAGUAUGUGAAAUUGAACUGAUAAACAUCACGGAAACAAACUUUCACAUGAAUUCCCAUAGAUGUGUUGUAUCUAGCUAAUUCAAAGCAGGAGAAAUUCCUAACAAAAACGUUUAAAGAGCAUCGAAAUUUUCAUGGCCAAGAUCACAUCAACAAUCUAUUUUAAGUCUCAUGAUACUCAAAUAAUUUGAGAAAAUUACAAGAAUAAUGUAUAAGACCCGCAUCAAUUAUAUUUAAGGCUUGACUCAUCUUAUGUAUUUUGACAUAUUCAAGAACUAUGAGAAAAUAUCCUACUUGUAUAUAUGUCAAACACACAGAGUAACAAAUUAGGAAAGGAAAGCAUAUUCAGGAUUUCUUACAUUCCAAAUCAAAAGGUACCUUUAACUCUUUGUUCGUAAGCAGUUUGAUCACGCAUCAUCAAAGCAGCUGCCUCCCCAUUCAAAGGGUCUGAUGGGUUCGGAUAUAGAAGAAGCUGUGGGAGAAAUACUUCGAAUACAUUUACCAGAUCUACAAAGAACAUGUUUCCAACAUCAAAUAUACUACUUGGUCAUUCAAAAAACAAGAAAGGGAUAGAUUGAUUCAUAUGUUGAGAUCAGCAAACUGAGAGAGUACGUAGUCCAAAAGAAAUCUAAGAACUCAAUAUUAUUACCAAACAUCGGGCUCCAUGUCUGAUUAAUUACAUCUAAACAAACUGAGCCAGACCUGAAAGUAUAUAUUCAACAUCAUCAAAGACUUCAUUUUUUCAGAUGACAGUAACGCUGGGAUAUCAUCAAGCAGACAGUAAUAGAGUUUUGUAACUAAAUACAUACAUCUCAUCAACAUUUGGGUGGUAGAUCUUAUUAAUAAAUCCUAUGGAUGGAGAUUUGUAAGGGUAAGAAUCUGGAAGCUCCACUCUGAUUUUCCACGCCCCACCAUGAUAAGGACCUGGCACAUUUCAUUGAAUGGUCUUAAAAAAUGGUGAAAGCAAGAGAAAAAGGAAAAAAAAAGAAACUAAACAAAGUCUUGUUCAGAACAGAGAAUUAUGCUGGUUCCAGUAUCUUCAUCAGUAACUUUAAUCACAUGAACAAUUUUUUCAGGUCUAAUGCAAAUGUCCACUGGGUAGAAAAAGGAAGCUCUUUUGACAGUGUCUGUAACAGCUAAAAGAGUUUCCAUCCUUCUAGAAUUGCUAAAGAACGACACAUUUUAGUUAACAAACAAGACACAACCAACAAUUCUAGUAUGCACUUUCCCUAAAUCUCGAACCAGAAAUGGAGGGGUAAAUAACCACGAGACAGAAAAUAAAGGAAAUAAAUAAAAUUUCAGCAUGUGCUGCAACUGCAAGAAUAACCUUUUCACUAAUCAGAUAUCAACUAUUUGCAUCAAUUUUGCAUUGACUGAAGCAGAGCCAUAAAUUUUCUUUCUUUCGUUUUUACAGUAAAUAAUAUUAACAGAUGGUUCUCGUUGGCUGAACGAGAUUUAUUAGCAGAUACAUAAAAAUUUUGAACAAGAGCUCAAUCUAGAAAAGCACUAUCAGCCAAGACAAAGAAAGAAAAGAUCCAGAAAUUGAUAUAACUGUCAUUAUAGAAAAGGGAUGAAGUAUUAACUGUCAUUAGGUCCAUGGAAAUGGACAUAGAAUUCUUGCAUGCCAUCAUUGAUGAUAUCCACCUUGUAAUCACUCAUCAUCCUGUACAAAUGAACAUUCAACAAAAAAAAAAACCCAAAAAAUUCAAAAACAGAAAAAAGCCCAUAAAUCGAAAAGUCAAUCCAAUCUAAGAAAAAGAAAUCCAAAAAAUUUAAAAGGAUUGAUCAGGGAUUUAACAGUUUCAUCAAGUCCAUCUCCCUGCGUUUGCUUGGGGAAGACAUGAUUUUCGUCUUGAUUCUUGGCACGGCUUUUAAUCUCUUUUUGAUGAUUUUCUUCUGGUGGAGAGGAGGAGAAAAGGUGACGCAAAAAAGGGAAGAAAUAAGUUACUUCAAGUCUUCAACAACUCAGAUAAGCAAAAGAAGAGCCGACACAAGAAAGAAAGAAAAAGAGUAGGAUCAGAACUUAUCAGAGAGAGGGAAUAGUAGUAAUAGAAUAUUCAUGGAUUAUGAUACUAACCCCUGUGAUAUACUUUAAUUAGAAAGAUUAAAUUUUGGAAUAGAAAUUUUAAUUUUGAUCAAAGCAUAAUGAGCCUUCCAUUUUCAAGAUUCCUUUCCUCUUGUAUGCUGUAAUCCUUUGAGGUAGUGACACCUUUCUUCCUCUUCUUCUUGCCAUUAUUACGUUGCCACGCAAACCUUUAAAUAAUACUACUCAACAGUCGUAUUAGAUUUUAUUUCCCAAAAAAUAGAAUAAAUCCUUCCUACACCUGAUAAGAUCACUGUGUCGACAUGGUGUCUUGUUCCUUUCCAGAAUCACUAAUAAAUACUACUACUCUUUUCCUUUCUUCUCCUUCUUUUUUUUUUCAUUUUUGAAGAAAUUACUUGUAAAUGGUUUGUUUUCUUGAUAUGUUAUACUCCUCCGUCCCACUUUGAUAAUCCUGAUUUUUUUUCACCCAAUUUAAGAAAAAGUAAUUAAUUAUGUUGGAACAAUCAAUUUAAGUAGUUAUUUUCCUAAAAUACCCUCACAUUAAUUAGAGUACAACUUUAUGGGAACUUGAAUUGAUAGUAAAAAAAGAAUCAACUCUCAUUAAAUGGGGUAGGUUUAUAGUAACAACAACUUACAUUGAAUAAGGAUAUUUUAGGAAAAUUAAAAUAUAACUACAUUCUUCAAUUGGAAAGUGGACUACAAUUUGGGACAGACGAAAAAGAAAAACAGGACUAUCAAAGUGGGACGGAGGGAGUAUUAUCUGGUUAAGGUAUUUACGGAGCUGUCUGGAUCAAAUUCUAAAAUUACUAUCAUUAUAGAUAUGAUAAAUUGAAAAAUAAUAACUAACUUUAAUUUACAAAAUUAAAGACUAAUAACUAAUGUACCAGUACAUAAGUACCUAAUUUACUAGUACAAGAUUUUUUUUUUUUGUUGAACUACAAAAUUGAAACCAAGUUAAAAAGAUUCUAACACUAGAUUUUCGCAUAUAGCUUAACAAAAUUAAUUUUUUUUUAUUUUAUUGGUUAAUUAGUAACUCAGGUGGCAUGAGUCAGAUGUGAGUUAUUAUUAUUGUUUAAAGUGAACCAUUAUUUUGUUUCUUUUUUAGCAAAAUUUGUGUUUGGAUUGCAUUUUCUAGGAUUUUUUGUAGAAAAAAUACUGUAGCGAUCUGAUGUAUGUGAGGAAAAAAGGUAAUAGGGAAACGUGAACACGGAAAACGACGCAAUUUUCCGGCACAAAAAAUGGCUAUCAAAACAAUUACUAAUUUAAUAAACAAAUGACUGCUUGUGAUUAUAUUGGACAACUGAUUAUUUUCUCAAAUAUAUUUGUUUACAUCAUCAUUACAAUUUUCAAUACACCUUUUUAUCUUCUCAAUUACCUUUUUAUCUCACAUACAUCACAUCACAAAAAGUGCUACAGUAAAAUAUCUCAAAUAACUUACAAUCCAAACAAACUUUGCCUUGUUUGGAUUGCAUUUUUCUGGAUUAUUUGUAGAAAAAUUACUAUAACGAUUUGAUAUAUGUGAGGUAAAAAUAUGAUUGAAAAAUAUGUUAUUUGAAAAAUGGCAAGCAACCAAGAAAGUUGACAACAUGACUUGCCAACUCUUUUCUGUGCAUAUCCUCCAAUGGUCACAUUCCUCGUGCAUCAAGAAAGCUGUUCAGCAAUUACUCCAAUCCAGCCUAAUUCCAACCAACUUGUUAGAACAAUUCUUCUGGCUUCAAUGCAAGUAAAAAGCAAACUCAAUAAUGGGAUUCACUUCCAAGUACACUAACCAGGCAAGCAGUUGAUCUUAUAUGUACAAAUUUCAAGCCUGAUCUUACGGAAAUCAAACAGUAGUGUGGGAUGACUGAAUCAAUUGUGCAAAGCAUUUGCGGAUUCUGUUGUUUGAACAGCAAAUCUUUAGAUAUGCAUAUGAGCAUGAACUGACUUUUGUUUUGGCUGCUUGAUUCUAAGUACAGAUUUUUCCACUCUCAAAAUGAGCCCAAUAAGACAGAAUAUUUAUCCUGCCAGAUUUUUGGCACUACACUCAACAUAGACGUCAAUUCUUUCUUCCCACUGCUCCUGAACCUAAAUUUGAGGCUUGAUCAUGUGAUCAUUCAAGAUUCAUUUUUUUCUUUUGGGAUUCUACUUCACUUAAUAAGCUGCCAAAGUAGCUUAAACCGUCAUGGGGUCUUCUGAUGGAUAGUGGAAAAGCGCCAAAACAGAGGGUUGAAAAGGUUGUCUGCUGUACAAUUCUGUUUCCUGAAUCAGCGUGUGCCGUCCAAGGUGAAUCCAGCUAAUUAGACAACUUAUUAGGCGGAAAAAACAAAGGGAAAGGGAGAUAGAGGGGUGGAGAAAAGACCCAAGCGAAUUACUUGGCCACCACCUAUCUCAUCAAAAGUUGUUAUUUAAAGUGACUUCUCUUAAAUCUAUAUGAUUGACGGUAAUUUAGUUUUCAUCGAUUUCCGUGAUUCCGUUGCAUCAUUUUAGGACUGUUCACGAAUCGGCUCACAUGCAGCUCGAAUACGAGCUCGACUCGAGCUCGGUCAAUAUCGAGUUCGAGCUAAUCAAGUCGAGUUCGAAUUCGAGUUCGAGUUCAAAAACAUUAAGCUCGUUGGUUUACGAGCGGUUUGCAAGCACGAUUAUAUUUUUUUUUAUUUUUUAUUUUAAUAGUAAAAUUACAUAUAUAUUUCUAAUAUUUUAUUAUUUCUUAAAAAUUAUUAUUUUAUUCAUUUUUAAAAAUAAAAAAUUAUUUUUUAUUUUUUAAAAAUGAAAUAAUUAUUAUUUUUUUAUUUUUUAAACUCGAGGUCGAGCUUGACAUUUUGAGCUCGAGUUCGAACUUCAUAAAAUUAACUGGAGGCUCGGUUUAAUUAGAUCAAAAGUCGACUCAACUCGACUCGUUUGCACCCCUAGAUCACCCUCUUAAUAUAAGUUAAAGUAAGAGGAUCACCCCUUCGUAUGAGUUAAAAUAAAUCAUGUCGAAUUAUCCCUUUAAUAUAGAUUAAAGUAAGAGGAUCAUUCCUUUAAUAUAAGUUAAAGUAAAAGUAGAUAUAAAUAGUGACGAUAGGCGACAAAAAAAAAAAAAAAAAAAAAAAGAAGAAGUUCGAGAGUCAUUGCAUUAUUCCUGUCGACAUGACUCAAACUUCAAAUUUGGCAGCUGCCAUUCUAUUUAAGAAUGACAAAGUGAAUCGCAGUUAAUCUACCCAAUGGGGAGAGAAAGCCCUCUCAAUUCUACUGCGACGAGUUACUAAUUAAUUUUAAAAGAUUUGUAGAGUAUAUACUAUAUAGAAAUAUGAUGGUUUGGCUAGUUAAUAGCGAAUGGCACAAGUCAAGAGACUUUUUCAACCAUAAGAAACACACACACCCGGAUCUAAGGUGAAUCCACCGGUUUACCAAAAGGCAAUUGCUGACUUCUGGAUAAAGUCAAGAGACGCUUCAAGUAUUAAUUUUUUUAACACAAAAAAAAAAAAUUAGAGAAAGUGUUUAUAUGCAGAGUAUAAUAUAAAUAUAAGUGUGUGUUCACAUAAUAAGUUAGGCAUAAUGUCAGACUAAUCUUGAUCAUAUUAUAGGCAGAAUGGGCAGAAAGGAAUCAGAGUACUUUUAUUCUUACUUUUAAUCAUUUCAACCAUGCCCUUUUUUUUUCUUUUUUUCUUUUUUUGAGAUUUGAAGUAGUGAUCCAACAUCAUUGUCACCAGUUGCAUAUCUAGUCAUUAUUCAUUAAAUACUGUCAAAGAGACUGAGUAAGCAAUCGGACUUUUCUUGAACUUAAGCCAAAGUUACAUAUGUCACAAUUUUUUCACAAUUUUUUUGAAAAACAUGUGGCACAAUUAAGUGAACCGCACAAUUUGUUGAUUACACGGCACCCCAACAUCCAUUCUAUACGUUAAGCGUGAGAAAUGGAUUUGGUGUUAACAUUGGGAUUAACAUUUAUUAUCAUUUUAUUUAAUUAUUUAUCUAUUUUUAUUUUUAACUAUUUAAGUAUUUGCUUUGAACAUAAUUAACCCUAAAUAUUAUAAUUAUCAAUAUAAAAUUAUUUUAUGAAAAGUUUUUAAAAGAUUAAAGUUUGGUUCAGUAAAAAAAAAUUAUUUAAAAUAUCUGACCAUAAAUAUUAUGUAUUUUUUGAUUUCACACGCAUUGGAUGUGCAUUGAGCACUAGUAUAAUAAAAACCCACCAUGCUACAUUCCACUGUAUUGCACAAAAGGGGUAUUGUAGAUUCUUCUACAAAUGAAAUCGACCUUAGCUGAAUUUUUUGGCCAUUGUGGAACUCACGAAUGAAACGAUCAAAUGGAACCGGAAUGUACAAAAGAUAAAAUUUGUGAGCUCCAUUAUCUCAUUGAGAUCGGGAGACUGAAUUGUAUUUGUUAUUAUACCAAACCAUGAUGGGAUUUAAUGUUUUCCCUGAACAGUGUUGCUCAUAUACCUAUUUUUCUUAACUUGAAUUUUCUCAAAAAAAAAAAAACUGUUGUUGAUAUUCAAAGCUAAUUUAUAAUAUUUUUUAUGCGAUGAAAAAAAUAAUUAAUUUUGGGAAACUAGUACGACGCUCAAACCACUUUUAAACUCCAUGGCCCUCAGGAAAUUAAGGGUAUGGUUGGGGUUGUGGUAAUUUAUUGAAAAACAUUUCACCAAUAGAGUUUUUAAUAAAAACACUUAUUAAGUAUUUAAGGGCUUUUAAAUAUAUUGUUUGAAUAUAUAGUUUAAUAAACACUUAUUGUAUUGAAUAGUGUAAAAUUUAAAAUUUUGUAAAUAUAUUUAUCUUUUAUUUAGUUCAUAAUAUAAGAUGAAAUCAUUAAAUUUAAUGUUUUACUUUUUAAAACAUAAAAACUAUUUUGAUAGUACUAAAUUUGAACUUUUGCUAAAAGUACUUUUAAUACGAAAAGUUUCACUCCCAAUUUUAUGCGAUGAUAUUCACCAAACAUCUUUAAAAUAUUUUUAAUAUCCAAAAGUGCUUUUUUAUCAGAACCACCACAACCCAAACGGGCCUAAGACAAUGAUACUAGAAUUUUUACUCUCUUGACCUCACCAUGUCUUGUGUACCCCAUCCCUUCCUUCAUUUUUCACCUUCACUCUUGUUCCCAACACUACACAAUCUGAUACACAAAUUUAAGUAUAUCCAACGUAAAAAAAGAAAGAAACUCAAAUUCAGAUUUUCUCUAAGGUGCCUUUCAGUUUCUUAUUUUGUUUUCUUGUACAGCAUCUUUUUCAAAUCAAAUUGGAAAAUGUUCAACCCUAGAAAACACUUGAAAUGCAGUAUAUACUAUAGGGUACAUAGGUUUUCCCUGUUCAUCUGGAAAUAAACACAGAUAUAGGAUCUCAUCUUGCUAUAUAUAGAGUACAAGGGAUUUUUUUUCCCCCAUAGAUUUGUUAAAAACUAACCUGGCUAUAGGAUAUUAUUUUCUUUACAAUCAAAAGUAGAAUGACAAUUUCAAAUGGUACUGUUCUGAAUUAAGACCAAACCCACUGCUCUAUUUUAAAGCACACAGAUUGAGCAACUACAUGCUGCAUUUGUUGUUAUUUCUUGUUUGCAAUUUUUUUUUUAAAUUUUUUUCCUUUGAAGGCCUUUUUCCCCGUUUGAAGCCCAUAAUUUGGGUUUCUUUUCUUAAGAAGUUCAAGUGAUCCACUGGAAAGUCAAAUUUGGGCUGUCCAAAAGUUUGAUUAGAUCGCCCAAUUUCAGCCCAGUUCCAUCCUCGACAAGGCAAUUUGAUACGCGCCACAGUCGCAUUGGUUUAGGACCUUUUUAGGUUGGGCAGUUCAGUCAAAUUUUGGGUUCACAGAAAAUUUCUCCUCUCUCCCUCUCUUUUUCAUUUUUAUUUUUCCAAGAAACAAGAACUUGUGAGGACAAGAAAUCACUGCUCUCGUGAUCAGCAAUAAUUUAGGGAUUGCAAUCGGGGCGGGGGAAUUUUUUCUCCCGUUUACAAUGUUGUAAAAACCGGACCGUUAAUUGAACCGGUAAAGUGAAAGGGUCGAGGUUCAACCGGUCGGACCGGUUCAAUUCCGGUUCAAUGAAUUUUUUUAAAAAUAAUUUAUAUAAAUAUAUAUAUGCACAAAAUAAGACAUGGAAUGGACUAAUUUAAUACUUUAUAUGAUGAAAAGUUUACUAUUUUUUAAUAACUUGGAUUUUUAAAAAUAAAAAUUUUAAAUUAUAAGUUAAAACAAAUAAAUUUCAUCUCAAUUUCACUUAUAUCUAAAUCCAACCCAAAAAUAUCACAAUAUUUUGAAAUUAUACAAAAUUCACGUCUAUGAGAAUUUAGAUAUUGUGAACUUAAAUUUUAAUUUACGUUUUGGAAUUUAGAGAUUGCAUUUUAAAAAAGAAAGUUUGGAGUUCGAAGGAAGUCAAGAGAAUCGAAAAUAGAAAUGUAAACAUGAUAAGAAACUAAAAAUGAGAUAAAAGUGAGUGGUUGUGGCAUUAAAUAAUUUGGGUUAAAGAAAAAUAAUUCUUUUUUAACUUUUUCCAAUUUAAUGGACAAAAACAAAAUUAAAAGAUGGAAGAAAACAUCAAUAAAUUAAAAAUAAAGAGGUUUGAUUAAAAAGGGAGUGACAAAAGAAAAGAGGAUAGAGAGAGAGUUGAAGAUUAAAAAGAAAGAGCCAUGAGAGGAUGAGAUUUUGUAAGAAAAAUAGAAAAAAGAAAUAUGAGUGUUUGUUUUACAUAAAUAAGUUAUAAAAAAAAAACUAAUAAGAUGUGAUGGUGCAACGGUUAAUACAUUGGUCUUCUAUUACAAAGUUCUUGAGUUUGAAUCUUGAUAGCUGCAUUUUGCAAAACUUAAAUAAUGAAUCUUGAUAGCUGCAUUUUGCAAAAUUUAAAUAAAAAAAAAGGAAAGUUGAAAAUCAGAAACCACCGAUUCAAUCCGGUUCGGCGGUUUUCACGGUUCGAUCAAUUUUUGACCGAUUUUCUGACAAAGUCAACAAUGACAUAGAACCGAACUGGUGCCAUGGCCGGUUCGAAACAUUGCCCAUUUAGAAACGAGGCAGGGGCAGGGGAUUCCCCCAUCUUGUCAUCUGUCAAAAAAAUAAUAAAUAAAUGUAUGUAUAUAAUUAUAUAUAAUAUUUAAUUUAAUUAGUUACAAACUUAUAAUAAUGAUAUUAUUAGUUAUAUGUAUUACAUAAUAAAUUUUAGUGUAUGUAAUAUAAUUGAUAUUAUCAAUUAUACUAAUAAUUAUAUAUGUCUACUAAUAGAAAUUAUUAAUAGUUAUACUAAUUAGCUAAUACAUUUAUACUAAAUUUCUAAUUACACUUAAUACAAUAACACUUUUUUUCUCAAAAAAAAUACAAUAAUGAGUUAAUAAUUAUAUUUGUGUCAAAAGUAAAAACUUGACUACUUUACCUAUAUUUAUUUCAUGAUGUUAGAUUGUAUUAAAAUAACUCGUGUUUGACUAUUUUUAUGGAUCUCAAUUGUGAAAUUAUAAUGAACAAUAACUUGAUAAUAUGUUGAUAUUUUAGUACUUAAUUAUUUGUUAAAAUUUGACUAUAAAAAAAUUAAAUGAUAACUUUUUAUUAACUCCGCGAGAAAAACAGCAAAUAAAUCAACACUUAAAUCCUUGCUAUCACUACUAUUUUCAUCAAACGACACAACUACUGAGAGGUGGGAGAAGUGGGGGGCGGGGGGUCCAAGGGGAAUUAGUGGACAGCAGGCGGGAGAGGGGUUCUCGGCCUCAACCCUGCCCCGUUGCCAGCCCUACAAGAAUUAGAAGUAUAUCUUGAGAAAUCAUACAGCAGGUACAUUAGAGUAAAAUUUGCAUUAAAUUGAAGUAAACUUUUCACUGUGCUUUUCCACAGUCAUUAAAGGUAGUUCUAGCUAUGUUAUGUCUUGAGAAGUAAAAACGAAACUUUACCAGCAAAAUGCAAUCUGCACAACCAUCUAUGGUAUAUUCUAAAUUGCCGAACAAAAGCAACAAAAAAGUCUUCCGCAAUUUACACUUUGAACAGAACCGUUGACGCAGAUUUGCCAAUUUAUCCUUCCCCAUGCUAUCAUCCUAUAUUCAGAUGUGGCUUCUUCGGCGAACAAAAGAUUGAGCCAGGAGGUUUGGCACUACCGUAGCUGGACUCUGAUUCAUCAUCAUCACUGUUGAUGUCAGUUGGUGUUACUCUGUUCUGGUAACCUCUGCGAUGGAGAAGGCAGACAUUGAAGUAGUAGCUUACCAGUGAUUCCCUACUUCUGUUUGGAAAAGCUUUAACAAUUUCAUGCCAGAAACACUUGCCAAGAGACAAAGGGUUUGACUUCACUAUAUUAUGGAACUUCUUCUCUUCUUCCUUUGUCCAAGAAAGUGCAACAUCUUCACCCAUAUUGUCGAAUUUCCAUCGAUAAAAUGCAGGCCCCAACUCAAGUUUCACCCUCGUCCUCUUUUCAGAGACGUGGAACCUAACACAUUCCAAGGAACCAGGAAUUUGGCAACCACACGAAUCUAGUCUUCCCUUUCCAAUGCGUUCCCUUUCAAUUAAGUUUCUAUUUUGUUCUACUCUUACAAGUGGCCAAUAUUGGGUACCUAGCCACUUAGAAUCGCUUUCACAAGCCUUCCCAGUCCAUUCUGGAACAUCUGCUUGAAAUUGUGGCCCCAAAGGAAUACGCUUUUUCCGAUGACGACGACUCCCCACAAAAUCAGCUUCUGAAUCUGAAGAGGAAUCAGACUGUGUGUCAUUGAACUCCUCAUCACUUUGAGUACCAGAAGAACACGACUCUGAGAAAUUCCGGGCCCUUGACUUUUUUGAAGGAUCUUUUGCAGAAAGUAGCCUCUGGCUGAAUCUCUGUCUCUCAGAACCAACUUGAUCAUCAUACAAGACUGGAUGCAUCUUUUGUUUCUUCUGCAAACACAAAAAUCAUCAUCUGCUGCUCAACAAUUUUAAUCGCAUAUGCACAAAAGACGACAACAGGACAUGACUAUAAAAGGAAGAAUUCAAUUAAGUUGAAAAAUUCAUUUCAGCUAUAAAAUGUAACAGAGCUCGAUCAUAUUAGUGGCAAGAAAAGGACAAUUGGUCACAUCUUGAGAUCGUAAAAUGGAUGUAUAAAGAAAACCUUAGGCAAAAUUAAAAUGGUAUGUUUCUGCCAUUAUCCACAGCAGAUUAGUGUCCUUCCUUUUGUGAAGUCUAUAACAAUGCAAAUACAUAUUCCUUCAAACGAGUACAGAUUACUGAACACAGAAGAGUCAAAAAGAGUCCAACUGAACUCAAACUUUUCCUCGUAUAAGAAAACAAGGAGGUGAACUGAGUAAUCAUGAAUAAUGGUAUAAGGAAAACUGAAGGCUGAGGCAGGUGAUGUUUACUGCACUUCACUGUUGCUUUUCCCUAGUGUGAAUGCCAUUGUAAUCACUUAGCAAAACAGAAGGCACGAGAAAUGCCAAAAAUGUUUGAGGUGAAAAUAUAUAUGCUGAUUAAGAAGUAACUCAUUUGACAAUUUUGUCCUUCCAGUUCUAGAUGAGGAUAAAUAGUGGAAUUAAACUGCAAAUCCUCAAUUAGAUUUUUCACCUAAAACCCACAACACUCUCAAGUAAUAUCUGAUCGUCAUACCUGCCUGGCAGCAACCCAAUUCAUACACAAGUGCAGUAAACAUGAUUCAUGCUUGCUCAGUAGAAACCCACAUCAAAAUGCAGCAAUCUAUAUAUUAUGGUAAGAGAAAGAGAGAAAGAUAGAAGCUACUGCAAACAGCAUGUGAAAAGAUGUAACUCAAGAAAGGAAUUAGCCUAUAAGUCAAGCUAUAACAGAGAAAUAGGAAUUAGCCAUCACGAAAUAUUCAGGAGUGUACUUUGCUAAGUUAAGUUACACUGCUAGAUUCUUGUUGACCUACGUUGUUAAUAUGAUAUUUAUUUUGGGCGCAUGCGUGAUUGGAUUAGGUGGGCUGAGUUGCACCAGAAUUAGAAGUCUCAUGAUUCCCAGGACUCCUUCCAAAAACAGAUAUUACAUGUUUGGUAAGAUUCAGUAAUUGACAAGAAGCAUAUUUAUUUCACGAGACAAAUAAGUGAAUUCUGUAAUCUAAUACAACCUAAUUAUUAGUGAUGAGAAUGGCCAACAAACGUAGUGGGAGAGUUGUAUUAGGAAAAAAAUAACCUGAAACAAUUUAGUAUAUCCACAUUCCUAAGAACAGUUAGAUAAAAUUCUUUCCUAGUUAAGUGGAGUUUCAUGGAUCUUUUGGCAAUAACUUACUCCAACAAUUACUGUAUGGUCCAUGUAUAAAGCUCCAUAAUACGACAGAAGUUAGUGUUGCAGGGGAAUUACUCCAAAGCCAGUCUUGAUAUUUUUACGUUGAAGAUGUGUUAUAAGAUAGGCCAUUAAAGGCUGAUGCCUCUGAUUUUUGCUUUGAUCAAAGAAAAUACCUGCGGCCCUAUUUAAUGAACAGCUUAUUAAUCAUGUUAACCCCAGACUUACAUCAACAAAAAAGAGAGCCAAAAUGAAGAACCAUGUAUAAUAUCUAUGCAGCAUAAGCUGACUGACAAUGAAGAAAAAUUCAAAACAAAUUUCAUUCAGACUUUCACCUUUUAUGUUCAUCUUGAUACUUAUAUACACAAAGGAUACAAAACUGUCAGUGUAUACCUGCAAAAUUGAAUGUUGAUCACUUGACUCGGAGUUCCUUUUUGACAUCAUUGCCUCUCGAACCAACAGAGCCUGUUUCCAGACCAAGUCAUUUGCGUAAUACUUCCACUUGGACUUAUCUGGUAAGAACCCAAUUGCCGGAUCACAGGGAUCCCUCGCAACCCUGUUAAUCCAUUUCAGCAUGCUCAAGUAGCUCUCCCGCCUCCUCUUUCUCCUAACAAGAUCUUCCUUCCUACUACUCGAAUCCAAUUGUGUAUCACCAUCCUCCAUCCUUCUUUCUUCCCUAAUGCCAACCUCAAAAAGAUUAUCAACACCAUCAGGUUUUUCCUCUACAUCAAAACUCACAAAACCACACUCGCCUCCAUCAUCAGCAGCACUAGUUUUGUCUCCAUCCUCAGCAUCUCCAUUUAAUUUGACGAGGCCUCCAACUUCAUCAAGUCUAGCAAAUUUUCCACCACUUUCAAAAUCGAACUCCUUUUUCUUCAACUCCACACUCAUAACUUCUCCAUCUUUCUUCUUGUUAUCUACAAUCCCUGAUAAAAACCCCUUCAAAUCAGACUCCAAAUCCAUGAGCAACUCUUUUAAAAUAUCCAAACCACUCUCGUUCGCUCCUCUUUCUGAACUCUCACCUCUAACUACUCUCUGCAAAGAUUUAUCUAAUGUAUCCAAAUACUUCACAUAAACCAACUUCAAAGCCGAAGCUGAACUUGAAUCAACUCCACAUUCCAGAGCCACCGAACCCCAUUGCCCAGUUUUUGAAACCUUCUCAAGUCCACCUCUAUCUCUAACAUUUAAGUAAACUUUAAACAAAUCUACAGAUUGCCCAUUACCCAGCAUUGGAGGCAAUGGUCUAAAACACAGAAUCCCAAAAGAUUUUUUGAGAAAAACAGGCAAAAAUUCAUCGAAUGAAGACUUAAGAUUACCACUGGAACCUUUCUCUUCUUCUCGUUUUGCAGCAGUUGUACUAGCACUGACAGACCCUUUAGAAACAGGGCUGUUAUGAUCCAACCAGGAAGGCUGCUUCGCUUCUUCAACUUUCCGGUUAAAUUUGAAGCUUUCUAGACCUGACCCAUCAACUCUCUUCAACCACCCUGCCAUUAAUUUGUGAAUUCAAGCCCUAAAAACAACUCAUUACAUUCAUCCACAAAGCGAAGCCUAUGCCAAAACAAAACAAACAAACCAAAAAAAAAAAUGAUGACAAUAAUAGUACUUCACACGGUGUAUGAUUGUGCAGUGUGUGUGUGAAAUGAGUGUGCGCAAGUGUGUGAAGAAAUGGGCGGGACAAAUCCAAAGAAGGGUUUUGGAGCUUAAGCGAGGGAAUCAAUCAAGUGGGUUUGUAAGGAGAAAUGGGUUUCUUUGGCGGGAAGUUUUUGAUACAUCAGAUUAUCUGGGGGAAAAAUAAAUUUUUUUCGGACCCCAAGAAUUCGAGUGCCGCUCUCUCUCUCUCUAGAAAAUGCCCAAGAGAGAGAAAGAGGGAAGAGGGGGAGACGGGGUCGGGGGGUCAGGGAAAGGAAAUCAAAGCUUGGGUUUUUCUUUUUUUUUUUUUAAAUUUUCCUUCCUAAGGUUUGAACAGAACCAGGCCCUUCCGUAGAAAACCCAAAAAUAAUUGCAAAUAAAAAAAAGAAUACAGAUAAUUAUUCUGAGGGCUACUAGGGAAAGGGAAAAAAAAGAGGGGAAAAGAAGAGAAACGUACCAGUGUAAAUUUGAGAGGAUGGGAUUUGGGAUGUUGAUUUCGAUUUGUUUUUGUUUUGUUUUCCUGUGGAGAGGGUGUUAAGACCAAAUAUUUGGAGAAGGGGACCCUAAAGCCUAAAAGAACGACUUUUUUCCGCUCUCGAGACUUGAGAAAUAAGAAGAGAGAAUUGAGAGAGUUGUUAUUGUCGAUUUCUCUCGGACGGGUAAAGACUUGAAGAGUGACUCUAAAGAAUGGACUUUUGUUUUCUCUCUUUUGAUGCCUAAUAUUCUAGGAGAUUUGUAUCGGUAGUCCAAACCUAAUUUUAGGGUGUUUCAACCCCAAAAAAAAAAACCCUAAAAUUAAUUUUAGGGUUUUUGUGGGGGUUAAAAGAAAGAAGAGAAAAGCAAAAAGAAAAGGAUGGGGAUGUUAAAUUGAGAGUUGGGACUUUUGGGAGGUGGAAUUUGGGAUGGGAAGAGAUAGAUCUAGAUUUGUAAUGGAAGGGAGACAAAAUAUAAUAAGGGGUCUACGAUUUGUGUUUUCUAAGGAUUGUGAAAGAAGACUUCAAAAAAGGAUUGUCAAAAGAAUGGAGAAAACACUUAUUUAUAGGUGAAACUUUUGGAUUGGCUUACUAUGGUUUGUUAGACUAAGGUACUGAGUUGGUGAUGGGUUGAGUAGAAAGGAUUUUGGGCAAACAAAUUCUUAUGGCUGGUCAAUUGGCUUUGUCCUUGAUGGAUUAAUGGGUCUUUUUCCCGAGUUAGUGCAACUAUGACAAUUUUAUAAGUAGUACUAAAGACAAAAUUUUUUAAUGAAAGAAACAAGUUUUUUUUAAAAAAAUAAUUUUUUGGUAAGCAUAAGUUUUUUUGUUCUUUUUUUUUUUAAGAUCAAAAGAACAUAGUGAGGUAUUGGUAAAAGAUGAAAAAGAGAGUAAGGUCUUACGGUGAAUCUUUCAUUGUGAUUUCAUAUGAACAGCAAGAGAAAAAUGUUAAUGUCUUGAAUCCAAAUUAAUGGUGUAUAUAGAUUUUCACCAACAAGUACAUGCUCCACCUUUUCAAAAUGAGGUUAUAAGUUGAUUAAAUUGUCAAACUUUUCAACUGUGUGAAGUUGAAGCCCCUUCGUAUAUUUCAGUCAAUUGAUUUGAUUUGGACCUUUUUUUUUCUCCAGAAACGAUAAGUGAUUUUAUUAAUAGUGACUAUAUAAACUAUACAACUGAUUAAAUUAUCAAACUUUUCAAUAGUGUAAAGUUGAAGCCCCUUCGUAUAUUUCAGUGAAUUGCUUUGGUUUGGACCAUUUUUUCCUCCGGAAAAGAUAAGUGAUUUUAUUAAUAAUAAUGAGUAUAAACUAUACAAUUGGUGAGCAAAAGCUCAGAAAAUAUCUAUACAGGUGCACCUUGUCACUAAGGAUGAAGCCACUCAUUAUCAAAAGAUAUGCUUAAUGUAUGGUUACUAAUAUAAUCAGUUCUAUCUAACAAAUUUGAUUAGGAUGGACAGAAUAGAACAUCUCUUUAUGGAUGUGUGAUUGUGAAAGGAAGAGAUACCCAGGAUGAAGCUUUCAGUAGUUAUUCCUUAACCCUAAAACUAUAUCUUGUUUUCCUUUAGAUAGUUCAUUCCUAAUCAUUGAGUGUAUUUGAAUAGGAGAUUAUUUGAAAUAAUUUUUUGAAAAAAAUAUUCUAGUACUUUUUUAUAUAAUAUAUGUGAAAUAAAAAUGAUGAUUAAAAAAUAUGCUUAUAAUACAAGUAAAUAAAUUUGUGCAAAUAAUAAACUAUCUAAACAACUAUCAAAGUAGAAAUAUACACUAUCUAAACAAAAAUAUUGGUGCCUCCUUUUAGCAUCUUGUUCCAUCUUUCCCUGUCCUUUUUCUCCGUCAAUUCCCAACCAAAUACCAUGAGAGACCAUUAGCUACUUUUGGUUUAUGCUAGCAUCUUCAAAAUACAUUAGCAAUUUAGCACCACCACCAGUUCUGCUAACCCCGUUGGCCACUACUUUUACCUCUUUCUUUUUCGCUUCUUUUAUGUUGCCUAUAUUGAUAUUAGUUUUAUUUAAAAUACACAGACACAUUCAGCUAUAUAUAUAUAUAUGUGUGUGUGUGUGCGCGCGUGUGUAUUGUAUAUGUGCAUGUUGUGUGCGUACAUUUCUAGGUAUUUUGUAUGUAUACACCUUUAUGGAAGUGUGGUGUCUUUUUCUCAAAACAUGAAGGACACAUGCAAGCCCUAAACUUUUUUUUAUAUAUAUAAACAAAAUAAUUUCAUUAUAAAAAAUAAGCAUCCAACGAAAAAGAUUUAAAACAUGAAAUUUGAAAAAUCAUCAAAUUACCACUAUGAAGCUACAAAAUAAUUUUUUAGCAUCAGAUGAAUUUUUGCAACCUCAAAUUGUGUCUUCAACGGCCAGAUCAAAUGCAAACUUGUUUUAGACCUCCCCUCCCCAAAAUUAGAUCUAACAAUUUGGGAUUAAAAAUUUUCAACUAUGAGAAAGUAGAUCUAAAAAAAUCUUAGAUAUAACAUUAAAAAAAUUACUAAUAACUCUGAAAAAUAAAUUUAAGGAUAGGAGAAACUCUCAUUAGAUAAAAUUAGGAGAAAAGAAAUCCUAACUUAAAAAUUCAAGGACAAGGAAAAAAAUCUCAAGAGCCUAUAAGAGACUUCCAUACAAACAAAUAAGAAAAAAAGGACCAUAGAGACAGAUCUCCCGUAGAAAAACAAAAAGGAGUUAUGCAUAGAAGAAAUUAUGAAAGAAGGCAGAGAAUAAUUCUUAUAAAGGAAAUAUUUACUCACAUAGCUUUCUGAUAAUCUUUUACCUAUAGACCCACACAAGCUUCGAACUUAAUUAAUUAUUUUAAUAGCUGUAAAACUAAUUGUUAAUAAUCUUAUUGUCAACCAUAAGCUUCAAUCUUUUUUAAUUAAUCUCAUAAAUUAACUUCAUUUUUUCUUUGUCAUGAAACUAAAUAAAAUUUAUAUUCAAAAGAUUUUCUCAAAUUUGAAUUCAUAAUUCAGUUAUACCUAUGAUAAUUCCCUAUUCUAUGACUUAUAAAACAUCAUAAACCUUCUAUAAAUUGAUUAUUCCCUAAUGCAAAUUAAUUUUCUUAGUAUCACUUUUGCUUGUUCAAUAACUUUGUCUAUUUCUUCAGUUACUUUAAUGAAUUUAUAUAUUGUGGCAUGUCGUGCAAAUAAUGUGAUGUGAGAACAUACCCAUAAAAAAGAUGGAAAUAAUCAAGGGACAUGGAGAAUAUGGGAAUAAAAUUUCAAAUUAGAAAAGAGGGAGAAAUAACUUCAAGAAGAAAGAAAUAGAUGAAAAGAAUCCUUCAAUGAACAAGUAAUUGAUGAUUAUUGUCGGAUAAAUUAUAAAGAAAUAAUAUAACAAAUUUUGAUAAGAGUGGAUGAUGAGCAUAUACAUAGACACACACAUACACAUAUAUACAAACAUACAUACAUACAUGCACACAUAUAUAAGCAACAAUAUUGAGACUUUUGUAUUAAAAGAAUUUCCCUCAAACUAGACAACAUAGUAUAAAAAUUAGCCAGCUAAGUGAUAUAUAAAGGCAAGAAAAUAUUUAGAUAAAUUUGGUUUUUAUGUCUAUUGGUAAGCUAGUUGAAAUCGCACAAUUAGAGUGAGGUAAAAUAAAAUGCAUAGGGUUUUUCAGAGGCCUUAUUUGAUGCUAUUAGAAGGGCAAGUGCAGUUCAACUAGAGUGGCCUUUGUGAACAUGAGAAGCAAAGCAAGAUGUGCUUGGAUGCUUAGUUUUUUGGCUAGUUUUUAAUAGAUAAAGUUUUUCUCAAAUUUUAUGUACAGUAAUUCCAAAAAAUUAUAAAAUUUUUAAAAUACACACUUGUCUCUCUCUUCUAUCACCACCUUCCUACCUCAACUUAUCAUCGUCGCCACCAUUGUUGCCUCGCUAUCGUCAGCUACCUUUCUUUUCUUUUUUUCUAUCUCUAUCUACCUUUCCUCCUUCUUCCCUUUCUCCUCCCCCUCUCAUCCUUUCUUCUCCUCCCUCAUCCUUCUUCCCCCUUCUCUCAACACUCUCUCUCCUCAUCCUUCUCCUUCUCUUCCCCCCAUCCCCUAUGACCUCCGCCCUUUACUAUCCAAAUUUGGUCCAGAUCACAGAUUACAGAUCGAUAUAUGGACCAAAUCCACUCGAAUCUAGACCGAUCUAGACCAAUUCUGGAUCAAGCAAGGGAUGGCGCCGAGAAUCUGAGAAGAUGAGGAGAGAAAAAUGGAGAGGUCGAAGGGAAGAAAGAGAGGGGGUGGGCGGGAGAAAGGGAAAGAAAGAGGAGUAAGAGGGAAAGAGAAAGAAAGAGGUAAACGAAGAAAGGAAGAAAAAAAAUGGGAAGCAGCGGAAAGGGAAUGAAAGAGUUGAUAGAAAGAGUUUUUAGAAUGUUUCGUUUUUAGUAGAUUGAUAGAAAAGAAAAACCCGGUUCGAAUUCUUAAAAUGGAAGAAAAUAAAGUUGGAAUGAAUGAAUAAAUAAAUAAGGUCUCGUAGCUUCAAUUAAUUAUAGGAAAAGAUAAAGCAACGAGCUUCUAUUUUGAAUUUAAAUAUUAAAAAUAUAUUAGUACCCAGUAGGAGAGGUGUUGGCCAAUAGCGUUGACUAUGAUUGGAGUAGGGAUGAUAGAAAAGAGGAAGAAGAUAAGCGGAAAAAAAAAGGAAAAAAAAUUAAAACGAAAAAGAAAAGAAUUAAAAAGGUUUUUCAAUUUCUCCAAAAAAAAAAUUUAGAGUAAACUACACUACGCGAAUAAAGAGUUUUAUUACCAAUCUCUUAAGUAACCUUCAUUUGUUUUUCUUUCUUAUAAAACUAAAUAAUGUAUAUCUUCGGAAGAUUUUCUCAAUUUUGAAUUCAUAGUUCAGAUAUCCUUAUGAUGAUUCCCUUUUUAGUAACUUACAACUGAUCAUAAACUUUCAAUGAAUUGAUUAUCCCUUAAUGUAAAUUAAUUAUCUUAGUGUGGCUUUCUCUUCUUCGAUAACUUGUCCAUUUCUUCAUUUAUUUCAAUGAAUUUAUAUAUCGUGGGGGUAUUGUGCAAAUAACGUGAUAUGAAUACCGAAAAAGUUAUAGGAUAGGGUGGAAAUAUGAAGAAUAUGAGGAUAAAAUUUCAUAUUGGAGAAAGGAAGAAAAACAAUUGCAAGGAGAAAGAAAGAAAUGAUGAGAAUCCUUCCAUCAACAAGUAAUUCAAAAUUAUUGUUAGAUAAAUUAUAAAAAAGCAAUAAAACAAGUUCAUAAUAAGUGUGUAUAUACAUAUACAUACAUACAUAUAUAUAUAUAUGCGCGUGUAAAAAUAUUGAGAGCCUUGUAUUUAAAAAAUUUUCCUCAAACUAUACAACAUAGUAUAAAAUUAGCCAGCAACGCAAUACAUAAAAGGCAAGAAAAUAUUUGAAUAGAUCUGGUUUGUAGGUCUACUUAUAGACAAUAAAAUAACAGUUGAAACCAUGUACUAGAGUGAUGUAAGCUGGCGUUAAAGAAGGGAUGAUAGGCAAGGUUUAUAAGUCUAUUUGUUAUGGGUGUAAACAAAUCGAUUCGAUUCGAGUUUCAAUUUAUGAAACUGGAAUUCGAGCUUGAGCUUGACGAGUUUAAAUGUCGAGCUAAGUUCGAGCUUAAAAAAUAAAAAAUACUUAUUUUAUUUUUUUAAAAAAAAUAAUAAUAUUUUUUAAAAAAUAAAAUAAUAUUAGAAAUAUAUGUAAUUUUACUAUUAAAAUAAUAAAUAAAUAAAUAAAUAUGUAAUCGAUCUUGAGCCGACUCGCGAACUAACGAGUUUAAUAUUUUCGAGCUAUCAAAAGGAAAUUUGGAAUUAGGGAUGGCAAUGGGAGCGGGUGACCGCGCGGGAGGCUAAUGGGGCGGGGGGUGGGGCGGGGCCGGGGGGAAAAAUUCCCCCCGCUUAGAAACGGGGCCGGGGGCGGGGGGCGGGGAGUGUACCCCCGCCCCGCCACCCGCUUUAAAAAAAUAAAUAUAUAAAAUAAAUAUAUGUAUAUAAUUAUAUAUAUAAUAUAUAAUUUAAUUAGUUACAAACUUAUGAUAAUGAUAUUAUUAGUUAUAUGUAUUAUAUAAUGUCUAUUAGUAUAUAUAAUAUAAUUGAUAUUAUUAAUUAUACUAAUAAUUAUAUAUGUGUACUAAUACAAAUUAUUAAUUGGUUAUACUAAAUUUACUAAUACAUUUAUACUAAAUCUCUAAUUACACUUAAUACAAUAACAUUUUUUUCUUCAAAAAAAAAAACACAAGCACAAUAAUGAAUUAGUGAUUGUAUUUGUGCCAAAAGUGAAAACUUGACUACUUUAGUUUAUUUAUUUCAUCAUGUUGGAUUGUAUUCAAAUAAUCUUUGUUUGGUUGUUUUUAUAAGUUUCAAUUGUAAAAUUACAAUGAAUAAUAAUUUGAUGAUGUGUUGAUAUUUUAGUACUUGAUUAUUUGUUAAAAUUUAAUCACAAUAAAAUUAUAUAACAAAUUUUUAUUAGUCCCGCGGGAGAAGCGGGGCGGGGCGGCGACGGGGCGGGGGAAGCGGAGGACGGGGGAUGGGGCAGGAGCGGGGGGAGUUUGUAGGCAGCGGGGCGGGGGAUGGGGGAGGGGUCCCCCGCCCCGUUGCCAUCCCUAUUUGGAAUAGAUGCAAAAAGACCUUUAUACUGUUAUUCUGAUAAUGAUUCGGCAGAUAAUGGUGGAUUCUAGAGGCAACAGAGAUAGUGGAAACUUUUUCACUUUAGCUCAUCCAUUUCCUCGUCUGUUUUUCCUGCACUUUUUUCUAGUUUUUCUUUUCUUGGUUUUUUCUUGUGAAUUUGGAUGGAAUUUAAGAGGUUAAACUUGAGAUUUGGAGGACUUUUGGAGAUUGGUUUUAAGAGAAAUGUUGAAAAAUGAAGAUGUGGCCAUGGAUUUUUAUGACUGCAUUUUACGAGAAGAUGCAAAAUGGAAGUUGAGGUCUCUAGUUCAGAUGAUUAGGUGAUUAAGGCUUUGAUGAUGAAGUUGGUAAUGAUUCUAAAUGAUAAAGAAAAUAUAUAAGAACUAAAUUUGCAGAAAAAAAUCAGUAGACCAAAAGGCCCUUUGCUUAUUGUCCAGUGUGCAAGGUGUUGUUUGUGUUAAACAUAACGAUUCAAAUUGACGAAAAGACUCUAAUAUACAUUUUAAUUCGUUGGACAGGUAAAAUUGUUCAAUAAUAAUUGGGUUAACAACAUAAAAACCCCCUGUGGUAUAACUAUUAUCCAGAAAAGCCCCUUGUGGUUUCAUAUCAUACGCGUCGGUACCCUAUGGUUUGAAUUAUUCUGAAAAAUCGACGGAAAUCGUUAUAACAGACGGAGCUGAGUGAAAAGACAAAAAUACCCUAAUGAUAUAAGUGAAAAUUGCAGAAGUAAUUUUGGGCAAGGGCACGGGCCAGGCGGUCGGUAGUGUCUUGACCUGAGACUCCACCAUUGUGGACCUAACAAAGCAAGGUUAUCAAGAUUGAGCUCUUCGGUCCAAGAAGCGUGGCGAUGGGGGAGGAGGUGGUUUUUCGAAGGAACUUCUCGGCGAUGGCAGCAGCUGCUGCGGCGGUGACGGAGGAGGAUGAGGAUGAGGAAGAGUCUGAUACGUCGAGUGCUGCCGCGGUUGGACUGGGGUCGGGUGGGAUGAGGAGGAAAAAGAGGAGGAGGGCCGCGGUGAAGGUGGCAGUAAAAGGGUAUAGGAAGUUGGCGGAUACGACAGGGGGAUUUGCGGACAUAUAUGAGAGAGUAGAGGAGGCGAAACAGAGGCAAAUGGUUGAGUUGGAGAAGCAGAGAAUGCAGUUUGCCAAGGAUUUGGAGAUUCAAAGGAUGAAGCUUUUUAUGGAAUCCCAGGUCCAGCUCGAAAAGCUUAAGCGAUCUAAGCGCAAUUCACUAUCUGGUGGUAAGUUUAUCUGUGCAUUUGCAUAUUGUCUCGAGUAAUGCUGGCAAUGUUACAUGACUAGUUUCAGCCUAGAGUUUCUUGGGUUUCUUGACGAGCCUCUCCUCCACCUCUUCUCUCCAGUUGUAAGUGGGCUUGCUCUCUCUCCUCUCGUUCCUCAGUUGCCUUCUCUCCCUGGCCGUUAGUUGCUUUUCAUUCAUGAACUCUACAGUCGUCGAGAUCGUGAAAGAAAUAAUGGGACUUCGGAGCUUAUUGAAGGCUUUGGAGUAAUGGGUGGACGGGGAAAGAAAGAGAGGACAAGGACUCCAUGUAAGAAGCCUUCGCUGCAGCUCUAUCAUCCCUAUUAGUAUCUCGUUAUUCAAUCUGAUUUUGAUCUGGUUUUGUUUUCUUGGCACAAAUGGCUUGUGUUUCUGCUAUUUUGGUGUUUGUUUGGUUUUGGAUUAACUAGCAAUUUGGUAGAUGAAAGGUAAAAUAGACAUAUCAGGUGAAAGUUUGUAAUAAAAAUCAAUUUUCCCAAGAAACACGCGCCUUUCCAGUGCGUUUAAUACAAACGCCGUACAUUUGACGAUUUUCGUCGACUUUUCAGAAUAAUUCAAACCAUGGGAUACCGACAUAAAUGAUAUGAAACCACAGAGGACUUUUCUGUAUGAUGGCUAUACCACAGAGGGCUUUUAUUUUGUUAACUCAUAAUAAUUGGAAGGUCAAAAAUUAAAUUUUGUCAUAAUUUGAGAACCACUAGGCAUUUUGCCCUUAAUUUUUUUCAACCACUUGUGGCUUGCUUGGCAAAUGAAAAAUUUGUCACAUUUGAGAAAAACAAUUUCUUUUAAUUUUUUAAAAAAAUACCCAACAAAUAUACAUGUAAAAAAAAAACCCCCACUACCCUUCACCCCCAUUCUUCACCACAUUUAUCCCUCAGGACUGCUUACAAUCUCUUCUGUUAUUCUUCUCUUCUAGCCACUCUAUCAUGCAUCUCUCUUCCCAUUUUCUUUUCAUCCUUUCACCACUUUCUUCUGCAUUCCAAAUUGGGCGGUGACAAGUCUAGACUAGAUCAGCCACCACCUCUCCCUUCUUUCAUUUUUCCUUUCUCUUCUUCCUUUUUCACUAUCCCUUCUCCCCCACUCUCGAUAUGGACUAGAAAAGGGAUGAGCAGUAGCAGGGAAGAAGGGGAGGGAGGGAGGAGAAUGUAGUGAUAGGAUAGAAAUAAGAGUAAGAAAGGAGAUAAUAGGUGGCAGAUGGGGAGGUGGUGUGUGCUAACGUGGUGAUGAUCGAUGGCAAGGAUGGAUAGUGUAUGGAGGGUAAAGGAGUUUUAUAACCAUCUUCCAGACACUCUAAAAGAAAAAAAAUUAUUAAAAUUCUACGCUAAAUUACAGUAAAAUUUUAGACAAAUAUUCAAAAAAAAAUCCGUUUGUCAAGCAAAGCCUACAUUGCUAGGUGUCAAAAAGAAGAAAAGUAUGGGAUCAAUACAACUAAUUUACAACUCAACAAUUUCGCCUUUGGAGUAGGGUUACGUUCGAAAGGUCAUUUCCCCGUAUAGGUAAUUCAACCACUUGAAGAAUUUUGAUGUGCGGUGUUGAAGAAAUGAGGGGACCAAGAGUUAAAACUUAUGAAGAAUGAGGAAUGAAAUUGCAAUUUUUGCAGUUUGCAUUUUCCAUCUACACUUGAGAAUCGGAAUUGGGACGUAAACUUUACAUAUUGCAGUACAGGCUGUAUGUAUCAAGGAUCACGUAGCAAUACGUUCAAUCCCAGCUCUACUCAAGCAAAGACGAAAAGGAUUUGUCACCUGGAUUCACAUUCUUCAACUAUCCCGCCCCACUUUCGCAUCCGUUCUGAUGCAUGUGCUACCUGCGUUUCAAUUUUCAAGUAAAAAAAAAGUUAGAAAUGAGAAUAGUUAAUGUUAUGUUGAAUAUAUUUAUUCAGAUUAUAGUAUCAUUAGAAGGCUGGAAAAUCGUAAUUACCUCUUCAUUCCAAUCAGUUUUCCACACAACAAAGCAAAGGACUAAAGUUUGUAAAAAAGUUCCAAAAAUCAUUCCCAUCCAUAUUCCCUGAAACAAACAAUCUGUAAUUGAAUUUUGUGGAGUUUAAAUGAUGAAGAACAAGGAUAGCAAAAUUUCAUCAAACUAGUAAUACGUCACGUGAUUUGCACGUGGAUAUAUUUGUACAACAUAUAUUUUCUCAAGCUAUUUUAUUUGCAAAAUUUUAUUGAUGACAUGAUAUUAACUAAAAAUCUGUGACAUACGACAAUAAGCAAUUGCAAGUCAUACAUGAUAUUUGUUGCAUUAAAGAGAAAACUAAAUGUUUAUUAUGCAUUCCGUCAUUACAAAAGCUUUAAAGAUACAAGUUAUUAUAUCUAAGUUGAGUAUCUACAAUUUUCUUAAAUAGAAUGAGUUGGAAGUCAUGGCUUCUAAAAUUAAUGUAAGAAUUCAAGAAUCUCUCAAGUCUAAACUUAUACAUUUCUAUUAAAAAAAAACUUUGAUGAGGCUAAAAUAAUACCUUAAGAUUCUUCAAGACCACUCUCUAGUAAGUUGAAGUUUUGAACCCAAACCUCCAUUUGAUUCACCAGCAAAAUUAAUUUCCAAUUCCAAUCCAACAAUAUCUAACGUCUUCAUAAUUAAGCCUUCUUUUUCAUGCACCUUGGAAUAUAUAUAUAUAUUUAUAGCUUUAUUCUUCAAUAAAUCUUGAUUUAGGCCAUUUCAUAGGACAUGAGUGGUUCAAUCAGUUAUUAAUACCUACCUAUUUAUUGCUCUCUUUUCUCAUUACAGGAACGGUUGCUUAAGGAGUUUUAGAAUAUGAUGCAGUUAAAAAUAAAUAUAGAAUAUGAUGCAGUAUCGUAAACUUAAUCAUCAACUUAAUCUUCUGUCUUUUCAUCAGCCGUGGAUGACUUUUUCUCUUCUCAUUGUUCGCUAUUUUUUUCUAGACUAAUAUGUAUGACAUGAAGCAAAUAGAGAUAAAGAAAACUAAAACCAUAACAAUGCUUACACUGAAACAAACCUAGACACGUGGUAUUUCUACAAUGGUAAUAGAUGGAUAGAUAGAUAAGAAUUAUUCUUUAAUUGGAGGAUUUAUUUUCAUUCUUAGCAAUAAUAACAAUUCCACACAAAAAUGAAAUUUACAAUGCAUCUCCUUCAAUUUUUUGUUUUUUUUUUUUGUUUUGGGUUGCAUUUUCUUUCGACAACUGUCUUAUACAGUUAUGUUUUUGCAUCAUAGCUUUGAUAACUCCUAUAAACAUGGAAUGAUACUAAUGAGUAAAAGAGAGUACAAAAUCCUUAACCUGUUGAUGAAGUACUUCUUGCAUUUAAAGCAUAAUAUAUCCUUACCUGAACUCCUAAUUUUGCGUUGUAACCUAGAAGAUAUCCAAGAGGAAGACCAAUAACAUAAUAACAAGACAUAUUAAUAUAGGCCACCAGUCCUUGCCAUCCUCCACCAACAGCCACACCUGCAAACCAAUAACUCUUAUUUUCCUGUUUUGGGCUUUUUAACAUAUUAAAAAAAAGAUUAAUCUUUCAUAAACUGACAGUGUACUGUCAGCGUUGGAUGAAUAACAAAUGUGCAAAAUUUGAAUUUUUAAUUCAACUUUUGUGCAUAUGUCAUAGAUCCAACGGUGAUAGUGUACACACUGUCAGUGUAUAUAAAAUUUACUCUUAAAAAAAUAGUGGAAAGAUAAUACUAUUAGUGUCAUUUAUGCCAUUCUUGGCACCUGAUAUUACUGGCUGGACACUAUUAAGCACAAGGGUUACACUGAGAAGGUACGCCAAAUCUGCAACAGCUUUCUGCAUUUUCUCACUGCUGGUGAAUAGAAUAGCAAAAUGGUUCUUGGCUACCAUUAUAGCCACCAUGCAGAGGAUCCCAAUAAGUAGAGAUUGAGCUACAGUUACAUAGACUGAAUAUUUAGCUCCCCUUGGAUGUCCAGAUCCUAGCUCGUUCGAAACACGAACACUGCAAAUUUGUGAAGACAUAGAUGUGUUUUAUAUAUGAAUGCUAAAGUGUAAUGAUUCCUAAGACAACGCCAAGAACUUUUUACUGUGUUGGUAAUUAGUUGCAAUUGUACCAUUUAAGCCCAAAGCUUACCUUUUACCUGUUACAACUUUUUUUUAAUAGUAAUUACUAGCUUGACAAUCUCACAAGGCAAAAGAAUCAACCUAAAGUUGGUUAAGACGUAAGAGAGGAAAAAGAGAAUUGAGUUAUUAGCUGUUUUUUAAAAAAUAAUAAUAAAUUACCUAAUUGCUGCAUUAAUUCCAAUGAAUAGCAUUCCUUCCCAACCAUUCACGUUCAUGCUGAAUAAACACAUAAUGACUAGUCAGGAGAAUUCGUAUAAGAGUAAAAUUAUGAAUGUAGAGAAAAAGCUGCGGCAAUUUGAUCAAGUACCAAAUAGAUAGGGAGCCAACUGCUAGAAUAGGGUCUCCAAGGUGUCCCGUGAGAACAAUAAUGCUCAUAAAAUACCAAAUUUCUAGGCAAAGCAUCACUGCUGAGGCUACAGAAAGCUUUACGAAAGACCAAAUCUCCUUGAAAGCUAACCAAGAAAGUCCCUUCCAUGCAUCUUGGCACCAACCUACAAUAUAUACAACCUGAGCCAAAGAAAUUAUCCAGCCAGAAACGUCAUAAGCUGCAGCUGCACCAGCCGUGCCCCAUUUGAAUACGCUAAUGAAGAGAUAAAGAGCCCCAAUGUGUAUGAUGAGGGCGACACAGCCAACCCACGCUAGAAUCCCAACCUUACUCUGUGCUUGUAAGAACUUCUGGGUGGAAAAAUUGAUGGCUAGGGAAAACAUCUGAGGAAUAAUUUGCAUGGAAAAUGUUCCAGCCAUAUCUGCAAUAUCAUCUCUUUGGCCUAGGAGCUUUAAGAUAGGUGUUGAAUAAAUGUAAAGUGGCAUCAAGCUGAAACAGGCACCUAUUAGGAUUAUCCAAGACCUUUGCAUGUAUAUCCCAAGCAUUUCUACUUGGCCAGCCCCAAAUGCAUGCCCGCAUAGUGUUUCCAGUGCACUGCUCAUCCCAAACUGUAGAUUUAUUUAAAGAUGAAAACCUGAGUAACUUGGCUUUUGUCUACCAUAAAACGUCACUUUUCUCUCUCUCUCUCUUUCCGUUUUAUCUUGAGAAGGGGGGACUUUGGUCGACUUUCAUCAACAUCAGUUCCCACCACCCUACUUAAUGCAUACUAUAUGCAGGUUCAUACUGUGUUUUUACCUGUUGUAAAGACCAUUCUAUCUGAAAUAUAGAAUUAGUACAAUCUUCGAUAAAUCCUAUGGAGGUCUAAGUGGGAAGAAGAGAGGGAAUCCUCUAUAAUGCUGGGAUUUUUUUUCCCUUCCUAUUAUGGGCUUGAUCUUCUUUGCUUGAAAUAGCUAAUUCUAAAUUCUCGAAGCUGAAAGCUAUUAUUCGGGCGUUCUGUUUUUAGUUUAUCUCUACUUCUAACAUACUAAAGUUGAUCUGCAGAAAAAUCUGUCAAGGUGCACGUAUUAGGCUUUAAUUUUCAAAUCUUUUAAGAAAAAAUCUCCUUCCAUUUGUUGAAUGGCUUCUUCAAGAAUCAAUCAAGUAAUGGCAAAAAGAUUGAAGAAUACACAAAUUCCCCAUAUCCUCCAAAAUAUCGAUAAAAACUCUCUUUUAUCUUAGUAAAUACGUCAAAAAUAUAUCAAAAAAAGAAAAUUUACAUCGAGUGCUAAAAAUAUAUGUAAUUGAGAAGUCAAGGAUUCAGAGGAACCUAACCAAGAAACCGAAUGAGAGGUUGGCAAUAACUGACAAAGAGAUUGCGAUUGCAGAGAGCUCCACAUCCCCAAUAUGCCCAACAAAAAUAUUAGUGAAUGAAUUUAUUCCAUAGUUACAGAGAAUGUUGAAAACAAUUGGACCAGCUAUAGACCAAAGUUUCAAAGAUUCAACAUAACAUAUAUUCAUUGCAUCCUCAAAUCCACGAACUGGAGGAUAAUCUCCUUCUGCCUCACCAUUAACUAACACGGCGGAGGGGGCCUCAUGGAGAACAACCUCUUGGGAGGAGGGACCCUUAGGGAGUAUUGGUGACUCGAUAUCCAAUACAUGCAUGGACUUGGGUGAUGAUUCUUCAGAGGGUAAGCCAUUGCUGCCCUCUUCUUUAGCAUUCUGUUUAUGUUUCUCAAUCUUUGCACUUUCUAAAAGACCUACAGAUUUUCGUGGAAGAAUACGAAUAUAACGUUGAAAAUAUGAAGAAUUUUGUUGUUCUUUCCUGUUCUUUCACCGGACAAAGCUUUGUUAUGCAUUUCUUGGAAGUCUCUGUCAUACUCCCUAGCUAUUAAGUAGGCCAUUUUGACAAGUGGCAUUUUUGUUUACAAGAAUUUUGCAAAUUUCACGGUUCUAAAUCGAGCCUCACUUGCAUAAUUGGAUAAAAUAAAAAUAGGGGAUAAUUUCAGAAACCUCCCCUGAGGUUUUCGACAAUUUCACUCGACUCCCUUGAGGUUUACAUAAUUACAGAGAUCUUCCUUAUUGUGAUAAAAAGACAAUAAUGCCCUUUAUUAAUUGUCAACUCAAUGAAAAAUUCUAUCAAAUAUUAAAACUCUCUCAUCAAUUAUUAACCAAUAAUUCAAACCACAGUUCUAUUUAACUAUAUUUUCUUUUUCUCAUAUAUCUGUUUUUCUUUCAAACUCAUUUAUCUAUUAUUAUCAACCAAAUGUGUACUGUCGCUACUUAUAAAAUCACCAUACACUCUAAACCACAAAUACUUACAUAUCUUAGUAUCUAUUCCCAAUUCUCGAUUUUCCAUUAUUAGUAAAUGGUUUCCUUGCGCCCAUUUUUGUUUCCAAUUUUUGAUAGGUAUUAGCAAAUUGAAAUUAUCAAAUGGCAAAUUGAGUGCUAAUUUCACUAUCAAAUUAGAUGGAUAUGAAGAUAGUGACAGUGAUAAAAAAUAAAAAUUAAGGAUAAGAAGUGGAAUAGGAACUAAAUAUAAGUUAUACUAUUAUGGUUAUCAUGAAAAAAAGUGUUCUUGGUAUAUAUUUAUAACUACAUUGUGUUUCUAUUUUUGAUUUACAAUUAUUGAUAUUAUUUCUAUAGAGAGAAUUUGAUUGAUUUUGAACUCUGUGCCAAUGGAAUAUAUUGGAUAUUGAUAUUAGUAGUGAUGGUUUAGAUUAUUUUGUAUUAAAAAGGUGGCAGUCAUGGAAUUGAAAUUUAGGAAUAUUGAUGAAUAUUGUAGUAUAUUAAGUAAAAUCUAAUAUUGUUAUGAAAUUGUAGGUAAGUUUUUGGAUAUAUGAUGUAACAUUUAUAGCUGAUAAAAUGGUCUGCAUAAAAAAUUUUUAGGUAAAAGAGGAACAUUAAAACAAAGAUAAGUGUUUAUUUAAUGAUAAUUUAGAUGUUGAUAAGUAGGUAAUAAUGGUAGGAAAUAAAGAUAAAUGAAAUAGAGACUGUAAACCAUCUUUUCCUUUACAUUUUUGUUAUUAAUUAUAACUCAAGGGUAUUAUAGAAAUUUUGGGAAAAAGUAUAGCCUUUUGGGUCUAGAAUAUUACUUAAAUAGUGAAAAUAGGGGACGUAAGUAUAAUUUUUAGAACUUGAGAGGAGCUUUCUACAAUUGUUAAAAAUCUCAGGGGAGGUAUGUGAAAUUAACCCUAAAAAUAGAGCAGAAGUCCAAACGCCUCAGAUGUAUAGUGAUCAGUAUAAUGUGGCAUCCAGCCGAUCACGGUGAAAAGGGACAGUAGAGGACAGCCAUGCCCUAACCUCUGCACUGAUUAUAACUUCUCUUUUUUAUAAUGAUUAUUAGGAGGACGACUUGGUCCAUCAGUGGUAAGCAUCACUUAAUCUAUGGAAUAAAGACUACAAUGAUGAGUUUUGGGUAUGAAAUUUCCAACACCCUUUGUACCUUUUCAUUAUUGUUCUCCUCCUUUUCAUUUUUCAACUGUUUAAUUGUAUAUCCAUGCCAUUUGCAAGCAGCCCUGAAUGGCCGACCUUCAGAGGCAGAUUCUUUGAUUGACAUUUUUUCGGUUGAACAACAAAUGAGGAAGAAAAUGAUUAAAGAUAUCAAAGUUCAAGAGAAAACAGACUCACCAUUGAACUCAAAAAAAAUAAUUUGCAUUUCUUCUUUUCUCUUUGAAUUUAGCAAUAUUUCUCCCAUUGGUAAUUCGAGAGAAAGAACUUGACAAGAUCUACACUUUUAAGAGGCAAAAGAACGGAACUUCUAGUGAUAGUUUACCUCAUCAAAAUUUAAAGCUUUCUGAAGAGGCUAGGCCUCGUAGAACUCAUACGGAUGACCGCGAAUCCUUGGAAUUCAUGGAAAGCUGGCCAUUAUCAUCUGAAACCCCACCAUCAUCAUUAUAUACCUUGCUGCUGGAAUCAACACCUACACCGUGAAAUGACUCCCCAGAUACUAAUGCUUGAAGUAAUUUUGGUGGUGGUGGGACUGUUACUUCAACUACUCCUUCCAGCAUUUUUACCACCAUUCCCAUUGUUGGCCUAAUUGAUUCAUCAUCCUGGAUGCACCAGACUGCUACCAGAGCUGCACGCUGCGCCUCUGCUAUGUUGUAUAUGUUGCCAAGCCUCUCAUCAACCACGGCAGCCACAUUACCUUCUAUAAUUUCACGAGCUGCCCAAGGUGGAAAAAACCAUUUUUCUGUUCCAACCCCUCCACCGCCACCAGCUGAAGGUGGCCCCUCUACAUUGCGCCUGCCACCUAGCAAUUCCAGUAAAGUCAUGCCAUAGCUAUAUACAUCUGCUUUGGUGGUGAUCGCCACACCAGAGAUCCACUCAGGUGCAACAUAUCCCCACGUUCCUCUCAUGGUGGCUAACACUCUACUGAAGUCCCUACCAAUCAGCUUUGCCAACCCAAAAUCUGACACUUUUGCUGAGAAAUCUUCAUCUAACAAAAUGUUCUCAGGCUUAAUAUCACAAUGUAUUAUACAAUUUCGACAUUCCUCGUGUAAAUAAGCAAUGCCUCUUGCAGUACCAAUCGCUAUACGAAAUCUGGCAUCCCAACUCAAGUUCUUACCAUCCCGCCUCAGAUACACACUGAGAGGACCAUUUGGCAUGAAAUCAUAGACUAGCAGCCUAUGAGAAUUUUCAGAACAAAACCCCCUCAAUCUAACCAGAUUUACAUGCUGAAUAUUCCCAAUUGUGCAGACUUCUGCACGAAAUUCCUUCUCUCCACCGCCUGGUUUUUCAAGUCUCUUCACAGCCACUAGUGUAGAAUCUGACAGUUCCCCUUGGAACACUGCCCCAAAGCCACCAUGGCCAAGCUUAUCUGAGAAUCCCUUAGUAGCAGCAUGAAGCUCUUUAUAGGAAAAUACCUUCAAAUUUGUCACUGGAAAAACACCUUCCUCUUCCUCUUCCUGCUUCCUUUUCUUAAUCCUCCUCCUCCUCCGCAGAAACAACAAUACGAUUACUCCUAUUACUAGAAUCACUAAAAACCCGCAAAUUGCUUCAAGAAGUACAAGUUUCAUCUUGUUCUUCACCUCAGCGUUGUUUCCUGGCACCCUUAAGUAAAGUUUUUCCUCGAGUGUGCUAUCAGAAGUAAGAUUUCUAAGAUUCAGGAGUGAGCCAUACAAGUUCUUGCACAAAUUUGCUCUCUCAUUGUAAUGCAAACCAAUACAUGAACAAUUUCUUAUACACAUUUUCUCACACUCACUCCUGGUUCCAGUAAAUGACAACACCACUGCUCCCUCAUAGCUCACCACACCUGCAUCCUCAAAACCAUCAUUCUUACCACAAACAUCACCACUUUGGCGGCGACAACCAUUGGAAAAGUCCCCUGCAUCCCAUGAAACAUCAUCUACUGGCUUAAACCCCAUCAAGCAGCUACAUGGACUUAACAAUUUAGCAUUACAGAACCCAAAAUUCCCACACAAUGCAUAAACUCUACACAAAUUUUCAGGCUGUGACCAGAACAUGUUCCAAUACUCACUCUGAGGGGACCACGUGAAUUGCUUCAAUUGGCCAGUGUGGUCCACCUGGAACCUAGUAAGAGGUGGACUCAAACCAUUAUCCAAUGAUACCUCCGUAUAUCCAAAUGAUGCCAUAGGAGUAAAGGGGUUGCCAAAAUGAAACCUAUAAAUGUAAGGAACAGUCAUUUCCGGCACCCCGGAAAAUGCAUUUCCAGUCCAAUUCCCAGUUGACCAAUAAAUAUUAGUACUAUUGUUAUCAUUACUAGUAUAUACAAGAGCAAUCUCACCGUAAUCAAGUGGCAUCAAUCUCAGGGAAUACUUCCCAGGUGAUGGAUCAUUGGAACUCUUCCAACAAGUCAGCAACUGGUCUGCUGUCAAGUUCAUGCCAGGAAGCCACGUGUCAGUUGGAUAAUCAAAGCUUUGCCAAACUUUGUCACCAUUACUCGAGUAAAGCACUAAAUUUCCCUGCUCCAGAAGCCUUGCCUCGAUUGCUUUCUCAAGAUUGUCACUUUCCCAAAUAAUGGUUCUUGAAUCUUCUUCCUUCAGAGCUAACUUCCCAUCCUGAGUGAUUUCCACACUAGCUGAAGUUAAAUUCUUGAUGGGAUUUUCCCUGUUUGCAACCCAAACAUAAGUCGGGGUUGGAAUUGAAGCAUACCAUAUCCCCAAGUACCAUUUGGACUCAUCAUCAGUACGGAAAAAUCCCAACUCAAAUGUCCUGUUCUCACUGAAAAUUGUGGUAUUUCCAGCAAGUACAAGACGGGAUCUUUGCAAAGACUCUAACUUUAUGCUAUCUUUUAACCUUCCCCUAAAUUCUUGGCUGGUUUUAGAUAAAUGGGACGGCUUUACAUCCUGUUUUCUUGAUUUUAGUAGUUCUGCAGUGGUGCUGAGGGCAAAUGCUGUUGAAAUCAGAAGCAAAGGAAGUAUGAGAGAUAAAGUUGGCAUUUUUUUGGGAAUUUUAGUAUGGUUACGCGUUAAUUCAAGAAGCAUUCUUGGAGUUGAAAUGCAUUGAAUUAAUUGAUUGAGUGGGAAGCUUUGCUCAAUUACUCAAGCUGCAGCAGAUUACGAAGUGGGUAUGUGCAGAGUUGAAGAGGAGGAGGGAGCAUGGGGGAAAGUAAUAAGGAAGGGAAAGGGAAAGAGCAGAGAGUGUUUUGUCUCUGAUAUCUAUCUGAAAAAGCUACCACAUUUGGACAAAGAUUGGUGGUACCUAUACUAGUGGAGCUACAAAAAUGCUCUCUCAAAUCACGGGGCCUUGUACAUUAAUGCACUUUUUUUUUGGCCAUGCAAGAAGGGUGGAAAUUUUACCAGGAAAAUAAACGAAUUAUGGACGUGAUUAUAGCUCAUAAAAUUACGUGGUAUUAACAUUUACUCGUACCAAAUUAUACUUGAAAGCAUGGCUUGUAUGAUAAGACUAUAAGUUGAGGAAAAGAUGUUUUUGUUAUCUAAUUAAUUUACUCUGACUGAAAUUUGAAGAAUUACACAAAUAAUAAUAAUUAAGAUUCAUUAGGCAAGACUCACUCUUUAUGAAGCUCAGAUUUCAAAUCCUAUGCAUAAUAAUUAGGAAUAAGGAUUGAAAAAAAAGGAAAGGUCCAUUUAAUUUAAAACAUCCCUAUUCGAUUAGUAAGUCGAACAUGGGUAGUGGGGUCCUGUUAAGACUUUUGAGGGACGAGGGGGCCCCAUGGGCUAAGACCACGAGAGCACGAGUCCAUUUAAACAACGGAUUAGAUAGGAUGCUGUCCUUCUCUGGUUUCAACACUUUGACCUUUGUUCGGUUUUAGACCCGAGAAAAUGUGCCGAUUCUGGUACAUUGUUGACAAAUCCCACCAUUCUUCUAAUAAAACCAUUUUCAUAGCCAACUAAUCUUUGGAUUCUGGAAGUUGGUGAAAGUCGGGACGAUCCUUUUCAGGUGGACGAUUCUUCUUCGUAUGCUCAAAUUUUCUUCCAGAGGCAGGUGUAUACUGUAUAGCUGUACUGGUAAUCACUCUAAAUUUCUCGAGCACUGCUAUUAUUAUUAUUAUUAUUAUUGCUUCAACAUAUAAGCUUUCUUUACUUGAAGCUGCCCAAGAAAGGUGUUUAUACUAGGAGAGGUACUAUCAAUCGUCUAACACCAUGCCAGCCUGUGAAAAUAGUUGAAGGAAAUAACAAGAUGAAUCCUUAUACAAUAUAAAUAUAAGAACGGGUCGUGAUCAAAGCAAAUUUGAAUUUCAAUCGCAUAAAUAGAGAUUUUUUUGAAAAUGUGGAAUGUUACGUAGUUUUUUGAAAACUUUGGUACAAUUGAGAACAGCAUGUGUUUAUACCGAAUACCUUCAUUUUGAUACAUUUAAAGUUUUGAUUUAUGGAUACAUCUGGGGAAUAUGAAAUUAUUUUGCAACUAUUUUUGCAUUGAGUACAACUCAUAUAAGCUUAUGUGUUAUAAUUACUGAAAUGGUGUUAUAGACACAUUUAAUUGAAGUAUAGAUUUUGUUGUACAAUUAACACAAAGACAUAAUAACACGUUGUGCAAUUCACAUGUUACUAGAACUAGCCAUUGGAAGAUAUUCCUUUAUCUAAAUCAAUUUAUGUCUACUCUUGCACGAUUUUCAACUAACAUCUGUAAAAGGAUCUUUUGAGAAUAAUAAAAUUGUAAAAGCAUUGAUAAAACAAAAUAUACAAGUGUGUGCUGCAAUUAGAAUGUAUUAUUAUUAACUUUGUCAUUUUUUAUGACUAUUGUUUUCCAAAAUGUACUAUUACUUAUCUAAUAAAAAAAUCCUCUCGAAUUACAAGCACCAAACUCCCGCACAGGCGUUCCUCCGUGGUAUGAUAAAAGUAAACAGGUUCAUGAUAGCAUGAAGCCAAAUUGAAGGAGCAUUUUACAGAUUUCUGUCGAGCUUUUUUUUUUUCAGUUUUUUCUGUCACAAUAUAAGAAGUACUAAUCACAUCGACGCUAGCGCAUUUUUCGGUCGCCAUUAGGGUGAUCAGCUUUCUCGACUUUACACAGGUCAACGUGUACACGUUAUUGUAUGUUAUAUACAACUCAGUUGAUGCCCAAAUCCAAAGAAAUGUGUCAAUCAAAAUCUCAAAAUGUCAAUUCAAUUUUCAAUUUAGCCAUCUAAUAUUAUAUAGUUUUGCCUCUUAAACACCUUAAAUAACAAGAAUUCAACUUGGUCCGGGUAUGAAAUCUUGAAACCAGUCAAACGAAGCAACAUGGCUGAAUGCAUGUAUCAUCCUAACUGAUAUCAGAAGAUGAAAUUUGUACAGCAUUAUGUCAAUUGAUAAACGAUAAACAGUAGUAUCAGAAGGAUUAAUCCAUGAGAAAUCGAGUAAUGUCAGUGAUCUUCCAGACAUCAAAAGCAAAAGUGACUGUUUCUCUCGAGUCCACGACCAUGAGCCUGAGUUUGCACCCUUCAACAUCGCUCAUAGUUUUCUCUGUACAGGAUAAAAAGAUCAACCAGCUACGCUGUCCUUCAAUGCAUAAAAUGCCAAUCUGUUAAAGAUAUGGCAUCUGGUGUCCUAAAGUGAAAGGAGCUUCCUUCCUUCCACUAGUGCCCCUCUUCUUUCACGUUAAUAGCUCCCCAGAAUUGAGAUGCCUUCCGAAUUUGAUCAAAAUAUGAACUUACAUUGACAUUUCAAAAUAUGCACAUAAUGCACAGAAUUAUUAAGAAUUAUACGAAAAUGAAUCUCUUGGCCACCCCACCCCAUGGUGUGGACAAAUUAACUUCUUAGGCAACCCUUCAAAAUUCAAGUUGCCAUGCCUUGACAUCUCAAGGCCAAGACACUUCAAUCUGAUGGCAUCACAAAGCUUCAUAGAUCAUUUCCUGUCAGAAUUGACAAGAAACAUCAUCUUAUGUUGUUGCACAUUUUCAACGGUAAAAUAGAUCGGGCCAAUGUCGUCUGUUGUCAGCGACCACGACGACUAAGACUGGUAUCUAUACAGAAAGAUGCCCCCACCCCCUUAGCCAUUUAACUACUAAGCGCUAGUCCUAAACAGUUUAAAAUAAACCAUAAGCAGCAUAUUUGAUAUUAAAAAGAAUCAAUUUUAAAAGGAAGCCCUUGAGUUGCUUUUGAAUCAAACUGUGUAUUCAAAUUUUCAACAAUUUAGAAAACCAAAUUCUUUUCCAGUUUCAAUAAGCUGCACAUAACUUAUUUGAGCUGUUGAGAACAAUCCCAAAGACCCAAAAAUAUCACUUCCAGUUUUUGGAAACAUGUUUUUACAGAGAAAUGCUAUCAGAGUAAUUAAAUAGACUGUGAUGUAUAAGGAAAGGUAAUAAAAAGACCUGAUCACAUAUGGGACAAGUGUCACUUCUUUCCAUCCACUCCAGUAUGCAAGAGAGAUGAAAAUGAUGAUUACAUUUGGUGACGAUUCUAGGAUUCUCCGCAUCAUAAUCUGCAAGAGAAAAUGCAAAAAAAUUAACCUAGCAGUGGUGAGCUACUAAAAAUCCAUGAAAAAGAGUGAUGUUGUUACUGUUCCCCAAAAUUGCUGUUAGGCAAAUAAAGUGGUGCACCUUCAAGACAUGUAGGACAAACAUCAGCUUCUUCAUCUGGAGUCAAUGAAUUUAAGUGAGGGCUUGAUUUCAGAAGCUCAUUUCCAAUUUUUUUAGUAGUGGCAAGAAGGAAGCCAGGUUCAGCUUUCAAAUCAGAUUCUUUAUUCUCUACAGGUAUAUCUGUCUCAAAGCUGCUUGCAUUGCCUGGUUCUCCAGCAGAAUUAGAAUCAGUUGGUGGACGGCCCAAAACCACAUCAAAUGGAAUAGGUGUGGGUGGGGAUCGAAAAGUGUCAGGAAUUGAUGUAUCAAGAUUCAAAUCAACCAGGAAACCAGCAGUGAGUGCAGUUGCAACACUGUCAUUAGAAGUCAGGGACUCGUGUUCCUCCGACACGGAUGGGCACUGCACAAAGAAGUAGAUCUGAGACUCAAAAAACAGCUACCACAAAAACGAGGAUUUCAUACUGUGGAUUUGCUUUUAAAACAAAAAACACGAGAGCAGAGAGACUUGCAGCAUUUGGAAAUAAAAGACCUCAUGAACUCCCCAUAGACAAACAUAUAAUCGGAGUUCCAUGGAAGAACUGUUCACUAGAAAGUUAUAAAGACUGUUUAACAUUGCCACGUCCCUACAAGGAGUCAAGACUUGGGUAGCAAGGCACCCAACACUUUUACACCAUUUGCACAUUUUUGGUUGCCCCUUUUUCAUUUGGGGCAUGUGUUGGAGAAGGGGUAGGGGUGGCAUUCAUGUAUAAAAGGAACCGGGACUUCUAAACUGAUGAAUUCAUCCCACUCAUAAGCACUGGUAAGUGCUCAUCCAAGUUUCGUAUAAGCGGAUAACCAUGAGAACAUAUGGCCACGUACAGUAUAUUUAAGCAAACUAAAGUAUCCAACUAAAACGGAAAAAUACUAACAAAAGCAAUGGUGCUAUGGCCUAAGUAAUGAAGGAAUACGUAAACCAUGUGGUAUCAGUUCUUUCAAGACCAGUCAUGCAAACUAUUAGGUCCACCAAGCUAUAAAAACAAAUGCACUCAGUGUAGUGAUCCAAGUGCAAGAAGCAAAGUGAAUUAUUCAUAGGAAAUCUCUCCCAAUAACUCGGAGCCUAAGAAGAUGAUUCUGACAAGGUAAGAGAAAGUAAGCUGUUGUCUAGAUAAUGGAAGUAAUUACCCACAUAGUAAAAUACAGGAGUUCCAUGAAAUUGAGGCUUGCGGGAAGAACAACAGCAACCUCCCAUUUCCUGCCUAUUUGUUUAUAUCACUUAGUAAAAGGAACAUGAUUUUCUGGUCACCAUAAUGAAAAUGAGAGUAACUGCUACAAAGAAUAAGAACAUACCAUGUUAGGCCUGUGAAUCAAAUUAAACAAGAAUUAUAAAGUUGCACUCUUGCGGCAACAAUUCAAGAGGGUGGGGGACAAAGAAGUAAUGCACAGAGAUGAUCAGCAAGAGAAUCUCAAGAACCAAGUGCAUGGAUGAAAUUUUUGAAACUUAUAAUCUUGGAAUCAAGAUAACUGUAACCCUCUUUCAUCAAUACCUUGUGAAAACGUGACGCAGCCAGAUCCACCAGGAAAAACUGUUUUAAGUACAGAUUCAGUCCUAGAUGUUCUUACUUCUACAUCAAUGAUUGAACCACCAAGACUGCACCAGAUGAAGCACCUAACUACUAUUUUUCAGCUUGCAGGUAACAUGAGAAUGGUUAUUGAUGCAAAACUCAACGAUCUUCUAAAAAGUAACCAAAGCAAAGCUCUUACACUCAAAAGGAAAGGAAAGAAGUACGGAAGAAUCAUUUGUAUAUGAUCAACAUAUUUAUCAUGUCCACCUCGUAUGAUAAGUACCGAUUCAGGGAUGGUAGAAGCAUGAUUAAUUAUAACUAUUUAUGGUAAAGGAAGAAGUUAAGGGAGAUAAAUGCAACAAGAAAAUGUGGUAAUGAAAACACCAAGGCUAGAAAGUACAUUAUAGACCUUUGUUGGAUCGUACCCACAAGAACGUCAUAAUCCAAUUCAAGCAAAAUGUGAGACAAAACGUUCAAGUUCAAACAUUUAUAAGCAAUACAUUACGUCCGCAGAGGUGAGCAAAAUCCAAGAAGCAGGGAGCUAUGAAUACACAAGGCCUCAUCGUACAUGGUCAUGGACUUUAAAGCACCAUACUUAACGUAGUAAUGAUACCUAAUAGAUUAACGUAGUAAUAGAUUAGGUAGAUUGGCCUUUCUUUUACUUUCUUCAGUUUCACCAAAUUCUAAGCACUUGCAUUUCGAAUUCUCGAUACAACUACAAUUACUUGAAAAGUCAAUUGAUAAUGUUCUGGACCACAAGCAGGCACUCCAUGGUCCAAGAAUUCCCUGCUCCUUGGAGUCCUUUUCUUAACAGCUGAAUCAAUAGGGGAUACCACCCCACUUAAGUUGUUAUUUAUGAACAUUUACAUUUCCUAAUGAGCUAUAGCUUCCCAACCGCUUCCACCAAAAUAAAGAAAAAAAUAAGUUAUGCUACGAUGAUUGGUACAAACAAGAAUGACACUUUCUGUCGCUGUACAACUGUUGAAAGAAAAUUUUUUCCAGCUCAAUCAAGAAUAGCAAAAGAAAAAUAUCAGUCAAAAGCCAACAAAGAAGUGAGAAGAUACAAACUUUCUCCGCCAUAUAGCCACCCCUGUCCCUCCUCCUCCUCGCCCAAGUCCCAGGGGGAAAAGAUACAAAAAGAAAAAAAAUGGAAAACUAAAAAGGAUGAACAUCAAAAUUGCAUAAACAGAAGACAUUGAAAAAGGCAAUUUCUGGACUACAAAGUUCACUAACAGAAAAUGUUCAAACCAUCAAAGACUUGUAAAAAUAUGACCCCAAAAAAAAAAAAAACACAACCCAGGCCUGAACUCGACAUAAAGAAGUGCAUACUGUACAAGUCAACUUUACCUUCAACCAACAAACAGAGACUGGUGAUGGUGGGAUGCUGCUGAACGAGUGCUGCUGACUGAAAGGGUCAAAAGGGCUGCUACUGUUGACGCUUUUUUUUUUUUUUUUUUUGUAAGUUUUAUCUUUCAGGUCUGCAAAUGAGAAGAAGGGAUUAAUUUCAUGUCCGACUACUAUUAGUAUUUUCUGUAUUAGCUUCAGCAAACUUUUCUUCUGUUUUUGGUAACGUAUGGGUGGCGAAUCUUUAUCAAUUUUGAGAGAGAAAACAACUGGAGGGAAGACCUGAGAAGGGAAAGUUGAAGGUUGUUUUUUCAGAAAGUAAAGAAAUGGGAAAUUUGGGGAGCGAGCGUGGUGGCAUAUUUGAUGUUUGAUAGUCCCUGUAAUAAUGAGCAGUAAGCACGAUGACCACUUUCUGUGAAUAGGUAUUAGGUGGGGUUAGUGGCUGCGAAUUGUUUCAGUUUUCAACCCAAAAAAAGAAAAAAAAAAUUCAAAAGCAACUGAUGAUGCGAGCCACGGAUGAGAAAAAGAUGGUACAGUAGUUUUCAAAAGGGUGGCGUCGCCCGGACUCGAACCGGAGACCUUCAGUGUGUUAGACUGACGUGAUAACCAACUACACCACGACACCGUUUGAUUCGAACACGUCCGUAAUUCAUAAUAGGAAUAUAACGGGAUAAAUAGUAGGCUCGAUUUCAACUUUGAAGCAAUAUCUAAGUAAAAGUGUCUAUAUAUAUAUAUAUAUAUAUAUAUAUAUAUAUAUAUAUAUAUAUAUAUAUUCCAAGGAUGGUAUUUUAUUAGAAGCCACCACGCACCCUCACAAUCUCAAUCCCUUUUUUUUUUCUAGAACUUUAAAAUUAUUUUAAUUUAAAAAUAUUUAGCUCCGCAAUUUUGUUACAAUCAACUUGUUUGAAAUUGUUAGUUAACUUUUCAUGAUGUCCAAUUGCGGUGUGUAUUUAGGUAACCCUCAUCGACUCUUAUCCUUUUUCACCAUUUCAAAUUUACGCGUCACUUAUCCACUAACUCGGAGCACUGAAAACUCAAAUCACAUCUAUAAACUGAAGGCGCCAUGCCAAUUACAAUUCCUAUAACUCUAUAAUAAUUAACUGAUAACACAAAUCAUUCAUUCACACUCCAUUCUGAUUACAAUUCCUACAACUCUAUGCUAAUUAACUGAUAACACAAAUCAUUCACAACAACUAAUGAAUACUUACCACUAGCAUUCUGACCCGUACAAUGCACAAGUUUAUAUUUCAAUUCAAAACAAUAUUAACGUAUAUACUUAUAUAUUAUAGUAUAAGGGGUUUAUAUUUCAAUUCAAAACAAUAAAGUUGAAACCAAUUUUUGUUUACCUAUUGUCUGUCAAAAUAUAACAACACUUUGAAUAUAAUAAUUUACAUGAUAGAGCAAUUGUAAACUUAUUUAUCAAUAUAUCAUGUUAUACCCAUAUAUCAAAAUUUUUAACAUUAAAAAUACAAAGUAUAACUAGUUCAUUUCCUUCAUUUUUAUAAAAUUUUGCUCCCAUCUUGUAAUUCUAAAAUUGUUGAGUGCUUAUAGAAUAAGGUUCUUCAUAAAAUUUAAUAUAUGUUUAAAACAAUCUUUGUAAUAUGUGUUUUUAAAAUUUUCAAAAUUAUUAAAAAUUGCCACUCUUCCCAUCAUCUCUUACGUACUAACUGGCUAUUUACUACCUUCUAUUAUUUUCAGAUCUCUUACCACAAUACCAUCUUUCCUAUCAUAUCCCCACAAUCCCAUUCUUUCUUCUCCCCUCUCUUCGUCAAACUUUGUAGUAGUUUUCCUUCCUUUUUCAACCUUUUUCACCACUGAUUAACUCAUUGCUAUUCUCUUUCCCUCACCUAUAGCUAGCCUCUAACUUCCUAUCCUUGCCACCCAAUUUCCUAUUAUUUUCCUCUCACCAUUCUCCCAAACCCUUUAAAUUCAUAAUUUGUUUUUUUGCUAGUAGUACUUUGUUUUUUAUUUAGUGAUUUGAUAAUUAAUGAUUCACAAAUGGUACCAUUCUUGAUUUUUUUUUUUAAAAUCCAUGACCAAUGAAUAUUAUUUUCUUUUUGUUUUCUAUAUAAUUUACCAUUUUAGUUAGGAUUACUAAAUUGAAGGUAAAAUAUUGAUAUUUACUUUUUUACUUUUAGUAGGGUUGGUGAUGUUUCCUCUUUAUUUAUCUUUACAUUAAUAGAUUUCAAAUCAAAUUCAUAUAUAAGUGGGUCACUUCUUACUUUUUAAAUUCAAAAGACAAGAAAUGAUAUAUAACAAUUUAAAAAAUUCAAAAUUCUAUAAAAAAAAGAAUGAAGAGUUAUAAGCAUUCUGAUUUAACCAUUCUAAAAACCCUUCCUGCAAUACAUAUAUAUAUAUCUGUAUAUGUGGAUGUCUUCCCAUUUUGUUCCCUCACCAAAUUUAUUCUCAUUCGUCAUCCACCCAAACCAAAAGGAGGGAGAAAAAAUAAUAUUACGUGUCAUAGCCUAAUCAAGGAGAAAAUCCACCUAUAUGUCAAUCAAUUUACUAUUAUAAAAUUCCUAAUCACAUAUGCUAUAUAUAGAAAGCUCCCAGGUCUAGGUAAAUUACGCCAAAAAACCAGUUCAACUUCUCGAAGCUGUGGGCAAAAUGACUUGGUUUGGAAGCAAUUCAUUGUAUAGGUACCUAUUCUAUUUGUUAGUCAGGCAAUUUAAGAAUUUUUAGAAAUUUUAGGGCCACAAUAGGAAAUUUAAGAGAGCAUGUUAUGUAAAUUAUCCAAAAUGACAGGCUGCAAUCUAGUCGCAAACCAAAUUUGGUUGGAGAGUAAAGGGAACAGAUUGUAUGGAAAAAGGAGGGGGAAAGAGAGAGGGCCUGGUUAUAUGGCUAGGCCUGUCAACGGGUCGGGUCUAGACCCGGAUCCGGACCGGAUCCGUGAAAUUAUUGCGGGUAUGGGUAGGGAUUUAAUUCCGUUUUCCGGAUCCGGAUCCGGAUCCGUUUUGUCAAACAAAAAAACGGGUCGGAUACGGAAUAUAGUAUUCCGACCCGUAUUAGACCCGGAUCCGGAUAUAAAUGAAUUAAUAAUUUAAAAAAUAUAUAUUUAUCAAUAUAAUUUGAUUAGGGUGAUGUAUCUUAAUAAAAUUAAUUUGAUUUCUUUUCUUAUUUGGUUUUUUCUUUGCAUUAGUUAGAAAUUAAUUUACAAAUAUAUUUUUUUCUCAUUUUUAUUAGAAAUUAUAAAAUUUGGUAAAUUUGUUCGGGUAGACCCGGAUCCGGAUCCGGGACCCGCCGGAUCCGGAUCCGGAACAUAGAAUAAAAGACCCGUCGGGUAAACGGGUCGGAUCCGGAUCCGGUAUAGUAAUUCGGGUCCGGGUCCGGAAUAAUGAAUUCCGGCCCGGACCCGACCCGUUGACAGCCCUAUAUAUGGCUGAUGAAGAAAAAGGUGUUAAUGUGUAGGUAUUUUGGUGUGUCUGUUUUAUGGAUGGUGUUUGAUUUUUUUUUUCGUUUUAGUGUUUUAGAGAGGGUUACUAUAGAUAUAUUUUGGUUAUUCAAAGGCAAACCAAGUUAAUUAGCCAUCAUACUAAAUGCACAAAAUGCAAAUUAUCAUAAAGGAAUAGGAGCAGUACAAUUAUACAAAAUCAAUCACUAAUUGUUGUAAUUGAAUUAAAUUUAUUUUUAAUAUUUUAAAAUUAAUGGGUUUGACUUAAAUAUCUUUUACUGGUUAUUAAUACACAGGUCUAGGAUUGCUUUUUAUAUUUUCUAUGGAUCGAAUUAUUUUAUGCACAAUAUUAUGAGUAAAUCUUAUAUAUAUUGACAAUGCAUACACUAUCAUCGUUGGAUCUAUGACACAUGUGCACAAAUUGAAUUUCAAAUUCAAAUUUUAUAUAAUUGUCGUUCAUCCAACGCUGAUAGUGUAGAAAUUAUUAUAUUGACAUAUAAUAGAUAGAUCAAAUUUGACUUGAAAUUACCCAUAUAUGUAAAUGUACAUAAAUUUUUCUUAUGAUCUCAUAGUACCGUUUUUAUUUUGUGGAAUCAGAACAUACAACCUACAGUUAAAAAUUAACCCAAUGUUAGAAAAUAAUUAACACAUUCCACUAAAUUGUUUUUAUACCUUUUUAUAUAUAAUUUAUUUUCAUAAAUUUGGAAAUAAAAUAAUACCUCUUCAUAAUUGUAUAAACCAACUCAUACCCCAAGAAAUUUUUUUGUGUGAUUCCCCAAAGUCUAGGUUGUUUGUACGAAUGGCAAUUGGGGUAAAUACCCGCGGGAGGUUAAUGGGUGAGGCGGGAAAUAAAACUCAUCCCUCAUUAAAAAAAGAGUUGGGGGAUGAGAUACUAUACCCCCGCCCUGUCCCCUGCUUAUAUAAAGUUUAUAUAUAUAUAUAUAUAUAUAUAUAUAUAUAUAUAUAUAUUAUUAGUUAUACUAAAUUACUAAUUACACUUUUACUAAUAAUAUAUUUUGGCUAAUUAUAAACUUUUUCCGGGUGGGGGGAACGGGUGACGAGGGCCGGCGGGUGGGUCCUUUGCCAUUCCUAGUUGUUUGGAUUGUAUUUUGUAGAGAGCUUUUGGGGAAAAAAUUAUCGUAAUAUUUUGGGAUGUGAUAUGUGUGAAAUGAAGAGUUGAUUUGGAAAUAUGUAAAAAAGUUAUUUACUAAAAAUAGAAAAUUUUUCUCCAAAUAAAAUAGCAGUUCAAAACAACACCUGAUCGAAUCUCAUAUUGAAGUUUCUCUAAGUAGCUCCUCUAAUUUAUCAAUGUUUGAUUACUAAACUUUUUUCUUUGGGGGGUGUCAAUUGAAACUUGAAACUCGAGCAUUGUUUUCUUUUUAUAAGCACAAAUUAAAACACGAACGCAUCAAAAGCCAACGACUAUGGACAUGGGCUUAAUUGAAAGUUGAAACAAUCUUAAUGCUACUCUGGAAUUCCAAAGGGAAAAUUGCACUUUUGAGAAGGGCCAUACCUGUGUAUUGUGUCAGGCCAAAUUGAACUCAACCCUUCAAGCUUUCACAGUUUUCAAUUUUGUGAUUCAAACUUGAAGCGCAAAAUGUCUUUUUUGACUGAAACUUGAAUGAGACAUUUUAGUCGCAAUUUACCAUUUCUAUUUCGAUAUAAUCCUACGUUGUCUUGCAAGUUGCAAUGAACAUUUUGUACAUUCUCCCGCCAGUUUGCGAUGAUCAAAUGCCUUUCCCUUUCAAUCCAGGCCGUCCUUUUUAAAAGACGGUUAUCCUUUCUAACCACUCCCUCCAUAACUAGACCUCGCGGUUCACUUCCAACACGAGAAUCUGCAGCUCGUUCUGCCUGUUCACAAUUAACCCAUAAGUUUAUCUCCAGUGAACUGAAACACUCAGCAAAAUUCAAUCUUUUUCAUCAAGGGAAACAGCUGCAUGGCCAAAUUAUAAAACUGGGAUAUCAGAAUAUGCUGCCAUUACAAAAUCUGCUCUUAAAUUUUUAUCUCAAUUGCAAAUGUGUAUCCAAUGCUCAUCAGGUAUUCGGUGAAAUGAUUGUUAGAAACAUAAUCACCUGGAAUACAAUGAUAUGUGGCAUUGCAACCGAGUUUAGCUAUUUCAAAUCAAAUUUUGAUCUAGGUAUUUGUUACUUUGGCAGAAUGUUGACGGGAGAAGUCAGACCAGAUUGGAUUACGUUCAGGGGUCUAUUUCGUUUGUGUGUAGAUACUAAUAACGUUGAGAUGAGUCAAGUGUUGCAUUGCUUUGUAAUGAAGUUGGGCCUGUGUGAUGAUCUUUUUUUAAGAAGUGCUCUUGUAGAUAUGUAUGGAAAACUUAGGCUUGUUGAAGAGGCUAGGCAUGUUUUCAUUUUUAUUAAACAGAAAGACUUGGUGCUUUGGAAUACGUUAGUUUCCUGCUAUGUACUUAAUUCUUUUGAGGAUGAGGCACUGAGACUGUACAAAGUAAUGAGGUCUGAGGGGUUAACAGGUGACGAGUUUACAUUCACAAGUUUGCUUAAUUCUUGCGCUAGUUUUGGAAAUUGUCAAUUGGGCAGGGGCAUCCAUGGGACUCUAGUUAAACUUAGCUUUGAUUUGGAUGUUCUGGUGGCUAGUUCACUUGUUGAUAUGUAUGCAAAGAAUGAAAGUUUAGUUGAUGCUCGAAAGGUUUUUGAUAUGAUGAUCUCAAAAAAUGUGGUUUCUUGGAACACUAUGAUUGUUGGUUAUGGACAAUAUGGUGAUGGGGUUCAGGCUAUGAAACUUGUUAACAAAAUGUUUCAGGAAGAUUUCCAUCCGGAUGAGCUGACUUUGGCUAGCGUCUUCAUUUCAUGUGGUAUAUUAGCCAUGGUUGGUGAAAUCACACAACUUCAUGCAUAUACUGUAAAGAAUGGUUUGUCAUCUUUAACAUCAAUUGCUAAUGCAAUGAUUAGUGGAUACUCCAAGUGUGGUAGCAUUGUUUCUGCCUUGCAAGCUUUUAGGUCAAUUUUAGAGCCUGACCUUGUCUCAUGGACAUCUAUGAUUGGAGCCUAUGGAUUCCAUGGUUUUCCACAUGAAGCUACUGAACUUUUUAAGAGGAUGUUAUCUAAUGGUGUGAAGCCAGAUCGAAUUGCAUUUCUUGAGGUUCUGUCCUCCUGUGGCCAUGGUGGAUUGGUCAAUGAGGGGUUACGGUACUUUGCUCUGAUGACUGAUGUCUAUAAACUAGUUCCAGAUCCAGAGCAUUAUGCUUGUCUUGUUGAUCUUCUUGGAAGAGUUGGGCUUUUGAAGGAGGCUUUUGAUGUUUUGACCUCAAUACCAGUGGAACAUUGUUCGGAUGCUAUGGGGGCCUUCCUUGGUGCUUGUAAGGUACAUGGGAACCUAGGAUUAGCAGAAUGGGCAGCUGAAAAGCUGUUUACUUUGGAGCCAAAAAGGGCUGUAAAUUAUACUCUCCUGUCAAACAUGUAUGCUUCAAAUGGAGCCUGGUCUGAUGUAGCCACAAUUCGUAGAUUGAUGAGGGAGAUGUGUUAUCCUAAAGCUCCUGGUUGUAGCUGGAUGGAGAUUGCCGGGAAGGUAUAUUCAUUUGUCUCAGGUGACAAGUCCCACCCGCAUGCUAGAAUGGUUUAUUCCAUAUUGGGACAUCUUUAUGAGCUAAUGAAAGUAGAAGUGAAAGAAUCCACAGAGAUCUUCAAUUCGUUGUUCUUAAAUUGAAGCAUUCUGCUGAUUUUGUGCCAUUGUUGAGAAUAAGUAGUUGAAAAGUGACUGUCCAUUGGAGAUUGGUUUAUAUCUACCAGUACAAACAAAAGAAUUUGCAGGAUUUAUAAGGUAAAGAAAGCUCUAUCUUAGAACCGCUAACAGAGCCUGCAAGUCAGAAGCUUGAAACCAUUUCUGGUUAACUAAAUUCCAUCACCAUGUUAUAACGUGCAGUUUUCAUAGUGUUGGAUCACUUUUUAUGCUCGAGGGUGCAUGAACUAUCACUUUUUUCUUCCAUAUUCUUUACACAUUCGUCUUAUUUUGUCAUAUUGGAAUCAUUUAUUCUUCUGACUUUCUAUGCAACUUCCAGUUCAUCUUUUUUCAUUUUUUGUACCUUCCAUUAUGUCUGCUGACUUUCUUGUGCUUAACAAUUACUUCCUGUUUUGAUCAAAUAUCUACAAGCAUGACCUCAUAUGGAAGCGGAUUCCCUUAUAUUUUGUGAAGGAAAUACAAUAGUAAGUUAAAACUAAUACUGCUUUACUCACAAUCCCCUUUCUGUAUUAUGAUCUUGUAGGUGCCAUGUAUUUUGCAUUGGCCCACCAUUAAGAGCUGGAUAUCCUGGUCCUUACAUUCAUGUUAUUUGUGACAGACCCGAUACUUCCACCUUUUUCUUAAAUAUUCACUACUAGUUAAAAGCCAAGGAUUGGCUCAUGUGACUGAUGAUCUCUUUUACGUAGUCAUUUUCUUGGGCUGUAGAAUCACCUCUAGGUAUUAACUGUGUGCAAGAAGAUCCAUGGCAAUGGAUGUUCCUCAGGAUUUGAGGUUUACUUCUUCUGUUCCUCAUAGGUGGCAUUUCCUUGCGAGCUAUUACAGUUGCUCAUCAUAUAUUAUCUAUUACGGGAGAGGAGAUAUCCAUAUCAAUUGGGCUACCAUUGUUGUUUGUCUUUAACUUCUUCACGUCUUUUCGAGCCAACUGCCGGAGUUCCCUUUGAAUCUUGAUUAUAUUGCCAACUUGUAAUUUCUUGAAUUGGUUUGCAAGUAUUACUUUCAACUAACUGUGAUUUUGACAGAGCUAAUUGAGACCCUUGAUCUGACAAUUCCAUUGUUUGUUUUUAUUUUCCACACUAAUCAAGGAUGAACCAGCUAUUUUCAGAACCUCAUGUGUGUUUUGAAGCUUUUUUUUUUUUUUUUUUUUUAAGGUGUUGUGAAGCUUAAUUAUGUAAAAAACGAUGGCUCCAAUGUAAUUGGCCGACUCUCAUAGCGUGGACCUUUCUUUAAGGAAAUGCAUGCUAUUCCAGAAGCAUUUAUUAGUCUGUAUUAUGUCAAGGCCUGCUCCUUUUACUUGGGUCUCUGUCUUCCCCGACAGCAUAGUAAGUGGUUGACUUUGACAUUUUGCUAACCUUUGGGUGGGUUCCAAAUGUUUUUGCACUCAACCGUGUACGGAAGAAUAAAGAAUUGCAAAUACCAGACUUGCAAUAUAUAUAUAAAAAUAUAUAUAUAUAUAUAGUUAUAUAGAGAGAGAGAGAGAGAGAGAGUAAAGACAAAUUUAUUACUAUAUGCAUCAGAGAGAAAAUUUUUCAUUGAGAAGGCGGCAGUUUGAAAAGUAAGUCCAGAGAACAGCAGAGCAGUGCUCGUGGAAAAUGUUCUAAGAAAAAUAGAAGGCCCAGCACCAAUCAACGCCGGGCAGAAAGGGAGCAGAUGACUUGCCAAUGCAUUUGUUUACCAGAUCUCCUGUUUCUCAUGUAGCAACAAAAAAAAUUAUUAUUGGUUGGACUUUUAAGAUGGAACUUUUAGCAAGUGAUCUAGAUAAUCCAAACUCCCAAGUCAAGGUAUCAUUUGGCUCCUGUGCCUGAUGCUAGGUCUUGAAUGAUUUGUUUCCUGAAUUGGAAAAAAUCAUGCUAAUCCGAAAAGGGUUUUCGACCGGAUUGUUAUUUUUUAGAGUUUUUAUAUAAGAAAAAAAUUAUACCGUAAAGAUCAGAGAUAAAUGUGUUCAGAAGAAUACAUAUAAAUCUUUUAAGAAAAAAUAAUGAUCUAAACAAGAUAGCGGACUUCUAACCAAUAUGGAAAUUGCAUCAUAAAUUGAAUAAAGUUACAGAAAAAAAAUGCAUAUAUACAUCUUGCAAAUGCACAGAGUUCGACAUGAAAAAUCUGUAAGAAUCAUCAUCCUCUCGGGGGAUCGGUGGGGCCCGCUCUCCCCGGGCGAUGGGAAUAGUGGCACAGACGGUAUUACCAGUCCGGAGUAACCGAUACCCAGCGAUAAAAAAAAAAAAAAAAUCAUCAUGCUCUUGUGGAUGGUGGCCAUGUCAUUAUGCUGUAGCAGUAAGAUGUUGGCAUUCAAAUUGGGGAUUAAGCAACUGAGAAAUCAAGUUGGGUUCUCCAAUAAUUGCCUCGGGAACAUGGGUCCCCAGUUGAUACUUCUUGACCUUUUCUAAACUGAAGUCUAGAAAUUCGGCUUUUAUAAACCUAAUCCCAGAAGAAACCUCAAAAGCCGGCAACUCUUGAGGUCCUUCCAGGGACUUAUAAACCAAACCCAAACCCCCCCCCAAAACCGAUGUGGGAUGGCAAACCCCACAAGGGCAAGCCAGUAAGGCCGCUGCUGCUAAGAAGUAAAGACCCCUCACGACACUCAGUAAACUACCCUUGCAUGAAUUUGCCUCUUGACCUUUUCUGGUCCCCAGUUGAUACUUGAGAGAUGCAAAUCUAUACAAGUUUCAAAUACAAUCUGCACAUGAUUGGCCCGCGGCCUCGUCCGCCCACUAAACAGGAGAACAAGUGUUAUUAGGCGGGCACCGCUUUGAGUUUGAGUUAAUCAAGAAUAGCACAUCUUCAACACAAAACUUGGCAAAUUUGCAACUGACUACUGCUGGUUUUCUCAACUGCAGGUGACCGCCUAAUAAGUAGUGACAGCAAUCUUCUGAUUUGACAAAUCAAAGCUCUCAUUUAUUGAAGAUAAUUGUGUGGAUGGAGUGCAAGAUAUCUCCAAUCUAGCCACAAACAUCAAUAAUCCAAAAAAAAAAAAAAAGGUAUCUAUUCCUAAAUAAAUUUUUUCGUUUCUCACUUUAUAAUAAGAUUGAGAAUUCCAUAAGAUAUAUCUAUUUUAAUACUACUUAUAUUUUACAUAAAUAUAGAAACAGGUACGGGAUACAGAUUCUUUAAGUUAUAGAGCUAAAAUUUUGUUAAGGUUUUGCAUUCAAGGCAAUCAAAUUCAUAUCAUAUUUUGAUCCAUAUCAACUGAAAAAACUAUCUAAAAAUUCAAUCUGUAAGUUCACUUUGAUCAACUAAAUCUAUCUAUAUUCAUUUUUAAAAACAUUUUUUAAAGGAAGAACAUCAUCGAAGGGAGAUGUGCUUGGUGAGUUUGACCUUAGUUUAAUUUAGGAACUAAAAUAUGGUAAAAACAAAUAUAGGUGGUGUCAUUAUGAAUGCCCUUAAAAAGUGAAGGACUGCUAGAGAAAAACAAAAGUCAUAAUAGUGGUUCAAGCAAGACCAAUUAUAUCUUCUACUACGUAAUUUCUUGUACAAAGCUCUUACUACAACUGCCCGCCAUUUUCUAACGCGGACGAGAGACAGCCAUGAAAAGUCCCACCUCACACCACCCUCGCCGCCGGUGGGACCUCUCUAGCUCCGGCUCAGCUGGGUCCGGAACUCCCGACCGACCAAGUAUUUCCCCGACGUCUACCUACUCAUCAUCCUCUAAUUCCUCCAACACUAAGUCAAACUCCGACAAGAACCCCGUCAAGGUCGCCGCCAGGACGUUCGCCGGAGCCUUCAUCGCUUGCUUCACUCCUCCGGAGAAAGUCGAGACUAAUAAUAGUUUAGGCAGCUUUGGUAAGUCUGCUGCUGAUUUUACUACUAGUAUACUUCUCCUUGACAAAUUAAGCUUUUUUAUAUAAUGGUACUACUAUUUAAAUUACUCAUGUGUUGACCAUAGUUUAUUGGAGUUGACUCUGAGGUCUUCAAAUAUCGGAUAAUAUAUGGGUUUUAAGAGUGAUUAAGUGCUUGUGCUUUGUGAAGAGCUUUUUUUUUUCUUGGAUCUUGGGAGAUUUAAGAAAGUGUUUUGAGGAUUAUGGGUUGGAUUUCUCUUUUUUCAAAUUUGAUUACUGCCAUUCUAGAAAAAGAAGAACAUUUUGACAAAAUUAAUUAGUCUUGUUGGACCCUUCAAUGUCUGGACGAAGAAAAACCAACUGCUCGAGAGAUGUAGUAGUACUGCAUUUCACCUUGGUUGAAACUUAAAUAAGCUGAUUGCAGCUUGAUUUUUUUUUCAGGAAAAACAGAGGACGAAUUUUAAGGCAAUUUAAGUCUGCAUCUUUAUUUUUCAUAGUUGGUUAUAAAGGACGCAUCUUUGGAUGUAUGUUUUCAUAACUUGUUAGAGCAAUCCCUUUAUUGAGCAACAUUAUAAUGUCUGACAUUGUAUUUUUAAAUCUUUGAAAAGCCAAAGCAAUUCACCUGUAACUACAGGCAUUUAAGAGAAGCACUUUUGCUGAACUUUUCUGUUUGUUUUUUAGUUUAGUUGCUUUUUCUUCUUAUCUUUAUAUUCAGAGAACACUUGAAUUACCUGGUAGAUGAUCUUGUUUAAGGCCUUAUCUGCUCAUGUUAAAUCAAUGUUAAGAACUUGAGAAUUAAGAGCUCCCUUGCACAAUGUCGAAAUCAAAGCUUAGUCCUGUGGUCUUUUUUGUAUUCGGAUGCGUCAGAUGCUUCUUCCGGUUCUGGCAGUGAGACGAGACGUCGAGGCAUUUAUGCCACUUCAAACAAUUCGACGCACGCCAGAGGGUCCGGGAGAGUAAAAUUCACUGUGGAUGAAAUCUACAAGGCGACCAAGAAUUUCUCCCCCACCUUGAAAAUUGGACAGGGUGGCUUUGGGACAGUCUACAAGGGCCGACUUGAAGAUGGAAAUCUCGUCGCUAUCAAGCGUGCUAAAUCGGUGCAUUCCUCUGCAAUAUUCCUUCCUUUCUCUGUGUUGACCUAGUAAAAAUUGUCCUCAUUGUAUAUGAUUCCUACAUGUUUCUUGUAGGGUGUACAUGACAAGAAUUCUGGAGCUGAGUUUCGAAGUGAGGUACGAACCCUGGAGAAAGUGGAGCAUCUAAAUCUAGUCAAGUUUUAUGGAUAUUUGGAGCAUGAGGAGGAAAGGAUUAUUGUUGUUGAAUAUGUUCCCAAUGGAACCCUUAGAGAACAUUUAGAUUGUAAGUUGGUUCUCUCCUACUCUGUCUGCCCGUCUUUCGCUAUUUCUGGUUUUCCAUUUAUACGCUAGUAGAUUUAACUAGCGUCCAUAUCUUCUUUCCUCUUGCGCUGAUAUUUGUUAAAUCCUUAAUUGCUAAAAUCCCCUGCUAUUGACUGGUAAUAUAGGUAUGCAAGGGAAUGUACUUGAAUUCGCUGCCCGACUUGAUGUCGCAAUAGACGUGGCUCACGCUGUUACAUAUCUGCAUAUGUACACAGGUAAGCUUCGGAUUCUUGAUGAAUAUUUAAAUCUUUUCUCCAGGCCGUACAGAUUUUCAUUGAUUUUUGGCAGCAUUCUGAGCAUCUCACAUCUAUUGUAGCACAAUCAUGACUCUUUUGUAUGAAUGCAGAUCACCCCAUCAUCCACAGAGACAUCAAAUCCUCCAAUAUUCUCCUCACUGAAAAUCUUCGAGCUAAGGUAGCUGACUUUGGCUUUGCAAGGCUGGCAGCCGACAGUGAAGCCGGAGAAACACACGUUUCAACUCAAGUUAAAGGAACUGCUGGCUACUUGGAUCCUGAAUAUCUGAAAACCUUCCAACUUACUGAGAAAAGUGAUGUUUAUUCAUUUGGGGUGCUGCUGGUGGAGCUGGUCACAGGCAGGCGCCCCAUUGAGCCAAAACGCGAAUUAAAAGAGCGUAUAACAGCUAGAUGGGUAUGAUGUUUCCCCUACAUUAUUUCUGGCAUGGCUUGUUUUGCUUUUUAGCGUUCUUUAGAAUCAACACCAACUAAUUUUCAUUUCUUUGAGCAUAUCUGAUUGGAAUGAACUAAUUGCAGGCAUUGAAGAAGUUCACUGAAGGAGAUGCUAUAUUGACUUUGGAUCCGAGACUUGAAAGAUCUGCAGCAGCUAAUUUAGCCAUAGAAAAGAUUCUUGAAUUAGCCUUGCAAUGUCUGGCUCCUAAUCGACGCAGUCGUCCUUCAAUGAGGAAGUGUGCAGAGAUACUGUGGGGUAUCCGCAAGGAUUACAGAGAACUAUUAGACUCGGAUCGCUCUUCUGAUUCUCAGAGCAGCUAUACCAUCAGAGGAGAUUGAGCAGUAUAUGCAUAAAUAUGAUUCCUGGCCACAAUUUUCGUAUAGAUCUUCCACUUUUGAUCAGAUUAAGUUGCAAUCUGUAAAUGCCAAGAAAAUUCCUUUUCAUUUCUUUUGAAAAGCCGAUAAUCACCACAAAAUCUAGGUAGCGUGGCCAAUGAAGAAAUUUUCAUCAUCCGAAAUUUGGCCAUAUUACAUGAUUUUUAUAAUGUUUUCAAUUUUUCGCUUUGUGUAAAUUCAGCUUACGGAAAAAGAAUCAACAAGUGUGUAAUUGCCCUUUAAAUUCUAGUACAUAUUGUUUUUAUCGUUUUUGUUGUUGGUUUAAAAUUGCCUCCUCAGCAGUAUCUCUCUCUGUCUCUCCCUCUCCCUCUACUAUUAUUUGAAACAACAAAUGUUUAUUUUCUUCUCAUUUCACUACCAUAAUAUUCGAUUCAAUUCAAUUUCUUUUUGGUCCAAUUUUGGUUAAGCUCAAUCUUAACCUGCCUAUUACAUUAUAUAAAUUUAUAAAGAUUCCAUCAGAACAAAAUAGGAGGUGAAAAUCUGUAGGGGAUGUCUAUUCUAUCUGCUGCUCUGAUUGUAAACGUUGCUGUACUGUGUAUUCACUAUCUUUUGAUUUAUUGUACAGUUUCUCGUGUACAGUUUUUUCCUCUGCCACACCACACUGAUGCCUAAACCAGUCAGCCUCCAGUAUGCUGAACUAUGUACAAUUUGGAUGGUAGCUAAGGCAAUGCCUCCCUACAAACAGAUGCCUAGUUGAGUGGAAAAAAUCUUCAUCCUCUUGAUAAACUGCUAAGAUCCACAUGAAAACAAGAGUUAGCUGAUGCAGUAAAACUGCUUUGUAUAGACGGUAAGAGGGCUGUUGCUCUGUUUCUAGACUUCAAAUCAAAAGGUGCAGAAUGAAAAGUACCUAACUGCUGCUAUCUCCCCGUUCGCUCCAGUGAAUGAAUUUUGUCGAGUUAGCACAUAGCUCCUGUCUGAGGGAUCUUUUGCUUUUGAACAGAGGAAAAGGAAGGAAGAAGUAUAUAUGGAGACGUGCCAUAUGCUGCAGAGCAUUUUGCAUCAACAACCAGAGAGAAUUAAGGGGGAAAAGAGGGAGAAGCAGACAGACAUUGUAGAGAAUCCAUCAUACCUGUGCCAAAUCCAGUAGGUUUGGCUAUUUUCCAGUUUCCAGCUUAUUGCAGCCAUCGCUAAGGCAACGAACCCUGCUAUAACAAAGCCCCACCGAUAUCGUCUUAGAAGCGUGUCAACAAGAUUACGUAUCCAUUCCUUUAUGGCUGAUCUGCAAGUAACAAAAAUGUUGAUUACAUCAGCAAAAUUGAAGUGUUUUCUGUAUCUGUAAUUCACAAGCUGCCAGGAGGCAUUAAGCUUCACAAAAUGCAGUAUCAAUCAAAUAUCCCACUUCCUCCUAGGGGUAGGUGAAAGGGAUAACUUCUAGUCUUCUGAUACCAGCAGUAAGCAAAUUGCUUGACUCAAGAGCAAUAGCCGCUUAUUUUGCAUUUAUAUAUGAGUUCUAUACUCCCAAAUAAACCUAAAUGUGCCCAUAACUUCCUGUUUCAAUUGUGAAAUAGUUCAGCCAGGCCUGACACAGAACAAUAUAAAAGACCUCGAUAAAAAUGAUUUACCUAUCAACCAAAUUCAGAUGGAACUGAGCCGAACAGGCAAACGAUCUAUAGUGAGUACAAAGCUCAAUCAGCCACCCAGCAAUAAGACCCAAAGUCCCAAUGGCUAAAACAAGAACGAUGUUUGAGGAUCUACAAACAAUAAAAUGAAGGUUAGAAACCCAAUAGAAUCGUAAGAAUACAAGGAAAUAAAAGAAAUACACUACCGUGUUGGACCAGUUUCAGCCAUAAGGGCCGUUACUAUUGCAACAAUUGUGUGAAUCGUCCUCUUUGAAGUUUCAUUAAUAGCAGCUAGGUACACAAAAGUGCUGACAACCGCCAUGAAUGAAAGCCAGAAAUCCAUAAACUAUAAACACAAACACAAAUUUAUGACGACAAUAAUCAAAAUCACGUCUCAAGAGUCCACCAGUACACUCAAAUAAGAAGCCAGAAAAUACCUGCAAGACAUGAAAUGUUAAUGCACACCAGGUUCCUACAUCACAAGCAUGAUACAGCCCACUUGAGAUCCCACUAGAUGUGAAAAGAACCCAUUCAGCAAAUGCCUGCAGCAAAAUGCAGAAUUUUAACUUUUAAUACAGAAAUGAAGAGAAACAGAAUUUUUUUAGCUGUUCACAGUUGAUUAAACUGAAAAACAAAAAAUGAGCCCAUAUGCUGAUGAACUGGAAAAGGCUUGUUGUUUUUUCUCAUUAUUCAGGCUGAUAUACUUAGGUCAGUGGGGAAAAUUAAAGAGAAAAACUCUGUUAAUUUCCAGAUGAGCUAUCACUACCUUAUGGCGGAGGGCCCAGUAAGCGGGAAGCACAGCUGCAGCAUUGGAUGCAAUGAGGGAAAUUGAUUGCCAUAUGCGCCCUACAUGAUUUUUCAGCAAUUUUCCUUUAAAAGACCCAUUAUAUAGCAUUGUUAACUACUAGCUUUUAAAUUGAGAUGAAUAUCAAUCAUUAGCUAUAAGAUACAUGUCGCAUCCUAAUCUUACACACAACAAAUUGCAUGUAAAAAUUGCAAAGGCAAUCAAGAGAUUGAAGAUAUACAUAAGAUACAAUUUGAGACUUUGACAGAGCCAGAGCAUUAACAAGGAACAAGUACUGCAUAAACAUAUGCAUAUGGAUGAUACAUAUACAUAUUCUGACCAAAUGUAGGCCCACAAAAAGACAAUAAAAGAAAAACUUUUGAUGAUUUGAACAUAACACAAGUGACAAGGACAUUCGGGGCAACCACUUGUGCAGCCAAAGUGCAGCUCAAGUACAUUAUGCAAUCCUCUGUGCAAGGAAUCUAGUUAUAAGAUUGCAAACAGUGUGAAUCUCUGGAAGAUUUUUGUGCAUCCCAUUUUUUGGACCUGAUGUUUUGCUCCCACAUGUACAAGCACCGCUUACAAUUUAUUGGUAUACAUGAUGUACACUUAUAAAACAACUGAUGUAAAAAAGGACUAACAGAUGUAAAAUACAUCUGAUGUAAUAAUAAUAACGAAGAUGAUGAUAUAAAAUAAAUCAAUUAUAUUAUUAGGAAUAUACAAAAAACUUCCGCCUGCAUUUAGGCUCCCUUUGCAAGCAAAAUGAUUAAUCAAAAGCACUGACUCAAAAAUGAGCCAAAGGAUAGAGUAAAGUCAAAAUUUACCUGUGGGCAUCAUCAAAUAGUUCCUAAAUUUAUGCAUUAUAAGGAAUAUCUGUUCAUGUCUAGAAAACCUGUUGUGUGAGUAUGUAUCACUCAAUGAGGAACCUCAAUUGGAAUCUGCCCAAAUAAAUUGUCAUUUUUUUUCCCUCAGAAACUUCUGACUCAUUUCAAUGGCCUGAAACCAUCUACCAGUCUAAAUGAAACACGGAAUUUUUUUUUUUGAAACCAUCAACCAGUCUAAAUGAAACACAGAAUUUUUUUUUCUCAAACUCUAUGUCAUGUUCAACACAUAAAACUAGACUUCGAAAUAUGAAGCUUAAUGAUAACCAAUAAAAUGCCAGAAAGACUUCGGAACUGUCAUCUUUCAUCAAAGAGGAAAUCAAUUACCUUUAUGUGACACCAACUCCACGCUGCAGUCAAAGCCUCCAUGGUUACGAUCACAAGCACAGUAGCUGGCCAGAAAUCAUUUCAGAUGAGAAUUGAUCAAUAGUUUACUACUAAGCCAUUCAUUGAGAAGAUAUUAACCUGUAUAGUGACAGCCCACUGGUAUCUAAAAGAAAUUGACAGUUUCCAUGAGCAGAACAUUUUUGUGGACAUCUCUCUACUGAGAUAGACAUAGUUGUUUGAUAUGUGUAUCCACUACCAACGGGAUUUACUUGCCUCAGUCCAAAAUUCCAGAUUCCUUCUCUUGGAUAUAAUAUAUAAAAACCGAUUGAUUUCUCAGUAGAAUCAUACAGCUUAAAAAACAUGGAACCAUUGCUGCUGCUCGUGCUAUUUGUGCAGAAAUAGUCCCAGUUAUCCAGAGAAGGAAAUCCUCCAUAUCUGGCAUACAUUUCAUAACUUAUCUUAUCAUCUGAUGUAAGGCGGAUAUGGAUAUUUCCUCCAGCAGCACCAUAAGGGAUGUCUACGAGGAAAAAUGUCCAAGCAACAUCAUUAUUUCCUCCAUAAGAAGAAUUGCUCAAAAGCGGUUCUAAAGGAAAGUUAGCUGAAUCUGACAACACCUUCUCACUCAAUGGCAAGUAGUAGGAUUCAAAAGGGGCAGAAGGAUUUUUCCGAAGAACAGUCUGCAAGCAAUCAUUUUCAGCUUGUAAAGAAUAUAAUCCAGGUGACUUCUUUGAGUCUUCAUCAGAAGAAACAAAAUCCAGAUUAUAAGCAACCAGAAUAGCUCAAAAUCAGGUAACCGAGGGAAAAAACUUUGUAAACAAAAUUUCAACUUAUUUUUUGUUAAAAAACGUAACUAUACAAUGGAUCAAGGAAGUCAAGCAAGUGUUUUUGAGUAGUCGAGCAACCAUUUAUGCAGUCUUACCUGAAGCAUGUAUCUUUUCCAUGUACAGUUAGGUCCAGCUUUAUCCACAGGACACUGAAGAACUUGCCACUCCAAUGAAUAACAAACAGCUGUGCUCAGUUCUCGAAGUCCGCCACUGUUUGGAAGACUGACCGGUUGAACAGUAACAUACCAACGGCCAAGUUUUGGUGCUGGUAUAACUAGAGGGGCUUUGCUGAUAUUGCCAGAAUAAUCAUGCAACGUAUCUAGCGGCAUUGCACCAUGCCGAGCAUAAGACAUCAAGAUAAUCCCACUUGCAUUUUUUGUGCUAUUUGAAUUGAACCUAAUAUUUGAGGCAGUAAUUGUUAGCUCUUCAGAAAAUCCCAUUACAUUCAAAGAGAAGACUUUUGGUCCAUUAUCCACAUGACAAGUCCCAUCAUCAGCAUUUCUGCAAACAACCACAUUCUCUGCCACUAGAUCAGAAGUUUUGUUACCAGAACUGCUAUCGGUUACAACAUAUCCCUCAGCACACGUAAGCAGAUUAACCGUCUGGUUGCAGAAUUGGCCAGUCACCAUUGGGGCUGUACAUCCUUCCACACUCACAUUGCAACUAAAAGAGUAUGAUUGGCCACGAUUAAUCUGCAGUGAGAUUGUUAAAAACAACAAAAUUGAAUAAGUAGCUGGUGUGCAAUUGCAUAAGUCAUGAAAUUGGGACUAAAAAACAGAAGACAUGCGAGAGUCAUACAUGAGAAGAGAAAAUAAUGUUUUGGUAGACUAAGUGAAUAUCCAAUAUGCCAAUAUAAGAAUGUAUACCAAUAUCUGCUAUGCAAAUAUAUAGAUGUUACCAAGAAGAAAAAUCAUAGGAUUUCUAUGUCUAAUAUGCAGAUAUAUGGCUGUAUACCGAUAUCUAUUGUGAAUGUAAGUUUGGCGUAAGAAAAUUAAGUCAUAAUACUUCACCACACAUCAAAAAGAAUUAAAGGGGGAAAGGGUCAUAAAAGUUUGCAAGAAACAUGUCCUUUGGCUAGCAUUUGUUAAUAAUGUGAUAUGAGUCAUAUGACCCCAAGUCUUGGUUAAAGAGCACCUGCUUUUGAUCUUGUCCUAUGAUAGAGAAAAGCCACGUGUAAUAACUAAUUUUCACCAUAAACUAUUUGACAAAAUCUAGUAAACUAAUCACCAUUGUCCCAUAUGCAGUCUUUUGCCAAGAACAAAUAAAAGAAGGAAGAAUGAACAGAGAAUGGAUUUCAGUUAAAUUCAACGAUCAUUCCAAUUGAUUUUCCUUAGUGAAUGUAUAAAUCAUGAACUGUGUCAGAAUGUAAUCUUUAUAGUGCAGAGAUCAAUUAGAAUGAAGGCAAAUAUAAAAGGCUGAAUGGAAAUUUAAGUUAAAAAAUGUUAUGAAAACAUGGCUAGCAAAGAGAAAUGAACCUUAAGAAUUGAAGAAAAAAAGUACCAUUUUUGACUGUGUCCUUAUAGGUCCAAUGCCAUUGAAUAAACCAAAGUACCAUACACCAGGAGAAAUCUGUAGAAAAACUUUGCAAUUUAGACAAAUGGUAAUAGGGACUAUAACGUUAAAAAAUGAAAAGUACAUUAGACUAUUUACACAAUAGCCUGGAUAUUCAACAAACCCUGUCUAACUCUGUUACCUACAAGACACCUUCAUAUACCAAGACAUAAAAAACAUAUUUUCUGGGUAUGAGUACCAUAUUGAUACACAAUCAAAGAGAAAAAGGAAAGUAUAUACACAAUAUUGGAAUAGAAACGGGAGAGUGUCCAAAUAUUUAUCAAUGCGCUCUCUGAUUAUACGUAGCAAGUUUAUGCCUUGUAGAUUUAGAAGAACUAAGAUUAAACCUGCUCAUUUGUCAAUCUCAGAGAUAUUAUCUUCUGCAUAGGGUAGCACUGCUCAACAAUCUGAAGACCUUGUAUUCCUCCAAUAGAAUCAUUCGAGACAUAAUCGAACACUGUGGAAGAUAAUAUUAUAACCUUGAGGAGAAUUGACAAUAGUUGUGUCAAUCAGAAGACAAACUGCUAUAUUGCAGUUAUCAUAAGUAAUAUGAAUACAAAAAACACUGGACAUCAGGAAUAUAGCAUGUAGAAAGAAAUGAAACUUGAAGUCCAUCUGAAAAUUGAAAGGCGUCAAAUAACCUCAUAAAUGGAUGUUGUGAAAGGUCCAUGUGAAUGAUUUUACCAUCUUCAGAAUUUGCAAAGUAAUAAUGAUGCCAGGUGUACAAAAUUUAGUAAUCCAUUAGUAGGGUGUUGGGGAUGUAUGUAUUGGGUACCAAAACUGGAAAAAGAUGAUACUCCAAUACCAGGAGACAAUAAAAUCUUUCACCAGGGGCAUCAUUUUAAGAAAGAUACAAAGCAAGCAUGCAGCUGGCUUCUAGUUUAUGCAAGGUAUUCACCAAGCUACAGCAAAGUAAAUCAAAUAAGAACAAAGGAGGCAAUCUAGUUUAUUGUGCAAAAAGUGUAACUGACGAACACUGACCAAAGCAUGUACAUGAAUGUGCCCUUUGAAGAAAAGUAUUGCUUAAAAGCUAGUCCUCACAUACAAAAUAAUAGUAAAAUAGUUGCUCUCUGUUAGAAUAUGCUUGUAAAUCAAAACUUUACCUAGACCAGUUAGAGAAGUAUUAUAGAAUAUGCUUGUAAAAUCAAAACUUUACCUAGACCAGUUAGAGAAGUAUUAUAAACAUCAGGCAGGGGGGGGCUCCCUUCACGGAAGCAAAUCAUUGGAAGAUUGCUUGUUGAGGCUUCUCUAAUGUUCCUCAGAUCCUGCGAAUACUUAGAUUCACAUAUUUGGACAUGCCACAAGAUUCAAGACACCAGAAGAAAAAGCAUUUGAAGGAAAAGCCUGUCGUAUUUAAGUAGAAAAUACAAAACGCAAGACAUAAUAAAACUUGGAUUCAAGCACAACAGAAAUAUUAACACGCUUACACUACUAAAAAGCCUUAAAUAGCACACUUACAAGGUCUACAUCUGAUUCUAAAUUUAUUGACAUCGAAGAGAACCAUGGCGGCAAAUUCACUGCAAGAAAUCCCAGAAAUUAAAACUGACCAGAGGUAACAUGAACAAGUAAACACAUUCUUUCAAGUACAAUAUAUUAUUCCUUUCUGACUUCUCAAAAUGCAAGUAUUCAUGCUGCAUUUUAGAGAGUGCAAGCAAAUAAGAAUGGAGCAAAAUGAUUCACAAAAAGUUAAUUCCACACACUCUAAUUGAAAUAAGUAGACAAUUAGGAAUCCUAAGUUUAAUGCUAAUCUGCAAGUAAGGGUAUUAGUUUGGAGGACUAAAACGCUACAAAUCCCGUCUUGGAGAAAAUCAAAAGAAUAAGCACGAAUUGUUCUGAUGUCACCGAUAAUCCAAUAUUCAUACCUAACAUGGCAUAAAACAACUGACAACUCUUCUUACAUCAGUGUUCUGACUCCUAAUCAUUUAGACAAUCAAACUGGGCUUAUCAAUAUGAAACUUAUAAGUUAGCCUUUUAAGUUUCAGACAAAAUGUAACUCCUAGUAAAAUAUCAAUCAUAAAGAGAAUUUUGGCAGCCAAAACGGAUGAGUCAUCAUCCAAAACUACCUCUUUUAAUCAGGCGCAUUCUAGUAGAGAAAGCAACCAGCUAACUUAACCCGAGUGACCAAUCUAAAGACACCCUAUACAAAAACAUGAAGCCUUGGUAUUGAAAAUCGCUACUUUAUACAAUUUCCAACCUCUGCUGUCAUAAAAUUAAGUGGAGAAGCGAGAUUUAAAAGUCAAAAAACAGAGGCAGCAGAAUGUUUAAACAGCAAUUGGUAUAAAACCCAAAACCACGCCUACGCAGUCCAGUCAAAAAAAAAUUAUUAAUCAGCAAACAACAUCAGAAAAAUGAUUGAAACUUCGAAGACAAUCCUCCAAGCCUAAUAAUCAGUGAUGCUCAAAACUAAUAAACCAAAGCAAAAAGAUCAAAACUUUUACCUCAGCCCACCAAGCCUGACAAUUGAUAAUUCUAAAACAACAGGAUAAAACAGAAAACAAUCUAAGUUCAGCGAAAAUAAUGAUCAAAUUGUUACCUUUAAUAUACCGCCAAUCGUAAGGUUUAAGUCUAGUUUGAGCAUAAGUAAAGCUGGAAAUAGUGAAAGUAGAAUUAAAACCAUCAUCACGUCCUCCUCCACCAUCAUCACCAGCUGGUAUUUGUCCAAACUGAAAACAGUGAACUCCAGUACAAAUAAGAGCGUAUCCUAUAAAGAAGGGACACAACAGAUUCCGACAAGAAGAACCCAGAAUCCAAAUUUUGCCCAUGUUGUAUUUCUCUUUCUUUUUUGAUGAUUCUCGGUACAGAAUCAGAGUGUAAUGUGACUACCGAAUGUUAAGCAAAUUGGGUUUUUUAUUACAUUAUCUUAUGUCUGUGCCUAUUGAAAAACAAAAGAAAAAAAAAGUUUCCUCUCAAGGUAUGAUGGGGGUGAUAGGUUAUAUAAGCAUGUUUAUAAUUCUAAUUAAUAAGAAAUUCUAUAGUUUGGUGGGAUGUUUGCAUGUAUGUGGAUCUGUGGGUUGACUGAUGCUUUUUGCUUUGGCCAGGUCUUCUUUGUAAACUAAAAUAAAAUAACAAGGGGUGCACUCACGCGCUUGGGAUGGUAUAGUACGAGGAGCUUGUCCUGAGGUUUGGGAUACUUGCGAAUACAGUAGUGUGAUAUUGCGUUUCAAUAAUGACAUUGAACUGUGUUGGUGGAUCAACGUAAUUCUGAAUUUAAAAUGAUGCUCUAAGUUGUGUAAAUUGUGUUCUGUAUUAACAGGUGAUUUGUAAAAACGUAAUUCUAAUCUUAAAGGUAUGCUCUAAAUCGAUUUAGAAGAUGAUAGGAGUCGAAUUCAUCUAAAUUUUUAUUUUAUAAAAAAAAUGUAAUUGAGUGUGAUUAAUGACCAAUUAAUUAUUUUGAUUAGUAAAGGGCACAAAAAAAAAAAAGCAUUUAUUCUAGAAUGUACUGACUGGUGUAAAAGAGCGUGUCAUAUUUGGUCAAGAAUUCAAUGCAGAGGAAUAUGUACAUCAGUAUCCCAAUGUGAUAAAAUCCACUAAGUCUUGUUCACAUUAUUCGGUCUAUAAUUCAAUACUAGUUACUAUGUAUAUUAACAGAGUAGUGUAUUGCAUGUAUCUACUUAUGUCAUGAUGAGUCAAUGUACUUGAAUUGUUGAAAAUGUGGGUUAAAUGCAUCUAUACCAUGCAAAUUCCAAAAAUUAACAACUUUUCCCUGGGUGGUUUAUUACUAUAAUCCAAACCUCAAUUGCAAUAUCUUGCUCAUUAAUCCUAUGUUGGAAUUGGAUGUGUUUCUUCUUAAUUUUAACAAUAUAGGUUAAAUUAUAUUUGGCGGGUGCAACUUUUUUUUUUUUUUAGUAGGGAAACUCAUUCUCCUCAAUAUGGCUGUGAGAACCCGUUUUGCCCUAAUAUUUUCCUAGGGUUUAUUUUCCCCUUAAUUGCAUGUUUUCUGCAUUUUCUGGCUUAGAAAUAUUUUCUUAGUGGAUUUUAUGAGUAAUUAUAGUUUUUAGAUGAUUUUUCUAGCAUUGGUGAAUGUUUAGAAAAGUAAGAAUCUAUAUUGGACGUGGGACCCACUAGUGCGAAAAAUUCGGAAAAAUUCGGCCAAUAAGGUUAAGUUUCGGAUACUGUGAAAAAUUUAUCGGGUGUUAAGAGAUAAGUAGUGUGUGUGAAGUGAUUGAUGUGAGAGAGAAAAGAAUGAUAAGAAUGCAUUUAAUGAGGUGACAAGUGUCACAUAAGUAUUGGUUUGACCUUAAGAAAUACUAUUCACCUUUUGACAAAUUUUUGACUUUUGACCCAACUAGUAAAUAUCUUCAAAAAAAUUCACUAAAAUUCCCUCAUUUUUCUCUCCACCAUAGCCGGCUCUCUCAAGCUCCAAGGAAGACACAACUCUUCAACAUUCAAGCUUCUAACAAGUCCAAAUCCACCAAAUCAAGUGCUUAAGUUAGUUCUACUCCAUAAAAACUUUCCUUCUAGUGCUAGUUAGUUGUUUGGUGAACUUUGUUUGAAGGACUAAGGUGUUCAACAUCCCUCUCUCUCUUGGUCCUUGGUAAGUGAAGCUUGAAACACCCCUACACCUAAUGAUGCUUAUGUUGUGCUUACUAGUGAUAAGAGUGUUGAAAUUUCUGGUUUUAUCUUGGUUGGAAUUGAUUUGGUGAAGUUUUCCAUUUUAUGAUGAUUUUUCUGGUUUAAUUGGAUUAUGAUGGUGUGGUUGUUUGUGAUGAUUGGCAAUGGACUAUAAUGGCUCUAGUGGAUGUGAAAUGUGGUUAAAUGCAAUCAAUUUUGGAUUUGGUGUGAAAUUGAAAAGUUAGGGUUCUUAAUUUCCCAAUUCUGUCCGGUUUUAGAUCACUAGGUUAGAGGCCGAAUUUGACUUUGCUUAAAACAUGAAAGUUGUAGGUAUUGAUGUGAUGGAGAUACCUGUAAAAUUUCAGGGCAUUUGGAUUAGUGUGGAGUGAGUUAUGACGAAAUUACUGUAGCUGUUCUGCUUUGGACAGAAUGCGAAAACUGCGAUAGUAAUUGGCUAUUUUGACUGGAAUUGGUUUGGAUUUUGGAGUUGGUGUCUUCUGAUGAAAUGUAGCUGGAUGACUUAGCUAACAUAUGCCUUUGGAAUUUCGGCAAUUGGACUUGUAUGGACUGAGAUAUACUGAUUACAGUUUUUGGUGAUUUGCAAACCUGUUUUGGUAAUUCUGGUAUAGUAUUUGGCACUUUCGACCUAGUUAAGCUAGGAACUGGAUUGAGUGACCUUCUACAUUGUUGUAGCCCUGUUUCAUAGCUUCGAAAUGGUGGGUCUUACACCCCCAACCGAUAAUUGUAGUGAGAGUUGCGCCAUUACCGCAUUAUACGCUCAAACACGGUUUUUCUAUCAAGGCUUAAGUUAAGGCCAUAUUUUAAUUUCUGGUUUGCUAUCAUGCCUACUUAUGCAUAUGAAACCCUAUUGGGGUUGUGUUUAGCAUUGUUUGGUGACUCGUUCUCGAGUCUCAUUGUAUGUGUUACAUGUUCUAGGGCUUGAAGGUAGUGCUCGACGGCUUGGUGAUCGUGGUACAUGAAAAAACCACUUACUUGCGUGGUGAGUAUACUACUCACUUAAUUGUUACUAUGUGGCUUUGCUAAAUGUAUAUGUGAUGCCUUGAAGGCUUACUUGGAUAUUGGAAUUGAUUAAGGUGAGGGUGUACUUGACCGCCCUCACCCCUUUUGAUAGUAUCACUGAUUGGCUACCGUUUUACUGCAUUACUGAACUUGAUAUACUGGAUACUGAAUUCCAUUCUUGGAAACUGAUUUGGUGUCAUUUGGGCGAAUGUCCAAUGGCUUCACUGUAUUACUGAGCUCAACCCCGUUUGGUAGUCAAUUGGAUCGAGCCGGCGAGGGCUUGGUCGUGAAAAUUGUCAUGCCACGGGGACUGUACUGAGGAACCUUGUGGUAAUGAGACCUUUGGUUCCGGUAUACUCGAGUAUUACCAAAAUGACUGAAUGGAGUGCGGGCCCGGUUGGGGUAUGUUGGGUGGAAGGAAUGGAAGUGAAGUGAGGUCUACGGUUUGGUACUUUUAACAUUGACGGAGGGUCAAUGAGUGUGGAUCAAGAAUGUAAGCGUGGAAAUGGGCUCUUGAGAGCCGACCGUAUCCUUUCACUGAAUUGCUUACUUCGAAAUUGCAUACUUGAAUUGAAUGGUUAUGCUUAUGUGAUCUUAACUGCUAUUGUGAUAGUUGCUCACUGAGCUUUAGCUCACUCUGUUCCAUUUGUUUUCCUUACAGGAAAAUGAAUACUUUUGGAAAAGGUUGUAAUAGUUGAAUGACAAGUUGAGCUCAUGUACAUGUAUUUUGAAUAGCUCCUUGAGGGUGAAACCCUAUGUGUUUUGUUUCACCAAUGUUUGGUGUGUAAAUGGCUAUUGUAUGUGAAUGAACUAAAUGGAUCUCUUGGUAUGCCAUUUUGGCUUGACAAAUGUUGGAUUUCCAUGUAUAUAUGUUAAGUUGAUGUUUGGAUGAACUUUUGAACGUUUCGGCUUUCAAACGGCAAAAGAAAAAUUUUUGACGGAAAGGCACUGGACUGAAUCCGGCCAGGAAUCCGGCCAGAAACUGGCCGGAUUGUCGGCCGGAUUGCUUGGAAAAUUUUGAAUCCGUGAAGUUGCUCACUGGACAGUAUCCGGCCAAGAAUCCGGCCGCUAAUCCGGCCAGAUUCCGGCCGGAUUUUGCUGUCCAGGUUACUAUUCAGUUUUUUCGUUUUUUUUUAUUUUGUUAUUUUGAUACUUGUGACCUGUCCGAGCGCACUUUUGCAUUCCCGAAACGUAUUAGAACGCGUGUAACUGCUCCGUAGUCCUGGCGAGAGCUGGGCAGACAGUCCGCUAACCCCUUUGGUUCGCCUUAGGGGAAAGUGGGGCUGUUACAAUGGCCCCGUUUGACAAAUAAGUUUUUUGGGUGUUUGUCUAAAAUUUUACUGUAACUCACUGUAGAAAUUUUUAAAAAAUUGUUUGAAGUGUGUAAAUUUUUGAAUAUUUUGAAGUGUAUAGUUUAAAAAUUUUGAGAAGUUUUUUGAGAUUACUAUAGCUAAAGUUUUUAAAAAACUUGUAACAGAUAAACUUGGCAAAAAACUCAAGUGCCAAACAGAGGUAUGGUUUUAGAAAGGGAAAACGACCAAAAUGGUCCUUUAUAUUAAAAAAAAAUUUUGGUCCCCCACAUUUAAAAUAAUGUAAAAUAAUCUAUCAUAUAUAGCAAAUCGUAUCAAUUUGGACCCCGAUUCUAACUAUCACCAAAUUUUCAAUAAAAAGAAAAAGUGCACACUCAAGUCGCAUGCUCAUGUUUUCAAUGACAAAAAAGGAAUAAAAGUAACGUUCUCUUGUAAAAAAAGCCUCCCCACCCUCGCUUCUAUGAGGGAAAGAGGUUUUUUUUCAAGGAAAAUAUUGUUAUUCUUAUUCAUUUUAUUCCUAAAAGUACAAACGUGUGAUUUGGACAUACAAUUUCUAGCCAAAAUUUUGGUCGAGAAUAGAUUGUGGAACCAAAUUAAUACAUUUGUGAUUUGUUAUAUGUGAAGGACAAUUUGUGCACCAUUUAAAAUGUGAUAGACCGGAAUAGUUUUUUUUUUUUUUUUGCUUCCAAGCACCAAACUAGUUAUAAGCUUUUUUUGAAACGGAUUGUUGUUCAGCAUAGAAUAAUAAGAGUACACAAUCAAAUUGUUUGUAAAUAUGAGGACUUAAUCAAAAUUUAUUAAGUUCUGAACAGUGACAUGGAAGAUAAAAUCUAUCAAAGAAAGUGAGUAGACUUGUUUCGAUAAAACCUUAGAACUAUUUGUUUGCAAAGAGUUUUAUCUUAAUAUAUAUAUUGUCCUUGGCAUCAUUCACCUCUUUGUUUUCCCAUUUUUUUUUCCUUCUCUUGUUUAGUUUGUAGCAUAUCGGGCUGCUUUUCAGAACUCUGCAAACUUGCAAAAUACAAUUCAAAAUUUUUUGCCCCGUACGUUCAAUAUAUUCUACUAAAGUAGGAUUCAUUAUUAUUUAACUUUUUUUUUUAUCAAUUGUCAUCCCUACUUCUACUCCUACUCCUACUAGGAAGAGGCUCAACUGAACUUACGGGAGACCGAUAGGGACAGAAUCUGAAUUUGAAGAAGAACCACAAGAGUGGCAUUUUGGUGGGAGGUUUAAACCCUUGCCUCCCACCCCACCAAAGCUCUACUCCUACUCCUACUAGGAAGAGGCUCAACUGAACUUACGGGAGACCGAUAGGGACAGAAUCUGAAUUUGAAGAAGAACCACAAGAGUGGCAUUUUGGUGGGAGGUUUAAACCCUUGCCUCCCACCCCACCAAAGCCUUAAGGGCUCGGUGGUGGCCACCAGCCCAAGAGCUGGUGGUUAACAGCAACGUUGUCUUUUAUCAGUUUUGUCAAUUGACUUUUGCUGAUUAAAUAAACCUAAUCCCAGAACUAACCUCAAAAGCCGGCAACUCUUGAGGCAGUCCCAGGGACUUAUCUACCCAACUAACCCAACCCCCAACCCCGAUGUGGGACUAGAAUACCCUGAGAAACUCUGCUACUAGAAGUGUACUAACCCCCAAGUUAUCUACCCAACAGCAACGUUGUCUUUUAGCCCGAAAUUGCUUGCUUUAUGGUGUCUGGUUGUCAACUCAUAAGUUUCUCUGGAGUACGUGUGUCUACCUAAGUCACAAGAUCACAAUUCAACAUGCCUAACUUCAAUAAAGCAACAAAAAAACACGCAAGAAAACGUAGCUAAGUUCAAAAAAGCAACAAAAUUAUGCAAGAAAACGUGUAAACAAAUUGAUCAUCACAAUCGGCCAAGUUUGAACAGCCUACUUUUAUAUUCCAUAACUUUUAAAAUCGAUCAAAAUCUAGUUCAAAUUCGAUUUAACAAAUGAACCAGUUUAAGUUUGAAUAAAAUUUUAAACUAAUUAAAAUAAUCAAAUAAGUUUGAGAACAUAUGUUAUGGUGUUCGUUUUGAUUAGAUUCAUUUACGCCCUGUAUAGGUAAUAUUUUGAGCUGCCUAUUAAGCAAUUUUGCUAGGUUCCCUCGUCUUCUCCGUCACCGUUUAGACGAUAAAUUACAAUGACAAGAGCAAUGGGGAAAGCCUCGAACUGGUGAAACGGUAUGCUGAGGGGGGCUAGUUUCAUACACAGAAAUAGCAUCUGGUUCAAACUGCUCCACCAGAUAAUUUACCGAUAAACUGCAACCGGAAAAUGGAAAACCAUAUACUCCCGCUCAUGAGGAUUGGAGAGAUGAUCAUUACAAGUGUGAAUGUAAUACUAAGAUUCAAAGAGACAAUGAGUACGAGAAGUACGAUGUUGAGAAGCAGAGGGAUGCAUGUGGACAUCAACCUUGUGUCUGCCCAUGACGACGCUGCUUUUGCCCGUAUACAUAUACGGUGUCGUACGUGGUCGUGGAGGCCGACCUCCAUCAAGCCCUCCAAGUACGAUGCCUACUUUUCUUCAUUACAGUAAUAUGUACUGUCUAUUUUUAAGUACAUUGCAUGCGUAUAUAUAUAUAUAUAUUGGAACGGUGAGUUGGUAGAAACUAGAAAGCAGACGAGGCAGUGGCCACGGAGAGAAAGAAACAGAUCGCUAGAGCUGUAGCCGUAAAUGCCGCAAUAAUUAAGAAGAUCAAAGGCUCGUUUGGUUCGUUCAGCAAUUUCUUUCUCAGGUUACAGACGCUUGCUUUCAAGAAGGUUUGAUCUUCUCCCCUUCUUUGUUCUUUCCUUUUCCUCAGAAAAACGGAAAACAAAAGAAAAAGACUUUUGGUCGUUGACCAUGGUCUUGAAAUCUUACAUGCCUCUUAGAAGACUUUUGGGAGAUGGUAUCGAAGGGUUGUAUCCCCUAGAUUUAUACAUAGUCCUUAGAAUUGGGUCACAAUGGCCCUCCAUUAUGUCAAAAGAAAGUAGUACAAAAAAGAAAAAUAUAUAAAAGGGCACUGCCAAAUUCUUAAAAGCGUGAAAUAUAUUCAUCUAAUCAAAACUGGAUUUAGCACGCCUUCUUUUGCCCCAUGAAGGCGUGCAGCGGUGUCUCGCUACGUCAUGAGUUAAGACUCGCGCCUUCACUACUCAUCGGGUCAGGCGAUGUGAAAGGAUUGAAGCAAAUCCCAGAUGGGUCAACAGCUGCAGUUAAACAACAAACAGUAAUGACAAGGAAACUUCAACAUUCCCAUCAAGAAUUAAAACCAACUCCCCUUCAGGUAAGUACUACUAACUUAAUUACUAUCUGAACUUGGUGGAUAUACAAUACAAUUAAUCAGCACCAAGAGGAAGUGAUGAACUUAAUUUAUUUUCUCAUGCCAACUACAUGCAAUGGACAAUGAUGGAUGUGGACUUAUUCAUUUACCUGAACAUCAAGGAACAUUCAACAAUGAAUACUUUCAAGAGACAGAGGAAGCCAACAAGUUUAGGCAGGACUGCGAAAUGCGGAGAAUGAGACGGGCAUGCAUGUUUGCCCUGUCCAUCGGUGUCUUGUUUUAAUUAAGUACGCUGCAUUCUGGUUUUUUCUGUCAAAUGCAAAAAUUUGCUGUUUUCGAUUUGCAAAAUUUAUGUCAUCUUAAGAAGGAUAGUUUGGAUUCUAGAUUGGUUGGGUUCUGAAAUUUUGACCGCAUGCAUUCGGGAUCAAGGUUUGGAUGUUAUAGCGGAAGGAUUGGAUAGAGUAAAGAACAUGGCCCCUGAUAUGAAUGAGGUUCAGUUCCUUUUCUUUCUCUUAUUUCUUCAGAAAGUCUAGUUCUCUGUAGCAAGUGCCGUUUUGUUCCUAUACUGCGUCAUCUUGCUGCUUCUUCACCCUAAAUUAUCUGCAGGAGUUGGAUAGACAAACAAUAUUGUUGGAUGAGAUAGGUGACAAGGUAACCUGCCAUAUAGUAAAAUUUUAGCCUGCCAUUCUCAGAAAAUCUAGAUAUACAGUUUCUCCUAUAUAUGGCCGUUGCAUUUUAUCCUAUGGUUAGCGAAAUCGAACUCAUACAUGCUUGGAGGCACUUGCAUUGCCCGGUAUUGAAGUCGUAAGUUGAACUGCUAUUAAUUAAUCAAAAACUUCAAAGUUACCUAUUAGCAGUGCUUCUCAUGAGGCACUGCUUUAUUAAACCUUCACUAAAACUUACCAAAUGAUAAAUUCCAGGUUGGCAGGGCAACCUCAGACCUUAGAAACACUAACUAAUGUCAAGCUCAAGGAUACGGUGACACGGGUAUAUUGAUUACCGUUUGAGGCCAAAAUAGAACUAUUAGCUACUUUUUGUGUUUCACUGCAAUUGUUCAUAUUGUCGAAAGCGCUUUUAUGUCUCAGCUAAGAUCGAGUCGCAAGUGCUGCAUCGACAUCAUCCUCGUGUGCAUAGUUUUGGGCAUAUCUUUGCAAGUACCCUUUUAGUCCCCCAUUCUUUUCCAUGUUCUAUUAACACGAGUAAUUAGAGCAUUACUUCCAUUAGAUGAUGCAGUUUUUGUCUGAAACUAUCUUUCUUGCGGGCUUAUCUUUGGGCAAUAUGGGCAUUUACGCGCCUUUGCAGUUUGCUCUCCAGCCCUCCCCUAAAAAUCCUUCCCCUUUGGAAAGCAAAAAUUUUCCCUAAAGGAUUCAUGCAUGCAUAUUACUAGCAUCAGAUAUGCAUCAGAAUACUAAGAAAUGUAUUAUCCUUUCUCUUUCUUUUUUCUCCCCUUAAAUAUGCCUUGUUUGGUUGCUUUAGGGUCCCUUCUCUUUUUUUGCAGUGUGCUCAAGUGAGAUUCUGAUUCUCUUGGCUGUUUGUGGCUUCUGUGAAGCUCAGCUCCUGGCUUCCUGUUUCUCAAAAGUCCUCCAAGAUUCAAUUCAGUUCCUAUUAUUGUAUUAACAAAGCAUGGGAAUUAGUAUCUGCACAUAAAAUAGGGAUAAUUUCAGAAACCUCCCUGAGGUUUCAAACAAUUUCAGUACAUACCCCUAAGAUUUGAAUAAUUACACUUACCUCCGCUAGAGUUAUGAAAAGACAUUCUUGCCCUUAUCCAAUACUAUUUAUUUUUAAACCUAAAACUUAAAAUACCAAAAAAAAAAAAAAGGAAAUUUGAAGCAAUCAACACAAAACGAUUCAUAGUUUUGCCCUCUUGCACUAACCUCACAUUACAUUCCUCUUCGACAACACCCCUUGGGAAACUCUAUUCCACAGCUCAUAACCCUCCUAAAUUAGUUUCAUCCUUUAAAUUAGUUGAUGAAAUCUAUCUCUUUUGCAAAUUAUUUAUUGGCUAUGACUGAUUUCAGUAAAGAAGAGAAGUAAAUUAAUUUGCAAGAUGUUGCAGUUCCGAAGGUUACCUUUUGUCAUUGAUGCUAGACAAAAGUUCUUGGAUUGGGCCUUAAAAUUGAGAUUGUCAAGCUCCUGUAGGACAUUACUUGAGAUCAUAUUUGGAAGCUUUAUUUCUGUGCAUUGAUUUUGAAAUUGGAAGCAACCGUUGUUUAGAGGCAAAAGGGAAUGUAGAUUGUUCUUUGCUAGUAAAAAAGGGGCGGUGGGAUCAGUGAAAAUUAUACCCAAAAAAGAAGAAAAAAGCAAGCAAGCAAGCAGAAGUGAUGUUGGGAAACAAUGGUUGUUAGUAUUGAAAGAGUAGUUUAGGGUAAUCAAUGAACUAUUUUGGGCAAAUGAUGAGUUUUGUUAGCAUUAGAUUUGUCAUCCAUCAACUGCCUCAGUACUCUUCCAGUACUUAGUCUUUUGCGAAUUCAUAAACAGUGACAAACUGCUCCCUUGGAUAAUAUUCUUCAUAAUUUCUUGAACGUUUUAGACUCCAAAGGCAUUUUUCGCUGCUCAUUCAUUUAUUUAGAAUCAUAAUUUGCGUAUAUAAAAUUUUCGGGGAUUUUACCUACCGCUAGAUAUAAAUUGUUAAGUAAAUAGACACGCACUAAACCAAUUGUAUGUUUACAUUACACUAACAAAAUAGUACCUUUAAUGAUAUGAGUAAAUAUUAUAUAUACUGACGAUAUAUACACUUUCAAAAUAUUGAGAGUAACUAUUAAGAUUAUUCAACUAUACAUUAUCGAUUCUCACAAAUUCCGGCGGACACGAUUUUGAUUUGAUUCUUCAACUGGUAACUCAAUUUUAGUAUUGUAAUUGUAGUUUCUAAAAAUAGCCUGAAUCUAAGACAAAAGUAGUAAUUUUUUUUUCCCAAAAAAAAAAAAAAAAGUACGAGUAACGUUGUGGGAGGAGCAUAGAUGUAUGUCAUAACAAAACGAGGUGAUGAGCUUUGUACUCUUUGCCAUGCAUCAGCAGGUGACUGAGUUAACUUUCCGCUGAGCUGAACGAAGUGUUGAGGUUUGACCACGUAGCUAGUCAGAUUCAUUUAUUAACGACAUUGACUUUUUUCCUCAAUUCUAAGAGCAAAAUCCCUUUUGAAUCUUAUACUAAUUGAUUCCCAGUUGUAAUUAAUGAGGUAACCUUCUGAUUGUGCGUAUUAACUAUUCUCAGUGGUACAGAAUGUAGCAGGGCCAAAAAAAAAACAAUUGGAAUAAUUAAUGUAUCACUUUUUAUGAUGUGAUGUAUGUGAGAUAAAAAAAUGAUUGAGAAUAAUAAAAGGUGGAUUGAAAAAUGUGUUUAUAAUGCAAGUGAAAUAUUAUUUGAAAAAAUGAAAUAUCCAAAUAAAAAAGCUUAUUUCUGUGUACUUACGUCAUUUCCCAAUGCAUAUCAAAAUUUUAUUAGUUUAUCUCACAUGCCAAAAUAUAUAAUCUAAUUUAGUGUAGAUAUAAAUAAUACAACUCAGGAAUUAUUAAUACAUUCUUAGCAUGGUAGAACAUAUCAAUAUCUAAUAGUAAACCCAAAUAACAGUAAAAAGUGAAAUUUUCAAAAUUGAAUAUAGCAGUAAAAAGAAUUACAGUACCGCACGAGAGCGGCGUCAGUGAAAAAGGCAACUGCUGCAAUAGAUUAAGUUGGAACUGCAAGCAGGGUUCACCCACAGCACAGACAAGAAAAUCCCAAGUCACGAAGGACGCUAUUCUCACCCACGUUGCACACCCUACUCUACCCCCAUCCAACAACAACACGUCACUACCCAUAACUCUUUUUUUUUUUAAUAUAUAAUUAAUUAAAAAAAAGUUCAUCAAAACACAACAACAAUAAUUAGUAAAACCAUCAAUACCCAAAGUCUAAAAUCUUCCCAUGAGUUUUAAAAAAAAAAAAAAUUAAAAGCAUUAAAAGAAAAGAGAGAGAGAGAAAAAAAAAAGAGAGAACGAUAAUCCAUAAGUAAGUUACAUAUAACACACAACACAAAGACCUAACACACAAACUUGCUAUGCUAUUUUUCUGCUGCUGGGUAUGUAGCAGCAUAUUAUUCCUCUCACUCACAUUAGAGACUUCAAAGACCUAGCCUUAAUCGGCUUCCGGGCUCUCUUCCUUCCCAUUUCUCCAUUUUCGUCAUCAUCAAGUUUGCUGUAGUUAUCGUAAUCGUCUUCAUCAUCAUCCUCAACAUAGUCGAGUACUUGCUUAUGAAAUUGAGAGGUAAAAGGGGAGGAUUUAACGCUAGGCUCAGGAGUAUUAGGCCCCUCAGCUGCAUCAACCUCGAUAAUGCUGCUGUUGUUGUUUCUACUUGAUGUAUUCUCACUGCUACUAUCGUGACUCGUAUAGGGUUCUUCUUUCAUAGCAGCAACAGUAGCAGCAGCAGCAGCAGCACCUCUUUUCUUCCCCCACCGAGGUCCGAACCCCGAAUAGUAGUAAAACUCGUAAGGAUUCGACGAUGAUGCUGGUUUCUUGGGUCGAGCCCGGCGGCCACUCUCGGAUUUUUUCACCGAAGCCGAAGGUUGAGGAGCUAAGUGUCUCUGGCAAAAGGGUUGCUCGUUUUUCACCUUUUUCCUGCGUUGCCAGCCCUUUCCGUCGAUCUUGCAGUCGAAAACCUCAUCCUCUUCUUCUUUCUUCGACCUUAAUGAUUCCUUUUGCUCAAACUUGCCCCCGGCCGCGAUAUCGUCCAGUUUCACCUUGGGCCCAGGUCUGAGAAUAUAAUUCACGAAAACCCCACCGAUGAAAACGCGACCAAAACGCUCGAGUUGAGUUUGAAAUUUUCAAUCAUCAAAGCUAAAAUUUACGCUAUUUGGAAAUAUUGCAGAUUUGGCAUCGGACAACGGAAACCCUAAUUAUUCCUUCCUUAGCAAAACGAAAAAUGCUAAAACAAUCUCCAAAAUUAAUUCGAAUUCGUAAAAGGGCAUAAAACUAACCUCUGGUCAGCUGCAAUGUGAUCCGAGAAGAACCCAUUUGGAAAAUAGCUGUGAUCUUUAUCGACCUGCCAAGGCAUUAAAAAGAAAAUGCGAAAGCAUGUAUCAGCUCGGAAUAAAAAGCAACAAGCAGAAGAUCCGCAAGACAAAUUUACUAUCUAAACCUUAAGAAACGAGAGAAAUGGUGGGAUUUACUGUUUCAAAAACAACCCUAACGGAAGUUUUGGAGAAAACCCUAGACCCAGAAGGCAAGGCAAGGAGAAAAAAAAAAAAAAGUAAAAAUGUAGAAAAGAAUAGAGAGGGCUGCUGUUUUGGAUCUGCGGCGUGUGAUUAUUGGAGUGGAAUAUGGUAAGAAGGAGAGAUUCAGAAACUAACCAGAAAGGCGGGAGGUGGAGGAAGCGUAGAUGGGUCUGGUGGAGGGAAGGUCAUGACAUCCCAUGGCGACUGGUUGAGCUGGCAGACGUGGGUUUGGAUAACUGUGCCGGGUUUUAGAGACGAAGCAGCGUAUAAAAGAGGGGAAAUUUUUGCAUGUUUUCUGAUUCGCAUGGUCGAAGAUGUAGAGGAGGAAAUGAAAUGAGAAGGCUAAGGCUGAGGCUGGGGCUGGGGCUGGGAGGAGGGCAGUUUUAUUUCGUUUUGUUGUACUUUCUUUUUGGGGGAGAGAAAGAGAAGGGCGAGGGGAUAGAAACUAGAAAGAAAGAAAGAGGGCAACAAUAGUUAGCACACGACUAUUGUUUGGUUCUUUGUUUUUUGCAGGCCUUCUCUCCCUCUGCUCCACUCCAUCGAAGUAGAUCCAAAAAUCUAGUAUACAUUAAUGUAAUUAAUGUGUUUCUAUAAUUAUUAUUAUUAAUAGAUAAUUUUUUUAAAAAAUAUUUUUUGGGGGGUUUUCUUUUUAAAUACUAUGAAUGAUGAGACUUGCUUGGCCCUUGGCUCUGUGUGCGUGCUUGGUGUGGAGCGCAGAUGUUACAGAUGUGGGAGGAGAGAUUAAUUUGGAAUUGAUUUUUGGGUCCUUUAUCUGUUUGAUAUUUUCUCUUACUUUAGAGUUACAUCCCUGCAUUUUUUAGUAUUUGCAGAGGCUUCGUGGGAAGCUGAGAUGGAAGACAGAAGACAGGUCAAAGUUAGUUCCAACGGAAGUAUCUUUGCGGUACAUGUUACGUGGACUGGAUUGUGGGCUUUGGAAAUAUUUCUUUUUUUUUCAAUUAUGCCGUAUCCCUGAUUUUUUUUUAAUCAUUAAAAUUGAAAUUCGAUUUAGAAAACUUAAUCUUGAUUUCAAAUCCUUUAAGAGGUAAACCUUAACAAACAAAAAAAAAAAAAAAUUGGGCUGUUCUGUAAAUAAUAUCACUAGGUUGUGGAAAUAUUUAUGUUUGAUCUGUUGAGUGUAUGAUGAAAUCUUGCCAAUAUAUUGUCCAAUGACAAUAAUGUGAUUUUUGGAAAAUAAAUUUGUCAGGUAUGUUAUGUCCUGGCAUAUGACUUUUUACCUUACUCUAUCCUUCUAUCAUCAAAUUUAAGUACGCAUUAAGAACCACUUAGGUUCUAUUCGAAUUUGUAGCUAAAGAUAAUUUCUUUAAACUAAUUACAAUUGAAAAUUGAAAAGCUACCCUCUUUUUCUUAAAAGUUUUAGCACCAGAAUUUUGUAUCCUUUUCUCUUACAAAAAAAAAAAGAAGAAGAAAAGUGCACGCUUCUCUCCCUUCAAAAUAAUUAAAACGUACUUUCAAUGCUUGCUCUUAUUAAGCAUAUAGCACGUUAAAACAUCAUAUCCCGCUCUUAAAACACAGAAAAACCUACAAAUUAAGGAUGUAUAAGAUAACUUUUGCCUUUAUAUACAUCCGAAUUGACUCGCUUGCUAAUUUUGUACUUUUCUCGACUUUUAAUUUCAAUACUUUUUUUUUUCUGAAUCAUUUCAUACUUCUCUUUUACAAAGUGACCCUCCACUUUUGAGUUAUCUUUUAAUGUAGUGAAUGGCCAAUCUGGAACAACAUAUGCAACCAUACAUAUUUAUAUUUCACAAGAAUGUACGACAUAAAUGCAAGAAAAAUGGUUAUUCUACUUCCUUACAUUUUCUUACGAAAGUAAGAAUUUCGGUAAAUAAACCUAGAUCUCCAAGCAACCUUCAAAAGCCGACAACUUUUGAAGACGUCCAGGGACUUAUCUACCCAAACCCACACCCCCCAGUACCAAUGUGGGAUUGAAACCCCGACAAGGGCCAAAGCCUCCGACAAGGGUUAUUCUACUUGAAAGCCAUCUUUUUUGGGCACUUCAUAUCAAUGUACCUUAGGUUGCAUAAUCUAUAUAGCUACUCUAAAUUGACAAACUAAAGACACGUGGCAGUCAUAGAUUAUCAAAUCGAGGCAAUUUAUUACACUUUCUAUAUUUUAAAUUUGGAAGAUUAUAAUGUAAAGAAGCACCUAAAAAAGGGAAAAGGGAAAAAUUCAUGUCAUACAACCAAUCUAUUGAAUUAAAAGGAAAUAGUAAAAGUUUAUGUUUAAAAAUCGUUAGGAACACUUCAUAGAGAAACGGGAUUUGGAAGAUCAAGAAAGGCAGCACCCAAAUUAACACAGUAAACCUAAAACAACAUGGCUUAAAUAGGCAAAACAACUUUUUGAUUGUGCGAGAAAUCAUGUCCAGGAGAAGAACAAGACUUUCACAAGAUGGAGUCCUUGAAGCUUUAUACGAGGACAAUACUUUCCAUUAAUUAAUGUAGGGCAAAAAACUUGUGCGGCCCUUAAACUUUUUAUGUUUAUGUACUUUUGGCCCUUUAAUAAUUAUAUAUAUAUAUAUAUAUUUGCUCCCUAAUGUUACAUAUAUAACGUAAACAAAUAAUGUGACAUAUAUAAGAUGCAUAUAGAUAGGUCUCGAUAAGAAUUAUUAAAGGGAUUAAGCAUUUUAGUUCCAUAUCAAUUUGAUGUAGGCCAAUUCGAUCGCUCAAGUUUUAGAAAAAACUAAUAUAGUCCUUACAGUUUCAAUUUUGAUAUUUGUAGUCCCUCGAGUUUGCAAAAUAACAAUUUAGCGCCAUAUGUUUUGGAUUUCACUAAUUAAGUAUAAGACAUUUGACAGAUUUUCAAUCACUUUAUUAGGCUUUUGUCCAUUUAUAUCAAUUAUCAGAACUUAACACAUCGAGUACGUAGCAAAGGUUUUAAGUUCAGAUAUGAGGUACCAAAAGAUGGGAGAUUAACAUAGCAACCAUUUUACUAAUAAUACAACUUGAUUUCAAAGUAGAAUCGAUACCCCAUAUAUAUAAGUAUACAGGACUUUCGUUCUAGUUAUUAUUUUUCAUUAGAGGGGGACUCCAAAAUAUGACAGUACUAGUUUGCUAUCAUAACACAUAAUAUCACAUUGCACAUUUUCUUGUCAUCAAUUUGCAUCCAUGGUAUUUACUUUGAAUAGUUGGCCGCUUAAAGUUAUGAAAAAUAUUCAAAUAAUCUUUUACAGUAACUUUCAGAGUAUGAAGUAUCAACGAUAAAUCUCGCGUGCAAAAUCCAAAUAGACACUAAAGUUGGGGCAAAAUAUACAUAAUGGUUUUUCAAUUUCCAAAAUUGUAAAAGAAAGUCAAGUUAGUAGUACUUACUCGUCGGUUAAUCCCAUGUACAUAUCUUCUUUGUAGUACUUAUUAGUUACCCAAUGAAAAAGUUGGCGAACGUUCAAGAUGGUUAUUCCAAACAAUUUUACAGCAGCGCAGCUGUGGUAGUAGUAGUACUAAUUUAUUUGACGUCACAUAUUUCCGAAGCCGGUCACGUGACAAAAUGCGGAAUGUGGCGGCUUAACGCUGUAGCACCUUCUGGGCAAUCCGAGUAAAAAAUUUUUUUAAAAAAAAAGGAAAAAGAAAAAGAAAAUGCCUUUGAAUUCGCGCUUGUCUCCUCAUCCAUCGGUGGGGGCCAUAAACAUAAUCAAUUGGUCCCACCACCAGUUCCCCGUCUAAACCGUGCUGCCCCGCUUGCUUGCCAUAAACCAUUAAACUUAACACCAAAAGUCGUUAAGAUUUUUUAAACUAUUACUAGUAAAUACUAAAUACAGCUUCUUAAUUUCGCCGGUUUUAUUUGACCACUGGGACCCACACUAGAACCUAUACAUAUAUAUACCCCUCCUCAAGUCCUCUUACCCAAUGAAGUUGUCCUUGUUCGUCGUUUUCCUUCUAUGAUGUACAGUAUCUAGCCAGAACUAGAAGGAAGAGGAAGCCAAUUCGCUAGACGUGCCUAAAUCUUCGAGGACGAGGACGAGGACGAGGACAAGGAGGGAGAAGAAGAAGAAAAUGGCGAUGCAGGCGAAGAUGGAGAAAAUGGAGAUGCGUCAGCAGUAUCGGAACCAUUGGCACACCGAUCUCUUGAACGCCACUGCGGCAGAUCCUGUUUGUACGUUCGAAUUUUCUCUCUGUAUUUUCAUCGCAUUCUUAUGGUGUUUAAUUUCUCUUCCGGACUUGCAUUGUUUCGUUCUCGACGUAAAACCUCGUCGUUUUGGUUUAUCUCCGAACGGCUGACUUUCUGAUACAUGUGUUAAUCUUUUGCAGUUUGCUGUUUCGCGUUCUUCUGGUGAGUUCCAAAAUUCUCUAGUUCUUCGAUCCAUGCUUACUGGAGUGUUAUAAAUUUUUUUUUUUUUGGUUAUUGUUAUUUGUUUAUUAUCGCUGGUCAAUGUGAUGAAUGUUUUGGUUAGAAAUGUCUUGAAAAAUAGAAAACUUUUACGUCUUGCAUUUUCGUUUUCAUUUGUUGUUCUGCGAGGUAGUAAAGGAUGGAAAAGUAAAGGAAAUGUGGAUUGAAUCUUGAAUUCUUGCCUUUUAACAAGGAAAUAAAUGUAGGCGGAAAAUCUCAAAUUUUUUUUCUCAUGACAUUUGACACUGAAUAUUGGAUUGCACAGAAGACUUCACGAAUUUAAGAUUUAGCAAUAGUGACAGCUUGAAUUAGAAUUUAAACGAGAAGGUGAUUUUCUAGUAUGAAGCUAUAGAUCGGACGAUCAUUAUCUCAUUCCUUAGGUCUUCAGUAACCAUGAGAGUUUUCCGUUCUCGGUUUCUCAUUUCUUGUCUGUGCCGAUAUUGGGUGCAGUGAUAUGAUUCUGUAAGAUGUAAAUGGCUGUGAUAACAGUGUAUUGACUGGAACAACUUAGCGCCUAGCUUGUGAAGCUGGCUUAGCUUUUCAAGAUACUCGGGCACUGAGUGUGAUAAUUCAAUCACUCUAAAUUUCAGACUUUAGUUCUAAAAAACAAUAUUCUUAUUUUUUAGUUUUUUCUUUCAUACACAAAUUGGAAUUUCAAGUUCAGAACUUCGCUGCAAGUGGAUCUAACUGCUUCAUGUGUCGUUGAAAGGAGAUAACAUGCAUUCUUAUGUAUCUGCUGUACUUUGUCUAGACCAAAAUACAGAAGUGGAACAGUGAUUGGUGGAAAGACAUUUUAACAAAAGGGAAGUAUGUAACUGGAUGAGCAUUUAUUGGAAUCAAAUGAAAAUGAUUGUGUAAAUACUGUGUCAUGUGUAAUAGAAAUAAUAGCAAAGACUUGGGAUAAGAGUAUGGAGGCUUUUAUAAGUUAAGGGCGCAAAAAUAAAAUUUUCAAUGCUUCUGGUGCCUAUCCCUCCCCCUGAUACAUUCAUCCUCGAGGAUUUAUACAUGUUGUUAAGACGGCUACAUCUGUCUUCAGCAUCUGGUAGUAGUAUAAAUAAGCCAUGCCAAACUGAAUAUUUCAAGCACAUAGAAUACAAUCUUUUCAUAGGUUGGUAAAUUUUGUCUGCUGUAGGAUAAGCUGUUUUUCCUCAUAAUUUAUCAUUAAUUGUAGUUUGAAAAUGUAAAUACUCUCAUAGUUUCUAAGAUGGAGGUUAGAAUAGCAAUUAAGAACUAUUACCAACUCCCAUGAAGUUCUCAAGCUAUACAAAUAGUACUUUAUCCAUCCAAGGCAUGCCAUAAACUUCUAGAUGUGUAAGGUAUAUCAUGUCAAACAUAGAAGUGGAUUCUUGAAAUCUGUCUUUUGUUUUACCAUUUUCUAGAUAUUGGUUAAGUCUGUUAAUGCCUUAGCAUUUAGACCUGGCAGAUGUCUAAGCUGCUAGACUUGAGAAAGUGAAUGCAUUGUUGGAAAGUGGCAUACAAAAUCAUUAACUUUGUCCUGAUAGAUGAUGUCCUCAUUGUCACUUAAAGAAUUUAAGAACUAGAAUCUGUGGCCUCAGGGACACGGAUGCAUGGUUUCAAGAGAGUCUUGUAAACAGAAGUGAUUUUAUAAUUGACACAUAACUUUGGUCAGGUUCAGUUGAGCUUGAUGACAACUGAGCUGGAUUUGAAGAUUGAGGGUUGUUAAACUUCCUGAGCUAGAACAAGAGCUAUAAUAGCUAACUCAAAAUUUCUCAAACUUGAUGUUCAGAUAAUCUUUCAGUGCAUGAACUCGGCUAUGUAUAUUAUGCAUCUAAUUGAUCUGUAUGCAACAUGACAAAAAUAUCAUCAACAUGCACUGUGGGUUAUAUUAUACUUUCUCCAGUUAAGUGUUAAUGGGGCAGAUAAUAUGAAAUUUUAAAAAAAAAAGAAAAAAGGGAGAUAGGGAUGUGAAGGUCAAAGCAUAUAAACUAAGCUCAAGCUUGUUAAAUAAAACUUCAAGACGAGAUUGAGCUUGAGAAUGAAAUUGUAAUUGAGCUUAUGCCAAAUUUGUUCAGCCAAGGAUAACAAUGUGAGGGCUCAACUCCUAUGAGGUCAAUUACAAAUCAAUUCAAAAGCUGAACAUUGUAGCAGUGAUUAAUCUGUUGCAUACACGAUUUUAACAUUGUACUUACAUACAGAAAUUCUCUCCUUUUUAUAAUUUAAGGGGGAAAGAUAAGCUCUGUGGUACACUACAUUGAGCAAUUGUGUUUCUGAGUAAGAGUUUGUGGCAGCUGCUAAUCCAAUAAUGUCAAUAUGGUGAUUUCCUUCUCUUUUUUUUGGCUUUGGAUGAGGAUGACUGCCCUAUGUGCUGAUUUAUGUGAUAAGUAAAAGCAAUUAAUCUUACUCACGCACCUGAAGUGAAAGGCUUUGCCGCUGGAAUGAGUUCAAAUAACAUUUUGUCCUUUUUAGGCCUUGUUCCUAUUUUCUUUGAGUUUUAGCCUCCCUUAAGCUUAAGUAAUGGUUUUUCUGCUUCUGUUUCUCUUCCAUUUUGACCAGAUCUUAUCACAAAAAAUGGCUUCCGGCGUUAAUUAACUUGUUAUGAAUGUCAAUUGCUCAUCGCCCAUCCAGUGAAGGAUUAUAUUCCCUCAGUCAAGAUCCUCUGGGAUUUGAAUUGCUGAAUAAACUACUAGGAGAAUUGGAAUACUAAAAUGAGAACUGCAUCAUAAUAGGAUAAUCAAAACAAAACUGUUACUGGUCAAGUGUCUGAAAUUCUGGGCCUCCGAUGCACUUAUUUGGCAGGCAGGCUUCAUGAUACAUGAUAAUUUCCAUAAUAUACCUCGUGUUACUCUCUUAGUAUCUAUUUAAUUUGAUGGCCAGGAUACAGGAUUCUCUGCAAUCCAAUUUAAUGGUCAGUCUGAUGUUUAAGCUGUGUUUGAUGUGGAACACUUGACAAUAAAGAUUUUGCAUUGACUGGUUGGGGCCUGAAUUACUGCUACGCUUUUAAGAUAAUUUAUUAUUUUUUUCAAUGCUUUGUUCCCAUGUGCAAUUCUUUGUAUCUAGUUUCCACUAAUAACUUUUCUUUGUUACAUUCUAGUGGUCCAUGUGCAUCAUACAUGCUGCGCAAGCGAGCUCUUUACAAUGAUAUGUCGAGGUUUGUUAUGUUCCAUAAAAUUUGUUUCUUACAAUCUAGAGAAAGGAAGUGAAGGAUGAUAUUGUGAUGGCUUUUGUGAUAUCCUUUCUUACAGGUAUACAUGCUGUGGAGGCUAUAUGCCUUGCAGUGGUCAUUGCGGAGAAAGUACAUGCCCGGAAUUUUGUCUAUGCACUGAGGUGACUCUGAUAUGAUUUAUUAUUAAGAUUGUUCCUUGAUACAUUAUUUUGUCAGUUAAACAUCUAGUAUCCAUUCAAUAUCUCCAUCUUCUCCUAUCUAGACAUAGUUAUUUCUAAAUGUGAUUUCUUUCCUUUUUCCAGGUUUCUCUUUGCUUUGCGAAUUCAGUUGCCUCAACACGCUUCAUGCUACAAGAUGAAUUCGAUAUACAGACAACCAAAUGUGAUAAUUGCAUCAUUGUACACUUGCUUACUCUUUUUUUAGUGGUUCCCUGUGUCUCUGCUAGUACUCACUUCUUUUUCCCUGGAAUAAUUACACUAAAUUUCAUUUUCAAUUCUAGGGAUUCAUGUUCUGCUUACAGCAGCUAGCCUGCAUAUGUUCCCUCAUCGCUUGCAUUGUCGGAAGUGAGGAAAUUGAAGAUGCUGCUCAGAUGUUGAACUGUCUGGCUGACAUGGUUUAUUGCUCGUAUGAUACUGGUGUAUUUUUUUUCUCAUUAUCCAUUGCUGCGUACUUCAGCUAAUCUUUAAAUCAUUUGCUAAUUCUCUCUGUCUUUUCAUGUCAGGGUUUGCCCCUGUAUGCAGGUAUACAUGAGAUGCUCUAGUCUUUGAAAUUGGCAUUGUGGUACAGCAUAAAGUGCUUGUUUCACAAUUGUUGUCUUUUGAUACUUGCCUCAUUUUAACUUUUCACAUGUUCUUUCUUUCGAAAGGAUAUCACUUUGCAUUUGUUAUAAAAUUAAUCUAAGUUUGUCGUGCAGACUCAGCACAAAACUGAGAUGGAUAAAAGAGAUGGCAAGUUUGGAUCGGCAGCAGCAGCAACAAUGGCAGUGCCUCCUGUUCAACAAAUGUCCCGUAUAGAUCAUUCUUUACCCCCUUCAGUUGGAUAUCUGCCUCCACCAGCCUACAGCUACCCACCACAUCAGCAACCUCAGGGCGCUUACCCACCUCCACAUUAUAAUUACUACCCACCGCCUCCACAUUUCCAUGGAUAUCCUCCACCUACCCAAGGCUAUUACCCACCGCCACAGCCCUAUGGGUAUUUCCCACCUCAGCCUUAUGGAUAUUCCCCCCCACCUCAACAAGCCCCAGGCUCCCCCCCUGAUUUACAAUCCCAUGUAUACCCUCCACCACCUCCACAAAACCAAGGCUCUUCCCCUGUUUCGCACACCGAGGGAUACACUCAGCCCCCUCAACAAGCCCAAGCCACGACCCCUUCUUCAGAAAUCUCACCUUCACAGGCUCAAGGCCCUUCUCCUCCAGUACAAUCUCAUGAACAUCCCCAAGCUCCACCAGAACAGAGCCAUUCCCCUGCUGGUGCUGCUCAUCCGCCUCCAAGUCAUCGUGUGUAAACGGUAAAUCGAAAACUUGAGACGGUAAUAUGGGUAGUAAGAUCCAGGAAAACUGGCUCUUAAAGCCUUACUGGAUGACCAAGUAUAUCAACAAUCAAUUUAUACCAUAUCUUUCCUUCUGUCUAUACUUCAUGAGCUGUGUUUUCUAUACCGUGCCUAUGGUUAUUUGAUCCUGUCAGCUAAUUUUGCAGCCGUUGACAGUUGAUUCUUUGUAGUUUGCAUCCUCAGACUUUGUCUAUUAACCAACUUUGCUCCAGCGCCGUAUCUGUUUCCUCCUCCUUUCCAGGCGAAUAAUAGAAUCCUGCUGCUUUUUAAACUUCGCCACUAAAUAGGCAUUCGACUAGCAAGUUGGUGCCUUUUCACAUUCUUAGAUUAGUGGUUUGCUUGACAUGAUGUUUUACGGGUCAAGGUCUACCACUAGCCAUUUUCCUUUUUGGUUGUUUUCUGCAGGUGCUCUAGAGAAUAUUGCUUGCAAUUGUGAAUGUUUAAUUUGGUUCGUUAACUUUCAUGUAGCUCUCCCAGCCAAAAAAAGUACCGAAUGGUGGUAUAAUUACAAUACUCUAUUAUUUAGUGCUUGCUUGCAUCUGACUAUCAUUGAGAAAAUUUGAUCUUCUGCCGACAGAACAGAUCUCUAGCGAACACAAGAAAGAUGGUAAAAACCACAAUGCUUAAAAAUAAAUUCUUAUACUAUUAUACAGUGGUAACAAUCGGUGGGACCAAUCUGUGGGCAGAUCUGAUUCUUAGACAGGGGUGGUGGAACCUCUUGGAAUCUUUCUACUGUGACCUUGACGUUUGGUAGGAAGAAAGCUGACGAUAUUUCCGAUUAAGCUCCUCGACAUACCCCAAAUUCACGCACCCAAAUAAAAGAAGGCAGAGAAAGUACUCAGUUGCAGUUCCUGAGAUAGAGAUUGAUCAAGCACAGACCCCAAUUUAAUAUUGAUCAAGAAACAUGCAUUUCCCCACAUUUGCAUUAAUGUAUCUUUGUCUCCCCCAAAAAAAAACCAAAGCUUCAGCUCUAUAAACUGAAGAUCCCCAAAAAAAAAAAAAAAAAGAACGAAAAGAAGAAAUUAUUAGAAACAUGACAGUUACUGCACUAUUGCAGUCCUAUCGAUUGCUGCCCUUUUUAUUUCAUUGGAGUUCUAGUAAACUUUGGAGUUAUUGUCACCUGAAUUUGUGGUGUUUGGACGUACAUAGACGCAGGGUUCCGCUUAAGCAUCUCACUGUUUGGUUGACACAAGAUGACGAAUUGAUUGAUAUAUAUUGUCUUUGGAAGUGAAAAAUAAUUGAUUGCCUACCAAUGGUAACAAUACAUGUAGGGCAACGGUUGUUUGAAGCACAGCCGCUGAUACACAAAUAGAGGCAGAAAAUAGGGAAAAGAACAAUAGAAAGAUUUAGUCCUACUCUUACCACUGCAAUGCGUUAGGACAGGAUCUAGUUCAUAUGUUCAAUCAAUGGGGCGGCAAACCAGGUUCAGUGAAUUUGGUGGCGGCAUAUUGUUUUUCAUAUGUUCGAUAAUAACAUCCAACACAACAAAAAGUUAGCCAAUACAAACAGUCAAUGGUUGGUCUUACUUCAAAUCUCCAUCUUCCCUCGUGGGUAAAUUAAUAGGAACUCGGCUCAGAUUGGCAUGUCGUGGAUCAGUACUUUUUAUUAUUAUUAUUAUUAUUAUUAUCCUCCCCCACAUUUCAAUUAUUGGCCAGUUAAAUCUUCAACUACCUACAACCCCCAAACUGAAAAGAAGAUAAAGAUCUCAACCACCGCAGAAACACCAACAUCAUAAUUUCCUGAAUAUUUAUUAAUGCGCUUUUCAAGCAAAGUUGAAUCUUUUUUUUUUUUUUUUUAUCUUCUCGGAGGGUGUAAUAGUUCAUGAAUUGGAUACUUUACUCAAUCUUUCCAAGCAUACUGCAGGACUCCGUCCUCAUUUAAUCAUUUGCCAAAUGACACUUACGUACCCACAGUCUUGAAUCCAUUUGAAUUGCUAUUUUUGAAAGUUUCAUAGAUAAUGUACCGAAUAAAUCUUAUAUAUACUAACAACGCAUACAUUAUCACCGUUAAAUGAAUGAUAACUAUACAAAUUUUGAAUAAUUAUCAUUCAUCAAACGCUACACUGUAGUGUAAGUAAUAUUAAUCCCCGUGUAGCAUACCGAUGCAAGGUAAAAAAUUGAUUAAAAAAAAUAUGAUCAAAAAAAACGUUAUAAUUUUUUUUGAAUGAAAAAAUGCAAAUUGUUAGAGCCAAACACCCCAGUGAAAUAUUCCUUUCCUUUGAGAAGUAGUGGCCUAGUGGGGGGUAUAUGAAUAUGAUAUGUGUCUAAUAGUCGUCAGCAGAAAUGAUUUCGCUGAAGGCUAGUAUUAGCACUACUGUUAUAAAAGGAGAACAAAAAAGCGUAUACUAACUUGUAAGUACAUAUAAGUAUUUUAAAAAAAAAAAGAAAUUGGAAAAGCUUUUCCUUCAUAUAUACAAAAAUGUAUUUGUCUCGAAAGGGAAAACAACACAGAGAGACAGCAGCAGCAGCCGCCUCAAAUUACAAGGCAGGAAUAGUAGUAGGAUUGUCAUCGUAAUCAUCAUCGUAAAAAUCAUGAGUACUAGUACUACCGAAGGCGGAGGCGGCCCAGAGCCGUUGAUUGAAUUCGUCUUCCAAAUCACGUGGCACAAAAGGAGUCCUACAAAGUGGACAGGUCUUCUGAUCGUGGUCCAUCCAACGGUCCAGGCAGCUCCGAUGGAAAAUGUGCUUACAGUUCUUCAACCACCUGAUUUCUUCUCCACCUUUGAACUCAUACAAGCACACCGCACAACUCUCCUCCGGCGGCUCGCCUCCGGCACCGGCCACCAAAUCCGAGAACUUUACCACGGGCAGGAGUUCCCGGAUCAGGAUAGCGGAUAUGGGCGGGGUAAGGGGCAUCUGGGCCGGGUUUUCUUGAAAAUAAUACCCCUCAGCUGGUUCAAGAAAAUCUGAGAGACCCAGAAACCUAAAAAUAGAGAAAAGGACACUCCGGAUAAAACCCAGAAUGGAAAGUGCCUGUAUGAAGAUUUUUGGCAAGAAAACUUCUGUAUAACCCACCGGAAAACCCAUUAAGAAAACUCAGAGCAAGAAAGCAAGAAGCCGGACCAGAUUAGUCUAGUAUUUAUACUAUACACUUCUCUAACGCACGUAAUAUAUAUGAUCUGUGCCAAAGAGACAGAGAUGAAGAAGCUUCUUCGGGCUCGGGGGGUUGAGUGUGAAACUGUAAAAUGUAGGGAUGGAUAUAUAAAGCUAAAUUGGAGUACGAGCUAAGUUGUAUGGUGGAAGGGAUGGUAAUCUGACAGGUGGUGACUGAUGUGUCCUUGUACAUUGAGGGAAGACGAUGGCAUGACGUGGAACGUAAGGUGCGUCUUUGACCGUUAGACUAGCAGGGGAAGGAGGCUGCUGCAUUUUUUUUUAAUUAUUAUUAUAAAGAGGGGCUGCAUAUGAUUGCACUAGGGACAGGCAAGUUGCAUUAAUGCAUGCGUCUCACGUCCUAUAAUUGGUUUUUAGUGCAUUUUUACUUCUUUUUUUUUUUUUGAAAUUCCAAGAAGCUUCUUUUCUUUUCCUUUUUCCUUUUAAUUUUUUUUUUGUGAGGAUCAUCCGAUCGAUGGUGUUCAUGAUAAAUAUUUUUUUUAAUAAAAAUAUCAUAAUAAUUUCAUUAAAUCUAUACUGUUAACGCUAUGGACUAAGUUAGAGAAGUAGUAAAAUAACGAGGGUAAAUAAAUGCUAGUGUAUGUAUGUAUAUGGGUAGAAAUCAGACACACUAACGAGCGUUCGUUAUAUACCAUUUAAAAAUUUAUUGUUGUUUUUUUUUUUUUUUUUUUUACAAGUAAUUGGAAUUCAUAAUGGACCCAUCCCAUCUAUUUUUUGGAUCAAGGGGCUCGUGGUUCAUUUUAAAACUAUUUUUAGAUAAAAAUAGUUAUUUUAAAUUUGUUUGCAUCCUAUAUAUCUAAACUUAUUUACACUCUGCUCCAAUUUGUUUACACCCUCGACCUAGGAGCAAACUGCACUUUGUGUGCCUAAUUGUAAGAUCAAACAUCUAAACUACUACUAAUUAUGUGCAAAAAUUUUUAUAUGCACAUAAAAAAACUCCGACCCUAAAAUUACACAAACAUAGGGAUUCAGAAAAGCUCGAGAGAGUUUUUUUUUUUUUUUUUUUUUUGGGUUUGGGGGUGUACUCUUAUAAUAUUCUAUUGAAAAAUCAUGUGUAUGUUCGUUUGCUCUUGGUUAAUUUUUAAAACUAUAGGUAUUCUCAAAUUAUUCUAAUCUUAUACUAGCAUCAUUUAUACUAGCGAAAUUAAGAAAGCAGCGUGAUAGAAUCCGUUGCGUCCAUAUAUAUAAUUGACAAUCAUAUAGUGCCAAAUUCUUGUAUAUAUAUAUAUAUGAAAGGCGAUAAUAGGGUGCUGGGAUUGAAACCAGGAGCACCACCAGCCACGGCCAUGGGAGCCCAGGAGCUAAACUGCUAAGCACAGCAGACCAAAAGAUUGAAGAUUGCAAAAAGAAAGGACAGAUGGCGUCGGUGAUGAGAACCCUGGCCAACCAACAAAUCACCCUCUCAUGCCGAGAAAUGGGGCCGGCCAAUAUUGACGUGAAGCUGUGGAGACUGGAAAGUCGCCAUCUUUUGAACGCCAAAGCCCUGGGCCUCACCCCAUCAUCCCUGUCCAUGGUUGCCUGGCCAUGCCAAGACACCUCCGGUCCGGUUUGCUUCCUCAUCCCAUUCAUACACUAUUAUCUUCACUCCCCACUCACCAAAUUAAGAUGUUAACCAUUCAAUCCUUCCGGCCAUCCUCUUCUGCUUUUCUCUCAUGCAUUGUCGUCCUGUCAGUCAUCAUGUAUCUAACAAAAUCCAUUGUUGUUGUGGGUCGAAAUUCAAAACAAAAAAACAAAUUUUGCAACCCUUUCAUCAUCCAUUAUUUAUUUAUUAAACGAUUACAGGAUGAGAAAUGGCAUUUGCUAGUUACUAUAUAUGUCCAUUGCAUGAGAUAAAAUAUUAGUUAGGAAAACAAUAUAUAUAUAUAUGAGUAAAUCUUAUAUAUACACUGUCACCGUUAGAUCUAUAAUAUAUAUGCAAAAGUUGAAUUUUAAAUUCAAAUUAUUCAUAUUUGCCAUUCAUUCAACGCUGACAUUGUAUACAUUAUCAGUGUAGGAAAGAUGAAUCAUAUAUAUAUAUAUAUAUAUAUAUAUAUAUAUAUAUCUUGUAUGGGCAGUUAAUGUUACACACAAGUGUGGUGUGGACCUAUAUAUGGGAAAAGUAAACAGGUCAGUCUCCAUGAUUUUAAAAUCGACCUAGCUAGUUCCUACGUACUAAUUAAGAGAAUAUCUUCUAUACACUUGUAAUUAUAGAAGCAUUACUCCAAAUACUACACGUACGUGAUCCCUCAAGUACUCCUGUGCAUGCACAUACUUCUUAGUUUGUGGACAACAGGGUAGCUAUUUUGGUUUUGGUAUCAUCACCUGGUAAUUGGUAUAUAUUGUAGCCAUUCCUUUUUCAGCACUUGUAGUUGUAGGGACCGGUAUCUACAAAGUUAAAUGCAAGUGCAAGGAAGAAGGAAGAACUUAUUCAUGGAUGACCCUCAGAUUCAUUCAAGAGCCAAUCCCUUUGUCGCCUCUGCAAAAUCAAAGAGCAACAUGAUGGCUAGUACUGGAGCAAUAUGGGCCGGGGAAUUAUCACAAUUCAAACAUGUUCGUUAAAACCUACAAAAUCAAAGAGCAGCAUGAUGGCUACUAUCCAUCCGGAGCAAGAUGGGGAAUUAUCACAAUUCAAACAUGUUCGUUGAAACCUACCUUGCAAGAGCGGUCCUCACCCGUAAUCCUUCACAAAAAUUGUUUUAUCUGUCACUUCUCUUUCUCUCGCCCGGACCUGCCCUCACAGCCCUCGUGCAUGCAUUAUCUUAUCUCCAAUGUUCCUUCUAUUUAAGUGGGCUUCCACUUCAUUGACUCCUCAUUUGUAUUUUCCACUUUGCUGGUUUUGCUUUGCUUUCCCUUGUCUUAAUCAGCUCCCCCAUACGCAUGCAGCAGUUUCCCUUCUAUGGAGUUUUGAUGUAACAUGUUCCUACUUUCUAUCCAUAAACAAAAGGCUUCUCCAUAUGGUUUCCUUACUUUUGCCCGUCUUUCUCAUCUUUUUUUUUUUUUUUUUUUUUUUUGUUAACUAGGAAAAUAAUGGGAUUUAAGAAGCAAUGAGCUAGGGAAAAAGAAAAUAUGAUCCUAAAAUCUCUGAUUAUAUAUUGAGAUCUCAACCUUAACCAUAAGAGCAAGAUCUCAUCGGUCUUACUCAUCUUGAAGUUCGAAUUAAUUCUGAAAUCUAGGAAUGGAGUAUUUAAAAGUGUAAAAUCGAUACUUGAUAAGGGGGGUUUUUUUUUUUUUUUUUUUUUUUGAAGAAUUGGUAAGGGUAAAUUCGAUACUACAUAAUGAUAAAUGCUUACAUGGCUAGUGGCGAGUGAUUUAAGUAAAUACUUAGGUGAUGAGUGGUGAUUGAUUUUUUCGUUAAUUUCAGCACUAUGAUAAUUAAGGUUGCGAUUCUGUGUUAUUCUAUGGAAUGGUUGCAUAGCAAGUGAGUAUAAAGGGAGAGGAGUGGGAUUUUUGCUUAAACAUUAUUUAAUCACUUUCUGAACUUUCAAUUUUACCCUUAUAGAAACAAACGCAUGUUUAUAGUUAUUUAUCUUGAAAACAUGUUUUGCUUUAACUAUUUACUUUCAAUAACUAAUACUAAGCAUUACAAUGAUUACCAUGGGAAAGAAAUUUAAGAGAUCAAAAUUUGAUUUAGCAAUAAAAAUUCAUAGAAAAUGUAUUUACCAUAAAUAUUAUGCAUCUCUUUAUUGCACACGGAUGGAGAAGAGUGGAUUUGAGAGCCAAAUAAAAAACCUCAUAAUCACUUGAUUAAUGUUCCUAUCAAUUAGUAUAAGUUGGGUUUUGAGGAUUUCAAUGUUAAUUACAAUGCCCUGGACCACGUGGGAUUAGGCCCGUCUUAAGGUCCGGCCCAUAAAUAUUGGUCCAAUAAACUUACGGAAUAGUUUUUGUUCUGCUGUGGAACCCAACAAAAAAAAAAAAAAAGAAAACAAAGAUUCCAACGCCGAAGAAUCCAGGCCAUGAGCGACUUUGGAUCUUUUGUUGUGGUCCUCUAAACAGGGUCGAGACUCCUGAAAAUAGCAUCUACGGAUGUCCCAAAGAAGAUUGACCCGCAACGGUUAUAAGACAUUUAACCCCAACUUCUUGGUUAAUCCGUCUUUUUUUUUUCUCCAAGUAUUUGCCGAUUGAUACUUUCAUAGUUUGAUGCAUUUGAUUAGGGAUGUAAAUAAGUCUAAUCAAAUCAAGCAGUCUAGUGUUUAAACUUGUUUGAUUCUUUUAUCGAAUUUCAAAUUUUAUUCAAUCUUGGCUUAUUUUGUUGUUCAAUCAAAUUUGAACGAGAUUUUUUUUUCAUUGUAUUUGAAAGUCAUUGAGAACAAAAAACUGUGCAAAUUAGUUAGUGAACCAAAUUCAAACGAACUUUUAUUAAACAAAACUUGAUUCGAGUGUCGAGUAGUUUAAUUCAUUUUUUAAACAUACAAUUGAUCCCCGUAUUAUUUAACAACUUUGUAGGAAUAAUUCCUAUUGAUCGUGACCUUAUUCUACGAUAUUUAUGUGUCUUCCCAAAAUUGAGGAUAAGAAUUGCCAAGGCGCCCUCUCUCUCUCUCUCUCUCUCUCUCUCUAUUUGUUUUUGUACAUAUGUUAUGCUUAUCGAUGUUUAGUCCCUAAUACUCUAGAUAAUGAUCAUUUAAAAUAGAAGUUGAUGCUCCACUAAAUUGCCCCGAGCGACCGAAGACGAGAGUUAAAACAUAAAAAAAAAAAAAGCUUUCUCCAUAUUUGACUCAAGCAUGAUUUAAUUUGUACCUCCAAUUAAAGGUAAAUAAACUUCCAUCAUGUGCAUAAAAUAAGUUUUGUUGGAUAUUUGUAAAACAAAUCUAAAUAUAAUUUCAAAAUUUCAAUGCCAGUUUUGAACUCUAAAUUAUAACAUUCUUCCAAUAGAAAUAUGCUAAGAAGUGGAAUUUCCCUUUGCCAAAAAAAAAAAAUCUUUUAACCACAAACUAAUUUAAGGGAAGGAAAAAAAGAGGGGGAAAAAGAAAAACAAAACAAAAGAGUUCACCUCUACCUCUACAUAGACAGUUGGCAUUUGGCGGUAACGUAAUACUAACAAAAGAUCUAUGACGGGAAAAUAAAGGGAAAAUCGCCAAUUUAGUCCCUAAACUUUUUUUUUCCGUCAAUUUAGUCCCUAUAUAUUAUUUCUAGCCAAUUGGAUCCCUAAACCUAUAUAUCGGUUCCAAUCAAGGAUCUUUGCAGCGGCGCCACCGUAUAAUUUCCAUUAGGUUCAUAAUCGUGCAAUACAAAAGGGGCAUUUUAGGGAAUUCCAUUCUGGCGCCUUUUCCAAUUAAAAAGUAAACGAAACAAGUCUGCGAUAAAUACACACCCAAAAAUCCAAAAUGAAAACAAAAAAUGUCUUGGACAAAAUCCAGGGCUUGAGUCGAUGAUCUGCUAAAUAAAAUCAAAGCAAAUCGUGUUAAAUAAGGAAUCGGAGGGCAUAAGAAAGCAAAUGAUGGAGGCAGUGGGGGACAAUAUGCAGGAAAGGAGCAAUGUUGAGGAGAGGAAGUCAAGAAAAGCAAGUAAGUUUAAAUAGCCUGCCUGCCUGAAACCCGCUUGCGGGUUUCCCCCUUAUGUAAAAUGACUAAAAGCUGCGUUUCUGUUCUAUUUAUAUCAAACACAUACUCUCAAACCCUCACCUGAAGGGUGAGGAUGAGAGGGGAGGUUUGCUGGGCAUCCUAGGGCCCUCCGAUGGGCAUGUGCAACUCAACGCAGCUUGCAUGUAAAAAAAAAUUUUUUUUUUUAAGUAAUUUGUUAAAUAGCCUGAAACCCGCUUGCGGGUUUCCCUCUUUUUUUUAAAAAAAAAAAAUAAAUUCUAUGCUAAAAUGACUUAAAACAAAAAUAAAAGACUAAAAGUAAAUAAAAACUAGCAUGAAAAAUAAAAAUAACAGUAAAUAAAAAUACACUAAAAAUUUGGUGUCUACAGUAGUUAAUGAAUAAUCUGGAAACAGAUUGAAUGAAGACUCAGAAGAAACGGAAGCUGGUCUCUUAUUAUUAAAGAGUGAAGGCUAAAAUAGGCAUAUCAGGUGAAAGUUUGUGUGUGGAAAUCUGUUUUUCGCAUAUGCACGCGCCUUUGGAGGCGUGUGUCUUAAACGAACUGCAAAGGCGCGUGCAUAUGCGAAAAACAGAUUUCACCACAAACUUUCACCUGAUAUGCCUAUUUUAGCCUUCACUCUUUAAUAAUAAGAGACCAGCUUCCGUUUCUUCUGAGUCUUCAUUCAAUCUGUUUCCAGAUUAUUCAUUAACUACUGUAGACACCAAAUUUUUAGUGUAUUUUUAUUUACUGUUAUUUUUAUUUUUCAUGCUAGUUUUUAUUUACUUUUAGUCUUUUAUUUUUGUUUUAAGUCAUUUUAGCAUAGAAUUUAUUUUUUUUUUUUAAAAAAAAGAGGGAAACCCGCAAGCGGGUUUCAGGCUAUUUAACAAAUUACUUAAAAAAAAAAAUUUUUUUUUACAUGCAAGCUGCGUUGAGUUGCACAUGCCCAUCGGAGGGCCCUAGGAUGCCCAGCAAACCUCCCCUCUCAUCCUCACCCUUCAGGUGAGGGUUUGAGAGUAUGUGUUUGAUAUAAAUAGAACAGAAACGCAGCUUUUAGUCAUUUUACAUAAGGGGGAAACCCGCAAGCGGGUUUCAGGCGGGCAGGCUAUUUAAACUUACUUGCUUUUCUUGACUUCCUCUCCUCAACAUUGCUCCUUUCCUGCAUAUUGUCCCCCACUGCCUCCAUCAUUUGCUUUCUUAUGCCCUCCGAUUCCUUAUUUAACACGAUUUGCUUUGAUUUUAUUUAGCAGAUCAUCGACUCAAGCCCUGGAUUUUGUCCAAGACAUUUUUUGUUUUCAUUUUGGAUUUUUGGGUGUGUAUUUAUCGCAGACUUGUUUCGUUUACUUUUUAAUUGGAAAAGGCGCCAGAAUGGAAUUCCCUAAAAUGCCCCUUUUGUAUUGCACGAUUAUGAACCUAAUGGAAAUUAUACGGUGGCGCCGCUGCAAAGAUCCUUGAUUGGAACCGAUAUAUAGGUUUAGGGAUCCAAUUGGCUAGAAAUAAUAUAUAGGGACUAAAUUGACGGAAAAAAAAAGUUUAGGGACUAAAUUGGCGAUUUUCCCGAAAAUAAAAGGGAGGUCCAAUUGGAAUAGAAAAAGUAGAUUAAUUAAAUAAAAAAGAAAAAGAAAGAUGGGCAGUUAAAAAUCGAAAAUCUCAGAUCCACUUUCUCCACCUGAGAAAAUAGUGGCGGUAGUAGUCUUCCUCCUCCAUCAGCGCCACCGCCGCAACAAAGCUAUGUGAUUCGGAUCUCCUCGCCCUCUCUCCCUCUUAAACCCUAAUUCCUCUUCUCCUACUCUCAUCUUCUUUCCGCCAAUUUUGAGUCCCUACAUUCCACUCUAUCCACCCGCCUAUUUGGGGCAAAGAUGUAUAUGGCAUACGGAUGGCCGCAGGUGAUUCCAUUGGAACCAGGAUCAUGCCCUACUUCUUUCUCCGACCACAUUGUCUACUUCAAAGUCCUCAAUCGCUUAUUGCUCGUCGUCGCUCCUUCUCAUAUCGAACUCUGGUCUUCUUCUCAGGUCUCACAUUUCUCUCCUUUUUCUUUUGUAUGAUUUAAUGCUAUGCACUCUCACUUUCUGGAAAUUGAUGACUUUUCAUUUCGAUUUUUUUAUUUGAAUUUUGCGCCGGCGUUUGUACAGCAUAGGGUGAGACUGGGAAAGUCCAAGAGAGGCGUGGAUUCGAUUCAGAAAGAAGGCGAGAAUUUGCGGGCAGUUUGGAGUCCGGAUGCCAAAUUGAUUGGCGUAAUUGUAAGAAUUUGGAAGGCCUUUUAUUAAUCAGCCAGCAUUGGGCUUAUCACUUUUUUGAAUGGCAGCAUUGAAAAUAUUACUUGGUUUUGCUGUUUGGAGCAUUCAUUUGUUCAGUAAAAUUUAAGAAAUUGGGUCAUCAAAUAAUACAGUGAAACUGAACAUCCACACUUUCAGGAAUUCAGAUAUUAAGUUGGUUUGCAGGAGUUAGCAUUGUACUUAUGAUAAUAUAAGUAAAAAUAAUAUAUUUAUACUGGGUUUGGUCAUAUUGGCUAAAAUUUGAAGGAUUUUGUGGAAAAGUUUCUUAUCGUUAGGUUGCUCUGGAGUGAAUACUGGAAAUUGAUCUUCUGAAGUGCACUGUGGAAUUUUCUUCAUCUGUUUUAUGUAUAAUGAGUAUAUAUCGUUACACUGCAUUUCAUUUAGUAACCUAAAUUCAGGAAAACAACCACCAAAUAGAAAAAAAAAACAAAGCAGCAAACUCUUGGAAGAAGAUAAAGGAGGAAAGAAAAGGGGGAAAGGAAGAUAUUUCUAGGAGGAAUAUUCAGGAAACAAUAAAAUCUUCACAUAUUUAUUCAUAUGUCAAUAGCAAGAGGAGAAGUUUUCGAAGCCAACAAAUCUUCAAUACUUUCUUCAUACGGCACUUUAUGCACUGUGAAUGGUGGUGCAAGGCUGGUUGAUUGCUGUUAUUGGAAUGGGAUUAAAAUGUAAAUAGCUGUGAUCUUUCAUUUAGCUUUCAAAAAGGGUUGGCUAAAAAGUCUCACUUUAAAUUCAUGUCACUAUUGUGUACUUUGGUUCCUUCUUCAUAAUGUAAUGCUUCAUUUGUUUCUGGCGAUUUUUCCCGCCUUCUUUGCAGACAUCUUCUUUUUAUCUUCAUAUUUAUAAGAUCCAUUUCACGGACAAGAAAAUACAAAUUGGAGGAAAGCAGCCAUCUGGUUUAUUUCUUGCUACCAUUUCUUUACUUCUAAGUGAGCAGAUCCCUUUUGCAGACAAGAGUAUGACAUUGUAAGUGUGUGUACACAGCUCCCUUGGAAAUUGUAAUUGAACUUCAAGCUUCAAAGUUUUCAUUUCCUUCUUUGAUGGCAGAAUAUUGUUUUGAAUAUGCAUUAAAUUUGAAAUGUUUUGCUGUAUAAGCUUCUGACAACCAAAGCAGUAAAAUAAUAUGGUCUAGCAAUUUGUUUGGAUCAUAACAUUCAAGGGCUUAGAUAUGCUAAUGGCUUAUUUUCUAAUAUCAAAGUUCUUUGGGAAGCUGCACUAAGGGUUGCAGGCUAUAUAAAAUGUUACUUGGAAGGUCAAAUGCAUGCAUUCUGCUUUCUGGUACAAUUUGAUGGAAAGAUGUUGCAUAUGCAAGGUGAAUGCUGCUCUAAGUGUAUGCAUAACCAAUUGGACACCUUGCAUCCCUCUGGUCUUCUUGAAUGUUUGGCUGUGAUCAUACUGCUUCUCAAAAGCAGUCAGACAGUUGGAUAUGGUGUGUUACCAGGGAUUCUUAAAUCAUUUUCCAGGUGUUUGAAACUCAACCUUGUAGGCUCUAAGGGUACAUGUCCUAGCUCCUAAAAUUUCUUGUGUCUAUUCUAGAUACUAAACCUUUUUGCCAGGUAAAACUCGUAAUUUAAAGUUAGGCUUGUUGAAAGUUGUAUGAGCCUCCAAAAUUUGUACAUAUCUGAAUAUGCUGAAGUGUGCGGUGCUAUUUUGUUUCAACAACACUCUAAUCCAAAAAUGAUUUUAUUUAGUAUAAGAAGUUUGGAUGCGGAGUGAUGGAUGAUUAGACAUUGUUUGAAACUUUUGAGUUUUCUUAAAAAUUAGUGUCUGCUUUAAUGUCAUUGUUAAAGCUAUUUAUAAGAAAGAAACUGCACUUUCUGCUGUGAUUUGUUUUUGUUGUUCUUUUUAAUAGCUUGAUGUUUUCUUGGGGUUUGGGUCACUGCUGGUUUUGAGGGCUGAUAUACAGAUACGAAAAGUGUGUAUUUGAGACUUCAGGGCCGAAAGUCAUUUUCUGUAUGUCAUUGGUCCUGAAAUUUGGACCUUGGAGAAGAAGGAUUUCAUUUGUAUAUUUGUCAGCAUGCUAUAGUUUUUAAUGCCAAUAAGUCAAAGAGUUACUUGAGAUAGGGAACAAGAUCUCAUAAGAUCUUGCAUGUUAAUGAAUGUCUAGGCUUGCAGAAUUGUUUACACAAGCCACUAAUGUUUUUACAGUAUACCUUAGAAGAAAGAUCUGCUAAGUUGCCAGUUAUAGUAUAAGAUCUUGUCAUGAUAUAUAUAUAUAUUGGUGUAGAUAAGCUUUCAGCUUUCAGACAUCACUGCAACUGAUGUUAUGAAGUACUUUUCAGUUGCAUAUUUUAAGCUUUAAGCUUUUGGACUUCUGUGCACCUGAUAUUACUAAUAAAGUCCUUUCCUGCUAUAGAUUGAUGGUUGUGUUGCACCAAAUACAACUUAUCAUUGAGUCGAGUAAAUCUGAUAAAAGGAAUCGUGGUUACAUGUUUACAUGCGCAAGAAUCUACUCAAUUCAAAGGAUCAAGAUAUAAUCGAAAUGUUGAUACUCCAAAAUUUUGGUUUUUGGUUAUGUUUCACAUACCUUAGAGGCAAAUCACCAGAGAAAUUCACAAGUUCAUAUCAGUGCUUCUUGUAAGAAACGGGGUCCAGAAGUGGACAUAUGAUGUUUGACAAUCUGAUAUAUUUGUGUAUUUCAUUCCAGAUGAAUUUCUGAUGUUAUAUUAUUUUUGCCGUUGUCAGGAGCAACAUUAUCUGUGAUAACAAACAUAUGCUUGUUGGACUUUCUGAUGGAUCAUUUUAUAAUAUAUCAUGGAAGGGAGAGGUAAUGUGAAUGUAGCAGUUCCUCCAAGUCUUUCAAAUGCACAUUGAAGAAGCAUCUUUGUAGCUUAGGUGCUGAAUUCAUUUUUUAGCACCAUUAUAAAAUGCUGUGUCUAUUCCCUUUCUACUUGCUUAACAUGAUUUUAAUGGAGAUUGGAAAGCAUCCAGAAACCCGCAUCUCCCUCUCAAAAAGGUUCAACCAGGUUAUCAUUUAACUUAUUCUGUGAUGCAGUUCUGUGGGGUUGUUGAUCUUGACAUUCCAUUCUCUGAUGGAAGUGGAGCUGAUAAAUUGUCUCAUUCUUUGGACAAUGGUCUUCCUUCUAAUGGAGCACGAGGUGUUUCUCUGCCCAGGAAUUAUAUGAGGAAGAAGUCUGCUAUUGUGCACAUGGAGUUUUCCUUCUCACUGAGGUUACUGUUUUUGCUCUUUUGUGAUGGACAACUUGUGUCAUGUUCUGUAAGUAAGAAAGGAUUAAAGCAAGCUGAUUUAAUUAAAGUCGAAAAGAAGCUGGCAUCUGGUGAUGCUGUAUGUGCCUCAGUUGCUUCAGAGCAACAAAUUCUUGCUGUGGGUACAAAAAGGGGAGUUGUUGAGUUGUAUGACCUCACAGAUUCUGCUUCCCUUAUUCGUGCUGUUUCUUUAUAUGACUGGGGGUAAGUGGCUUUACAUUUCCAUGGAUAUUUGGGCAUAUGACCUAGUUGUUUGAUGAUACUUCCUUGUUAUUAGGCCAGUGCUUCUUUACUAAAUGUCUCUGAAAGUGGCAUUAAUCUCUAGCCAGUCUGUACAGCUUCCUGCUUUAUUCAACUUUGUUUUCUAUCACUAAGGAAAUUAUCACUUUUGACCUCUAUGUCAAAAAAUCAUUAGUAGCUUCUAGCCUGCUACUAUUUUACUGCAUUAUUUUUAUGGGUAACUUUGCUGCUCUUCACUUGCAAAUUGUUGGAUCUACAAAGUUUUCAUUAAGACAGUGGUACAAAUAGCUGACUGGAGAUUCAGAUAAUUUAUUUCCAUAUUCCAAGUGCAAUCUUUGAGAAGCAAAAUGAGAUACACUGUUAUAUGAUCCAGUGAGAUAAACUAGUUACUAUGAUUCUAAAGCUGCAGAUGUAUGUUAAGACUCAAAGUAGGCUCUCUGUGCUUUUGCAAUCUGUUUAUCAACCACUUGCAAGGAAAAAGAUAUUUCUACAGAUAACCACAAGGUUUAACAACUGAAGUCUCACCAUGUUUUUUGAAACUCUGAAAAAUAUUUGCCCAUAUAGUUGUUGAAUGAGAAAAGUUUGGGGGGUUCUUGUAUCGUUUCAAAAUCUGAAUACAGAACUAUAGUUUCUUAUAUUUUCUUAAACUGUGCUUGUCCCUGGUGUGGGAAUUAGGGAAAUUUACCAUUAGUUCGUCAUUCGAAGUGCUCCAAUGAAAUAAAUUUUCCUGAUCGUGUGAUUAGCAACACUAGGUUCAUGUUUCCUUCUUUCUAUUUUUACCUUUUUUUUCCUUUGGGCAGAUAUUGCGCAGAUGAUACUGGACCUGUCAGCUGUAUUGCCUGGACUCCUGAUAAUUCUGCUUUUGCAGUUGGGUGGAAAUUAAGAGGGCUUACAGUUUGGUCUGUUUCUGGAUGUCGGUUGAUGUCAACAAUUCGUCAAAUUGGUUUGAUCUCAGUGUCUUCUCCAGUUAUUAAGCCAAACCAGGAUUGUAAAUAUGAGCCUAUGAUUGGUGGCACCUCACAAAUGCACUGGGAUGAGUAUGGAUAUCGGCUUUAUGCUAUUGAGGAAAGAUCUUCAGAAAGAAUUAUUGCUUUUCCUUUUGGCAAAUGUUGUCUUAACAGAGGAGUAUCUGGAACAACUUAUGUUCGUCAAGUUAUUUAUGGGGAAGAUCGGCUGCUUAUUGUCCAGUCUGAAGAUACUGACGAACUUAAAAUCCUUCAUCUUAAACUUCCAGUUAUGUGCUAAACUAGGUCAUGAAUAAGAAUUUAUUUUUAUGCUUAUUAAAGAAGGUUAUUACUGAUAUAUCUUUGUCCAUGUCAGGUUUCUUAUAUGGCGCAAAAUUGGCCUGUUUUACAUGUGGCUGCUAGCAAGGAUGGGAUGUACUUAGCAGUUGCUGGACUUCAUGGGUUAAUUUUAUAUGACAUACGACUAAAGCGGUGGCGAGUGUUUGGAGAUAUUACUCAGGAACAGAAGAUCCAGUGCAGAGGCUUGUUAUGGCUAGGGAAAAUUGUUGUGGUCUGCAACUACACAGAUUCCUCCAACAUGUAAGUGAACAAUGCACAUAUUGCUGUGAUUUGAAACUAUGGGCAUGCCUCAGAUAUUUCUGAAGAAGCAGUGUAUGAUAAUAGAAGUUGAUUGGAGUGGAGAGAAAAUAAGAUGUGCACAUGAUUUUUAUCAACUGGAUAAAGCAAAUGAAAGAGUUCUUAGGAACUUAAUUUUGUGGAUCUUAAAAUGGCUGAGCAAAGCCAAAAUGAUUACACUAGGAACCAAUGAUAUUUGUCAUAUUGUAAAGGUCUAACAAAACCCAGUUUUUUACAUUCAGGUUAUAGUAUUUCCAUAUUUUAUGGUCUCAUGUUGGGUAAAAAAAUCAUUGCUCGUAGAACCCCAACUUCAAAAUUUUUCUAUCUUCAAUGUUUUCUGGUUUCUUGCUUAUGCAUUCUCACUGCUGAAUGGCAGAUAUGAAUUGCUUUUCUACCCAAGAUAUCACCUUGAUCAAAGUUCGUUACUUUGUCGGAAGCCAUUGCUUGCAAAGCCAAUGGUCAUGGAUGUCUACCAAGAUUAUCUACUUGUUACCUAUCGCCCCUUUGAUGUCCAUAUAUACCAUGUUAACCUGUCUGGAGAGUUGACACAUUCUAGUACCCCAGAUUUACAGGUAAUACUUGUUUCAAGAUAAAUUCUGUAGAUAAUCUUGCUUCUAAGUUGAUAUGAAACAUUUAAAAUUUUAAUGCAUGUGAGUCAAUUACAAAUUGCUUGUUAAGUGAAGGUAUCACUGUAAACAAUUAUUCUUCUUGCGUUUUUAAGUGAUAAAAUGACAAACAGCUUUCUACAGUACGUGAACUCUCAAUUAUGACUGCAAAGAGCCAUCCUGCUGCAAUGCAUUUUAUCCCAGAUCAACAUCCUAUAGAUUAUGUUUUGAGGAAGGAUUCCUCUUCAUCAGACCACUUGGCCAGAGAACCUGCUAGGUAUGUGCAUAGAUUUGAAGUUACUUGCUGGAUUUGCAAGUUUUCAAGUGAUGGUGAUUUUAAUCUGUACAUUUAGAUGCUUGAUAUUGAGAACAAAUGGGGAGCUUUCCUUGCUCGAUUUGGAUGAAGGGCGGGAAAGAGAACUCACUGACUCUGUGGAGUUGUUUUGGGUUACCUGUGGUCAGUCAGAGGAGAAAACAAAUUUAAUUGAAGAAGUUUCAUGGUUAGAUUAUGGCCACCGUGGAAUGCAGGUAAAAACUUUUUGUCGCACUUGAGUAUUUACUGUACUUGUGUUUUUUCAGUUUACAUGUCUCAUGGGUGCUAAAUGCUGCAGGUUUGGUAUCCUUCUCCUGGUGUGGACCCUUUUAAGCAGGAGGAUUUUUUGCAGGUAGUAUGACCCAUUUGAUUACUGUUGCCUAUGAGGCAUAUGUUUUAUUCUGUGUCAUUUUUUCCUGUGAAGGGCCUGUAUUUUGAUUGUCUAUAUAGUUGAAUAGCUUUUCAUUUGAUUUAAAGGCAACUGAUUGGGCUCCACACCACAUAAGUCCAAAGAUUAGGUGUUCAACAAUAUAUGAUCUAGCAGUCCGUGAUGUUAGAUUUUCUAUAUUGAUAACUUGUAGAAACUUGUAACCAUGCAGCUAUUGAUGAUUUUAUCGUUUUUGGCUAAGGUGUCUAUCUUAAUAAUAUUGAGGUUGCUGGGUUUAUAGAAGCUGGAGGCAGGCAAAGAAUGCUGGAACUUGGAUACUUUCCUCAUAGAACUUAAGUGUUAAGAGAGGCGGUUUGGAAGGAGUCUUUGGCCAUAUCUUUUAAGAUUAAAGGCAGCAUAAUAUUGAGGAACGCCAAAGACUAUUGAACUUGUACAUUAUUGCACACCAAAACCUUGCAAUUGGCACUUUAAUUUUUUUUAUUAUGUAGGAAUUUUAAGAAACCACAUCAUUCAAGAGGUUCCAUCUAAAAAAGUUUUGAUCAAUCUGAAUGAGAUCUGUAUAUCUUUAGUAUUUUCCAUCUACUAUCAUCUGGAACUUCCCCCAAGUAUCUAAAAUUUCUUGGUCAAGUGUCAUAUAUGCUGCAGUUUUCUAUUAGUUGACUUAUUUUAGCCUUAUGCUAUCCUCUGGCUCUGAUCUUUUUUCGUAUUAAGAUAAUGAUCCUAUGACUGUCCACAUGGCAUGGUUCUGGUUCAUGUGAAUCUUGUGUUACUGUUUCUUCAAUGAUAUUGGGAACUUUGGUUAUGGUCUAUUUGGUUUGCAGGUCAGCUAUAUUAAGCAUUCAAAACAUACUAGUAUUCAUACAUGAAUUGUUUCUAGACAUGUAGACCUACUACUAAAAGAUUUGUUUGUCAUGCCUCAGGGUUGGAGUGUCUUGUAUCUUUGCUCUUAUUGAUGUUAUUUAUCUGAAUAAUGUUUUGUGGAAUCCUCAGUUGGACCCAGAGUUGGAAUUUGACCGUGAGGUAUAUCCUCUUGGUCUACUUCCCAAUGCUGGAGUUGUAGUUGGUGUAUCCCAGAGAAUGUCUUUUUCAGCAUGCACAGAGUUCCCAUGUUUUGAACCAUCUCCUCAAGCUCAAACCAUUUUGCAUUGCCUACUUCGGCAUCUUCUUCAGGUACAACUUGUAUUUUCUUACAUAUGACAUUCUGCAUUUCCACUGACAGCUGGUUCCAAUAUGGGAUAGAGGAAGAGGAUUGUGUGUGGUAGCUAGGAUGAUAAUCACAAAACUCUUGUUUUACACAAAUCUCUCUAGAGCAGGAUAUGUGAAGAGGAUUGGUGGAAUGUUAAAAUUGAAGUCAAUUUGCAGUAAUUAUGAAAUUGGUCUUGCAAUAAGUAUGUCACUCAUGAUUAUAUAGAAUAGAAAAAAAUAAAUGUCAUGUAUGGGUGACAAAUAACAGCUGGAGCUGGUUAAAUUGCUAUAGUCUUAGUCAGCAGAAUGUCUUUUGGAAUGCUGGCCAUUUUUGGAAUCUUAAACAAGGACAAAGAAACUCUAGAAUUUUAUCUUAGUCUGCACAGAUUGCUGUACUUAUGAAUUGUUUUUUUGAAUUUAGAGAUCCAGACUGUAGCUGGAUGCAUAUAAUUGCAUUCCUUGAGGUUUUCGUGGUGUAUAUAUUUCUUUAUUGAGUUGUGCUUGUAAUAUGUUUGAUUUCUUCCUUUUCAUCAGAGGAACAAGAGCGAAGAAGCUUUACGUUUGGCGCAAUUGUCAGCAGAGAAGCCACAUUUUUCUCAUUGCCUUGAAUGGCUUCUUUUUACAGUAUUUGAUGCGGAAAUAUCCAGGUAAAUUGAGUAGAAACCUCAGUGGUUCAGUCUUUUUCAGUUCUCAAAAUUUUGACUGAGAUAAACUUGCCUUUUUGUUCCUUCUAUUCUGUGCCUAUCCCGAAAUGGUCUGUUUACCUUUGUGUUUAACUGGUCUUCUUUUGGUAAGGCUACCUUAUGGUUAAUUAAAAAGUUUGAUGGUCUUCCUUUGGUAAGGCAAGCUGAUAGUUUUUUAACUUCGGUAUCUCAAUCUUAGAUAUAAUUCCAAUUGGUCAGACAGCUUCAUGAGAUUAAGUUAGGCAUCUUUUUUAAUGAGGAGCAAGUGAAAAAUUUGAUAUCGAGUCAAUAAUUUCACUUUUUGUAUUUUAAUCAGUUUGGAUUAUUCAGUCUAAAUGAGAAGAGAAUAUUCUUCUCUCUGCCCUUGGAUGUCGUAUAUAACUUGGCUGUAUUAUUUCUGGCUAGUGUCUCAAAACUUCUUGUUUUAAUGUUCUGUAGGCAAGCCAGCAAAAACCACGCACCUGUUCCUAAUCAUGCUUCUACCUCCUCUCUUUUGGAGAAGACCUGCGAUCUCAUAAAGAACUUUCCAGAAUAUUUUGAUGUGGUUGUUAGUGUUGCUAGAAAAACUGAUGGCCGACAUUGGGCAGAUUUAUUCUCAGCUGCUGGGAGAUCGACAGAGUAUGUAUCUGGCUUUGUCUUUAUAACAUGCACUUUACAGCAAAGACUGCGUAAAAGGAUGGAGAAAAGAAAUUUUUUUUUCACUUUAAAUCAAAACUGGCCAAAUUACAAGGCUCCUGGUUAAUGACAAAGUGGCUUUUUAUCUGUUAGGUUAUUUGAGGAAUGCUUUCAGCGCAGAUGGUAUCGUACUGCAGCUUGCUAUAUUCUUGUGAGUGCCACUUGCAAUUACCCUGAAAAUUCCUGAAAUCCUCUCUGUAACAGUUUUCAGAUAUUAGCAAAUCCAAAGUUUCGGCUUCUGCUUCAUGUGUGCAAACAUUAUGCAAUGAAGAUUUUUUUUUUUUUAAAUUUGGUGAACCCAACAUCAAAUAAUAUCGAUAGAUGUCUUAUCUAGUAAGUCAGCGACUAUCUAUGAUUGGUAAAAAGGUUCAUCUUCUGCUUGAAUAGAGCCAAUAAAUAGAUUUGACCUUCAUGGGUUUUGAAAAGACUUUCUUAUCUGGUGUUGACCGUGUGAUUGCUUGCACUUAUUCUGUAAAUCAACUAGACACACUGAGUUUUUCCUUAGGAAAUUAACUGUAUAUGCUGCAUGGAAAUGGUAACAAUGUCUAAUUUUAUUGCUGCCUAUUCUAUCAGGUUAUCGCUAAACUUGAAGGUCCUGCUGUCAGCCAGUACUGUGCAUUGCGUCUAUUGCAGGUUACCUUCUGAUGCUUUCAGUUUUGUUUCCCAUGAAGUAAAGGCUCACAUGGGCUAACUCUAUAUGUUCAUAUCUUGUCAAAUAUCAUAUGAAGAAAUUAUUCAAGAAACUACGAAACAUCUGCACUCAUUAGACUCCUCCCUGGUCAUCCAAAAGCAAAUAUGACUUAUACUUGUCAGACAGAUUCUUUGUUGUGUCCUUCUAACCCAAAGGUUUCUUUGGUAUCUUGGUUAUGUUAGUUUUCUUUCAAGUUUUGCGAGUUUUAAUUACUAUAUAAAAUUCAUCUGAUUUUCUGCAGGCAACGCUCGAUGAAUCUUUGUACGAACUUGCUGGGGAGCUGGUAAGAGUUUUAUCGAAUAGACAUCUCUUUGUAUGAACUUGAUGAAUCUUUUAUAUACAUUUUGCGACUAGCUUAACAGACAACUUUUUUUCUUAUCAGGUUAGGUUUCUCCUUAGAUCAGGGAGGGAAUAUGAACCUGCUAGCCCGGGUACAGAGAAACUCUCGCCUAGAUUCUUGGGUUACUUCCUUUUCCCAUCUAGUCAACGGCGGCAGCAUUUGGAGUCAAAGAGGUAAAAGGCAGCCUUUAGUAUUUUGUUUAACAGCAAUUGUAUCUGUUUAUGUUUUCCCUGCAUUAACUAACUAUUCUAUUACUUCGUCCUCUCUAAACAUGAUGGAGCAGCUCAUUUAAAGAGCAGAGUGCUCAUGUUGCUUCUGUUAAGAACAUUUUAGAAAGCCAUGCUAGCUACCUAAUGUCUGGGAAAGAGCUUUCAAAGCUUGUUGCAUUCAUCAAAGGCACACAGUUUGACCUAGUGGUGAGAGGAUAUUAAUAUUUCAUUCACAAUGCAACAUGUGCCACUGUUGGUUGUAUUACAAUUCAUGUAACAAAAAAAUAUAUUUCAGGAAUUUCUUCAACGAGAAAGAUACGGGUGUGCUCGCUUAGAAAAUUUUGCUUCAGGGCUUGAAUUAAUUGGGCAGAAGGUACAAAUAUCCAUGCAUAUUCUUGUGCUUUAUUUAAUUUUUUUUUUUGUAUUUUGACUCCUUGUGGCGUAUUUGGUGGUCUAUUCAUCUUUUCUUCAUUACAUAAUUAAGAUAAUCAUAUAGCUCAUUGCCUUGUUCUACUUAAAUCCUCCAAUUUCGUUUGCACACACUUCCAGCUCUGAUAGUGAAAAACCUCCAGCUGGAAAAAAGAUUCUUAUUUUAUUGGUGUGGUCUUCUUCUGUUUGUGUAAGUUUCAUACUAAUUGCUGCUUCACUUUAGUGGCAUUUCAGUAGUGCCCUUUUUUCUGGUGUUCUUUCCCCUGAAAGUGUCGUGCUUAUGUUGCAAAAUUUUAUAUGCCUUGCUGUCUUAAGUAGUGCAUUGAAAGAAAAAGAUUAAAAUUUGGCAAUAUUUUGUUCCUUUCGUAAGAACAUAUUGGCAUCCGUUUUUCUGCUUUUGCUUGAACCAUAUUACUGCUCGGCAUAUUGCAUUUUGACAUCUAUUUGUAAGUUUUGUCAAUUAGUCCUAAUUGAAUGUCUCAUUUGAAGUCUUGUUACACAUCAAUAAUUUUUAAGAAUUCUUUGAAGCAAAGAGCAAUAGUUCCUUUACUGCUGCCAUGGGAAGAAAAGUUCGUUUUUUAUUUGCUUCAGGUUCGUUUUUUCUUUUUUCCUUUUUGCUUCUUCUGAUUCAGUCGUCAUUUUUGCCAGCUUCAAAUGGGAACAUUACAGAGCCGGUUGGAUGCAGAAUUCCUUUUGGCACAUAUGUGCUCCGUAAAGUUCAAAGAGUGGAUUGUAGUCUUGGCUACACUUUUGAGGCGAUCCGAGGUUUACUAAACAUAAUCAAUGCAUGUGUUUGAGAAUUUAUCCUGUUCUGCGUGUCUGCUAAUGUGACAAUUAAUUGGUUGCUUUAGUCAGUGCAUUUUCAGUUAACAAGUACGAGACAGUUCAAGAUGUUAAUUUUCUUUAGAUUUAAUUUUCCUUAUUAAAUUUCACAAAGAUUGUAUCAUGCAGUACCAUUUCUAACAGUUAUUUUCUGUAAUUUCUCUCUAAUUCAAACAAAACAAUCACUUUUAGAGUGUGAAUAAUUGUUUAUAGAUACUCCAGUGCAAUAGUUGGGUCAAUUGUUGCUGUUUUUUUUUGGUGAUUCACGUUUGACACUUAGAAGAUCACUUCAAGUUCUCUUAAAUAGGGAUAAUCUAGUGAUUUUAAUCACUUGAGGAAGAUAAGAAAAGAAAUUAUGUAGUUAGUAUCAAAGGCUGCAGCAGCCAGAUUGUUAAUUGUUUUGAAUUAAUUACCUUUUGACAUUUACUCAGGUUCUCUUUGAUUUGUUCCGCCAUGAUCUGCGGUUGUGGAAAGCUUAUAGCAUAACCCUACAGGUAUCUGAGUCAUUCCUUUACGGAUGUAAACGUUUGUUACACUCUUAGUUUCUUUUGGCUAUAUCUCACGUGCCUCACCAUCGGUUUUUCAUUUUCAUUUCAGUCGCAUCCUGUAUUUUCUGAAUACCAUGAUUUGGUUGAAGCCUUGGAAGAAAGGCUUUCAUCUGGUUCAUAUUCUUCUAGUACAACUUCAGAUGAGAAAUGAGCUCUUUGGAUGCUUCGAAACCUUUUGCAACUGGUCAACCAUGUUGCUUCAAAUGAUGCAAAUGCAUGUGGCACUGCCUUCGAGUAAAACCUUGUUGGCCAAGAAAGUGACUGCCACCACCUACAAAUGAAAUGCCUUGUAUCGUGCUAUUGAGCUGUGUAAUGAGCAUCGUCAUGGAGUGAUGGAAUGAGACUGCGUCUCUCGAAAGUCAUUGUAAGUUUUACUUGUAAAUAAGCGAUACCAGGGUAGUAAAUUACCUCUUAGCAUUUUCCUUUCUUCAGAGCUUGUAUCAUUCUUCCCUGUGCUGGCUUUUGGGGUUUUCUAUUUUUUUAGGUUUUGAAGGGGGGUGGGGGGGGGGUGGUGCGGGGGUUCUGCGGCAACCAUUUUGGGUAAAGAGAGACAGAGAGUGGUUGUUUUGUAGGGGGAAACUGAUUGCUGAAUAAUUAUGAUAUGAUGAUUUUUCAAUACAUUUUGAUUUCGUGUCAUCACCACGCUUUAUGAACUUGUUUAUCACAUGAAAGAAGUUCAUGACUUUCUUUCCGGCAGCCUAUGUUACCCAACCUAAAUGAAUUCUAUGUUUCAAUCUGGAAGUCAAAGAGUACAAGUAGUAUCAGGAGUUUCUGGUAGUUAAACGAUUGUCCCUGAAUCCUAACCCAAUCUUAUGGUUCUGUGGCACAUUUUUUGUUGAUUUCUGAACCUAUGUUAACGAGUGAACGAUCUACUCAAAACUGUGGUACUCGCACAAUUGAUGCUUUAUCGUGUAUUGUCGCGCUUAUCAUUUGGUCUUCGCAAUUUUUGUUUCCCUUUCGAAAGACACAAGGCUUUUUGCAUAAUUUCCUUCUCUUUUGUAGGAAGAAUGUAUGACCUUUUAAUUCAUACGGUUCUGGGUUUUAUCUAUAAAUUUUGCUUAGCCAGCUUCUGAAGACGAACUUUGAAUGCCAGUUAUGAAUUCUCCAUUAGAUAUUGCUCGACGGUGGAAGAAUUAAACCUAGAGUAAAAUAUUUGAUCUUUUUAUAAGAUGAUAAACAAGGAGACUGCAUCUCUGAAAUCUAGGCCGCUCGGCGGGCAUCCAAACUUCUUCAACAUCGAACUUAGUAACGUCCGUAUGGUACUUAGCUUUCGACCAGAAAAUUGGGGGCGGGGAGCGGGGAAUACAACAAUCAACACUAAUAACGAUGACAUAGAAUUACUAGCUAUACACACACAAACACGUAUUUGAUGGGUCCCUGGUUCAGCUUAGAUUACUAUUCAGCUUUUACAUACAUGCAUCUGGUAUCCAAUCCGAGGAUCAGGUAAUCACCAACUGAAGCUGAUUGAUUCAAAGUGAAGGUUUUCUGCUAAACCGGAUGAGCAAAUGGCGGCUACAUCAUGCCUCAUCUGCUUAGGGCCGCACACGAGAGCUCCAAUGCUUGAUCCCUUACUCUGCAGCAAAAUUCCUGCAAGAACACUUCCGUCAUACAAUGAUAAAUCAAAACCCAAAACGAGUGUUCGCCAAUCAUGGGAGUUAAAAGAUUUGCUUACGCUUGAGGUCGGGUCUUGCUCCAUAGUGCACCUUCAUAGAUUUGACGAGAGAUUGAUGGGGAAGACUCUCUAAUUCUCUAUCAGCAGCAUCAUGCAUGGAGCCGGAUGAUCCUCCUGUUGUUGAAUCUUCCAAAUCCUGGAUCUGUUUGGUUUCCUUGACAUUUUGGUUCUUGUUCCACAGAAAAGCAGCGGUGGCCGUGAUCGCGAUUGAGAAGCAUAUGAUGAGUGUAGUUAGCACGGUCCUUUGAGUCAUCAGGUUGACCUUGUUGGUGUUGUGAUCAAUGGGGUAAAUGUAGUAGCGAGUAAUGAUACCCAAAAUGAAAAGGAAAAUGACGAAAGAGGAUGAGAUGAUUGCGGCGAGCCAAAGCCAACUAUUUUUGCCCAAGUUGGGAGAUAUGGGAGAAUCUGAUGGCAGUGGCCUGAAGCGAAUGAUCCGGGCAGGUUCCGCUUUCUCCAGCGGUUGCACCUUUUCUCUGGUUACAUAAGCCUCUAUUUGUAGGUCCAAAUUGCAAGAUCCUGCAGAAGCACCAGAAACUGGAAGGAGAAGGUCUAGCAUGGAGAGAUGCGAGGAGUUCCUGAAUGUGCUGAUCAGCAGUAGCUUGGGAGUCUUGCAUUUUCGUGCUGAGCUCAUAAACAUCAAAUCUCUGAUGAUAGAGAUGAAAGGCGUGAUUCCACUUCCUCCGCUGACCAUCACAAGCAUGUCAUGCCUGCAUUUAAAGGGUUUUACCAGUUCACAAAAAACGCUCACGGUGCAACUAUAGUUAUUCUGAUUACUGCUAAAAUACUGAUUGGACUGGACAGAAAAACCUGAGAAAGUGAGUUGUUGGAGGUCCAUAGGGUCCUUCAAUAGAAGCUUGAAGACGAUCAACAGAAGAAGGCGAUGAAAUCAGGUCGUAAAGCUUCUUAGUCCAACUCCCUUCGCAUUUAAUCACCACACUGAGCGUGUCUGGUUCCAAAUGACUGUUGGAAGUAACGGUGAACGGAUGCCACUGCAGCUUAGAAAUGAUGGGGAUACUCACGAACAUAGUGCUUGUUGGAGUGUAGUUCAAAGCUGUAUCGACAUUUUGAUGACAUUAUUGGGUGUACACAUUUAAUCAGAGUAUUUGACAAACAUAACGGUAAGAGAAUGGUGAAAAACUUCAUUUACCUCGGCUUUUGGAGAAGUUGAGCUCGACAGUUUCACAGGGUAGAACACGAGCAGAAACUAGACGGACCUUUUGUCUUGAUUGUAAGAACCUCAGGAAUCGAUCGAUCACGAAGAGGUACAUCCCAGGAAGCAUAAUGCAGAUGAAAAAAAGGCCCUUGUGAAGAAUGUAGAAAAUGAUGAAGAGGAUGUAGAGGUUGUGAGUGUAGUAGAAGACUUCAAACAUGCGUCGUCUGAUGCUUGGGAAAGUUGUGCUCCACAUCACUAAUCCAGACAGCAAGCAUAGCUCUCCUGCUAUGUUGUUUACAUAGGUUUGAUCCCACAUCUCAUCCCAUUUUAGCGCCUGCAAAUUAAGAACAACAAUGUUGCAAAAUAAAUGCCUUGUCAAAACAAAUGGUAAUAAUGUAAUCACCUAUCUACUUCUUCUUCUUCUUUUUUCCUCAAAAAAAUUUUGACAAUAUCAUUGGCUUCCAUAUAUAGCAUGUGAAUUUAGGCUAGCUAUUGGAAUUCGAUUAUGGUUCAUAAUGAUUCCAGAGAUUUUACUUCAAGUGGAUGUGGGUAAUAUCCGGUUACUAAAAUAAAUAAUAUUUAAAAACUAUGUCUAUGAAAUUAGUACGUUAAUGAUGCAAGUAAAUAAAUUGUGACAAAUGAUCUUGAAUUUAAAACAGUACUCUUAACUAUGCAACUGGGAAAGGAUGACGGUGGCAUGACAUGUUUCUCACGUAAAAAAAAAAAAAUGACGUUCAAUUGGUCUUUGUUUUCAAUAUGAGGAUGAUAUUGCUGAAUGCUGCCUAUCGCUGUCCAUGGAGCAAUUGUCAAUGACGGCAGGAAUUUCUGUCUCUAAAAACAAAAUGGCUUUAUUAAAUUUGAUUUGAUUUAGGCAUAUGUAGCUAGAUUGAUUGACUUAUGAUCACUACUUCAGUAUUAAAAAUGGUCCCAGGUUCCAGAAGCCAAUGAUCGAUCAACAAGAACAUGACCUCGCACUUCUUCAAAGUUCAAAGCACCUCUGUCCUUUUGUGAUGGUGCCAACCACCAAGAAAGUGGAAAAAGCCUCUUCUUUUUUUAUUUUUUCUGUUUUUCUUGAGGCCAAUAUGCACCCUUUUCUAUUGCACAAUAACCACUCAGCGGACUAAGCAAGAUUAUGAUCCUGCAGGUGACGAGUAGAAAUUUUGCAUGCACUGCAGGUGGGUAGCUAGGCUUCCCAUGAAAAACCAUAUGGAUACUGCUCUCUGAAUGUUGUUGGAAAUCGAAAGAGAAAGACAACUGAAACACUGUUUCAUUUCUUUUCUUCACAAAUUAAUUGACACUCCGUGGGCAGCGUACUCUUGUAAUUAGGUUUCCAUAGAAAUCAAUCUUAAUCGUAACGUGUUUGAAUUGCUAUUUUUAGGAGUUUUUGUAGAAAAAUAUAUUGUAGGAAUUUGAUGUACGUGAGAUAAAAAAGAUAAUUGUAGCAUAUAUUCACAGAGGAAAAAUAACGUGAAAAAAAACUUUUUUUACAAGAAAUCAAUCCCAAUCCUACGUGCCAGCUUCAAGGGUUAAUGAAACUUCACAGAAUCGUCACAAUCCAAAGUUAGUAUUAGUAAAGAUAUAGCCAACACGACACGUCUUAUUCCAAUUUCGUUAUUUUUCAUUGCAAAAUCCAAAAGAGCAUCAUGAUGUACUGCUUUGCUUUUGGGAGUGACCCCAACAGGAAUCGCAUUCUUGAUCUUGACACAAAGUGUAAAAAUCACCUAACCUUUUGCUUUGAUUCACAUUUGUGCUAACAUAUUUCUUAAUCUUUUCAAUUAAGUGACGUUAGGUGCCACCAAAAGUUGAAUAUGAGAUCCAAGGAACAAUGAUCACUAGGGUCUGCACUCACUGUUGAUCCAAUAAUUGCUGACAAAGUUUAAGGUCUUAAGGGUAGGUAGUAGCUAGGAGUCUUCUGGUCACCUUAUUUUGAUUUAGUCCAAUCUCAGUUUCCACCUUCCGAAUAUUGAGAUCAUACAUUUCAAUGUCAUUUCUUUUGCAUUUAUUUCCACCAAACGUUGCCCCUAUGGUUUUUUUUUUUUUUUUUUUUAAUCCCAACUAAGAGCAAUCAAUUAUCAUAUGCUUAUUUGUGAAGUGAAAACCAAUUUUAUCAACCUAAUAAGUGGUCCAAAACGUAAUGUUUAUUCUUCACAACCAAAAUUCAUCAUCUGCAAUGUUAUUAUUCACCCUAUGCUGACUGACUACAAGGAGUUAUCUCCUUCUUGAAGUUGAUCUGAAUCAAAUCUUCAAUCUCUAUCGCUUAUUUGCCAAAGGGAAAAACAAAUUUAGAAACUCAAUGCCAUGAGGGAAACGAACAACAGUUAGGAUCUCAGUUAUGCUUAUUUCCCUUCGUUGUGUUUACAUGGAAAUUCUACGAUCUCUUCUGGGUAUGAUUCAAUAAACUCUUACCAUAUUAUUCGAUAAUUUAAAUUUUUAAAAUUAUAUUGGGUUGACAUCUGUUUUUCCACAUCUAAUGAUGAAUUGAUUCUUAUCGGUAUAAUAUUCAAAAGGUACCAUAGAACCCCCGUAUUUUCGUUUCUUUCUAUAAGUAAAACUAGAACUUUGCCCCUAUAUUGAUUUCAUUCUUCACAUAAAAACAAUUUUCUAAAAUAAGUAAGUUAAAAGAACGGGUGGGGAAAUUACGUUGGGAAGACAAAAUUUUUUGACUCUGAACACACCCCCCCCCCCCCCCAAAAAAAAAGGAACAAAGAAGUUUCAUUUCCCUUUCACAAUGCAAGGAAAUGGAUAUUUUAUGCAUUAGAGUCGAAUAUUCUCCGGUUAAAAUAUCUCAUUUAUUCUUUGUCAUAUAAAUCUUUAGUCAAUGGACUGGACUUUAAAAAUAUAUAUAUAUUUCAAUUAUUCUAAAUUUAGAAAAAAAAAAAAAAAAAAAGAUGAUGGAAAGAGGGGAAAAUAUUACCUCUGAUAACCGAUGAGUGAGAGCCCAAUAAAUGAGAUAAGAAAAGCCAUGAGCGGUAAACAUGGUCAUGGAAAGGUGUCCAAGCCAAAUGUGGUACUUGAUGCUGGCCUCUGAAGUUAAACCCAAGAAAGCCAAUAUUGAUGAUCCUCUUGUCACCGGAAAGAAGAGAAAUGUCAAGCAUACAUUCCCCGCCAGACCAAUCACCAAAGCAAAUCUUUCCAACUUCGCUUGCCACCUGAAAAUUUAAUUUAGAGGCCACCAAUUAAUCACAUCACUCUAUAAUUAUAUUCUAGCGACGCGGAUCAUUAAAUACAGUAGAUUUUUCUUACAGCUUAUCUCCUCGAGACAUGGCUUCCAUGUUGAUCUUCUCGUACCAGAAAUGCAUGAAAGAAGAGAAGUACCACAGGCAGAGGAGGAUGAACAUGGCAAAAAAGAAAAGCUCUAUCCAGUUAACAAUUCCGAGGCCUUUGAUGAUCAUGGGCCGCCUCAACUUCUUGAACGGAUCCUUUUUCCUGUCACUGCUCUCCAUUCCCUUUCCCAAAUGAGUAUAUAUGCAUCCCAUAACAGCAAUGAACAAGAUAGGAAAUGUAAAAUCCAGCAGUAUUGGACCUGCAGCAGAAACAAAAAAAAAAAAACUUUAAUUUUUGAAUAUAUAUAUAUAUGUAUGAACAAUGAUGAAUCUGCAUUUAACCUUGUAAUCCGAAGUAAGUUGAAUUGGUGCUGGCCAUGAUGUGAGGAACCCAUUUGUUGUAAUACGUAUCAGUUGGCAUGAUGCACCACAUCAUGAUAUAACCAAGAAAUACAAUUAUACAUAGUCCCACUAUUGCACCGCGGAUGAUGUUGGUUGCUUUUGCUUUUGCUCCUCCUCCAUGAGGAGCUGAUAACAUCUUAUCCUCUUCCAUUGCUUCCCUCAGGGAGUGUGUGAAAUCUGGGGUUUUUGGUGGUGGAAUGGUGUGUGUGUGAGUAUCUGCUCUAUAGGAGAAGAGAAGUCCUUGUGGUGUGGGGUUCGCGUCACAAUGAUAUGUAUAUAUAUACGCUGAAUUGUAGUAUGUGUAUAUGUGACCUGCUUAAAUCAGAAGUAGUGUGUGAGUGUGGGUGUGAGUGUGUGUGUGGGGGGUUGGUGGGGGUUCCGGGGGGGUAAUUGGUGAAUGGUGACUUGAUGAUAUGGUCAUAACAACGGUCACCAAUAGACAUACAACCAGAUUUGUUUUACCACAUUUCAAAGGUAAAAGUAAAGAAGUAAGUAACAUAAAAACUUUUUGUUGUUUCUAGACUACUACUUGAAAGAGAUAUUUUACUGUACCUAGAUUUCAUAGCACGUAAUCGAUUUUUUUUUUUUUUCCAAAACAAUGUGUAUUAGAGGAAAUACUUACAUGGUUAAUUUCUUAAAAUAAAAAAAAAAAGAAGAAGAAGAAGAAGAAGAAGAAUUUGUUAACAUGGUAUGGUAAGAAGUUUGAUGAGGGAAAAUGUCAUUGAUUCCAUUUCAAUGGAAUGAAAUACUUAAAUUUCGAUAGAAUUAGAAGUGGCUGCAUCCAUCGUUAAUUAGUUUUGACGCUUGGUGUAACAUAAUAUUGUGCUUUUCAGAGUUUAGUACAAUUGGAUUAAAGCUCAAGCCAUUUUCCCUGAUCGAAUUACUUUUACCUUUCCACUUUUUUUUUUUUUUUUUUUGUGUUUGGGGGGGGGGGGGGGAGAGAGAGGGGGUAAUACAAUGAAUGGUUAGAUGGUGAUGCAUGGCUAGGGACAGAAAUAGAACUUCAUUUUUUCGAUUUUAAGUUGAAUCGAGCUGCGUUUAGCAUUGGAUAAUUCUGUGUUUUUUACUGUAGAUUGAGACCAAUUCUUGACCAUUUAAUUGACAAGCUGUUUGCAGUUGAAUGAAAUGAAAACCUAGAAAUCAACUGUAGCUGUCAAACUAGUUCAAACUCUAGAAAAUUUUGCUUCGAUUAAGGAUAAAUUACAAGUGAAGCUUUUAUUUAUUAUGAUCUGCAGAAUAUGCAAUUAGGUGAUGACAUUGACGACUUUGUCUCUCUUUCCAUUUUGCAGCCAUCAGCCAAUGCCAUGUGUGACACUUAAGUUCCUAAACUUAUAAAUACCUCCAAAUUAAGGAAAAUUGUUGAUAAAAUCCUGAAUGCCUUGGUGGUCAAAGUGUUCCAUUUUAUAAGUUUAGGGACUUAAGUGUCCCAUUUUGAAGUUUAGGGAUUGAAGUGGGUAAUCGUCCAAAGUUUGGGGGGACAAAGUGGAAUUAACCCUUAUUAUUAUGUGAAGUUGCUGCCAUUUCCCGUUUUGUUGCUUAAAUUUUUCCUAUUCAAAUCAGUCAAAUAUAACGAUUUCCUACUUAAAUCUUGAUUACGACUAAUCUGAACAACAAUUCUCCAGUAAUAAUCAUUACCUAUUACAGCAUGCGUUUGUCCGAAAAAAGAAACAGAAAAACUUUUGUUAAGAUGGUUUUUUGCCUAUCAACCUGGUAGCUUCUUAAUUUUUUUUUAAUUUAAUGAAAGCCCUGGUCCUUAUAAGGAGAAUAUAUAAGCAACAGAAGAAAAAUUUGAGGAUCAAAGAAUAGAACUACGGGUGUAAAUUAAUCAAGUUAUUUGCCUCGGGCUCGCAAGUAGUUCGAUCAAGUCCAAUUGAGUUCGAACUACUUGAUAACAUAAUCGAGUCGAGUUCGAAUAGAAAAAAUCAAAACUCGAAGACUCGUAGGGUCUUAUCCAAUAGUAUAUUUAUAAUACAAUUUUUAAUUAUUUAUUAUAAAAUCAUGAAAUUUACUAUAAAAAAUAAAAAUCAAGUUUGAACUAGGGCUCUGCAAACAAUUUUUAACAAUAUUCAUGAUUGACCCUCGCAUCUUUUCGUUCAAGAUUCCCAACCACCCACAUUUACGUUCUGAAGGCCUCAGGGGAAGCCAGGAAGAAUGAAAAAAAGCCCAUUAUGACCCAAUCCAGAAGGCAAAAGGCCCAAAAAGGUUUCCAACCACGCAAUCAUCUUACGAACGGGUCCAAUUGAAAUCCAACUAGCAACCCAACCCAUCUUGAUCGACGCUAUUUUGUUUUCUUUUAACUGUGGAAAGAAACACAAGCGUAAUAUGAAGGAAAAAAACGAAAAAAAAAAUAAAAACACAGUGAUCCACUCAUCUUCUUGGGUGGUCAUCUAAAUAAUCCUUUCUAUCAUUUAUUCUUUUACUCAUUGGGUGGUUACCUAUCCUCCAUCGUAUCUAUUUACUUUUUAUUGAUUAAUCCUACAUUUUAAAAAAUACGAUACCUAAAAUAUAUCUUAUAUCUUAACAAGUGACCAAUGGCACCCGUUAAACAAACACUUGUUAAAAUUAUAAAUCUCGAAAGUAAUAUUUAGAUAAAGAUAUUUUACAAAUAGAGCAAUUGCCAUAUCCAUUAGAGGGGGUUGCCUUUUGGGAGCAAUGCUGAUUUCUUUUUUCCUUGAUUAAUAUUAUGGCCAUCAUGUUACAAUUUGCAGGCAGUUCACCUCAUUUCAAAUAAAAUAUAAACUUUCAAGUGAUUGAUCUAAAAUUUGGAAGCCUCUCAUGAAACAUGAGGAGGAGUUCUAUUUAUUUUUCAAACAAGCAAGCAAUUUUUUCACAUUCAACAUUCGCAUUUACAUUUUGAAGCACUCAACUCUGCCCAAGUGCUAACAAAAGGAAACAAGAAAAAAAGGCAGAAGAUUGUCAUAUGAUCGAUCACCAGCUGAAACUGAUGGACUCGAAAUGCAAAUUAGCUCCCAAACCAGAAGAGCAUAUGUUUGCAACCUCAUGUCUCAUCUUCUUCGGUCCACAAACUAGAACUCCAACGCUGGAUUCUUUGCGCUCAAAAAGAAUUUCUGCGUCAGAACCAACCUUAAGAUAUCAAAACAUGCACGUAGAUUAUGUUGACCAAAAUCAAUGGGAACCUACAGUAAAUUUUGCUGAACGAUAAAUGGGCAGAAUAAUUAUUAACCUGCACUCAUCUAAUCACAUUUAUACUUAAAAAAAAAAAAUACAUGUAACACAAGAGUAGUGAGAUUUAAGAAGCGAAAAAAGAGGAAAGGAGCGAUUUGAAUUUAUGGCCUCUAAUUCCUACGGUUUCAGGCCAUGCGAUUUUUGUUCGCCAUAUAUAAGCUGUUAAUCAAACCCAUGUGUCAUGCUUUAGGAAUUUACCUGCACUAGUAUAAUAUAGUUAGUCAUAUUGCAAUUAGUUGACUUACUCUUUAGGUCUGGCCUUUCACCAUAGUGCAGAUUGGUAGAGAGGACCAGUGACUGCUGGGGUAAGCUUUCUAAUUCUCUGUCUGCAUUAUAGAACCAUGAGUUGGGUGACGCUACGGGAGUUGCCCCUUCCAGGUUCUGAAUCUGUUUGUUCUCCAUGGCAUUUUGUUUCUUGUUCCAGAGAAAAGCCGCGGUAGCUGCGAUGAUUAUAGAAAUGCACAUGAAAAGGAUAUUCAGCACAGCUCUAGAAGACCAUGAAUAGACAUCGUUGGUGUUGUGAUCAAUGGGAUAAAUGUAGAAUCUCGUAAGAAUCCCCAUGAAGAUAAGAUAGAUGAUAAAAGAUGCUGAUAUUAUUGCACCAAGCCAGAGCCAGCUGUUUUUGCCCAAGAUUGGAGCAACUGGUGAAUCUGAUGGCUUUGGUUUGAACCAGACGGUCCUGAGACUCUUCUUGCCUUCUGGUGCUGGUUGUUUUUCUCUCGUUACGUAAGCCUCAAUUUGUAAAGCGAAGUUGGAAAAUUCUGCCGGGGAACCAACAAUAGGGAGGAGCAGAUCUAGCAUGGUCAAGUCUGAAGAAUUCUUGAAUGAGGGGAUGAGGAGAAUUGAAGGAGUCUUGCAUUUCAGCGUCUCGCUUGCGUACAUAAGCUCACGAAUGAUGGAGAUGAAAGGAGUGAUUCCGCUGCCUCCACUCACCAUCACCAGCAAUUCAUGCCUGCAACCAACGGAAUAAGAAAUUAUAGGUAAAAAAAUCAAGUAGCGACAAGUGUCUUCAUUGGUCCGGAUGUACUUACAUUUUUCUUAGACACGGAACAGGAGUAAAGGACACUGUUUGUACCUUAGGAAAUCAGUUGAAGUUGGUCCAUAAGGUCCUUCAAUGGACACAUCAAGAUGAUCCACAGAAGAAGGGGAAGAAAGCAUCUCAUGGAGCUUCUUUGUCCAGCUCCCGUCACCUUUAAUGAUGACACUCAGCUUUUCAGGCUCCAAAUUACUGCUUGAAGUAAUUGUAAAAGGGUGCCACUGUAACUUCGAGAUGCUCGGUACAUUCAAGAACAAUAUGCUUGUUGGAGCAUAGCUAAGACCUGAUAAUAAGGGGGGAAAAAGUUAAAAAUCAUACUAAUUUCGCUUUCAUCAAUUUUAGAGGAUGCAAAGAAUCAAAAGAAAAAGGAAGAACGCGUAAUUACGAAUGGUUGCUCAUAAUGUCACGGCACCAAUUUUAGUUCCAUAACAUAUUUUCUAUGAAUGAACAAAUUCCUCUUAAAAAUAAACACAUCAUUUGGACAGUGAAGGCCAUCGUUGUCAUUCAGAAGAAACCUGAUGUAGAGCUGAAGUUCGUGAUCAUUUGCUAUCACCUAUCAUUUGGUUUUUUUCGUUUUUUUUUUUUUGUAAUUAAAAGUUUGGACAGAUUCAACUCUAUUCACCAUCAUGGAUCAGGGCAUACCCUUAAAACCAUACAUCGCUUAGAACAAUUCUUAUAGAUAGUCCACUAACAUAGUUCUCGCAUUCGCAGCAAAAUUCAAAUAUACAACCUUUUUGUGAGAAGGUUAUCCGCGCUUGUCAAUUAAGCCAACUUGUGUUGGCAUAUUAUUUGGUAGAUUAAUUUUAUUUUUCUUUUCCCCCCUGUACAAUUGGAACAUGCACUUAUGUACCUUUGGUCUUGGAGAAGCUGAGCUCCACGGUUUCACAGGGUAGAAUUCGAGCGGAGACUGAACGAACGUUUUGGCGAGAUUGCAAGAACCUCAAGUAACGAUCAAUCAUGAAGAGAUAGAAGCCAGGAAGCAUGAGGCAGGCAAAAGCGAUGCCAACAUGGAGGACGAAGAAGAGCACGAAGAUGAUGUACAAGUGAUGAGUAUAGAAGAAGAGCUCAAACAUCUUUCUCCUUAUGCGGGGAAAUGUCGUUGCCCACAUGGCUAGUCCCGCUACCAAAGCUAUUUCUCCGGCCACAUUGGAAAUGUCUGCUUUAGCCCAUUUUGUCAUCUGAAUUAUUUGAGCAAAAAUAACAAAACAAAGAAGAAAGAAAAAUAAGAUAUUAGUUAUACUAAUUAUAAGCAAAAGAAAAGCAUACGUGAAGAAGGUAACCUUUGACAUAUCUCACAGACGAAUACAAAAAUUGGCAAUUUUAACUUUUUGAUCUCAUAAGAUUGACGAACCCCACGAUAACACCCUAUAAGCUAGCAGCCCACCACCCUUGAAUAUGAUACAUCAAAGUCGAUUUGUCAAGCAACUCCCAGAUGGGACCUUACUUAUCUUUUUGCUUUUUCCAGCAAACAACAAUAUAUGCCCAUACGUAAUGCGAAACUGCAAUUUGCAUGGAAAACGCACCAAGCCUAAAAGAUAUGUAAAGAAAAGCAACCAAGAGCCCAAACAAGAAACAAGAACAAAUUUAGAGCACAGACCAGUUUCUUCUGGUUUGGUCAGUGGGGUGAUGCAUGCUAGCUAGCUAUUAGUCUCCCCAGGUCCAGGGCAACCCAUCCCUGCAACUUGUUUCUUGUGGGCACAAUCACCCAAGUUGCUCCUUCACUCAUAGUGUCAGUGCUCAGUACAUCGACUGUUGCACUAUUUUCGUUUAGUUAUUGAUUUAAACAAUUGGAAACUUCUAUUCUAUUCAAUUAUAUAACUUGUUCAAUCGCCUGUGUUUCCGGAAAAGAUAUAUAAGAGUAAUCAUUUAUUUUAUUCAUUGAAGAUAGAGUAACCGUUCAAUUAACUUUCAAAUUAACCAAAAAAAAAAUCGCAAAUAAAAAGAGGACUCCAUGUACAUCUGCAUAUCAAUUCUUACGAAAGAAACUAAUUAAAUUGGACGAGAUAGUCAAACAAUUUUUUCGAAUAUAAACCAUUGCAUCACUUGUUUAAGGCUGUCACCACCUCAAAUUGUUGGCACUGGCAGUGAAGCGAGUUUGUUAAGGGUGUUUUAAGGUUGGAUGCAAAGGGCACAUUGAACAGGACUAGUAGAAUGCUUCAGUCAUUAGAUAUGACUUUGUUCAUUAAUUCAGUUGUCUUAAUUGUAUUUAACGUUUGUAUCAAGUACAAAUAACCGGUGGAGUACUACUACUUAAUAAUUACCUCGGAUAUUUGAUGUGUGGCAGCCCAGAAGAUGAUGUAGCAAACGCCAUGAGCGGUGAAAAGGGUCAUUACAAUGUGGCCAAGCCAUAUAUGAUACUUGAUGCUUGCUUCGGAUGUCAGGCCAAAAAGUUGCAGCACCGAUGAGCCGCGGGUCACCGGAAAGAAGAGAAAUGUUAGACAUAGAUUCCCUAGCAGGCCUAGCCUUAGAGAUGCACUGCCCAGCUUAGCUUGCCACCUGCCACAUAUAUAUAUCACAUAUGAAUACGAUUAGUGUAUGGAUUUAUAUGAUCCGCCACCUUUGUCCGAACAAUCUCAGCUUUUAUUUCUGCAACUCUAUGCUUUCUGGAAAGAAUAAUAAUAAUAAUAAAGAAACUGAGAUGGAUGGAUUUCUUAGUUUCUAAUUAAGUUAAAGGCAUCUUACAAUUUCAUCCCACUCUUUGCAGCUGACUUCGGAGUGAUGCUAGCGAAGCCAUUGCGCACGUAAACUGUGUAGAACCAAACGAGAAGGGCAAUGAACAUCACAAGAAAAGCCAACUCAAUUCGAGAAACAAUUCCUAGUCCUUUGAUGAUAACUGGCCUCUUCCAUGCCACUAUACGAUUUUUACCAUCACGUCUGUCGAUCAGAAAACACGAAGAAGAGUUGCAAGUCAAGCUUCUUCUUCUUCUUUUGUUUUUUUUCCCCCCACGAAGCCAAAAAAAAAAAAAAAAAAAAAUCUGCUGCAAAAAUUACUUAAAUCCUUCUUGAUGUAUCUAGAGUUACCUCUUUGAAUCAUGCUCAUUGCUUCGUUUCUUUCCUAAAUGGAGAAAGACACAGCCCAAGGCAGCAACGAAAAGAACAGGAAAUGUGAAGACCAAGAAAUUUGCACCUGUAAAAGGUGGUUAUGAAGAAGAUGAAACUGCUUAUAUAAAAUUGAGAAAGAACAUCGAGGAGUAGAGAGGAUCGGAGAUCAAUAAAUCAUCAAUAAAUAAACCUUGUGAUCCAAAGUAAGUUGUAUUAGACUCAGCUCGAAUCUUUAGAAGCCAGUUCUGUUUGAAAGUAUUGGUUGGCACCAUGAUCCAGAUGAAAAUAUAUCCAGCCGAGACCACAACAAGCAGUGCCAUUAUCAUUCCUUGGACGACACUGUUUCCUCCAGCCUGAGGAGAUCUUGUUGCCACCCUUGUGUCCAUGGCUUCGUUGAUGACUAUCACUACGGGCCAAUAUUCGUAGCGGGGGGAAUAUCUAUGGAAUUGCAAAUCGAUAGAAAUAGCCUUGUAUAAUGGAUACAAGAAGUUAAUGGCCUUAUAUAAUGGAUAGACGUCGUGUAGAAUAUUAUUUCCUAGUGUGUGAACCUACAAGAGAAACAGUAGCAUACCACUAAUAUUCCUAAACCAUGAAAAGCAUGAUUCACGCCCCUGCAAGGGUGAUGGAAUGUAUACACGUAAUCUUCAUUCUUCCCCUAAAAACAAAACCUGCGAGAGACAGAGAGUGUGUAAAAUAAUUAAUUAAUUUUGGACACAAAUUUUUUUUGGCAAUAGUUGUGUAUAAGCACGGCAAACAAGCAAGCAUAGGCUUUUACCAUAUGCUAAGUAGAUACCAAAGAAAAUCAUUCAACUGUAGUAAAAAUUUGACAAUAUAUAUUGUAACAUCAAGGUUAGGCAUUUAACUAUAAUACUAUACAACAAUGGCCCGUUUAGAUUGCAUUUUUCAUGAUUUUUUCAUGAAAAAUUUACUGUAGCGAUUUGAUGUAUGUGAGGAAAAAAGAUUAUAGGAAAAUAUGAUCACGAAAAAUAACGCAAUUUUUUGACAGAAAAUGAUAAUCCAAACAGGGCCUAAUUUCACUUAUACGUUUAUUUUUCAACUGAUUACAUGUUUUUUUGACAUUAUUCGGGGGUCAACGAAAGGGCAAAGAAAGGCACGUGGUUUGCUUUAUUACGCUUCAUUGCAUGCUUCAUGCAUUAUUUUCGCGUCAGGGGAGGGGAUAGCUUAAGAGUAGCAGCACACUUGUAUCUAAAUCAAACAGUUUAAAAAAUGGAUACGUACGUAUGCACCUAAUGCAAAAGAGAAUAACUUGAUUGUGUGGUUGACGCCAUAAGUAGACUAGUAUGGUACUUGUAUAAUUGGCAUAUACAUAGAGGUCUGAAAAUGCCAAUGCCAUCUAUAUAUAUAUAUAUAUAUAUAUAUAUAUAUAUAUAUAUAUAUAUAUAUAUAUAUAUAUAUCGUAAAACCUACUCUAUGGGAAUCUGACUCUAAGGAGUGCCUAAUUGAGUCGAAGAAACCUGACGGAGAUUGAACCACCAUCAGAUCAGAUGGGUGCACCACUCACCCGUAUGGAUUUAGAACAAUUCUCAUAUAAAAACAUAUUGAUGGGAGGCAAGAUUUAUAUAUAUAUAUUUUUUCGUAAAACCUACUCUAUGGGAAUCGACUCUAAGGAGUGGCCUAAUUGAGUCGAAGAAACUUGACGGAGACUGAACCACUCACCCAUAUCAAUUUAGAAUAAUCCUCGUAUAAAAACAUAUUGAUGGGAGGCAAGAUUUGAACCCCUGAUCUCUCAUCCCACUAUUAAUGUGGUCGCCGUCUCUAUAUUCACUAAUCAAGAUCUUUACUACCAUUGAAAUGCAUCAAUAUAUAUAUAUAUAUAUAUACUCAAAUCAAAUACGUCCAUGUGUUUACACUCGAAAAGAGGAAGAUAAGGUGCGAAGUCCUGUCCGUCAAAACUUGCCAAAAAAUCAAGAAAAGCUAAUAUGUAACGAUCCAUUCAGUCAAUUAGAACCAUUAAUUCACUGCUUUUCUUCCAAGUUUCACAAACGAAGGGCUUUAUCCAGCUUUUCUUCUGACAAAAACACCAUAGAUUUCUGACAUUGUUUAACAGGCAUAUAUGUAAUGCUGACGCAAAAAAAGAAACAUACCACUAAAUGGAAGCUAGUGAUCGUUAGGCAAUGAAAGAUCUAAUCCUGGUGAAAUAAAAUUAGGACCAUCAAAGUGGAGGCACCGCCCCAAACCUGAAUUUCACGGCCCAUGUCUAGCUACAUUCCUCUCUGUUUCCACAGAUUGGGCGGAAGGAUAAAGAUUUGGCUUUUUUAGGGGAAACAACACUUAGCAAAUUGGAGGGCAAUCGCCUAUUUGACCAAUAUAGUGGGAUGGCUAAUGUGGGAUGUGCGUGUUGCAUUGUGUUCGUCCAGGAGUAAAUACGGCAGUCCUCGUGUUGGAUGUGCGCCUGCGCGUGCCCAAAAGCUGAUGUGUGGAGCAGAUGUUGGGUUGACACAAUUAGACAUGCAAUUUUUCUGUAGCUUAAUCUUUUUAUCUCUUAAUUGUUUGCCUACAGUUUCUUGAUGAUUAAUUAAAUGGCCUGAAAUAAUUGCUACAUCUGCCUAUGCAAGCAUUGCAUGAGGACACUGUGAUGAUUAUAUGUUGUCAGUCGUCACCUUGAAAGUGGAAGUGAUGCUUCAGGACACUUUCCACAGCAAAAAGGCAUCUACGCUCCAUCCUCUGGGAAUUCAGUGACGUUUCUAAUCAUAGUUGCUAAAUCUUGGGAACCUAGCCAGGUUUCGUGCGGAAAUCAACGGACCCAUGUGGCAGCACCACCCGCCAACGAUCAACAUGGUCGCACUAGGAUUGCAAACGAGUUUAGCCUCCUCGCGAAUCAACUGGAUGGAAACUAGAUGCAGGUUCGUCCAAAAUUAUUGAGUUCUAAUCGAAUUCGAGCUAGUUUGACAAGUUAGUCGAAUCAAAUCAAAUACAUUAGUACUCGGUUCGUUAGCUUGUCAAGUCAGUUCGAAUAUAUACAUUUUUAAUAGUAAAAUUAUAUAUAUGUCUUCUGAAUUUUUGUUAUUUAUUAAGGUGAAAUGUCAAUUUUAUAUAUUUGCUUUUCUAAUUAGAAAAAGAAAAGAAUGAUAUUGGUGGUUUUUGAAUGAUUAGUAGGUUAUUGCCCCCGCGUGAAUGGUCCAGCGGCAGCGCCUCUCACCAGUGACCCUUGAAGUCACAAGUUCGAGUCUCAGCUACGCUGGAUUCCUCCGCGCACUUAAUGUGUUCGCGCCGGGUUGGGGCGCCGGACCCGGGCCGCAGGGGAUUAAUCGGGCCCCGUAAGAAUUGAUCCGGAUACCCCUGUGUCGAAAAAAAAAAAAAAGAAUGAUUAGUAGGUUAUUGAGUAGUAUAGGCUUAGACUUGGGAAGAAUAUAGUGGUACAAUUAUAGGAAGAGUACAGUGGCAGCGGUGAAUUAGCAGUGUGAAAUUUGACAGAUGAGGUAUGGAUGUAUCAUGCUAAAUCUUGGAAUGGUACAUUUGGAAAUUGGAAUAACAAAUAAUAUGACACUCUAUUUUUUGACACUGACUCAUGCAUUAUAUGUAGAGAGAUAUGCAUUCACUUUUUUUAGGGGCGGCAAUUGGGUCAGAAGUGAAUUGGCGGAUUGGAUUGAGAUCUGAAUAUAACAGAUAACCUGCUGACCCGAAUACGACUUACCAAUUCAAAACGGGUCAGGAUACCUAAUUCGAACCCGAAAUUUUGGGUUAGCGGGUCAACCCGAAUGACCUGAAAUAUAAUUUCAAUUUAUUAAUUUACCAGUGUAAUUUCUAACAUAACCAAUUUCGCACAAGACUAAUUACAUUAUCAAAUAAUAAAAAUCUCGAUAAAACAAUUCCAAACCAGAUCUGAAAUAAAUUAAAACACUGUAAAAGUAUUUUAUCCCAAACCAGAUCUAAAAUAAAUUAAGAUACUAUAAAAAUAGAAAAUAAUGUUAUAUAUCAUUUGUCCAAACAUAAUAAUUCCAACUUCACACAAGUUAAACAAAUUCAUUUAGAAUUAAGUGGUUAAUACCUUUGGGGAAAAAAGAAUAACUCAGUUUAGUUAGAUAAAAUAUUUUUAUAUUUAUUAAAUUAUUUUUAAUUUAUAAACGGGUUAUCGGAUCAACCCGUGGAUGACCUAAAUUCGACCUUUUUUCGGAUUCAUUAAGUUCGACUCAAUUCUGACCCGAACCCAUAAAAUCUCAACCCAAACCCAUUAAUUUCGUAUUAAAUUCAUGUCAUAUAUUCAAAUCGUGUCGAAAAUUGCCACCUCUAACUUUUUUGAUUCGUUGUAGUAGUUUUGAAAUAAGCGUAUCUUGCAAGCACGAUCGAGGGAGAAAGAAAUCAAUGGCUCAUGAUCAAUGGUUUGGCAUCGCGCUCACUAAUGUUCUUAAUUAAGAAUUCAACAAAUUAAGUGGAGUACUAAACUUUUAAGUUCAUUUCUUUGAAAAUAGAGUAUUACUCUUUGAUUAUUCUUUAUUGCUAAAAUUUCAUCCCUAAAAUCAUAGUCCAAAAUAUGAUCUAAUAUUCUAAUGUGUUCCCGCAUCUAAAAGGCCGCGAGCCCAAUAAUUGUUCAGCCAGCCUUCCAUAGCCAGGUGAUUAUAUAUCAUUUUCCCCACAGUUACACUUUUUUAGUCCCCAUCCGCAUUUAAAUUUGAAGGCUGGGCCUGGGUCUAACCAUAGAGGCAAACAAGAAGGAAAAUGAAGGACCCACUCCAGGGGCCUCCAGGAGGCCAGAAAGUUUCAAUUUUGCCAGCCACAUUCUACAAGAUUGUCGAUUCACCCGCUGAAACUGAUGGACUCGAAAAUGCAGACCGGCUCUUAAACCUGAAACAACGUCUGUUUACAACCUCAUAUCUGAUUCUUUGUGCUGAAAAUGAGCUUCUGAAUCAGCAUCAACGUUGUUAGGAGUUGGGGAAAUUAGGACAAUCUAUUCAAUUAUCCUCGAAGUAAGAUGAAGACUACAAUGAAUGAAAAGAGUUCAACAAAGAUUUUUUUGAAAAAGAUAUCCAAAACUAACACAAGAAGGAAAGAAAAUUUGUGCAGACUACCCUGUCUGGUGGAUCUUGAAACACGGGGAGAACUUGAAAACGACAAAACAUGUGCUAGUUUAGUAUAUCAGAUGGCAAAUUGGCGCAAUCCCACCAUGCAAGCUGAAUAUUUUUACAUGGCAAAGUAAGAAUAACUAGAACCAUGUGUCGAGGGAUUGAUUACAUGGCAAAGUAGUCAAUAACUAGAAGCAAAUGACUGGAGCAGAGCUACAUAAAGAUGAAAAAGAACCUUCUGCCAUCUGUCACUCAACUAAACAAACAAAAACACUGAGGAGAUCUUGCAGUUCCAAUUCCAGAACAGGAUAUGCUGUGGUGUAGGUAUAACUUGCAAGCAUGGCUCUGUCUAUAGUCUUUAGUUACUUCAAAGUAUAUCUAGCAUUGAACUAGUCUGUAGCAAGUCAGCAGCAGCAGCUCUUCUUCUUCCAGAACCACAACAUAUGACGCAAAUAAUACAUGCUACCAAUGUUUAUCUUUGCGUCUAAAAUGUUCCAUUAUAGUAAGGUGUGAUCCUCUUUCAUAAAUCAUGAUGACAUAGAUCUAAAACUUUGCAACUACUACUGGUGAUGCUGACGUAAAGACGGAGAAGGAGCUCUACUGUAGUCUAUAUACCAUGCCAAAUGCUUCGACCAUAUUCGAAGCAAUUGAACCAUAAGAUUAUCAAACCAUCAGCAGCCAAGGUAGAGAAUACCAUCUGGCAACACAAAGCCAAAAGCCUAUCGGACCCAAGAUCAAUAAGGAACCAUAAUUCACAUCACACUUCAUUAAGGUCCUACACAGCAAUUAGUGCAAACUGAUUUCCGCUAGAAAACCAAACAUAAAGAAAACACAGCAACCACUCCAAAAGAAGAGGCAUCAAAAAAUGCAUGAUCGAUUGCACCCACACUAGAAAAAAAUAUACUGAUUCACAGGAUUAAUAAAAGCAAUGAAGUUUCCUUUUCCAAACUGCUUGAACAUUCAUAGGUAAAGGUAAUUUCCAACAAAUAAGCUAUUGAGUACAAAGCAUAGACAUCAUUCCCCGGAAAGUAUACAAAUAUGUUAAAUAUCUCAACACUGAGUGGAGUACAGUUUGAAUUUUAGACAAAUCUACAGCUACUCUGUAUAAAUAAAAGUUCUCACAAGAACAAGAGAAACAAAAAGCCAUGAAGACGUUUCAUAUACUAGUCCUUAAGAUCUUCAGGGAUAUAUAAGGUACUUGAUUUAGGACUCACUAGGCCCACAAGGGCAUCAGAGUUUACCAGAUGACUGUUGGCUGCCAUACUUCAGAUUAAUUUCAGAGACAUCCACAGGUAACCUUAACCAUCCCACUGUGUCCCUGCCUCCAGACCUCCUCCUUUGCACUACCACGGAUGCAGUUAGCAACAAAAACACUGCCGCUAGUAAAGGCACUAUGACACCGGCAUUUCCUCUUCUCCAGCUCUUCAUAACUGACUCAACAC